rnacentral:lncRNA from 1 species
UGCAGUGGAAUGUUAGGGAGCAAGUGCACAGCAAGUUGAAGGUUGUUCUUAGAUGAGAUUUCUGAUGCUGGGAACCUAAUUUUUCUAUCUCACUCUGAUAAGUCUCCUUGUGAACAUUUUCUAUUAUUAUUCUUUUUGUUCCUACCUUUUACAUUUUGAACUAGGUACAGUUGGGAAAUUAGGCAUUCAAAACCAGCUUUAAUGGGAGAAACACUUUAGGAAAAUAAGGAAAAUGUACUAGAAAGAAUAAUGCAUACGUUGAUCAAUGUGAAAUUUAUUUUUGUAUACAAUGUUUCUCUAAUAAUUUUAACAAUGCCUGACCUUAAAUAUAGUAAUUAAUUGCUCUUUUGCAGUUGUAUUCCCUUUUAUUUUAAUUUUUAAAUUUUUUUUUUUUUUUUAAGAACAUCACAAACAACUAUUUUAUUAUAUUAAAAUAGUAGGUACAAAGCAAGAUGAGAAAUCUUCCCAAUUAGUAUAAAACACCCUUAUGCAAUAUUUAUGAAAAUAGGUGUAUAGUGUCCAAAAAGAUCAAUUUAUCUUAUAGGCCAAACUGGUUUGGACAAUGCUCACUAUAGAUCCAUAAGGUAAAAAAAUCUCUUAUAGAAGAAACCGAAUGUCUUCCUCCAUGCUUUGCUAACACUCCCAGCACAAUUGCUUUAGCAAUGAACAGCAAUGAACCUAAUAAAAUGGCCAUAUCAUUUCUGAUCUAAUAUCAAUGAUUUGAAGUUAUGACCCCUCAAACUUCUAGGGUUCUCUUUUUUUUUUCCUUGGUCAUCCGUGAUAUUAGAAUGGUAGAAGCUACUUCUAAUAGGAGAUUGGAGAGGCCUAAAGCUUUUGCUUGCAAUAAACUCUCUAGAAAGGUUAGGAUCUUUGCCUCAAUGGCUAAACUCUGACUUGCAUAUAUAGAGAAUUCUCUUAUUAUUAUACCAAAGUGGUCAUUGAGUAACUCUCUAAUCCCCAACUCCCCUAGUUACCCAAAGAACCCCAUUAACAAUUAGCAUAUAACUUAUGCAGCACAUGCUACACUGAUGGAGCCUUUAGGAACUAUUUUCAUGUUUGUUAGGCUAAUUCAUCCUCAAUAUUAUGUCAAUGCCAACUUUUAGCUUGAGUUUGAAUUGCCUAUAUUAUGGAAAGAAAAUAAGAUAGGAAGAAACAUGAAAUUCUCUUGUUUGAUUUACUAUAAAAAAAUAUGAAGAAAAAUAAAAUAUAGUAGAAAUGACUUAAAACCGUUAUACGUUCAAAUUCUUUAGUUUUUCUAUGAUAGAAAAAUAAAUUUGAAGAAGCAAGUAACUUUAGUUCAAAUUCAUUUUAUUGGGUAAUCAUUGUUUUUAUUACCCAUCUCAAGUUGUUAAGUCUUUCAAGCCUUAAAACUGAUUAGAGGUGAUUGUGAUAUCCUACAUGGGAUAGGGAAAAAAGUUUAUGACAUUAUACAUGUAUACAUUUCUUUUAAUAAUAUAGACACAUUUAAAGUCACGAGGGAUCAAAAUGAACGAUAUCAAUAUAAAAUGAGAACAAUCUAUUACAAUUAUACUUGCAAUAACCUUAAAAAAUUUGGAUACAUAAAACUACAAUCAUGUUUUUGUUGGGAAAAACGGUGUAGUAAAUACUUUUUUGUUGUUAUAUUAUAAAAACCAUAAAUUUCUAAAUUUCCGUUUCCUUUUCAAUUCUUUAUAUGUUUAAAAUUUUCAUCCAAACCAAGAUCCAAGAAAAACUUAAAACAAAGAAAAAAUGAAAAAUUAAUUUAACAUGUAUAAUUUUUUAAUAAGAAUUUAUAAUUCAUAAUUCAAACGAUAUUGUGAAUUGUAGACACUGGAUUAUACUUAGAGAAUCAUUCAAAGAAUGACGGUCAUGUGAAUGACAUAGGAUACCCAUUGCGUGCAUGUGACAUCUACUUCAUUUAGAGUCAGUUUGACAAUUAUUCUAAAAAACGUUUUUAGUGUAAAACAUGUUUUUGAAAAAAAAAAUUAGAUGCUUGACAAAAUUUAUGAAACACUUUUAAGAAUCUAAAAAAUCACGUAUAGUGUUUUAUGAAGAAAAACUUAAUAAAAAGUGAUUAUCCUCAAAAUACUUUCAAAGAAUACUUUCAUUAAAAAUACUUUAAAUAAAAACACUACAAAACAUACCUUUGAUUCAUUAUAAAGUAAUUUUCAUAUUUUAUAUAAUUAGACCCAUGCGAUUUGUCCACUAUUCAUGAUGAAUUUCCCUAUUUUAUAUAAGAACCCAUGAGAUUUGUCCACUGUUCUCUUUUCCAACUCUUCCAACUUCUUAUCUAAUAUUUAAAAUUGAUAAAUAUGAAUCCCUUUACCCUAGAGAAUAGUUCUAAGUGAACAGCUUAGCUUAUUUCAGUUUUCAUCUAAAGCAUAAUAGGUAUUCAUUUUACAUUCUAAUUCAUCUCCAUUCUCAUCCUAUUCUUCUUAGUCGGACAUGCCAAACACAUCCUUAAGCCAAGGAUGAACUUAUCGGUUAUGACUAAUAUAUCGAUAAUUUAAUUUUAUGGAUGUAUUGAGAUACAUGGAGAAAUAUCGGUGGAUAUUUUGAUAUAAAAUAUAAGUAAGAUAAAUAGAUUAAAAUUCAUGAAAAUGUUAAAAGAAACUUUAAAAAUGAUAUAAUAAAUAACAAUAAAGAUUUUAAAGUUGGUAUACUAACGAAAAUGAUAUAUGUAUGAUAUAGUUUAUCAAAUUUGAUAAUAAUAUAUGUGUGUUAAUAAAAAAUUAUUAUUUUGAUAUGUCAAAUAUUAUUCGAGAAUAAUGUUGCAACUUUUGUUUAUAAUACAAGUAAUUUUAAAAUAUAAUUAAUAUUAAAAUUGUGAUCUAUUUAAUUCAAUUAUAUAUAUAUAUAUAAAAUUUCUUUAACAUUUAGUAAAUAUAUUAAUGAUAUAAAAAAAGCUCUGUGAAGAAAAUUGUCAUCAUAAUUUUUAUGCCUUUUGUAUUCAAUUAAAUGAAAACUUUCAUUUAAUUAUCAAAUGAUUAUAAUUAAUUAAUUUAUUAAAAUAUUCUUAUAAUAUUUAUUUUUAUAAUGGCUUUUAAUAUAUAUAUAUAUAUAAUUGGUCGUCUUUUGUCUAGAAUUCGAAUUUACCGUGUUGACCAUGUUUGAUCAAGAAUAUUACUCGAGUUUUGACCACAUUUGAUGAUUGAGAAUGUCAUCGAUGUUUCGUGAUUUUUUAAUCCUUACCUAAAACAUGACAUUUUAUUUCGUUUUUAUUCUCAUCCUAUUCUAAUUUCUAAUCUGACAUACCAAACACAUCUUACGGUCUUCAAAGGUUUUGUCCAAGGUCUAACUCCCAAAGAAUUGGUGUGGUGAUCAUUAUUUUUGUUAGCCAUCAAAAGUCGUUGGAUCUUUCAAGUCCAAGGGAAAAAAAAAUUAAGCAUUUUUUAAAUAAACAUACCAAUUUAAACAUUUUUUUAAUAUAUAUAUUUUGGUAGCUUUCGUAUCAUGAUGUUGACAUCGUUUAAAAUUGGGAAACUUGUGUUUUGGUCCUCUGAUAUAAAAAAUAUAUGCUUUUGGAAACUAAAAUAUAUGAAAUAUGAAAUCCAACUAUUAAUGGGAAAAAUGAUAUCGGAAACGUGCACUAUGUCCUGUUUACUUUUCCUCUUCCCAUAUUGCCCCUAAAUUUCCCCAUGUCAUUAGCAAGUCCUCUCCAUGUUAGCAGAAUAAUCUGAAACUUGAACUAAUUCUCAAAGUUGGAACAUAAAAAAACCCAACCCUAGAACCAAAAGUAUGGAAACUCGUCUACGUUACUGAACAAGGAAGUGUCAAAAUGUGCCUUUUAUUGUGCCUUUGCCUGAGACGACUUAGUAGGCGCUUGCCUUAUGCCCUAAAAAUGAAUAGAAAAGAAUUAAUGGCUUGGAUUGUGUACCAACAACCAAUCUCCAUAAAAGUCAUUUGCCUUGAGUUGGUAAGGGAACUUGCUGCAAUUCAAUCUAGGGUUAUCAUAGAUCAUCUAUUUUAGCUCUCAAUGUUGUUUCAGGUAACAUAUUUGAAUGAUAUUUUAUGAAUUUCAUUUAAUACAAUAUGUGUUCUAAAUGAUGCUUCUUUUUUUAUAAUUAGAGUUAAUCUCUAUUUACUUUUCUUAGAUUUUACCAACUGUAGUUAGAAUUCCUCCAGUUCAUCUUUUAAAGAAAAAACAACAUUCGGUUGAUUAUGGGUGUUGCAAUUUCUAUUGGAUGUGUGAGCAUCAUACUAAUAUGUGAAGUUUUUUACAUAAAAAGGAAAUCUUUAGAUGUUAAUGAGGAUGAAGGCACUUCUUUUGCUCAAUAUUACUAAAUUUAAGCUUCAGAUGUCAAUGAGAAUGUCAAUGGGCUUUUUUCUACAGAUGUCAUGGUAGCAUCUUUAGUUAGUAUUAUUUGCUGCCCAAUUAUAGAAGACCCAAGAAGCUGGAUGGGCUUGAGAUGCAUGGAGUGGUAGUUGAGUGAUUUAUCUUAAUGUUCUUGAUUCAACUUUUUGCCUGUAAUAUAGCAAUGACAUUUCCCUAAGAAUAAAGUCAUCUCCAAAGAAUCUUUGCACAAAUACACAAUGAUCAUAAGUUGUCUUGUUGUAUCCUUGCUUCUCCAUAAUUGACUCAAACUUCUUGUAUCAUUGCCUAGGUGCCUGUUUCAUGCCAUAAAGACUUUUCUUCAAUCUAUAAAAAUAAUCUUCUUGUCCUUUUACUUUGAAUCCCUUUGAAGGCUCCAUGUAUAUCUCUUUCUCCAAGUCACCAUGGAGGAAAGCAAUUUUCAUAUCCAUUUGUUUAAUCUCUAAGUCAAGACUAGCUGCAAGACCAAACACUACACAAAUGGAUGACAUUUUCACAAUUGGAACAAAGAUUUCUUCAAAGUCAAUGCCUUUCUUCUAGCUAAAUCCCUUGACAACUAGUCUAGCCUUGUAUCUUGGGUAUGAAGUGUGUUCUUCUUGCUUCACCCUGUACACCCAUUUGUUUUCCAAGGCUCAUUUUUCCUUUGUGCAGCUUCAUUAACUCAAAAGUGUGAUUAGCAUGCAAGGACUUCAUCUCAUCUUGUAUAGCCUCAAUCCACUCUCUCUUCUACUUACUCUCUAUAGUUUCUUCAAAGCUCUUAGGUUCUUCCCCAUCAAUGAAUAUGACAUACUCUUUUAGGGAGCAUCUUGUGGAAGACUGACGAUUCCUGGUAGACCGUCUAGAUGAGACUAUAGGAGUAGCUUGUGGUACUUGUGGCUAGUCAAUAACUUCAGAAUUUAUAACCUCUAUAGGUUCUAAAUCAUCACUUGCACCAUGUGGUCAUUUUGUGUCUCAACAUCAAGUUGAUUUGCCAUUGGUGUUAAAGAAAUUAUUUCCAAGUCAAUCAACUUGUCACUACUAUCAAAUUUUGCUUUCUCCACUUCAUCAAGGUCUAUUAUUGUCUAGUCUUCCAUAAAUACAAUGUCUCGACUUCUAAUCAACUUAUUCUCAACUGGAUUAUACAAUCUGAACCCAAAUUCAUUUUGGCCAUAACCCACAAAUACACACUAGCGUGUCUUCACAUCAAGCUUGGACCUUUCAUCUUUAGGAAUGUGCAUAAAGGCCUUACAUCCAAAGACUUGCAAAUGAUCAUAGGAAACAUCUUUGCCUAUCCAAACUCUAUCUAGCACAUCAAACAACAAAAGAAUAGAAGGUGAGAAAUUCAACACAUGAACCACUAUAUUUAAAGCCUCACCCUAGAAAGAUUUAGGCAACCUUGCUUGUGAAAGCAAACAUAUCACUCUCUCAACCAAUGUUCUAUACAUCCUUUUAGCCAAACCAUUCAAUUGCGGUAUCUGUUAGCCUAAGGGCUCCUAAUCGGGUUUUGAUGAUAACAAACCAUGGUUAAGUGACUAAUUGGUUUAAUGAUUAAGAAUCUUAGGCAUAAACUCGAAAAUUCAUCAAAUGACCAAAUGGAUACAAGAUCGAGACGCUUGGAAGACUUGUGAUCAUAGGAAACAAAUGUAAGAUGAAUGCAUGAGUGCACUUAGGAUUUUCACACGUUUCAUGCAACUUAGAAAACUCGGUUUAUUCUUUAAAACUUUGAUUUCAUUAAAACCCGAGUUUUUAACUAAUGUACCUUAGGCAAAAUGUUUUAUAAUUGGUUUAAUAAUUCACCUAUUGACCUUGCCUAAGUGUUAGAAAAGAAAGAAAAUAAAAAAAAUAGGUUUUCGAGGCCAAAAAGGCUCAACUGGUCGAGGCUAUGGCCAAUCGGCUCAACCGGUUAAGGAACCGCUCGACUGGUUGUGCUCGUCCGGUUGAGGGAUGCGAAAAACUUUCUCUCUCUCCCAGUGGCCUUCUCUUUCUAGUCGAAGUGAUUCUCUUCCCGAUCGAUGUCCGAUCGAGGAUCGGUCGAGGUUCGGUCGAGGCAACGGUAACCUAUCAAGCAUUAAAUUCUCCAACGGCUAGUGAACCAGUCGACCCCUAGCUCGACCGGACGAGGUUACCUUUUGCUGUUUUUGACUCCUGAGCUUAGAAACCUAUAAAUUGAGAGCUCCACUUCAUUUAUUGAUAAGAGAACACUUGCAUUCAAUAGUCUACCUACUUGUUCUUGAUCAAAAAGUUCUCAUUUCUUUCAUAGUGCAUUAAAUCACCACUUGCAUAUCCUUUAGUGCACUCUUGUGUGUCAUCCUAGCUUUGUCUUAUAUUUAAGCUAUCCUUAAGCUAGGUUGAGGGAUUAUUUCUUGUAAAAAUCUGGGUGUUAAAGCCUUCAAGAGGUUUGAAUCUUGAAGAGAUUGUGUAAGAGCCCAUUGAAGCCGGAAUCCAAGUGUAAGAAGAUUGGAAGCUUGGUUGAAGCUUCAAGUUAGUGGAACCCACACUUAGUUAGGAGAUUGAGGAGAGUGGAUGUAGGCAAGGAAGUGCCGAACCACUAUAAACUCGAGUUUGAAUUCUCUAGCUCUAUCUUUUUAUUUUGCUUAUAUUGUGUUUGAAUUUGUUGUGAUUGAAAAGUUUUUAAAAACCCAAUUCACUCCCCCCCCCCCCUCCCCCCUCUCCCCUCUCCCUUUUGGGUGCUUUUCUUAAUUAAGCAUAGCCUUUGUUUUCUCAAUUGGAAUUAGAGCUAGACCUCUUGUUUUUUAAAGACUUAAUCAUCUAAGAGGAAAUGGCUAUUCCAUCAAGCUCAUCCCAAGCUGAAAAUUUUUCAAAACAUAGAGCUCCAUUCUUUACGGGAACCGACUAUCCCUAUUGGAAAACUAGAAUGACUUGGUAUUUGCAAUCUACAAAUUUAGAUGUAUGGGAUGUCAUUGAAGAUGACCCAACUUUUCCCACUAAAUUAGUUGAUGGAGUUUUGGUUCCAAAACCCGAGUAAGAAUGGAAUGAGCUUGAUAGAAGAAACUUUCAAUUAAAUGUUAAAGCCGUUUUUACUUUGCAAUGUGCUAUGGAGGUUGCUUGAAAUAACUCAUGAAGGAACUAAUCAAGUGAAAGAGUCAAAAAUUAAUUUACUUGUUCAUAAGUAUGAAUUGUUUUUAAUGAAAGAAAAUGAGACUACUAUUGAGAUGAUUACUAGGUUCACUGACAUUGUCAAUGGUCUUGAAACUUUUGGAAAAACCUGCAAGGAAUCCGAGAAGGUGAUGAAGAUAUUGAGGUCUCUCCCAUCAAAGUGGCAUACCAAGGUCACCACAAUUCAAGAAGCAAAAGAUUUGACUAAGCUACCUAUGAAAGAGCUCAUAGGGUCAUUAAUGACAUAUGAGAUCAAUUUGACAAAUAAGCUACAAGAGGGUGAAGAUAAAAAGAAGAAGAUCAUAGCCCUCAAAGCUACAACCAAGGAAGAAGAAGAUGUUGAAGAAGAAAAACCAAGUGAUGAAGAUGAUGAUUUAGCCCUCAUCACAAGAAACCUCAACAAAUACAUGAGAUGUGAAAGGUUUCGAGGAAGGAAGUUCACCUCUAAAAGAGAUCCUCCUAAAAAGGAAUCAUCCCAUGGUGAAAAGGAGAAAUGAGAAGAGAAAAGAGAUUUGAUAUGCUUCAAGUGCAAAAAACCGGGACACAUUAAAUAUGAUUGUCCUCUAUACAAAAGUGAAGCCAAGAGAAGAAUGAAAAAGGCAAUGAUGGCCACUUGGAGUGAAAGUGAAGAAUCCUCCGAAGAAGAAAAGGAGAAGGAAGUGGCAAACAUGUGCUUCAUGGCAAUAGAUGAUCUUGAUGAGGUAAACUCUAAUUUUAUUGAUGAAGAUAUGCAUGAUGUUUUUGAAGAAUUAUAUGAGGAUUUUGAAAAACUUAGUUUGAAAAAUAAUUCUCUUAAAAAGAAGAUUCAAGAACUUGAAGAAGUCAAAGAAAAAAUUUCAAUUAUUGAAAUAUCUAAAACUCAUCUUGAAAAAGAAAAUGAGAUUUUGAGAAGUGAAAAUGAGAUUUUGAAAAAGAAAAAUGAAUGGUUGACCUCAUUUCUUUCAAUUUUCUCUUGUGGACAAAAAUAUUUUGAAAUGAUCUUAGCUAGCCAAAAAUGUGUCUUUGAUAAACAAGGGUUAGGAUUCAAAUCUUCAAAAAAUCAAAAGUAUUUUAAAAACUACUUUGUAAAAGAAUCCACAAGUGCAAGUCCUUCUACCAUUUGCAACUUUUGUGGAAGAGGAUGACACAUUAGUAGUACAUGUCCCCUAAGAAAUGGUUCUUAAAAGAAUUCAAAUGCCAAGCUAAAAAGGUUUGGGUUGAAAAAUCCAAAAUCACUAACCCUCAAGGACCCAAAAAAAUAUGGGUACCUAAAUCAAUUUAAAUUUUGUUUUGUAGGGUUUAAAAAAGGAUAAAUGGUUCUUGGAUAGUGGAUGCUCAAGACACAUGACCGGGGAUGAAUCCAAGUUUGCCUUCCUUACAAAGAGAAAGGGAGGAUACGUUACCUUUGGAGACAAUGCAAAAGGAAGGAUCAUUGGUCAAGGUAACAUUGGUAAUGGCACAUCCUCUCUUAUUGAAAGUGUUUUAUUAGUGGAUGGUUUAAAACAUAAUCUCUUGAGCAUAAGUCAACUUUGUGACAUAGGUUUUAAAGUGAUUUUUGAAGCAUCUCAUUGCAUCAUCAAAGAUAUUCAAAAUGAUAAAACCAUCUUCAUGGGCCAUAGGUGUGACAAUGUUUAUGCUAUAAAUAUUUCAAAAUAUGAUGGCCAUGAUAGAUGCUUUUCAAGCAUGCAUGAUCAAAGUUGGUUGUGACAUAGGAGGUUGGGACAUGCUAACAUGGACUUCAUUUCCCAACUCAACAAAGAUGAACUUGUUAGAGGCCUUCCCAAAAUAAAUUUUCAAAAAUACAAAGCUUGUGAAUCUUGUCAAAUGGGAAAGCAAAUAAAAAACUCUUUUAAAAACAAAAAUUUCAUUUCAACAUCUAGGCCUUUUGAAUUGUUGCAUAUGGAUUUAUUUGGUCCCUCUAGGACACCAAGCCUUGGAGGAAAAUCUUAUGCUUUUGUUAUUGUGGAUGACUUCUCUAGAUACACUUGGGUUUUAUUUUUAAGUCAAAAGAAUGAAGCCUUUUAUGAGUUUUCAAAGUUUUGCAACAAGGUUCAAAAUGAAAAAUGUUUUACAAUUACUUGUAUAAGAAGUGAUCAUAGGAGAGAAUUUGAAAAUAUUGAUUUUGAAGACUAUUGCAAUGAGCAUGGUAUUAACCAUAAUUUUUCGGCUCUUAGAACUCUUCAACAAAAUAGGGUAGUUGAAAGGAAAAAUAGAACUCUUCAAGAGAUGGCUAGAACCAUGCUUAAUGAAAACAAUUUACCAAAAUACUUUUGGGCCGAAGCGGUUAACACUUCUUGUUAUGUUUUAAAUAGAAUUUUAUUAAGGCCUAUUCUUAAGAAAACUCCCUAUGAGCUUUGGAAAAACAAAAAACCCAACAUUAGCUAUUUCAAAGUCUUUAGGUGCAAAUGCUUUAUAUUAAACACCAAAGACAAUCUUGGAAAAUUUGAUGCAAAAUCGGAUGUUGGAAUUUUUCUUGGUUACUCAACUUCAAAUAAAGCCUUUAGAGUUUUUAACAAAAGAACCAUGGUUGUUGAGGGGUCCAUCCAUGUUAUUUUUUUAUGAAUCUAACAAUUCUCUCCAAAAAAAGAGAGAGCUUUGAUGAUGAUUUAGGCUUGGAGACCUCCAUGGGAAAAUUACAAAUUGAAGAUAGAAGGCAACAAGAAGGAAUUGUUGAGGAUCCCAAGAAAGAAGAAUCACCUUUAGCACUACCCCAUCCUCAACAAGUGCAAGGUGAAUCAAGCCAAGACCUUCCUAAAGAUUGGAAGUUUGUCAUUAACCACCCACAAGAUCAAAUUAUAGCUAAUCCAUCUAGUGGGGUAAGAACUAGAUCAUCUCUUAGAAAUAUUUGCAAUAAUCUUGCUUUUAUCUCUCAAAUUGAAUAUAAAAAUAUAAAAGAUGCUCUAGUUGAUGAAAAUUGGAUGAUUGCUAUGCAAGAAGAGUUAAACCAAUUUGAAAGAAGUGAAGUAUGGGAAUUAGUGUCAAGACCUCAAAAUCAAAGUGUUAUUGGAACUAGAUGGGUCUUUAGAAAUAAAAUGGAUGAAAUGGCAUAAUUAUAAGGAAUAAAACAAGAUUGGUAGCCCAAGGUUUUAAUAAAGAAGAAGGGAUAGAUUAUGAAGAAACCUUUGCUCCCGUAGCUAGAUUGGAAGCCAUUAGGAUGCUACUUGCCUUUGCAUGUUUUAAAGACUUUGUUUUAUAUCAAAUGGAUGUGAAAAGUGUUUUCUUAAAUGGCUUUAUAAAUGAAGAGGUAUAUGUUGAACAACCACCCGGCUUUCAAAGUUUUAACUUUCCUAAUCAUGUCUUUAAACUUAAAAAGAUACUUUAUGGUUUGAAACAAGCACCUAGAGCAUGGUAUGAAAGAUUGAGUAAAUUUCUUAUGAAAAAGGAUUUUAAAAUGGAAAAAAUUGAUACAACUCUUUUCAUAAAAACCAAAUAAAAUGACAUGCUCUUAGUGCAAAUAUACGUUGAUGAUAUCAUUUUUGGAGCUACUAAUGUCUCUCUUUGUGAAGAAUUUUCUAAAUGCAUGCAUAGUGAGUUCGAAAUGAGCAUGAUGGGAGAACUUAACUUCUUCCUUAGACUUCAUAUCAAGCAACUAAAGGAAGGAACCUUCAUCAAUCAAGCAAAGUAUAUAAGAGAUCUCCUCAAAAGGUUCAAUAUGGAGGAAGCCAAAACAAUGAAGACUCCAAUGAGUUCAUCCAUCAAGCUUGACAUGGAUGAGAAAGGUAAGUCCCUCAACUCAACUAUGUAUAGAGGCAUGAUAGGUUCUUUGCUAUAUUUGACUGCUAGUAGACCCGACAUCAUGUAUAGUGUAUGCUUAUGUGCUAGAUUUCAAUCUUGUCCUAAAGAAUCCCACUUAAGUGUUGUAAAACGAAUCCUUAGAUACUUGAAACGGACAAUGGACAUAGGUUUGUGGUAUCCUAAGAGUGAUAACUUUGAAUUAAUUGGAUUCUCGGAUACCGACUUUGCCGGUUGUAAAGUUGAAAGGAAAAGCACUAGUGACACUUGUCAUUUCCUAGGACACUCACUUGUUUCAUGGUAUAGUAAGAAAUGAAUUUUGGUAGCUUUAUCAACGGCGGAAGCCGAAUACAUAGCAGCCGGUUUAUGUUGUGCACAAAUUCUUUGGAUGAAACAAACACUUAGUGAUUUCAAUUUGAUUUUUGAGCAUGUUCCUAUUAAAUGUGAUAACACUAGUGCCAUAAACAUUUCAAAAAAUUCAGUGCAACACUCUAGGACUAAGAAUAUAGAGAUAAGACACCAUUUUCUUAGAGACCAUACACAAAAGGGUGACAUUACACUUGAAUUUGUAAGCACAAAAGAUCAACUUACUGAUAUUUUUACAAAACCUCUAAGUGAAAAACAAUUUGUUGAUAUUAGAAGACAACUAGGGGUGAUUUCUUUAUGAUCAAAUGAUUGCUUGAUGAAUUCUUGAUUGAAUAUACCUUAUGAUUACGUGAAUUUCAUAUCAUAUAGAAAUAAUCUUAGGAAAAAGGUCAAAUUUUGACCAAAAAUCAAAAUUCCCUUGGCAUUGGACAUAAAAAAUUGGGGAUUUCAAUUGAAAAGGGUAGGGGGAGGAUCACAAGACAAGAAAAUACCAAAAAAUUGGAGCAUUGACCGUUGACCAUUGACCAAGCGGUUCGUCGAGGUUGGGAAUUUAAAAAGGCCCCCUGCGCUUCAUUUUUCACAUGUUAUCCUCCAUACCUUGAAGACUCUUCACAUCCAUGCUUCUAGAAGUCAAUUUUGGCAAGAUCUUGGACUGUUUGCAGGCUUUGGAGUGGAUUUUGAGACGUUUUGAGGCUAGGGUUUUGAUUUGAAACCCAGAGUUUCAGUUUUUGGGGGUGAUUUCUCUCUAUACCACGAACCUCAGGCUUGGUUCAACUUCUUCUCCGUGCGCCUAGGGCUUUAGGUUGGUGUUUUCUCUCUCUUGUUUGAUUUCCUUCUCCUUUUGGACUUCUCCUUCUCCCUAUUCCAUUCGUUGGAUGGCUCCUAGGCGAGAGACGGGCACCUCUAGGGCUCAAGGCAAGCGCCCUACUGAGCCAUCUCAGCCUGAGCAGACGGAGGCUCACCGAAAGGCGAGGUAUGAUACGACCCUCUUCAGUUCCGUUGAAGAUCUUAAUUAAGCAUAGCCUUUGUUUUCUCAGUAUCUUUGGAGGAGUCUUUUGAUGGCGGAUACCUUGCUAUUUGUGGUACUCAUCAAAUGACCUUGAAUAUUCUCCUCUAUUAUCAGUUCAGAUACAUUUAAGUUUUCUUCUAGUUUAUCUCUCAAUUGAAGCCUGAAAUUACUUGAACACACCCGAUACCUUAUCUUUAUGCUCAAUGUGUAUGCACAAAUCUUCUUUGAAUGAUCAUCAAUAAAAGUCACGAAGUAUAGUGAACCACCAAGGGUUUUUACCUUCAUUGGACCAUAUAAACUAGAAUGGACUAAGUCAAGCAAAUUCUCAUUUCUUGAAGAAGAAGGGCGUGUCUUGAACGCAACUCUAUUUUGCUUUCCUACCAAGCAAUGAGCACACUUUUGUAGACAUGUGUUUGUCAUCCCAAACAAGUGAUUUUUUCGGAAUAGUACCAUCAUUCAUUUCUCACCCAUGUGACCGAGUCUCUAGUACCACAACUCAAUUGUAUCCACAUUUUCAAUAGCAUGAAUGACAUCUUUAGAAAGUCCAACUUGCAUUAUGUACAAAUUAUGAUUCCUUUUACAUCUUGUUAUGACCAAAGAACCCUUAGUAAGCUUCCAUUGACCAUUACCAAGACCACUAUAGUAGCCACCAUCAUCAAGCUUGCUAGUAGAGGUAAGGUUCAACCAAAUGUCUGGAACAUGCUUUACACCUUUGAAAAGCAGUUUCAUACCAUUACGGGUUUCUAAUAAAAAAUUACCUAUGUCAAUAACCUUAGCCACACCAUUGUUGCCCAUCCUUACAACUCCAAAGUCAGAUGUGUAAAAAUCCCUACAAAAUGUAACAUGAAUAGUAGCACCACUAUCAAUUACCCAACUAGUCUCAUCAAAUGCUGAAUUGAUCAUAUCAUCAUCAUACAUUAGUAAAAAGUCUUCUAUAGUGGUGGCAACUCAAUCUUCAUCACUGCUCUUAUUGCCUUUUUCUUUCCUGUUGUUCUUCUUAUUUUCUUUCUUCAACUUUCUACAAUGUUUCUUGAUAUUCCCCUUCUUACCACAAUGGUAACACUCAACAUUAGCAAAUUUGCCUUUGGACUUAUUUCUACUACUUUCCCUGUUUUUCGGAAUCCUACUCUUGUUUCCCCCUCAUGGCUCAGUAACUAUCAUAUCUGACUAUGAGGAGGAACGAUGUGACUUUUUUCUCAUCUUUUCAUUUAGAACAUUGCUCUUAGCAAUUUCCAUUGUAAUCUCACCAUCUAGAGUUGAAUUAGACAAUGACAUUUUAAAUGUCUCCCAAUAAUCUGACAAAGUGCCCAAAAGCCAUAAACCCUAUACCUCUUCAUCAAAUUUUACCCCCAUUACAUCCAACUAAUUUAUCAAACCUUGGAAUGAAUUCAAGUUAUUGGUCAUAGGAGUAUCCUCACGAUAUCUCAAAAGAAUAAAAUAUUUCAUCAAAUACAUUUUGUUGUUUCUGGUCUUUUGAGCAUACAACUUUUCAAGUUUGAUCCACAAUGUACAUGCAUUCUUCUCACCACUAACAUGGUUUAACACACUGUCAUCUACCCAUUGUCGAAUAUACCAACACACCUGCCUAUAAAGUAAUGUACAUUCCUCAUCAGUUUUGCCAGUGGGUUUUCCUUGGACAAACAUAGGGUGAUGGUAACCCUUCUCAUAUAAUAAAUCCUCCAUUUUAUCCUUUCACAAGGCAUAAUUUGAGCCAUUUAAGCUUACCAUUCUGUUUGCACUAACAUCCAUUCUUCAACACAACACAGGCAGCCAAAGCUCUAAUACCACUUUGUUGGGAGAAAGUUGAACACAGUAUCACAAUUAAAAUCAACCAUGCAUGCACUGGAAUUUUAAUGUGGAAAACAUCUUCAAUGUGAGAAGUAAAAACCACAGGACCAGAGUCCACUCAGAAAGGGUUCACUAUCAACCUAAGUGAGAGUACACAAUUUGUCCCAACAUUAAUUGGGGACUAUCAAUAGCAACAACCAUCAAGAAAAAUCUUAGCUUCACAAGCAUAAACACCAAAUAUUAAAAGAAUAAUAGAAAAAGAUCACAAAUUUGGUGUUCUGUCCGAAUAUACUAAUCUGUCCUGAAAACUCCAAUCAACGAUCCAAUCGUUAAAAUUUAAUUACCAUAAGUUUUGAACCUCCUAUUAAAAUUUCACUUCAAUCAGACCAAAGAUCAAAGAAAUACCACUCUUUGAUGAAGACUGCAUAGAACCGAGAUUUUCUCCUCUCAUUUUCUGUCCUGUUUUAUUUGAAUGAUUAUAUAUUAUAGUCAACUACUCUGAUCGACGAGCGAACCGACCAGAAUUAAGAGACAUAAGAGACGAAGAUACUAUACAAAUUUCAACACGAUCCAACGGUGUAAAAUAGAGAUCAAGAAGAUUGAUUAAAAUUGCUCUAAAAUGAUUCUAUUUAUGACCAACUCUGUUUAGGCGGCUAUAGAGUGAAAUAGAAAAGUUCAACUAGAAUAAGGAGUUGCUUGUGAUAAACCAACUGACCAAGUUUCAGUUUAAACAAGCCUUAGACCAUCAAGAUCUAUUACUUGGAUGAAAAUAGCUCUUUCACCUCUUCAAUUUCUUAUUAUUUUUUUUUCUCUCUCAAAAUCAUCAGUUGCACUCUUCUCACUGUAUAUUUCAAGAAGUGAAUCUUUUUUGGGGUUUUCAAAAAAACCUUACACCGAAAGACAAAAAUGCCCAUAUAAUAUGGGAUUUGUUGGGUUUGACAUAUAUGGGUCAUCCUCCACAUGAGAGGGAAACCCAACCCAACAAUAGUUUAGUACCUCCUAAUUGGAAGGAUGACUUGUUUUUGUCAUCACGAUGAGUUUUCCAUGGUGAGUGCACUAAUGUAUAUGGUUACACAUUGGACAGGACCUAUGAUGAGUCAUGAUAUUGGCUAUCAAGUAGUCAUCAUCUUAUAAAGCUACUAUAUUGUAUGAGCUCUCAACCUUGAGAAGAUAUUAAGCUAGUAGUAAAAUUUUUAAUGACUUUAACAUAUAGGUAAGAUCCUAAAGUGGUAAUAUAUUCCCUAUGGAUUGAGAUAUUAUUGAUAGAGGUUGGUGAUAACAUGUAUACUCAAGAUAGACACCAUGAUAUCUCCUAGGUUUUAGAUAAUAUAUCCAUUUGAGUGAUCCUAAGGACAUGUGAUUAGGAAAUCCGUGGUCAUAGUAAUUCUUUAAUUGGAAUUUGACAUAUGCUUCUUAUGAAAUAAAGUAUGUCGAUUUAUCACAUAAGAAGAGGAUUAGAGACUCAAGGACUCUAAAGGAAAUUUUAUAAGGUAGAUAACAUUCACUUUAUUAGACUACGAUCAAUAGCUUAUGAGAAGUUUGCAUAUAGUAGACAAUGGAUCAUAGACUAGAGGUUUGUAUCUCAUAGUUAUAAUAUCAUACGAUAAUGGAGUAUAGUUAACUCUAUGUAGUAGGAUAUUAAGUCAAUUUUAGAAUUGAAAUAUGAGGUAGCCAGUAUUUUCUUAUGAGUCUUAGUGGUCCUCACUUAAAAUCAUAUUCCAUGGUGGCAUGAUUUUUUUAAGAGAUUAUGAGUUUUAUAUUCAUAUGUAUGCAUACAGACAUUUUGGUAGACACGAAACGUUGCACAAGAGUUUAUGAAUGUUUUUGGGUUGAGUUAAUUAAUUAAUUAGAACCCAAUUAAGUUAGUUAAUUAGGACUCAUUGGGCUAAAUUAAGUGACCCAACUCAAUUCACUUAAACUUAGAAGUAAUUCUAUAUAAACCUCCUUAAGUUUUAGGGCUUAUAUUUUGAUUCAUUCUAUCUUUCAGAAUGAGAGAAUCCCAUUCUUCAUUCCCAAGUGAGAAUUCCAUCAUUUUUAAGUGACAAGGUCUAGGAAAGAGCUAUUGGGUGGAAGAUCAUGAGGUUUUCGAGAUCCAUACCAUCAUUUUCUUUGAUUGGAACUAAUCUAGGCACAUCUAUUAGUUUAUUGGCCAUUGAAUCAACAAAGGACUAUAAUGCAAAAUUGUUUCAUGCAGUACCUUAAAAUAAUUAUGAAGGGCUGUAAAAAAAUUGAACCAAUGGUUGUUACUUUCUACAAACAAUAUAAGGCGUAAAAACCUAAAGCUUAGUUGAUUUUGUGAGAGCCAACUAGUCCAAAAGAUCAGUUAUAGCGGAAUAGAACUCUUGAAUACUCAUGUUCUUAUGUUCAAGAGCUCAAAUAUCAAUCUUUAAAUAAUAUUGAUUUGCAAAUGUUGCUAGAUCUUGUUGACAAAUUCAUACUUUGCCAACUACGUACUUAUCAAAUUCUCAAUAAAUUUGUUGAUCCAAUUGAUAAUUUUUGAAUUGUUUACUGCUCAAAUGUUUAACUGUUCUAUAUAUUUUUCAUCAUCUCCAUUUCUAGGUUUGUGUAGAGUUAACCCCACAUCUUUUUUACCUUUGAAAAAUUUCCCAUUGCAUAACUCCAAUGUUAGGAUAGAGCCCUUAAAAGCAUAGUAUGAUAUAACAAAUUCAAAUUUAUUAUUCAUUUAAUAAAAUUUUAGUUUCCUAUUUCUAUCUAUCUUAUUACAUGCAUUAUAACUUAUAACCAUUUUAGCCUAACAUUUUUUGCAUUGUACAUACUUUGGGUGCAUUAGGAGUUACACAGAAGAUCCAAGUCAUGAGUUGCUUGCAAGUAGAUGAUUUGUUCACAACUAGUUCAUAGAAUUAGGUAAUUCAUUGAAAGUUGUAGUACACUACCUACUAAUGGAAUGGAUGACUAGUCUUGGUCAUUUGGGAUGAGUUUCCCAUGUUAAGUCCAUUAGUUUGUACAAUUCAACAUUAAAUAAGGCCCAUAGUGAGUUAUGAUGUAAAGUUAUUGAGUAGUCAUGACCUCACCAAGCUGCUAUACUAUAUGGUCUUUUAACCUCGAGAGAAUAUUUAGUUUGUGCCAAAGUUUAUAAUAGCUUUGACCUAUAAGUGAGAUCCUAAGAUGGUCAUAUAUUCCCUAUAAAUUAGGUCAUUAUUGAUGGAGGCUAGUGACGGCCGGUAUUCUCAAUAGAGAUACCAUGAUAUCUUAUGGAGAUUGAGACAAUAUGUCCCAUUAGGUGAGCCUAAGGAAGUCUUGAUAAGGAAAUUAAUGGUCAUAAUAGUUUUUUAAAUUAGAACUUGACAUAUGCUCUUUAUGAGAUAAGAUAUGUCACUUCAUCUCAAAAUAAGAGAAUCUGAGACUCAAGAAUCAUAAAGGUAAUCUUGAAAGGUUGAUAACAUUCAUCUUGUUAGAUUAUGGACACUAUUUCAUGGGGAACUUGCAUACAAUGGAUAGUAGGUGUUAAUGGAAACCCUAGAUUUCUUCGUUCGUAAACCCUAGAUCGUAUAGGUAUAUGCAAAUCUACCUAGGCUUCUCUAGAAACUAACAUAAGUGGAAACAUGGCUUUUAAAAACCAUUUAGAUUAAUAAAACUAGAGAAGAAUGAAUUAUACCUAGAUUUAGAUGUUCCUAGAUCAAUUCAUUGCGAUGAAGAUGUUUCAAUGUUCUAGAGGUCUUGUACACCCAAAGUCUUCUGUCUAAUUACUCAAUCCAUGACCUUGGCACUCUAAAGAGUGGACUUUGAAAAAGAGAUGCCUUGGCUCUCUCUCUUUCUCUCUAUUUCUCUCUGGAAGUGGAAGACGACAAGCAAAAGCCUUAGAAACCCUAACCCCUAAGGGGAUAUGUAUAGGGUUCCCCUACUAGGCUUAAGUGACUUGAGCCUACCAAGGAUUAGGUCACUUAAUCUAGCCCAAAAUAGAUCUUGAUUUAUUAAUCAACCACACAGGGUCAUCUAAUUAAUCAAUUAGCUCAAUGAAGAGAACUUGUUCUCUAUUCCCCUAUGCAACCUUGCGUGAUUGCUAAAACACCUUUAUACACAUCUAAUCCUUAGAAAUCGUGUCAUCAUGGUAUAUGAGCUCAAAGUGAGGACUACUGGGACAAAUAGGCAUACUAACUCUCUCAAAAUCGAAUUCCAAAGUUGAUUCACUAUCCCACUAUAGAAAAUCAAUUGCACUCCAGUACCUUAUGUAGAUAACAAUAAGAUGAAGUUUGGGUCUGUGACCUACUAUCUACUACAUGCAAUCUCUUCAUGAAUUGGUGUCCAUAAUCUAACAAGGUGGUGUUAUCACAUAAUGUAUGAUAAGAAAUAUGAAUUUGUUACAUUAGAUAAUAACAUAAUGUAUCCUGGUAGGAAAUAUGAAUUUUAAAAAUGCAUCCUCUAUAUUAAGGUAAAGUUAAUUUUUUUAAACAUAAAAUAAUAUAUUUAUAACAAAGUUAGUAAUAUGGAUGAGAUAUAAAUUAGUAUUGGUAUCAAGUAUUUCAAUAUGUAAACCUAAAACAUAUUACAUUUAUAAUAUUAUUGAAAUUUUACCCAUAAUAUAUCUUUAUUAAAAAAGUCAAUCUAAAAUUUUUCAAAUUUUUAUUACUCAACUAUAUCCAUAUAAUUUUCUAUUAGAAUCAUCUAAAAUUUCUUUAAUAUCUUUAUAUUCAUUUACUUGAAAAAUGAAAAAUAACCAAUAAAAUUGUUCAUUUUAUUAAGAUAUUUUUAUUAAAUUUUGUUAAAAAAAAAAUAAAUCAUUCAAAAUUUUAAAUAAGAUUUCAUGUGAAAUAUUUUAUUUGAAAGUUUAUUUGGUUUCAUUAACAAAUUUAUUUGAUAUUUUUUUUAUUGUAAAUAUAUUAAAUUAUUAAAAUUAUAGUAUUUGUCCUAUAAAAUUAGGGUUGCAAUUUGGACGAGCUAACCCAAACCAACAUAAAACCAACCCAAUGUUUGGGCGGGCUUGGGCACCAUUUUUUGUAACUUGGGUUGGGCUUGGAUUCAUUUUUAUCAACCCAAAUUAAAUUCGGGUUGGGCUUGGUCAGAUGACUUGGGCAACCCAAACUAACCCGAACCUGACUAUAUAUAUAACUUUAAGAAAAUAAUACAUUGGUUCUUUCCAUUCUAUUCUUUGAUAGAGAAAAAACCUUCAAGCCCUAGUCCAAGGUUCUUCCAUUAUUCGAUAUUGUUCAAAUCCUCAAGCCCUAGUUCAAGAUUCUUUCAUUUUUUGAUGUUGUUGUCUCCAUUCAAGGUCAUCUGACAGAAAGCAAAAACCAUCAGGCCUUAGGUUAAGAUUCUUCAUCAUCAUAUAAUGUUACAAUCGUCGUUCAAUACCACUGUUGUUCACAUUAUAUUACUAGGUUUUUGAUUGCCAACAAUUUAGUUAAUAAAUCAUGGAAAUAAUGGAAAAGGUUGAUUUGAAAAUAAUUCUAAGAUAUCCCUUUUUGGUUUUAAAUUUAUCUUCCUUGAGUGAUGAAUAAAGAGGACAAGGCAAGUUAUUUAAGGCAAUGGUGAAGCCCUUAUCCUUUAUAUGGAAGAAGUGUAGAAUUGUUACCUAUACAUAAAUUAUAUUAUAAUGGUCUACUGUAAUAUGCUUGGCUUAGCAUCCCUCAUCAGGGGCAUGCCAUGGGAGAAAAGUCUUCCUUUUGUAAAAGAAGGGUUGUGCAAUAAAUGAAUGUUGUGUGUUUGCUUUUUGAACUAAUUUUUAUUGGCCUAACUCAACCCAACUUAGCCAUCACAUAAUCAACUCGAGCUCAACCUAUGUUAAAUAAUUUCAAUUCGAGUUGAGUGCAUAAGAUUGGAAGUCGAGUUAGGUGAUCCUUUGGGUUGAUGUAUUUCAAGGUAAGAUUGAGCUUGGGUUGGCCAACUUGCCGAGUUGCAACCCCAUAUAAAAUUAAUUUUUCUUUAACAUUUAUAUUUUAUGAAAUAUUAAAAAUUAUAUAUUUUAUUAAUUGUUUUCCAAAAAUCGCAAUUUUGGUGAUUUAGGUCUUGUUUGGUAAUUGUUUUUGAAAACAUUUUUGAAAAAAUAGUUUUUAAGAACAGUUUUUGAAAACUGUUCUCUGAUGUUUUUUAGAACAAAAGUCUAUUUGGGAACCUAAAAUUAUUUUUAAUAUUUUUAAAUACGUUUUAAAAAUAAUUUUUAUAUCCAUAACUUUAUUUUUAUUAAUCAUUAUAUAUAUAUUUGUAUAAUUAUUCUUUAAAAUAACUCUCAAAAAAUAAGUGAAAACAACUUAAAACAAUUAAAAUAUAUUAUUUGAAAACACCCUGUUUUCUAUUUUUUAAUAAUAUAAAACAGAAAACAGUUUUUAAUUGUUAAACGUGUUUUUAAGUUUUUUUUUUCUAAAAAACAAAAAACUGUUUUUGAAAACAGUUUCCAAACAUAGCAUUAAUGCAAAGCCAGCCAAUUUUUUGUGCUGCCAACCAUACUGGAAACCCAUCUUGUUGGCCACCCAGAGGAGCUCAGUUUUUUUUAUUUUUAUUUGUUAGAGGAGUGGGGGACGAUUUCUAUGAACGAGCUACAUGGGACAUGUGGAAAAAAAAAAAAAAAGAUGGCCACCUUGCCAUGGUGGUGGUUGAAGAUGGAGACUUGCUAAGCGGUGAACAGUGGAACGAGUAGAAGCUUAUAAGAGAAAAAAAAAAACAGAGCAAAGGGACUGGGAGGGUUGAGUUGUGGGUGAGCUGAUUCAAGAGGAAGGAAAAAAAAUGAAGCUGAAACAAAGGGAGGUUUUUAAGAGAAAGUGAAAACAACGAGUUAAUUUGGAAACAACUAGGAUGAGAGUUGUAGGUCGGCUGAUUAGAGGAGGUUUUCAGCAAGAGCUAAAGAAGAGGACCUUUAAACUCUACCGGAAAAGUUCUCUCGUCUCACCGGUGACUACGGAUCUGGAAAACUAAAAUGCGCAGGUGGUGGCGUUGCUCCCCCUACUAUACUUACGGAUUUUAAGCUCAAUGGCUACGGAAACCUCGAUUUCUACAACGUGUGCUUGGUUGACGGGUAAAACCUUCCUUUGAUGGUGGUGCCACAGGAUGGCACCGGGGGGAACUGUACCAAAAUCGGGUGCUGCUCUAGACUUGGGAAAUGAACAGGUUUGUUCGUUUGUCUCGUUACAACUUCUUUCUGAAUCUUUCUUUGAUUAAGACAAGUAUGUUUUUCCAAGUUUUGGUUUUUGCUCUCAAAAAGGGUCUUUUUGAUGAUUCUACUGUUUUUUUUAGGAGUUGAAAUGGGUUUUUGAUGAAUUCAAGUGGGCGUCUUUUGUUUGUUAAUGGAACGGUUUUGUUUUUGGUGGUCAAAACAUUUUUUUUUUAUAAUGAUUUUGUAGUCAUUUUAAGGAGCUGUGAAAUGGGUGUUUGAUGAAUUCAACUGGGUUUCUUUUACUUGAUGAAAUGCCACCAUCCGUGGGGUUUGGUUAUGUAAACAUGAAUUUUUUUUUUUUUUUUAUGAUUUUGAAAGUGAUUUUAAGGAGCUGUGAAACGGGUAUUUGAUGUGUUGAACUGGGUCUAUCCUAUUUGCUAAUGGAAUAGGUUUUAGUUUCUGAACUUGGAACAUGAAUUUUUUUAUUUUUUAUAUGAUUCCGUGUAUAUUUUGAUGAGCUUGACAUUUUGUAUGAUGAAUUGAACUCAGUUUUGACUAAAUGGGAUAGGUCUUGGAUUAUGGUUCAUGGUUUAUUUUGAUGAUUUAUUGAACCGGAUUUCCUCUGUUUUGGGACCCACUCCACUCCUGCAUGGCCAUUUUUGACAUGCAAUUCCAUCGAACACGUGUCAUCCUCUUUGAUUUUUCAUCCUCAUAUGUUAAAAUAUGAUUUUCAAAACUCCAAUUUUCACGUUUAAUUUUUAAAACUUUAAUUUUUAAAAUUCCAUUUUUUUUUAAUUUAAUCUUCAAAACUCUAAUUUUCAAAUAAUCUUCAAAGUUCCAAUCAUCGAAAUUUAAUUUUUAGAACUUCAAUUUUCAAAUAAUUCUCCAAAAUUCCAAUUUUCAAAAUUUCCAUUUUCAAAAAUAAUUUUCCAAAAUUCUAAUUUUCAAAAAUUCUAAUUUUUCAAAAUUUCAAUUUUCAAAAAUUCUAAUUUUUCAAAAUUUCAAUUUUCAAAACUUACAUUUUCAAAAAUAAUUUUCCAAAAUUCCAAUUUUCAAAACUUCCAUUUUCAAAUAAUUUUCCAAAAUUCAAGUUUUCAAAUUUAAUUAUUAAGAAAUCCCAUUCUCAAAUAAUUCUCCAAAAUUCCAAUUUUCAAAAUUUCCAUUUUCAAAUAAUUUUCUAAAAUUCCAUUCUAAAACAAUUCUCCAAAUUUCCAAUUUUCAAAACUUGAAUCAUUUUCUAAAAUUCCCAUUUUCAAAUUUAAUUCCCAUAAUUUCCAUUCUCAAAUAAUUUUUCAAAAUUCCAAUUCUCAAAUUUAAUUUUUGAAACUCCCAUUUUUCGAAUAAUUUUUCAAAUUUUCAUUUUUUUUAAAUUUAAUUUUUAAAAUUUCAAUUUUCAAAACCCUAGUUUUCUUUCAAAUAGUUUUAAUCCCACUUCAGUUUUCAAAUAUUUUUAAUUUUACAACUUUUCAUCAUUCAUUAGGGUUUUAAGUCACUAAAAAUCAUAUUUUUAAAUAAACUUGCUACUUUUCCUUUCAGGUAAGCACUUUCACAAAUUUUCUUUGUUUUUAAAAUAAUAUUUUGUUUCUCUUAAUUUUAAAUAAACAUGAAGGCAAUUUUCAUAAUUUCAAAAUAAUGGAAUUUAUGGAAUUAAUUCAUGCAAAAUAAUUGGGCUUUGGUGGGAGCCUAACAUUCAUGACAUUUCUUUCAAAAAUAAUUCAAGUGAAUUGCAUUAUCGAUAUUGUUUGAUUUUGAUUGGUUUUGUGUGAGAUAUUUUACACUUAAUAUUGUGCACUAAUUCUGUUUCAUGAUAGCGCUUUAUUACCUCUAGUCAAGGUACGCUCUCACUCUCAUUUUGUUUAUUUAUUCGUUAUCAUAACUUGCUUUUGAUCUAUUAUCUUUUUGGUAUUCAUUGAUUUUUCUAGUUAAUUGUCAUGUUUGCUUCACCUUAUUUAGUAGAGACCCAUUUUUCAGGGGCUUAGAGGGGUGCUACGGUCUUUACCGUACUUUUCCAAUAAGUAACCUAACCCUCGAAUCCGACUUUGGUCUUCCACAAACUAUCUUUUCCAAAUAAGGAGUCACACUUAGAGUUUUCUUUCUUAUUUUGUUUUCCCUUAAAAAUAAAAUAAAAAUAAGUGGUGACUCCAAGUAUUUUCUAAAAAUCAUUUUUUUUUUCAAAUAAAAAAAGCGAGUUUUGCCAUCAAGUGGAAACACAUCUUGCGAAAAUGUGGGGUCCACAUAUCCCCUUCCAUUCCUUCAUACCCAAUGAAAUCUAAAUAAAUCGCCAGCCUAUUUUUUCAUUCUUGCUUCCAACCUCUUUUUUAAUAUUUAAAAUUGAUAAUAUAAAAUCUCUGCACAUGAUAUUGCCCACUUUGUCAUGGAAUUGAGAACAAUGAUAAAUCACAAUUUUCACACAAAUGAAAGUCUGUAUACUUUUUUUUUUUUUUUUUUGUAAGGAAUAAUAUUGUGUAAGGAACCAUUAAUGUAAACAUAUUGAAGGAAAAACAUAAAAAAUAAAACAAAUAUCACAAAAGAUAUAUAGGUUUAUCUCCACUUUGAACCAUGAAUUCUUUUGAUCUACUAGAUGUUUUUCACUUUAGGUGUUUCUUACUCCUCUCAUAAUUUUUUCCUUUCAUAAUUUAGAAUAUUUAUAGAAAUAUUUCCACUGACUUUCCUUAUUCUAUAACGAAUUUAAUUACAAUCACCUAAAAUUAGAAAAUAUUCAUAACUUUAUGAUAUUCUAAAUAGGAAUUUAAGACACCUUCCUAACACAUAAUCAUUUAAAUUUAUUUUUUUCACACAUUAUACAUUUUAAUUUUUCAAUAACAAUUUCCACACAAAUAAUUAUUUUUAGAUUUUUCUUUUUAAAUUUUAACAACAUUAAUAAUUUAAUAUUUCAUCCAAAUAAAAAAUAGUGAAAUUAAGAAAAAUUAAAAGAAAGAUAAAUAAAUAAACUAGUCACAUAAUAUAUAAUAGUUUUUCAUAAAAAUUGUGAAUUAAUAAUCCAACCAGAGCUCUGGGCCCACAUGUUAUAUAUACUGAGAAUCCACAUGUUAUAAUGAGAAAAAAAAAUGGAUUUAAAAUUUAAAAUUAUUUGAACAUGUUUCUUCUAACUCGUUGUAUAUAUUUUCCUUAUUUAUAUAAAGAUUAAUUAUUUUAAUUAAUUUUGAUAAUAUUUGAUUUUGUUUUUCAAUGAUAAACGAAAUAUGAUCAAAUGAAUAAACCACUGAAGUAUACUAUGCAUUUUAUAUAAAGUUUUUUUAUAUUAGUACCCAUGUGAACUGAUCAUAAGAAACUGGGUACCAUCAAAACUGUACAUCUGGAUACUGAGGAUCAGCAGAACAGAUGUAAUAAAUGUUCAUAUUUUCUAUAAUGUCACAUGGGACUUAGGAUGGUUCUUGGUAGAUAAGUUAAUUGACUUGGAAUCUUAACCUAAUCUAUAAUUUAAAAAAUGGAUAAAUUAAUUAAUUUAAGAAUAGUAACGGUCCAUAUUUUGUCAGGCCACAUGGGAGUUAGAAUAGUUUAAAGUGAACAUGUGACCUGAUGUAUAAUAUAAAGUGGAAAACUUGUCCAUCGAAUCCAUAAAUUAUAUUAUAAUGGUCUACUGUAAUAUGCUUGACUUGGCAUCCCUUAUAGGGCUAUGCCAUGGGAGAAAAGUCUUCCCUUUGUAAAAGAAGGGUUGUGCAACAAAUGAAUGUUGUGUCUUUGCUUUUUGAACUGAUUUUUAUUGGCCCAACCCGACCUAACUCAGCCAUCAUAUAAUCAAUUUGAGCUCAACCUAAGUUAAAUAAUUUCAAUUCGAGUUGAGUACAUCAGAUUGGAAGUCAGGUUGGGUCAUCCUUUAGGUUGAUGUAUUUCAAGGUCGCACUGAGCUUGGGUUGGCCAACUUGCCGAGUUGCAACCCUAUAUAAAUUGUUUUACAAAAAUCGCAAUUUUGACGAUUUAUACUUUAUUUGAUAACUGUUUUUAAAAACAUUUUUAAAAAAAUAGUUUUUAAGAACAGUUUUAAAAAAUUGUUCUAUGAUAUUUUUUAAAACAAAAGUUUAUUUGGAAACUUAAAAUUGUUUUUAAUCUAUUUUUAAUAUUUUUCAAUGUGUUUUAAAAAUUUUUUUUAUAUCCAUAGCUUUAUUUUUAAUCAUUAGAUAUAUAUAUAUGUAUAUAUAUAUAUAUAUAUAUAUAUAUAUAAUUUUUAAAAAUAACUCUAAAAAAAAAAUUGAAAAUAAUUAAAAGAUAUUAUCUAAAAACACCAUAUUUUUUAUUUUUUAUUAUCUAUUUUCUAAUAAUAGAAAAUAGAAAAUGGUUUUUUAUUAUUAAAUGAAUUUUAAAAUUCUUUUAUUCUAAAAACCAAAAAUUGUUCUUGAAAACAAUUGCAGGGCAUUAAUGCAAAGUCCAAGGCAUUAAUGCAAAGUCGCCCAACCAUCCCCUUCCAUUCCUUCAUACCUAAUGAAAUCCAAAUAAAUCACCCUUUUUUCAUUCAUGCUUCCAACGUCUUUUCUAAUAUUUAAAAUUGAUAAAUAUAAAAUCUCUCCAUAUGAUAUUGCCCACUUUGUCAUAGAAUUGAGAAUAAUGAUAAAUCACAAUUUUCACACAAAUGAAAGUUGUAUACUUUUUUUUUAUAAGGAAUAAUAUUGUGUAAGGAAGUAUUAAUAUAAACAUAUUAAAGGAAAAACACGAAAAAUAAAACAAAUCAUAUAAAAGAUAUAUAAGGUUUAUCUUCACUUUGAAUCAUGAAUCCUUUCGAUCUAUUAGAUGUUUUCACUUUGGGUGUUUUUUUCUCCUCUCAUAAUUUUUUUUCUUUAUAAUUUAGAAUAUUUAUAAAGAUAUUUAUACUAAUUUUCCUUAUUUUAUAAGAAAUUUAAUUACAAUCACAUCUAAAGUUAGAAAAUAUUCAUAACUUUAUGAUAUUCUAAAUAGGAAUUUAAGACACCUUCCUAACAAAUAAUUAUUUAAAUUUAUUUUUUUCACACAUUAUACAUUUCAAAUUUUCAAUAAAAAUUUCCACAUAAAUAAUUAUUUUUAGAUUUCUCUUUUUAAAUUUUAACAACAUUAAUAAUUGAAUAUUUCAUCCAAAUAAAAAAUAGUGAAAUUAAGAAAAAUUAAAAUAAAGAUAAAUAAAUAAAUUAGUCUCAUAAAUAUAUAAUAAUUUUUCAUAAAAAAUUAUGAAUUAAUAAUCCAACCAAAGCUCUGGGCCCAUAUGUUAUAUAUAUUGAGAAUCCAUAUGUUAUAAUGAGAAAUAAAAAAUAAAAAAAUGGAUUUAAAAUUUAAAAUUAUUUCAACAUGUUUCUUCAAACUCAUUGUAUAUAUUUUCCUUAUUUAUAUAAAGAUUAAAUAAUUCAAAAAUAUACAAGUAUUUUAAUUAGUUUUGAUAAUAUUUGAUUUUGUUUUACAAUAAUAAACGAAAUAUGCUCAAAUGAAUGAACCAUUGAAGCAUACUAUGCAUUUUAUAUAAAGUUUUUUUAUAUUAGUACCCAUGUGAACUGAUUAUAAGAAACUGGGGACUAUCAAAACUGUACAUCUGGAUACUGAGGAUCAGCAGAACAGAUAUAAUAAAAAAUGUUCAUAUUUUCUAUAGUGUCACAUGGGACUUAGAAUGGUUCUUGGUACAUACGUUAAUUGAUUUGGAAUCUUAAUUAACCUAAUCUAUAAUUAAAAAAUGGAUAAAUUAAUUAAUUUAAGAAUAGUAACGGUCCAUUUUUUGUCGGGCCACAUGUAGCCCUUACCUGAUAUAUAAUAUAAAGUGGACAAGUUGGAGCAUGCUUCCCAGAGUGAUUUAAAAAUUGUUGAAAAUUAAUGUAGAUGGCACCACAUUUUAUAUUAUUGAAUACAUCCACAACCUUUAAUUACAACUGGCAUGGCCUGGCAUGACUUGUCCACGGAAUCCAUAUUAUUAAUCAAUACCCAUGUGACCUGGCCUAUCCCAUCCACCAUAAAGAUAUCUCUUACUUUGUUCUCUAUUCUCUCACAAUUCCCUCAGCUUCUCAUCCUGUACGUGCUGUAUUUUCUUGGCUUUCUGCUACUUUGAGUUGUUCCGAAAUGGCUGAUCAAAUUCCAUUCGGUGUUGUGGAGCACAUUUUGACCAAGUUGGGGUCCAAGGCGUUUCAAGAAAUUGGAUCCAUGUAUGGUGUUCCAAAGGAGAUGACCAAGCUCAAUGGGAAACUGGGCACCAUCAAGGCUGUGCUUUUGGAUGCUGAGGAGAAGCAGCAACAGCAGAGCAAUCGUGCAGUCAAAGAUUGGGUCCGGAGGUUCAGAGGUGUUGUUUAUGACGCAGAUGACUUGGUGGAUGACUAUGCAACCCAUUAUCUUCAGCGAGGAGGAUUGGGAAGGCAGGUCAGUGACUUCUUCUCAUCUGAAAAUCAAGUUGCUUUUCGUUUAAACAUGAGUCAUAGACUCGAAGAUAUCAAAGAAAGGAUAGAUGAUAUUGCAAAAGAAAUCCCCAUGUUAAAUCUGACUCCACGGGACAUAGUACUACACACACGGGUGGAGAAUAGUGGGAGAGACACCCAUUCAUUCGUGUUAAAAUCUGAAAUGGUAGGAAGAGAAGAAAACAAAGAGGAGAUAAUAGGGAAGUUAUUGUCGUCCAAGGGUGAAGAAAAGCUUUCGGUUGUUGCCAUUGUAGGCAUUGGGGGGUUGGGUAAGACCACCCUUGCUCAAUUGGUAUACAAUGAUGAAAGAGUGGUCAAUCAUUUUGAGUUUAAGAUAUGGGCUUGCAUUUCUGAUGAUUCUGGUGAUGGUUUUGAUGUUAAUAUGUGGAUCAAAAAAAUUUUAAAAUCUCUGAAUGAUGGGGGUGCUGAAAGUCUGGAGACUAUGAAAACUAAGCUUCAUGAAAAAAUAAGUCAAAAGAGGUACUUGCUAGUCCUCGAUGAUGUUUGGAAUCAAAAUCCUCAACAAUGGGAUCACGUGAGAACUUUAUUAAUGGUUGGUGCUAUAGGUAGUAAAAUUGUAGUAACCACCAGAAAACCUAGAGUUGCAUCACUCAUGGGAGAUUAUUUUCCAAUUAAUUUGAAAGGUCUUGAUGAAAACGAUUCUUGGAGGUUGUUUUCAAAAAUCACAUUUAAAGAUGGAGAGAAGGAUGUGCAUACAAACAUCACCCAAAUUGGAAAAGAAAUUGCAAAAAUGUGUAAGGGAGUUCCUCUCAUUAUUAAGUCUUUAGCAAUGAUAUUGCGGUCUAAAAGAGAACCGGGGCAGUGGUUGUCUAUUAGAAACAAUAAAAAUUUGCUGUCACUCGGAGAUGAAAAUGAGAAUGUUGUAGGGGUGCUGAAAUUAAGUUAUGAUAAUUUGCCAACUCAUUUGAGACAAUGUUUUACAUAUUGUGCUUUAUUUCCAAAAGACUAUGAGAUUGAGAAAAAGUUGGUGGUACAACUAUGGAUAGCACAAGGUUAUAUUCAAUCUUCAAAUGAUAAUAAUGAGCAAUUAGAGGAUAUAGGGGAUCAAUAUUUUGAGGAAUUAUUGUCAAGGUCAUUGUUGGAAGAGGUUGAAGAUGAUUUUGCUAAUACAGUAAUGUAUAAAAUGCAUGACCUUAUACAUGAUCUUGCACAAUCAAUUGUAGGAUCUGAGAUCCUUGUUUUAAGAAGUGAUGUAAAUAAUAUUCCAAAAGAAGCUCAUCAUGUAUCAUUGUUUGAAGAGAUAAAUCUUAUGAUCAAGGCUCUAAAGGGAAAACCCAUAAGAACCUUUCUUUGUAAAUAUUCUUAUGAAGAUAGUACAAUUGUAAAUUCAUUUUUUUCGAGUUUUAUGUGUCUACGUGCGUUGAGUUUAGAUGAUAUGGAUAUAGAGAAGGUGCCAAAGUGUUUAAGUAAAUUGAGUCAUUUAAGGUAUCUUGAUCUUUCCUACAACAAUUUCGAGGUACUUCCAAAUGCUAUUACAAGGUUAAAGAAUUUGCAAACACUAAAACUCACAAGCUGUCGAAGAUUAAAAAGAAUUCCAGACAAUACAGGAGAAUUGAUCAAUCUUAGACACUUGGAGAAUGAUAGCUGUUAUAACUUGGCUCAUAUGCCACAUGGAAUCGGCAAGUUGACUUUACUUCAAAGUCUACCAUUGUUUGUGGUUGGGAAUGACAUAGGGUUAAGGAAUCACAAAAUUGGUAGCUUGAGUGAAUUGAAAGGCCUUAACCAACUAAGAGGAGGGUUAUGCAUAAGUAAUCUUCAAAACGUGAGGGAUGUUGAACUGGUAUCCAGGGGGGGAAUUUUGAAAGAAAAACAAUAUCUUCAGUCCUUGAGAUUGGAAUGGAAUCGGUGGGGCCAAGAUGGGGGGGAUGAGGGUGAUCAGUCAGUGAUGGAAGGCCUUCAACCACACCAACAUCUAAAGGAUAUCUUUAUAGACGGGUAUGGAGGUACGGAGUUUCCAAGUUGGAUGAUGAAUAGCCUGCUUCCUAACCUAAUUAAAAUUGAAAUUUGGGGAUGUUCAAGAUGCAAAAUUCUGCCACCCUUUUCUCAACUCCCUUCUCUCAAGUCUUUGGGGCUUCAUGAUAUGAAAGAAGUGGUGGAGUUAAAGGAGGGUUCAUUAACAACGCCACUCUUCCCAUCUCUUGAAUCGCUCGAACUCUCUUUCAUGCCAAAGUUGAAGGAAUUGUGGAGGAUGGACUUACUAGCAGAGGAAGGUCCUUCCUUUUCUCAUCUUUCUCAAUUAAAGAUCAGUUAUUGCCAUAACUUGGCAUCCUUGGAACUGCAUUCUUCUCCUUCUCUUUCUCAAUUAGAGAUCCAUUAUUGCCCAAACUUGACAUCCUUGGAACUGCCGUCAUCUCUUUGUCUUUCUAAUUUAUAUAUCGGAUAUUGCCCUAACUUGGCAUCCUUGGAACUGCAUUCUUCUCCUUGUCUUUCUCGAUUAGAAAUCAGGGAAUGCCCUAACUUGGCAUCCUUCAAAGUGGCUCCAUUACCUUAUCUUGAGACACUAUCUCUGUUCACAGUUAGAUAUGGUGUGAUAUGGCAGAUAAUGUCUGUCUCUGCUUCAUUGAAGUUUCUGUAUAUUGAAAGCAUAGAUGAUAUGAUAUCUCUCCCGAAGGAGCUACUUCAACAUGUUUCUGGCUUGGUAACGUUACAGAUCCGUGAGUGUCCUAACUUGCAAUCCUUGGAACUGCCCUCAUCUCCUUCUCUUUCUGAAUUAAGGAUCAUAAAUUGCCCUAACUUGGCAUCCUUCAAUGUGGCAUCAUUACCUCGUCUUGAGAAACUAAGCCUGCGUGGAGUCAGAGCAGAGGUACUGAGGCAGUUAAUAUUUGUCUCUGCUUCUUCUUCAUUGAAGUCUCUGCGUAUACGGGAGAUUGAUGGUAUGAUAUCUCUCCCAGAGGAGCCGCUUCAAUAUGUUUCCACUCUCGAAACUCUCUACAUUGUUAAGUGCUCUGGUUUGGCAACAUUACUACACUGGAUGGGCAGCCUUUCCUCGCUUACGGAACUUAUUAUUUAUGACUGCUCUGAAUUGACAUCACUGCCAGAAGAGAUCUGUUCCCUUAAAAAACUGCAGAAAUUUUAUUUCUGUGAUUAUCCACACCUAGAGAAAAGAUACAACAAGGAAACAGGUAAAGACCGGGCCAAGAUUGAUCAUAUCCCACGUAUUAAUUUCCAAAGUGAUCGAGUUAUGGAAUAUAAGGUCCGAAAUCCCUAACCUUUCUUCCCAUUUUUAUUAUUUAAGAAUCAAAAUGCUAUGUUUUCAUUUUAUUAUUAUGUUUUCACUGUAUCCUUGGCACCUCAUAUGUUUGUUUUUACUGCUCACAUUAAUAAUUUUGAAAUUUUUUUCCAGCUUGGAUGUGCUUUCCGAUGAUGUGCACUAAACUAACCAUUUUACUUGGAGUUGUACAUUCUAAGAGUUUGAGGAAAUACUGAGGUCUGAUAUGAUAACUCUAAAUCUUAAACGUUGUUUUGUGUUUGGAACGUUACUACACUUGAUACAUACCCUCACCUCACUUACAGAGCUUGGAAAUCGUGGCUGCCUUGAAUCGACGUCACUGUCAGAAUAUAUGUUCCCUCAAAAACCUGCAGACACUAAAUAAUCUGCAUCUGUUCACAGAAAGAUGCUGAAAGGAAAGGUGAAGACCAACCCAAGAUUGCUCAUAUGCCACAAAUUGAUAUCAUACAUCCAUGAAGAUUGAACUGAUACACAAUGCCUUUCAGGUCCGAAAUCCCUAACUUUUCUUCUCAUUUUCUAUGACUUCAUUUUCAUUAUCUUACUUUUAAAAUGCUCUGUUUUCAUUUGUUUUGGUAGUUCUUUGUAUUUGUGCCUUGUUUGAUUAAAUGCUUACUUCAAUUAAGUUUGAAAAUUUUUACAUCUUCAAAUUAUUUUAUUGUAAGUGUUUUGCAUUCUAAGAAUUUGAGGAAAUACUGAGCUCUAAUAUAACUAGUAGAGUCCACCAUUCCUAAGAAGCUUACCAUUGCCUAAUGCCCAAAGGAUCCCGAAAGGAGACAACUUUGGAUUGGCUUGAAGAUUUCACAUGGUCCAAAAAUUUGUAUUUACUAGACGCCUGAUACAAAAAGUAGUUUAAAUUUAGCCAUUAAUAAUAUAACUUUUUUAUUAGAGAAAUAAUUGCCAAACAAAUGCAAAAUAGAAAAUGGUGUUAAUGAAUUCAGUACUUCAUCUAUGUUGCAGUUUAGUAGCUUUUGUUAGAUAACGAGUAUGGGGUUGGGUUUAUCUGGUUACCAUUCCAAAUAUUCUUAAAAAAAUCAUCAAGGCUUUGUUUGGUUUCUUGAAAAUUUGAGGGAAAAAAUAGAGAGAAAAAGUGGAAGGAAAAAAAAAAGUGGAAGUCAAUAACUUGGCAUCCUUGGAACUGCAUUCUUCUCCUUGUCUUUCUCGAUUAGAAAUCAGGGAAUGCCCUAACUUGGCAUCCUUCAAAGUGGCUCCAUUACCUUAUCUUGAGACACUAUCUCUGUUCACAGUUAGAUAUGGUGUGAUAUGGCAGAUAAUGUCUGUCUCUGCUUCGUUGAAGUCUCUGUAUAUUGGAAGCAUAGAUGAUAUGAUAUCUCUCCAGAAGGAUCUACUUCAACAUGUUUCUGGCUUGGUAACGUUACAGAUCCGUGAGUGUCCUAACUUGCAAUCCUUGGAACUGCCCUCAUCUCCUUCUCUUUCUGAAUUAAGGAUCAUAAAUUGCCCUAACUUGGCAUCCUUCAAUGUGGCAUCAUUACCUCGUCUUGAGAAACUAAGCCUGCGUGGAGUCAGAGCAGAGGUACUGAGGCAGUUCAUGUUUGUCUCUGCUUCUUCUUCAUUGAAGUCUCUGCGUAUACGGGAGAUUGAUGGUAUGAUAUCUCUCCCAGAGGAGCCGCUUCAAUAUGUUUCCACUCUCGAAACUCUCUACAUUGUUAAGUGCUCUGGUUUGGCAACAUUACUACACUGGAUGGGCAGCCUUUCCUCGCUUACGGAACUUAUUAUUUAUGACUGCUCUGAAUUGACAUCACUGCCAGAAGAGAUCUAUUCCCUUAAAAAACUGCAGAAAUUUUAUUUCUGUGAUUAUCCAGACCUAGAGGAAAGAUACAACAAGGAAACAGGUAAAGACCGGGCCAAGAUUGCUCAUAUCCCACAUGUUCGUUUCAACAGUGAUUUGGAUAUGUAUGGGAAGGUAGGUCCGAAAUCCCUAACCUUUCUUCCCAUUUUUAUUAUUUAAGAAUCAAAAUGCUAUGUUUUCAUUUUGUCUCUGGUAAUUCUUUUAUGUUGGCACCUCAUAUGUUUGUUUAAAUGCUCACAUCAAUAACUUUUUGAAAAAUUUUCCAGAUUUGCUGAUGCUGUGUACUAAACUAAUCAUUUUACUUGCAGUUGUACAUUCUAAGAGUUUGAGGAAAUACUGAGGUCUGGUAUGAUAACUCUCAAUCCUUGGAACUGCAUUCAUCUCCUUCUCUUUCUCGAUUAACGAUCCAUGAUUGCCCAAACUUGGCAUCAUUACCUCGUCUUGAGGAACUAAGCCUGCGUGGAGUCAGAGCAGAGGUACCGAGGCAGUUCAUGUUUGUCUCUGCUUCUUCUUCAUUGAAGUCUUUGCAUAUACGGAAGAUUGAUGGUAUGAUAUCUCUCCCAGAGGAGCCGCUUCAAUAUGUUUCCACUCUCGAAACUCUACAUUGUUAAGUGCUCUGGCUUGGCAACAUUACUACACUGGAUGGGCAGCCCUUCCUCGCUUACGGAACUUAUUAUUUAUGACUGCUCUGAAUUGACAUCACUGCCAGAAGAGAUCUAUUCCCUUAAAAAACUGCAGAAAUUUUAUUUCUGUGAUUAUCCAGACCUGGAGGAAAGAUACAAGAAGGAAACAGGUAAAGACCGGGCCAAGAUUGCUCAUAUCCCACGUGUUCGUUUCAAGUGUGAUUUCAAAUUGAAAUGGAAGGUAGGUCCGAAAUCCCCAACCUUUCUUCCCAUUUUUAUUAUUUAAGAAUCAAAAUGCUAUGUUUUCAUUUUAUUAUUAUGUUUUCAUUGUAUCCCUGGCACCUCAUAUGUUUGUUUUUACUGCUCACAUUAAUAAUUUUGAAAUUUUUUUCCAGCUUGGAUGCGCUUUCCGAUGAUGUGCACUAAACUAACCAUUUUACUUGGAGUUGUACAUUCUUAGAGUUUGAGGAAAUACUGAGGUCUGAUAUGAUAACUCUCAAUCUUAAAUGUUGUUUUGUGUUUGGAACGUUACUACACUUGAUACAUACCCUCACCUCACCUCACUUACAGACCCAAGAAUACAUAGGGCCACACUUGGUGAAGGUUUCAUCAGUAAGGAGAACCAUUUCAAGUAUGAAAUCCUCCCUUCUCAUUUUCUGAUGACUUCAUUUUUAUUCAAUAUCCAUUUGAAAUUAUUUAAGUUCAUUUUCUUUAGAUAUUAUAUUUUCUUGCUUGCUCAAUAAUUUCAUUUAAGUAAGUUUUUUGGAUAUCACAUUUUCUUUGGGGUUUUUUUUCUUUUUAGAAUAAUUUCAAAAUGUCAUUUUUAACUAUUCACAAAAUUUGAUCAUAGUUGAGUGAUUAAAAUUCAAGUUUAUUCUUAUUAUCAUUAGUAGUUAUUUGAUAUGUUCGUUUGCUAAUACAAAAAUAAGACUAACAAGUAAUGUGCAUAGAGUUUGUAGAAGAGAAGAAAGAUUUGAUCCAAGAUAUUCCUAAAGAUCGGAAAAUUUCAAAGCCACCCAAGAUCGCACAGGUUGAAUUCGGAUUCAUCCAGUUUACAAUCCAUUAAUUCUACUUAUAUCAUCUUUGUUAUGUUACAAUUUGCCUUUACUUGUUAUGCAGCCUACCUUAAUAAUUUGGGGAGACCAAGAUAAGGUAUUCCUAGUAGAACUGGCUCACAAAUUGAAAAGGUAAACUUGUAUCACCUGCCUACAUGCCUACAACAAUACAAACACUAGCUCAUGUCUUUCUCACUAUUGAAAUUGUUAUUGCGUGCAGGCAUUUCAGGCGAGGAGACCCAACUUGUGAUCAUAGAGCAUACUUUUAUCAUAGAGAAGCCCAAGGAAAUAUUUAAGCACUUGAAAUCAUUUCUCAUUGAUUUGCUUCCACCUCCCAAGCAACACCUAGAACCACUCCCACCAUGACGAAGUUAAAAGGUACUAAUGCAACAUUCUCAAUAUAUUAGAAUAUAUCGAAGGAAGGGUGGCCACAUAUGAAGACCCUAUUCCAAGGUCAAAUUUUAGAUUUUUGUGUUUUUCCUAUCACUAUUCCUAUACUAUUACUAGUGCACCUUAUUUGUCAAGAUGAUUAAAAGGGAAUUCCCUAGGAUAAUUAGUGUCUCAAGUGAUCUUGAGGUUCAUAAAUUUUUGGUUUCCACAAGAUAGGUGCCAACUAUUUUUUUUUUUUUUUUUUUUACACCCAUGCAAUAUUCCAGUCAUCUAUUAACAAGGGCUAAAAUUUCUUGUAGAGAAUAGAAUAAAGAACUAAAUUACAUGAAAAUAGGACAUUAUUAUUCUAUUUACAAGUAAGGGCCAAAAAUUGUUGAGGGCCAUCAAGCACAUUGUUCCUAAAAUAAUAACAUCCAUGUUGUUGAGCAAAAGUUUUUUAUAUUGGCACCUCAGAUGUUUGUUUAAAUGCUCACAUCAAUAACUUUGAAAAUAUUUUCUAGAUUUUUGAAAAAUUGUAAUGUUGUGCACUAAACUAAUCAUUUUACUUGGAGUUCUACAUUCUAAGAGUUUGAGAAAAAACUGUCUGAUAUGACAACUCUCAAUCUUAAAUGUUGUUUUGUGUUUGGAAUAUUACUGCACUUGAUAGAUACCCUCACCUCUCUUACAGAACUUGGAAUUCAUGGCUACCCUGAAUUGACAUCCCUGGCAGAAGAUAUGUUCCCUCAAAAGCCUGUAGACACUAAAACAAUUUGCAUAUGUUCACACUUAGAGGAAAGAUGCUGAAAGGAAAAGUGAAGACUAAGCGAAGAUUGCUUAUAUCCCACAAAUUGAUAUCAUACAUCCAUGAAGAUUGAACUGAUACAAAAUGCCUUUCAGGUUCGAAAUCCCUAACUUUUCUUCUUAUUUUCUAUGACUUCAUUUUUAUUAUCUUACAUUCAAAAAUCCUAUGUUUUCAUUUGUUUUGGUAGUUCUUUUUAUUUGCACCUUAUUUGUUUUAUUAAAUGCUUACUCCAGUAAGUUUAAAAAUUUUUACAUCUUCAAAUCAUUUUGCUUGAGUGUUUUGCAUUCUAAGAGUUUGAGGAAAUAUUGAACUCUAAUAUAAAUAGUAUUGGUCAUAGAGUCUUCCUUUCUUAAGAAGCUUACCAUUAACCUAAUGGCCAAAGGAUCCCAAAAGGAAACAACUUUGGGUUGGCUUGAAGAUUUCACAUGGUCCAAACAUUCAUAUUUACUAGAUGCCUGAUAUAAAAUAAAUUUUGCUCUCUUUUCAAUUUAGCCAUUGAUGUAGUCUAAAUGUUUUAUUAGAGCAAUAAUUGUCCAGUAAAUGCAAAAUAGAGGAUGGUGUUAAUGAAUUCAGUACUUCAUCUAUGUUGUAGACUUGUAGUUUAGCAGCUUCUGUUGAUAAUGAGUGUGAGGUUGGCUUUAUCAUGUCACUGUUCCAAAUAUUCUUAAAAAAAAUCAUUUAAGCUCUAUUAGGUUCUUAGAAAAUUUAAGGGAAAAUGUGAGGAAAACAAAAUAGAGAAGAAAAGUGGAAGGAAAAAAAAGUGAAAGUCAAUGAAUUAUUUUUGUAUGCUACUUCAAACUCACUUCACUUUUUUUAACUCUUCAAUAUAAAGAUUCAAUCAUUUGAAAAAUGUGUAAAUUUCUAAUUAAUUUUAAUUAUAUUUGAUUUUCUUUGGAAUUCUCAUUUCUUCUCAUUUUCUUAUGACUUCAUUUUUAUUCAAUAUCUAUAUGAAAUUAUUUAUGUUCAUUUUCUUUAGAUAUUACAUUUUUUUGCUUUCUCAAUAAUUUCAUUCAAGUUCUUUUGGAUAUCACAUUUUCUUUGGUGUUUUUUUUAGAAUAAUUCAAAAUGUCUUUUUUAACGGUUCACAAAAUUUGAUCAUAGUUGAGUGAUUAAAAUUCAAGUUUAUUAUUAUUAUUAUUAUUAUUAUUAUUAUUAUUAUUAUUAUUAUUAUUGGCUAUUUGAUAUAUUUGUUUUCUUAUACAGAUAAAAGACUGGCAGCUAAUGUGCAUAGAAUUUGUAGAAGAGAAUAAAGAUUUGAUCUAAGUUAUUUCUAAUAGGUUGAGGAAUUCAUUCUUGUAAAAUUUGAGUGUUAAAGCCUUCAAGAGGUUUGAAUCUUGAAGAAAUUAUGUAAGAGCCCAUUGGAGCCAGAAUCCAAGUGUAAAGGAGAUUGGAAGCUUGGUUGAAGCUUCAAGUUAGUGAAACCCUCACUCGGUUAGGAGAUUGAGGAGAGUGGACGUAGGCAAGGAAAUGUCGAACCACUAUAAAAUCCAAGUUUAAAUUCUCUAACUCUAUCUCUUUAUUUUUUUUUAUUAUAUUGUACUUGAAUUUGUUGUGUUGAAAAAGUUUUUGAAAAACCCAAUUCACCCUCCUCUUAGGUGUUUUUCUCAUUUAAGCAUAGCCUUUAUUUUCUCACACUUGAAAUCCUUUCUCAUUAAUUUGCUUCCACCUCAUAAGCAACCCUCGAAACCACUUACACCAUGACAAGGUGAAAAGAAACUAAUGCUGCAUUCUCAAUAUAUAAGAAGAUAUCAAAGGAAGGUUGGCCACAUAUAAGGACCCUGUUUCUAAGGUAGAAUUUUAGAUUUUUGUGUUUUUCCUAUCACUACUCCUAUACUAUUACCAGUGCACCUUAUUUGUCAAGAUGAUUAAAAAGGAAUUCCCUAGGAUAACUAGUGUCUCAAGUGAUCUUGAGGUUCAUAAAUUUUUGGUUUCCACAAGAUAGGUGCCAACUAUUUUUUUUUUUUUUACACCCAUGCAAUAUUCCAGUCAUCUAUUAACAAGGGCUAAAAUUUCUUGUAGAGAAUAGAAUAAAGAACUAAAUUACAUGAAAAUAGGACAUUGUUAUUCUAUUUACAAGUAAGGGCCAAAAAUUGUUGAGGGUCAUCAAGUACAUUGUUCCUAAAAUAAUAGCAUCCAUGAAGAUUGAACUGAUACGAAAUGCCUUUCGAGUUUGAAAUCCCUAAAUUUUCUUCUUAUUUUCUAUGACUUCAUUUUUAUUAUCUUACAUUCAAAAAUCCUCUGUUUUCAUUUGUUUUGGUAGUUCUUUUUAUUUGCACCUUAUUUGUUUUAUUAUACUCCAGUAAGUUUGAAAAUUUUUACAUCUUCAAAUCAUUUUGCUUGAGUGUUUUGCAUUCUAAGAGUUUGAGGAAAUAUUGAGCUCUAAUAUAAAUAGUAUUGGUCAUAGAGUCUUCCUUUCUUAAGAAGCUUACCAUUGACCUAAUGGCCAAAGGAUCCCAAAAGAAAACGACUUUGGAUUGGCUUGAAAAUUUCACAUGGUCCAAACAUUCAUAUUUACUAGAUGCCAGAUACAAAAGAAAUUUUGCUCUCUUUUUAAUUUAGCCAUUGAUGUAGUCUAAAUGUUUUAUUAGAGCAAUAAUUGUCCACUAAAUGCAAAAUAGAGAAUGGUGUUAAUGAAUUCAGUACUUCAUCUAUGUUGUAGACUUGUAGUUUAGCAGCUUCUGUUGAUAAUGAGUGUGGGGUUGGCUUUAUCAUGUUACUGUUCCAAAUAUUCUUAAAAAAAAUCAUUUAAGCUUUGUUUGGUUCUUAGAAAAUUUGAGGGAAAAUGUGAGGAAAACAAAAUAGAGAGGAAAAGUGGAAGGAAAAAAAAGUGAAAGUCAAUGAAUUAUUUUUGUAUGCUACUUCAAACUCACUUCACUUUUUUUAACUCUUCAAUAUAAAGAUUAAAUCAUUUGAAAAAUGUGUAAAUUUCUAAUUAAUUUUAAAUAUAUUUGAUUUUCUUUGGUAUUUUCCAAAAGAUAAUCAAAUAUGAGAAAAUCAUUUUCCUUAACAUUUUUUUUUUCUUAGUACUUUUAGUGAACCAAACAUAACCUAAAUGUUUUAGUUUAGUAGUUUCAUCAAAUUAGAUAGACAACCUCACAUCUCUUAGUGAGCUCAGGUGCUAUGUCAAUUAAUGCUUUGUCUCUACUUCUUCAUUGAAGUCUCUAUUUAUUGGAUGCACAGAUGAUAUGAUCCAAACUCAAAUUGAACACUACUCUUGUUUUGCAACAUUACUGCACUCGAAAGACAACUUCAACUCACUUAUAGACCUUCUUAUUGGUGAUUGCACUAAAUCGACACCACUUUGGAAGAGAUGUGUUCCACAUAGAAAAUAUUUCAUUAUAUGCACCUACUCGCAAGAUACCAAAGGGAAACAAGUGAAUACUUGCCUAGGAAUACAAAGGCCAUACUUAGUGAAGGUUCCAUCAAUAAGGAGAACCAUUUCAAGUAUGGAAUUCUCAUUUAUUCUCAUUUUCUUAUGGCUUCAUUUUUAUUCAAUAUCUAUAUGAAAUUAUUUAUGUUCAUUUUCUUUAGAUAUCACAUUUUUUUGUUUUCUCAAUAAUUUCAUUCAAGUUCUUUGGAUAUCACAUUUUGUUUGGUGUUUUUUUUAGAAUAAUUCAAAAUGUCUUUUUUAACGAUUCACAAAAUUUGAUCACAGUUGAGUGAUUAAAAUUCAAGUUUAUUAUUAUUAUUAUUAUUGGUUAUUUGAUAUAUUUGUUUUCUAAUACAGACAAAAUACUAGCAGCUAAUGUGCAUAGAAUUUGUAGAUAGAAUUUGUAGAAGAGAAUAAAAAUUUGAUCUAAGCUAUUCCUAAAGACCAUAAACUUUUAGAGCUACCCAAGAUCUAACAGGUUAAAUUUUGAUUCACUUAGUUUACAAUCCACUAAUUAUCCUUAUGUCAUUUUUGUUAUGUUACAAAUUGCCUUUACUUGUUAUGCAACCUAUCUUAAUAAUUUGGGAAGACCAAGAUAACAUCUUCCUAGUAGAACUGGCUCAAAAAUUGAAAAGGUACACUCAUAUCACCUAUCUACAUGCCCACAACAUUAUAAACACUAGCUCAUGUGUUCCUCACUAUUGAGAUUGUUGUUGCAUGCAGGCAUUUUGGGCGAGGAGGCCCGACUUGUGAUCAUCAAUAACACAAGGCAUGCUUUUAUACAGAGAAUCCCAAAUAAACAUUUAAGCACUUUGUUAGCCCAAGGGUUCUCCUAAUCAGGUUUUGAUGAUAACAAACCAUGGUUAAGUGACUAAUUGGUUUGAAUGAUAAAGAAUCUUAGGUAUAAAUUUGGAAAUUCAUCAAAUGAUCAAAUGGAUACAAGAUCGAGACUUUUGGAAGACUUUUGAUCAUAGGAAACAAAUGUAAGAUGAAUGCAUGGGUGCACUUAGGUUUUACAUAUCUUUUCAUGAAUCUUUGAAAACUCGGUUUAUUCCUUAAAAUUACGAUUUCAUUAAAACCCGAGUUUUAUCAAAUGUACCUUAGGCAAAACAUUUCAAAAUUGGCAUAUUAAUUUACCUAAAGACCUUGCCUAAGUGUUAGAAAGGAAAAGAAUUGAAAAAUAUAGGUUUUCAGGGCCAAAAGGCUGAACUGAUCGAGGCACAUGCCAACCGGCUCAACCAACCAGGGAACCGGUCAAUCGGUUGCUCUUGCCCGAUCGAGAUCUGGUCGAGGAGUGUCAAAAACACUUUCUCUCAUCCAGUAACCUUCUCUUCCCAGUCGAGGUACUCUCCUUACCUCUGGUCGAGGUUCGGUCGAGGCAACGGUAACAUGCCAAAGCAUUAAAUGCUUCAACGACUAGUGAACCAAUCGACCCCCGGCUCGACCGGUUGAGGCUAUUUUUUGCUCUUUUUGGCUCCCGAGCUUAGAAACCAAUAAAUUGAGAGCUCCACUUCAUUUAUGACAUAGAGAAAACUUGCAAUCAAUUGUCUACCCACUUGUUCUUGCCUUAAAAGCUCUCAUUUAUUUCUUAGUGCAUUAAAUCCUCACUUGCAUAUCCUUUAGUACACCCUUGUGAAUCAUCCUAGCUUUGAUUUGUAUUUGAACUAUCAUUGAGGUAGAUUGAGGGAUUCAUUCUUGUAAAAAUUGAGUAUUAAAGCCUUCAAGAGGUUUGAAUCUUGAAGAGAUUAUGUAAGAGCCCAUUGGAGCCAGAAUCCAAGUGUAAAGAAGAUUGGAAGCUUUGUUGAAGCUUCAAGUUAGUGGAACCCUCACUCGAUUAGGAGAUUGAGGAGAGUGGACGUAGGCAAGGAAAUGUUGAACCACUAUAAAAUCCGAGUUUAAAUUCUCUAACUCUAUCUCUUUAUUUUUUAUUAUAUUGUGCUUGAAUUUGUUGUGUUGAAAAAGUUUUUGAAAAACCCAAUUCACCCAUUUCUUAGGUGUUUUUCUCAUUUAAGCAUAGCCUUUAUUUUCUCACUCUUGAAAUCCUUUCUCAUUAAUUUGCUUCCACCUCAUAAGAAACCGUCAAAACCACUUACACCAUGACAAGGUGAAAAGAAACUAAUGCAACAUUCUGAAUAUAUCAGAAGAUAUCAAAGGAAGGUUGGCCACAUAUGAGAACCUUGUUUCUAAGGUAGAAUUUUAGAUUUUUUUGUUUUUCUUGUCACUGUUUCUAUACCAUUACUAGUGCACCUUAUUUGUCAAGGUGAUUAAAAGGGAAUUCCCUAGGAUAACUAAUGUCUUAGAUGAUCUUAAGGUUCAUAAAUUUUUGGUUUCAACAAGAUAGGCGUCAAACCAUUUUUAUUUUUUUCUACACCCAUGCAAUAUUCCAUUCAUUUAUUAAUAAGGGCUAAAAUUUCUUGUAGAGAAUGGAAUAAAGAACUAGAUUAAAUUAAAUAAGACAUUAUUAGUCUAUUUACAAGUAAGGGCAAAAAAUUCUUGAGGGUCAUUAAGCACACUAUUCCUAAAAUAAUAACAUCCAUGUCGUCGAGCAAAAGUUUAUUGCAAUUACAUUAGCAUAUAAAACAAAACUAAUUUUUUUAUUAUUUAUGUUCACACCUUAUCCAUUUGAUAAAAUGCUUAAACAAGUAAGUUUGAAUUUUUUUUGUCUUCAAAUCAAUUUAAAUUUUACAUUCAAAAGUUGAAUUAAUUUUUUUUUUUGGAAAAUUUAACUGCACUUUAGAAGUUUGUGAUUAUUCUUUGGUCCAUCUUAAAAUGAGUUCCCGCAUUUUUCCAUUCCUGAAAUUAAAAUCACAAUAAAAAGUUUUAGAUUGACCUAAAAUUUUCUCAUGGCCUAGAAAUUCAUAUCUACUAGAUGGCUAAAGCAAAAAAACACUUCUAUCUUGUAUUUUAAGUAAUCCCUGCUUGCUAUUUGUUUAUUGAGAGCAUCAUACAAGUUGUGAUUAUAUUUCUUAAUUUUUUUAUAUGAUAAGACGGUAACUGGAUUGAGAAAGAUGCAACUUGUAGAGCAGAAAAUUUCUUGACUACUUUCCUUGUAUUUGCUUUGUGUGUAUCAACUGUUCUGUUAAUUAUUUUUUUAAAAUAUCACUAAAACAAACCUAUUAUGUCAAUGCUCUCUAUUGUUAUGUAUCAUAAUUUAGCUAUUUUUUCCCUAGAAAUCAUGCUUGUUAUUGUGUUAAUCAGUAGGUAGCAUAAGAACUAUUUUGUUCAAGUCAUUUUGUAUUGGCAUUCUUCAUGUUUUAAAAUAUUGUCAGACUAGCAAUUUUACUGCAGAUAUAAUGUUCUCAAAUCAAUGCAAAAAGGGACGUUGUGGGGCUUGGGCACAACCUUCCUUAAAUAGUUGAAUUGAGGGUUUCUAUAAACUAGGUCUCUAUAUCAACAGAUUCUACAUUUCAUCACUAUGGGGACCUUACAAUAAAUACCGCAAAAAACUUCAUUUACUACAUAGUAAGGAUAAUCCUAAGGACUUAAAAGCUUGAGUUGUCUUUUCCAUGGCAGCUUCAGAUCUCUUAAUAAGCUCCAAGUCAUUGUCUACCUUGAAUAUAAAUCACUGCUAGAAGUAUGUGCCCUCAACAUUCCCAUGUUCUCGAUAUUGACUAGAUAUUUGUUGCUAAUCCAUGAAGAAUUGAAGGGAUCUUUGAUAAUGACAUCUAUAAUGUACUUCAAGUUCAUGAUCCAAACCCUCUUCUUGCUUUCAAUAACUUCAUUUUUUUUUUAUAUUACUUUGUGGUCAAUGUUAUAAGGAUGUUGUAUUUUGUUUACCUGAUUCUCAUCCAUCAGCACACAUGAAAGGAAAAGUUUUACAUUGCUUUCCUUCCCUUUGCUCUGUGUUUGUAUAUGUUUAUGCAGCUAAUGCGAACUUCCACCAUAACUUUUUAAGUUUUUUCAUUCUUGAGUUUGGGAAACAACUGGAUUUGAUUGUAAUAUUUCUUGUAGAUAUCACCUUUCUUAAAAAGCUUGCAUUUAUUCACAUUUUCAAGAUGGCUAAGUCAUCUGAUUAUGCUUAUAACUUUUGGUUUCUAUUAAAUUCAGGUAUGAUGUUUGCAAUGCUAACCCCCUUACUCCUCUUGAAGACUACAUAAGUUUCUAGUGCUGUUACUUUAAUGGUUAUAGUCAAUGUAUCCUCUUGUUACUUCCUGCUUGCAUUCUAUAUGUUCAAGAGCUUUAUUAAAGUAAUUAUUUUAUUGAAGAUAUAAUUGUUUUCAGGUCAAAGCAAAAUUGAAUAAUGACGUGGUUUCAACAACUUCUCAAAAGUAAUUGGAAAGUAAGGAACUUUGUGGUAGUAUUCUGAUAUCACAUUGGGCCUUCAAAUUGUUGUCUUGAAUUGACAUAAAUAACAUAAUUUCUUUCCCAGUUAAGUUGCUUCAACAUGUUAUUAUGCUUCAAACUCUUUCAAUUAUGUGUUGUUUAGGUUUGGCAACAUUAGUACACUGGAUAUGUUGCCUCGAGUUACUUACACGACAUAAAAUUCAUCUUUGUUGUUAACUAGCAUCACUACCACAAGAUGAGUUCCCUCAGCAUUCUACAGACAACUAUAAUUUGGGACAAUUCUGGUUUGGCAACAUUAUCGGAGUUGAUAGGCAACCUAACAAAAACCUUUAAAUUUAUAUUUAUCCCGAACUAGCAUCACUGCUGGAAGACGUGCAUCCUUAGCACCCUAUAACCACUCAUAAUUGGAGACUGUUAUGGUUUGUAAACAUUCAACAGACUUGAUAGGUAACCUUGCACCAGUUACAGAGCUUCAAAUUCAUGGCUAUCUUGAAUUGACAUCACUUUCAAACUAGAUGGUUCAUCCAAACCUCAGUUGACACCCAUAAUUCAAGACUUCUCCAUUUUGGCAAUGAUAGCAGAUUUGAUAAGCAUCCCUACUUCACUUACAUACACUAAAAUUGAUAGCUACCUCGGAUUCACAUCAUUGUCACAAGAGAUUGGUUCCUUUAUAUCCCUGCAGACACUUGUGAUCUUUUAUCAUCCAUGUAUAUUAGAAAGACUUAAAAGGGAAAUAGAUGAAGAUAGGCCCAAUAAUCUUCAGUCCUAGAUAUUGAUAUGUGGUGAAGAUUGGACUAAUAUAGAGUUAGUUCAGGUUUGAAAUCCCAAUCUUUCUUCUCAUUUUUUAUGGUUUUGUUUUUAUCAAUAUGCUUUGUUUACAUUCUAUAUGGUAACUUUUGUAUGUAUUAGCAUAUAGAUCAAAAAGGACUUAGAUGAUUAAUUUGAAAAGUUUGCAUCCUCAAUUAAUUAGUAAUUAAAGACCAAACUAAUCAUAUUACUUUAAGUCUUGCAUUGUAAGAGUUUGGGAAAAUGUUAGGGUUGACUGAACUACUAUUUUAUAACAGAUUUUGCCUUACUCAAGAAUCUUGUGAUUAUUCCUUAGCACAAUCAUUUCUCGUGUCUAAGAAAUUCAUAUCUACUACAUGUCCAAAGAAUUUAGUAGCAUUCAAAAUUUAUGCUUUCUUUCAAGUCAGGUGUAUUGCUUGCAGUUCUAACAUGUUUCCUAUUUUGAACGUUGUAUUGUUAUUUUACUAUCAAUGUGUUAAGAGCAUUAUACUCUAUUUUCUAUAAUGUUGUUUACUUGUCAUAAGUAUUAAUUAUUUUAUUGCAAAUGUACUUGUUGCCAAGUUAAAGCAAAAGAGGAAAGUGAGGAUUUUUCAUGGACCAAUGCCUUUCUCAGUUGCUGCCACACUUGACUUCUCUCUAAGUUGUUGAAAAUUUAAAAGUGUGGUAGCAUAAAGUAUUCAGCUCAAGUGCUUUAGUGACUCACUACCCUUGAAGCUUUAGAAGUUGUCAAUACAAUUGGGGUUUCAACAUGUAACCAUUUUGGAAAUUCUAAGAAGUGUAAGUAUUAUGGUUUUACAACUUUAUUAGACUAGAUAGGCAACUUCAAAUUGCUGAAUGCCCUGAAUUAAAAUCACUACUAGAAGGAACCCAUGAGCACUCUAUAGAAACUCAUUGUAAGAGUUUGGGAAAAUGUUAGGGUUGACUGAACUACUAUUUUAUAACAGAUUUUGCCUUACUCAAGAAUCUUGUGAUUAUCCCUUGGCACAAUCAUUUCUCGUGUCUAAGAAAUUCAUAUCUACUACAUGGCCAAAGAAUUUAGUAGCAUUCAAAAUUUAUGUUUUCUUUCAAGUCAGGUGUAUUGCUUGCAAUUCUAACAUGUUUCCUAUUUUGAAUGUUGUAUUGUUAUUUUACUAUCAAUGUGUUAAGAGCAUUAUACUCUAUUUUCUAUAAUGUUGUUUACUUGUCAUAUGUAUUAAUUAUUUUAUUGCAAAUGUACUUGUUGCCAAGUUAAAGCAAAAGAGGAAAGUGAGGAUUUUUCAUGGACCAAUGCCUCUCUCAGUUGCUGCCACACUUGACUUCUCUCUAAGUUGUUGAAAAUUUAGAAGUGUGGUAGCAUAAAGUAUUCAGCUCAAGUGCUUUAGUGCCUCACUACCCUUGAAGCUUUAGAAGUUGUCAAUACAAUUGGGGUUUUAACAUGUAACCAUUUUGGAAAUUCUAAGAAGUGUAAGUAUUAUGGUUUUACAACUUUAUUAGACUAGAUAGGCAACUUCAAAUUGUUGAAUGCCUUGAAUUAAAAUCACUACUAGAAGGAACCCAUGAGCACUCUAUAGAAACUCAUUGUAAGAGUUUGGGAAAAUGUUAGGGUUGAUUGAACUACUAUUUUAUAACAGAUUUUGCCUUACUCAAGAAUCUUGUGAUUAUCCCUUAGCACAAUCAUUUCUCGUGUCUAAGAAAUUCAUAUCUACUACAUGGCCAAAGAAUUUAGUAGCAUUCAAAAUUUAUGUUUUCUUUCAAGUCAGGUGUAUUGCUUGCAAUUCUAACAUGUUUCCUAUUUUGAACGUUGUAUUGUUAUUUUACUAUCAAUGUGUUAAGAGCAUUAUACUUUAUUUUCUAUAAUGUUGUUUACUUGUCAUAUGUAUUAAUUAUUUUAUUGCAAAUGUACUUGUUGCCAAGUUAAAGCAAAAGAGGAAAGUGAGUAUUUUUCAUGGACCAAUGCCUCUCUUAGUUGCUGCCACACUUGACUUCUCUCUAAGUUGUUGAAAAUUUAGAAGUGUGGUAGCAUAAAGUAUUCAGCUCAAGUGCUUUAGUGCCUCACUACCCUUGAAGCUUUAGAAGCUGUCAAUACAAUUGGGGUUUUAACAUGUAACCAUUUUGGAAAUUCUAAGAAGUGUAAGUAUUAUGGUUUUACAAAUUUAUUAGACUAGAUAGGCAACUUCAAAUUGUUGAAUGCCUUGAAUUAAAAUCACUAUUAGAAGGAACCCAUGAGCACUCUAUAGAAACUCAUUGUAAGAGUUUGGGAAAAUGUUAGGGUUGAUUAAACUACUAUUUUAUAACAGAUUUUGCCUUACUCAAGAAUCUUGUGAUUAUCCCUUGGCACAAUCAUUUCUCGUGUCUAAGAAAUUCAUAUCUACUACAUGGCCAAAGAAUUUAGUAGCAUUCAAAAUUUAUGUUUUCUUUCAAGUCAGGUGUAUUGCUUGCAAUUCUAACAUGUUUCCUAUUUUGAACGUUGUAUUGCUAUUUUACUAUCAAUGUGUUAAGAGCAUUAUACUCUAUUUUCUAUAAUGUUGUUUACUUGUUAUAUGUAUUAAUUAUUUUAUUGCAAAUGUACUUGUUGCCAAGUUAAAGCAAAAGAGGAAAGUGAGGAUUUUUCAUGGACCAAUGCCUCUCUCAAUUGCUGCCACACUUGACUUCUCUCUAAGUUGUUGAAAAUUUAGAAGUGUGGUAGCAUAAAGUAUUCAGCUCAAGUGCUUUAGUGCCUUACUACCCUUGAAGCUUUAGAAGCUGUCAAUACAAUUGGGGUUUUAACAUGUAACCAUUUCUUUUUGUUCUUAUAGACAAUAGAACAAUGUGGUAAUUGCAUGACAUACAAUUUGUAAUAGAUGGUCAACUAUAUAUUAAGUAAUCUUUAAUUGCCUUGGAGUUGAAACGUUUGAUGUUGAUAAGGUUUGAUAAUUCUUGCUUUGGUGCUUUGUUGGAUUUCAAUUCAGGUAAUUAAUUGAUCUUGUUAUGAUUUUUUGAUUGUUAUUAUAACUAUCGUGAUAAUCAUUCUUAUUUUAUCGUGGUAAUUGACUUCACUGACUUUAUGCCCAACCUAUUAUUGUUAGUAUUCCAUUAACAUACCUCUAAUGCCACCACUAAUAAACAUCAUGUGUUUAUAUUUAUAACACGUUUCAUUACUGAAAUAAUUUAAUAUUUUCAAAUUUCUUUUUAGAGUGUGAGAAAUAACCAUUAAUCUUUACAACAGCAUAAGUAUCAUUGAUUUGAUAUUGCUUUCUUGAGUAAUUUGGCAAUUUAAUUAUGAAGUUUAGUUGGACAUUACUUGAGAUUCAUGUCUUAUGUAUAUGGUAUAUUUUCCAAACUUCAAUUAUAUUUAGUAGACUUGUAAGUGGUGUUUGUCUAUGAGUUUCAACUCUUGAAAACUAUUAUUGGAGUCUAAGUUCACUUUCAAUAAGGAAAAAAAAAAAUCAACCUUUUCCUCAAUUGUGUAAUUUUAUUCACUAUUGACAUGCCCUUAAAUGGCAUUGCUAUUAUUUGUAGGGAACAUUGUCAAGUUCCAUAUUUGUCUAGAAAGUUAGAAGAAGUAUUUAAUUUGACAUGGUUUGGACAUCUUGCUACUAUCUUUUUAAAUUAGUUAUCAAUAAUUUUUCAAAGUUGACCUUUUUGUUUAUCUCAUACUCCUUUUAUAUUAAAAGGUAUCGCAUGGGUAUUAUGUAGAGGAAUCAUGCCUUCUUUAAUUGAGGUGAGCCUCUUGCAAAAUAUUUCAGGUUUGCUCUCAUUCCAUUUGUUACUUCAUGUCUAUUUUUUUGUAAUCAAUCAAGCAAGAGUUUCUUACUUGUACAAUGGUGAACUUGCUUGCAUGAAUAAUACUCUUUUUACUAUUUUUUUCUUUCUUUAUUAUAUUCAUUGAUACGCUUAGAAGUGAAUAGUGAACCAGGUUUUUUGUUAAAAGAAAUCAAAUAUUGGUAAUUAUUUAGUAUCAUGUUUGUAAUAAUCAAUUAUUGAUUGUAAAGAUACUUGGCUUAAUCAAUUAUUAUAUUGAAAUCAAUUUAGUACUAUGACUAAUACCAAAAGGAUAAUAUUUAGUCUUGUUUGACCAUUAGUCACUAUUCUAGAGACAAAUGCUCACAAGUUUUGCAUCUUUGAAGCAUAUGAGAAAAGUUGGUUCAACUAUAUCACCAACUUACAAGCUCCUUAUAGUGUCCAUAUAUAUAACCUUCGUUGUUCAGGUUUAUGAUUCAUAUCUUUUUUUUUUUCAUCUUUUUAUUGUUUAUAAUUUUUUAAUUGAUUUGUUUAUAAAUUUUUAAACUUUAUUGGCAAUACUAAUUAUUUUUUUUUAUUCUCAUGUGCAAUAGAAUAAUAAGUUGAAUAAGAAGCAUAAACUACUUAAUUGGUAUAACCGUUUACUCAAUUCUCUUCUCAUAUAUUUUUGUUCAAGGUAAUCAAAGUAUCAUUCUUUUUAUUUUUAAAGGUACUUGAACUCAGUGAGGACCAUUCCCAAAACAAGCAAUCAUUACAGUUGGAUUACUGAUAUCAUAUCCUUGAUUGACAUCUAUGCCAUUACAUUUGCAUCUAAAGGAUUUAUAAUGAAAAAAUAUCUUUUUUAUUUCCAUUUUCCUUCCUUCUUUUGACCAUAAUUUGUGUGCUUAUUGAUAGCAUUCAUACCCUAAUAUAUUUGCUAGCAUAUAUAUGCAUAUCAUAAUCUAUUGAAUUUUUUAGCAUAAGGUCUUAGAGUAUUCACAUAUCUCUAGGUUCUAUAUAUUUAUAAUUUUUACAACAUCAAAUGAAGUAUAUGAACCUUAUCCUGAAGGUGAAGUCUCUUUAAAGGGAGUUUCAACAUGUUAGCAAUUACCUAACUUAAUAAUCUAACAAUUUGGCACUAUAUAUAAUUUUGCAACUCUUUCAUAAAGUAAUUGUGUUACCUUUAUUCACAUUUUCUAUCUUUAUUUUAAAAAAAAUGAAUUGGUAAUUGUGUGUCAAAUCUUGCUUACAAUCAUUAAUAGGUACUUAUAUGCUAAAUGGAUAAAGUUAUUUUACAAUUGUUUCAACAUAUUUGGAAUAUAUAUAUAUAUAUAUAUAUAUAUUUAUAGAUGUAAUCACUACCAAGCCAAUGCGAAAAGCUAUAACAAUGAGGAUUACAAAGCUUCAAUUAUGUCUUGGAGAUUCAUAUUGACAAGUUGUAAAUGGUGGGUGAAGUCUCUUUAAAAGGAGCUUCAACAUGUUAGCAGUUACCAAACUUAAGAAUCUAACAACUUGACACUAUAUAUCAUUUUGCAACUCUUUCAUAAAGUAAUUGUGUAACCUCUAUUCACAUUUUCUAUCUUUAUUUUAAAAAAAAAAAUGAAUUGGUAAUUGUGUGUCGAAUCUUGCUUACAAUCAUUAAUAGGUACUUAUAUGCUAAAUGGAUAAAGUUAUUUUACAAUUGUUUCAACAUAUUUGACACACAAGUACCUAUUAAUAAGUAUAUAUUUAUAGAUGUAAUCAUACCUAGCCAAUGCGAAAAGCUAUAACAAUGAGGAUUACAACGCUUCAAUUAUGUCUUAGAGAUUCAUAUUGACAAGUUGUAAAUGGUGGGUGAAGUCUCUUUAAAAGGAGCUUCAACAUGUUAGCAGUUACCAAACUUAAGAAUCUAACAACUUGGCACUAUAUAUCAUUUUCCAACUCUUUCAUAAAGUAAUUGUGUAACCUCUAUUCACAUGCUCUAUCUUUAAUUUUUUUUUUUUUUUAAAAAAAAUGAAUUGGUAAUUGUGUGUUGAAUCAUUCUUACAAUAUUUAAUAGGUACUUAUACACUAAAUUGAUAAAGUUAUUUUACAAUUGUUUCAACAUGUUCUGAAAACAAAAAAGAUUAAUAAGUAUAUUUUUUCUAGAUGUAAUCACUACCAAGCCAAUGUGAAAAGCUAUAACAAUGAGGCUUACAAAACUUCAAUUAUGUUUUGGAGAUUCAUAUUGAAAGUUGUAGAUUAUGGAUGUAUAGUAUAGGAGUUAGAUUGAGUUUAUCAUUCUAUCUUUGACAUCUUAGUUUUCUAUGUAUUGUCCAUCAUAUAUAUUUGUCAUCUAUUCUUUACAACCAAUUUUUUAAGGACUUCUAUGAUUUGUUUAAAUUUAUAUAUUUGUUUUUAUUUGUACUAGAACUUCACCAAGCUACAAAAGCAUCACAAGUAUUGCAAUUGGAGUUCAUGGAUCAGGUAUUUUAGUAGUUUUUGUACCUGAAAUUUUUUUAUGAUACUAAUGAGGAUGUUUACCUUGAUUAAUUUAACACUUAUAUUGCAAAUAUCUAUAUAGGAGUUCUAUACAUUUAUUUAAACAUUUAUAUACAUAUUUAUCCUCUUUCUAGCACAUUCUAAUGAUAUUUUUAACAUUGAUAUAAGUUGUUUGCUUGAAGGUUUCAACUAUUGAAAAUUAUUAUUCAAGCCUAAUGUUAAUCUUUUUCUAUAGUGGAUUUCAAAUAAUAAAUUCUUAUUUGAUUAUUUGUAGGGAAAAUAAACAACUUCUAUGUUUGAUAAGAAAGAAGAUAGAGUAGAUCAAUUUCACAAUAUACGAAUGCUACGCUUUCUAUACUUUUAAAGAUGGUUACAAUUGGCUUUCUAUACUUAACAAGUACAUCUUAGCUAAAAGUGAAAAAAUGUUUCUCUUUGCACAUGCCUUCACUACUAUUUUAAUUGCUAUCUUAAUAUGUUAUGGAAAAACCACGGCAAAUAACAAUAAUAAGGAGAAGAAAUAAAAGAACAAAAAUAUAAAACUUAUAAAGUAGGAUGAUCUAUGUGGUUUGGCCUAAACCUACAUUUAUAUGUGAAAAUGAAGAAGAACUUCCACUAUUAUUAAAGGAGAUUAAAAUCCUAAAGCUUUCAAAUCUCAUGAUUACACUAAAAAUGGACUUUUUUUUUUAAUCAAAAUCUCUUCCUUUAUUUUCUUGAUUAUAUAAGAAUAUUCCAUAGAGAAUUAAUUGUGUAAUUAUCAAAGAUAACUAUUCCUAAAAGAAAAAUCUUAUAAUAUGAUAUUUCCUUUAGAAUAAAAGAAAAAUCUCUUGUAUAAAUAUAUCAUAAUAGGAAAAUAUUAAAGACUUAUAAAUUGACUCAAAACAAUUUGAAAUAUUUUUCAACAAUCUCCACAUUGGCUCAAAUUCUCAAUAUUCAAAUAAACUCAAAAGUCUUCUAUGUUACUUUGCUCUUAUACACCCUUAAGGGAACUUCAAGUAAUAUCAAUACCAAUUAAGUCUAAGCAAUGCAUAAACUUAAUCAUAGAAAUAAGUUUAGCCAUCAUAUCUAUAAAAUUAUCAACUAUAGGGAUCUUUUUCAUUACAUUAGUACCUUGUUCAAUCACAUCUCUAAUAAAAUGCAUUCUAACAUCAAUAUGUUUGGUUCUCUCAUGUAACAUAUGAUUUUUAGUCAAAAGUAUGACACUUGGCUACCAUGAUAACAAUAAUCAAUGAUUGGAACCAAAUAAUUACAUUUUGUGUGCCUAAAAUUAGGCAUUCAUAUUUAAUAUCCAAUUCUAGUUUCAUCCCUUUACUCAAUUUUAUUCCUAAGUCCUUAAUUUUGGGUUUAAUGUAUUUUUUAAAUAUUUUCCUUCUUUUUUGGUAUAUUUAUAUCACAUUUUUGCUAGCCAUUAUAUUUUUCAUGUGUUGGUUGCUAAUUUUACACUACAUAGUUGUCACAUCAUCCAACUAAUGGUUGUUACAUUAUCCAACUAUGGGCUGCCACAUGCUCCAGCUACCUUAGCCUCCUUGCCAAGUAUUUUCCAUGCCAAAAAAAGAUUGACAACUAUUUCAAUUGGUUGGUAAAGUUGAGAAAAGCUUCCACCAACCUCGCCAUUAAGUUGUGCUCCUUGCUCCAAUUUCUAAUUUUGCUUUCUACCCUCUUGUGGAGUUAGUGUGGAAAUGACUUUAUACAAGGGAGAUGAAGGUUGGUUUUAAGUAAGGUAGCUUAUUUGUAAACUUGUAUUUCCUUCAUUCAGGCGGUAGUUCUCAUUUCUUAGCCUUGAUUUUCAAUUUUGAUCCUCUCAUCUUGCCUCUAUGAGUGGCCAACAUCCAAACCAAGGAAUAAUUUUUAAUAAAAUAUUAAUAUUAAUGUUCAAAUAAAAUCAUAUAUUUAUAUUCCUUAUCACAUUUAUAGGAAGAGAAAUAUUUGAGACUAGGCCCAGUUCACUUUUUAUAAUUAUAAAUAUCAUAAAAAUAUGAAUAUUAAUAUCCUUAUCCUCAUAAAAGCAUAAUUAAUUUAUUUUAUAAAAAAUUAAUAAUAAUAAUAAUAAUUACUAGUACGAUUUUAUUUUAAAUAGAUUUAAAAUUAAAUAAAGUUUAAUUUUUAAGGUAUACAUGCAUAAGUUUUUCAUUACAUAUACACAUUUAAUACUUAAUUAGUAAUAGUGUAUUCUAAAAUUUUUUUAUCUAGUCUAUAACUAAUUAAUCCAUUUUUUGGAAUUCUAAAUUGUUCUUAAAAAUUAAAAUAUUCAUUAAAGAAUUGAAAGUGUUUAUUAUGUUUAACUUAAUUUAAAUUUAUUUAUCUAGUGAGAAAAUUCAUAAAAUAUAGUUUUAUGUAUAAAGGAAAUAGUAACGACUUUACAUUUAACGAAUCUUUUAUUUUAUAUUGAUUCAUUUAAUAGUCUAUUAUAUAUAUUUAAAAUUUAUUAAACUCAUUAAUAAAUUCAAUACAAAGUUUUACUUAAUUUGAAAUUCAUCUCUCUAGUGAAAAAAUUGAAAAAAAAUAUUAUUUUGUGAAAAAAAAAUACAAUAAAAUCAUUCUAAACUAAUUUUUGUCCAUAGAUUUUUUGUAUUUAUUAGUUUAUUAUUUGAUUUUUAAAUUAAUUUAAAAAAUUAUUAGACUUAUUAAUGAAUCCAAUACAUUAUUUUUUUGUUUAAUUUAUUUAUCACACCAUCAAACAAACUUUUAUUAUUAGUAAAAGACCUCUCAAAAGAUGUUUUUUUUCUAAAUAAAAAAAAAUAUUAUAAACGAUGUUUGAUUCGAGAGUUUUUUAAAAAUAAAAAUUAUUUUAAAUUAUGUGUACAUAAUUGUUGCAAAUUUAUUUCUUUUUCCAUUACCAUUUUCAUUCCUACUUAACAUUGAAAUGAAAACAAAUAAUCAAUUAAACCUUACAUUUAUUCCUAAUCCAAUGACAAGAAUUGGUAUCACCGAAUUCAUUCCAUUCUCUAGUCUCAUGUAUCAAACAUAGUCGUAUAGUACCAAAAACUUCUUCUAAGUAAUGUGGAAUAUCACAUUCACUUUCAUACAGAUACAGUUUUUAUUGUAUCACAUGGAAUUGUGAGGCCUUUUAGUACCAUUUGUAAUGACCCACCUCCAAUUAUAUAAAUAUUAUUUGGUCUAAGUCCAAUGGACUCUAAUCGGUUUUAAAACUUGGCUAUACUGUUAAGAGAAGUCUACUAUGUAUACAAUCUUCUCCUAAUAAACAUGUGACAUAACAAAUGGUGGGACUCAAACUAAAGCAAGGCCUUUCAAACUGUCUACCAUCUUAGUUUCAGCAUGAAUUCAAUUUGUUCCAAACAACAUAACUCUGGAGUAUUUUAAACAAACGAUUUCCAUUUAAAACACAUUAUUAAAGUAUAAAGAAAACAAACCCGAUCUUCAAGCGGUUUUGGGGAUCACCUGUGGAAGAGCAGUGAAAUAGAAAUAUCCACUAAGUGUAUAGGGACCCAAGAUCAACACAUGCAACAGGAUAUCUAAUUCCUCCUAAUAUCAUCAGCAUGAAGAAAAUUGGCAUCAUUUCCACUGAGUUCUGAUGCCCUCUCUGAAAAAAAAAUAAAUGCAAAACAUUUGUUUUUUCUAAUCAUCGGUCAUCCAUACAUAGAAAAAUCUAUGUGUGAUCUUAAGCCAGAAAAGAUGUUGCAUCUAAUCAAAUUCACUAGACAUGAUGAUAUCUAUACUUUUUUUUUUUUUAAUUAUAUUCAUAUUUAUGUCAGAAAAUAAAUUUUUUAUUUUUUAUUUUUAGAACAUUAAACUUUUUAAAAGUCCUUUCUGGGAUAUUUUCUAGCUUUUUCCUUUUGCUAAUUUUUGUUAUUCAAACAAAUCUUAAGAAAGGAAUCAAGCUUGGACACAAUUAAAGAGCUUGGCAUCCUUGUUUUUAGAUUCCAAAGCAUAUAUAGAGAUUGGGGUAAAACACCUUGUACCUAAGAAAAAAAAAGGAAAAAAAAACACCACAACAAAAAAUUAACCAAAAAUCAGAAAACUAACUAGAAUAAAAAAUCAAGAAAAUAUUUUUUUCUGGGUUAAUAAUUAAUUAUAAUGAAAUCAAAAGAAAAAGAAAAAAUACAUACUUCUUCCUGGCUUUGCCUACACUGAAAGCCAUGAAAGAAUUGGAAAAGCAGUAAAGAACAAGAACAAGAACCACAUAUGGGGAAAGCAAAUCCUCUGUUGCCUUCUUCAGAUUAAAGGCAACUAAUAAACGGGUUAAGGGGUUAUGAGUUUGACUUGGUUGAGUUUGAAGCUACAAAAGUAAGAAAAAUGGUAGUAAUUUUGGAAGCAUUUCUAACUCUUCCAUAACUUGAAAGAUAAAAAAAUUUAAGCGUUAAAAAUGUUAAAAGAGCUUUUUAGAAUCACCCCAAAUGUACUCUAAAUUAUUUAUGACUUGAUGUCACCUUCACACUCAUUUUUCAGUGUCAUUUAAUUUUGGUGUUCCCAUAUUAAAGAUUUAGGGUAAUGUAAUAUUCAAGCCUUCGAAUUUUGCCUUCACUAACCUUUGAAUUUUAAUUAAAUUCUUUGAAGGAUAUUUGACCACUUCAUUGUCCAAAAAUGCUUAUAUUGCCAUUUUUUUGGGUCUUUUUCUAUAAUUCCAAUUUUACUAUUUUUCUUUUAUUUAUUCCUAUUAUUAUUUAGGCUAUUAUAUAUAAUAUUCUUAAUAUUAUAUUUAUAAUUGUUAAUAGUAUAAUUACUUUUUUUUCAUUUAUUUGUCAUUUAUAUUGCUUAUCUUAUCUUUAAUCAUGUAUAAGACUCAAAAACUGCAGAAAACAUUAAUAAGUAACUACUAAACUUCAAAGAGAUAAUAAAAUUCAACUACAUUGAUAUUACAAUAAUACAAAUGAAAUAUAUACCAACCAGCCCUUAAAGGGGCUUUUAAGAAAUAAUGAGUCUACUUCAGAUUGACAUUUAAAGUAGAAUCACCAUCUCUAUAGAUAAAUAUGAAGCCUAAAAAGAACAGAACAUCACUAAAUAAUAUUAAUAAAGCAACAAUUAGAUCAAUUGAUAGUGAAAAUAAAGGUUUACAAGAUGAAUCACAUAAAUAAGAACAACUAAAUUGAGAAACAAAUUACAUGUCUGACAAAUCUAAUGAGGGAAAACAUUGGAGCUAGGUGCCCAAUGAUUGGCUCCUUGAAGUUGACCUACCUCCUCAAUAGGUACAUAGGAGUCCUUACCUAAAAAAACAUUAAAAUCAAUAGGGCGAACAUAAGAUCUAAUAAAGGAUAUGAGUUUUCCUUUUUGUGCACCAAAGGAAGAUAAUGAAGUAGAAGAAAAUGAUGAGAAUUUUUUUUUUGGAAAAUAUGGGGAGUCGUUCUGUAAAUGAAGCAGAAGAGGAGAAGUUGUAAGUGUUGGAGAGAAAAAAGAAGAAGGACAUUUUUGUCUCAAUCAACAAUUUUGUUUUGUUUUUUAACCGGUGGGUUAUAUAUGCAAAUGUGGGGGUUAUUUUGACCCCUUUAACCAAAUAUCCCUCUUUUUUAUCGAGUUACAACUUUAAAUUAGGUGUAAAAAGAAAUUUUGAUAUGGUAGAUACUAUACAGUUAUAUAUUGAAAUUCCAUGGUUCAUUAGAUAAACCAUCCUUGAAUUUCUUUGGUUUCAAUCAAGAUGAUAGAUCAUCCUUCCACAGAGUGACCUAAUAUGACAUUGAUUUUCUAGGGCUUCAAACACGAAGGGUGUCAAUGACUAAGAACUCCGUUUGAUUGCCGAGAAAAUGAGGAAAAAAACCCUCAAAUAAAAUAUAAAUACAAUUAAGAAUUUCAAUUUUACAUUGUUAGGGACCCCAAAAAUGGGAACAUUCACUUAACUGAGCCUAAUCCAACCACCUACCUUAGUUCAAUCCAGUCCCCACUUUCUAGAAACCAAAACAAUAUAAACAUUCCUGUGUUUGACUAUUCAGAAAGCAUAUGAUAAGCAAAGAAAAGAACGGUGCCUCCUCAAUCAAACAAAUUUUUUUUUUUCCUUUUCUUUUCUUGCAUUUUCUUUUUUUCGGCAACCAAACAUAACUUUUUAAUUGAGCAUUGUUGUAUACAAUUUAGAUUUCUUUCCCUCGGUUUCUCCGUAACCAAACAGAAUUUUUCUCUAUUGAGCGAGAGUCUAGUAUAUCCUUCGUUUUCCUAUAACCAAACAGAACUUCCCUUGUUAUUUUUUUUAAUCUUUUCUUUGAAUUUCUCGGAAACCCAACGGAGUUUACUUCUGGUGCAACCGUGCAAGAAAAUGGUUUUACCUGAUCGCAGUUCACCGGACUAACUGAAGCAACAGAGGCUUAAGAAAAAGAGACUGAGCUUUGUUUGUUAGACCCCCUAUGUGAGUAUGCAAAGUAAGAAGAACUGAAGCUGAAAUUAGGCGGCUUCCAAACACGUCCUAGGAGUUGGUUUUAAAACCCAUUUUUCCCCUUUUUGGUUGCAAUCGGUCUGCAAAGAUGCCAUUAAAAGGUAACCGUAGUUGGUUGCAUGAAUAAGAAAAUGAAAAGAAAAGAAGUUAAAACUAAUUAAAAUUAUUUAAUAUUUACAUUGAAGAGUAAAAAUAAUUACAAUAUAUUUAAAUAAACACAUAAAAAUAAUAAUUUAUUAAUUUUAAAUCUAUUUUUAAAAUUUUCAAUUUUUCAUUUAUUUUAUUCCCUCUAAGCUUUCUAACUAAGGUCAUAAUUUGGACAAAUUGUUGGAUUCAUAACUAAUCUAAAUAAUCUAAUAGAGAUAAAUAAAUAAUUAAUUUAAGUUCAACCCAACCUCUAAGCUUUCUAACUAAGGUCAUAAUUUGGACAAAUUGUUGGAUUCAUAGCUAAUCUGAAUAAUCUAAUAGAGAUAAAUAAAUAAUUAAUUUAAGUUCAACCCAACCUCUAAGCUUUCUAACUAGGGUCAUAACUUGAACAAAUUGGAUGGUUAACAUACAACUUGGACAUAUUGGUGGGUUCAUAGCUAAUCUGAAUAAUUUAAUAGGGAUUAAUAAAUAAUUAAUUUAAGUUUAGCCCCACCUCUAAACAAAGGUAUUUAAUUCAAUCUCAACCAACUUCAUUUCUUCGAGCUCUGGUUGAUGAGGUUAAACUUGGGUUAGCCCUUGAUUGUAUAAUUCAAAAUACAUGUAGAAUGUUUUUUAAUAAAAAAAAAUUUAUAUACUUAUAUCAAAUUUUAAAUAGUAAGUAGGACAAAACUUUAAAAUAACAAAAAAAAAACAAAAAAAAAAAACAAAAGCAAAAACAAAGUUAUAUAUCUUUUUUAAAAAGUAAAAAAAUAUAUUAUAUAAUAUAAUUUGAUUUUUUAUUUAUAAAAAUUUAGAAAGAAUAAAAUUAUUAUAUAAAAUAACAUAUAUUGGAAAUAUUAUAAAAACACUAAAAGUUUGUUCAGUAGUUAUUCAAAUAAGUGUUUCUAUCCAUAAUUUAAACUUUGGUUUCAAUCUAACUUGAAUUGAAUUUGAGUUGAAAAAGUUUAACUUGAAUAUUAAAAAUAAUUGUCUAAACACGAUCAAAUAUCGGAUUGGAUUCGACUAAUCUGCCAAAGUUGCACUCCUACCAAGAACCAUACACAAUAAAAAGAUUUUAAGAUAUUUUUUGUUCUAGGAAAGUACUCAAAAAGGAGAAAUAAAGAAAAAAAAUGAUUCUAUAUGUAUAAUUAAAAUUAGUUAAAUUUUAUAUAUUUUAAAAUUAUUUAAUUUUUUUUAUAUGGAAAAGAAAAAAAAAGAGUGAAGUAAGUUUGAAAAAACAAGUAAAAAUGAUUUGUUAACUUUAAUAUUUUUUUUCUUUUCUUUUCUUCUAUUUUUUUCUUUUUAGUUUAUUUUUCUCAAAUUUUUCAAAAAAUAAACAUAGAAUUAAAAAAUAAGAAAUAAUUACAGAAUUGGAAACCAAUUUUAGAACUUGCUUAUAUGAUUGCAUUAGUUUGUGUAAAUAAUAAUUUUAUUGAAUGUUAAGAGAGUGGUAUUAAAUGCACAUUAUUUAAUAUUUUUAUUUCUAAAGAAAGUAAUCUUUACAUGGAUUGGACCAGUGUUUAUUUAUCCAUGUGGGCCAGCCCAUUAAAAACAUCAAACCAACAACUCAAGGGACGACCCUGGUCAUUCUCGGGGGCCCACAACCUUCAUCUCAAACAAAAGCCCAUGGGCAGGAUCACCUUCCACACACAUCUUCAUACCAGCCACCACGCUACCAACAAUCCUCCUCCAUGAAAGCCCACCUCCAUCACAGCAAGCAGAAAAUCCAACACGCCAACCAUCAACCUCCGCACAGACCUAACACUGCAUAGCCGUGUUUUAGGAGUGUUAGGACGUGAUUAGAGAGGAUCUACUUUGAGUGUUCAUGGAGUUUCGCUAUAAGAGGAAUCAGUUUACCAAAAAUUCUUCAUGAAACCAUCCAUUUAUCUCAGGGAACAUUUAUGAAGUAGAGUCAAAUAGAUUUACAAAUAAGAGAUGAUUGAUUCCUUUGAAUGAAAUAACCUUAUUUCAAAUUGCCCUAAUGUGGCCUAAUAAGCAAAAUUACUGGUUAUAUUUUGGACACAUCUCAGUAGAGGUUCGGGGGAGAAAAUAGAAGAAGCAGAGAUGCUUACUUACUUCAGAGGGGCCACUGCUCGCCACCACCACUUCAUGGCUGUGCCCAUUUCACUUGCCCAAGCCACUCUCUUCUCCAAACCCUCCAUUUUACUCCACAGAAAUGCCAUCAAUGGCUUCUCCUUUUUCAUUCCUUUCUCCUCUUCUUCUGCUCAGAAGAUUCAGACUCACAAGUGGAGGCAACCGGUGGUCUCGGUUCUGGAUCUUGGUGGAGUCAAGAUUGGCAGAGAUGGUAACAUACCCACAUCCCAGAAUUGCGUUUAAAAAGGAUCUUUAGCUUGAAUUUCGUGUGCCCAAUUUGCGUUUUUGCAGACAUUUGCACUCAAGUCGUGUCGUUUGUUUGCAAUUUCACAAUCUGAUUUCUUUUCUAUUGUGCGUUUUUUUUUCCUGCUAGGUUCGAAUUCAAGCAUCCAAUUUGCGUUUUUGUGGGUAGUCUUAUGCCCAACUUGUGUCAUUCAAUUUGCAAUUGUUGUUAUCAGACUUCCUUCUCUCUUUUGAGACUUACACAGUUAGAGACGUCAUUUCUGUGAAAUUAAGAAUGCAUGUUCCAACUUUCACUUCUUUCUCUCUCUCUCUCUUUUUUUUUUUUUUUGUGAAAUUGGAAUUCAAGAACUUAUUUUACGUUUUACAAGCUUAGCGGGUUACGUUUCUGUUCUAUUUGUUGUGCUGUUGGAGGUGUUUGGUGCAUUUAUAUAACUAGGCUUGCAAUUUCGCCCUCUGAUAAAGGUUAAAUUUUCUCCCUUUUUAUUUUAUAUUUUUUUAAUGGUGUAUUUGUUUUGGGUAUUUGGUGAAAUGAGGAUUUUGUACUGGGUUUAUGGCAUUUUUUCAAUUGGUUUGAUAUAUGUGAAUGUGGGUUUUGUAGGGAAGAUAUGCAAAUUUUUUGAAAGUAAGAAUGCAAUUACAACUCUGAUUUCCUUUAUAUUUAUAUUUUUUUAUGCUUAUUUGCAUAUUGGUUGAUGUCAAAAUUCAUCUAAUGGGUUGUUUUUUAUUGCUUUGGAUUGGUUUAAUGUAGUUGAAUGGUGGAUUUUGUUUCUAAAACUUAGGGUCAAUUUCAAUUUUUAUUUUAUUUUUUUAUUUUUUCAAUUUGAAGACCUGGGAGUCUAUGUGAUUGGAAUUGAUGUACUCGAGUUUUUGGAUUUUGCUGAUUGCCUUGAUAAACUUGGGAUGCAGAGCCUUAAAAAAUAAACUACAUUCACUAAGCUAUAUCUCUGAUUAUACUUCGUCAGAGCGUGAAAUGCAACUUGGAGUCUUUGUAUUUUUUAAAUUUUUUGGGUUAUUCUAUUCUGAAUAUUUGGUAAAAUUAGAAUUCAUGUACUGAACCUUUUUCAAGUUCUUUUGGUUGGCUUGAUAUAUUUGGUUGUGGGGUUUGUAGAUGUGGUGAGGGAUGAUCCUACAAACAAUGUCCCGGAUGCAAUUUUUUUGAAACUUGGAAUGCAGCUUCACAGGAGGGAUCAACACCCAGUUGGAAUUCUGAAGAAUGCAAUAUAUGAUUAUUUCAAUGCCAAUUACUCUAACAAAUUUGAUAAGUUGGAUGACCUUUGCCCAAUAGUCUCCACAAAAGAGGUUUGACCAUUAAGAAAUAAAAUAGAAAUUGUAUGCAUGUUUUUUUUUCACUGUUUUGAGCUAUACAUUGCACUAUUUGGAACUUGUAUUAUCUUUCUAUGACUGGUGCUUGACAUUUUGUUGCUGUUUAUAUUUAUUUUGCUGCUCAUUUCUUGUUGGUUAGUGUCCUGUCCUAGGUGUUUUAACAUUUAAGAAUCCAUGAAAGUGGUAUUUGCAUAUGUUGCCCAUUAUUCCAUCGACGAUGUUCUAAGUAGGGAACCUAGUAUCCAAACUUCCAUCCAAACUUACAUAUAAAAAAAAAGUCCAGAACAGGCAUUCAGUUUACCAGGUUUAUCAGUUCUCUCCAGUGUUUAUUCAACUCUUAAAUGCAGUAUUCUGGACAUACUCCAAAUUUGAAAUUCCUUUGGUAAAAUAAAGGCAUGGUACUUAUAGUGGUCUAUUAAGGAAAAGGUUUGUUUGACCUAGCUUUUGUACAAAAAAUUCAAGGAUAGUCUUGCAGAUAUGUAUCAUAUAGGUGUAUAUUUCUCUAUCAUGAUACAAGUGAGAAAAAAUUCAGGAAAGUUGUUUUGUUUAAAAAAAAAAUUGAAAGUUAAUUUAUGUUUUGAGAGGGACAUUAGGCAACCUAGGAUUCAAAGGGACAUAUUGUCUCUUAGGAAAAUAUAAUUCAUAGCAUUCUCAACCACUUACAGGUUAUUUCAGUCCUUUUAUAUUGAUUUAUUUAAUUUUUUUCUUUAUUGUAGGCAAGCAAAAAAGAAUUUUACAACACCUACUAUUAUCAUUAUUUUGGUAAUUAGCAUUGAUGGAGAUUGUAAAAAUUCUCUAAUAGUAUUGCAGGAGAAAAAUAAUAUUUAUGAAUUUUUGUUAAACACAAUUGUCAUAAUGAUAAUAAUUAAUUAGAAUAAUAUAAGUUUGUAAUUGGAAAAAUUUUAAAAAAUAAAAGCUUUUGGAAAUAGUUUGAAUAGGAGUAGAAAAUUCUUGGAUUUCAUGGAGAGCUUAGGUGGGAUCUAAAGCAUGGGGCUGUUUGCUAUCUAUUUUAGUAUUUGCUGCUCUUCUCUCUUAUAGGUGUUCAGCUGCAGCUUGUAUUCUCUGAGCGUACUUGGGUUGUGCCCCCUUUUGUGUUCUUCAAUAUAAUCUUCAGGCUCAUGACUAGUGCAAUUUCUACUAAUUGAACACUUUUCACUUCAAAUAAUAUUCAGUAAUCUAAAUAGCAUUUAUCAAAUUAUUCUAACCCGCCAUUAGAUUUAUAAAGAACCCAAAAUAUGAAAUUUUCUUCUUAGGCAUGAGAAAUUGUCAUUGUUAUAAACCCCAUGUUUGUCUUGUACUUACAAGCAUAAUUAUAAAGCAUGAUCUGCGUGUCUUAUCAUGAAAUAUAACAAUGUCAUAAAAUAGAUGAUUGAUAAAAUGUUAGAAGUCCAUUGCAAAUGCUUAAUGGAACUGAAAAUUAUUACAGAACAAGUGCAUAUUUCACUCAAACUUUUAUGCAGUAGUGGUAGCUUAUAAACUCACAACUUUGUAAUCAUGUGCUUGAAUCAAGCAAACUUAAUGGCUCUCAGCUACAACUGCUCUACAUUUUAACCAUUGUUUUAUGUUAUGGGAAUAGUGACUGAAUUACACAGUUCCAUCAUUAUAAUUUAUGCAUUGUAAUUUCAUUUGUGGGACUUAGUUUUCACAUGUGUUCACAUGUCAUAACUGUAAUUUCCCUAAUUUUAUGAGAAAGAAAAACUCUUUAAUUUUCCCUAUUUUGACUGAAACUUUUGGAACUUGGACUUUAUAUGGUGCAAAUGUAUGUUAUCAGCUAUUGCUUUUGACCAGUCAUGAGUAGAUACUAUUUAUAAAAAGACACAAAGGAGGAUAUAAUCCAAGUGCACUUGUAGUCAACAAGUUACUCUGGGCAUCAAAAUUGAAAGAAACAACAAUGAAGAAAAGCAGCAAGAAAGUGCCCCUACCUCCCAAACUCUCAAUGAACUAAUGGAAGGAUCUACUACUAUGCAAGAUAACUUCUUCUAAGCACAACUACACAUAACAAUACUUAGCCUGCGCUAUGGUGUCAAGUGGUAGGGUCAUUGGAACAUGCCUAUUUUGAUGGAUUUUAAUUUGUGGGGAUAGUUAAAGUGUAAAGUGUUUGAUAAAAUAAAUUUGCUAGUUUUAAUAAAUUGGAAUUACUACUGAAUGAAAUGUGAAGCUAGAUAUUAGGAGGAGAAAGAAAGAUAAUUAAUUUAUUUGUAUGACACUAUGACUUACACAUUGUGAAGCUUACUAGUAGGGAAUUGUUGAACAGGGGAACUUACUUAAUAGGGGAGAAAGAACCACACAUAUUUCUUGAUGAGUAAAUAUAAUUACAUUAGCCAAAGGCCAAAAAUAUAUGAGUAGUUCACUAAUUGCAUGUUAUUGGAAAGAGAGCUGAGCAACUAUGAUUCAUAAACUUUUUACAAUUUAAAGGCCUGGGUCCAAUGAGAUAUGUUGCAUCAUAUUACCUAAUGAACCAAUGAAGUUUAUGGAUUUCCAAAACUUCUUGGAGAGGUUCAUUAUUUUAUGGUUCUUUUUUUUUAGGGUUCUUUAUUUUCUCUUUGCUGAGAUAUCUAGAAUAUGGCAUGGUAGGUAUUUUUGCUCCAUACCUCUUUGGAGGUCGAUUCUUUGGCAAAGUAGGAGGAAAACAAAUUAGCAUCAACUUUGGCUUGACUUGAGAUCACAAAUCUGACUAGAGAUUUUGCAGUAGUGUGUUGAGGUCUAAUCUGAAUCCAGGUUGUGAUGUGUGCAUCAAAGAGUCUUUCCAUAAGCCAUGAAGCUUUGAGGUGUUUUGUGAUGGCAUGACUGGAUAAUGAGCUGCAUUUUGGUCUGGAAUUUGGAGUUCGGUUAUGCAUUUCUGUAUCUAUAUCUCCAAAAUUAUUAACUAAUUUUAAUUAUUUUAUCUAUUUUUCAAAAUAAACAUUCAAAAUUGAAAGUUUGUGUCACGAGUCUUCAGGCUUAUCCGGAAUAGAAUGCCCUGCAUUAACUCUUGCUGUUAAUGCAUAUAAUACCAGGUCAGUCAACACAGCCAUUCGCUUGCUUAUGUUGACUUUCAAUGGCUUAAAGUUUAUGGCUUCAAUGGUUAUUACCAUGCUAACACUCAAACUAAUUCUUUUUUUGAUAGGUAAAUAAGAGCUUGUAUUAGAAGCGCCUAGAAGUGGCGAAAACAGUACACAUGAAGUAUACAAACAGAUUGCCCAAGAAACUAGGCAAAGAAGACAAAAAACCUUUCCCCUAACUAGACAUAUGGCCACUCUAUAAAAUGGUCAUUGGUUUCCUCUUUCUCUUUACACAAGCAUAUUCAAACUAAUAACUAAUAGUUAUUGGAUUUAAAGCUUGUUUGUUAAUGUUCUUCAUGGUUGUGCUUCUAUUUUUAAUCGAUUCUCUUGGCCAUCACCGUUUCCCCCUUAUUAAGAUUGGAUAUUUAAGUUUCAACGAAACAGCCUACUAAAUCCUCCAGAUAGAUCCUAUUUAUAAGGCAUGGAAGUUUGGUCAAUGUCUGCUUCCAAGAUUCUUAUCCAUAUUUCUAUGAAUUCUUAUGCCAGAAAGUCUACUUCUUGCAGAAUUUUGAUGAUGUCUUGGUUCCUCCUGAUCACGUCAGUAGAAGUUACAAUGAUACAUACUACAUUGACUCCCAAACUGUCUUGAGGUGCCACACUAGUGCUCAUCUAGCAGAGCUAUUGAGGAGGGGACACACUCAUUUCCUUGUGACUGGAGAUGUUUAUCCUAGAGAUUCCAUUGAUUCAACUCACUACCCUGUUUUUCAUCAGGUUUCUUAUCUCUGAUUUUAUCAAUGAUUGUUUUCUAUUAACAAGUUUCUUAAUGUUUUCUUCAGUUCAAUAACUUAUCAUGCAGAUGGAAGGUGUUCGUGUCUUCUUUCCAGGUGAUUGGGAGACAUCUGGAAUGGAUGGCACGUCUUAUGCGGCUGAGGAUUUAAAGAAAUGUCUUGAGGGUUUGGUGCAGCACUUGUUUGGUAAACUUAGAUCAGGAGAUUGUCUUAAUCAGAUGCAAACUUAAUGCUAUCAGUUCAUGCUGCAGUGAGAAAUAUGAGUUAAGGAAUCAUUUAUCAGGUCGAAUAAUUCAAAAUCUGGGAAAUACUGCAAGUAAAAGGGGGGAAAAAUAAUGAAAUAAUAAAAUAAUAAAAUAAUAAAUUUAAGUGGGGAAAGCAAUUCAUUUUUUUUUUUUGAUCAGUAAGUAAUAUGUGUAUUGAAAAGAGGUGCUAAAGAAGCGACUCAAAAGUGGGAAAGCAAUUCAUGUUAUGCAAAAGCGGUAUAGGUUGGUCAUUUAGAAGUCAAAUCAAGAUAGUCCAGAAUAAUAUAGGGAAUUAUUUGUGAUUCUCAAGGUACUUGUUAAGAAUCAUUGAUAAAUUACGUAAGGAAACAUUUAAGAGUGCUAUUAUUCUUGAAAUUUCUGAAAUCUAUCAGAAAGGUAGUUUUCAUCUUGGGGUUUACCAUAUACUGUAUAGAAUCUGUGUGGGCUAAAUCUGUUGAAAUUUGCAGGUAAUGUGGAAAUGCGCUGGAUUGAUACAUAUUUCCCUUUCACCAACCCAUCAUUUGAACUUGAGAUAUAUUUUCAGGUAUGCUUUUGAUCUGGCUGGUGGUUGCAUUUUAGCACUAUAUAUUUCGAAUUUCUUUAAAACUUUGUUUUUGAACUAAUUUUAGUAGAAACAGGCUCCAUUUCAUUUUGCUGUUUUUACCUUUUGCAAGGAAGGGUAAAAAUCAUUUAAAAAAUGUGAACUUCAGUUUAUUCCAUUGCUGGCAUGUGUGGCUUUCAUCUGUUUUUGAAGACACUGAGAUUCAUAGACUGAUGAUAUUCCAAUGCUUAUAAUAACAGUAAUGUUGAUGAUAAAAUAAUAUAAAAGUAGAAACAAAAUUAGUUGUCUCCCUUUUUUUUUCUUUUAGUUUCUUUGUUCUUCUUACCCCUCUGUUGUGGGGAGGGGGUGUGGGGCUCUUUGUCGUUGCCAAAUGUGAAAAAGAAGAUGUAUUAUGUCCUUUUAUUUUGGACUUACAGGACCUAUUAUGAAGGCAUUGCUUUCUUCAAUGUAUAUUUAUGACUUCAAGACAUUUUUGUAUUUUAUUUUGUGGCAGCAUUUUUUAGUGUCACUAUUGAAGGAGAAAUUCAUAAACAUAUAUACACACAUGCUAGUGGGCAUACACAAACACUGAUGUUCCACACACUAAUUAAAAAAUUCUUGCUUUGAGUAGUAUCUUUUUCCAGAACUCAUGUCCAUGUCAGAUGGCAACAUGACAAUGACUAUUUGCCAGCAGAUGGAAUGCUGGCAACACUUUUAUGGAUUGAAUGUUUUCCUUUCCCUUUUCCUUGUAGUGAAUGAUGUGUACUUUAGUUGCUCUUACAUAUUUGAUGCAUUGUGCUUAUGCCCUAACUGAUGCAGAACAGAAAAGUACCAAAAAAAAUGAUGGGAGUCUAGGAAUUACUUCCAAAAACCUUAGGCUUCACAUAUAGGUUUCGUUUUCAUCACACAAAAAUGAAAACAUUGAAAGCUGGAAGGUUUUGUGUUUUCAUUCAUUGAUCCUUUUAGAAGAUAGAGUGAUCAGCUUUGGAAACUACAACCCUAAGACCCCUAAGACUCUUAAGACCCCUAACACUCUUUGGAACCAAUCACAGUAAUAAUUAAGCUGAGAAAUCAGAAACUUGAACUGAUAAAUAAAAAUUAAAAGGCACUUGGAAAUAUAAAGCAUUAAUGACUUUGAAAAUAAGAACACUCCAAUACCCACCCCCCGCCCUUCGGAAAACUCAACCUUGACAAGUUAAAGGCAUGGAGUUUCUCAUAAAGAUCACAAUUCAACUGCUGAAAUUCAUUGCUUGUGAUCCACAUACAAUCUCAAAGUGGCCUUUCUCUCCAUUCCACAAGAUACUUUUGAUAACCUCCUCUUCUGGUUGAAACAAUUUAGUGACCAACAACUUUUCAAUCUUCUCUUUCAAUCAAGGGGCUGGUAGAAGAUGACCAUUUGGACCAUUAAUUGAUGUAGCAGCUUUAGGAUUAGGAUAAAGGGUGCGGUCUUUAAUAUUAGAGAUCUUAUUAAUGCUCAUAUUUUCUGGCAAGUCAAGUACAUUAGCGUUGGGACUUGUUUUCCUGAGAAUUUUAUAGGGACCAACAUUCUUUGAGUGGAGUUUCUUAUAGGCACCUCUAGGAUAUUGUUCAGGCCUUAUUCACACAAUAACCAUAUCACCUUCAAUAAGUUGAGCAAAUUUUAUUUUCACAUCAUCGUAUGACUUAUUUAUUUAUUUGAUAGGCAAGCUGGAAAAACAUGUAUUCAUAUGACUUAUAAUUUCAUUGAUGAAAACAAUUUUCAUUGAACAUGAUGUUGUAUGUCAUCUAUAUGCUCACUAAAAGCAUCAGCUUCAAUGAUAGGUCAUGCAUCCAUUGGUAAAGGAACCAAAUCCAUAGGCUUUCUAGGAAGCGAUUCAGUCACAAUCUCAAAAGGACUGUGACCAAUAGACCUGUUCAGGGAGCUAUUAUUUGCAAAUUUGGCCAUUGAUCUGAUCUCUAGCUAGGCAGUGAAGUAAAUGAUCCAAGCUUCAAUUAACAACUUCUAUUUGGCCAUUUUUUUGAGGGUGAAAAGAAAAAGAAAACUUUAGUUUGGCAUUCGGUAUUUUCCAUAAAGUUCACCAGAAGUAACUCAUGGACCUACCAUCCAAUUUAGGAAAAUCAUGAAGGCGAACAAUUUCCUUGAAGAAGAGUUUUUUUUUUUUUUUUUGAUAGGUAUUCCUUGAAGAAGAGUUUAACAAUCAGGCAACAUCUUUAGUCCUUAAGCAUGGGAUAAAUUGUACCAUCUUGGAGUAAUGAUUUAUCGCUACAAGUAUACAAUCAUGUCUCUAAUAGUUUUUAGAAAACCAGGGACAAAAUCCAUGCACAGGUCUAGCCAUGGCUCAUGUGGCACAGAAGUGGCAUGUAUAGACCUAUAUUCUUCCUUUGCCUCUUUGAUAAUUUGCAGGUUCGAUGUCUGGAGACAUUCUUAGCCACAUUUUUUCAGACUUGGUCAAUAAAAAUGAUUUUCCACCAUUGUAAUGGUUUCAUCUCUUCCAAAAUGACCAGUUGUUUCUCCAGCAUGAAGUUCCAAUAUUACUUGCUCAUGAAAUGAUGUUUUGGGUAAGCAAAGCUGAGUCCCUUUGAAGCAAUAUCAAUCAUGUAAAAAAUCACCAUAUUCUCCCGAAUUUCUAGGCACUAAAGCAACACAUAUAGUGCUAAAAUCUUUGCAAGAAGGAUAAGGUCUAUUGAACGAGUCAAAUCCAACAACUUGUACUGCAAUAGAAGAAAGAGUGUAUGCCAAUUUGCUAAGGGCCACUGCAAAGAAUUCUUUGCCAUUGCAAAAUGUGCACAUAUAUGUUGUUGAAAAAGAUGUUUAGAGCAUGCAUUAAACCUCACAGAUAGGUUUUUUACAAUAUGGGUGUACACAUUGACAUUACUAUUCACAUCAAAAUGAAAGAGAUUAAAAUAUUAAAUAGCAUCAUUAUCAUUUAGAUUCUAUAUAUGUUUUACCUUCAACACACUUAAGUUGUUUGAAAUUUUCAUAAUAUAUCUAAUUUAAUGGUAAUAUAUUAUAAAGACCACACAAAGAAACUUAAGAUGAUUGAAAAUUUCAUAAUAUAUUUGGUUUUAUGACAAUAUAAUAUAAAGACUGAAAAAAUAAAAUAAUGUUUGACGUUCCAACCAUAAUACAUUGCUGUUACUUCAAAAAUUAGAAAAAAAAAACAUUCAUAAUUCAUUGCAAUAAAAACAAAUACAAGAUUCUAAAAACUUUAUCACCUAAAUUCUGCAUGUAGAACAAGAGCAAAGUUAGGAUCUUUCUGUGUGGUUAAGUGAAACUCGGUUUCUUAUCCUACUUUACAAUUUUUGGUUUCUUACUUAUUCAAAACAAAGGUCGAUAAUAUUAAUAGUGUACUUGAUAUAUAUGGAAUUACCAAAGACAACAAGAUUUGCAUAUGGAAUCAUAAAAGAACACUAGAAUGACAAUUAAUAAACAUAUAAAGAUGUACAUUUGAGUUGAGACACACCUUGAGGAGAGAUACAACAAAAAAACAUAAGCAAAUGCACCCAAGGAUUAUGGAAUUCUCCUCCUUUUUCCUCUGGCAAACCUCACUUUUCUACAUGAUAAUGAAUUUAUCAAAAAUACAAAUUGAUACUAAAACAUAAUAAUUAUAGUCAUAUCCCCUUAAGGCAUUAAAAUAUUAGAAAGUCUCUUGAUGAGCACAGAGGGUUAAAAUUAUGUUUAUUGCUUGGAUACAACAAAAUGAAGUUACAAGUAUACUAAAUAAUAUACUAGGAAAUAACAUAUCGACACCAUAUAUAAGAGUAGAAUUGAAGCUAAAACAAGAACUUUGAAUGCAUGUUUUGCACCCUUUGUGUGGCUUUGCCUUAUUAUAUAGUUCUAUACAUCAUGUAUACUUUAAAAAAAAAUUGUUUUGCAUGUUUUUUCUUAGGGGCCUUUUUAUGCAAUUUUAUUUUCUUAUCACAAGAAAGUUGAUUAGAGUUUUUGUAAUUUAUUUUCGUCAUAAUUUCAUUGUAAUAUAAAAAAGAAAAUUUGAGAUUUUUCCUAAUAUUUUUGCUUUACUCGAUACUUUUCAUGAUUUGAAUGGAGUUUUUUACUUUUUUGUGUGAGACUUGGACUCAUCAAUGUCUCAUAGUGUUCAAAAUGGAGCCUUUUGCAGAGGUAGAAGAAGCACCUACAACACUAAUGAUGGAGUUACUUCAGGAAACAUGACUUUCAUUCCUGUAAAAAUGGCUAAGACAUUUCAAUUUUUUGACCACUGCACAAAAACCAUGUUUUCUUAAUUUCUGAAGGAGUUGUAUUUUUUAAAUAAAUUUUAUACAUAAACAACACUUGAUCUCAAGAUCAACUCAAGUAAUCCAUGUCUAAUAAAAGGAUGUGAGAUACACCCUCCUCAACUUGAAGGAGUGUGAGCCAAUUGAAUAAGAGUGUUUUGAACAACUUGAAGACAAGCUAUACUAUAUGUUGUACCAUCCUUUUUGAUGGAACUCAUGAAAGGCUAGUGGAUAUGAGUCUUUGAGGAAUGAAUUAGGCUCAAUGCUGUUGUAUAUAAUUUAGAGUAGAUAUUUGAAAUGUAUGGAUAUUAUUUGUAGUACCAUCAUGGAUAUGAGUUGUGAUGUUUAUUUUCCUUGUAAUUUAUUUUAUGCAUUUAAGUGUCUUAUUUCAAAAAGGUAAAAUUUUUAUAUUUGAUUACAUUAGAGUUUAUAUUUAAUACUUUAAUUAGGAUGACUAAUGAUUAUAUAUUGAUGUAAAUAUUAUUUUUCACAAAGAUAGUUCAAAAGUUAUGUUUGGAACCAAAUCCCAAAGGAAAAGAAUUCUAAAAUUAGAUUUCAGUCUCUUGGUGAUCAUGAUUGGUAUGAGAAGGAAUUGAAAUGAAAACAAUUCUCUCGGGUCUGGUAUUAUAACGAGAAUAAAUAACUUUGGUGUACUAGUUUGACCAUGCUACAACAUAAAUAUGAAUGAUCUAAAUAUUAAUUCUUCUUAACUAAAAUCAACCUAAUUAUAAAUUUAAUUAUAAAAGUAAAUAAAUUUAUCAUAACAAAAGUAAUUAAGAAUGUCAUUUAUAUAAAAAUUACAGAAACAAUCAAUUUCAAUGAUUUAAAAUCACUUCUCAACAUUAAACUUAAAAAUCCCUCUAGCAUGAUCUAAAUUAUCUUAGAAUCGGCUUUUUAAUUCACUUAAAAUGCAAAGUAACUUACACUAGUUUUAAAAAAUUAAAAGAUUAUUAUCAUAAAAGAAUAUUUGUUUUUGUUUAAAUCCCUUUACUCCUCUAUUAAUAAUUAUAAAAAUAGAGAAAUAACUAAAAUAACUAAAAUAACAUGACAUAAAUGAUAAAAAAGAAAAAAAAAAAAGAUAUAUAACCAAUGUUUUAAAAACCGGACCAGUGAUCGAAUCGGAAAAGUUACCGGUUCACGGUUCACUGGUCGGACCGGCGGUUGAACCGCGGUCGAACCGGUGAUGUAAUAAAUAAUUAAAUAUAUAAUUUAUAUAUUAUAUAAAAUUAAAAAUAAUUAUAAAAAUUAAAAAUAUAUAAAAUUGCAAAUUUUAAUAAUGUUUGAUUCUUAUAUAUGGUAUAUUAAAUUAAAUGAUAAAGUUUAAUAUUUUAAAUUUUAUUAAAUAGAAAUAUGUAAUAUUUAAGAAAGAAAAUAUAUUUAAGAUAAAAAAUUUAUAAUAUUUAAUUUUAUCCUUUUGUCUUUGUAUUUUAUUGUUUUUAAAUUAUUCUAUUAAUUAAUUUAUAUUAUUUUUUAUAAUUAUUAUAAAAAUAAAGAAGAAUUAAAAUAUUUACAUUUUUUUAAAAGAUUUUAUAUGAUAAAAUUUUGAAAUAAAAUCAAAGUUCUAUGUGUCCAACCCUCAAGAGGCAAUGUUUUCCUCUAAUAGUCUCAUUCCCAAUCCCACAUCGAAAGCACAAGAAUUUGAUGUGCUCCAUGUGCUCUAUAAAUACCUUCCAACUUGCCUUUAACCCAAACAAGCUAGCAAGUUGGGCGUGGAAGCAUGGCUCAAGUGGAAGUGUUAUUUUAAAAUAAAAAAUGCAGCAAAUUGGGCUUGUAGACAUGGCCCAAAUAACAGUGUUAAUCUUAUCAUUGGACUAGGCCUAGUGGCUUGAACCAAAGAUGAGUUUGUAGGCAUUGGGCCUAGAAUGGGCCUUUUACAUAGUAAACAAAAACUUGUUAUCUAAGGUGUGACCUGCAAACCGGACGGGUUGUCCGAUUCGACGAUUCAACUGUCGGUUUGAACGAUUCAAUGUCGGUUUGAUCACAAAACGAUUCAUUGAGCGGAUCGAACCGGAUAGUUCACCGAUCGAUGGUUUGAUCGGUCGAUUUUUAAAACCAUGUAUAUAACUACAAUGAUAUAAGUGAAAUUAAUUAAAAUUGAGAAUUCACUCAAGUUAGAGAAUUAUUUAUUCUAAUAAAAAUAUUAAAGAAAUACAUUACUUAUUGUAACAAUUUUUUUUUCUUCUUGUAUUCUAUGUGAGCAUCUAUAAUAUUGAAAAUAGAAAUAAAAGAAUCCCCAUUCAUAUUUAAAAUAAUUUAUUUUAGAAGAUUCUACCUUUAAAAAGUCCAUUAAAGUUCAAAAAGAGAAAAAAGAUGAAAUGAAUAGUAUGUAAAGAAAAGAGAGUGAAAAAGACAAAAAUAUAUGUAUUAAUUUAAAUUUAAAGAGAAGAGGUAAGAGUAACAGGGCAACAUCGAAAAAGAGAAAGUUUACUUUAAUAAAAUUGAAAUCUCAUAAAUUAAAAACUCAAUUGCUAUUCGUAAUACCAUUUUUACUAAUGCGACAUUUUACAUUUCUAAACUACCCUCCCUUAUUAUUUCCCCUCUCUCUUUCAUCUCUCAUCUCUCCUCUUUCCCCUUUCUCUUCCCCAACCUCACGUCCCAAUUGCACCAUUUUUUAUUUUCUUUUUAUUUAUUUAUUUUUUCCCAACCCCCACCCCCACAUUUUAGCUUUCUUUUUAUUUUAUUUUAUUUUUAUUUUCCUUUUCAUCUCUACCCACCCAACCCCCCACUCCACGUAAACUUUUAUUUUUCUUUUCAUUUCUUUUAUUUUUUUUCACACUCUAUUGUUUUUCAUAUUCUUCUUAUAUUUUAAAACAAAAUAAUUUCUUUAAAUAAUAAAUUAUAAAAUGAUUUUUUCACCAAAAGUGCGUUAUAUAAAAUGAUUUUAUUAUAUUCAAUAUUUUAAUGUGAAAUUCAUAACUCAAUUUUUUAAAAUAAGAAUUAUUAUUAAAAUUUUAAAAUAAAAAAUAUUUAAUUGAAAUGGUUUAAAAAAAAAUAUUUUAAAAUAUAUAAUUCUUUAUAAAAAAAAAUGAAAGUUAUAAAUCUUAUUUGAAAAUUGUCAUCAGAUAUUGAAUUUCAUUAUUCAUUGUAUUUCGUGUGUGAUUCAUAGCCUUAAUUAAGUAGAAUUUAGGUUCGGUGUUGAAAAGAAGUUAGAGAAAGUUCUUUAUUAAAAAUGGUAUAUGUGGAAAAAAAAGUUUCCUUUAACACAACUUUCCAUUUAAAAUUCUUAAAAAGUUGUCUGCCAAAUCCUUUAAAAUUCUUUCCUUCUAAAAACCUCCACUAUUCCAAAUCCAUUCUUCCCUUUUUCCAUUUAAUUCCCUUGAUUCCAAAUAAAGUAGAAUAAUAACAAUCUUUCUAACAAGUUAAUAUCAUAUAAAAGCAAAUAAUAACAAUCUUCCUAAUAAAAUUCUUUCCUUCUAAAAAUCCCCGUUAUUCCAAAUCGAUUCUUCCCUUUUCCCAUUUAAUUCCCUUGAAGCAAAGUUACGAACAUUUGGAAAUACAUUACAAGAAUUUUGUGGAUUUCUUCAAGAAUGAUUAUAGAAGCAAAAGUUUAGAAACAUUAAAAGGGUAAUUUUUAAAAAUAAAUUAUAGAAAAAUCCAAUAAAUAAUUAUUUUUUUCCUUUAUUGAGGCAUAUUAAAAAAGUACAAUAUUCUAAAAAUAGGUAAUAGAAAAAAUAUUAUAACAAAAAGGUUUAUUUCUUUAGUUAUAUUAAAACAAAAAACAAAAAAUAACAAGGUUAGUUCAAAGAUUGAAAAAAAAAAAUACAUUAGAAAUAUUAUCAAUGUUUUAGUUUUAUUUUCAUACUCAUCUUGGGGUUUAUAUAAAAAUCAUUAAAUGAAAGUGGGUUCUAAAAGUCAAGAAAGGUUUAUUCCCUUAAAUGAAAGUAUUUUUAAAAUAUAAUUCUCAAAUAUAAAAUUCAAUUGCAUAACAAUCGUUAUUACCUUCAUAGAUACUUCUACUAAACAAACAAGUAAACUGCUAUCCUAUUAAAACAUAUGUUUGAAUUUUGUAUAGGCAUUUGAUAAAUAUAUAUAUAUAUAUAUAUAUAUAUAUAUAUAUAUAUAUAUUCACUUUGUGAAUAUAAGCUUCAAUGUUAUUUAAAUUUUCUUUUUUUAAAAAAUAAAUUAAACCCUUAUUAAGAUAUUGAAAACAAUAUUUUUAUUUUUAUUAUUCAUUAAAUCUUAUCGACACUCACUACUUAUUAAUACUCAUAUUUAAAUAACUUUAAAAAUUAUUACCCUUUUUUUUAUAAUAAGUGUCUAGUAAGUUUACAAAAUACAGGAGUUACUAAUUUUUCUAUUUUUCAAAACAAAAGAUAUAUUUACCAAUGGCAUAUUAAAAUUGUAUACCUCUUAACUAGUUUUGUAAGUGCACUAUUUUUUAAUUCCACUUUCAAUAUACUUCUCAUCAUAUAUUUUUAUAGUUAGAAUCAUUUAACAUUGACACAUUCAACAAAUCUUCAUCCAAACAAUGAAUAUGAAAAAUUAUAAAUUGAAUAAGUCUAUAUAUCGCCUAAAAUUGAUGAAAACACAAUAGAAUGGUAAUACUCUCCUCUUUCAUGUUCAUACAAACACAAUUUAACAUUUGGAUUAAACUUUUUGAAAUAUAAGUUUUUAUCAUUAAUUUGAAUUGAAACACCUUAUUGGAAAAUUGGGAGUCCUAUGAAGAAUUUACAAUACAGAAAAUUAUCGGUAAUUAUUAAGUAAUUACAUGGACUUAAAUAAAAAAGAAAAAAUUAGAGACAUGAAAUUGCUUUUAGAACUAAUCCAAUUGGUGGAAAUUUGAGAAAGCCUCCCAAUAGCCAAAGUAACAAACCCUAAACAUAAUAAUUAAUUCUUAGUACUAAGGGUAUGAAGACUUAAACCUCAUUCAAUGCAAACCAAAUCAUAUAGUGAGCUAUACUUUUUGUGGAGAAGUUAUUUUCUUGGACGCUAUAAUAAAAAUAUUUAGAUGGAUGACUUAGUACUUAAGAAAAAUUUUGUUUGUAAAUGUGAAUUCAUGUAAUCCAUAUAUCCUAAUGUUUUUAAUUUUUUAGUUUUAUUUUCAUAUUUAUCUUGGGGUUAUGUAAAAAGCAUUAACAAUAUUAUUUCGGAAUAACUAUUAAAAUGUUAAUUAUUUAUUUGUUGGUAUUAUAAUUUGGGAUGGUGAGAAUAGAGGAGCAAAGUACAAAGAGUCAGUGUAAGUAGGCCACGUGUAAUAUAUCUUUUCUCUUCCAACUUAGGCCCCACCCAAUAAUGGGCUUGGGGCAAAGCACCAACUAUUCAACUUGGAUUGGACUAGGCUAUCUAAGAAUUUGACAAUUUGUUGCUACUGCCUUAAUCUUUGUUUGUGGAUAUUUAAGAAUUUCAUUUUUUUUCCUUUAAAUACAAGAAUUCACCAAUUAAAACUAUGAACAUAUUUAUCUAUAACGAGGAAUUGGAAGAAAAGUGGGUUUAAAAGUCAAGAAUUUAACAAUAUAAAAAAAUUAUCUUUAUUUUUAAUAAAAAUAUUUUUUAAAUAUAAUUCUCAAGUAUAAAAUUCAAUUGAAUAACAAUGAUAAUUAUUACCUAAUCUACUAAACAAACAAUUUAAAUGCUAUCCUUUGAGAACACACAUUUGAAUUUUUUUUUAUAUGUAUUUCGUAAAAAGUUUUUUCUUUUUUACUUUGUUAAUAUAAGUGCUAAUAUUAUUAUUAUUUUUUUUAAAAGAUCAAACCCUUAUUAAGAUAUCAAAAACACUAUUUUUAUUUUUAUUUUUCAUUAAAUCUUAUUCACAUUCACUAUGUAUUCAUAGUAGCAUUUUUUAAGUAGCUUUAAAAAAUUAUUACCUUUGUAAAGUAAGUUUCCAUGAAGUCUGAGUUACUAUUUUUUUUUUUCUAUUUUUAAAAAUAGAAGAUGUAUUUAAAUGACACCCAAUUCAUUAAAAUUAUAUGCCUGACAACUAGUUUUGUCAAUGUGCUAUUUUUAAUUCCAUUUUCAGUAUACUUGUUAUCAUUUUUUUAAUGGUUGAAAUCAUUUAACAAUGAAUACAAAGCUUCACCCAAACAACGAAAAUGAAAAAAUUAACACAAAUUAACAUUUGGAUUGAUUAAACUUUCUCAAAUGUAAGUUUUUGUCAUUAAUUUGAAUCAAGAUGCUUGAUCGAAAAAUUGGGAGUCCUCAUAAGAACUUACAAUACAUAAAAUUAUAGGUAAUCAUUGAGUAAUUCUAUGGACUUGAAUGGAGAGAAAUUUUAUUCUAAAAAAAAAAGAGAAAAAAAUAGAAAAUUAAAGUCAUGUGAUUAUUUUCAAAACUAAUCCAAUUGAUGGAAAUUUGAGAAAGCCUCCUAACAGCUAAAGUAACUAACCCUAAACAUCAUAAUAAAGCACUAAGGGAAUAAGGACUGAAACUUGCUUGAUGCAAACUACUAUCUUUGCAUAUCUAAGUCUUCGAAUGGGCAAUAAUGCUUUUUGUGGAGAAAAUUGGACUUUUGCCCCUUAUGAUACACAAGCCAAGACUAAGAUUAAUUGCUCUCUUUAUUCCAAGUCUUUUGCAUAUCUAAGUCACACUAAGAUUAAUUGCUUUCUUUAUCCCAAGUCUUUUGCAUAUCUAAGUCAUCCAAUGGGCCACACUUUCUAUGGAGAAGACUAAACUUUUGCCCCUUGCGGUACGUAGGCCUCAUCCAAUGGGCCACACUUUUUAUGGAGAAUGCCAGACUUUUGUCCCUAGCAAUAUGAAUGCCAACACCAAUAUUAAUUGCUUUCUCUAUUCCAAGUCUUCUGCAUAUCUAAGUCCAUCCAAUGGGCCAUACUUUUUAUAGAUAAGACUAAACUUUUGCCCUUGUGAUAUGAAGACCAAGACUAAUUGGUUUCUUCAAUAUUCCAAGUUAUGUGCAUACUUCUAUGUAGGGUAAUAACAUAAGGAAGUUUCAUAUGGUUUUAUAAUGUGAGUCUAGAUUUGUUAUUCUGUUUUUUUUUCUUUACAUGCAUACACACACUUUUCCACUUAAAUAACAUAAUUUUUAUUUUUUCAAAUAAUCUUUGACAAAACUUUUAUCAUACCCCUUUUUAACUAUUAUACUAUUUUCCCAUAUCUAAAAUUUUCAAAGUACACAUUUUGUUUUGCAAUUAUUUCUUAACUACGUACAUUCCUUGGACACUACAAAAAUGAUUUUAUUUGAAAAUUAACCAAUAAAUAUAUUUAGAUGGAUGACUCAAAAUUUAAGGAAAAAAUUUGUUCAUCAAUACUAUUUCAUGUAGAAUAUAUAUGCAUAUGUAUCAAAGAAAAAUUUGUGGAUAUUUAAGAAUUUCAUUUUUUUUCUCUAAAUACAAGAAUUCACCUAUUAAAACUAUGAACAUAUUUAUCUAUAAUGAGGAAUUGGAAGAAAAGUGGGUUUAAAAGUCAAGAAUUUAACAAUAUAAAAAAAUUAUGUUUAUUUUUAAUAAAAAUAUUUUAAAAAUAUAAUUCUCAAGUAUAAAAUUCAAUUGAAUAACAAUUAUAAUUAUUACAUAAUCUACUAAACAAACAAGCUAAAUUCUGUCCUUUGAGAACACACAUUUGAAUUUUUUUUAUAUGUAUUUCGUAAAAAGUUUUUUUUUUUACUUUGUUAAUAUAAGUGCUAAUAUUAUUUUUUUUUUAAAAAUAUAGAUCAAACCCUUAUUAAGAUAUCAAAAACAAUAUUUUUAUUUUUAUUUUUCAUUAAAUCUUAUUGACAUUCACUAUGUAUUCAUAGUAGCAUUUUUUAAGUAGCUUUUGAAAAAUUAUUACCUUUGUAAAGUAAGUUUCUAUGAAGUCUGAGUUACUAUUUUUUUUUCUAUUUUUAAAAAUAGAAGAUGUAUUUAAAUGACACCCAAUUCCUUAAAAUUAUAUGCUUGACAACUAGUUUUGUUAAUGUGUUAUUUUUUAAUUCCAUUUUCAGUAUAGUUGUUAUCAUUUUUUUAAUGGUUGAAAUCAUUUUACAAUGAAUACAAAACUUCACCCAAACAACGAAUAUGAAAAAAUUAACACAAAUUAACAUUUGGAUUGAUUAAACUUUCUCAAAUGUAAGUUUUUGUCAUUAAUUUGAAUCAAGAUGCUUGAUCGAAAAUUGGGAGUCCUCAUAAGAACUUACAAUACAUAAAAUUAAAGGUAUUCAUUGAGUAAUUCUAUGGACUUGAAUGGAGAGAAAUUUUACUCUAAAAAAAUAGAGAAAAAGAAGAAGAAAAUUAAAGUCAUGUGAUUACUUUCAAAACUAAUCCAAUUGAUGGAAAUUUGAGAAAGCCUCCUAACAGCUAAAGUAACUAACCUUAAAUAUCAUAAUAAAGCACUAAGGGAAUGAGGACUGAAACUUUGCUUAAUGCAAACUACUAUCUUUGCAUAUCUAAUUCAUCCAAUGGGCAAUAAUACUUUUUGUGGAGAAAAUUGGACUUUUGCCCCUUGUGAUACACAAGCCAAGACUAAGAUUAAUUGUUGUCUUUAUUCCAAGUCUUUUGCAUAUCUAAGUCAUCCAAUGGGCCACACUUUCUAUGGAGAAGACUAAACUUUUGCCCCUUGCGGUAUGUAGGCCUCAUCCAAUGGGCCACACUUUUUAUGGAGAAUGCCAGACUUUUAUCCCUAGCAAUAUGAAUGCUAAGACCAAUAUUAAUUGCUUUCUCUAUUCCAAGUCUUCUACAUAUCUAAGUCCAUCCAAUGGGUCAUACUUUUUAUAGAUAAGACUAAAAUUUUGCCCUUGUGAUAUGAAGACCAAGACUAAUUGGUUUCUUCAAUAUUUCAAGUUAUGUGCAUACUUCUAUGUAGGGUAAUAAGAUAAGGAAGUUUCAUAUGGUUUUAUAAUGUGAGUUUAGAUUUGUUAUUUUGUUUUUUUUUUCUUUACAUGCAUACACACACUUUUCCUCUUAAAUAACAUAAUUUUUAUUUUUUCAAAUAAUCUUUGAAAAAACUUUUAUCAUACCCCUUUUUAACUAUUAUACUAUUUUCCCAUAUCUAAAAUUUUCAAAGUACACAUUUUGUUUUGCAAUUAUUUCUUAACUACGUACAUUCCUUGGACACUACAAAAAUGAUUUUAUUUGAAAAUUAACCAAUAAAUAUAUUUAGAUGGAUGACUCAAAAUUUAAGGAAAAAAUUUGUUCAUCAAUACUAUUUCAUGUAGAAUAUAUAUGCAUAUGUAUCAAAGAAAAACAUGAAAAAUUGAAAACUAUACAUGUAUAAAUAUUAAGAUAAGAUUCAUAUAUUGGUGCAAGUACAAAAGAAACAAUAUUUCAACAAUAAUGCUUUUUCCCUUUGAAACUUUACAUGGCUUUACUUGGAAACAACAUUUGGAUACAAGUACCAUAUACAAUUUUUUAAAAACCGUUCUUCAAAAAAUAAUUCUUAAAUUAAGACCGUUUAUGAUUUUACGUGGAAUUUGUGUUUUGAAAAAAUGGGUUUAAUAUAAUAAAAGUAAGCUUUUUAAAAAAAAAGAAAAAAAAGAAAAGACAAGUUAAGUAUAAAAAGUAGGAAUUACUCAUAUAUUGAAGAGAUAAAUUUAAUGUAAAAAAUAAAAAAAGUAAAAAAUAUUGUAUUCUUGUAUUUAUUUGUCAAACAACCAUUUUUAACAAUAUUCUUUUAAAAUAACAUUUUUUAAGAAAAAAUCCCAUGUUUUUUUUUUUUUUUGCCUCCCAAUUCAAUUUAAUAGACACCUUCGUCCUUUAAAAACUCAACUGCUUUAUAGAGAAGACCAAGACUUCUAGCUCGUGAUGUAGGGUUGUAUUUCGUAUUAUUUCUCAUUAAAAGAUAAGACUAACCCUAGAUGCUACUAACUAUGAAAGUUUUACUUUAGCUUAUGCAGGGACCUAUUUUAUGAUUAAAGAAACUUUUACAAACAAAUAUUCCCUUCUUUUUUUAAAAAAAAAAAAAAGAUUAUAUUUGGUUUCCAUUCCAUCUUUCACUUUAAGCUUAAAACAAAAAAUUAUCCUUAAUGAACCUUCUGCUAUACAUCUAUUCUUCAUAUUCUAAUUGCUUUAGGCAUGCUUAACUUUCUAAUUUAGUGAUUCACAUAGUAGUUAGAAAGCCAAACUCUAUCUUUAGGCUGAUAAGUUGUAAAAUCUAGUAGUCAUAGUUUUCACUUAAUUGUAGAUAAUUAAGAAGGAUGCAAGGUUAACUAAUAGUAAAAGAUAUAAUUGAAAGUGACAAAACUAAAUGGAUAUCAUUUGAGAAAUUAUUGUGGCCAAAGUGGAUAAGAAAUAUGAUCUCCUUUUUCUACUUAGUUGCCCUCCCACUUUUUCCAUGAAAUCUUAGCUUGUGAUUAAAAGUGGGCAAAAUAGUUCGACUCUUGAUCGGACAACCAACCCACGUUGUCAUUUUAAUGUGGAAGUGACUCUAAAUUUUUCUUUGAUUUGAAGUCAAUGGUCCCACAUUUGAAUUGGAAACUUCGAUGAAGUUUCUGAUAAUGAAAAUUUAAACUUAAAUUAUAAGGGAACCUUUGGGUAUAAAUUCAAGUCAUCUAUUAUUAUAUUUUUUCAUCACACACCAGCCAAUUUUUGUUAUAGCUUUUGAAGAUACGAUGUAUCGAAUCCUUUGCUUCCUCUUCUUUCUCUCAUAUUCUCCAGUUAUUUGUUUCUCUUUGUCUAAUUCUACAAAGCUGUGUCCUCAUCACCAGAAUGUUGCCUUGCUUCGACUUAAGCAAUUAUUUUCCAUAGAUGUCUCCGCUUCUUCUUCGGAUGAUUGCAAUUUAGCUUCUUUUGCCAAGACAGACACUUGGAAGGAAGGCACUAAUUGUUGCUCAUGGGAUGGUGUCACAUGCAAUAGGGUUACAGGCCUUAUAAUCGGGCUCGACCUUAGUUGCAGUGGCCUCUAUGGUACCAUUGAUUCCAACAGUAGCCUCUUCCUCUUGCCUCAUCUACGAAGGCUCAACCUCGCUUUCAAUGAUUUCAAUAAGUCAUCUAUUUCAGCUAAGUUUGGACAAUUCCGGAGAAUGACUCAUCUCAACCUUUCUUUCUCUGGAUUUUCAGGUGUAAUUGCUCCAGAAAUCUCCCACCUAUCCAACUUGGUUUCACUUGAUCUUUCCAUCUAUAGUGGAUUAGGACUUGAAACAAGUAGCUUCAUUGCACUUGCUCGAAACCUAACGAAGUUGCAGAAACUUCAUCUACGAGGUAUAAAUGUCUCUUCCAUUUUGCCUAUCUCCCUACUGAAUUUAUCUUCUUUGAGAUCUAUGGAUCUCUCUUCUUGUCAACUAUAUGGGAGAUUCCCUGACGAUGAUCUUCAACUGCCCAACCUUAAGGUUCUCAAGUUAAAGGGUAACCAUGAUCUCAGUGGGAAUUUCCCAAAGUUCAAUGAGAGUAAUUCCAUGCUGUUGUUGGAUCUUUCUUCUACAAAUUUCAGUGGGGAGCUUCCUAGUUCAAUAGGCAUUCUAAAGUCUUUAGAAAGUUUGGAUCUUUCUUCUACAAAAUUCAGUGGGGAGCUUCCUAGUUCAAUAGGUAGUCUAAAGUCUUUAGAAAGUUUGGAUCUCUCGCACUGCAAUUUCUCAGGUUCCAUUCCCUCGGUUUUAGGGAACCUCACACAAAUCACUCACUUGGACCUCUCAAGAAAUCAAUUUGAUGGUGAAAUUUCAAAUGUUUUCAAUAAGAUUAGAAAGCUAAUUGUAUUAGAUCUUUCCAGUAAUAGUUUCAGAGGUCAGUUCAUAGCAUCACUUGACAAUCUAACAGAACUUUCUUUCUUAGACCUUUCAAACAAUAACCUAGAAGGUAUCAUUCCUUCUCAUGUGAAGGAACUUUCAAGUCUAUCGGACAUCCAUUUGUCCAAUAACUUGUUGAAUGGGACAAUACCAUCUUGGUUGUUUAGUCUACCAUCAUUGAUAAGGUUAGAUCUCAGUCAUAACAAACUCAAUGGUCAUAUUGAUGAAUUCCAAUCCCCUUCAUUGGAGUCCAUUGAUUUGAGUAGUAAUGAGUUAGAUGGGCCAGUUCCAAGUUCCAUCUUUGAACUUGUAAAUCUUACAUAUCUCCAACUUUCUUCAAAUAACUUGGGUGGCAUUGUGGAGACAGACAUGUUCAUGAAUCUUGAAAAUCUUGUCUAUCUCGAUCUUUCAUAUAACAUUCUGACAUUGAGCAACUACAGCCAUUCCAACUGUGCGCUACCAUUCUUGGAAACAUUGUUGUUGUCUUCUUGCAACAUAAGUGAAUUCCCAAGAUUUUUAUGCAGUCAAGAGGUGUUGGAGUUUCUGGACCUUUCAAACAACAAGAUUUAUGGACAACUUCCGAAAUGGGCAUGGAAUAUGGGUACGGAGACACUGUCUUACUUCAAUCUUUCUCAAAACUUGCUAACCAGGUUUGAGAGAUUUCCAUGGAAGAAUAUGCUAUUUCUCGACCUUCAUUCCAACUUGCUUCAAGGACCACUUCCAUCAUUGAUUUGUGAAAUGAGUUAUAUUAGUGUUCUGGAUUUCUCUAAUAACAACUUGAGUGGAUUAAUUCCACAAUGUUUGGGAAACUUCAGUGAGUCUCUCUCUGUUUUGGAUUUGCGAAUGAAUCAGCUUCAUGGUAACAUUCCUGAAACGUUUUCGAAGGGCAAUUUUAUCAGGAAUCUUGGCUUCAAUGGAAAUCAAUUGGAAGGGCCUCUACCACGAUCUUUGAUCAAUUGUAGAAGGUUGCAAGUUUUAGACCUUGGAAAUAAUAGAAUAAAUGAUACAUUCCCUUAUUGGUUGGAAACUCUUCCAGAGCUACAAGUUUUGAUCUUGCGUUCUAAUAGGUUCCAUGGUCACAUAAGCGGUUCAAAUUUCCAAUUUCCAUUUCCCAAGUUACGAAUAAUGGAUCUUUCACGCAAUGAUUUCUCUGGUAGUUUACCGGAAAUGUAUUUGAAGAAUUUCAAGGCAAUGAUGAAUGUCACUGAGGAUAAAAUGAAACUGAAAUAUAUGGGGGAAUACUAUUAUCGAGAUUCGAUAAUGGGAACAAUCAAAGGAUUUGAUUUUGAAUUUGUAAUUUUGUCUACCUUCACAACAAUUGAUUUGUCCAGCAAUAGAUUCCAAGGAGAGAUUCUAGAUUUCAUUGGAAGUCUUAGUUCACUUCGAGAACUCAACUUGUCUCAUAACAAUCUUACAGGGCAUAUUCCAUCAUCAUUGGGGAAUCUAAUGGUGCUUGAAUCAUUAGACCUCUCUUCAAACAAGCUUAGUGGGAGAAUUCCAAGGGAGUUGACAAGUCUGACAUUUCUUGAAGUCUUAAAUCUUUCGAAAAAUCAUCUCACUGGAGUCAUUCCUCGAGGCAACCAAUUUGAUACAUUUGCAAAUAAUUCAUAUAGUGGGAAUAUAGGAUUAUGUGGACUUCCCUUGUCUAAGAAAUGUGUAGUUGAUGAAGCACCACAACCUCCCAAAGAAGAGGAGGUGGAAUCCGAUACUGGAUUUGAUUGGAAAGUCAUAUUGAUGGGGUAUGGUUGUGGACUAGUAGUUGGAUUGUUUAUGGGGUGCCUCGUCUUCUUAACAAGAAAACCUAAAUGGUUUGUAACAAUGAUUGAAGGAGAUAGACAUAAGAAGGUUAGAAGGUCAACAAGGAGCACUCGCAGGCAUGGAGCAAGAAGAAGUUAGGCCAUUUCUAUGAUAUCGUAUUUUGUGGUGAAUGAUACUAAUGAAUGUUGCAUUCUUAUGUAAACAAAUAACAUGUAUUGUGAUUAAUGAAGUAAGAGUCUUUGAAGUUGUAAAAAUAUUUGUUUUUAUUUUUUCUUUCUUGAAAUGGAAUAAUAUGUAGUAACAAUAUUUUCAAAUCAUCACUACCAUUUAACUUAUUUAUAUAUCAUGAUCGAAAGUAUUUUUAAAUGUUGGGUUAUGUAAUUAGUAAAGGUAGAACUCAUAAGGUUUUGCAAAGAAUUAGAAGCAAUUGAUUGCUUAUCACUAAAAGACUAACGAAUUUUUGUUAGGAACAAAGGGUGAUUUUUUACAAGAAUGAUAUUGAAAGGGUUGUAAAUUAAUGAAAUCCAAAUUCCAAUUUUAGGUUACAAAUGUUCACUAGACUCUCCUCCACAUAAUACAUUUAUCUUAACAUGAAACAUUUAACUGGUCUUUACUACGAGUCUUGCCUAUGGAAGACUAAUUAAGCAUUCAUAAAACAUUAAUUAAUUCAUGCUCAAAUUGGAUUAUGUUAUUAUUUUAGAGGUUACUUGCUUAUCACUUAUCUCACGAUUUAAAUGCAUUCAAAAGUUAUUUUCUUUUACUUCAACUCAAACUCUUCCCUAUCAAAAUAAUAUGAUCUUAUAUUAAAAAUAAUAUUUUUAUUAUAUAUUUAUAGUUAUUUAUUAGAUAGAAAAUUCCUUCUUUCAGAAUUCCUGAAUCUCUCUCUUAUAGGCUAGGUGGAGUAAUUUAAGAGCCCUUUUUUUCCUCUCUUUUUUUUUGUUGGGCUCCAGCCAGCCCAUCAGACAAUGAAUUCAAGGAUUGUUGGGCUCCUUUUGAGGGCCAAAGUUGGCUUUAAUGCUUGGAAGAGGACUCAAUCAGUUCCAUGCCAAUGAAUUUAUAUCAAGCUCUUGACUUUUAUCUCAUACGUACACAAAGCUUCUGUCAUUCAAACUUCUCUUUUUUAUUUAUUAUUAUUAUUAUUAUUUUAAUUUAAGUGUGUUUUAGCUUAUUCAUAGUCAAAUAAAAGAUUUUUAUUUUAAAAUAAAAUAAUGUGUCUUUCAAUUUUUAAAUUUUAUCUUUUAAAAAAUUGUUUAUCAUAUCAUCAUCAACAAAUGAGUGAGUGACAGGCGGACAGUUGAGGCCCAAAGGGGGUGCAGUGGGUUCUUUGGGCCCAGAUUCUGGCACAAGAGAGCACAUGCUAGCCCAAUCAUGAUUUAGCUAAACCCAUGAAAGAAGACUCUAUCUUACCUUAAGUUUAUUACUAUCUACCCAAUAACAUGGUGUGCUGGAUUUGGCAUCUUGAGUUGGAUUCUAAGCAUUAUUUUAAGGCUAUGUUGCUCGAAAGUGUUAAACAAAGGAGAAAAAUUUGCUAAAAAAAUAAAAAAAAGUAAUAAUAUACAUAUUAAGUUGUUUUAUUGAAAAAAUCAAUAUAUGUAUAAUAAAAUUUAUGAUAAUCCAUAAUAAUUUACAAUAUUUGAACUCAUAUUUAAUAUUUAGUUUAUAUAUAUUUAUGAUAAUGCAUAUAUAAUAAUCUUUUUUGAAAUAUAGAUUCAUUUAUUGUUUGAAAUAUUAUAUGGAUUGCUUUAUAAUAAUUUUUUUUUUUUUUUUUGGGGGAAUCAUUCAAUGAAUUUUUCUACUUUGGGGCAACGUUACCACACUGGAUAGGCAGCCUCAUCUCACUUACAGAGCUUGGAGUUCAUGAAUGCCGUCAAUUGAAAUCACUACCAAAAGAGAUGCGUUCCCUUAAAAACCUGCAGAAAUUCUAUAUCUGGGAUUGUCAACAUCUAGAGAAAAUAUGCCGACAGAAAACAGGGGAAGACUGGCCCAGGAUUGCUCAUAUCCCACAUAUUGAUUUCUACACUGAUCAGUGAAUAACAAGGGAGGUCCGAAAUCCCUAACCUUUCUUCUCAUUUUUAUUAUUUUUUCGAUCAAAAUGCAAGGUUUUCUCAUUCUCUCUUGGUAAUUCUUUUAUAUUGGCACUUCAUAUGUUUGUUAAAAUGCCCACAUCAGUAAAUCGAUUUUUUUUUUCCAGACCACAUAUACAGUCGAUGAUGAUGUACAUGAAACUCAUCAUUUUACUUGGGGUUGAGGCGAGAUUUGAUAUGAUAUCUCUCCCAGAGGAGCUGAUUCAACAUGUUUCCAUGAUCUAAAGUCUCAACAUUAGACAUCGCUCUGUUUUUGAAACAUUACAACACUGGAUAGGCAGCCUCCCCUCAGUUACAGAACUUGGAAUUCAUGGCUGCCAGAAGGUACGUUCCCUCGAAAACCUGUAGAUGCUCAAAAUCUACAUUGAAGUUAAUGAGGGCUGAGGUGCUGUGUCAGUUAAUGUUUCUCUCCCCUUCAUUGAAGUCUCUGUCUAUUGGAUGCUCAGGUGCUAUGAUGUCUCCCAGAGGAGCUGCCUCAGCAUGUUUCCAGGAUCCAAACUCUCAAAAUUGAAUUCUGCUCUGGUUUUGCAAUAUUACUGCCCUGGAUAGGUCGCUUCACCUCACUUAUGGACCUUCAUAUUUGUGACUGCGCUGAAUUGGCAUCACUUUCAGAAGAGAUGCAUUCCCUCAAAAACCUUCUGACACUAAAAAAUCUUUCAUUGUCGGCACCUGCUUGAAGAUGCCAAAAAGAAACAUUUCAGGUUCAAGAACACAGAGAGCCAUACUUGAUGGAGAUUUCAUCAAUAUAGAGAGGCAUUUCAAGUCUGAAAUCCACCCUUCUCAUUUCUUAUGGCUUCAUUUUGAUUUAAUUUCCUAAUUACAUGAAUUCUAUAUCUGUAAUCCCAGUAUGUAUUAGCACAUAAGUCAAAAGUGAUUUUGAUUUUUUUUAUGUCCACACCUUAUUCAUUUGAUGAAAUGCUUAAACAAGUUUGAAAUUUUUUCCCUUCAAAUCAAUUUCUAAUGCACCAUGAAUUGGUAAUUGAAGUUUGGAAAGAUGUUGGGUUGAUUUAAUUAUUAUUUUGUUGCAGAUUUCAACUUGCUUAAGACGCUUGUGAUUAUUUCUUCUUGGCUCAACUUGAAAUCACUGCCUACGUUCUUCCAUUUCCUACCUCAAAAUCACCUACCAAAAGUUUUGGAUUGGUUAAAAAUUUUCUCAUGGCCCAUAAAUUCGUAUCUAUCAGAUGGCUGAUAUACAAAGGUCCUGCUUUCCUUAGAAAUCAGGUCUACUCUCUGCCAUAUUUUUCAGGUAAUCUGUUGCCUGCUUUUAAUCUCUACAUCAUCUUUCGUUUUGAUAUCAAUUUUUGUCAGGAGUGUCAUACAAGUUGUAAUUAUAUUUGUGAACUUUCAUAUGCACUAUCAUUUUUUAUUGUUUUUUAAUAUAUAACUCCAACCAAACAUAUCAUAGACCAAAAACUUAUUAUGUCUGUCAAGUAGUUUGUUUUUUUCCCCCUUCAUUUGGUGAUGUUGUUUUGGGCCUAGAUAAUUUUUUAGAUUAAUUAAUGCAAAUGUAAUGUUGUCUAAUCAAUACAAAAACUAAUAGUUGUGAGGCUUGGAUACGUGGCUUCCUUGAUCAGUAACUGAAUUGAGUGUUUCUGUAGGCUGGUGUCUCUAUAUUUGGAAAUUCAGAGAGUUGCAAAUUCCAAGGAAUUGGAAGAUUGAGUCGCUGUCUCUACCAUUAGGGCUUCAAUGAGUUACCAUUCUGGAAAUUAUAAAAAAAAAACAUCAGAUUGCCUCAUAUCUUUGAAUCGAAAUCACUGCUAGAAGGAUGUGCUUCCCAACACUCUCAUGGGCUCUUUGACUUUGCCAUCUACAAUACAUCAGAGGUUCAUGAUCCAUCCUCUAUUCCUGCUUUGGGGGGCUUCAAUUUUUAUAUUAUUUUUCCGUUAAUACUCUAAAAAUGUUAUAUUCUAUUUUUAAUUCUUUUUACCUGAGUCUUAUGCAUUAGCACACAAGAGAAAAGUCAUAUAACACUUUCAUAAUGCAAUCAUUUUCCAUUGUUAGCCAUAUACUAUUUUUCUUAUAUAUAGCUAAGGCAUCCAAUAAAUAUGCCUACACUCACCAGAAAAAUACCCAUCUCGUCAUCUCCAACUCUGCUCUUUUGAGUUGCUGCUCAUGGCUCCAAAAUGAUGGGUGUUUUUCCAUUUUGUUUUUGUCUUCAGUGAGCUUAGAAGACGAGAUUUGAAGGACAGUGUUAGUGGGUUUUGGUGGGAAUGUAGAUUUGGUGGACCUAAUGCUACUGCUGUCUGGUUUUAAGAAAAGAGGGUUGCGGUGACGAGAAUGAGGUAAUUUUGGGUCGUGAAUGGAGAAAGAGACGAAUUUGAGGUUGAGGGUUUGAUGAAGGAAGCUACGUUGUGUGAGAUUAUGCUCUGAUCCUUGUUUAGAAUUUUGGGUCUAUUAAAUUCACGUAUAUUGUUUGCCAUUCCAACCCUCUUAUUGCUUUUGAAGACAAUAUUAUUUUUGUAAAAUCCUACCUUCAAAGAUACCAAUUCCUUGUAUUUUUACUUUAAUGGUUAUAAUCUGUAUGUGAUCUUCUUAUUUUAUAUUUGUAUUUUACAUGUUCGGAAAUUUUAGUUCAGGUGUUUAAGUGUUGCCAAGUCAAAGCAAUGCCAGAUAGUGAUGUACUUGUGACACCUUACUUCUCUAAAGCUACUCGAAAGUGGGGAUUGUUGCCUACCACAUCUCAUUUCUCUCAAGUCGUCGAAAAUUCAGUGAUGUGUCAAUAGCCUAAUGUCUUUGUCACAAGUGAUUUAGGGAUUCAGAUUGUUUCUCUGAAUUGACAUAAAUAAUAUGUUCUGGUUUGGUAACAUUAUCACACUCAAUGGACAACCUCCAUUUACUAACAUCUUCAAGUUUUUUAGGGAAAAAAACUGUGGAAAACUGUGUUUUGGCUCGCCCAUUUGGGCCUAAUAGCUUUUUGGUAACCCAACUUUCCAUAACCCAAAAAAUGUCCACUGUUGCCCAAAAAAAUAUCCCUUUCAUGCACUAUCCACUGUUUUAUAAUUUCAUUUCCAAAAUUACCCCUCCAGCCUUCCAUAUCAGCAGCCAUCUCCCUCUCCAUGUCACGGGUUGUGCUUUUAAAUAAACACAAAAAUCUUAAACAAGUUAGCAAAACCCACGCAAGACCCGACUCUGAAAUUUGGGGAAACCAGGUUAGGGCAAAAGGAGAGAAAGUCACAGAGAGUCCUUAGCUCCUUUCUCUUCUCUCUCUUUUCUCUCUGUUGUGUGAAUUUUUCAGUGAAAAAUCGAAAGCUUGUAAGCUGUAAUCGAAAGUUAGGUUCAGUGCUUUUUUGGUACUUUGUCGGAUGGCCCAAGCAGCCAGUAGCAGAUACUCAAAUUUUAUGCUUGGGUUUUACUUGAAUGCUCAUACAUUAGCUGUCAUCUUCAAGGUCCAUUUGGUUUUAAUGCAUCUGGAUCACGCAGCUGAGCAGAGGAAAGAGGAAAUGAAUCUGUUACUGGUUUGAUAUUUUUGGGGCUUAGGUGCUUACGAGUUGUACGGUGUAAGCAAAAUCCUCGUUAAAAGUCUAACUUAAGACAACUGGCUCUAAAUAGCAUAUGGCCUGGCGUUGAAAGUGGCUGUAGCCUACAAUCUCAAAUCAAGGGGUGAGUCCCGUACCAUUUAAAAGAAUUGUGACCUUCAGUGUCAGAAAUUUUCAGUUAAAUACAAAUGAAUUGCAUCUUCUUCACUGAAUUUUCAGCCUCCGGUUUCAUCUUUGCGAGGUGAGAUUCACAUUCAUUUUCCAUUGAUCGAAUUCCCCCUCCUCUGCCACAGCCUGGCUAGGGACUCGGUUAAGUUAAGAUGCUAACACUGAAUGAAAAUUGAUUCCAACAAUUUUCAUCAAUCAAUUCCUCAAGUACAAAAGCAGAUGGUGUAUGGUGGAUUGCAGUAAUAGACGAAGUUGGUUUAGUUUAUCCCUCCUUUGAUGGGCACAAGGAUAAAACCAUCUAUUGCUGGGCAAGGUAGCUAGAUGCAGCUUUCCCCAGAAGGCUCGAGGUAGCAGAAUGUCCAUUUUGGUCUCAAGUCGCUCAACAUUGCUGAAGUUCCUUUGCAAUCCUAAUGGAGACUGCCAUUGGGCAGUUUGUCUUAAUUGCGUUGGAGGCAAUGUGUGACCUGCUAACAGCAUAUCCCUCCUGCAACAACCAAAUCCAACAGAUGGACUGCAUCAGUUUCUGUAAACCAUUUGUUGGAGCUCCAGACCAUAGCAAAUAUCUCCAACUUCAAUUGGGAGUGAUCAGCUUCUAUAGAACAAUAAAAUGCCAUACCAUAUUAUAAUUUCCCCUUAUAUUUUUCCCAUUCUCCUAAGCUGGGGCUUGAUGAGUUUUUAGACCAAAAGACUUGUGCAAGUAAACAUCAUCUGGAUCAGGCAACAAAAAAAAAAAUUACCUGACUCUGUUUCUUGGCUAAUGACAAUUGAAAAGCCUCUAAAAGAGAACACUAGGAGGAUACCUUGUUCAGGGCGCUCAUCAUGGUCAUGAGGGGAGGAGAGUUUAUUUUUGCACGGCUUGCUACCUAGGAACAUAAGAGGAAAAUCAAUAAUGAAAUUGCAUUCAAUUUCCAAGCCAUGCAACAGAGCUUGAGAAUUAAUUCACAACCAAAUCAAGAAUCUAAAACACAAAAUUAUGUUAUUUGCAAGUAAACCUCAUCCAAUUUGAUGUAUCCAAAUGGUAAUUUAGGGUCACUCUCAUCGAUCAUUUGCUUCAGAAGUUUUCCCAGAUGAGUUUCAGUGUCAUUGCCAGUCCAUCCCCAUUGUUCAGCUAAAUUUAGCAUUUCUGUAAGGUAGGAAGCAUUAUGGCAGAGAUUAUCAAAUACAGUGGUUUUGCUUUUAAGUUGCUUAGGUACUACCUUAAUGACCUUUAGGUACUACCUUAGUGGCCUUCAGGUACUACCUUAAGGGACCCUAGGUACUACCUUAGCUAAACUUCAACCCAACCUCUCCCAAGCCUUUGUUCUUCAUUUGUGACCCUUAGACCAUGCCAUUAUAUGCUUCUCUUGAGUCCUCAAGUGGUCCACCAAUGGUUUUUUGCUACUGUUCCUUAGGUACUACCUUAGUGGCCUUAAGGUACUACCUUAAUGGCCUUCAGGUACUACCUUAAGGGACCUUAGGUACUACCUUAGCUAAACUUCAACUCAACCUCUCCCAAGCCUUGGGUCUUCAUUUGUGACCCUUAGACCAUGCCAUUAUAUGCUUCUCUUGAGUCCUCAAGUGGUCCACCAAUGGUUUUUUGCUACUGUUGCUUAGGUACUACCUUAAUGGCCUUUAGGUACUACCUUAGUGGCCUUCAGGUACUACCUUAAAGGACCCUAGGUACUACCCUAGCUAAACUUCAACUCAACCUCUUCCAAGCCUCGGGUCUUCAUUUGUGACCCUUAGACCAUGCCAUUAUAUGCUUCUCNNNNNNNNNNNNNNNNNNNNNNNNNNNNNNNNNNNNNNNNNNNNNNNNNNNNNNNNNNNNNNNNNNNNNNNNNNNNNNNNNNNNNNNNNNNNNNNNNNNNNNNNNNNNNNNNNNNNNNNNNNNNNNNNNNNNNNNNNNNNNNNNNNNNNNNNNNNNNNNNNNNNNNNNNNNNNNNNNNNNNNNNNNNNNNNNNNNNNNNNNNNNNNNNNNNNNNNNNNNNNNNNNNNNNNNNNNNNNNNNNNNNNNNNNNNNNNNNNNNNNNNNNNNNNNNNNNNNNNNNNNNNNNNNNNNNNNNNNNNNNNNNNNNNNNNNNNNNNNNNNNNNNNNNNNNNNNNNNNNNNNNNNNNNNNNNNNNNNNNNNNNNNNNNNNNNNNNNNNNNNNNNNNNNNNNNNNNNNNNNNNNNNNNNNNNNNNNNNNNNNNNNNNNNNNNNNNNNNNNNNNNNNNNNNNNNNNNNNNNNNNNNNNNNNNNNNNNNNNNNNNNNNNNNNNNNNNNNNNNNNNNNNNNNNNNNNNNNNNNNNNNNNNNNNNNNNNNNNNNNNNNNNNNNNNNNNNNNNNNNNNNNNNNNNNNNNNNNNNNNNNNNNNNNNNNNNNNNNNNNNNNNNNNNNNNNNNNNNNNNNNNNNNNNNNNNNNNNNNNNNNNNNNNNNNNNNNNNNNNNNNNNNNNNNNNNNNNNNNNNNNNNNNNNNNNNNNNNNNNNNNNNNNNNNNNNNNNNNNNNNNNNNNNNNNNNNNNNNNNNNNNNNNNNNNNNNNNNNNNNNNNNNNNNNNNNNNNNNNNNNNNNNNNNNNNNNNNNNNNNNNNNNNNNNNNNNNNNNNNNNNNNNNNNNNNNNNNNNNNNNNNNNNNNNNNNNNNNNNNNNNNNNNNNNNNNNNNNNNNNNNNNNNNNNNNNNNNNNNNNNNNNNNNNNNNNNNNNNNNNNNNNNNNNNNNNNNNNNNNNNNNNNNNNNNNNNNNNNNNNNNNNNNNNNNNNNNNNNNNNNNNNNNNNNNNNNNNNNNNNNNNNNNNNNNNNNNNNNNNNNNNNNNNNNNNNNNNNNNNNNNNNNNNNNNNNNNNNNNNNNNNNNNNNNNNNNNNNNNNNNNNNNNNNNNNNNNNNNNNNNNNNNNNNNNNNNNNNNNNNNNNNNNNNNNNNNNNNNNNNNNNNNNNNNNNNNNNNNNNNNNNNNNNNNNNNNNNNNNNNNNNNNNNNNNNNNNNNNNNNNNNNNNNNNNNNNNNNNNNNNNNNNNNNNNNNNNNNNNNNNNNNNNNNNNNNNNNNNNNNNNNNNNNNNNNNNNNNNNNNNNNNNNNNNNNNNNNNNNNNNNNNNNNNNNNNNNNNNNNNNNNNNNNNNNNNNNNNNNNNNNNNNNNNNNNNNNNNNNNNNNNNNNNNNNNNNNNNNNNNNNNNNNNNNNNNNNNNNNNNNNNNNNNNNNNNNNNNNNNNNNNNNNNNNNNNNNNNNNNNNNNNNNNNNNNNNNNNNNNNNNNNNNNNNNNNNNNNNNNNNNNNNNNNNNNNNNNNNNNNNNNNNNNNNNNNNNNNNNNNNNNNNNNNNNNNNNNNNNNNNNNNNNNNNNNNNNNNNNNNNNNNNNNNNNNNNNNNNNNNNNNNNNNNNNNNNNNNNNNNNNNNNNNNNNNNNNNNNNNNNNNNNNNNNNNNNNNNNNNNNNNNNNNNNNNNNNNNNNNNNNNNNNNNNNNNNNNNNNNNNNNNNNNNNNNNNNNNNNNNNNNNNNNNNNNNNNNNNNNNNNNNNNNNNNNNNNNNNNNNNNNNNNNNNNNNNNNNNNNNNNNNNNNNNNNNNNNNNNNNNNNNNNNNNNNNNNNNNNNNNNNNNNNNNNNNNNNNNNNNNNNNNNNNNNNNNNNNNNNNNNNNNNNNNNNNNNNNNNNNNNNNNNNNNNNNNNNNNNNNNNNNNNNNNNNNNNNNNNNNNNNNNNNNNNNNNNNNNNNNNNNNNNNNNNNNNNNNNNNNNNNNNNNNNNNNNNNNNNNNNNNNNNNNNNNNNNNNNNNNNNNNNNNNNNNNNNNNNNNNNNNNNNNNNNNNNNNNNNNNNNNNNNNNNNNNNNNNNNNNNNNNNNNNNNNNNNNNNNNNNNNNNNNNNNNNNNNNNNNNNNNNNNNNNNNNNNNNNNNNNNNNNNNNNNNNNNNNNNNNNNNNNNNNNNNNNNNNNNNNNNNNNNNNNNNNNNNNNNNNNNNNNNNNNNNNNNNNNNNNNNNNNNNNNNNNNNNNNNNNNNNNNNNNNNNNNNNNNNNNNNNNNNNNNNNNNNNNNNNNNNNNNNNNNNNNNNNNNNNNNNNNNNACCAUGCCAUUAUAUGCUUCUCUUGAGUCCUCAAGUGGUCCACCAAUGGUUUUUUGCUACUGUUGCUUAGGUACUACCUUAAUGGCCUUUAGGUACUACCUUAGUGGCCUUCAGGUACUACCUUAAAGGACCCUAGGUACUACCCUAGCUAAACUUCAACUCAACCUCUCCCAAGCCUCGGGUCUUCAUUUGUGACCCUUAGACCAUGCCAUUAUAUGCUUCUCUUGAGUCCUCAAGUGGUCCACCAAUGGUUUUUUGCUACUGUUGCUUAGGUACUACCUUAAUGGCCUUUAGGUACUACCUUAGUGGCCUUCAGGUACUACCUUAAGGGACCCUAGGUACUACCUUAGCUAAACUUCAACUCAACAUCUCCCAAGCCUCGGGUCUUCAUUUGUGACCCUUAGACCAUGCCAUUAUAUGCUUCUCUUGAGUCCUAAAGUGGUCCACCAAUGGUUUUUUGCUACUGUUGCUUAGGUACUACCUUAAUGGCCUUUAGGUACUACCUUAGUGGCCUUCAGGUACUACCUUAAGGGACCCUAGGUACUACCUUAGCUAAACUUCAACCCAACCUCUCCCAAGCCUCCGUUCUUCAUUUGUGACCCUUAGACCAUGCCAUUAUAUGCUUCUCUUGAGUCCUCAAGUGGUCCACUAAUGGUUUUUUGUUAAUGUUCCUUAGGUACUACCUUAAUGGCCUUAAGGUACUACCUUAGUAGCCUUCAGGUACUACCUUAAGGGACCCUAGGUACUACCUUAGCUAAACUUCAACUCAACAUCUCCCAAGCCUCGGGUCUUCCUUUGUCACCCUUAGACCAUGCCAUUAUAUGCUUCUCUUGAGUCCUCAAGUGGUCCACCAAUGGUUUUUUGCUACUAUUCCUCAGGUAGUACCUUAGUGGCCUUAAGGUAGUACCUUAGUGGCCUUAAGGUAGUACCUUAGUGGCCUUAAGGUAGUACCUUAGUGGCCUUCAGGUACUACCUUAAGGGACCCUAGGUACUACCUUAAGGUAAACUUAAACUCAACAUCUCCCAAGCCUCGGGUCUUCCUUGGUCACCCUUAGACCAUCCCAUUAUGUGGUUCUCUUCAUUCCUCAAGUCGUCCACCAAUGGUUUGUUGGGACUGUAGCUUAGGUACUACCUUAAGGGCCCUUAGGUACUACCUUAGUGGCCUUGAGGUACUACCUUAAGGGACCCUAGGUACUACCUUAAGGUAAAUUUCAACUCAACCUCUCCCAAGCCUCGGGUCUUCCUUGGUCACCCUUAGACCAUCCCAUAAUGUUGUUCUCUUCAUUCCUCAAGUGCUCCACCAAUGGUUUUUUGGGACUGUAGCUUAGGUACUACCUUAAGGGCCCUUAGGUACUACCUUAGUGGCCUUGAGGUACUACCUUAAGGGACCCUAGGUACUACCUUAAGGUAAACAUAAACUCAACCACUCCAAAGCCUUGGGUCUUCAUUGGUGACCCUUAGACCAUCCAAUUAUGUGGUUCUCUUCAUUCCUCAAGUCGUCCACCUAUGGUUUCUUGGGACAGUAGCUUAGGUACUACCUUAAGGGCCCUUAGGUACUACCUUAGUGGCCUUGAGGUACUACCUUAAGGGACCCUAGGUACUACCUUAAGGUAAACUUGAACUCAACCUCUCCCAAGCAUCAGGUCUUCCUUGGUGACCCUUAGACCAUCCAAUAAUGUGGUUCUCUUCAUUCCUCCAUUAAAGAUUAAACUUGUUAUCUCUAUGAAUGAACUUAAACUUCAUAUGAGGGGGAACGGGUUUGAAGGUGUUGAGCUAAGAAACAUCCAUGAUGCACUAAUUUUCACUAAUUAUUUAAUUUUCACAAUUGUUAAACAUGGUUUUAGGUCUCUAUGAACACGUUGAUUCAUGGUGCUCAAUUUCCUUGAAAGGAAAAAGAAAAAAAUUCAUGGUUCUGUUUGUCUAAGAUUGCAUCUAAGGAUUUCAUUUUUCUUGUGUGCUUUUCGGUAAUUAUUUUCUGUAGAAAUUUGAAGAUCUAGAUAUGUGUACUCUAGAAGAAUUAUAGGAUUCGAUUUGUCCUGAUCAUGAUCAUGUGCAAAUUUUGGUUUACUGAUUUUAGUUUUCUUUCAAAAUUUUCUUGUUAGGAAAUCUCAAAUUUCUCUUUUUCAUGUGCAAGUAUUUCAUAAGCAUUGAGCAAAAGUCAUCAGAAACCCAACUUGUGAAUUGUGAUGGCAGGUACACCCAUACACUUAUCGGAAUGAGAACCAGUUCUUACACUUUAACUUCCAUCAAGACCCAUAUGCAGAAUAUGAUUAUUGGAUAAACAAGAUAGGAGUUGAUGGACUCUUCACAUAUUUCACUGGCAGCCUCCAUGACUUUCAGGAAUGGACCUCUCCUCUCUCUCAAGAUGAUGGUGAUGAUGAUGGCAAUGCUGCUAAAUUGUUUCAUAAGAUUGCAACUUUAGUCUCUCCCUACAAGAAGGGAUGAUAGUGUAAAAUGCAACUUCUCAAGACUGUAGCUUAGGGUAGAAAUCUCUNNNNNNNNNNNNNNNNNNNNNNNNNNNNNNNNNNNNNNNNNNNNNNNNNNNNNNNNNNNNNNNNNNNNNNNNNNNNNNNNNNNNNNNNNNNNNNNNNNNNNNNNNNNNNNNNNNNNNNNNNNNNNNNNNNNNNNNNNNNNNNNNNNNNNNNNNNNNNNNNNNNNNNNNNNNNNNNNNNNNNNNNNNNNNNNNNNNNNNNNNNNNNNNNNNNNNNNNNNNNNNNNNNNNNNNNNNNNNNNNNNNNNNNNNNNNNNNNNNNNNNNNNNNNNNNNNNNNNNNNNNNNNNNNNNNNNNNNNNNNNNNNNNNNNNNNNNNNNNNNNNNNNNNNNNNNNNNNNNNNNNNNNNNNNNNNNNNNNNNNNNNNNNNNNNNNNNNNNNNNNNNNNNNNNNNNNNNNNNNNNNNNNNNNNNNNNNNNNNNNNNNNNNNNNNNNNNNNNNNNNNNNNNNNNNNNNNNNNNNNNNNNNNNNNNNNNNNNNNNNNNNNNNNNNNNNNNNNNNNNNNNNNNNNNNNNNNNNNNNNNNNNNNNNNNNNNNNNNNNNNNNNNNNNNNNNNNNNNNNNNNNNNNNNNNNNNNNNNNNNNNNNNNNNNNNNNNNNNNNNNNNNNNNNNNNNNNNNNNNNNNNNNNNNNNNNNNNNNNNNNNNNNNNNNNNNNNNNNNNNNNNNNNNNNNNNNNNNNNNNNNNNNNNNNNNNNNNNNNNNNNNNNNNNNNNNNNNNNNNNNNNNNNNNNNNNNNNNNNNNNNNNNNNNNNNNNNNNNNNNNNNNNNNNNNNNNNNNNNNNNNNNNNNNNNNNNNNNNNNNNNNNNNNNNNNNNNNNNNNNNNNNNNNNNNNNNNNNNNNNNNNNNNNNNNNNNNNNNNNNNNNNNNNNNNNNNNNNNNNNNNNNNNNNNNNNNNNNNNNNNNNNNNNNNNNNNNNNNNNNNNNNNNNNNNNNNNNNNNNNNNNNNNNNNNNNNNNNNNNNNNNNNNNNNNNNNNNNNNNNNNNNNNNNNNNNNNNNNNNNNNNNNNNNNNNNNNNNNNNNNNNNNNNNNNNNNNNNNNNNNNNNNNNNNNNNNNNNNNNNNNNNNNNNNNNNNNNCAAUGCAACAAAACGCCAUGUAUGUCUGCAAAACAUAUAUUACAAUAAUGGUAUGUGCAUUCCAAGUUAGGAUUAAGCUUCCUCUAUAUUCAAUGGGAUGUGUCUUAAGAUAUAGAGGGAACUGAAGGCAUACUGACUAAAUAUCAUUAUCCAAAGAACAAAAUAAACUAAGGAGCCUAUUGUGAAGUCUUCAUCUUUGAUAUCUCCUCCAACAGUAAUCUGGAUUCAGCUGCAAAAUCAACUGGAACAACAGCCCUGGCUGUUAUCCUCUGCCUUUUCUCGUUCAUGUACUCAUGUUGUGCAACACUAAUCCGGAAAAGCUGAGGGACCCAAAUAGCUUCCUUCAAUUUCUGUUGGAAUAGGUUCUCUUCUCCCUCCUGCAGAGAAGAUUGGGUUUUUUAAACAUCAGAUUUUGAAUGGCAGAAGUUCAUCAUUUAAAAAAAAAAAAAAUACAACCCAACUAGGCUACCAAAUAAGUAACCAACUACAUAUGAAUUAAUGCAUCAAUGAGCAACUCUUUCAAGUUAACUAAGAUUUGGACAAACUCAUAGAUAUUUCAAUAUUGUCAAGAGUUUACCUGUGAUUUCAGCUUAUCAAGCUCAUCAGCAGAGCACCCAAAUAUUCUCUCUGCUUGGUCAUUGAACAGAGAAAGCCAAUAGAAGCCAUUGAAGCUCCUUUACAUUCAGAAUCAUACCUGUGAAGAAGAACAUAUGGUCAGAAACACUUACUACAAGAACUAACAAGGUAAUAGGUCACUGGAUGAUUCCUUACCAGGAUAUCAACUUUUUUUAUUCGCGUGUAUCUGGAUUUACCAGUACAAUACUUUCACUCAAUGUUGACAGUGAUACAACUAAAACAAGAUAUGAAGAGAACAUUACAAAGAGGACUUCUUAUCAUUCUCAUGUUUUUUAGAAUUGCCAUAAUAAUACCAAAAUUCAAGAAAACAAGGGGAAUUACCUUGGAAGUCUCCAACUUUGAGAGAUUUAAUUGCAACAAUUGGAAAUUAAUCAGCAUUAUCCAACAAUUCCUGCCCUACAUUAGUAGCAUGAUCAUUCCACAAAGAGACCACAACAGAGAGAAAAGAGAGAGAAGAGAGAGAAGCUAAGGACCCUCCAUUUGGCACAAAGUAAGAAAACCUUUUUUGCUGUUUGAUGUGAAGCUCUAUGCAUUAAAAAAAGGAAAAACAAAUUAUAAACUUAAUUUUAAAAUAUAUCAUAAAAAACAGCUCUCUAGGUGGCAGGAGAGGUGGGUUUUGGUUCAAAUAGCUUAUACUGCCUCUGGCAUCUGUUCUUGAAUUCUCCAACUUUGUCUCCCAAACAUGUCCUAAUUCCCAAGAGCUCAUAUUGCCACACCUACUCAUUAGGGUUUGCAUCAGUUUCCAUUAACAUUUAACUAAAAAGAGUUUAAAAAUUCAAUCAAGGUCAAACAAAAUCAACCAUCCCACAGAGCAGAAGUUACAUAGAUAUUCGAGAAAAUAAGUCAUGUCACAAACUAAGCAUCUAAUCACACAGCAGAAGUUCAGAAGUUCAGCUUUCCUCAAUCCAACCAGCUUUGAAUACAUGCUUAUAGGCUUCUAUAAUCUGCUCCUUACCACCUUUAAACAAAACCCUUGAACGAAUUAAACCAAAAAACCCAGAAAAAAAGAAAAAAAAAAAAAAAAAGAAGCACAGAAAAUUAGGAUUAAAAUCAAUCAAUCCACACAAAGUGCUAAAAAAACAUUAAUAAACAAACACCCAACAUAAAAACAACAAGCUUUUAUUAAAAGAACACAAAAACAAAUAAAAUAAAAACAUACCCACAACUUUAUCUUACCUCAAGAACCAAAUCCAAGAGCAAAAAAAGAGUUUAAAAAUUCAAUCAAGGUCAAACAAAAUCAACCAUCCCACAGAGCAGAAAUUACAUAGGUAUUCGAGAAAAUCAGUCAUGUCACAAACUAAGCAUCUAAUCACAGAACAGAAGUUUAGAAAUUCAGCUUUCCUCGGGUGCUAAAUUGCAAUUAAAAAUAAAAACACUAAUUAAUUGUCAAUCUCAAGAGAACCUAAAUCCCAAAAAUUAGGCCAGAAACCUAAAUUACGUGCAUUGAAUAGUUCCAGAUGCAUGAAAUCAAUGAAAAAAAUUACCAAACAAAAAUAGUAAUCAGGAAAGACCAAGUAAAGAAUACACAAAAAUGUACAUAUUUAUCGUUCAUUCGUGUGGUCGCCGGAAGAAAAAAAACGGGAAUAAAGAACAAAGCUCGAGAUUUACAGCUGCGCCUAAACAUUUGCUCUCUUUCAUUGCAAAGAAACCAACAACAAUAGAAAAAAAAAUAAUCAUAUAAGUUUCGCCUCAUAUUUUCCUCAUUUACCUCAGUUUUCUGAGCAACCAAACAAAAACUAAAAGAUGGACUAGAAAGCGAAUCUAACUUGAAUAGUGUAAGAGAGCUCAUAACAGAGUGGAAAUCUCUAAAUGAAGGCGAGAACCUGGAGAUGAAAUCGCUUUAUCUGAAGAAAUUUGCGGAUCAGUAGUACGGCGACACGCGUGAAUCGAUUACAGCUUACAAGCUUUCAAUUUUUCAUUGAGAAAUUCACACAACAGAGAGAGAAGAGAGAGAAGAGAGCGAAGCUAAGGACUCUCUGUGACUUUCUCUCCUUUUGCCCUAACCUGGGUUCCCCAAAUUUCAGAGUCGAGUGUCGCGUGGGCUUUAUCUGAAGAAAUUUGCGGAUCAGUAGUAUGGAGACACGCGUGAAUCGAUUACAGCUUACAAGCUUUCGAUUUUUCACUGAGAAAUUCACCCAACAGAGAGAAAAGAGAGAGAAGAGAAAGAAGCUAAGGACUCUCUCUGACUUUCUCUCCUUUUGCCCUAACCUGGUUUCCCCAAAUUUCACAGUCGGGUGUUGUGUGGGUUUUGCUAACUUGUUUAAGAUUUUUGUGUUUAUUUAUUAAAAGCACAACCCGUGACAUGGAGAGGGAGAUGGCUGCUGACAUGGAUGUGGAGGGGUAAUUUUGGAAAUGAAAUUAUAAAACAGUACAUAGUGCAUGAAAAGGAUAAUUUUUUGGGCAACAGUAGACAUAUUUUGGGUUAUGGAAAGUUGGGUUAUGAAAAAGCUAUUAGGCCCAAAUGGGCGGGCCAAAACACAGUUUUCCCUAUAUUGUAUCAUAAGAAAAAGAAAGGAAAAAAAAAGAGUGGAGGGGGAGGGGGAGAGAUGGGGGGCUAUGUUGUAAACAACAGGGUAGCCUGUGUAAAGCCCCCAGUUUUUACUUAGAGACCUCAUUACCCAUUAGGAAAAGGGUCAGUGACCUAUUAUUAAUAAUGCAAAAUUACCCAAAGAUGGAUAUUUGAAUUUUUUUUUUUUUUUUGGAGAAUUUAAGAAUUGUUGACACAAUAUAGUGAAACUGCAUAUACAAAUAUUGGGGUCAUUAGUUCACAUGACUUAAGCGAUUAAGAACAUUGAAGAGGAGACAUGUUGCUUGAUAAGCCCACCUGUCUACAUCUUGAGCAGCCACAGUUUGUUGCUCAUGAGACUUUUUGGAAGACACCUCCAGGGAUAAGAUUGAGUAAUUUAAAUUCCAUUAACAGAGUUCCUCUCUUUCAUUAGCCUUUAGGCCCUUAGGAAUCAAGCUUAAACUCGAAAGAUUCUAAAAUCUUACUCCCUUCUAACCUCAGGAAAGUUUUGAGAGCUUAGGUAUCCACAAAUAUCUUGGUACAUUCUAACAAGUCCUAUACCACUUUCCACCAUUCAAUUUAUCCCAAAAUAGCAUAAAUGUCAAGGGGAUACAGGAGACCAGAACUAAUAAAGGCAAUGACAUUAAACGGGAGAAAAAAAUAUCAAAGCAUGAUAGAAGAGUUAAAUACUUAAACAAGUUAGUGUUGGUAUUUUAAUUAUAGUAUUCCAUUAAUACAGUACCAAAAUACUGGAUGCCAUAUACUUUUGUCUAACAAUGGAUGGAAUAAUAGAUAUACAAGCACAAGAAAUAUGUUUCACUAACAUGAAAAUGAAAUUUAUGAAAGGUGGCUAGAUUCGAGAAAUACAAACAGGAUAGAACACCUAUGAAGCAUGAAAUAUUUUUGAACACAAACUUUAACAAAUCCAUAACAUGAAUAAAUGUUUGGAACCACCACACUAGAUCAGCAAUCUGUAGCUUCUCAAUAUCAUAACUGUUACAGCUAUAUUCGACUUCUAACCAUAUAAGCUAAGCCUAUGUUUUGUUUCUAGAAAGUUUUAAGGAAAAAAAAUAGAGCAGAGAAAUAUAAGAAAAAAUUAUAAAAGUUUUCUUUUAUUUGAUUGUCCAUUGAAAAGUUGAAGGAAAGAAAAUUAAAUUGCUAAAGAAUGUAAUUUCCACUAACUUUCCUCAUUUUUUGUUAAGGAAAAUGGACACCACCACCACCCCAACCCUUUUCUUUCGUUUUUUUUUUCUUCAUCUUUCGCAUGGUACCCAAACAUGAGAAAACCAUUUUCACUAGCAUUUUUUCCUUUCCUUUUCUUAUUACUUUCCAAGAACCAAACAUAAGGUAAGUUUAUGACACCCUUUCUAACACAACCAUUAAUAGACGGCUCAAGGUACUUCUAACAGUGAAAGAAGAAUUUCACAAAUACUUAUAGUAAAUUACAGAAUAAGCCAAAAGUGAAGAUAACAUCUAUUAAUACCUGCCUUCUUCAUCUUCCAAAUUCUGAAGAUGUUGUUUUUCAUCUUCACUUAAGUCCAAUGCAACUUGGACGUAGGAAAAAUUAGAACAAAAAAAUAAUCAAGCAUUCUUUUCUCAGCAUCAUCAUGCAAAAUUUUCCACCAUAGCAUAAAAGGAAAUCAUGAAGAAAAAUAAAAAAUGAAAAAAUAAUACGCAUGCUCUCUACAAUAAUAACAAUAAAGGCAAACUACUCCAACAAAUUAUUAGAAAAAAUUGGAAAAAAUAAAAUUCAGAGAAUGGAAAUCCAUUUUCACCUCCAUAUAAAAUACACCAUGAAAAACAUUGGAAUCUAGUAAAGCUCUAGGUAAAAGAGGUAUUUCAGGCCAAUUUAAGAGCUCUAUCAGAAAUUCAAAUGCCCAUUCUGAAAUAGAAAAUUUAAAAUCUAAUUGAAACUUAACUUUGCAAUCCGAGUACCAUAAAAACAUUGAAAAAGUCACACAAAUACUCGCAUAAUCUUAUCAAUCGAAAGGUUAUAAUACAAGGUGCAAAACACCAGAAUCAGAAAUAAGUUUCACAUUCUACAAAACUUACACUAAAAAGAGAAAGUUAAAAGGUCACAGACAGUCGAAAAUAACCAGAAAAUAAAGGAAAAUAAAAGAAAAGGGACCUGUUUGGCGAUAAGUUCUCUCUUAGAGUGGGAUGGGAGUUGGGAGACACUCAUCUAAUAUAUAGGGAAAGUUGUGUUUUUUUUCCCUCCCUCUGUUUUCUGGAUCUAGGGGUCUCUUUGCUUUUGUGCCAUUUGAAUUAAAUUUCACAAACCCUAAACCCACGAUUUUUUUAGCCAGGCUGAAAAAUACCACCUUUGCCUGCAAAUCGUGAUCAGAUUACCAAAUAGCAUCUUAUUGUGCCAUUGGAAUUAAAUUUCACAAACCCUAACCCACGAUUUUUGAACCAGGCUCAAAAACACCACAUUUGCCUGGAAAUCGUGGUCAGAUUACCAAAUAGCAUCUUAUUGUGCCAUUGGAAUUAAAUUUCAAAAACCCUAAACCCACAAUUUUUGAGCCAGCCAGAAAAAUACCACCUUUGCUUGCAAAUCGUAAUCAGAUUACGAAAUAGCAUCUUAUGUUUUAAAUAAAAAAAAAAAUCAAAAAGCUUGGACAGCUCGUGAACAAUGCAAAACAACAUUUAGCCCAAAUUUUUUCUCAACAGCCAAACAAAUUGUUAAAUGGAAACUCACCUGCGAUUACUCCAAAAGGAAGACGAAGCUCCACCGCCGAUUCCAGAAACCACCCAUGAAAAUGCAGGCAAAAGGAGAGAAUAGGGCAAAAAGCGAGGAAGUCAGCGUUUCCCCAAAUUUUUGAGUCGGGUCGUGGGUUUUGCAAAUCCUAACUCUAAAGCUUAAUAUUUUUGUGUUCAAUUAUUAAAAACACAACUUCCCGUGCUGACACGGAUAAGGAGAUGGCUGCUGACAUGGUAGGCUGGAGGGGUAAUUUUGGAAAUGAAAUUAUAAACAGUGGAUAGUGCAUGAAAGGGAUAUUUUUUUGGGAGAAUUGUGUUUUGGGCCCAGCUGGGCCCAAAAAUUAACAAAUGGUCCAUCUAACUGACCUAAUUAAUGAUAAGGAUAUCAAAUGUUAACAGACGAAAAUGCCCUUUACAUUUCCAACUCAAAUUGUUGUAAAAUAAUGGGUUUUACAGCUGGUAAACGUGAAAUGCCAUGUCACCAGAGUGAAAAUUCUGAAUCUUCCUAAAAACCACUCACAUAUACCCUCUCCUUCUACUCUCUUUCUCGCCGGAGUUUCAGUUUCUCCGUUCAACCCCAACUCUUCUCCGGCCAAUUCUUACUCGUCCCACCAUUCUUUCCUUCAAUUCUCACCAGAGUUUGCCCCUUUUCCACCAAAGUUCACUCCUUUUUCACCAAAGCUCACAACUUUUUCCCACCCAAGAAACCAUUUUCCGCUCAAACAAACAGGAUUUUCUCCUUUUCUGGUUUAUGGGAUUUCGACAUAGUUCCUAAAAAGAGACACUUGAGAGGGAACUAAGGUUUUCUCUGUAUACACAAAAGGGUUUUUAGAGAGAGAAAACAGAGUGCAGUUUCACUGAGCCAUUUUUGUUUGCUUUGAAGGAAAUUUUUUAUGUGUUUUGGUGAAGAUUUUAGGGCCUAAAGCUUCAGAUUAUUUGUUUGGCAAUGCAGAAAAUAUAUUCUGGGUGAGUUUUUUCUCAUCUUCAUUUUUGAGAAAUUUUUUUCUCGUAUAUGGCUUUGAUUCUCAGAAAUUUAUUCUAAGGUUUGGAUUAUGUUGAUGAGAUUACCUUGAAGAACUAUGCUUAAUUACUGAAUAUUUUUAUGAAUUUAGGUUGUAAAUAUAUAAAUAUAUCAGUGAUUGAUUAAUUAAUUAAUUAAUUGAUUGAAUGAAUGAUUAAUUGACUGAUUGAUUAGGGGCUAGUUGUUAGAUUGUGUAUUCAAUGGGUGGAUUCAUGCAUGAUUUAAAUUUAUGAAAAAUGGGCCCACCAAAGUCAUUUCUUUAAUUCUUAGUUUUCAAUCACAUUCACCAUUGAUUAUGAUCAUUUUAAGAUCAUAUAUGCAUGGCAUACCCAAAAUUUUCUAUCCAAUUCUACCCAUUUACAAUUAUGUUUAUGGAAUCUAAUGAAAUUGAUGUAUUUGUUCAUGAAAAUGAGCUCAUUUGGUCUGAUUUGAUUCCAGGUCAUGGCAUUGCAGUGAGUUUAGGUGUGUUAUUGGUAUGAUUAUGUUAAUCAAAGAUUCGAAAUGGCCGAUUUCUUCAUGAAAAUGAGCUCAUUUGGUGUGAUUUGAUUUUGGGUCAUGGCAGUGUAGUGAGUUUAGAUGUAGUAAACAAACAAUUUGUUUGUGAAAAUGAACUCAUUUUAUUUGGUUUGAUUCCGGGUCAUGGCAUUGCAAUGAGUUUAGGUGUAUUAUUGAUUAUUUGAAUGAGGGCGAUUUGUUAUGGGAAAAUGAGCUCAUUUGGUGUGAUUAUGUGAAUCAAAAGGAUCUGAAAAUGCUCAGAUUGUUCAUGAAAAUGAGCUCAUUUGGUCCGAUUUGAUUCCGGGUCCUGGCAGUGCAGUGAGUUUUGGUGUAUUAGCAUGAUUGUAAUUUAUAUCAAUUAAACUAUUAGAAACACUAGAUUUCUUCACGAAAAUGAGCUCAUUUUAUGUGAUUAGGUUUCGGGUCACUGCAAUGCAGUGAGAUUUGGUGUAUUAGCAUGCGAUUGGAAAAAUGAUCUCAUUUCAUUUGAUUGAUCUCCGGCCAUGAUAUCACAAUGAGUCUAGGUCUACUACUGUGAUUAUAUCAAUCAAACGACUAAAAAUGCUUGAUUUAUUCAUGAAAAUGAGCUCAAUCCAUGUGAUUCCAUUUUGGGUCAUGACAAUGCAGUCAGUUUAGGUGUACCGUUCAUGCAUUGUGUAAUUAGUAGGUGAUUGGGUUUUUGAUUAAUUAAUCAAGCUUGUGUCAUUCNNNNNNNNNNNNNNNNNNNNNNNNNNNNNNNNNNNNNNNNNNNNNNNNNNNNNNNNNNNNNNNNNNNNNNNNNNNNNNNNNNNNNNNNNNNNNNNNNNNNNNNNNNNNNNNNNNNNNNNNNNNNNNNNNNNNNNNNNNNNNNNNNNNNNNNNNNNNNNNNNNNNNNNNNNNNNNNNNNNNNNNNNNNNNNNNNNNNNNNNNNNNNNNNNNNNNNNNNNNNNNNNNNNNNNNNNNNNNNNNNNNNNNNNNNNNNNNNNNNNNNNNNNNNNNNNNNNNNUAAUUGAUGUCUACCAUGUUCAUUCAUCCUAUUAGCUUCCCUAGUAAUGAUGAAUAUGAACCGAAAUUAGGGUCACCUUUUGUGUCAUUUUCCCUAGUCCAUGGUAAUGGAAACAUUGGUUACCCACCCAUAUUCACUUGGAAAUAUGUACCUAUUAGGGAUUUGGUGACUGGACAAGGCAUUUACACUAAGUGUACAAGGCCAAUGUACUAAAUGUACAAGGGUGUACAAGGGUGUGCAUCUUACUUUUUCCAAACGUGGGGAACAAUCCUCACACAUGUUGCUUGAUAACACACGCAUUGCAUGCAAUUUAAUUGAUGUCUACCAUGUUCAUUCAUCCUAUUAGCUUCCCUAGUAAUGAUGAAUAUGAACCGAAAUUAGGGUCACCUUUUGUGUCAUUUUCCCUAGUCCAUGGUAAUGGAAACAUUGGUUACCCACCCAUAUUCACUUGGAAAUAUGUACCUAUUAGGGAUUUGGUGACUGGACAAGGCAUUUACACUAAGUGUACAAGGCCAAUGUACUAAAUGUACAAGGGUGUACAAGGGUGCCUAUCUUGAAGGAUUUCAAAUGCAAAUGGUGGUUGCUCAUUGUGGCCGAUGUGCUGAACGUGUUGUGUUUGGCGAUGAGAUAACUGAUGGAGGAAGGGAUGACCUAGAAAAGAUCACGAAGGUAAUUGUACUUAACAUCAACUUGUUAUAAGUUCAAACUGAUCCUUCGAGGACAUGCUCCAUUGAUUAAAAAAAAUUAUAUUUAGCAGACACAAUACUAUUUGAGGCAGCACUUAAGGAGUUGCAUGCUUUGGUGCAUGAUUAUUUGCAUUUAUUAUGUGUUUGCUUUAAAAUGAACAAAUGGGGAAAAUAAGCUUCACUCAGGAAAGCAAAAUUCAUCAGGAUAAAAAUACAAAGUACAAAUAAAAGGAGGAAAUUUAUAAUAGAAGUGAAGACAGUUGCAUUUUGAACUUGGCUGUCUGUCAGUAGACUUAAGGUUCCUAAACCUCGCCCUUGAUAUGAGCUGGAAGCAAGGCUUACGAAAAUUCUUUGGGACAUGGAAUUCAAAUCUAGUAAUGCUCAUUCCAUGAUACUUGUUUUACCUUUAUGAUUUGCACUUUAUUUAGACACAUUGUUAUGAUUUUCAACUAACCCAUUACAUGGUUUCAUUACAUGUCAAUGUGGUUGAUGAUGGGAAACGGAUUUCCACAAUCCUCAAGGACCAUGUGGGAAGGAUUAUGUUGGGUUUUUUUCUAUUUAUAAAUCAAGUGUUUAUAUUCAAGAGAAAAGGCUUUCAUACUUGGUAUGUACCCAUAAGCAUCACUGAAAAUUCAACUUCUCUUUCUAUCUAGAUUGAUUACAGAAGCAGGCUACGUUUUUUUUCUAAUAGGAUCACAAUGUAAAUUAAUCAUGAAUGCACUUUAUAAUUUGAUGUGUUUAGAUUUAUGUACAAAACGGAUUUUUAUGCUGCUAGUAACUUCUGUUGGUGUUUAAAACAAACAUGGAAUUAACCAUAAUGUUCUCUGUGCUCUUUGCAAGAUACUGGUAUAUUGAGUUGUGGAUGAUCUUAUUUGGUUUAUAUGCCUUUCCAAUCCCUCAUGCUACUUGUUUUCUCACUUUGCAUGGUGCUUGUUUCUGUUUCUGAAACCUUCUUCCAUGGAGUUUGGCUCUAUUGUUAGUAGUGAUGGUAAUAAACGUCUAUUUCCUUGCAAUUUCUUCAGGAGGGACCCUUGCCUCACAACGAUCGGGUGAGAUAUCAGCCACUGGACCUAUAUCCUGCUCCACUCCACAUAUGUUAAAAGUGUUAACGGAACGACGCAGGGUUCUCCCUUCCUACCAUGUUGUCUUUGAUCCUAGUUUGGCUGCCAUCUAUCUGAGUCCAAGUUAGACAUUGAUUCGGGCUCCUGGGAGAAGAAAGAAACCCGGCUUUUGACACCAAUGCUCUGGUUCUUAGAUGCUGAAGCUAUUGAAUAUUGUCAGCUGACUCUUGAGUAGAAGGGUGAAAUGCCAAUGGAAUGUAUCUUAAGAUGAGGCUUAGGACUGUGGUUUACAACAGUUUUGUUGGCUUAUUUAUUACUGUUUUGAUGUUUCUGUACAAUGAAAUUGAAGUUAUAAGAAGGGUCGAUCUGUCUUCGUGUACAGAGAAAUCUGUAAUGAAAAUACUUUUUGCCCAUUAAUGUAUUGAACAUAGAAAAAUUGUGAAAUCUCGAGUUCUAGCGAACCCAUCCCUGUUGAAGUGAUCAAUACAGAAGUCCAAAGAGGAAACACCAGGAGUUUCUGAAAAUGUUUUUUAAUGUUUUGUAAAACAUUUUGUUUGAUAACUUGAAAUUUUUUUAACUUUUUUUUUUUAAAAAUUUUAAAUAUAUUUUUUUUAAAAAAUUUAUAUGUAAUGUUUUAUUUUUAAUAUUUUUUAUAUUUAUAUAAUAAUAUUUAAAAAACAAGUAAAAACAAUUAAAAUAUAUAAUUUAUAACUUUUCUAUCUUUAAACAUCUAAGAGUAUAAAAUUAUUUAUUGAUUGUCAAUUUUUUCCUAGAAAAUAAAAAAUUGGUUUUGAAAACAAUUAACAAAUAGGGUUUUAGAGUGAAUUUGACAACUGUUUUGAAAAACAAAAUUCUAAAAAAUAUAAAAUAGUUUUUCAACUUCAAAAACAACUAAUUAAAGAGUAAUACAUGUAACCGGUCGACCGGACAAUGAUAGGGGGUCGACCGGUUGUUGCAAAAACUCCUCAUAUAAUGUAGACCGGUCGCUGGCAACCGGUCGACCGGAUUACUUCAAAAAUUUUAUGCCAUCUCACUAUUACAAGAGACACAAAAUAUGCAAAUAUGUAAAUUUUUUUCAAAGUUAUUACUUCAAAAAUUUUAUCAGUUCUAAAACUAUUUUGAGAACUAACAUUUCAUGAGAGAAUGGAAUAUUUUUUCUUAUAUUGGAUGUUCUAAGAAAAUCAACUUGUUAAACAAUGCAAUGACAUGACUAAUAUUGGUAAUGUGGGAUUAGUUCAAACUUAUCUAAUACAUCAUUACAAUGUAGCCUUGAAAAACAUGACAUUAUGAAACAGUAUAUUAUUUCAUUUAUAUUUAUGCUUUUGGUAACCCUUUACUAUUAUAUUUAUGUGUCUUAAUUAUUUUGAACAUUCAAGUCUACUUCACUUACAUUACACAUUUGGGUGCGUGAUAAAUUGCAUAAAAGGUCUAACUCCUUCCAAGUUGAUGAGUUGUUCAUUGCUUACUCAUGGACUUAGGUAAUUUGCCGAAUGUUAAAGUUCAGUACCUCCUAAUAUGGAUGAGAUGACUUGGCGAUCUUGUAAAUAUUACUAAACAACAUAUAAUAAAGUAAAUAGCUGCUUAUAUAUAUAUAUAUAUAUAUUGAAUCCAAAUUAAAACGAAAUCAAAAACAUUUGCAUGCUGACACAACUCUAAAUAUACGUAUGCUAAUACAAAAUAUAUAUGUCCCAGUUUUGCAAGCUAAACAAAAUAACGACGUGGUCUCAAUGCAAUCAAGGUGCAGCGGGUGGCGGUGGGAACACGGCGCGGAGGUACGCCAUUAACUCCUCAUGCUGACGCUCUUGGCGAUCAAGCCUCUGUAGGAUAUGCUCAUGCGUAGCCUGCUGCUGAUCCAUGCGCUCCUCAAUACGAGUCCCAAGUGAGGUAAUCUGCGCAGACAACUCCAUCCAAGGCGCAUGCGCAGCGGCGUCAGGAGCCUGGCCAGGUGAUGUAUGGGUGUAAUGAGGCUCAGUAAAUGAUGGCUGACCAGAUGGUCCCGCUGUGUAACCCGUCUCAGUCAUCACCGCAUCUGAAAUAGUCGGGUCAAUGUGGCCACCCUUAGACUGGCGUGGAGGGAUAUCAAACUCAGCCUCUCUAUGCUCAAAAUCGGUCUGAGGGUGUACCCCACCCUCCAUCUCCCUAAUCUCCUCCUCUUCGUCUUCCUCUGCCUGUGGAUGUGGUACUGGUCGGUCCGCCCUCCUAAUCCAUGACCCAUCUGGGGCCUUCUCCAACUUCAUCCGCGCCAUCGACUGCUCAUCAUAUGUGUCAUAACUGCUGGGCGCCUCGACCUCCUGCUCCCUGCUCAAAUCCACCCCCGCAUCCUUGAACACUCGUGUCAUGAAGCGGCCAUAUGGGAGAAUGCGUUUGGGCCUCUCGCAGCAUGCCAUCAUGUGCAUCAUCAUGACAUACCCGACGUCAAUACGUCUCCCCGUCAUAAUCGAAUCAAUCAGAAAUGCCUCCAGAUAGGAAACCUCAUCUCGAUGACCGCCACGUGGUAGGAGGAUGUACGCUAUCAUGUGGUGAAGGACUCGGCAGGUCACUGUCAGGCUAUGGGCCGAUGGUUUGCCCAACCCCGGGGCAUCUGCAAGGCCGUAGAUCCUCUGAAUCGCCUCUCUCGGAUCGAAACCCGGCACCGUCGGCCAGGUCUUGGCAUCAUAUACUCGGAGUCCACCAGGAGGAAUGUCCAAAAUGCGGCAGAUGCUCUCCGGGUCCAGAUGGAUCUGAACCCCUCUAACGGUCGAAGUGAUCGGUCCUCCAUGUCCAAAUGUCACACGGGAAUAGAAUGCCCUGACUAAUGUCGGAAAAAUGGGCUCUGAAAUAGUGACUAAGGGCAGCCACCCCAUGCAUGCAAAGAGGCUCUCAAACCCGAAAUGUUGUAGAUGGGCGAAAUUUAUAUUUCUCCCUGCAACCACCUUCCUCUGGACGAAAUGCUGCUUGUACCUCUGGUAUUCGUCGACCGAAGUGAAAAGGCCGGUGUCGAACCUCGCCUUUCGGCGAGCCUCCGCCUGACCGUCCUGAGAAGCCUGAGCAGGGCGCUUGCCCAGUGCCUUCGACGCACCCCUAUCUCUCCUAGGCGCCAUGAAACACUACAAAGGGCUACCCCUAUGUCAAAACAAGGCCAAUGAAAGAGUCUGUGACGCGCGCGGGAAGAGAAGAGAACCCGCCUGUGACGCGCAAUGAAGGAGGACCAUUGCCAAACCUCACUCCCUAGGUCCGAAAUGUGAAGCCGCACCCCUCAAAACUCACUCCGAAGGCUUGCAACAGCUGGAAUCGCGUCCAAAGUGGGUGUGUGGCAGCUCAAUCGGUGGAUCCCUUCGACUGCCAGAGGAUAACACUGAAGAAAUUAAGCGCGGAAUGGUUUUUUAAACGUCACCCCGGCCGACCGGAUAUGAACCGGUUGACUCAGUAACAUGUUCCAUGGUGUUUUGCACUUUUUAAUAGGUAUAAUGCAAAACACUUGUGAUAUUCACUUUUUGUGGGGUUGCCUUAAAUAUUUUCUCCGUAUAUUUUAAAUAUUUUUAUAAAAUAGUUUUUAUAAAAACAAUAUAUGCAUUUUCUAUAAAAUAUUUUUAUUCUUAAAGGUAAAAAAUAAAAAUAUAUAUCCAAGUGCUACCUUAAUAAUUUAUUUUCUGUCCUCAAUUUUUCCACAAACAACCAUAUAAAAUUUCUUUAACUUUUUCUCUUUCCUUAUAUUUUCUUUUUUAAUUUUUUGGCUUCAAACUUUUUAGGAAUCCAACAUAAUAAAAGAUGGCGCUUUAAAGGUUUUUUUAAAGCAAUCCUAAAAACUUCUUAUUUUUUUAAGUGAGUUUUAUUAGCUUGAAUUUUAAAAUUUUUAGAAAUAAUUUUUGAAAAUAUAAGGUUUUUAAGUUAAUACCUUUUAUAAAAAGUUUCUAUUUUGUACAUAAAAAAAUUUUAUUUUGAAAAUUAGAAAUCAGAAAAUAUAAGGUUUUUAAGUUAAUACCUUUUAUAAAAAGUUUCUAUUUUUUACAUAAAAAAUUUUUAUUUUUAAAAAUAGAAAUCAGAAAAUAUAAGGUUUUUAAGUUAAUACCUUUUAUAAAAAGUUUCUAUUUUUUACAUAAUAAAUUUUUAUUUUUAAAAAUAGAAAUCAGAAAAUAUAAGGUUUUUAAGUUAAUACCUUUUAUAAAAAGUUCCUAUUUUUUACAUAAAAAAAUUUUAUUUUUAAAUAUAGAAAUCAGAAAAUAUAAGGUUUUUAAGUUAAUACCUUUUAUAAUUCCUUUGUCUAUUUAGCCUAUUUGAUUAUUAAUAUUUGUAUAUGAAGAAUUUAUUCGAUUUAUAAAAAAUAAAUAUGAAUAUAAUUAAAAUGUAAAUUCAAGAAAAAAAGAUAUUUAAUUAAAAAAUGAAAACAAAUCACAACAAAACAAUAUCACACAUCAAGAACAUGUUACUUUGUCAUAAUAUUUAUUGUUUUUGUUUUAGUUUUCAUAAAUUGAAUGGUUUUGGGUUUGGAAAAAUAUAAAUUAUGGUAAUAUAACUAAAAAGAUAAUUUUUAUCAAAAUAAUUUUUAAGGCUUGAAUGUUAUAUUAAUUGAAUUUAGGUGUUCUCCCACUGAGUAAUUUAUCCAAUAAGCAACUUGGCUUGGGUUUUGCUUCUGGUUUUUUUCAUUGACUUGAGGUUGACUUGAGGUACCAUUGCAACCCCUUCCCUGUAGGUAGGAAGCGGUCGCAGUAUAACACUAACACAAAUGUCCAUAUCUCUAUCCCAAUCAUUUACAUCUUUCAGAUCAUAUGAAAAAUUGCGACUAUAUGAAAAAAUCAACAUUAAAGGAAUGCGGGAGUUGGAAGAAUUACAGGAAUUGGGGGAGUACCCUUCCCUAGUUUUUUUAAAGAUCAGUUACUGCCGCAAUCUGAUGAAGUUGCCAUCCCACUUUCCUUAUUUAGAAGAUCUAAAGAUCAAACAUUGCGUCUCUCUCAACACCCUUGUUGUGACCCCACUUCUGAAAGUUCUCGUGCUAGUUGACAAUAUUUUUCUGGAAGAUUUGAAUGAAGUGAAGCAGUCAUUCUCUAGUCUUUUGGUAUUGAGAUUAAUUGUUGCCCAAAGCUGAAGGUAUUACCUCAAAUAUGUACCCCAGAUAAGAUGGAGAUUGGUGGGUCUAAUUUACUGGAAGCUCUCUCAGCCCGAGAUUACUCCCAACAUCUUGAGCACUUGAUCGUGGAUGAAUGCGAGGAUGAAACACUGGUAGUGGGGGCAAUACCAAGGAGGACUUCUCUAAACUCUUUGGUCAUUUCAAACAUCUCAAAGGCAACCUGUUUCCCCAAGUGGCCUCAUCUUCCUGGUCUCAAGGCUUUGCACAUCUGUCAUUGGAAAGAUCUGGUAACUUUAUCCCAAGAAGCAUCACCAUUCCAAGAUUUGACCUAUCUCAAACUGUUGUCAGUUGUCAAGUAUCUAAUCUAAAAUAGGUUCCAGCAUCGGAAAUUUGGCUGAAAAUUGUCCCCUUAAUUUAUAUAUAACCAUACUAUCCCAAUCAUUUAUAUUUUUCGAAAGUUAAAAAAUCCACUAUAUGAAAAAUUAGCAUUUAAGAAAAGAAAUCAUUUGUUUUCUAAAAAAAUUAAGUACUAAUAACUUGUAUAUUGUUUUAUCAUUUCUUAAAAUUUUGUCCAAAUUUAAAAAUAACCUCUUACUUUAAUUUGAGCCCCUUCUUAAUUAUAUUACAUUUUGAUUUUUUAAAUAAAACUAAGAAUUAUUUAAAAAUUUUAAAAUUUUGUCCAAUUCUCCAGGAACCGGUCGACCGAAACUGAUCGACCGGUCUAUAUCCGGACGAGGGUGCCAAAAUGCACCCUCUCUCAUCCAGUAGCUUGUCCAAACCUCCAAGAACCGGUCGACCGAAACUGAUCGACCGGUCUAUCUCCGGACGAGGGUGCCAAAAUGCACUCUCUCUCAUCCAGUAGGGUGUGCGCGACCGGCUGAAGAAAGGUUCGACCGGUUUACCAAUGGCUGAAGGACAAUAUCGACCGGUCGAACACUUUAUGCUUUCCGAUCCACGGGUCCAUCUAGACCGGUUCCUGGGUUGGCCAUAUAUACACCUGCAUUGUACUGUAUAAAUUGUAAACGAUAUGUACGAGAUUGUUGAUGAAAAGGUUUGUUAUAGGUUGUAAUGCCGGUGCCUUUUAUUAGAUGUUUUGAGAUAGUGAGGGAAAAUGCGACUUCAUCACAACCUUCAUUAAAUAUAUAAGCCAUAAAAUUGGCAAUACAAUGUCAGGAGUUGGUUUUUCCUGUAUAAUGUACAAUCAUCUUUAAUUCGCCCUAUUUACUUACAAUGCAUUGACAAGCAACUUAAGUAAAAAAACAAUCAAAUUCUGACUAAUCCCAUAAUCCCAGUGUUCAUUUCCGCAUAUGUCCACCAUAAAUUACAUACAAAUGUGCUAAUUUUAUACAGUUUUAUCACAAAUUACAAUCCCCUUUAAUCUCUCCGGACACGGUCUCGGUGUGCAUUUUGUGCUGAGAACAACAUACUCCCCAUGAUCUUCAACCUGUAAUGUUUCAAUUUCCCCUGCGUUCAUUCACGUUGAUAGCAACAAAUCAGCAAAUUAAUUAAUUAGGUUUUUCUAACUAUUUUAACAUUAAUGAGAUAGUCAUAGAUAAUUCCUCCUACGUACCACAUCGAUUGAUUUGGAGAACCCCCCCAUUGACCACAAUUCCAUGAAUUUCAUUACAAAAACUCCACAAUCGUGCCUACGUCAAUAUAAUUACCAAAACGUUAAUAAGUGUGGAAUUAUAAAUAAGAGAUGAACUUCAAAUAAAUUGCAAUCUUAUACAAUAUCCCGGACUGCAAGGUCAACACUCACUCAUUAGUUUGGAGGGGUACAUCAGGUGUUAUGAAAUUGAAUGUCCUCAAAUCAUAAGGUGAUACCUCUUUUUUGUGGGCAGCCAACCACAGGACAACCUUGGCCUGAAACAUUUAGUAACACAACAAUUGAAAUUUUAAUGGGAAGACAUACCUAUCAAAUUAUUACUUGUUGCUUGUUACUUUACCAGAUUUUGUUGGACUCCACUCAACAUUGUCUUCUUUCUACCAGGACGAGAAUCUAGCAGUUGGAUUCUCCUGUUUUCUAGGUCAUAUACAUACAAUGUCCAAUGGUUCUUUAUGAGAACCGGUAAGAAGACCUGCACCAAUAGACUGCCAUUAAACAUACAUCUAAAUAUUGUACAUUCAUGCAAUAAAAAUACAAAUCCAAGCAUUAAACAUAUGAAUCCACCUCGUUAACAUUGACAUAUGGAAUAUCAAUCUGAUACAGAUGUGGUUCAAAGCGUCUAAUAACUGCCUCCCUAACUAAGUUUUUUGCCUGGGAGUGGAUUACCAUUUCCUGCAUGUUAGAUACGGGAUAAUAUCAGGUUUCUCAUUGUAGGUGAUGCCUGGUUCAAGACAAAAAAUAAAGAUAAGCAAGGAUUUAAUGGAAUAGUCAUCAUUAUAGCUAUGUAGGGGGAUAGAAAAAGUUUCGACUUCGGUUCAUGUUGAUACUGCAACAAUCUACAGUAGGAAUCGACGACCUGAUUUCGUAUAUCAUAAAAGUGUAAGCAACAAAUUAAUUUAGAACCACACUUUCAUUUUCAAACUUAAAAUAAUGCAUAAAGAGGGAUAAGAAAUGAUAUGCACGUCGUUUCCUAUCCACCCAUUCCCUUGGAAGCAGCCCAAAUUGGCUCUGGUUAGAAUAGUGUCAUGCAUAGACACUAGUUCCUCACUGUUACAAAAAAAUACAAUUUAGUUUUUGUGUUUUAACUAUCAUACAAUGAGAGGAGUGUCACUCAAGUAUGUUACCUUGCAUCCAAAUCGUCUCCAAAUACCAGUGCAGCUCCUUGUUUUAGGUCGAUUUUGAUGGCAGAUUGUUUGGUUUGUGGUUGGGAUAUGUAUGGGGACAACAGGUUUGGAGCCAUGCGACGCACUCGACAUCUCCGGACGUUUCUAUUUGUGGGGACAACAUUACCUUCUGGUUGUUCUUCAGCAUCUGCAAUACGAGAUUUAGAACUAGUCAGCAAAGGUAUACAUUAUGAUUGGGUACAUGGGUUGUUAACCAUAUGGGUGUUUGCAUAAAUUUGAUCACUUACCGCUUACUACAUUAAUGGGUACACUGGGCUGCAACUCAUACUCAGGGGCGACAACGCGAUCUGGUGUGUCUAGCACAUGGUAUGCAGCAUGCGAAGCCAUGUACUCAUCACCAGGAAAUGCAUGGUCAUCGGCUGUGGGAGGGCUGGCUGGUGCAUAGCUAGAGUGACCACCCGCAUCUGAAUUUACCCCACUAUGUCUGCGAGUCCCUAACUUAUGCAUAAGGCCAUGCAUUAUUCUCAGCUGCUGCUGAAUGCCCCUUUGAUAUUGGUCGAUUGCUCGUUCUGCAUCAUGAUAUUGAUGCCAUAUUUCCUAUGACAUGAUAUUGUUGUCAAUCUUUGAGAACAGAAUGUGACAACAACAUAUUUCUUUGUAGUUAAGAAGUAAAAAUAAAUUACAAUGACAAUGAAAUGAACAUUUAUUAAGUUUUUGAAAAAUUCACAGCUUACAUCACUAUUUUCAGCAUCAACAUUUGUGUCAUGGUCCACAUUAGUCUCUGGCUCCAUAGUUCUCUCUACGGUUGGAGAUCUCUGGGACGCCUAUAAUUAGCACUGAAGAUUAGUACUUAAAUAAUGAGUGUUAUGCUAGUAAUGACAAUAUAUUUAUGCAUGCAUAACUUACAAAAUCACUCUCAGCAUGUCCGAAUGCUCCAAACUCCUUUAUCUCAGCGACUAGUCGUCGCUUAAUCAAAUCAUCAGUCCAUGCCAAUGCUGGGGGCACUGUAAUGGGGACUUGGACUGAAGGAAUUUGGAAUUUAAUGACAUAAUGCAGCUGCAAAAUAAAUAGAAACAUCAAUAAGCAAAUGUGAAUAUGUUGUGCAAUAAAAUUAGAUAAGAAAAUGGAAGACAAAGACUGAAUAAGUUCACUACCUGAAGAAAUAAAACGCAGCCAUGUACCCAAGAGGUCUUAGAUUGUUGGAAUCGCCUAAUUCCCUCAACCAGUUGGUCAAGCACAAACUGGGCCCAAUUAACAUCAUUUCGGAAUCCAUCCUCAUGGAUGGUAUGCCACAAGUUACGGCAACCAUUGAGCCUAGACGUGGGGGCCAACAAUGUGGCACAUGUGUAGUAAAUGAAUGCUCUACGGAACUCCUCGCCUACAGGUAAGUCUAGGAGUUUCUCCUCGCAUGCCCGAAUAGUCCCAAAUGGAUGAUCUGAUGAUGUGGAGGUCACCUGCAAAUUCCGUCCUUCUGUUGGGAGGCCUAAAAUGAGGCCAACAUCGGUGGCUGUAACAGGAUAGUGUUUAUGGGCUGAGAACUCUAUCCGUCUAAAUCCAACAUUGAAAUGUUGGAUUAGAAAGAUACAGAGGUUGUGGCGUACCUCUGUGCAGUUUAAGUUUAAGAGACCUCCAAAUUGGAGGUCUCUUAUGGCUUGAAUUUUUGCCUCUGGUAAUCGGUUGCACAGUUUCUUAAAUCUUGCAGCUGAGCAUCGUGUAAACAUUGAUGUGCCCUGCAUGCAAUGUUAGAAAACAUGGACAUGUUAGGAAUAGCAACAUUCUUGCAGUUGGUAAUGCAAUAAAAUAAGUGAAAAAGUAAAGCUGUCAUUUCUCAAAGUUACAAAGAUUUGUCUGCUUGUAUUUAGAAAUAAUAUACAGCAGGGUAAGACAUUAGAUGGGGUUGGGUGCUACUAACAGUGAGAUAUCCUGUAAGAGGGAGGAUUGAAAAUUUAUGAAUAAGGCUAUAUAGAAUAGGCAAUAACAGUCAAAAUGUACAGAAUAGACUAUAAAAGAAAAAAAUAAAUAUGAGAAUACUACAUGAUAUAUAAAAGAAAGAAAUCAAAUCAAUUUAUGUAAAUAAAUUGACUAAUUAUAUUAGAGAAAGAAACCAUCAACAAAUCAAUGAAUAAUCCUAUUUAACCUGCUCCUUUUGAUACUUCUGACAUACACAAAAUCUAGAGGAACUGCUAGAGCAAGCACUUUGCUACUGCCAUUGAACAUGGACAAGGUUUGGAAUCCAAGUUUCUGUUGAGAGUAUUCCCACAUGGUACUAACUAUCAGUGAAGAAUUGUACACUAUCAUUUGAUACCACGAAUCAUGUGUUUGACCAAAGUUCAUGCAUACCUAAGUUGUUAGCUGAGUGAGGAUUCAUGGGAAAAUAAAUGUAACAUAGGACUAUUAAUCUAAACUUGUGAAAGUUUUGAGGCUUGAAUCUGAUUCAAUGGCCAUAAUAAUCUAAAAUUUGCAGAAAAGAGGAAGUGGGCAUUUAAAAUAAGGUAAUGAUACACUAUGAAAUGCUACUACAUACUUUUUUGUAGAAUAGUAAACAAAGAGUAUGUUUACGCUUGAAAACAAGAAUAAAUAAGAUGAAUCCAUGAGUGUUGGAGAAUUAAAUGAAUGAAGAGGAGUUUGGAAACCAUACUUUAUGUUGGAGAAUAAAAGUUAUGUGCUAUGACUUUAUGUUUUUUUUUUCUGUUAACUUAUAGAAGUAUUUUCAUUGUUGUAAGGAUUCUGCAAGAAGAUAUACAUGAGCAAUUUUAAAUGUCUGUACUGCUCCUGGCAAAAGCCACAUUGGGUACAAGUUUGCCACAUCAGUUUGCUUGGUCAGUGCGUGAAUCACCGUAAAUGAAUUUAUGUAACUGGUUCAAAAUACUGGUAUAUGAAGUGUGUAGAGAGCUAUGCACCUUGCUUAAGUCAAUUGUUUGAAUCUUAGAGACAAAAAAUAAUACAGAAUUUGCCACCCGAAAAAAAUGUAUGUCCAGAGUCCAAGGCACUGAGAAAUUGGCAAGGCAUGGCUCUCCACCUUCAUAUUUAAAUCACUUAGAAAGUGAAGCAAAAAGAAGCCUAAUGUCUCAAUACCAUUGAGGUCCCCAUAAAUAAUUGUGAUCAUUUAACCCUGGGGACCUGGCUAAAGUGGCUACAGAGGUAAGGGUUACCUAUAACUCAAGUGGCUAAAGAGUUAAUCCCAUCCCCAUCACCAUUCCUACCAGAACACCUCUCUUUAUCCCUUCCUCUACCCUCCUCCCUCAUCAUAGAGGACAUGGUUUUUGCCUAUCCCCAUAGCUGUAUAGCGAAGACCAUUAGAUCCCUAAAGCAUAAUUGUAUAUGGUGUUAGUGAACCACAUUUUCUAUAUUACCAAAUUGAACACAAAUAUUACCCGACAACUUACAAAGCUGAUAUAAUAGUAUUUAAUAAAUAAACGUUGAAUUGUUAAAACUUCAAUAUUAGAGAACUUUCCAACAUAACUGAUACAUGGUAACUAUAAUAAGGGACAUGAAGAAAUCACUUAAAUUUAAUGCAUAAUAUAUAUAUAUAUACUAACUUAAAAGGUANNNNNNNNNNNNNNNNNNNNNNNNNNNNNNNNNNNNNNNNNNNNNNNNNNNNNNNNNNNNNNNNNNNNNNNNNNNNNNNNNNNNNNNNNNNNNNNNNNNNNNNNNNNNNNNNNNNNNNNNNNNNNNNNNNNNNNNNNNNNNNNNNNNNNNNNNNNNNNNNNNNNNNNNNNNNNNNNNNNNNNNNNNNNNNNNNNNNNNNNNNNNNNNNNNNNNNNNNNNNNNNNNNNNNNNNNNNNNNNNNNNNNNNNNNNNNNNNNNNNNNNNNNNNNNNNNNNNNNNNNNNNNNNNNNNNNNNNNNNNNNNNNNNNNNNNNNNNNNNNNNNNNNNNNNNNNNNNNNNNNNNNNNNNNNNNNNNNNNNNNNNNNNNNNNNNNNNNNNNNNNNNNNNNNNNNNNNNNNNNNNNNNNNNNNNNNNNNNNNNNNNNNNNNNNNNNNNNNNNNNNNNNNNNNNNNNNNNNNNNNNNNNNNNNNNNNNNNNNNNNNNNNNNNNNNNNNNNNNNNNNUACCCCAAACAACUCCGAAACACUACGCAAUAUCCCUUAAUGUCUAUCUGAUAUAAUAAUUACUUCUUGACCAUCUAGGAUCCCCUUCAAUUUCUCCAAGAACCAAUACCAAUCCUCAUAAUUUUCUGAACCAACCACACCCAAGGCUAGAGGGAACAUUCCAUCAUCUGCAUCAUAUGCAAUGGCAGACAAAAGAGCUCCUUUGUAUGGACCACUUAGGUGGCAAGAAUCAAUAGCCAAUACCGGUCGACACCCCAUGGUGAACCCUUGAAUUGAAAAUGCGUGGGCAAUGAACAAUUGCUUGAAGUGACCUUCAUGAGAAGUGUACUCGGCAAUAGUUCCAGGGUUAAUUUCCCUUAGUCUAUGGCAUAACCAAGGCAAAUACGCGUAGGACGCACGUGGAGAUCCAUAUACACGCUCUUUUGCCUUCUCUUUAAGAUGCCAUGCUUGGUUAUAAGUCAAUUGAACUCCAUGAUCACUUUCAAAAUCCUUGCAAAUUUGUCGAGGAAGGUAUUCUGGAGUUGUUCUAAACACGUCUUCAACAACAACAACACCUCUCUUGGAAGAAACCCGUACCUUAGAUGAACACUCAUCUUGAGCUAUAUGAUUAUGAUUAACUUGGUAAGUAUAAACUCGCAAUAUUUCAUUUCCUUCAACAGCAUGAGCUGUUAUCUUCCAAGGACAAUCCUCAACCGAACACUUUACUGACAUAUGAGUGGGUGAAUUUUUCUUGUACUUGUAUUGAAACCUUCCAGCUAAUGACAUUUGGUAUAUUGCAUUCCGAAACUCAUCUACAUUCUUAAAUGUAUGUCCGGAACCUAAUAUUGCCUCACGAAACCGAUUCGAUUCCAAAGGGGUGUACUCACUAUAUGCACAACGCGAUGCAAAACCUCUUGAUAACAUCAUAGUAUUAGGAUUUGCAUCGCAUGAUGCAUUAGACGAAGGAAACGUAGGAUGUGGACCUCUGCAUUUACAUUCAUAACCAAAAUUAGACUACAUAAUGCGUAAAAUUGAUAUUCAUAAAAUUUUAAAUAGACAUCCAAGUGAAAACGCAUUACCCAAGUGCCAACUGUGUAUUCGGUAUAUUUGCCUCUAUGGCUUCCACACCGGGUGACUCGACUAUGUACACAUUUGCAAAGUCAUCAUUGUGGGAAACCACGUUAUCCAAGUCAUCCUCAUCUUCUAAAUCUUGGAUGACUCUAGGGUUAAACUUGAGGGUGUAGUGCAUCCUCCUCACAUGAAGGGAAAUGUCGAAUUUUUCUAAGACCUUCUGAGUGAAUUCUUCAAAUGUCAUUCCUUUAUAAAUGUGAAUACCUUUGCUUCUUCCACCAACAUAUUCCCAAACGCCAUCAUUUUUUUGGACAAGUUUCCCUCCCACGAAAAUAUAACAGUAUAUUCUAUUUGUGGCAUCCAUCAACCUAUUGAAAUAAAGCACAAAUUUAUAUUGUUGAACAAACAAUAAUGCAUAUUCAAUGUGAUCUUAAAAGUUUUUUCAUUUCACAAUAUACUAUGUUCCCAUACGAAAAAGUUAUAUUUUAAAAAAUGUAUAUACAAAAAAAUGUAACUUUAAAGUCUUAAAAAAGAAUUUUUGUUGCUCUUUUUGAUUAUUCUAACCAUUGUCAACGGUAAGAUUAUUUUAAGAUAGGCACUAAUAAACAAACGCUGAGUUGAACUAAGAUAUGAAGACCGAGCUUCUCUCUUCUCUUGGACUAAUAAAUACUACCUAACCUAAACAAAACUAAAAAUAAUAAUAAAAAUAAAAAACAAAAAUGAGAAAUGUAAAACUGAAAUGGAAAUUAAAAGAUUGAAAUUAAUAGAUUAAAAAAAAUCAUUAAAUUAAAAACUAAGAAAGGCUAUAAAAGGAAAAAAAACAAAUCUCUAACUUAUUUUCCCUAUCAUUCCCCUUUACUUAUAUAUUCAUAGUUCACAUUUUUAUAAGCAAAAACCUCUCUCUCCAACUACUUUAGUGCUACCCAAUUUGACACUACUACUUACCUAUGCUAAUAAUCUAAUCGUGUCAAUACUUGGAACUUUAAGACAGAACAUCACAACAAUAUCUACUAAAGUAGGAGGAUUUUGUGUCUGAUUCGACUUAAUACUCCAGAACAUAUAUAUAUAUAUAUACACCAAAAACAUUGGAAUUAUGGAAGUAUAAGACAUUCAAUAGGAAAUAAUCCCCCACGUUUUAUUAAGCUCUGGCCUAUACUUACACUAGGUAGAAAACAAAUUCUCAUUCUCACUCAAACCCUUAGACAAUUUCUGUUGGUACUACUAUAUUAGACAUGCCUACAAACUUAUUCAAAGAGAAUGGAGAUAUUUAAAUAUUAAUUAUAAAGCGUUGCUUUUCAAAAUAAUAUGAAGAGAUAAUAGCCUAAAAAAUGUAACAAAUACAGAAUUCUCUUCUAAACUAUCAUGUCCUACUUUAGAUGAUUCAUACAAAACCAUAAGCAAUAGUUUAACACAUUUAAGGUUUAAGGGUCAAAAAAACUAAUAGAUAAAACGAGAUAAAUCUGUUACUUGUGCCUACAUCUCAAGCCAAUGCACCAUAAGAAAACUUUAGGGUUUUUAGGUUUUCCAUUUCCCCUUUCCAUUUUUCCUCUCCUGCUUUUCUAGCAACCAAUUAAACAAUUAUAAAUUAUUUUCAAGUAUAUAUGACAAAUUUUCACAAAUAUUUUUUUGAAUUUAAAAUAUACAAAUAGCAUGAAAAAAAAAAUCUAAAAAAAAUUACAAAAAUAUAAUCAGAUCGAUUAAGCCAUGAAUUAUGAGUUGCAGGUAAAGUGCAUUUUCUGUAUUCUCAAGGCUUAAAGAAAAAAUUAUGGUUCAAAAUUUUUCCUUUCUUUUUCUCAUUAUUUUCUCAGCAUCCAAAUAAUAGUAGCAAACCAAGAAGUCAAUUAUUGAAUGGAAACAGUAACUUGAACUCCGGAGAUCAAGUUGAACACAGUUUAGAGAUUUGGACUAAGAAAAUUUAGGUCGAGAUUUAGGCAAUCUACUAACCUCAAAUAUGCAACAACAGAGACCCAACUGAAAUCCAUACCUUAUUCAAUUUUUCGAGAGAGACGAAUGCGAGAAAAAAUGAAAGAGCCGCAGAGAUUGAGAUGCAAGAAAGCGAUGGAAGUGCUCGGGAGGAAGAGAAGAAAACGGUUUCUAGCCUUGAAAUGCUGAAGAGAGAACAAAAUUAGGGCAAAAUUCCAAAAAGCCACAGAGAUUGAGAUACAAGCGAUGGAGAAACUCGGGAGGAACAGAAAAAACGGCUUCUAAGCAGAGAAGAAAAUGACUUCUAGGCAGAGAAGAAAACGGCUUCUAGGCAAAGAAGAAAACGGCUUCUAGACAGAGAAGAAAACGACUUCUAGGCAGAGAAGAAAAUGGCUUAUAGGCUUGAAAUGCUGAAGAGAUCAAAAUUAGGGCAAAAUUCCCAAGAGCCGCAGAGAUUGAGAUGCAAACGGCUUGUAGGCUUGAAAUCUGAUGGAGGAACUCGGGACGAAGAGAAGAGACACCGACGCAAAGAUUGAGAUGCAAACGGCUUGUAGGCUUUAAAUCUGAUGGAGGAACUCGGGAGGAAGAGAAGAGACACCAAAUUUAGGGCAAAAUUCCAACCUGGAUUUUUUUGUUUAUUAUUAUUUUUUUUUCAUAAUCAGCAAAGGUUAUUUUUGGAAUUAAUAAAAGUGCAUAUCCUUCUUUUUAAUUUUGACACUUCCUAUGGGUUUUCAACUUAAAUGGGUCGGUUAGAUGGACCAUUUGUUAAUUUUUGGGCCCAGCUGGGCCCAAAACACAAUUCUCCCUAUUUUUUUGGGCAACAGUGGACAAUUUUUUGGGUUAUGGAAAGUUGGGUUACCAAAAAGCUAUUAGGCCCAAAUGGGCGAGCCAAAACACAGUUUUCCCAGUUUAUAAUUGUCCUGAACUGACAUGGCUGUCGGAAAACAUGCAUGUCCUCAACACCCUCUGGACACUCGUAAUUGAGUACUUUUUGGUUUGGCAACAUUAAUAGACUCAAUAGGCUUCCUUGCGUCACUUCAGAACUUCAAAUUCAUGAGUGCCUUUAAUUGACAUAACUUCUAGAGGAGAUGGCUCACUCAAUUCUCUACAAACACUUACAACAUUAACGGACUUUAUAGGCAGUCUUACCUCACUUGCAUGCCUUGAAAUUGAUAGCUACCCUGAAUUGACAUCAUCUCCUAAAGAGAUUAGUUUCUUCAGAUCCAUAUUGCCACAAUCUCUUAUUGUCCAUGACUAUUGGACAGAUAUGAGAGUGAAACAAGUGAAGAUUGGUCAAAGAUUGUUCACAUUACAGAAAGUUAUUCAGGUUUCAAAUCCCUGUCUUUCUUCUCAUUUGCUAUGGUUUCAUUUUAUCAAUAAGCUUUGUUUACCUUCUUUUUUGACAAUUCUAGUAUGCAUUAACAUAUAAAGCAAAAAAAAAAAAAAAAAAAGGCUGAGAUAAUAUUAAACAUAGUUGUUAUUUGGUUAUUAAAGACCAAACUAUUCAUGUUACUUUAAGUUUUGCACACUAAGAGUUUGGGAAUAAGCUAGUGUUAUGAAAAACGAGAAUAGGCAACAAAAAAUAAAUAAGAACACACACAGAUUUACGUGGAAAACCGUAGGCAGGAAAAACCACGAACAAAGGAGAAGAAUAAUCCACUAUGUCAAAAAUUGGUACAAAAGGGGAGAACAUUAAGCGGCUACAAUAUAAAUCCCUUAGAACCUAUACACCAUCCCCAUAUAUAUAUGGGAGAGAAAAAAAAAAAAUAAAGCUGAAGAAAUCUAUAAUUUUUUCUUCACCAUAUAUAUUGCAUCGUGAAGAUUUCGGGUUGGACCAAUAAAGGAAAUUAGGUCACCAAGCUCUAACUAUCUCCACCUUGACAUGAAUUCCAAUGUAAGGAAUAGGAAAAACAAACUCCAAUCUUCAACAAAAAAAAACUCUUCACCUCUUCCACAAACCCCAAAGGGUAAUUCAACAACGAAUACUAACCAAGUCCAAACAAUGCUCAAACUUGGAAAGAGGGAGUAUCUUCAUCAUCAUAUCAGUAGGAUUAUCAUGGGUGCUAAUUUUGGCCACAACAAUAUCACCAUGAGCAAUGAUAUCACACACAAAAUGAUACCACACAUCAAUGUGCUUUGUCUUCUCAUAAAACAUCUGAUCUUUUGUGAGGAAAAUAGCACUCUCUGACAAUCACAAAAAACUAUGGUAAUUUUCAAGUUGUCACUAAGUUCACUAAAUAGUCCUUUUAACCAAAUAGCUUCCUUACAAGCCUCUAUAAUAGCCAUGUACUCAGCCUCGAUAGUAGACAAAGCAACUAUAGUCUACAAAGUAGCUUUCCAACUGAUAGCACAACCACCAAUAGUAAAAACAUACCCUACAAGAGAUCUUCUUUUAUCAAGAUCACCAGCAAAAUCAUAAUCAACAUACCCAACAACUCCAUCUCUAGUUCACCCAAAAUGCAAAGAAACAUCAGUAGAACCACACAAGUAUCUAAAAAUCCACUAAACCGCUUUCCAAUGUUCUUUACCAGGAUUUGUCAUGUAUCUAUCGACUGAACUGACUGCAUAUGAUAAAUCUAGACGUGAACAAACUAUAGUAUACAUGAGAGACCCCACUACACUAGAAUAUGGAACUCGUGACUUAUAAUCAAUGUUAUCAUCUGAUUAUGGAGCUAAAACAGAUGCAAGUUUGAAAUGAGUCGCUAAUGGAGUACUAAUAGGUUUAGCAUUCUACAUAUUGAACCUGUGAAGAACUUUCUCAAUGUACCCUUUUUGACUUAGGUAUAAUUUACUUGUCUUUCUGUCUCUUAGAAUCUCCAUUCCAAGUAUCUUCUUUGUUGCUCCUAAGUUUUUCAUCUCAAACUCCUUAUUGAGUUGGACUUUUACCUUUCUUAUAUUUUCCUUAUCCUGGGCUACUAUUAACAUAUCAUCAACAUAUAAGAGGUUUGACUCAUUCAUGACCACUCAUGAUAUUAAUUAUUGUUUAUACCUAUUCCCUGAUGAAGUACAAAAUUUUGAUAUUAUGAAGUGAUGGAAAUCUCAUGAAUCCACUUUUUCUAAACUAUCUAAAAUGGAAUGUGAUUUACUAACCCCACCGGUGUCUACUGUAACUUUGGAAUAUUCUUUUUUUAUAGUAGCAAAUGUAAUAGGAGACAGGAGGACAACUCUUACAACAAAGAUGCUAGAAGUUUUGACAUGUUUGAAGGAUUAGGAAGAUGGAAGCAUGAGACUUCAAACUUUAGAGGAUGAAAUUAAAGAAGCCUUCGAGAAAUUGCAUCUCAAUGCAGACAAUGAUGUUUAAGAGAUUGAUGAUGAUUGAAGAUGUAAAAAAAGGAAUGAAGAUUGAAUAAGAAGACAAAAGUGAAUAUGAUAAUAGAAGAAUUAUAUGUUGUUCGUUUCUUUUAAAUCUAUUAAAUGUAACUAAUUUUUAAAGGUUGAGUAAUACAUAUGAUUGAUAGUUGGGUGGGUGCCAACCUAGUUGGGACGUGGUCAAACUAUAGUGAUGCAAUUCUCGCCUUUUUAUUUCUUCUUAUUUUUUAAUGUAAUUUGUUGAAAUAUUGAAUAAAAGAAUUAUUUUUUAUAUUUCAUUUCCUUUUAUAUUCCAUUAUUUUAAAUUUAUUGUUAUUUUGAUAAAAAAAAAUUCAAAUAUAACUUUUUUACUAUUUUUAAAAACAAAAAACUAACAUUUCUAUAAAUUUUACAAUUACAAUUAAAGAGUUUGAACUAUUAUACUGUGGAUAUGAACAAAUUAGCUGAUUUAAAUUUUUAUUAAUAUGAGCUUGCCCAUUUGGUUUUCUUCCCAAGUUUUAUCUGCACCCUUGUGCUUUAUGUGAAGAACUAAUUAAUUGAUUACAUCAAUAUGUUGUUUCUUCUCAUGCAUUAAUUUUCUCUAAAAUAUUGAGUGGUUCUAAAUUUCAUAUGAUAAGAAAAAAGAGAUCGACUUAUGCANNNNNNNNNNNNNNNNNNNNNNNNNNNNNNNNNNNNNNNNNNNNNNNNNNNNNNNNNNNNNNNNNNNNNNNNNNNNNNNNNNNNNNNNNNNNNNNNNNNNUGAAAGUUAGAACCACUCAAUAUUUUAGAGAAAAUUAAUGCAUGAGAAGAAACAACAUAUUGAUGUAAUCAAUUAAUUAGUUCUUCACAUAAAGCACAAGGGUGCAAAUAAAACUAUUGAGUGGUUCUAAAUUUCCUUACAAACUAAUAUUUUAAAUUAUGAAAACUUUGAAAUAUUAAUAUUUCUUUUUACUCAACCCUUAAUAAAUAAAAAGAAUUUGGCCAAUUUAAUUUUUGUAAUAUAUUAUGUUAUGUUUGAUUUCAGAAAAAAUACUAAAGAAACAAUAUAUAUAUAUAUAUAUAUAUAUAUUUUGAGGAAAAUAAUUUUCUCAUGUUUUUUUUUUGUUUUUUUAUGGAAAAUACAAAACAAAAUAAAGUAUUAUUCAAAUUAAUUAAUAAUUUUAUAUUUUAAUUUUUAAAAUUUUUGUAUGAAAUGAGAAAAAUAAAUUUAAUAAAUUUGAAGAAGUAUAAAAAAAUUAUUUAAAUCUUUAUUUUAUUUUCUUUCAAAUGUUUUCUUCAUGUAAAAAUUAAAUAUAAUUAAAAUUAGUUCAAAAUUUAUGUAUUUUCAAAAUUAGUUUAUUAUUAUUGAAAACAAAAAAAGAAGUAAAAUGAGUUUAAAAUGGUAUGUAAAAAUAAUUUAUUAAUUGUAAUUUUUUUUUUUAUUUGUCACUUUUUUAAACGCAUGCAAUAACUGGUUAGAGUCUCCUCACUUAAGGUCCCUGAAUAAUUUAUUAUUUGUCACUUUUUAAAAAUUUAUUUUUCUAUUUUUUCUAUGGCAUUUCUCUUAAAUCUUCCAACAACAAAACCUAACUUGGGGGUUUCAAUUUUUGCAUCAUAGCAUGUGUUUGAAUCGACCAAACAUCCAUCACAAAAUACUGAAUGUAAAGAAAAAUAAAUGAAAGAAGGACAAAAGUUAUAUUACAACUUGCAUGGCUUGUUGACUUGUCCGCCUAUUAAUCCAUAAUAAUAAUAAUUCACAUUUUAUAUUAGUACCAUGUGAUUUCCCCAAUGCUCACAAGCCCUAUAUAUCACUACUUUGCCCAGUAUUCUCCCCUCACAAUUCUCUUUUGAGUUCUCCUUUUCUUACUAUAUUUCCUUGCUCUUCUGCACUUCGAAUUCUUCUAACAUAUGGCUGACCAAAUUCCAUUCGGUGUUGUGGAUCACAUUUUGAUCAAGUCAGGGUCCCUGGCUGUUCAAGAAAUUCGAUCCAUGUAUGGUGUUCCAAAGGAGUUAACCAAGCUCUGUGGGAAACUUGGCACCAUCAAGGCUGUGCUUUUGGAUGCUGAGGAGAAGCAGCAGCAGAACAAUCAUGCAGUCAAAGAUUGGGUCUGGAGGCUUAAAGGCGUUGUGUAUGACGCAGAUGACUUGCUGGAUGACUAUGCAACCCAUUAUCUUCAGCGAGGAGGAUUGGCAAGGCAGGUCAGUGACUUCUUCUCAUCUGAAAAUCAAGUUGCUUUUCGUUUAUACAUGAGUCACAGACUCAAGGAUAUCAAAGAAAGGAUAGAUGAUAUUGCAAAAGACAUCCCCAUGUUAAAUCUUAUUCCACGGGACAUAGUACUACACACACGGGCAGAGAAUAGUUGGAGAGACACCCAUUCAUUCGUGUUAACAUCUGAAAUUGUAGGAAGAGAAGAAAACAAAGAGGAGAUAAUAGGGAAGUUGUUGUCGUCCGACGGUGAAGAAAAUCUUUCGGUUGUUGCCAUUGUAGGUAUUGGGGGGUUGGGUAAGACCACCCUUGCUCAAUUGGUAUACAAUGAUGGAAGAGUGAAAGAACAUUUUGAGCCUAAGAUAUGGGCUUGCAUUUCUGAUGAUUCUGGUGAUGGUUUUGAUGUUAAUACGUGGAUCAAAAAAGUUUUAAAAUCUGUGAAUGUUCGGUUUGAGGAAAGUCUGGAGGAUAUGAAAAAUAAGCUUCAUGAAAAAAUAAGUCAAAAGAGGUACUUGCUAGUCCUCGAUGAUGUUUGGAAUCAAAAUCCUCAAAAAUGGGAUGACGUGAGAACUUUAUUAAUGGUUGGGGCUAUUGGUAGUAAAAUUGUAGUGACCACCCGAAAACCAAGAGUUGCAUCAAUCAUGGGAGAUAAUUCUCCCAUUAGUUUGGAAGGUCUGGAACAAAAUCAGUCCUGGGAUUUAUUUUCAAAAAUUGCAUUUAGAGAAGGCCAGGAGAAUUUGCAUCCAGAAAUUCUAGAAAUUGGAGAAGAAAUUGCAAAAAUGUGCAAGGGAGUUCCUCUCAUCAUUAAGACUUUAGCAAUGAUAUUGCAGUCUAAAAGAGAACAGGGCGAAUGGUUGUCUAUUAGAAACAAUAAAAAUUUGUUGUCACUUGGCGAGGAAAAUGAGAAUGUUUUAUCUGUGCUAAAACUAAGUUAUGAUAAUUUGCCUACUCAUUUGAGACAAUGCUUUACAUAUUGUGUUGUAUUUCCAAAAGACUAUGAGAUUGAGAAAAAGUCGUUGGUACAACUAUGGAUAGCACAAGGUUAUAUUCAAUCUUCAAAUGAUAAUAAUGAGCAACUAGAAGAUAUAGGGGAUCGAUAUUUUCAGGAAUUAUUGUCAAGGUCAUUGUUGGAGAAGGCGGGAAACAAUCCUUUUACUGCUACAUUAAGGUAUAAAAUGCAUGACCUUAUACAUGAUCUUGCACAAUCAAUUAUAGGAUCUGAGGUCCUCAUUUUAAGAAAUGACAUAACAAACAUUUCAAAAGAAAUUCGUCAUGUAUCAUUGUUUAAAGAAACGAAUGUUAAGAUAAAAGAUAUAAAGGGAAAACCCAUAAGGACCUUUAUAGACUGUUGUGGACAUUGGAGAAAGGAUUCAUCAGCUAUAAGUGAAGUUCUUCCAAGCUUUAAGUCCCUACGUGUGUUGAGUGUGGAUAAUUUGGCUAUAGAGAAGGUGUCAAUGUGGGUAGACAAAUUGAGCCACUUAAGGUAUCUUGAUCUUUCUCUUCGUGAUUUUGAGGCACCUCCAAAUGCUAUUACAAGGUUAAAGAAUUUACAAACACUAAAACUCAAUGAGUGUUGGAGUUUGAAGAGAUUUCCAAAAGAUACAAGAAAAUUGAUCAAUCUUAGACACUUGGAGAAUGGUGGGUGUGCUAAUUUGACUCAUAUGCCACAUGGAAUAGGAGAAUUGACAUUACUUCAAAGUUUACCAUUGUUUGUUGUUGGGGAAGAGAAAGAGUUGUCCAGGGUUCAUACAAUUGGCAGCUUAAUUGAAUUGAAGAGGCUAAACCAACUAAGAGGAGGACUACUCAUAAAAAAUCUUCAAAAUGCACGGGUAUCAGAAGGAGAAAUUUUGAAAGAAAAGGAAUGCCUUGAGUCUUUGAGAUUAGAAUGGGCCCAAGAAGGUAACUGUGAUGUGGAUGAUGAGUUGGUGAUGAAAGGCCUCCAACCACACCGAAACCUAAAAGAGCUCUAUAUAGGUGGCUACCGAGGUGAAAGAUUUCCAAGUUGGAUGAUGAAUAGCCUGCUUCCUAACCUAAUUAAAAUUAAAAUUGCGGGAUGUUCAAGGUGUCAAAUUCUACCACCCUUUUCUCAACUCCCUUCUCUCCAGUCUUUGGAUCUUUGGAAUAUGGAAGAGGUGGAGGGCAUGAAAGAGGGUUCAUCAGCAACAAAUGCCGAAUUCUUCCCAGCUCUUCAAUUCCUCAAACUCAACAGGAUGCCGAAGUUGAAGGGAUUGUGGAGGAUGGAGUCAGGAGCAGAGCAAGGUCCCUCAUUUCCUCAUCUUUUCAAAUUAGAAAUUGAAGGAUGCCAUAACUUGACAUCCUUUGAAUUGCAUUCAUCUCCUUCUCUUUCUACUUCAAAGAUCAAAAAAUGCCCUCACUUGACAUCCUUUAAAUUGCAGUCCUCUCCUCGUCUUUCUACUUUAAAGAUUGAAGAGUGCCUUCUCUUGUCAUCCUUUGAAUUGCAUUCAUCUCCUUGUCUCUCUGAAUUUGAGAUCAGUGAUUGCCCAAACUUGACAUCCUUGGGACUGCAGUCAUCUCCUUCUCUUUCUAAAUUAGAGAUCCAUAGUUGCCCAAAUUUGACAUCCUUGGAAAUGCCUUCAUCUCUUGGUCUUUCUCAAUUACAGAUCAGAGAUCGCCGAAACUUUAAAUCCUUGGAACUGCAGUCAUGUUCUUCUCUUGCUAUAUCAACCAUACAGUCUUACGAUAAGCUGAAAUCCUUGGAAAUGCCUUCAUCUCUUGGUCUUUCUCGAUUAGAGAUCAGUGAUCGCCGAAACUUGAAAUCCUUGGAACUGCAGUCAUUUUCUUCUCUCUCUAUAUUAACCAUACUGUCUUGCGAUGAGCUGACAUCCUUGGAACUGCCUUCAUCUCCUCAUCUUUCUAGAUUACAAAUCAGUUUUUGUUGUAACUUGAAAUCCUUAGAACUGCCUUCAUCUCCUGGUCUUUCUCAAUUAGAGAUCGAAUAUUGUGAUAACUUCACAUCCUUGGAACUGCAGUCAGCUCCUCGUCUUUGUCAAGUACAGAUCAGACAUUGCCAAAACUUGACAUUCUUAAAAGAGGUUUCAUUACCUAGUCUUGAGAAACUAUUCCUAUCUACAGUCAGAAGGGUGGUGCUCAUAAUGUUUGUCUCUGCUUCUUCUUCACUGGAGUCUCUGUUUAUUAACAACAUAGAUGAUAUGGUAUCUCCCCCAGAGGAGCUGCUUCAACAUCUUUCCACUCUCCACAAUUUGAAGUGCUCUGGUUUGGCAACAUCACCACACUGGAUAGGCAGCCUCACCUCACUUUCUGAAUCAGAGAUCAGUGAUAGCCCAGACUUGACAUGCUUAGAACUGCCGUCAUCUCUGUGUCUUUCUAGUUUAAAGGUCAAUGAUUGCCCAAACUUGACAUGCUUAAAACUGCAGCCAUAUCCUUGUCUUUCUAGUUUAAAGAUUGGAAAAUGCCCGAAGUUUGCAUCCUUUGAAGUGGCUUCAUUACCUUGUCUUGAGGAACUAAGCCUGGGUGGAGUUGGAGCAAAGUUACUGUCAAAGUUAGUGUCCAUCUUUGCUUCUUCUUCAUUGAAGUCUCUGUAUAUAUGGGAGAUACAUGAUAUGAGAUCUCUCCCAAAGGAUCUGCUUCAACAUCUUUCCACUCUCCAAACUCUCCACAUUUUGAAAUGCUCUCGUUUGGAAACAUUAUCACACUGGAUAGGCAGCCUCAUCUCACUUAGAGAGCUUGGAGUUCAUGAAUGCUGUCAAUUGACAUCACUGCCAGAAGAGAUGCGUUCACUCAGAAACCUGCAGGAGUUAUAUCUCUGUGAUAGUCUAAUUCUACGGAUAAGAUGCAGUGUGACAACAGGUGGAAACUGGUCCAGGAUUGCUCAUAUCCCACAUAUUCAUUUCUUCGAUGAUAAGGGAAUAAAGUUUAAGGUCCGAAAUUCCUAACCUUUAUCCUCAUUUUUAUUAUUUUACGAUCAAAAUGCAAUGUUUUCCCAUUUGGUUUUGGUAAUUCUUUUAUAUUGACACUUCACAUGUUUGUUAAAAUGCUCACAUCAAUAAAUUUGAUUUCUUUUUGCAGACUAUAUGAUAGAUGAUGUGCACUAAACUGAUCAUUUUACUAGGUUCUACAUUCUAAGGGUUUGAGGAAAUACUGAGAUCUGAUAUGAUAUAUCUCCCAGAGGAGCUGCUUCAACAUGUUUCCAUGAUCUAAACUCUCACCAUUAGACAUUGCUGUUUUUGCAACAUUACAACACUGGAUAGGCAGCCUCCCCUCAGUUAUAGAACUUGGAACUCAUGGCUGCCAGAAGGUAUGUUCCCUCAAAAACUUGCAGAUGCUCAAAAUCUGCAUUGAAGUCUUAAUGAGGGCUGAGGUGCUGUGUCAGUCAAUGUUUCUCUCCACUUCUUCAUUGAAAUCUCUAUCUGUUGGAUCCUCAGAUGCUAUGAUGUCUCCCAGGGGAGGUACCUCAACAUGUUUCCAGGAUCCAAACUCUCAAAUUGAAUUAUGCUCUGGUUUUGCAAUAUUGCAGCCCUGGAUAGGCAGCUUCACCUCACUUAUGGACCUUCAUAUUUGUGACUGCGCUGAAUUGACAUCACGGUCGGAAGAGAUGCAUUCCCUCAAAAGCCUGCCAACACUCAAAACCUUUCAUUGUUGGAACCUACUUGAAGAUGCCAAAAGGAAACAUUUCAAGUUCAAGAAUAGAGAGAGCCAUGCUUGGUGCAGAUUCCAUCAAUAUAGAGAGACAUUUCAGGUCUGAAAUCCACCCUUCAAGUUGUAUUAGCAUAUAUAUCAUGAGUGAUUUUGUUAUUUAUGUCCACACCUUAUUCAUUUGAUGAAAUGCUUAAACAAGCAAGUUUUAAAAAAAAAAUUCUUCAAAUCACUUAUCAAAGAAAAAAAAAAAAAAGUUUCUCUUCAAAUCAAUUCUAAUGCGCCAUGAAUUGGUAAAUGAAGUUUGGGAAGAUGCUGGUUUGAUUUAAUUAUCAUUUGGUUGCAGAUUUCAUCUUGCAUUAGACGCGUGUGAAUAUUUCUUCUUGGCUCAACUUGAAAUCACUGCCUACAUUCUUCCAUUUCCCAGCUCAAAAUCACGUGGCAGAAGUUUUAAACUGCCAAAAAAUUUGUGAUGGCCCAUAAAUUCUUAUCUACCAGAUGACUAAUGGAGGAAGGUCCUGCUUUCUUUAGAAUUCAGGUCUACUCUUUGCCAUAGAUUACAGGUAAUCUGCUGCCUGCUAUUAAUUUGUACAUCGUCUUUCAUUUUGCCAUCCAUUUCUGUCAAGAGUGUCAUUCAAGUUGUGACUAUAUUUGUUGACUUUCACAUGCACAAAACUAGUAAACAGAUUGAACAAGUAAGCAAUAUGUGUCACUGUGAGUUUCGUUGUUAUUUAAAAUCACUCCAACUAAACAUGACAUAGACCAAAAACUCAUUAUCUCAGUCAAGUAGUUUAUUUUUUGUCCUUCAUUUGGUGAUGUUGUCUGGGUUUUUUAUUUUCUCUCUCUUCAUUGAUAGGCUUGUCCUCUCUGCAAUAUUAAUCACUGCAGAUGUAAUGUUGUCUAAUCAAUACAAAAAGCGAUAGUUGUGGGGCUUCCUUGAUCAGCAACUGCAUCGAGUGUUUCUAGACACUAAUGUCUCUAUAUUUUUGAAAAUUCAGAGAGUUGCAAAUUUCAAGGACUUAAAAGCUCGAGUAACUGUCUCUACCAUUAGGGCUUCAACAUGUUACCAUUCUGGAAAUUCUAAAAUACGUCAGAAUGCCCCACAUCCCUUAAUCGAAACCACUGCCAACACACUCAUGGGCUCUUUGACUUUGCCAUCUACAAUAUAUCAGAGGUUCAUGAUCCAUCCUCUAUUUCUGCUUUGGGUGGCUUCAAUUUUUUAUCUUACUUUUGUGUCAAUAUUCUAAAAAUGUUAUAUUCAAUUUACAAUUUUUUUUUAUCUGAUUCUCAUGCAUUCGCACAUGCUAAGAGACAAGUAAUAUAACACUUUCAUAAUGCAGGCCUUUUCCAUUGUUACUUCAUGUUUUUCACUUUACGAAUUUGAGAAAAUUUUGGGGUUGAUUUAAUUACUAUUUUCUCACAGAUUUCACCUUGCUUAGAAAGCCUAUGACUAUUCAUAUCUACUAGAUGGCUAAGGCAUCCAAUAAAUAUGCUUCACUCACCAGAAAAAUACCCAUCUCCUCAGCUCCAAACCCCUCUUUCUUCUCCUUCUCUUUUACUGUUUGCCAUUAUACCCUCUUACUGCUUUUGAAGACUGUAUUACUUUUGUAAAAUCCUUAGAUUAGUAAAAUUUGAAAUUGUAUUUUUAGUUUAAUGAUUAUAAUCUAUAUGUGAUCUUGUUAUUUCAUAUUUGUAGUUACAUGUUUCGAAAUUUUAUUAGGUUAACUACUUUGUUACAGAUGCAAGUGCUGCUGGGUCAAAGCAAAAUACCAGAUGGUAAUGUAGUUGUGACACCUUAUUUCUCUAAAGCAACUCAAAAGUGGGAAUUGUCAUAGAUUAAUAUUCUCUCAGUGGCGGCCACACCUCAUUUCUCUCAAGUAUUGAAAAUUCAGUGAUGUGCUAGUAGCUUAAUUAAUGUCUCUGUCACAAGUGAUUCAACAUCUCAUCCCACUUGAAGCCUUGGAAGCUAUCUCUAUAUUCAGGGACUCAGAUUGCCGCCCUAAAUUUGGUAACUUUAUCACACUCAAUGGACAACUUCCCUUUACUAACGUCUUCAAAUUUAUUGUUGUCCUGAAUUGAAAUCAUUGUUGGAAGAAGUGCAUGUCCUCAGCAUCUUUUGGACACUCAUAAUUGGGUACUUUCUUGUUUGGCAACAUUAACAGAUUCAUUAGGAAUCCUUACAUCACUUCAGACCUUCGAAUUUAUGAAUGCCUUGAAUUGACAUCACUUCUAGAAGAGAUGGUCCACUCAGGUCUCUGCAGACACAAUUCAGGACUUUUCUUUUUUGGCAACAACAAGAGACUUUAUAGGCAGUCUCACCUCACUUGCAUACCUUGAAAUCAAUAGUUGUCCUGAACUAACAUCAUCUCCAGAAGAGAUUGGUUCCUUCAGAUCCAUGCAGCCACCCAUAAUCUCUUAUUGUCCAUUGCAAUUGGAAAGAUGUCUAAGGGAAACAAUUGAAGAUUGGUCAAAGAUUGCUCAUGUUAUAGAAAGUUGUUUCAGGUUUGAAAUCCCUGCCUUUGUUCUCAUUUGCUAUGGUUUCAUGUUUAUCAAUAAGCUCUGUUUACCUUUUGUUUCGACAAUUCUGGUAUGCUUUAGCAUAUAAAGAAAAAAAGAAAAAAAAGAAAAACUGAGAUAAUCUUUUAAAAUUUUUUUCAUCUUCAAAUCAAAAUUGUUAAUUCCAUGUAUUAUUAAAUAUAGUUGUUAUUUGGUUAUUAAAGACCAAACCGAUCAUGUUACUUUAUGUUUUGAACACUAAGAGUUUGGGAAUAAACUAGGCUUUAUUUAAUUUCUGUUUUUAGCAUAUUUCACCUUGCUUAAGAAGCUUGUGAUUAUUCCUUGGACCAAAGAUUUCUUAUGAGUCAGAAUUUUUGCUCUCUUUCAAAUUCAGCUGCUUUGUUUGUAAUUCCAAUCCUUUUCCUGCCUUUGAACACUAGCACCAUUUUUAGUUAUUUAUCAAUGUGUUAGGAGCAUUAUCCUCUAGUUUUUAUAAUUUGUUGCCAAUUAUCAUAUAUAACAACACAUUAACCAAGUAGUGCAAAUGAACAUCUAUAAAGAGUCCAAUUAUGUUAAUUAGCAACUAUUAGAUAAAGUAGUUAUAGUAUUAUUUUUUUUGUUUGCUUCACAUGCUCUAUAAAAUCCAUAGAUUAGUAAUGUUUGAAUUUGGUAUCUUCAAAGAUAUCAAUUGCUACUUUGAUGGUUAUAAUCAAUGAUUUAACUGUCUGCCAAAGUGAUUAUAUUGUUAAUAACUUCGUGUUUCCAUUUUACAUGUUUGAAAAUUUAUGAAGUUAACUAUUUUAUUGCAAAUGUAAUAGUUGCUAAGUUAAAGCAAAAGUGGUAGUGAUGUGGUUGUGACACCAUACUCAUAUGAAGUAAUUGGAAAGUGAAGAUUGUCAUAGACUAAUGUCUAUUUUGGUGGCUACCACACCCUCGCUUCUCCUAAGUUAUUGAAAAUUCAUAAAUGUGGUAGCCAAAUGUCUCUCCCUCGUGUGAUUUAGCACAUUGCCCUCGAAAAUUUGGAAGUAUGUAAAUUCACUUUAGUGCCCUUGAAGAUUUAAAAGUUCUCCAUAUAGGUAGGGUUAACUGUUUUGGUUUUGCAACUUUGUCAAAUUAGAUGAGUUAACUUCAGAUCGAUAACUACCUUGUGUUGAAAUUAAUGCUAGAUGGGAUGCACCCAUGAGCACUCUAUAGAAAGUCAAUAACUUUCACUCCCAAAUCUUAUUAGAGAAAUGCCAAAAAGGAAAAGGUGAAGAUUAGCCAAAGAUGAUUUUAUGGUUGAUUCAUGCACUACUAUUGCAAUCCUUAAUUCAAGCAUGCAAUCUACAAUAUGUUUUAGGCUUGAAAUCCAACCUUUCUCUCAUUUUUUUUAUGGCUUUGGUUUAUUUUUAUACAUUGUUUAUGAUUCUAUUUUCUUGAUUCUCAUGUGCAUUAAGAUAUAUAAAGAAAAAAAAUUUCAUUGUUUGCUUUCUAUCUACUAUGUGUCGAUACAUAUAUGUUUUAAAAACCAAUUUCUAAUAGCGGUGCAACUUAGGCGAGUUGGCCCAACCUAGCUAGACCUUUGAGUGAGUUUGGACGAUCAUUUUUAAUGUUCGGAUUGAGUUUAUCUUAAGUGUUUUUUCAACAUAAAUUCAAUUUGGUUGGGCUUAAGCCAAGGUUUAGACAACUUAAGCCUAACCUAAACCUAAUUUAAUCCUUUUAUAAUACUUAUAAUUUAUAUUAUCCUAUAUAAUAAUAUUUAUAAUUUUUAUUUAUUUAUUGUUAUAAUUAAAAAAAAUCAAAAUAUAAUUGUAUCAUAUACUUUUUUGUUUCUCCAAAAUGAUAUAUUGAUUGACUUAUUAUUAUUAUUAUUAUUAUUAUUAUUAUUAUUAUUAUUACUAUUAUUGUAAUCUUGAAAAUUUGUCAUAUUUACUACUUAAAUUUGUGUGUGUGUGUGUAUGUGUAUGUGUAUAUAUUAAAAAAUAUUGUGAAUGCAUUUUGAAUCUGUUAGCCCAAAGGUUCUCCUAAUCGGGUUUUGAUGAUAACAAACUAUGGUUAAGUGACUAAUUGUUUUAAAUGAUAAAGAAUCUCAGGUAUAAAUUCGGAAAUUCAUUAAAGGACCAAAUAGAUACAAGAUCAAGACUUUGGGAAGACUUUUGAUCAUAGAAAACGAAUGUAAGAUGAAUGCAUGGGUGCACUUGGGAUUUUCAUACCAUUUCAUGCAUCUUAGAAAACUCGGUUUAUCCUUUAAAACUUCGAUUUCAUUAAAACUCGAGUUUGAUCAAAUGUACCUUAGGCAAAACGUUUUAAAAUUGACAUAUUAUUUCACCUAAAGACCUUGCUUAAGUGUUAGAAAAGAAAGGAAUUGAAAAAAAUAAGUUUUCGGGGCCAAAAGACCGAACCGAUCGAGGCUCUGGCCAACCGGCUCAACCGGUUGGGGAACGGUCGAGGAGUGCCAAAAACACUCUCUCUCAUCCAGUAGUUUCCUCUUCCCAGUUGAGGUUCACCCAUUCCCGGUUGAGGUCCAGUUGAGGCAAUGGUAACCUGCCAAGCAUUAAAUGCUCCAACAGCUAGCGAACCGGUCGACCCCUAGCUCGAUCGAUCGAGACUCCCUUUUGCCUUUUUUGACUUCCGAGCUUAGAAGCCUAUAAAUUGAGAGCUGCACUUCAUUUAUGAACAAGAGAACACUUGCAAUCAAUUGUCUACCUACCUAUUCUUGACCAAAAAACUCUCAUUUCUUUCUUAGUGCAUUAAAUCAUCACUUGCAUAUCCUUUAGUGCACCCUUGUGUGUUAUCCUAGUUUUGUCUUGUAUUUGAGCUAUCCUUAAGCUAGGCUGAGGGAUUCAUUCUUGUAAAAACUGAGUGUUAAAGCCUUUAAGAGGUUUGAAUCUUGAAGAGAUUGUGUAAGAGCCCAUUGGAGCCAGAAUCCAAGUGUAAGAAGAUUGGAAGCUUGGUUGAAGCUUCAAGUUAGUGGAACCCUCACUUAGUUAGGAGAUUGAGAAGAGUGGACGUAGACAAGGAAGUUUCGAACCACUAUAAAACCUGAGUUUGAAUUCUCUAACUCUAUCUCUUUAUUUUUGUUUAUAUUGUGCUUGAACUUAUUGUGUUUGAAAAGAUUUUUAAAAACCCAAUUCACCCUCCUCCCCCCAUUUUUGGGUGUUUUUCUUAAUUAAGUAUAGUCUUUAUUUUCUUAAUUGGUAUCAGAGGUAGACCUCUUGUUUAAGACCUAAUAGUCUAAGAGGAAAUGGCUAUUCUAUCAAGCUCAUCUCACACUAAAAUUUUUGCAAAACAUAGAGCUCCAUUUUUUAUGGGAACCGACUAUCCCUAUUGGAAAACUAAAAUGACUUGGUUUUUACAAUCAACCGAUUUAGACGUAUGGGAUGUUAUUGAAGAUGGCCCAACUUUUCCUACUAAACUAGUUGAUGGAGUUUUGGUUCCAAAACCCAAGCAAGAAUGGAAUGAGCUUGAUAGAAGAAAUUUUCAAUUAAAUGCUAAAGCUGUUUUUACUUUGCAAUGUGCUACAGAUAGAAAUGAAUAUAAUAGAAUAUGUCAAAUCAGCUAAAGAAAUUUGGAGAUUACUUGAGCUAACUCUUGAAGGAACAAAUCAAGUGAAAGAGUCAAAAAUUAAUUUACUUGUUCAUAACUAUGAAUUGUUUUCAAUGAAAGAAAAUGAGACUAUUGUUGAGAUAAUUACUAGGUUCACCGACAUUGUUGUGUUUGAAAAGAUUUUAAAAAACCCAAUUCACCCCCUCCCCCCAUUUUGGGUGUUUUUCUUAAUUAAGCAUAGUCUUUAUUUUCUUAGAAUCAUAUAAUGAACCAACCCGAACCCAACAAAAUGAGAUUAUGUUGGGCUUAGGUUAAGUAAAUUGGAUUAGAGGUUGGGUUGGGUUGGGUUGGUUUGGCUUAGGGUUAAGUGUUUCUUAGGUUUGGCUCGGAUCAAGUUGACCAUCAUCCAAACUCAACUCACCCAACUUGCAACCCAAAUUUCUAAGAAUAUGAUAUAUAUUCCAUUUACAAAUCUUUUUUUUUUGGUUCAUAUGGCUACUAGAACAUCAUGUUAAGUGCCUGAGAAACAUUUCCUAGUUGAUAUUUAGUUGUAGGUUAAUCUUCAAGUACCCUAGAGCUAAAACAUUUUAUAUUGUUAGGGUUUGAUGAUUCUUGUACUAGUGGUUGGGUCUCAUGUUGGAUUUCAGUUCAAGCGACUAAAUAAUCUUUUUCAAAUUAUUUGAUUGUAAUUAUGAUUACAUUUAUAAUUAUUAUUAUUUUUUAUUUUUAUAUCUUGGUAAUUGAUUUCAAUACCUUUUUAAUUAUUUUAUGAAAUGUCUAGCCUGCAUUUAGAGUCAAGGAUGUGUUUGUUUUGCAUGUUGGAUUGGAUUUAACUUUUCACUACUAGUAUUCUUUUAAUAGAGCUUCAAUGCUAAAAGCCUAAAACUAAAUCAUUUUGGUUGUUGAUAUAAGUUUACAAGAAGUACAAUACCUUUUGCAAGUGACACUGCCUUCAAGCCCUUUGAAAAUUUUGUGUAGUUACUAAUUAACUCUUUGUUGCUAAAAUAUAAUAUGUGAAGUUAUCUUAUAGUCAUAUAGCUAAUAAAAUUUUAAUGUUAUAUUACUUGAUUUAGUAUUUAAAAUAUUUAAGGUUUUGUGAAUUAAAGACCACCAUGUUAUCCAUAACAAAAGUUUUCUAUGGUUAGAUUGUAAUUGUUUUCUUGGUUAAUUUGACAAUUUAAUUGUGGAGUUCAAUUGAAUAUUCCUCGAGUUUCAUGCCUUAUGUAUCUGAUUUGUUUGUCAAGCUUCAAUGAUAUUCACUACACUUGCGAGUUGUGUUUGUUUAUAGUCUUCUACUCUAGAAAACUGAUAUUAGGGCCUAAGUUUAUAUUAGAUAAGGAAAUCAACCUUUUAUCAUUAAGUUUAGUGAUUAAAUGUAUUUCUUUUUACUCCACCCAUAAAGUUUCUAAGUGUUGCCUUGGACUUCCUAACUCCAUUACUGUUUGUAAAGAAAAUGGUUAAUUUUUUCAUUUUAUGUAGAAGUUAACAAAAGUGGUCAUUUUGACAUGAUUUGACAUUGUUAUUAUUAUCUUUUUAAAUUAGAUAUAAUAAUUUUCCAAAGUCAAUAUUUUGUUUGCAUGAUGCUCUUUUUAUAUUGAUAUGUAAUGGAUGGCUAAAGUGGAGAAAACUUACUUUAUUUAAGUCAAAUGUGUCUUCCACCAAAUAUUUAAGGUUUGUGUGGCAACCUCUCUUUCUAUUUGUUGCUUCAUCUUUACUGUUUUGAAGUCAAAGAAAGAAAAUGCUAUCUUUAAUACUCUUCAUGCAAAUAGGCUAGACAUGCAUGCUUGAAUACAAUAUUUUCUCUAUUGUUUGUUUAUUUUCUUGUCUUUAUUCUAUUCCACUUGUUAAUGUUAUUUAAAAUGACUAUCGUGAUGAUUAAUUGCAUAUUGUGAAAGUACUUGGCUUAACCAAUUAUUAAAUUGGAAUUAAGUUAAUAUCAUGACAAAUACCAAAAGAAUAAUUUUUAGUCUUACUUGAACAUUAUUCACUAUUCCAAAGUUAAGUAAUGUUGUCAAACAAGUUAUGGAUGGUUGAUGGAUAUGCAUCACCAAUAUUUGUUUAUAUUGAAGGGAUGGUGGAGGAGAGAUGUUGCAACUGCAAAGUCCUUGUCUUUCUCAAUUAGAUAUUAGUUAUUGUCAUAUGUUAACACAUUUUGCACUGCAUUACUUAACAUCCUUUUCCAUUAAUUACAUCUCAUUUUUCUAAAAUAGAGAUCAAAUACUAAGGUAAUUAGACAUACUUAUUUAUGCCUUCAUUUCCUUGCCUUUCUCACUUACUUAUCAAUGGAUUCCCUAACUUCAAAUCCUUCCCACUGCUUGUAGCUCAUUGUCUUGUUCGCAUAGAUAUUAGUAAGUGCCCUAACUUGAUAACCUUCAAAGUGCAUUUAUUAAUAUAAGUUGUUGGCUUUUUUGUUCUUCAUUGAAGUCUCUAUUUGGGACAUUCAUGAUUUGAUAUCUCUUCUAAAAGAAGGCUUGGCUUCAACAUUUUUCCAAUCUCCAAACUCUCACAAUUAAGAACUAUCAUGGUUUGGUAACAUUAUUGUGUUGGAUCUACAACCUUCAAUUACUUACCAAGCUUCAAGUUGAUCACUAUCUAGAAUCGAUAUCAUUGAUAGAAAUGAUACAUUCUCUCAAAAACCUUUAAAGACGCAAAAUCUAUUGUUGUCCACACCUAUUAGAAAGAUAUCAAAAGGAAACAAUUGAAGAUUAACCCAAGAUUGGUUGUCUCACAAAAUGAUAUUUAGUUGAGAUUAGAUUGAUAAAGAAUGUCAUUUUAGGCAUGAAAUUCCAAUCUUUCCUUUCAUUUUUUUAUGGAUUUAUUUAUUUUAAAAUUAUAUAUAAUCCUUUGUUUUCAUUUUGCUUUGGUCAAAUGCUUAGAUCAUUAAGUUUUUAAAGUUUUGUAUCUUUAAAUUACUAACCGCUAAUGAUGUGUAGCAACUUGAUUAUGUCUGUUACUUUCAAUUUUGCAUUCUAAGGGUUUGAGACAUGCCAAGGUUUGAUUUAAUAAUUAUUUUUUCAUGGUUUUUAACUUGAAAUCAUUGUCUAUUCAGGUUCAUUGCCCAGACUUAAAGUAACUGUCAUAAGAAACAAACUUCUAAUAGGCCUAAUGAUUUCUCAUGGCUAAUUCACAUCCAUUAGAUGCUUGAUAAUGAAAACACUUUUGCUCUCUUCUAAUUUCAGGUUUCUCUGCCUUAUAUUUUAUGUUCCAACUUUACACAUUUAUUAAAAUUAUUAGACUAGUUGAAAUUUAUAAUAUAUUUGUAAUAAUUCUAAGAGUUUGGGACAUGCCAAGGUUUGAUUUAAUAAUUAUUUUUUUCAUGGUUUUCAACUUGAAAUCAUUGUCUGUUUAGGUUCAUUGCCCAAACUUAAAGUCAUUGCCAUGAGGAAACAAACUUUUGAUAGGCCUAAUGAUUUCUCAUGGCUAAUUCAUAUCCACUAGAUGCUUGAUAAUGAAAACACUUCUGCUCUCUUCUAAAUUCAGGUUUCUUUGCCAUAUAUUUUAUGUUCCAACUUUACACAUUUGUUAAAAAUUUAUAACAUGCUUGUAAUAAUUCAUUGUUGACUAUUUGCACUCAUUAUGUUACUUGAUAUUUUGUUCUCAUACCAAGCUUAUACUAAAACGAUAAUGUUGAGAAUUGACUAAAUACGAUUCAAUAUUCCCACUAUAAAUGUUCACAAGUUAUGGAAAGUUGAUGCAUAUGGAAAGAGUAAUAUCAAUUUCCUGUUGUCUAUAAUAUGAUUACUUCAUCUCUUUCUUCGUUUAGUGUCAUGCUCAAUAACUUAUAACUUUCCAUUCAAUUUGUUAAGAAAUAUUGUACUCUAUUUGGAGUUAUGAUCUUAUGAUUCCAUAAUAUAGAAAACCUUGAACAUAAAGUAAUGGGUUAAGUUCGUAUAAGUUAUAGUGCACCUUAUCAAAGGGAAAUUCAAAGUCUUUAGUUGAUAAAAAGAAAUGGAGUUUGUAGCUCUUCCUUAUUUGACAAAUACUACAUAUUGAUUUACCUUUUGUCUUAGAUGAUACCAUUAAUAAUUGUUCUAUCUCUUCUAGAAAUUUUAAAUAUUUUACUUACAUCAUUUAUCAUGUUCAUCAUGACACCUAAAUUAGCAUAAAAGGCGGGGUCAAUUUUAUCUUCACUUAUUGUAGCCAAUGCUUAAGGAAUUUCUUUUGUGUGAUGUAAAUAGUCAAACAUGUUUUAACUAUCUUUUGGAAAUGAUUAGUCUUGUUAAAAAUUUGACAAACGAUAAUACCUCCAACUUUUGAGAGUUGUCACUUCUAUCAUUCUAGUUGAUUUGUUUUUCCAUUGAUUGUUGUCACACCAUUUGUUUUUGUUAUUCUAGUUUCCUCAAUCAUUGCCUCAAGAUCUUCUUGCAGGAGUGAAAACUCUUCCUCUCUAAUUAAAAUUAUUAUCAUGAUUUCUUCUACCAUGUUUGCUUAGAAAAACUUGCUCAUGAAUAAUUUGAUUUUUCCUAUCUUCAUCUUCAUUGAUUAGAUUUCCUAAUGUGAUCAUUAGAAUGAAUUAAUUGAAAGAUAGAGAAGGUGGUUUUGCAAGCAUGAAAACCCGAAAAAAGUAGUAUUUUGGUCGAAGUCCUCGAGGGAGUCGAAGCACCUUCUCAACAUUUUGCAUUAGAUUCUAAAUAAGUACUAAGUUAUCACUUAUGCCUUUAAAUUUUCAAAGAUUUUCAUCUAUAGAUAGAACCUCAUGAGGAAUCUAUUAUUUAAAAGGAUUUCCUUUUCAUAGGUAGCAAUCAUUUUGAGUCUAACAAGCCUCUCUAAGACUUCCUCUUUCAUAUUCCAAGAAGCUAGGGGUAAGAAGUCAAUUUGAUUGAGAUAUUGUAUAUCUUAUUGACAACCUUUUUUUUUUAUUCUUUUGAAUCUUAAGUUUCUUUUGGUCAUUUUCUACAUUCAGGGAGAUGAUGGAAUAUGUCAAGAUUCUAAAAUGAAGGAAGAACUUUCAAGCACCCAAACAUAAACUUUCAAGAUUUGUUCAUUAAUCAAAAGAUGAAAUGCUAGCAGUAUACCAAAAAGAGGUUAUUGGAUUUCUAUAUUAUUUCAUUAUUUUUAUAUAGACACUUUUCACUCAAUUCCUAGUCCUUGCAUUUUUCAUGUUUAGAAAUUUUCUUAGGUUAGGCUAUUUUGCUAUAGAUAUGAUUGUUGCUAAGUUUAUGCAAAAAAGCAUGCAAUAAUUUCUUCCAUAGUGAUCUUGUUGCCUUCUUGAAUAAGUGGAUGUUUGAUUUAUGUGGAACUGUUGAACUCUUUAAUUCAAGCAUGGUAUCAACAAUAUAUUUCAGGUUUUACAUCUAACUGUUAUCUCUUUUUUAUGACUUGGUUUUUUAUUUUCUUAUAUGGAUAUUGUAAGAGGUUAUGCUCCUUUUUAAUUCUAUUUUCAUGAUUCUCAUAUGAAUUAACACAAAUGAAGGAAAGGUUUUUUUAAUUAAGUUAAUUUAUUGAUGUUGGAAAAAUUAAUUGUUAGUUAUAUUCUAACUUUACAUGCUUGUUAAAAUGAUUAGACUAGUUAAUUUAAAAAUAUAUAUCAUUCUUGUAAUAAUUCACUAUUAAUUGUGUGGCUAAGUGAUCAUGUUCUUUCAUGUUUUCUUUUCAUAUCAGGUUGAUACUAAAGGGGUAUUAUUGAGAAUGAGUUGAGCAUUGUUCAAUUUCUCAAGAUAAAUGUUCAUAAGGUAUGGAUGUCUGAUGCAUAUAGAAAGAGUUAGUUCACUUGCUUAGUAUCUAUAAUAUGUACUCAUUCUUGAUGUUUGUGAUUACUUAAUUUCUAUCUUUCAUCUUUUGGUGUCUUGCUUGUUAAUUUAUACCUUUACAUUCAAUUUGUUAAGAACUAUUAUACUCUAUUUGAAGUUUGAUUUUAUGAUUCUCAUACACAAAAGAAUACCAACAAUUUGGGCAAGGACAUGAUACUAAAUCAUUUAUCAAUUUGGUUAUCUAUCUUUUCUCUAAUUUCUUAAGCUUGGGAAUCAAAAUGCUUUGGAAUACCAAGAAACAAUGGGGAUGAGUCUUUUCUUCAUCAUCUUGAGUUUUAUUGAUAGUCAACUUGUAGUAUCAUCCUUCAUAUUCCCUAAAGUACUCAAACUUGAUAGUUUGAAAUACUUAACUUGUUUACAAAAAUAUUCUUACUUCAUGUUUAGGUUUUGUAUAUUUGAAAAUUUAGUUAUGUUAAUUAUUUUAUUAUAGUCAUGACCAUUUUCAUGUCAAUGCAAAAGAGAUAGUGGUGAAGACUAGCAAAAUGUUACUCAUACCUUGAACAUAACUAUAAGUUAUUAACGGCUGGUGCACUGGAAAUGUCUCUCCCUCCUCUACUGUCUUUAGUUAGAAUAAAGGGUUCAUAUUAUGUUUUCAUUAUUUAGUUUUGUAAUUUCUACUUAUCAUCCCACUUUUUGUCUCUUAAUGAUUUAUCACUUAACAAUCAAAUUUUAAAAACAUGUUCUUAUAGGUGAUAGUGCAAUAACAUGUUAAAUUCAUGAAAAUUUUUCCAAAUUGAUAUUCAAGGUUUAGUUUAUCUUCAAGUGCCUUCUAGAUGUGGCUUUUGUGUUUUAUAAACCAAAACAUUGAUCUAUGUUCUUUGUGGCUAAGGCUUGGUGUAUUUUCAAGUACCUUGUGGUAGAAGCUUAGGCUUUCCUUCUCUUUCUUUUUGAGAAAAUAUAUUGAUGAUUGCUAGAGGAUUAGGUUGUCAAAAUUCAAUAUUGUAGAAAAUGUUUGGCGUUUUAAAAUUAUUUAAUGAAUUUGGUUGAGAAGUUACUUAAUAUAGAAAAACAUAUUUAUUUGAGAAACAGGGAAAUAAAAAUAUUUUUUGCACUACUUGCCUUAUGUUUGCAUGAUGUGUGCACACAAACAAAUCAUAGAAUUAAGAAUACAAAUUGUUUGCUCUCAUUUUUAUAAAUUAAUAAAACUAUAACCAAAAUGCAAUGUAGCCAAGUCACAUUUAUUGUAUUAGUCCUAAAAUAAUGUUUGAACUAUGUUAACUAGUAAGUAUUGGAAAAAGGAAUUAUGCCAUCUUUAUUUUCUAUUUACCUGGUUUAUAAAAUCCUUAGAUCAAUAAAGUUUGAAAUUUGUAUGCAGUUAAUUGCUAGAAUUAUAAAUUUUUGUAAUUAUAAUUAUUUUUAUGAUUUUAUUUUAUUUUAUUUAUGUUUACAUUUUUGUUUGAAAGUUUCUCAUAUAUGUUAGUCUUUCUAUCAUUAAUAUAAUAAUUAUCAAGAUUAUUCAAAAAGGAUAGAGGACUAGUGGUAUAUUGUUCACAUUUUAUAAAUAUAUGUUGACAAUGUGGUCUUUAGGUUUACAUUUUAAACUUUUUUCCUCACUAUUUAUCUUUUUAUCAUUUAUUACAUGGCAGUCAAUUUCUAAUACACAAUGAGUCUUCUCUUCCCUUUUUCAAGACCAUUCUUCUCAUUUUCAAAGGUACUUACAUUUAAAAAACUUAAGAUAAUGUUGAAGGGAGUUUCAUUAUGAGGACAUAUUACAACAACACUUGUUAAUAAUAUUGUUUUAUGAGUUGACAUCCAUGUCUAUGCAUUUACACUUAACAGGAUUCAUUAUACAAGAGUAUCUUAUACAUUGAACUCAAUGCAAGUUUAGAAAAAUGAUAUUAGGUUGGGUUUAGGUUGAGAAUUAGGUUGGGUUUGGCUAUGGUUAAGUGUUUCUUAGGUUUGGUUUGGAUCAGAUUGAGCAUCAACCAAACUCAACUCACCCAAGUUGCAACCUUAAUUUCCAAGAAAUUGAUAUAUAUUCCAUUUACAAAUAUUAUUUUUUUUGGUUCGUAUAGGCACGAGAACAUCAUGCUAAGUGCAUAAGAAACAUUUCCAAGUUGAUAUUUUGUUGUAGGUUAAUCUUCAAGUGCCUUAGAGCUAAAACAUUUUAUAUUAUUAGGGUUUGAUGAUUCUUGCACUAGUGCUUGGGUCUCAUGUUGGAUUUCAAAUCAAGUGACUAAUUAAUCUUUUGAAAAUAUUUGAUUGAUAUUAUAACUAAAUUGAUAAUAUUUUUUUAUAUAUAUUGGUAAUUGAUUUUAAUGUCUUUUUAAUUGUUCUAUGAAAUGUCUAACCUAUUCUUGUUAGGGUCAAGGAUGUGUUUGUUGCACAUGUUGGAUCAUAUUUAACUUUUCACUAUUAGUAUUCCUUUAAUAGAACUUCAAUGCUAAAACUAAAUCAUUUGGGUUGUUGGUAUAAGUUUACAAUGAGUACAAUACCUCUUGCAACUGAGAUUGCCUUCAAGCCCAUUGAAAUUUUUGUGUUGUUACUAAUUGAUUCUUUGUUGCUGAAAUAUAAUAUGUGAAGUUAUCUUAUAAUCAUAUAACUAAUAAAAUUUGAAUGUUAUAUGACAUGUUUUAUUAUUUUAAAAAAUUUAAUGUUUUGUGAAUUAAAGACCACCAUGUUAUCCAUAACAAAAGUUUUCUAUGGUUAAACUGUAAUUGUUUUCUUGGUUAAUGUGACAGUUUAACUGUGGAGUUCGGUUGAAUAUUCUUGAGUUUCAUGCCUUGUGUAUCUGAUUUGUUUGCCAAGCUUCAAUGAUAUUCACUACACUUGUGAGCUGUGUUUGUUUAUAGUCUUCAACUCUAGAAAACUGAUAUUGGGGCCUAAGUUCAUCGUAGGUAAGGAAAUCAACCUUUAUCAUUAAGUUUAGUGAGUAAAUGUAUUCCUUCUUACCCCAUAAAAUAAAGUUUCUAAACCUUGCCUUAGACAUCAUAACUCCAUUACUAUUUGUAAAGAAAAUGAUUAAGUUUUUCAUUUUAUGUAGAAGUAAAAAAAAAAAAAAAAAAAGUGGUCAUUUGGACACGAUUUGACAUUGUUAUUAUUUUCUUUAUAAAUUAGAUAUCAAUAAUUUUUCAAAGUCCAUAUUUUAUUUCCAGGAUGUUCUUUUUAUAUGGAUAGGUAAUAGAUGGCUAAAGUGGAGAAAACUUACUUUUUUUUUAAUUCAAGUACCUUCCACCAAAUAUUUAAGGUUUGUGUGUCAACCUCUCUUCCUAUUUGUUGCUUCAUCUUUACUAUUUUGAAGUCAAACAAAGAAAAUGCUAUCUUUAAUACUCCUCAUGCAAAUAGGCUAGACAUGCAUGCUUGAAUGCAAUAUUUUCUCUAUUGUUUGUUUACUUUCUUGUCUUUAUUCUAUCCCACUUGUUAAUGUUAUUUAAAAUCAUUUUUGUGAUGAUUAAUUAUCGAUUGUAAAAAUACUUGGCUUAGCCAAUUAUUGAAUUGAAAUUAAUUUAAUAUCAUGAAAAAUACCAAAAGAAUAAUGUUUAGUCUUACUUAAGGAUUAUUUACUAUUUCAGAGUUAAUUAAUGUUGUCAAACUUGACAAGUUAUGAAUGGUUAACGGAUACACAUCACCAAUAUUUGUUUAAAUUGAAGGGAUUGUGGAUGAGAGAGGUUGCAACAACAAAGUCCUUGUCUUUCUCAAUUAAAUAUCAGUUAUUGUAUAUGUUGACAUAAUUUGCACUGCAUUACUCAACAUUUUUUCCAUUACUUCCAUUUCCUCAAUUUUCCUAAACUAGAAAUCAAAUACUAAGGUAAUUAGACAUACUUAUUUAUGCCUUCAUUUCCUUGUCUUUCUCACUUACUUAUCAAUGGAUUCCCUAACAUCAAAUCCUUCCCACUGCCUUUAGCUCCUUGUCUUGCUCACAUAGACAUCAAUAAGUGCCCUAACUUGACAUCUUUCACAAUGCAUUCAUAAUAGAAGUUGUUCUAUUUUUGUUUUUCAUUAAUGCCUCUAUCUAUUUAGGAUAUACAUGAUUUGAUAUCUUUUCUAAAAGGAGGCUUAGCUUCAAUAUUUUACCACUCUCCAAACUCUCACAAUUAGGAACUAUCAUGGUUUGGUAACAUUACUAUAUUGGAUCUAAAACCUUCAAUCACUUACCGAGCUUCAAACUUAUCACUAUCUAGAAUUGAUUUCACUAACAAAAGUGAUACAUUCUCUCAAAAAUCUUAUAAGACUCAAAAUGUAUCAUUUUCCACAUCUAUUAGAAAGAUACCAAAAGAAAACAAUUGAAGAUUGGUCCAAGAUUUCUUAUGUCCCACAAAAUGAUAUUUAGCUAAGAUUAGAUUGAUAAAGAAUGUCAUUUCAGGUAUGAAAUUCCAAUCUUUCUUUUCAUUUUUUAUGGAUUUAUUUAUUUUAAAACCAUAUAUAUGUUGAAAGUAAGAACUAUAAAGCUAUGAACUCAUACAAAUCUAGAAUAACAUUCCCAGUUUUAUUGAACACUUAUUGGUGGCUUAUAUAGCCUUACAAGACAAGGAAUUAGAAAAACAUUGCAGCCCACAUCUUAUACCUAAAGACAUGGUAUUAGUUACUAAAAGAAUCAAAACCUAUCUACUGGUUCCUAACUAAUAGGAACUUAUCAACAGAACUUUCACAAAGCCAAACUUAAUAGAAACAAAUAAAUCCCAACAAUAAUUCCUCCCAUAAACUAAAACAAUAUGCAUUCAGUUUAAGUUUGGUACCUCACAUACCCCAAGCUUCUCACGCAACUUCAAGAACACUUCAAGCUUCAGUGGCUUUGUCAGGAUAUCAACCACUUGAUCAUUGGUGCCACAAUGAACCAACUUCACUACUUCCUCCUUAGUGAGGUCCCUCAAGAAAUGGAACCUCACAUCUAUAUGCUUGCUCCUACCAUGCAUAACCGGAUUCUUGGAUAACUUGAUCAUUGAACUGUUGUCACACAUAAUAGUAGUACACUUACUCUGUGAGUGCCCAAUCUUUUCUAACACUCUCCUCAUCCAUAUACAUUGACAAGCACAGAAAGCUGUUACCACAAAUUUUGCUUCAGUGGUACACAAAGUCACCACUGGUUGCUUCUUUGAGGCCCAAGAAACUGCUAUGCCACUCAAUAAAAACACAUAACCAGAUGUGCUCUUCUUAUCAUCAGUGUCUCCAGCAUAAUCGCUGUCAGUGUAAGCCAAUAGUUCUUCAACAUCUUCUCAUCUCUUAUAAAACACACCCAACUCCACAAUUCCUUUUAAAUAACGAAGAACUCUCUUUGUUGCUUGCAUAUGUAGGUCAGUAGGAUUGGCUAUAUACCUGCUCAAGAGACAUACUACGUACGUUAAAUUAGGUCUUGUUGUAGUAAUGUACAUGAGACUCCCAAUUAAUUGCUUAUAAACUGUAGCAUCAAUCCUAGCACCUUCUCCUUCCUCUGAUAGCUUGAAACCGGGCACAAUAGGAUUCUCCACUGAAUUGGCAUUUUGUAAACCAAACUUCUCAAGUAAUUCACAAGCAUACUUCUUCUGACUUAAGAAGAUACCCUCUGAAGUUUGCAAAACUUCAACACCAAGGAAGUACUUCAUCUUCCCUAAAUCUAUCAUAUCAAACUCAUCCUUCAUGGAACUCUUGAAGCUUUCAAACAUGCAUGCAUCAUUCCCAAUAAAGAUUAAGUCAUCCACAUACAAACUCACAAUUAAGAACCUCUUACCUCCUUCUUCUAUUUUGACAAAGAGAGUGUGCUCGUAAUCACAUCGUUCAAAUCCCUCAUUAACAAAAUAAGCUUCAAUUCUGCUAUACCAAGCACGUGGUGCUUGCUUCAACCCAUAUAAUGCCUUCUUAAGCUUGUAGACCUUUUUUUCUUCACCCUUUCGAAUAUAACCUAGUGGUUGCUCCACAUACACAUCUUCUUUCAACUCACCAUGAAGAAACACACUUUUGACGUCUAAUUGAUACACACUCCAUCCCUUUUGUGCUGCUAGGGCUAGAACCAUCUGAAUUGUGUCCCACCUUGCUACUGGAGCAAAGACUUCAUUAUAAUCAAUUCCUUGUCGCUGAGCAUAACUUUUAGCUACCAACUGGGCUUUGCACUUAUCAACCUCACCCUUUUCAUUCAAUUUGGUCUUAAAAACCCACUUCACACCAAUCUUCUUAGCACCUUUAGGCAAAGUAGUAAGCUGCUAGGUUUUAUUCUUCUCAAUUGCUUCAAUUUCCAAGUCCAUGGUCCUUCUCCAUUUCACAUCCCUCUUAGCUUCUUCAAAAGAUCCCGGAUCUUCAUGAGAGAUAAACAUUGCAAGAUUAUUCACAUCUGCAUCUUCUGACAGUUCUUCACCUGUUACAUAGUCCUGCAAGUAAGGAGGUGCUCUUCGAAUCCUUGUUUCAUCUUGAACUGGUGCAACUUCAUUGGAUGAUUCAAUCGAUGUUGGAGUUGUUGCUUCUGCUUCUUGAUUUGUAACCACUACUUCAAUACAUUCCACAACUUAUUCUUCACUCUCAGAGAAAGCAUCUUCACCUUCAACACUAUCUUCCCAGACCAGUAUAUCACGCUUCACUUCUUUAGUUGUCCUCCCCCAAUUCCAACCUUUAUCCUCUUCGAAACUCACAUUUCUGCUCACUAUAAUUCUUCUAGUAGCUGGAUCAAACAACCGAUAAGCUUUAGAUUCAUGACUUACUCCAAGUAAGACACACUAAAGACUUUUAUCAUCCAAUUUUGUUCUCUUCUGAUCUGGCACAUGUACAUGAGCUAGGCACCCAAAAACCCUUAAGUAGUCCACUUUGGGUUUAACUCCACUCCACAUCUCUUCUGGGGUCUUGUCUUUCACUACCAAUGUUGGACUCCUGUUGAGAACAUGCACUAUCCAUCUUGCAGCUUCUAGCCAGAAUGCUUUUGGCACUUGUUUGUCACAAAGCAUGCACUGAACCAUAUUCAUGAUAGUUUGAUUUUUGCGUUCAGCUACCCCAUUUUUUUGUGGGGUAUAAGAUGUUGUCAGCUGCCUGCUUAUACCAUUGAUUCUACAAAACUCAUUAAACUCAUUGGAGGUGAAUUCUCCUCCUCUAUCAGUGCUUAAACAAUAGAUAAGUUCACUCGACUCCUUCUCAACCAAGCUCUUACAGUUUUUGAAAGUUGUAAAUGUUUCAGACUUUGCAACCAAAAAAUAUAUCCAUACCUUUUUACUAAAAUCAUCGAUGAAGGUUAUAAUAUACCUUUUGCUACUGUUGGAUUCAGGAGUAAUAGGGCCACAUAUAUCAGCAUGAACGAGCUGCAAUUUUCGGGAAGCUCUCCACUGACUCUUCUUUGGAAUAGCAUUUCCGUGUUGCUUUCCCACAAAGCAUUCAUUGCAAGCUAUAGUUGACGCUCUGAGAAGUGGAAGACCCUUCACCAUCUCUUUGUAUUGCAAAGUCCUCAACCCUUUGUAACUCAAAUGCCCAAACCUACGGUGCCACAACUUUGAAUUAUCUUCUGUGACUGUUUACAGGCAUGUCGAGGUCUCAAGCACCACAUUAGCCAAUAACACAAACAUCCGAUUUGUUGUCAUUUUUGUCUGCAUAAUCAAUCCUCUUCUAGGGUGGUAUAACUUACAUUCCCCAUUUUGUAUAAUUAUAGCUAAACCCCUUUCUUGAAGUUGCCUUAUACUCAGCAAAUUAUUCUUCAAAGCAAGAACAUAGUAAACAUCAGUGACUACCUAAGUUGAGCCAUUAAUCUCAAGUCGGAUGUUGCCUUUGCCCAUCACUCCCAUCCUUGUAUUAUUGCCGAGCUUCACAGAGUGUUUGAAAGCCUCAUCAAUGUUAGAGAACCACUGCUUGUUCCCGCACAUGUGAUUGUUGCAACCUGAGUCGAGGAACCACACAUCUUCUCGUUUCGAGUUGUUGACUUCAACAUAAGACAUGAGGAACAUCUCUUCUUCUUCAUCUAACUCAGUAUAGUUUGCACUCUUCUCCCAACUAGGACAUUCGUAUUGGAAGUGCCCUAGUUUGUGGCAUUUAAAACACUCCAGUGUGGCCUUGUUUGCAAAGUAACUUCCUCUGCCUCUCCCGCGGCCUCGAACAUAACUUUGACCUCUGCCUCUUCCUUCAUACCUUUCUCCAUACAAAACCUUUAAAGCUUGUUCAUCCCUUGCAUUUCCAUUAUGACAAUUCAUUCUCUGUUCAUGAACCAAAAGGCUGCUUUGAAGCUCGUCAAUGGUCAUCGUGUCCACAUUAUUGGACUCUUCUAUUGAGCAUACCUCAUAGUCGAACCUGGGAGUCAUCGAUCUCAAGAUUUUCCCCACAAUCACGUUUUGCCCCAUUCUUUCUUCAUGUACUUUCAUCUUGUUUGCAAUAGUCAAAGCUCUGGCAAAGUACUCAUCAACCUUCUCACCCUCUUUCAUCUAUAGGAUCUCAAACUCUUUUCUAAGGGCUUGUAGUUGAGCUCGUUUAACUCUGGUGGAGCCCUGAUACUUCUGCCUCAUUGAAUCCCAUGUACUCUUUGUUGUGUUCUUAUCAAGAAUUGUCUCCAUAAUGGUCCUAUCAAUCGAUUGAAACAUGUAGUUCUUGAUCUUCAUAUCAUUUAGCCUCACCUCUUCAACUUCUUUUCUUUAUGCUUGAGUAGGCGUUGAUCCUUCGACUAUUGAAGGAAUUCCAUUUUCUACUAUGCUCCAGUACUUCUUUGAAUGGAGAAAAUUCUCCAUUAACAUGGCCCAAUGGUCAUAAUAAUCAUCAAAUCUUGGAAUUGCCGGAUGAGCAAAGUUUUCUGUCGCCAUGUUCACUCACUCCACCUUCCUUUCUUCUCUAUUCUCUCUUCUCACACUCUGUAAGAAAUCUGUAGUUUCUUACUUUCUUCAAUCAGGCCUCUUAGCGGAGCUCUGAUACCAGAUUGUUGAAAGCAAGAACUAUAAAGCUAUGAACUCAUACAAAUCUGGAAUAACAUCCCCUGUUUUAUUGAACACUUACUGGUGGCUUAUAUAGCUUUACAAGAUAAGGAAUUAGAAAAAUAUUGUAUCCCACGUCUUAUACCUAAAGACAUGGUAUUAGUUACUAAAAGAGUCAAAACCUAUCUACUGGUUCCUAACUAAUAGGAACUUAUUAACAGAACUUUGACAAAGCCAAACCUUAACAGAAACAAAUAAAUCCCAACAGUAUAAUCCUUUGUUUUCAUUUUGCCUUGGUAAAAUGCUUAGAUCAAUAAGUUUUGAAAGUUUUGCAUCUUCAAAUUACUAACUGCUAAUGAUAUGUAGCAACCUAAUCAUGUAUGUUACUUUCAAUAUUGCAUUCUAAGAGUUUGGGACAUGCCAAGGUUUGAUUUAAUAAUUAUUUCUUUCACGUUUUUAAAUUGGAAAUCAUUGUUUGUUCAGGUUCAUUGCCCAAGCUUAAAGUCUUUGCCAUAAGGAAACAAACUUUUGAUAGGCCUAAUGAUUUCUCAUGGCUAAUUCAUAUCUACUAGAUGUUUGAUACCGAAAGAACUUUUGCUCUAUUAUAAAUUUAGGUUUGUUUGCCAUAUAUUUUAUGUUCAAAUUUGUUAAAAUGAUUAAACUAGUUAAUUUUGAAAUUUAUAACAUGUUUAUAAUAAUUCAUUAUUGAUUGUUUGCACUCAUUAUGUUACUUGAUGUUUUCUUCUUAUACCAGACUUAUACUAAAAGGAUAAUGUUGAGAAUUGGCAUAAUACAAUUCAAUAUUCCCACUAUAAAUGUUCACAAGUUAUGGAUAGCUAAUGCAUAAGGAUAAAGUUAUUUCAUUUGCAUGUUGUAUGGAAGGUUGAUGCAUAUGGAAAGAGUAAGAUCAAUUUGUUGUUGUCUAUAAUAUAUAUGAUUACUUCGUCUCUUUCUUUGUUCAGUGUCAUGCUCAAUAACUUAUAAUUUUUCAUUUAAUUUGUUAAGAAAUACUAUACUCUAUUUGAAGUUAUGAUCUUAUGAUUCUCAUAAUAUAGAAAACCUUGAACAUAAUGUAAUGGGUCAGGUUCCCAUAAGUCAUAAUGCACCUUAUCAAGGGGAAAUUUGAAGUUUUUAGUUGAUAAAGAAAAACAAAAUUUGUAACUCUUCCUAAUUUGACAACUACUACAUAUUGAUUUAUCUUUUGUCUUUACUAAUAUCAUCGAUAAAUGUUCUAUUUCUUGUAAAAAAUUUAAAUAUUUUACCGAUAUCAUUUAUCAUGUUCACCUUGGCAUAGGCAAGGUCAUUUCGUCUUCAUAGACUUAUUGUAGUCAAUGCUUGGGGAAUUUCUUUUAAGCUAUAUGAAUAGUCAAACAUGUUUUAACAAUCUUUUGGAAGUGAUUAGUUUUAUUAAAAAUUUGACAAACAAUAAUACCUCCAGCUUUUGAGAGUUGUCAAUUCUAUCAUUCUAGUUGAGUUGUUUUUCCAUUGAUUGUUGUCAUGUCAUUUGUUUUUGUUAUUCUACUUGCCUCAACCAUUACCUUGAAAUCUUUCGCAUGAGUGAAAACUCUUCCUCUCUAAUUAAAAUGAUUGCCAUUAUUUUUUCUACUGUGUUUGCUUAGAAAGACUUGCUCAUGAAUAAUUUAAUUUUUCCUAUCUCUAGCUUCAUUGAUUAGCAUUUCUUAAUGUGAUCAUUAGGAUGAAUUAAUUGGAAGAUAGAUAAGGUGGUUUUGCAAGCAUGAAAACCUGAAAAAACUUGUAUUUCGGUCCAAGUCUUGAAGGGAGUUGAAGCACCUUAUCAAAAUCUUGCAUUUGUUUCUAAAUAGGUACUACAUUAUGACAUGUGCCUUUAAAUUUUGAAAGAUUUUCUUUUAAAGAUAGAACCUUAUGAGGAAUUUAUCAUUUGAAAGGAUUUCCUUUUCUUUCUUUUUUAUAUAGGUAGCAAUCAUUUCGAGUCCAACAAGCCUCUCUAAUUCUCACUCUUUCAUAUUCCAAGAAACCAGGGGUAAGAAGUCGAUCUAAUCAAGAUAUUCUACAUCUUAUUAACAACUUUUUUGCCUUUUGUAUUUUAACUUUCUUUUGGUCAUUUUGUGUAUUUAGGGAGAUGAUGGAAUAUUUGAAGACUCUAAAAUGAAAGAAGAACUCUUAAGUACCCUAACAAAAACUUCCAAGAUUUGUUCAUUGGUUCAAAGAUUAAAUGUUGAUAGUUGGUUCUUUGUUAAACAUGAUUGGUUGUUGAUAUCAAAAAGAGGUUAUUGGAUUUUUUAUAUUAUUUCAUUAUAUUUAUAUAGACACACCUCACUCAAUUCUUGGUGCCUGAAUUUUUCAUGUUUGGAAAUUUUCUUAGGUUAGGCUAUUUUGUUACAGAUAUGAUUGUUGCCAAGUCAAUGCAAAAUACAUGCAAUAACUUCUGUUACAAUAAUUUUGUUACUUUCUCGGGUAAAUGGAUGGCGGAUUCAUGUGGAGUUGUUGCACUCUUUAAUUCAAGCAUGAUAUCUACAAUAUGUAUUUUAGGUUUGUCAUCUAACUUUUAUCCUUUUUUUUAUGACUUAGUUUUUUAUUUUCUUAUAGGGAUAUUGUAAGAGGUUAUGCUCCUUUUUAAUUCUAUUUUCAUGAUUCUCAUAUAUAGUAGCACAAAUAAAGGAAAGGUUUUUUUUUAAUUAAAUUAAUUCAUCAAUGUUGGAAAAAUUAAUUGUUAGUUAUGUUUUGACUUUACAUGCUUGUUAAAAUGAUUAGAUUAGUUAAUUUUAAAACAUAUAUCAUUCUUGUAAUAAUUCACUAUUAAUUGUGUGGCUAAGUGAUCAUGUUCCGUCAUGUUUUCUUUUCAUAUCAAGUUGAUACUAAAGGGGUAAUAUUGAGAAUGAGUUGAGCAUCGUUCAAUUUCACAAGAUAAAUGUUCAUGAGGUAUGGAUGGUUGAUGCAUAUAGAAAGAGUUAGUUCACUUACUUAAUAUCUUUGAUAUGUACUCAUUCUUGAUGUUUGUGAUUGCUUCCUAUCUUUGUUAAUUUGGUGUCUUGCUUGUUAAUUUAUACUUUUACAUUCAAUUUGUUAAGAACUAUUAUAUUAUGUUUGAACUCAUUCUUGAUGUUUGUGAUUACUUCCUAUCUUUGUUCUUUUGGUGUCUUGCUUAUUAAUUUAUAACUUUACAUUCAAUUCAUUAAGAACUAUUAUAUUUUGUUUGAAGUUUUGAUUUUAUGAUUCUCAUACACAAAAGAAUGCCAACAAUUUGAGCAAGGAGGACAUGAUACUAAAGCAUUUAUCAAUUUGGUUAUUUUUCUUCUCUCUAAUUUCUUAAGCUUGGGAAUCAAAAUGCUUUGGAAUACACAAGAAACAAUGGGGAUGACUCUUUUCUUCGUUAUCUUUAGUUUUAUUGAUAGUCAACUUGUAUUAUCACCCUUCCUAUUCCCUAAAGUACUCAAACUUGAUAGUUUAAAAUGUUUAAUGUUUACAAAAAUAUUCUUACUUCAUGUUUAGGUUCUAUAUAUUUGGAAAAUUUAUUAUGUUAAUUCUUUUAUUCUAUUCAUGAUCAUUUUCAUGUCAAUUCAAACAAAAAAAAAGAUAGUGGUAAAGAUUAGCAAAAUGUUGCCCAUACCUUGAACAUAGGUACAAGCUAUUAAUGGUUGGUGGACGGAAAAAGUCUCUCCCCACUCUUCUACUAUCCUUAGUUAGCAUAAAGGGUUCAUAUUAUGUUUUUAUUAUUUAGCUUUUAAAUUUCUACUUCUUAUCCUACUUUUUGUCUCUUUAUGGUUUAUCACUUGACAAUCAAUUUUUAAAAACAUGUUCUUAGCAUCCAUAUAUAUAACCUUCGUUGUUCAAGUUUAUAAUUGUUCAAGUUUAUAAUCCCUAUCUCAUUUUUUUUUUCUUUUCAUUUCUUUAUUGUUUAUAAUUUUUGAAUUGAUUUGUUAAAAAUUUUUAAACUUUAUUUGCAAUACUGAUUUUUUUAUUCUCAUGUGCAAUAGAAUAAUAAGUUGAAUAAGAAGCAUAUACUACUUAAUUGGUAUAACCGUUUAGUCAAUUCUCUUGUCAAAUCUUUUUUGUUUUCAUCAUUUUUCUUCAAGGUAAUCAAAGUAUAAUUCUUUCUAUUUCUAAAGGUCUUGAACCCAUCUUUGAAAACUUAAAGACAAGUUAAAGUACUGGAAAACCAUUCCCAAAGCAAGUAAUAACUAUAGUUGGGUUCUAAUAUCAUAUCCUCGAUUGACAUCUAUGUCAUUGCAUUUGCAUCUAAACGAUUUAUGAUGAAAAAAAAACUAUCUUCUUCAUUUCCAUUUUCCUCCCUUCUUUUGACCAUAAUUUAUGUGCAUAUUGAAAGCAUUCAUAGCCCAAUAUAUUUGCUAGCAUAUAUAUGCAUGUCAUAAUCUAUUAAUUUUUUUGGCAUAAGAUCUUAGAGUAUUCACAUAUAUCUAGGUUCUAUAUAUUUAUAAUUUUUCCAACAUCAAAUGAAGUAUAUGAACCUUAUCCUAAAGGUGAAGUCUCUUUAAAAGGAGCUUCAACAUGUUAGUGGUUACCAAACUUUAUAAUCUAAUAACUUGACACUAUAUAUCACUCUGCAACUCUUUCAUAAAGUAAUUGUACUACCUCUAUUUACAUUUUCUAUCUUUAUUUAUAUAUAAAAUAAAAUAAAAAAUUGAUUUGGUAAGUGUGUGUUAAAUCAUGCUUACAAUCAUUAAUUAAUAGGUACUUAUAUGCUAAAUUGAUAAAGUUAUUUUACAAUUGUUUCAACAUGUUCGAAAAAAAAAAAGAUUAUUAAGUAUAUUUUUCUAGAUGUAAUCACUACCAAGCCAAUGUGAAAAGCUAUAGCAAUGAAGAUAUAAGCUUCAGUUAUGUUUUGGAGAUUCAUAUUGAAAGUUGUAGAUUGUGGAUGUAUAGUAUAGGAGUUAGCUUGAGUUUAUCAUUCUAUCUUUGAUAUCUUAGUUAUCAUCUAUUCUUUACAACCAAUUUUUUAAGGACUUCUAUGAUUUGUUUAUAAUUUAUAUAUUUGUUAUUUGUACUAGAACAUCCUGAAGCUACUAAAGCACCAUUACAGUGUACCCACCACAAGUCUAAUGGAGCAUGCUUCUCAACCUUCACAAUUACUUGUAAGUUGCUGAUAAGAUAAUUUUCUCUAUAAUUAGGAAAUCUUUGUUGCACUUAAAUCUUUUUACUGAGUCAAGCAUUAAAAGGUUGUGUUUGGUUAAAAAAGAAAAAGAAAAACUGAAUAAAGGAUUUAGAGUAAUAAGAGUUUGCCACAUAAAGUUUAUGAAGGUGAAGGCUAAUAAUAGGAGGGAAGUUAAAACUUCACAACCUAUUUGAAAUUAUAAAACAUGAUUAGCUAACAAUUCGUUAAAGGUUGUAUUCAUCUUGAGCUUCUCCAAUUACACUAUAAAAUGGCUCGAGAAGAAUGAGGUUUCUCCAUUGUUAAUUGCUUACGAGUUUUACCAAACAAAGCAGAAGAGAGGGACAAGGCAAAGAUGGGCCUAAAAAUGAAUAUCACAGCAACCUCUCUUCUGCUAUUGCUAGCAUCUUCUACAGAAGUGUUCGGUGAUACCAUUUUUUACGUUACCAAAUAUGAGGCCAAGGCUGAUGGAAACACUGAUAUUACCCAGGUGAGGGCAAUGCAAUUAUAAUAUUUGUAAGAUGUUAAAAUUGAAUUUUUGCUUAAUGGGUUCUCUGUGGAAUGUUUUCUUAGGCCUUACUUAAUGCUUGGCGAGAUGCUUGUGCGUCGCCUGUGGUGAGUACAGUUAUGAUUCCAGAUGGGACAUAUGCCCUAGGGCAAAUAACCAUUGGAGGCCCUUACAAGGCUCCUAUCAAUUUCAAUGUCCAAGGCACUGUGAAGUCCUCGAUGGAUACCAGCAGGUUCAAGGCUGAAGCUGGUUGGAUUGCUUUCCAACAAAUCGACCAGUUCAUAUUGUCUUAUGGUGGAGUUUUUUAUGGCCAAGCAAAACCUGUAUAGGGUAGAAAAUGCCCCAUUUCUGCAUAUUGCAACCAACUUCCCAUCGUAAGUUCAUGUGUAUAUAUAUAUAUAUAUAUAUAUAUAUAUAUAUAUAUAUAUAUGCUUACGUAAUUCUUUCAUUUUGUGUUCGUAAUGAGGACACUAGCUAACAGUAUAAGCUUUGGUGUCUUUUUUUUUUUUUUUUUGUUAAUUCAAAUAUCUAUAACAGAAUCUGAGAUUCAACUUCAUCACCAAUAGCAUGGUCAAGGACAUAACUUCAAGAGAUAGCAAACAGUUUCAAAUGAAUCUUUUGGGGUGCAAGAAUUUGACUUUCUACAACGUUGGAAUUAGUGCACCAGAAGUGAGCAUUAAUACAGAUGGAAUUCACAUUGGACGGUCCUCAGGGUUCAAUAUAACCAAUUCAACUGUAGAGACCGGAGAUGAUUGUGUCUCAAUUGGUGAUGGCAGUGAGCAAAUUAAUAUCCAAAGCGUAACCUGCGGACCCGGCUAUGGCAUCAGUGUGGGAAGUCUAGGAAAGUGCCCCAAUGAAGAACCUGUGGUUGGCAUUAGUGUCAAGAACUGUACCUUCACCCCCAGAAUGGCAUGAGAGUGAAGACAUGGCCUACGUCCCAUCAAGGCACUGCUUCUAAAAUGCAUUUUGAAGAUAUUGUCUGAAUGAUGUUGCCAAUCCCAAAAUCAAAGAUCAAGAGUACUGCCCCCAUAACCAAUGCAACUUGAAGGUACAUUUAAAGGAAACGAAAAAUUCCAUUUUUAUUGUUUACUUUCCCUCUUUUUCCCUUCAUUUUCAUUGGUCUGGAACUUAACUUUCCGUUGUUUUCAGAGUCCAUCACGCAUUAAGCUCAGUAAGCUUCAGAAACAUCCGGGGCACUACCUCAACUCAGGUUGUUGUCAAGCUUGUUUGUGAUCAGGGAGUCCCAUGCCAAGACGUGGAGCUUGGUGACAUCAACUUGAAAUACAACGAAAAUGAAGGCCCAGCCAUGUCAUAAUGCAAGAACAUUAAACCAAAUCUACUGGGCAAGCAACUGCCAAGGACUUGUGCCUAAGAUGCUUAAUCUUCUUUCGAAGUCUGAAAAAUUGUACUGCUUCUAUUAUAUAGCUACCUCUUCAUGCUUACGCGUCUGCUAGUUUAUUGGUGAAUAAACUACAAUGAACACACAAAAAUACAACACUCGUCUAUUUUGGAAGGUAUGUGCAGUUUGAUCCCAUGAGAAAAAACAAAUGUCUAUUCAGUCGUUUUUUACAUAAGCAUCCAAGUUUAGAUGAGGAUUGAGCUGCCGUAGUACAAAUUGUAGCUCCAAAGAAUAAUCUUAAUGUUAAUGCAGUUUGGAUUACCAAAUGUAGUCAAGUGAAUUAAAAUUCCUUUAGGGUGUAUUAUUUGAAAUUUAAUCUUUGGAUUACUAGAACCAAGAAAAAACUAUAGAUUGGUAUUUGGUGUGUUGGAAAUGCUUGAUGGUCAGUGAUCGAACUAAUGACUUCGAGAAAAGCUAAGAAUGAUAAACACAAUAGUAAUAAAUGGCAAGAACCGACAAAAAUAUUGAAGUUGUAAUUCUCUCAAGGUGUGUAGUUUGGGAUUUGAAUUAUAUGUAAAGAAGAAAUGCUCUUGGAAACUGCAGCACGAUGAAUCUUGAAUGGUUUUCCAUCAUAUGGCUUUGUUGUUUGGAGAUGACUAAGUAAUAUUAGUUUUACCAAUCCUCCGGCCUUAAGCUAGCAUGUGAAAGUUGUAGCAUUAGCGGAGAGUUGAUAACAGUUUCUCGGUAGUUGGAAGCUUGAACCCUGACAUAUUAGUGCAAGGACAUGAAGAUAUUAAAUCAUUCAUACAAUUUAUUGUCUGAGAGGAUAGAAAAAAUAUAUAAAACCACUUAAGAUCUUAAAAACAUCCUAUAUUUCUCCAUUUUUUGUAUUUACACUCUGAUCCAUGGACUUUCACCCCACAAAAUGUCUCACAUUCUUUUUCAAAUUUCUACCUACAUUUAAACUUCUCAUGUCUAUUUUCAUCUCAUAACUUUUUUCUCCUCAUGACCUAAUUAAAAUAUAUAUAGAGAUAAUCCUACCAACUUUUAUUUUAUACGCAAACCUAUUUAUAUAAGGAAUUAAUUGUAAAAUAUCCUAUAUAAGCUACCUUAGCAUAGUUGAAUUAGGUUAUAAAUUUUAUUUUGAUACAAUAAAUAACAAAAAUCCAUUUAUAAAAAUAUAUAAAAAUCCAAUAAUUGUAUAGGAGAAACCACACUUAUUUUAAAUAAAUAAUAAAGUACAUGCUCCAAGUAUUAAAAGGUUAUCUUUGGUGUGUAUGAUUUGGAGAGUCCCAGAUAAUGUGCAAGUAGAUGAGACCUUGAGUGAGAUGUUUUCUCUUUCAAAUCAAUUUCAAAGUUGCGAAAUCCAAAAUUUCAAGCUCUUUUUAGAAGUGUUUUAGAAAAUAGUUCAAAAAAAACACUUCUUGAAAAUAGCUUUUGAAAAUUAUUCUCUAAUAUUUUAUACCACAUAUGUUUGUUUGAGAACCUACAAUAUUCUUAACUUAUUUUGUAUAUUUUUAAAUACAUUUUAAAAAUAAUUUUCAUAUGCAUUGCUUUAUUUUUAGUCGUUCUCCAUAUUUGUAUAAUUAUUUUUAAAACAACCCUAGAAAAAAGUAAAAUGAAAUGAAAAUAACUAAAAGAUGUUCUUUUGAAACAUUGUAUUUUCUAUUUAAAAUCUUUUUUUUUCUAGUUGUUAAACAUACUUUCUUGUUUUUUUUUUUUUUAUAUAUUCUAGAUAAUUAAAAACUAUUUUCAAAGCAAGACCUGAAUUUUUACUAUGAAAAAUCGAAACGGUGCUCAAACUUAGACUUCAAAUUGAUUUUAACCAAAAUAUGUUUUUUCUCUUUUUUUUCCUAUCAAAUCAAAACUCCAAUUUCUAUCGUUGGACUAAGAACUUUAAAUCAUUUUCUAUUGGCAAUAGAGUCUUUGAUUUAAGGACACAAAAUACACAUGAAAAAUCUCAUAGCUAUGUCUGUGCGUGUACAUAACUCUGUGUGUGUGUGUGAUAUAUAUAAAAAAUGAUGGAUGAGGAAAUUGUGGAUAUGGCCAAAUCUGAAUCACUUGUAUUUAACAAUAGCAUGUGAUUUACAUGGAAACCUGUUGGUGGAAAGAGCCUAUAAAUAAAGGCCUUCUCUCCUCAUUCUAUUUAUCCUAGAAUUGAAAGAAAAAGAGUGGUCUAACUUUGAGUGAAAAAGUGAGGUUCUCUUGAGAAUUAAAGAAUUAUUAUUCUCUCGGGUGUAAUAGGGAUUUGGAUUGUGAGAAGUGAGUGCUUAUAAACACUUGUAGGGAGAAAAAUAACUACGUAAAUUUCGUGUUUUGUUUUGUCUACUCUAUUUUAUUAUCAUUUCCAUGUUUUUUUUUUAUUAACGACAUGUCCUAUGGUGUUCUAGGAGCUUAGUGGUACUAUAAGGAGGUUUUGUCUAAGGAGGUUGGAAUUUAAGAGGAACAAUUGUGACCCCUCCAAUUUUUCUUAGGAACUUUUAUUUAUGUCUAAGGAGACUAGGUCUUAAAUGGGAUCAUUGUGAUCCUUCCAAUCUUUCUUGGGAACUUUCUUACUAGUUUAAAGCUCUAGGUAGAAGUUUUUCUAUAAUUUUUAAUAGGUAUAAAGGUACUGUAAAAAGUACACUUUUUGUUGAAUUCCUAAGGAACCAGAUUUGAGUGGGAGUGAUGGCAACAGAUGAAGAAAGAACAUCAUAAUUGAGAAGUUCGAUGGUGAACAUUUUACCUUCUGGAAAAUGCAAAUUAAAGAUUAUCUAUAUAUGAAAGACAUGCAUUUCCCUUUUUUUUUUUUUAUGAGAAAAGCCAACCGAUAUGAAAGAUAAAGAGUGGGCUUUACUCGACAAACAGGCACUUGGAGUUAUCCAAUUAACGUUAUCUUGGAAUGUCGCUUUCAACAUAAUGAAGAAGAAGACCAUGACGGGUCUUAUGGCAGUUCUCUCUGACACGUAUAAGAAGUCAUAUACUUCAAAUAAAGUGCACUUUAUGAGGUUGUUAUUCAAUUUGUGAAUGACAUAAGGUGCAUCUGUAGUAGCUCAUAUCAAUGAAUUUAGUACAAUCACAACACAACUAAGUUUAGUGGAAAUCAAGUUCAAUGAUGAAGUUUGAGCUUUGAUCCUCCUAUCCUCUAUCUAAAAGUUGAAUCGCAAUGGUAACAAUAGUGAUCAAUUCUUUUGCGAGGAAGAAGAUGGUAUUUAAGGAUGUUCAAGGUCUAAUUCUAAGCGAAAAAAAUACACCAAAGAGAACUAGGGGAAACAUUAAGUUCCACCUUAAACAUCAAAUCUAGAGGUAGACACAAUGAUAGAAACUUAAAUCGGAGCAAAUUAAAUUCAAGAUGAAGCAAGUAUAGAUCUAAGAAGAAAGAGAAUAGCUGCUAGAACUGUGGUAAAAUGGUCACUUGAAGAGAGAUUGCAGAGCACCAAAAAAGAACAAUGGCAGUGCAAAGGAAUCCGUGAACGUGGCCGAAGAUACUGGCGAUGCUCUAAUCCUAAGUGUCAAUAGUCUAGUUGAAUCUUGGAUUUUGGAUUAUAGGGCAUCAUAUCACUACACCUCACAUUACGAAAUCAUGGAGAACUACAUCAAUGGUGAUUUUGGGAAGGUUUAUCUGGUUGAUGAUGGGACCAUGAAGAUUAUGAGGAAAGACGAUAUUCAAGUGAAGCGACCAAAUGGGACUGUCUGGAAGUUGAAAGACAUGAGAUUAAUUCCUAGUCUAAAAAGAAAUUUAAUCUCAGUGGAUCGACCUGAUCAAGAAGGUCAUCAUACAACCUUCUUAGGGAGUGAAUGGAAGAUCACCAAGGAAACUAUAGUCAUAACUUAUGAAAAGAAGAAUGGUACUCUCUAUGUUACUUCUAGCAUGGAGAAUAUUGUUGCAAUUGUAGAAUCAUAUGAGAAAUAGAAAAUCUAGCAGUAGAGACUCAAUCAUAUGAGCGAGACAAGGAUGAAGGUUCUUGUUUCAAAGAGGAAGCUGCCAAAUCUAAAAUCAGUAGACAUCGGUCUAUGCAAGGAUUGUAUUUUCGGCAAACAGAAAAUGGUCAAUUUCUCAAAGAUAGGCAAGCCACCCAAAGUAGAGAAGUUAGACCUAGUUCACACAGAUGUGUGGGGGUCAUCACCAAUUUCAUCUAUUGGAGGCUCAUAUUACUACGUCACCUUCAUUGAUGACUUUACUUGGAAAGUAUGGGUUUAUUUUCUGAAAAAGAAAUCAAAAGUUUGUGAUGUUUUCAAGAAAUGGAAAGCCAUGGUAAGAGCAAGACGGGCUUGAAAGUGAAGCAUUUGAAGUUCAACAAUGGAGGAAGGUACGAAGACGAGAAUCUUAAUGAGUUUUGUGUAGCCAAUGGAAUUAAAUUGGAAAAAACUAUUCCAAAGACACCUUAGCAUAAUGGUAUAGUACAACGCAUGAACAAAACUCUCAAUGAACAUGUUAAAAGCAUGAGAAUACAUGCAGGCUUACCUAAGAUGUUUUGGGCUAAAGUUGUUAGCAUAGCGACCUACCUUAUCAACCAUGAGCCUUUAGUGCCUUUUGGAGAAAAGUUACCUAAGGAAGUAUAGAGCGAUAAAGAGGUGAAAUUUUCACUUUAGAGAUUAUUUGGUUGUAUUUCUUUUGUGCAUAUUGACUUAUCUAAAAGGAGCAAGCUCGACACAAAGUCUAAGAAAUGUGCUUUUAUUCGAUAUGGCAUUAAUGAAUUUGGCUACUGAUUUUGGGAUUUUGAAAAUAAAAAAAUCAUCAGAAGCAGGGAUAUCAUCUUCAAUGAGAAAGCAAUGUACAAGGACAAGUCAUUUGUAGAAUCUAUCAACACAAAAGUCAAAACUGAAAAAAAAAAAAAGAGUACAUUAAGUUUGAGGAAAAAUCUAAGAAGGAAAUACAAUCAGGGGAUCAAAAGAAUCCUAUAAAUGAAGUAUCUCAAGAAAAACCACACACUCCUGUAGCAGAAGUGAGACACUUCUUGAGAACUCCUAAAUUGAUAUAAUGUUAUUCACCUUCUUUGCAUUAUUUAUUGUUGACUAACAAUAUAGAACUAGAGUGUUAUGAUGAAGUAAUUUAGGUUAAGGAUUCGGUCAAGUGGGAUUAUGCCAUAAAAUAUGAGAUGGACUCCCUGAUGUCAAAUAAGACAUAGGAUUUGAUUGAACUACCAAAAGGAAAGAAAGCUUUACGUAACAAAUGAGUUUUCAAGAUCAAAGAAGAGCAUGAUGGAAGCAAGCGUUACAAAACUAGGAUGGUAGUUAAAGGAUUUCAAUAGAAAGCAAGAAUCGAUUAUGCUGAGAUUUUCUCUCCAAUAAUGAAGUUGAUGACAAUCAGAUUGGUGCUAAAGAUGGUAGCUGUAGAAAAUUUGCAUAUUGAGCAGUUAGAUGUGAAGACAAUGUUCCUUCAUGGUGAUUUAGAGGAAGAGAUUUAUAUAAUGCAACCAAAAGGCUUCAUGAUCGUAAGCAAAAAAAGCUUUAAGUGCAAGCUGAAGAAGAUUCUAUACGGUCUGAAACAGGCUCCAAGAUAGUGGUACAAAAAGUUCAAUAGCUUCAUGAGUAGCAACGGUUUUACAAGAUGUCAAGUAGAUCAUUGUUGUCAUAUAAAAAAGUUUGACGACAACUUUAUUAUUUUACUUUUGUAUGUAGAUGAUAUGCUCAUUGCAGGUUCUGAUAUGCAAGAGAUAAAUAACUUAAAAAGAAAAUUAUUGAGGCGGUUUGCAAUGAAAGAUGUAGGUGCUACAAACUAGAUUCUUGGAAUUAAUGAGGAUUAGCAGGGACAAAGUAGCAAAGACUUUGAUGUUGUAACAAGUAGAGUACAUCAACAAAGUACUCUCUAGGUUCAACAUGUAGAAUGCUAAAUCAGUGAGCCUGUCUUUAGGUGCCUAUUUCAAAAUUUCCAAAGAGCAAUCACCAAAAAUAGAGGAAGAACGUGAUCACAUCAAAAAAGUUCCUUAUGCUUCAACCAUUGGAAGUUUGAUAUAUGUUAUGGUUUGUAUGAGACUAGAUAUUGUGCAAGUAGUAGGAGUGGUGAGCAGGUACAUGAACAAUUAUGGUAAGAUGCACUAGGAAGCGGUUAAAUGGAUCCUUAGAUAUUUUCAAAAUACCUAAAAAAUGUCACUCUAUUUAAGAAGUGGGGAUAUGAAAUUGGAAGGCUUUGUUGAUAGUGACCUAGGUGCCGGAGAUGUCGAAAACAGAAAGAGCACUAAAAGAUAUGUGUAUACUCUUAAAUGAACUAUAAUGAGUUGGGUUUCUCAAGAAAGUUGCAACUCUCUCCACUACCGAAGCAGAAUAUAUUGUUACUACGAAAGCCAAUAAGGAGAUGAUUUUCUCUUCAAGGUUUCUUGGAAGAGCUAGGAGAAAAAUAGGAGAACAAUGUCUUUUAUUCAAAUAAUCAGAGUGUGUUUCACUUGUGAAGAACCAUCCUUCCAUGCCAGAAUGAAGCAUAUUCAAACAAAGUAUCAUUUCAUUUGAUCUCUUUUGGAGGAAAAAGUUCUUAGACUUGAGAAGAUUGAUGGAAAUGAAAUCCCAGAUAUAUGCUAACAAAGACGGUGACAAUUCACAAACUAAAGUUAUGUUCGAUUUCAAUUGGCCUACAAACAUAGAAGAAGAAAGAUGAGUUGUUGCAUUGAUCUUGUGUGAAGACAUAAAGUAAGUACUCUUCAAGUGAGAGAACCACGUAAAGUUUGAGUGAACCAUGUAAAUUUUCAUAUGUUAUUUUUUCUACUCUAUUUUGUUAUUAUUUCCACAUUUUUUUAUUCGCUUCAUUAAUUUGGUCUUUUGGAAGGUUUAUUUCCUAACAUUUUUCAACUCAAUUUCUUAUCUAAAAUUGAAAUGGGAAUUGGUUUCAUCCUCAAUUCAAAUAGAUUUUUGGAACACUUCACCAUUCCCCUUCCACACUUUCCACCAUCCAAACAAUAAAUAUAAUUACUUAACUCAAUUACAUAUUUUUGCUUAUUUUCAUUUACAUUCAAAACUUGUUAGAAAGGAACCUUGAGUUUAGGAAGUUCCCAAUUAUUAGGAUUUGAUUUUGUUUUAUAAAAGUAAAUUAGAAUAUUUACAAAUUUGAGUGGUUGAUUUAAUUAUAUGUUUAUACAUAAGUCCUGCAAGUUAUUUUUUAUACUUUUUGUUAUUAAGAGUCUAUUUGUUAGAUAAAGGUGUCCAUAAAAAAAAAAAAAAAAAAAAAAGGAGUUAGUAUGAUAGUUGAACAAGAAUGGUGGAAAGUAAUGUCAUUUUCUUGAUUUUUCUCCAUUACUUAUUUCUCUCUAUGGAUUUGUUUAUGUGUUCUCAACUUUAUUCCUUGAACAAAUUAGGUCGUGAGAAAAAAAUGACAAGUAGGAUAUAUUUGUUAUAAGUCUUUUAGCUCAAUAAAAAUAAUUACAAUAAUUGGAGUAUGAAGAUAAAGACUUUACUUGAUUCACAAGAUGUAUGAAAGGUUGUAGAUGAAGGCUAUAAACAAAGAGCCUUGACAUAAAACCACUAUUCUAAAAUCAAAGUAAUUUUUUGAAAGGUAUAUGGAAAACAAAAAAAAAAAAAAAUGCCAAAAGGGAGGGAAGAAGAAAGCUCUUACCCUUAUCUAUCAAGCAAUAGAUAAAGGCAUGUUUGGAAAUUUUCCAAAUGCAACCAUGCACUACCAAGAAAGCAUGGACGAUAUUAGAAAAUGCACAUAAAGAAAUUGAUUAAUUAAGAAAAGUAUGUCUUUGUACCCUUAGAGGAGAAUUUAAAAGUUUGACCAUAAAAGAAGUAGAAUCAAUCUCCCAUUAAUUUUUCAAGAGUUAUAGUGAUCAGCCAUGAAUCAACUAAAAUGAAACAAUUAAAAUUUUAAAUCAUACUUGUGUGACUGAACAAAUAAUUCAGUCUAUUAGAUUCAAAGUUUGGUUGUUGUGCUCAUUAGAUAGUAAAAUGAUUUUCAUUGUAGCAUGAAGACAGAUUAAAAAAGAACCAAGAAAAAGUUCUUCAAACAAAACUUAAAUGACAAGAAACUGAAGAAAAUCUUAAUAAUAAAAGAAGUCAAAACGAUCGUGGAGUGGUUAUGACCAAGUAAACAUAGAAAGAUGUGGUUUUAUUUCAUCAAAUAAUCAAGAACACUAAUGUCAAAACCCAUAUUUUUUAAGAAGAUGUGAAAGAGAGCACAACUAAAGACAAAAUGAAAGGAGAAGUUAUGAGAAAUCUCAAGUUCAACCUUAUAACUAUAAAAAAUUUGGUCAUUAUGUGUAUGAAAUAAAAAGUACUACUAGCAAUAUGGAAAGAAAAGCCAAUCAUGUUAAAACAAAUAGGUAAAGAAAAACCUAGCCACUUUAUUUUUGGCAUAUAAAACACAAAGUAAUAAGGAGAAAAAUACAUGGUAUUCACUCGAUGGUGAAAACAGCCAUAUAUGUAGCUUCAAAAGUAUUUUCUUUGAAAUUGAUCAAUAUUCAAACACUAAUAAUGUUACUUUUGAAUCUAUUCAAAAUUCUCAAAAAAGGCAAAGGUAAAAUCUUAAUUUGUUCAAAAAAUGGAAGAUAUUAAUUUAUUUCAAAUAUCUAUUAUGUGCAGAUUAUGAAAAACAAUUAAUUAAGUUUGGAUUAACUUUUAAAAAAGAUAUAAUAUUCAUAAGAAAAAUCAAGUUCUCUCAAUAAGAUAUCAAUAUGUUGACUUCCUUGCAAAUGUAGUCAUGACAAGAAAUAUAAUGUUUCUGUAAUUAAAAUUGCUAAAAUUUUGUGUCAAUGUUCCCAUCUAGAUUUUCCACUUAAGAUAUCAACAUCUUAAUUUAGGAGGAUUGAAAUUGUUGAUCAAGAAAAAAAUGGUAUAAGGAUUGCCCUCUACAAAUCAUUUGGAUCAAUUAUAUAUGUGAAGGAUGCUUACUUGGAAAAUAUUCCUAUGAAAGUUUUCCAAAAGUUGGAAUUCAAGGUUUGGUAACUCCUUGAGGUUGUAAUGAUUUGCAGAUCCAGAGUUAUAGAAGAAAUUAAGAAAAUUUGGGAGAAAAAUGCAAAAUGUAUGAAGAAUAAAUUAUAUCUUCUCUCUCUCUAAUACAAUUGGAACUUAUCACAUUAUAUGGUACAAUGCAGGUUUUAAAUGGCAUGUAUGCCUAGACAUUGUUUUUACUUGGAACCAUUAAAAUAUAGUAUUACUAAUAGCAUUGUAAUAAAAUGGCAGAAGAUAGAUAUCAAUACAAGUCUAAUUAAGAAAGUUUCUCAAAGGCCACCUUCACAAUUACUUGUAAGCAGCUAAUAAGAUUUCCUCUAUAAUUAGGAAAAAUCUUCAUAUCAACUAUUCUUUGCACUUUAAUCUUUUUACUUAGUCAUUGAGAGGUUGUGAUCAGCCUUAAAAAAACUCGUCAAAAAAGGAUUUAGAGCAUAAAAUUUGAGACAGUUAAGGCCACUAAUAAGAGGGAAGUUGACCCAAACAUCACAACCUAUUUGAAACUAUAAAACUUAAUUAGAUAGUAAUUGUUUAAAUGUUUUAUUGGUGUUGAGAUUCUCCAAUUACACUAUAAAAUGGUUUGAGAAGAAUGAGGUUUCACUAUUGUUAAUUGCUUACAAGUUUUACCAAACAAAGGAGAAGAGAGAGACAAGGAAAAGAUGGACCUAAAAUUGAAUAUCACAGCAACCUCUCUUCUGCUAUUGCUAGCAUCUGCUGCAAAAGUGUCUGGUGAUAUCAUUUUUGAUGUUACCUGUUGGAAAUCAAGCCAGCAUCCUCUGUUUACUUCCCUAAUUAGUGUAAUGUACAACCUUUAUUAUAAUUGAUUUAGGAGUAAUUCUAGCAAGGUAGUUUAUUCACUUUCCAUGUAAGAGUAGUUUAUUCACUUCCCAUGUAAGAGUAGUUUAUUCACUUCCCAUGUAAGAGUUUAUUCACUUUCCAUGUAAGGGAAAUUCCAUUCCGGAAUUGUCUCAUAUCCGUAGGCUAUUUAUUUAUGCUUUCAUUCAUUGUAAAGUGAGGUAUCACAGAAUGAAUUGAGGUGUUCCUCCAUAUUUUGUCUUCAAAUUCUUCAUAUUUUUCUUCAAAUUCUUCAUGGUAUCAGAGCAGGUUUAAUCCUGUCUCAUCGUCUUCAUCUUUAAUGGAGAUGCUUCAGAAACUACUGUCUCCUCUUUUGUCAGUACAGUCACAAACUGGCUCAUCUUCCAACCAGGUCAUUGGUUCCGGAACCUUGGCUCACAAAGGUAAUUUUUUGAGUGCCUUCACUGCUGGUAAGAAACGUAAAAAACCUUGGAUAGUGGACUCAGGAGCAUCUGAUCAUAUGACGGGAGAUGCGACAAUUUUUGAUACAUAUAGCUCAUGUCCAAAUAAUUUAACAGUCCGAAUAGCAGAUGGUUCACUAUCAAAGGUUGUCGGAACAGGUUCAGUUGUGCUAUCAAGGGAUCUUACUCUCAACUCUGUUCUCCUUGUUCCUAACUUGGACUGUAAUCUAUUGUCAAUUAGUAAACUCACUAAGGAAAAGAGGUGUAUUACUAAUUUUUCCUCCACUCACUGUGAAUUUCAGGAUUUGGAUUCAGGGAAGACGAUUGGCAAUGCUGAGGAAUGCUCUGGACUCUACAUCCUUAAGGAGCGCCACGAUCCACAAGAACAACCUCAAAUGACAGUUGGUAGUAAUUCUUUUUCGGUUUCAUGUCAAAAUAACGAUAGUGCAAUUAGGUUGUGGCACUAUCGCUUAGGUCAUCCAAAUGUUAUGUAUCUCAAGCAUUUAUUUCCUUCAUUAUUUAAUAAAAAUCCAAAAUCCUUUGAGUGUGAAAUCUGUCAAUUAUCAAAGCAAGUCCGGUCUCAUUUUCCCAUUCAACCCUAUAAAGAGUCUAGUCCAUUCUCAAUGAUUCAUAGCGAUAUCUAGGGUCCGUCAAGAAUAAAAAAUGUAACUGGUACUAGGUGGUUUGUCUCAUUCAUAGAUGAUCACACUAGAUUAACUUGGGUAUUCCUCAUGAAAGAAAAAUCUGAAACGAGUCAAAUUUUCAAAAAUUUUAAAAAUAUGAUUCAGACCCAAUUCCAGUCAAAAAUACAAAUUCUAAAGUCUGAUAAUGCUAGGGAUUAUUUCAACUCCAUUCUAGGAGAAUUUCUAGCACAAGAAGGGAUAGUUCACUUAAGUUCAUGUGUUGAUACCCACAACAAAACGGAAUCGCUGAAAGGAAAAAUAGGCAUUUGUUAGAGGUGGCUAGAUCACUAAUGUUCUCCAUGAAUGUUCCAAAAUUAUUCUGGGGGCAAGCUGUCCUUACGGCAGCCUACCUCAUCAAUAGGAUGCCGUCUAGGGUACUAAAAUUCCAAACACCUUGUCAAACACUCCUAAAAUCCUUUCCGACUACUCGUCUCAUCUCCACCGUCCCACCCAAAAUUUUCGGGUGCUCUGUCUUUGUUCAUAUCAAUCAACAACAUAGAAGUAAACUUGAUCCUAGGUCACUCAAGUGCAUCUUUCUUGGAUAUUCUUCAAAUCAAAAAGGGUAUAAGUGUUACUCUCCGGUCACAAGAAAAUUCUACAAUUCAAUGGAUGUCACCUUUUUUGAAACCCAGCCUUACUAUCCCAAAAACGAUAUUCAGGGGGAGAAUUCAACCCAGGAAUAUCAAUUUUGGGAUCUUGAGUCAUUCAGUGAGUCACCCAUCACCACUGAAAAUCACAUUCCUCCAGAGUCAUUUAAUCAACCCGAGUCCAUUGUUGACUUGUGGGAUAAGGAGCACAUCCAAGAGGAAACGGAGGAAAGAGCACUUUCUCAACAAACCCAUGAGGCAGAACCGGGUCCUAAUCCAAGCAAACUUCCAGGUAACAACGCUCCUGAUGGUACUGUUGAUUCCGAGUUAGAAAAUGAUAUUCUUAAUAUGCCCAUAGCUUGGAGGAAAGGAGUUAGAUCAUGCACUCAGCAUCCCAUUGGAAAUUUUAUUUCUUAUGAUAAGUUAUCACCUACGUUUCGUGCAUUCACUUCUAGCAUCACAGAGAUACAAGUUCCUCAGAAUAUUCAGGAAGCUUUCAAGUAUCCUAAGUGGAAGGCGGCAGUCGAUGAGGAAGUUUGGGCGCUAGAAAAGAAUGGUACGUGGGAAAUUACUGACCUCCCAAGAGGUAAGAAACCAGUUGGGUGUAAGUGGAUUUUCACAGUAAAGUACAAGGCAGAUGGUAAUGUGGACAGGUAUAAGGCUCGGUUGGUUGCCAAAGGAUUCACCCAAUCUUAUGGCAUUGACUAUCAAGAAACUUUUGCUCCAGUUGCCAAGCUCAAUACUGUUCGUGUACUUUUAUCCUUGGCAGCUAAUCUCGAUUGGUCUCUUCACCAACUUGAUGUGAAGAAUGCCUUCCUCAAUGGUGACUUAGAGGAAGAAGUUUACAUGGACAUUCCUGCUGGACUUGAGACGACAUCAAAUUUCAACAAGGUUUGCAGACUCCGAAAAUCCUUGUAUGGUCUCAAACAAUCUCCCAGGGCCUGGUUUGAACGGUUCACUAAGGUAGUGAAAGGGUACGGAUUCGUUCAAUGUCAAUCCGAUCACACAUUAUUUGUGAAACACUUCCCAAAAGGGAAACUGGCAAUUAUCAUUGUAUAUGUGGACGACAUAAUUUUGACAGGUGAUCAUGAAGAGAAAAUUGACUUACUUAAAAAAUUACUGACAAAGGAAUUUGAGAUCAAGGAUCUUGGAAACCUCAAGUACUUUCUCGGAAUGGAGAUUGCUAGGUCAAAGAAAGGUAUAGCAGUCUCACAACGCAAAUACGUUCUGGACUUAUUGAAUGAAACAGGAAUGCUAGGAUGCAAGCCGGCAGAAACACCUAUGGAUACAACUGUCAAACUGGAAGAAAGUGAUGGAAGUGCGCCAGUUGAUAAAGGAAGAUAUCAACGUCUUGUGGGGAAACUCAUCUAUCUUUCUCAUACAAGGCCAGACAUCGGCUUCUCCGUUAGUGUGGUAAGUCAAUUCAUGAAUAAUCCAACCGAAAAACACAUGACUGCUGUGAUCAGAAUAUUGAGAUACCUCAAGAUGACACCGGGAAAGGGUCUCUUCUUUCAAAGAACAACAAAUAAAGAGAUUGAGAUUUUUUCAGAUGCAGAUUGGGCAGGUUCAGUGACUGAUCGGAGAUCAACUUCAGGCUAUUGUUCAUUUGUCUGGGGGAACUUGGUUACAUGGCGAAGCAAGAAACAGUCAGUGGUAGCCCGUAGCAGUGCUGAGGCAGAAUUUCGUGCUAUGGCACAAGGUAUCUGCGAAGGAAUCUGGUUGAACAGGCUGUUAGAAGAAUUACGGGUUCCAUUGAAGCAUCCCGUGGUGUUAUACUGCGACAAUCAAGUUGCCAUCAGUAUCGCUAAGAAUCCGGUUCAUCAUGAUCGAACUAAGCACGUGGAGAUAGAUCGACACUUUAUCAAGGAAAAGAUUGAAGAAGGAGUUUUCAAAGUCAGCUACACUCCGACAAACUGUCAAACGGCUGACAUUCUCACAAAAGCUCUUGCUCGAGUUAACUUCGAAGAUCUGACAGAAAAACUUGGAAUGAUCAACAUCUACAACGCGGCUUGAGGGGGAGUGUUGGAAAUCAAGCCAGCAUCCUCUGUUUACUUCCCUAAUUAGUGUAAUGUACAGCCUUUAUUAUAAUUGAUUUAGGAGUAAUUCUAGCAAGGUAGUUUAUUCACUUUCCAUGUAAGAGUAGUUUAUUCACUUCCCAUGUAAGAGUAGUUUAUUCACUUCCCAUGUAAGAGUUUAUUCACUUUCCAUGUAAGGGAAAUUCCAUUCCGGAAUUGUCUCAUAUCCGUAGGCUAUUUAUUUAUGCUUUCAUUCAUUGUAAAGUGAGGUAUCACAGAAUGAAUUGAGGUGUUCCUCCAUAUUUUGUCUUCAAAUUCUUCAUAUUUUUCUUCAAAUUCUUCAUUACCAAAUAUGGUGCCCGGGCUGACGGAAACUCCGAUAUCAGCCAGGCGAGGACAAUUCAAUUAUAAUAUUGUAAGAUAUAUCUUAAACUUAAAUUUCUGCUAAAUGGGUCCUCUAUUGAAUGUUUCUUAGGCCUUACUUAAAGCUUGCGGAAAUGCUUGUGCAUCGCCUAUGGCAAGUACAGUUAUGAUUCCAGAAGGGACAUAUGCACUAGGCCAAAUAACCAUUGGAGGCCCUUGCAAGGCUCCUAUCAAUUUCAUUGUCCAAGGCACUAUGAAGGCCCCGGUGGAUACCAGCAGGUUCAAGGCUGAAGCUGGUUGGAUUGCUUUCCAACAAAUCGACCAAUUCACGUUGUUUGGUGGUGGAGUUUUUUAUGGCCAAGGAAAAACUGUAUGGGGCAGAAAAAGCCCCCGUUCUGCAUAUUGCAACCAACUUCCCAUUGUAAGUUCAUGUAUAUAUAUUCUUGUGUAAUUCUUUCAUUUUGUGUGCAUAAUGAGGACAUGACAGUAUAAGCUUUGGUGUCUCUUUUUUUGACUUGAAAUAUCUAUAACAGAAUCUGAGGUUCAACUUCAUCACCAAUAGCAUGGUCAACGACAUAACUUCAAGAGACAGCAAACAGUUUCAUAUUAAUCUUUUAGGGUGCAAGAAUUUGACUUUCUACAACAUUGCAAUUAGUGCACCAGAAGAGAGCCUUAACACAGAUCGAUGGAAAUCACAUUGGACGUUCCUCAGGGAUCAAUAUCACCGAUUCAACCAUAGAAACCGGAGAUGAUUGUGUCUCAAUUGGUAAUGGCAGUGAGCAAAUUAAUAUCCAAAGUAUAACCUGUGGGCCUGAACAUGGCAUCAGCAUGGGAAGUCUUGGAAAGUACUCCAAUGAAGAACCUGUGGUUGGCAUUAGUGUCAAGAACUGUACCUUCACCAACACCCAGAAUGGCGUGAGAGUGAAGACAUGGCCUGCUUCCCAUCAAGGCACUGCCUUUGAAAUGCAUUUUGAAGAUAUUGCUAUGAAUAAUGUUGGCAAUCCCAUAAUCAUAGAUCAAGAGUACUGCCCCCAUAACCAAUGCAACUUGAAGGUACUUUUAAAGGAAAUGAAAAGUGUCAUUUUUAUUGCUUAUUUUUCCCAUUUUUCCCAUUUUUCCCUUCAUUUUCAUCGGUCUAGAAAUUAAGGGUUCAUUUGGUCAUGUUUUCUAAAACUUAUUUUUAAAAACUGUUUUUAAGUUAAAGAACAAAAAAUAGUUUUUCAAACUAAUGAAAACGAUUUCUACUUGUUCUCUAAAAAUUGUUCUCUAUCUCAUUUUAAAAAAAAAAAAUUAUUUCUAGAAAACAAUAGCUAAACAAUAUUAGGAAUUUUUCAAAACAUUUUUCUAUUUUUAAAAACAAAAAACUGUUUUUAAAUCACAUAGUCAAACAGGCUGUAACUUUCCAUUGUUUCUAGAUUCCAUCACGCAUUAAGCUCAACAAUGUUAGCUUCAGAAACAUCUGAGGCACUACCUCAACUUAGGUUGCUGUCAAGCUUGUUUGCAGCCAGGAAGUACCAUGCCAAGACGUCGAGCUUGGUGACAUCAACUUGAAAUACAAUGGAAGCGAAGGCCCUACCAUGUCACAAUGUAAAAACAUUAAGCCAAAUCUACUCGGCACGCAACUGCCAAGGACUUGUGCCUAAUUAAGCUACUUAAAUCUUCUUUCAAAGUCUGAACAAAUUGUACUGCUUCUACGAUUUUUAUAUAGCUACCUCAUGUGUUUUCUAGUUGAUUGCUGAAAAACCACCUCCACAUAGUAAAAGUAAAACACAAUAAAUAGGGAUUUAUAAAUUAUUAAAGAUUAUUUUUCUCCAAAAGAGGUUACAUUUUAUGUUUUUAAAAAAGGUUAGUCAUUCUUCCGAAUUUGGUUUUCUAUAGGAAUAUUUAAUUAAAAGGGGUAAGUAAAAUAACCCAUAAUUUGUAAAAGUAGCCUUCAUUAUCUCUCAAAUCAAAUAGAAAAAAUAUAUAUAUAAUAAAGAACCUUCUAAAUUCAAAUCCCUUUCUUCUUCUCUCUCUUCACCACCUUUGAAAUCUCUUUCUUUCUUUCUCUUCAUUGCCUUUUUUUAUUUCUGUGUGGUAGCCACAUCCUGCCACAUCCAAUUCACCUUCCAUUGAUGCAAUGACUCCUUUGAUUCGUCACAAUUAGUCAAAGCGCUUGGCUAAUGUACUCCACUUGGAGGCUAUUUAACCACAUCCUUCAUACCAUGGCAUCAUACUAUUUAACCACUUCAUCUUUGCCACAUUUCAAAAUCACUAUAUAUGAGAAAUAACACUUAUUUUGAAUAAUAAUGGACAUACUCCAUAUAUCAAAUUAUCACAAACAAACAAUUGACCUCAUAUUUCUAGACCCCUAAUUUUGUUCUCUAGUAUUACAAUACAUACAUACUCCACAUUUAUCCCCAUGUAUUUGAGUUGAUGAGGAAUAUUGAUCAUAUAUUUCAAGUGUUUUGAAGUUUUAAAAGGUUCUAGAUAAUUUGGAAAAUAAAAAUGAACUCGAGUUUCAAAUUUGAGAAAAUAAAGGCUAAUAUUAAAAGAGAAAAACACCCAAGAGAGGGGUGAAUUGGGUUUUUCAAAAUCUUUUUCAACACAACAAAUUCAAGCACAAUAGAAGAAAAUAUAAAGAGAUAAAGUUAGAGAUAUCAAAGUAAGAUUUUAUAGUGGUUCGGCACUUCCUUGCCUACGUCCACUCUCCUCAAGCUCCUAACUGAGUGGGGGUUCCACUAACUUGAAGCUUCAACCAAGCUUCUAAUCUCUUUUACACUUGAAUUCCGAAUCCAAUGGGCUCUUACACAAUCUCUUCAAGAUUCAACUCACUUGAAGGCUUUAACACUCAAUUUUACAAGAAUGAAUCCCUCAACCUAGCUCAAUGAUAGCUAAAAUACAAAUCAAAGCUAGGAUGAAUCACAAAGGUGCACUAAAGGAUAUGCAAGUGAAGAUUUAAUGCACUAAGAAAGAAAUGAGAGUUUUUAAGGCAAGAACAAGUGAGUAGACAAAUAAAUGCAAGUGUUUUCUAUGUCAUAAAUAAAGUGGAGCUCUCAAUUUAUAGGUUUCUAACCUUGGGAGCCAAGAAAAACAAAAAGCAGCCUCAACCAGUCAAGUUGAGGAUCGAUCGAUUCACUAACAGUUGGAACAUUUAAUGUUUUGGCAGGUUACCGUUGCUUCAACCGGACCUCAACCGGAGGUCGACCAGGAAGGGAAGGCUACUGGAAGAGAGAGAGUGUUUUUGCACUCCUCGACCGGGCAAAGGGAACUAGUCGACCGGUACCUUGGCCGAUUGAGCCGAUUGGCUCAGUGCCUUGAUCGGUUCAACAUUUUGGCCUCAAAAACCUAUUUUUUUCUAUUCUUUUCUCUUCUAACACUUAGGCAAGGUCUUUAGGUUAAUUAAUAUGCCAAUUUUGAAACGUUUUACCUAAGGUACAUUUGAUAAAACUUGGGUUUUAAUGAAACUGUAACUUUAAAGAACAAACCGAGUUUUCCAAAUAUGCAUGAAAUGAUAUGUAAACCCUAAGUGCACCCAUGCAUUCAUCUUACAUUUGUUUCCUAUGAAUAAAGGUCUUCCAAACGUCUUGAUUUUGUAUCCAUUAGGUCAUUUGAUGAAUUUCCAAAUUAAUACUUGAGAUUAUUUACAAAUCAAACCAAUUAGUAACUUAACCAUAGUUUGUUAUCAUCAAAACCUAAUUAGGAAAACACUUGGGCUAACAAAAUUGAUUAUCAAGUAGAUUCUCGAUUAGAAAUCAAAAUCCAAAUAUGUUUUUCUCUUUUACCCUGACAAAUCAAAAUUCCAAUUUAUCUCUUGUACAAAUAUGAAAUUUAUGCUAUUCGAAUCAAAACUCCAAAUCAUUUUCUAAGUCAGAUUCUCUUCUAAAAUUAAAAUGGAAAUCUAUUUCAUCUUUGUGGUUCAAAUUGAUCUUUGGAAUACUUGCACAUUCGAAAGGAAAAUAGUGUCACGAGUUUUGCAGUUGGAGUUCAUGGAUCAGGCAUUUUAGGAGUUCUUGUACCUAAUGAGAACGUUUACCUUGAUUAAUUUAACACUUAUAUUGCAAAGAUCUACAUAGGAGUUCUAUAGAUUUAUUUAAACAUUUAUGGGCAUAUUUAUCCUAUUUGUAGCAUAUUCUAAUGAUAUUUUUAAACAUUAAUAUAAAUUGUUUGCUUGAAGGUUUCAACUAUUGAAAAUUAUUGUUCAAGCCUAAUGUUAAUCUUUUUCUAUGGUGGAUUUCAAAUAAUUAAUAAAUUCUUAUUUGAUUAUUUGUAGGGAAAAUAAAUACCUUCUAUGUUUGAUAGGAAAGAAGAUAGAGUAGAUCACUUUCACAAUACAUGGAUGCUACUCUUUCUAUACUUUUAAAGAUGGUUACAAUUGGCUUUAUGAGGGAUAAUGAUUUUCUAGUUCUUUUAAUACUUACUAGUAAAGGCUCACAUGCCAUGCACAUACAUUGAGUAUAAUUUCUCAAUAGAUGUAGGGAACCUUGCAAUCAUGCUUAAAAUAUAAAAUUAACCAGUAUAUUAAAUGAAAUUUUUGUUUAGGAAAUAUGAUUACACAAGAAAAGGAAAUAAGAUUGUUAAAGUGUUGGAAACCUCUCUGGUUCAAAGCCCUAAGCAUCAAAUGGAUGAUAAUAACAAUUAUCAUAGGAAAAAUAGGAAAGGAAAAGAAUAUAUAAAUAUUUUUUUUUCCUAAACAAGGGAUUUCCCAUUUUAUAAGAAUGACCAAUAUAUAUAUAUAAAAGAAUUGUUUAAAUUACUAUAAAAAAUUUAUGUACUUUACAAUAAUUAUGUAAUCUAUAACUAUGCGUUAAAAUAUAAAAUUAAUAUACUUAUAAUGUAAAAUUAAUGUCCUUAUAUAAAACAUAUCACUCAAACUAGAUUAAAAAAAAUUCAAAACAUAGACAAACCAUUUAAAGAAAAUACAACAUUAACAAACUAAAAUAAUGUUCUAUGGAAUAAUAUUGAAAAAGCAACAUCCCUGAUAAAAUAGGUUAUCUCUAAACAUGAAGAUUAUCAUAUUUCUCAAAUUUGAAGAUGGUCAAGAAAAAUUUUCUGUAGACCCCUUUUGCAGACGACCUGGGAAUUGAAAAUUUUUCAUUUUUUGAAGUGGGGGGACCUCUUUCUGGAGGGGGCGAGCCGCAUGGGACAUGUGGCAAAGAUGGCAUGGUGGUAGCAGGGAGCAGGUGAAGACUCGUGGGAGAAGAAAAACAGAGGGGAGUGUCUUCAUGUUUUUAGGGGGGUGAGCUAGUUUUCGUGGGGGAGGGGGUCCGGAAACAGAGAGAAGAAAGAAGAAAGGAUAGGAGGUUUUUCUGGCGUUUAAGAGGAUUCCGAAAAUUUUUCGGGGCUUGGUUGGAGAAGCAAUCUUGCCUGGAGGAAAAUUUGAGGAGCUUGAGAAGAAACUAGUGAGGGUGGAUAGCUUGGGGAUAGAGGAUUUCCUGGAGGGAGCAGAAAACAGAGCUCAGAGUCAGGCGAGCUUUCCUUUGAAAAGCUGCCCUUCAGGUGAGAUUAGUUUUUGUUGAAUUUGAUAACUUUUCCAGCGCAAUACAUCCCGAUAUUUUAUUUCGAUUCGCUGCAUCGAUUGCCUUGCCGGUGAAUUUUACAUUCGUAGCCCCUUUUGUGCACUCAAUUUCCUAUAUUUUUAUUCCCUCUGAUGCUUUCUUUAUAUGUUUCUUCAACUGUAUGUGUUUUUGCCUGAAGAUUUGAUUGUGCCAGUGAAAUUUGUGGCUCAUCUGUGUCUCUAAAGUGUCGGGUACCUUAAGUGUCUUUCUUACUUCGACCUGUGAAAAUAUAUACUCUGGAGUUUACACAUCUUGUAUGCAUAUACUAUUAUAGUAUCAUAAAAUGAAAAAUUAUGUAUAUCCAAUUUUAAUUGAUCUCAAUUGAUUCUUCGUUACUGCUCAGAGGAGAAGUAAUAGGUAGGGAUGACAGGAUUUGAACCCGUGACAUUUUGUACCCAAAACAAACGCGCUACCAAGCUGCGCUACAUCCCUUUCAAUUGGUCUACAGUGUCAUUGUAGAGAAUACCUGUCUUGUUUUCCACAUCCUAGCAUUGAAUAGACUGGGUAUUCACCUUAUCAAUAUCUCAAAAUGAUGGGUUCUAUUUGGCGCUUAAAUUAAAUGGGCACCCAAAUCGGACCGAAUCAGUUCCGAUACGUAGACCAAAUGAUACAAUGCAAGCAAAAGUUCCUAGAUUCAUGGAGAUAUAGAACAGCAUAUAAGUUAUCAUGCUUGCAUAUCCACCAUUUAAGUCUCCAACAAUUAUUCCAAAUUGAGGCUUUUUUACAGUGAAAACCUCAAAAGGGGGAUUUUGGGGAAUAAGUGUUUGUGUAUUUUUUUUUUUCUUCCUAUGGAGAAGGAAGAGUGAAGAAUUUGUGAAAUGGCAAACCGUUAUUGGUCUGUUUCUAUUGAGCGGCGUUUCAGCUAUGUGGUUCUCAUCCCAUUUAUGCAGCAUUGAGUUUGAAUGCCGAGAAAUAUCUCUUUGAUCGGUGUGGGGAAAAUAGGAAAGGGGUUAGAUGGCCCCUAAUUGGUCAUUGCUCCUCUUUCUACUCUCUCAAACUGGGCAAAUGAAAUAGCAAGGUUUGUGCCUUCAAUAAUUGCAAUCAUCUACCAUGGCAAUAGGAAAGAAAGAGAUCAAAUACGAAUGAAGUAUAUGCCAGGAAAAAUUAGCCCCAAAUUUCCUAUAAUUCCGACUUCUUAUGAGGUUGCAUUAAAUGAUGCUAGAAAAUAUCUAAGGCAUUACAAUUGGAAAUAUCUUGUAGUUGAUGGUGGGGCCACGGAUGUAAAUUCAUGAUGUGCACCUUGCAACACUCUGUUUUAUUUUUCUUUGGGCUGCCAGGAUGUUCAAACAUCAUUUGAAAACCUUUUUUUUUUCACUUUGGCCACCUCUAAGUGUGGUCACUUUGGCACAUGGCCCUAGUAAGUUUUUGACUUUUUAUUUAUUUUCUUAUGAUUUUAACAGUUUUCCUUACUCCAAUUUUCCAAAAUUCAUUUCAUGAUUCCACUUUUCAAAUAAUUUUUAAAGCUUUCAUUUUAGAUUAGUCUUCCGGAAUUCCCAUUUCCAUAUUUAUUUAUUUAAUCAUUAUUCUUUUUUUAUUAUUAUUAUUUUAUUUAUUCACUUUUAAAAUUCUAUCUUUAAGUAAUUCUUAAAAUUCCGAUUUCCGAAUUUAAUUUCCAAUCAUUAAAAUUCAAUUCUUCAAAAGUCUGACUUCCAAAUUUAAUUUUCAAUCUAAAAAAUUUCACUAUUCACGUUCAUUCGUUUAAAUAUUAUUUUUGUUAUUAUUAUUAUUAUUCCAUAUUUAUUUAUUUAUUUUUUACAAAAGUUCCAAUCAUUAAAGUUCAAUUCUUCAAAAAUUUGACUUCCAAAUUUAACUUUCAAUCUCAAAAAUUCCACCAUUCACGUUCAUUCGUUUAAAUAUUAUUUUUUUUAUUAUUAUUAUUAUUCCAUAUUUAUUCAUUUAUUUAUUUUAAAAAUUCCAAUCAUUAAAGUUCAAUUCUUCAAAAAUCUGACUUCCAAAUUUAAUUUUCAAUCUAAAAAAUUCCACUAUUCACGUUCAUUUGUUUAAAUAUUAUUUUCGUUAUUAUUAUUAUUCCAUGUUUAUUCAUUUAUUUCUUUUAAAAAUUCCAAUCUUUAAAAUUCAAUUCUUCAAAAAUCCGACUUCCAAAUUUAACUUUCAAUCUCAAAAAUUUCACUAUUCACGUUCAUUCGUUUAAAUAUUAUAUUCGUUAUUAUUAUUAUUAUUCCAUAUUUAUUUAUUUAUUUAUUUAUUUAUUUAUUUUAAAAAUUCCAAUCAUUAAAGUUCAAUUCUUCAAAAAUCCGACUUCCAAAUUCAAUUUUCAAUCUCAAAAAUUCCACUAUUCACGUUCAUUCAUUUAAAUAUUAUUUUUGUUAUUAUUAUCAUUAUUUAAUUUAUUUAUUUGUUUAUUUCCUUUAAAAAUUCUAAUCAUUAAAGUUCAAUUUUUCAAAAUUCCGUUUUCCAAAUUUCAUUUUCAAUCUUAAAAAUUUUACUAUUCAUGUUCAUUCGUUUAAGUAUUAUUUUUUAUAUUAUUCUUAUUAUUCCGUUCACUUACUUAUUUAUUUCUUUUUAAAAAAAAAAAUAUCCGUCUUUAAACAAUUCUUAAAAAAUCUGACUUCCAAAUCUAAUUUCCAAUCUCAAAAAUUCAACUAUUCACAUUCAUUUGUUUAAUGAUUAUUUUCGUUAUUAUUAUUAUUUCAUUCAUUUACUUAUUCACUUAUUCACUUAUUCAUAUAUUUAAAAUCGCAUCUCUAAAUAAUCCUUCGAAUUUCCAAUCUCUAAAUUCAAUUUCCAAUUUCUAAAAUUCUAACUUUCGCAAUUAUUUAUCCAAUCAUUAUUAUUUUCGUUAUUCUAUUCAUUUAUUUAUUCAUUUGUUCGUUUAUUUAAAAUUUCAUCUCUAAAUAAUUCUUUAAAUUUCCAAUCCCUAAGUUCAAUUUCCAAUUUCCAAAAUUCUAACUUUCACAAUUAUUUAUCCAAUCAUUAUUAUUUCGUCAUUAUUAUUAUUUCAUUCAUUGAUUUAUUCACUUAUUCAUUUAUUUAAAAUUCCGUCUUUAAAUAAUUCUUCAAAAUUCCAAUUUCCAAAUUUAGUUCUCUGAAAUUCCAAUUUUCUUAUCACCGAACUUAAUUUUCAGUUUCCAAUAUUUCAAUUCUCGCAUUUAUUCGGUUACUCAUUUAUUAUUAUCAUUAUCAUUUUAUUCAUUCAUUUCUAAAAAUUCCAUCUUCGAAUGAUUUCCAAGAUUUCCAAUUUUUAUAAUUCAAUCUUCAUAGUUUCUACUUCUCAAAUAAUUUUCAAUUCUAAUUUCUUUCAAAAUUUAAUUUCCAAAGUCCCAAUUUUUGUAAUUUAAUUUUUUUAAAAUCCCAAACUCUCAAAUAAUUUUCAAAAUUCCAAUUUCUUUCAAAUUUAAUUUCUAAAUUUCUCAUUCUUACAUUUAAUUUCUAAAAAUCCUAUUUUCAAAUAAAUUUCAAAAAUCUAGUUUUCCCUCGAAUAGUUUUAAUUUCUAUUUGGUGAUGCAUGUGAUAUUUUUUGUGCUCUUUAUUGUACAUUGACCCCAUUUUUAUGAUAGCGCAUUGCUUGUUCGUGGCCCAGGUACGCAUCCAUUCCCAUUCUAGUCAUUCUCUAUGCAUGUUUUGAUUCCCAUAUGUGCAUGAUCGAUUUGAGUAUCCAUUGAUUUUCCUAUUGAUUGUUACGUCAGCUUCAUUUUAUUAGUAGAGACCCGACUUUAAAGACUUAGAGGGGUGCUACGGUCUUUACCGUACCUUCUUGAUAAGUAACCUAACCCUUGAGCCCAAUCCGGUUUUUCACAGACCAUAUUUUCCAAAAUAAGGAGUCACACUUAGAGUUUUCUUUUUUAUUUUGUUUAUACCCUUUUAAAAAUAAAACAAAAAUAAGUGGCGGCUCCAAGUCAUUUUUUUUAAUAAAUAAAAUCAUUUUCAAAUAAAAAUCGAGUUCGUCAUCGAGUGAAAAAUGCAUGAGCCGAAAUGCGGGGUCCACAAAAUGGCGACUCCACUGGGGAACGUUUAGAGGGUCAAGCUUGAACUUAAGAUGAAGUAAAUGUGGCAUUUGAUGAGUCGAUUAGUGGGCACCUAUCUCUUGAUUACAUAUUGAGAGUUCCCGAUACCAUUGGAUGCAUGCUUGGUUGUUUGUUUUCAUUUGGGACAUUGACAUGUUGAUUGUGUUGGUUGAUUAUCUUGGUUGGGGACUUUAAUAUAGUGAUUUUCUCUAUGCUUCAUUGGUAUAUUUGUUUGAUAUAUUUGACAUGCUGAUUGUGAUGAUUGAUUUGUCUUGAUUGAGGAUUCCGAGAUAGCUAUUUCUUCAGUACUUCAUUGUUAUAUUUGCUUGAGAUAUUGACAUUCUAAUUACAUUGAUUGCUUAUCUUAUUUUGCUUGGCAUAGUAACUCUGAUUUUGACAUGUUUAUUCUCAUCUCUUCCCAUAUAUAGACUCACCAUUGCAUAUCGCUUGACUUGCCAUAUUGUUUCUUUGUAUUGUAUAUUCUCUUGAUUGUCUUCGAGCAUGAUAUCUGCAUCAUUUCUCAUCUAAUUUUCAUAGUUUGUAUGUGGAUAUGAGCUAUAUAUUCUGUACUCUACUUGACUGUAUGUCACAUGACUGCCCUUCUUAUGCGUGAUUGUAUGUCGUUUGUCCGUGUGGGCCGCACAUCUAUCCCCUUACCUCCAACUCUCUUGGUUUUGGUCAUUCCCUUCAUUCUAGUUUUCACUUUUGCAAGUGUGAGGUCUUUUGUGUGUUUGUUUCUUUAACCGAGAUAGCGAUUAGGAGUAGGGUCUAGUGACGGGCUAUACCGAUGUUUGGGAGCAUCCUGUAAUUGAUCGACACUUUGAUGUCAAUUAGAGUUCGAUUGUUGAAAACUUGUAUAGCCCAGAGCUAGGUUUCAUGGAUAUUUGUACAGCUAGUAUGUUUCAUAUUCUGUAUUAGCUUCAUAGGGUUAUCGGAUGCACCCACACCGUUUAUUGUGCACUCUAAUUGACCACUGAGCGUUGAGAGUUCGAGAGGUUUCACCAUAGGAAACCCCCAUGGGAUGCCGAGAUAGUGUAUGUGUGGAGAUGAUGACCACCUUGCAUGGAAGCGCCCCGUUUCUUCAGAGGCGUGCAAAGGGUUGCAUACCACGGGAGGGUAUGAUCACUUCUGCUAGGGAUCCUUUAAAGUCCACAAAAUUUCUUUUUAGAGUCACCUUGACAUUGUAGGUUAAGCCUUAGAUCCUUCGAUCAAGACUUUCUUCCCUACACAUGGGUGCAUCUGAGGGCCUUUAGAGUCUCUUUAGUUACAGUUUGGAUCCCAAACUCCAUCUUUUGGUCUCCAGUUGAGAGUGCUUAGAUAUUAGUGCGAGUUUGAGUAUUAAUUGGACCACCUCUUGUUGUAUGAUUUUGGUUUCUUCCUGUCACUCAUCGAGUUUGCCACACUUUCUUCUUAGGGGUUUUAGAUAGAUUUCCUUUCUUGAGUUAGCAUUAUUUCCAUUUGUUGUCACUUUCUACUUGACGUUUUGGGAUAUGCUCAUUGAUUAUGCUCACUUUUUCACAUUCUCCACAUGUCAUGCGCUCAAUACUUCAUUCUUUGGUUGAUUUGCCUAUUUCAAUUUUCAACCCAAUAUUUUCAUUACAGAGAGGUGAAAGGCAUGUUUUCACAUUCACACCAGUUUUGAGAGGUUCGCCUUUGUCACCUUAUCAUUUUUCUUUAUGGAGCUCGGGUUGAAAGUGAAUCAAGGAUAUUUUGUUAUAGAUGGAAUAUCGAUCUAAUGACAGUGUUGUUUUUUCACGCCUCAUUCAUUUUCUGGAUUACUGAUAAAGAUUAUUUACUCACAUUUGUAGCCAUCUCACAAUGGACACCUCUAUGACUUUAGAGUUUUUGUCAUUUAUCCAGUUUUAGAUUGCUACCACAGGACCAUAUAUCAUAUGAUGUGUUGUACUUUUGAUUUGAGACAUCUCUUCACUUGCACCUUGAGGUCUUAAGGUUUGACCUAUCAUGGAGGACAUUGAGCCUAUUAACCUAGGAUCGGAGAUUUGACUUAGGAAGUUUCAGACUAUGACCCAUCUUCUUAUGAUCAGAGCAGUGUCUUACCCACUCUCACACCUUGACUUUGUUUUGACCUACAUCCAUCCAUUGUGAGCGUUACACAGCGUCACCCUUGAGACCAUUACAUGACCUUUCCAUCCCUAAUUGUUCUAGCUUUGUAUAUUAUUUCUUUGAUCCAACCAGGUAGAGUGUGAGGAGUUUGAGCCUAGGGUUGAUCUCGCGUGGCGAGGGAUGGCUUACGAUUUUUGGGUGGCUUACGACAUGAGGAUUGGUCGAUUACUUGAUGGACUGUCACUUAUUCUGCCAUGAGUAUAGAGAUUGAUAUUGUAUGAUGAGAGUUAGCUUGUGAUGAGCAGUUGUGCUUGAUGAGAUCGUCAUUUACUUUGCUUUGAGAGGAUUACCUUUGAGAUUAUUAUGGAGCAUUUGCAGUAUGGUUUGGCACAUGAUUCUAGAGGGUUGAUGUGGUUAUGUCAGAUGGAUAUUGAUCUUUAGUAUAGAUCAUUUAAGGGUUUGAGAGCACAAUGUUUGAGACUAUGGUUGCAAGAUGUGUGGCCUGUAUUUCGGUUAGCCAUGUACCCUUUCACCCUUUUGAUAUAUAUAGUCUGUUGCUAGCCCAUUGAGCCUCGCACGUGCAUUAUAACCUUUCUUUCUUAUCGCCUUGCUCACAUUUUUCACACCGGGAUAGGGGCCUUUUAGUAUAUGCAUUCAUUGUUUGGGAGUUCCAUGAGCCUUAGACCUAAGGGUGCAUUCUUCUCAUUAUCUCUUCUCAUCAUUGCAUCACUGCAUUCCAUUGUAUCUCAUUGUUUGUGUUCUUCGUCUCUUCUUCUUUAUUUUAUCUACUACUUGUUUUGCUUCAUAUUCUUUUCACCCUGAGAUGGUGUCUAUCCAUUAUCGACAUCAUCCUUGGGGUUCAUUUGUUCAUGUUCAGGGUAUGUACAUCUGUAUGUUAAAAAAAUGAAGUGAAAAAAAAAAUGAAAUGAAAAAAAAAACGCAUGUGUGUAUUAUUUUUUAUCAUUGAGUGUGUAUAUCAAUAUUCUAGGGUCACUUGAUUGAGUAUGUUUGUUGAUGGGAGUUCGUAUGUAAGCUUUCCGAGACCCUUCAUGCUUUGUAUUCAUCUUAUUGUAUAUUUUGAGAGCGAGAUGAGUGACCUUCUCUUAAGAGUUCUAGGUCAUUGUCCCUUCCAUCAUUACGUUCAUUGUUGAUGUGACUUCACUCCAUGUCUGAUUUGAGUUGAUCACUACUCCUCUUUAUGUUAUUUGUUUCAUCAUUAUCCUCGUUUUCGCUUCUGAUUCAUCAUUUUCACUUCACGUCUUAUUCUUUUCUUACAGCAACCCAUCUAGGGUUUGAUACUCUCUUCGCGUCAUCAUUACACAUAUCACUAUCAAUUCAUUUUGCUUCAUUGGUCUCCUCAUCGACAUCUUAUUCACGUUAGGCAUCCUCAUGUCCAUGGCUCACGGGAUUUACUAUACAUGGUGCAUUUCAUAUAUGAGGGCAUGGGUUUCUGAUCAUUGGGUAUUUGAGCCCUGUUUCCUUUCAUUUCUUUCACCUUAUUACCUUAGCCUACAUUACGUCCUAGGUCUUAAGAGCACCCUGAGGCCAUGAUAUCAUGCAUCGUGUUUUGAUAGCUCUCAUGUGGGCGAUACUUGGAAUUGGUUGGAGAGCAUUUUGAUUAUGAUAGGCCAUGAGUUGUGGUAUGACCCUAUACUGGGGCAUAGCCACCUCAGAGAGUUUUUUUUUUAUCGGGUAUGCAACCAUUCUGUUUGAUACAUCGCAUUGGGGCACACCUUUCUUGGUUGAGGUUUGAUUUUUUAGAUGGCCAUUAUGCCAGGGCAUACUUCUCUCAGUCGAUGAUGGAUUUUUGAGUCAUGGCCACCCUUCAGAGGAGAUCAAACAUCAUUUUUCACAUUGGAGCAUGAGGCAUGAUUGGUAUAUUUCAUCUGGUGUACUUUGCAUAGGGGCAUAUUUCUUAGUCGAUGAUGGUUUUUGAGGCAUAGCUGUUCCUUGGGGGUGAUUAGAUUCCUUUCACAUUGGGGUAUGAGAUAUGAUUGGGUGCUUUGAAUAGAUGUGUUUAUAGGAGCGUAACCUUCUCAUCGUUGUUGACAAAUGUUUGAGAUGAUUGGAUCAAGAUACUGACACUUAUGAGAGCAUGCAGCGGAGUUUAGUCAUUUUAGAGAUUGCAUUAUACUGGGGCAUAAUCCUUUCAUUGGUGAUUGAUCUUAGAGAUAUCAACUUACAUUUGGGCAUGAUCAUGUCAGAGCGCAUUUUGUUGAGGCAUGUCACUUUGAUUGAUCUUUUUCAUAUUGGGACAUGCUCUUUCUUUAGAUGAGGUCGGAUACUCUCUUUAUACCACCACGAUGACUUUGAGGAGUGGAGAUUCAUUUUGAUUAGAUGAUGUAUGAUUGGUUGUACUCCUCUCAUCGAUGUUUUAUUACAUUGGGGCAUUGCCCACCCAUCGACGAUGGAUUUUGUGAGAUGACGGUUUAUGCCAAACACAUGUUAUUCGGAUAUUAUCUUGCAUUGAGGGCUUACCCAUUUUGAGAGAAUGCAUUCAUACUGGGGCAUAGCCACCUUGCUGAUUUUGACAUUGAGACUCCACCUCCUAUUUAUGAUAGCUAGUUUUGAUGGAUCGUAGAGUUGUUGACACUUUGGGUUCAGACUUCUUAACAUACUUGGUUCGACUUGGAUACCCACUUUCCUUUGUUACACACUCAUACAUCUUACAUCCAGCACCAUUAUACCUGCAUCCAUCUUGUCAGAGUCUCACAUCUUUUGAGUUUCAUCUAGGGCAUACCCCAUUUCCAGAGAUAGUUGUGUCCUCAUUUUUUAGUGAGUUGAUCAUCCUGAUUUUAGUCACCCUUCAGUGGUUUGACUUAGAGUCAUAGACUACAAUCUCCCAUUUUGGGCGUACAAUGCCCCUCUUCAUGGAGUCACAUGACUCUCAUCACUCACGAGAUCAUGUCGAGUUGAUAGCCAAUUGUUAUCUUAUCAUGAUCCCCUAGUGGAGUCUUUCUUAGGCCAUUUAGUCAGACUCACACUUUUUAGCAUUUAGAUAUCAUCAUGCUUUUUCUUCUGGGAGACGUUUAUUUGAUCUACAAAUUCGAUUAAGUUGUGGACGUGGGUGGUUAGGAUUACACACUUGGUGAUGGAUGAUUUGAUGACAUCUAGUUUUCUGAUCUACCAUGCAUUUGAUGCCAUACUGGGGCACAUUCUGUUUCGGAUGAGAUUUAUGGAUUUUCAUGGAAGUUGCAUGCUUAUCUCCACUUUUGAGUUAUGGACGUGGAUGACCGGGAUUGCAUAGUUGAUGAUUUGGUGUCACCUGACUUUUGGAUCUACCACACAUUUGAUGCCAUACUGGGGCAUAUUCCAUUACAGUUGAGAUUCGUAGAUUUUCAUGGAGUUGCGCGAUCAUCAUCACUUACUGGUCGCACACUGAGAUGCUGACAUGUUCGUUACCUUAUCAUGAUACCUCGGUGGACCCUCUUUGGAUCCAUUUAGUCGGACCCUCAUUUUUUGACAUUUGGUUUCCGGCAUGAUACUUAUUCCGAGAGACAUUCCCUAGAUAUAUGGAUUUGAUUUAUAUCACAGAGAUCACAUGUUCGAUGAUAGAUAGUCUCAUGUCAUCUGAUUUCCGAUUCGUCAUACAUCUGAUGCCAUACUAGGGCAUAUUUCCAUUUUGGGUGAGGUUUACAGAUCUUCAUGGGGUUGUAUGAUCACCCCCACUUACGGGAUGCGCACCGAGGCGAUGACGUGCUCAUUAUUUUUACGAGGAUUUCUCGGUGGAGCCUCUCGGGAGUCAUCCAGUUAAGCCCGCACUUCUUGGCACUUAGAUUUCAUCAUGCUUCUCCAUCCGAGAAAUACCUCUUGGAUUUGUGGGUUUGAUUCUGUUAUGGACAUGGAUGACUAGGACCGUGCAUUUGAUGACAGAUGAUUUGAUGUCAUCUGAUUUUUCGACCCGUCACACAUUUGAUGCCAUACUGGGGCAUAUUUCCCUUUCGAUUGAGAUUUGUACAUCCCCACCGAUUCGCAUGAUCAUCCCUAGUUAUGAGAUACGCGCUAGGUUGAUGAUUCGAUUUCAUUUUGUCAUGACACUCUGGGGAGCCUUUCUUGAGUCAUUCAGUCAGGCUCAUACUUUUUGAUAUUGUUGUGAUUCUUAGACAGAGUUAUCUCAGACGCAUGGAUUCCCACAUCACCAUUUCAGUGGAGUACAUGUUAGAUCUCUUGCGCAUCCCCAUUGAGUUAUUUGCGAGUCAUCAGGGCAGACCUGGUACAUCUGAUGCCAUACUAGGGCAUAUUUCCCUCAUUCAGCUGUAGAGAUGAUGGUUUUCUCAUAGAUCUGAUGCAGCCGCCUUCAUCGCUCCACCGAGAAAUAUUUUAUUUGCUUUAUUGGCCACUAUUCCCGUGAUUUUCGUCGAGAUAAGCCUUCAGUAGAGCACAACAUUCAGGUUUUGACUGUCUCGCUAUCCAUGAUUCUUUAGUAGAUUGUUGUGAUGAGAUCAUGGUGGUUACCCCAACAAACUAUUCUCUUGAGACUCCCUAGUGGAUCAUUCGUUUCAGAUGACGAUGGACUCCUACAGUAGAGUAUUUCGAGUUAGAGUCAUCUAACUCGUCAAGCAUCGCGGUCCAAUCAGAUGGGUUGUGAGACUAUGUUCACAGUCGAUUUAAUCAUUCUAACUCGCUAGUAGAGCAUAUUUCGAGACUCAUGGAGUCUUUUUCAGACCUUUCUAGUGGAUUGAGAGUUAUGACGACAUGCUACACUGGGGCAUAUUCCCCCUUCAUCAUUUCCUUGCAAUUCUGGCGUUCAGAGCCACCAUACAUGCUCGGUUACGACAUUCAGAGUCGCCCUUUUUUAGCUUGGCAUUCAAAGCCACCAUGUCUUCUCGUUUAUGACCUUCAGAGUCGUAUCUCUCGGCUUGACUUUCAUAGCUACUGUUUCAGUUUGGUGCUUAGAGCCACCAUGUCCUCUCAACCAUGACGUUCAGAGCCUUUCUCAGAUUGGCAUUCCUAGUUAUCAGUUUAGUUUGGUGUUCAGAGCCGUUGUUUCUGCUUGGGAUUCAUAACUAUUAUCUUCGGUUUGGUGUUCAGAGCCACUUUCACAUUUCGACGUUCAUAGCUGUUGUUUUAGUUUGGCAUUCAGAGCCAUGGUUUAGGUUGACAUUUAGAGUUGUCAUCGUCUUUCCAUUCGGUGUUCUGAGCCACAUUUUUUGUUUCGGCGUUCAGAGUCAUUCUUCAUUUUCAUUUUGGCGUUCAGAGCCAUUGUUCAUUUUUCUUUUGCCAUUCAAAGCCACAUUUUCGUUUCGGUGUUCAGAGCGAUCGUUCAUCUUCCGUUUGGCAUUCAGAGUCAUUGUUCGUUUUCCGUUUGGCGUUCAAAGCCGUAGUUCAUCCUCAGUUUGGUGUUUAGAGUCGUUGAUCAUUUUUGUUAGGCGUUCAGAUUCAUGUCGUCAUCUUGGUGUUCAGAGCCGCAUUGUCAUCUUGGCAUUUAGAGUCGUAUCUUCAGUUUGGCAUUUAGAGUCGUAUCUUCAGUUUGGCAUUCAGAGUUGUUGUUUAUCUUUAGUUCGAUAUCUAGAGCCAUUUUCAGAUUGGUGUUCAGAGUCGUUAUUCCCUUUAGUUCGAUAUUCAGAGCUACACCUUCAAUUCAAUGUCUAGAGUCACAUUUUUUUCGUUUGGUGUUAAGAGUUGUUGUUCACUUCAUUUUGGCAUUCAGAGCCACAUCUUCAUUUUGGUGUUCAGAGUCGCAUUUUUAGUUUGGUGUUCAGAGUCGUUGUUCAUCUUCAUUUUGGCGUUUAGAGCCGCAUUCUCAUCUUGGGAUUCAGACCCACAUCUUCUUUCGGUUUGGCGUUCAGAGCCGCAUUUCCAUUUCGAUGUUUAGAGCUACCAUCAUUCUCAGUUUCGGCAUUCAGAGCCACUGUCUCUUCUCAAUUCGCCGUUCAGAGCCAGAUCUCCAGUUUCAGCGUUUAGAGCCACUAUCCCUUCUUAUUUUGGCAUUCAGAGCCACCAUUUCUGCCCAAUUUCAGCGUUUAGAGCCACCAUCCCUUCUUAUUUUGGCGUUCAAAGCCACCAUUUCUACCCAGUUUGGCGUUCAGAGUCACCAUCCCUUCUCAGUUUGGCUUUCAGAGCCACCGUCUCUUUUCAAUUUGGCGUUCAGAGUCACAUCUUCAUUUGGCACUCAGAGCCAUUACUUGUCUUCUAGUUUGGUGCUCAGAGCCACAUCAUUCAUUUCAGCAUUCAGAGUCACAUCUUUAGUUUGAUGUACAAAGUCGAUGUCUUCUAGUUUGGCGUUCGGAGCCACAUUCUCAGUUUGACACUCUAAGUCCUCAUGUCUAUCUUUCAUUCAAUCCAUCACCACUUCCCUCUAUUCUGGCAUUCAAAGCCAUUAGGCACACUCUUUCGGGCCUUUUUGAGUCAUUUCUUUUUUUUAAUUUUGGUGUGCAGAGCCGUUUUUUAUACCCAUUCAUGCAUCUUGAGUAAUUUCUUUUCUUAGUUUUGGCAUUUAGAGCCAUUGUUUUGUUUAGCAUUCGACGCCACCAUCUUUCUUCAGUUUGGUGUUCAGAGCCAUUGUACAUAUCCGUUCAGGCACCUUGAGUCACCAUCUUUCUGUGUUUUUGAUGUUUAGAUUUCCCCUCAACUGUCCAUGGCAUUCAUAUUCACUGGCAUUACACAUCUUGCCUUCAUAGGUUUGCAUUUAUCCUUAUUUUUCUCACCUUGUUACCCUGUGCUUAUCGUUCAUUCGUCAUUGCUUUUCUAGAUUUCCCUUUUCACUGCCCAUGACAAAGUCCUUUGAGUUCACGACACAUACUUCAGUCAUGUUGUUGGGCACCCUGCACUUAGCAUUCUCAUGUGGUUCACAUAUGAUAGUCUCAUUUAGGCACAUUCGUUCUUACACUCCAAAGUGGUUCGACCAUUACUCAUCUGUGAUAUGGUUUUCCAAGUCACUUUUGGAGACGUCUUAGAGGGAGUCUAGAUCCUUAGUGUGGCUUCAGAGGCACUUUGAGAUAUCAUUUUCUUUUAGGAUUAGAGCAUUUGUGUUCAUUCCUUGGUUUGGGCGAGUUCGUGUUCUACUUGUGCACCUUUAGGGGUCUUUCUUUUUCUUUGGUAGAGUUUACUCCAUUCCACUCACUAUUCACACUUUCUUUUCACUCUAGUGUUCAUAUUUCUUACGCUCGUGAACUCUACCGAAGAGGGGCAUAUUUGUAGAACCCUUUUGCGGACGACCCGGGAAUUGAAAUAUUUUCAUUUUUGGAAGUGAGGGGACCUCUUUCUAGAGGGGGCGAGCCACAUGGGACAUGUGGCAAAGACGACAUGGUGGUAGCAGGGAGCAGGUGAAGACUUGUGGGAAAAGAAAAACAGAGGGAAGUGUCUUCAUGUUUUUAGGGGGGUGAGCUAGCGGUUGUGGAGGUGGGGGUGUCUGGAAACAGAGAGAAGAAAGAAGAAAGGAUAUGAGGUUUUUCUGGCAUUUAAGAGGAUUCCGAAAAUUUUUUGGGGCUUGGCUGGAGGAGUAAUCUUGCCUGGAGGAAAAUUUGAGGAGCUUGAGAAGAAACUAGUGAGGGUGGAUAGCUUAGGGAUAGAGGAUUUCCUGGAUGGAACAUAAAAUAAAGCUCAGAGUCAGGCGAGCUUUCCUUUGAAAAGUGGCCCUUGAGGUGAGAUCAGUUUUUACUGAAUUUGACGACUUUUACAGUGUAAUUCAUCCCGAUAUUUUAUUUCGAUUCUCUGCAUCGAUUGCCUUGCCGUGGAAUUUUACAUUCGUAGCCCCUUUUGUGCACUCAAUUUCCUAUAUUUUAUUCCCUCUGAUGCUUUCUUUAUAUGUUUCUUCAACUGUAUGCGUUUUUGCCUGAAGAUUUGAUUGUGCUAGUGAAAUUUGUUGCUCAUCUGUGUCUCUAAAGUGUUGGGUACCUUAAUUGAGGCAUUUUUACAGUGAAAACCUCAAAAGGGAGAUUUUGGGGAAUAAGCGUUUGUGUAUUUUUUUUUUUUUUCUUCCUAUGGAGAAGAAAGAGUGAAGAAUUUGUGAAAUGGCAAACCGUUAUUGGUCUGUUUCUAUUGAGCGGCAUUUCGGCUAUGUGGUUCUCAUCCCAUUUAUGCAGCAUUGAGUUUGAAUGCCCAGAAAGAUCUCUUUGAUCAGUGUGGGGAAAAUAGGAAAAGGGUUAGAUGGCCCUUAAUUGGUCAUUACUCCUCUUUCUACUCUCUCAAACUGGGCAAAUGAAAUAGCAAGGUUUGUGCCCUCAAUAAUUGCAAUCAUCUAAGAUGGCAAUAGGAAAGAAAGAGAUCAAAUACGAAUGACGUAUAUGCCAGGAAAAAUCAGCCCCAAAUUUCCUAUAAUUCUGACUUCUUAUGAGGUUGCAUUAAAUGAUGCUAGAAAGUAUCUAAGGAAAUAUCUUGUAGUUGAUGGUGGGGCCACAGAUGUAAAUUCAUGAUGUGCACCUUGCAACACUUUGUUUUAUUUUUCUUUGGGCUACCAGGAUGUUCAAACAUCAUUUGAAAACCUUAAGUGUGGUCACUUUGGCACAUGGCCCCGGUAAGUUUUUGACUUUUUAUUUAUUUUCUUAUGAUUUUAACAGUUUUCCUUACUCCAAUUUUCCAAAAUUCCUUUCAUGAUUCCACUUCUCAAAUAAUUUUUAAAGCUUUCAUUUUAGAAUAGUCUUCUAGAAUUCCCAUUUUCAUAUUUAUUUAUUUAAUCAUUAUUCUUUUUUUAUUAUUAUUAUUUUAUUUAUUCACUUUUAAAAUUCUAUCUUUAAGUAAUUCUUAAAAUUCUGAUUUCCGAAUUUAAUUUCCAAUCAUUAAAGUUCAAUUCUUCAAAAGUCUAACUUCCAAAUUUAAUUUUCAAUCUCAAAAAUUCCACUAUUCAUGUUCAUUCGUUUAAAUAUUAUUUUCGUUAUUAUUAUUAUUAUUAUUCCAUAUUUAUUUAUUUAGUUAUUUAAAAAAAAUUCAAUCAUUAAAAUUCAAUUCUUCAAAAAUCUGAUUUCCAAAUUUAACUUUCAAUCUCAAAAAUUCCACUAUUCACGUUUAUUUGUUUAAAUAUUAUUUUUGUUAUUAUUAUUAUUAUUAUUCCAUAUUUAUUUUAAAAAUUCCAACCAUUAAAGUUCAAUUCUUUAAAAAUCUAACUUCCAAAUUUAAUUUUUAAUCUAAAAAAUUCCACUAUUCACGUUCAUUCGUUUAAAUAUUAUUUUUGUUAUUAUUAUCAUUAUUUCAUUUAUUUAUUUGUUUAUUUCCUUUAAAAAUUCUAAUCAUUAAAGUUCAAUUUUUCAAAAUUCCGUUUUCCAAAUUUCAUUUUCAAUCUUAAAAAUUUUACUAUUCAUGUUCAUUCGUUUAAGUAUUAUUUUCGAUAUUAUUAUUAUUAUUCUAUUAAUUUACUUAUUUAUUUCUUUUUUAAAAAAAAUAUCCGUCUUUAAACAAUUCUUCAAAAAUCUUACUUACAAAUCUAAUUUCCAAUCUCAAAAAUUCCACUAUUCACAUUCAUUUGUUUAAUGAUUAUUUUCGUUAUUAUUAUUAUUCCAUUCAUUUACUUAUUCACUUAUUCAUAUAUUUAAAAUCUCAUCUCUAAAUAAUCAUUCGAAUUUCCAAUCUCUAAAUUCAAUUUUCAGUUUCUAAAAUUCUAACUUUCGCAAUUAUUUAUCCAAUCGUUAUUAUUUUCGUUAUUCUAUUCAUUUAUUUAUUCAUUUGUUCGUUUAUUUAAAAUUUCAUCUCUAAAUAAUUCUUUAAAUUUCCAAUCCCUAAGUUCAAUUUCCAAAUUUCAAAAUUCUAACUUUCACAAUUAUUUAUCCAAUCAUUAUUAUUUCGUCAUUAUUAUUAUUCCAUUCAUUGAUUUAUUCACUUAUUCAUCUAUUUAAAAUUUCGUCUUUAAAUAAGUUUUCAAAAUUCUGAUUUCCAAAUUUAGUACUCUAAAAUUCCAAUGUUCCCAUCACUGAACUUAAUUUUCAAUUUCCAAUAUUUCAAUUCUUGCAUUUAUUCAGCUACUCAUUUAUUAUUAUCAUUAUCAUUUUAUUCAUUCAUUUCUAAAAAUUCCGCCUUCGAAUGAUUUCCAAGAUUUCCAAUUUUUAUAAUUCAAUUUUUGUAGUUUCUACUUCUCAAAUAAUUUUCAAUUCUGAUUUCUUUUAAAAUUUAAUUUUUUUAAAAUCCCAAACUCUCAAAUAAUUUUCAAAAUUCCAAUUUCUUUCAAAUUUAAUUUCUAAAAUUCUCAUUCUUACAUUUAAUUUCUAAAAAUCCAAUUUUCAAAUAAUCUCUAAAACUUCAAUUUUCAAAUAAUCUCUAAGACUCCAAUUUUCAAAUAAAUUUCAAAAAUCCAAUUUUCCCUCGAACAGUUUUAAUUUCUGUUUAGUGAUGCAUCUGAUAUGUUUUGUGCUCUUUAUCGUACACUGACCCCAUUUUUAUGAUAGUGCAUUGCUCGUUCGUAGCCCAGGUACGCAUCCAUUCCCAUUCUGGUCAUUCUCUAUGCAUGUUUUGAUUUCCAUAUGUGCAUGAUCGAUUUGAGUAUUCAUUGAUUUUCCUAUUGAUUGUCAUGUUAGCUUCAUUUUAGUAGUAGAGGCCCGACUUUAGGAACUUAAAGGGGUGCUACAGUCUUUACCGUACCUUCUCGAUAAGUAACCUGACCCUCGAGUCCAAUCCGGUUUUUCACAGAUCACCUUUUCCAAAAUAAGGAGUCAUACUUAGGGUUUUCUUUCUUAUUUUGUUUACCCUUUUAAAAAUAAAACAAAAAUAAGUGGCGACUCCAAGUCAUUUUUUUUAAUAAAUAAAAUCAUUUUCAAAUAAAAAUCGAACUCGUCAUCAAGUGGAAAACACAUUAGCCGAAAUGCGAGGUCCAUAGUUUCCCAUCAUGUUUCUAUUUUGUUGGAAUUUGAAUAAGUACAUAAUAAUUUUGUUUUAUUUUAUGGAUGAUAACUUCAUUUAACAUGUUAGUAUUCAUCAUCUUUCAUUUUGCCAUCCAUUUUUAGAGACUUUAAAUGCUUUCUUUAGAUACCCAUUUUUCAAUUUCAGUGAAUAAAUUGGGUAUAAGAGAUUUGCUAACUUCACUCAACAACUUCUAUUUAAGAUUUAGAAACUUGUGAACCUCAUGUUUUCCCCUUUGAAAACAUUGAAAUUUUGAUAUGGAAAGUUAAAAUAUCACAUAAACAAUCAAUUUUAAUUAUUUAAAUUCACUUCUCAAAAUUAAAAUUAAAAAUCCCUCUUGUAUGAUCUAAAUUAUCUUAGAUUUCAACUUUUUAAUUCACUUAAAGUAUUGAAUAAGUUAAAAAAAAUAAAAUAUUAUUAAUUAUGAUUAUAUAUAUAUAUAUAUAUAUAUAUAUAUUUGUUUUUGUUUAACUAUUAAUAAUUAUAAAAAUAGAGAGAUAACUAAAAUGACAUGACAUAAGUGAUAUAAAAAUAGAUAACAACUACAAUGAUACAAGUGAGAUUAAAAUUGGGAAUUCACUCAAGUUGGAGAAUUAUUUAUUCUAAUAAAAAUACUAAGAAAAUACGUUAAUUAUUGUAGCAAAUUCUUUUUUUCUUCCACUCUAUUUGGGCAUCUAUUAUAUUGAAAAAAGAAAUAAAAGAAACCUCAUACAUAUUUAAAAUAAUUUAUUUGAGAAGAUUCUAUCAUUAAAAAUUCCACAAAAGUUCCAAAAAAAAAAAAAAGAUGCCAGAAAUAGUAUGUAUAGAGAAAAGAGUACAAAAGACAAAUAUAUAUAUAUAUAUAUAUAUAUAUAUAUAUAUAUAUAUUAAUUUAAAUUUAAAGAGAAAAGGUAAGAGUAAUAAGUCAGCAUUGAAAAAAAGAAAGUUUACUUUAAUAAAAUUAUAAUCUCAUAAAUUAAAAACUUCAAAAGUAUCCAAUCAAAUCCUUUAAAAUUCUUUCCUUCUAAAAAUUCCCUCUAUUCCAAAUCCAUUAUUUCCUUUUUCAUUUAAAUCCCUUCAUUCCAGAGUGUAAAAAGAAAUAAUAACAAUCUUCCUAAUAAGUUAUUAAUAUAUAAAAUAAAAAAUAAAAAAUAACACUUUUUUAAUAAUUUAGGAUAUAUUAAUUUUUUUUCUUCAAGAAAGAUGUAAUUUUUUCUUUUAUCUAAAUAUAUUACAUUUAGAAAUAAUUGCUCUUCUAAUAUCGAAAAUUAAGAAAUAUUAGAAGAUCGAGUAAUUUUUUAAUAAAUUAUAAAAAGAUCCAAUAAAAAAAAAAAUUAUUCCUUUAUUCAGGCAUAUUAAAAAAAGACAAUAUUCUAAAAAUAGGUAAUAGAAAAAAUAUCACAAUUAAAAGGUUUAUUUCUUUUAGUUAUAUUAAAAAAAGAAACAAGGUUAUUUCAAAGAUAGAAAAAAAAAAAUACAUUAGAAAUAUUAUCAGUUUUUUAGUUUUAUUUUCAUAUUCAUCUUGGGGUUUUGUGAAUAAUUAUUAAACUGUUAAUUAUUUAUUUGGUGGUAUUAUAAUCUGAGAUGGUGAGAUUAGGGGAGUAAAGCACAGGUCACUUCUGAUGAAAUAUAUCUUUUCUCUUCCAACUAAGGCCCAAAUAAAUAAUGGGCUUGGGGCAAAGCCCUAAUACUCAACUGAAUGGACUGGGCUUGGUUAUCUAAGAAUUUGUUGCUAGUGCCAUCAUCUUUAUUUGUGGGUAUCUAAGAAUUUCAUUUAACCAUGAAGAUAUUUCUUUACAACAAGGGAUUGGAAGAGUUUUUUAAAAGCAAGCCUCUGGUAGUUUUUUCUAAAAUUAUAUACCUUCCAACUAGUUUUGUAUUGUGCUAUUUUUAAUUCCACUUUCAAUAUAAUGCUUCUUAUCAAUUUUUUUUUUCAAAAAAAAAAAAAAAAUUAUGGUAGGAAUCGUUUAACAUUGAAUACAUAUUCAACAAAACUUCAAUUAGGUGAAUAUGAAAAAUUAUAAAUUGAAUGGGGCCUAGAUAUUGUCGAACCCUUGUGAAAAUACAAUAGGAAGGUAAUACUAUUGUAAUCCUCUCCUUUUUAUAGGUCGGAUCAUACUCAUACAAACAUAAAUUAAAUUUGGAUUGGACUUUCCAAAAUAUAAUUUUUCAUCAUUANNNNNNNNNNNNNNNNNNNNNNNNNNNNNNNNNNNNNNNNNNNNNNNNNNNNNNNNNNNNNNNNNNNNNNNNNNNNNNNNNNNNNNNNNNNNNNNNNNNNUAAUCAUUAAUAAAGUGGAAAGAAAUUUUAUUUUUUUAAAAUAUCAAGAUGAGAAAGAGAAAAUUAAAGUCAUGGAAUUACUUUUAGAGCUAAUCCAAUUGAUGGAAAUUUGAGAAAACCUCCUAACAGGCAAAGUAAUCAACCCUAAACAUAAAAAUAAAGCAUUAAGGGCAUGAGGACUUAAACUUCACUCAGGCUACUAUCUAGAUUUUUGUCCCUUGUGAUGUGAUCACCAAGACAAAUUGCUUCCAAGUCUUCUACUCUAAGUCAUCCACUGGCCCACAUCUUUUAUGGAUAAGGCUAGACUUUUACACUUACAAGUCAUGUGCAUACACUUCUAUAUAUAUAUAUAUAUAUAUAUUUCACUUUUCCUUCAAAUAAUCUUUAACAAAACUUUUAUCAUAUUUAUUUUUUCAAGUAUUCUAUCAUGCCCAUUUAUAGUAUACAGUUGAGACAAUGAUUGAAUCACUAUUUUUAAUUAUUUCCUACGAAAUGUUACCUGAAACCCAUCUAAAGUAUUGAAAUUUGUUGGGUGUGGAUCAAUAGUGGGUUGACAUGUGUUUGAUUUUUUAAAUUUUGUAUUUAUUUUUACUAUCUUUAUUGGAUUAGAUAGCUCUUAAGGAUUUUGAAACAUAAGAUGUUGAUUGAAUGAUAAGAAAGUAAUUUUUUUCUUCCACGACUCUGUAUCCCAUAUUUAAUAAAUAUUUGUGUGGUCUAGAUCUAACAAAAUAAUUGAAGUUCCGUGUUAUAAAAGGAAUAAAUAAAUAAAAAGACAAGGACUUGUUGAUAUUCUCGAGGUCUUGAUGUUUGAUUGAUGCAGACUGGAAAGAGAGAAAUAGAAGAACCUUCAAGAUUGUCGAUAAAUUAAAGCUCUUGGUGAAAAAUAUAAUUCUUUACUCGUUGCCACCAUCAAAUAUGCUUAUGAUGUGAUUGGUUUUUAUUUUGUAAAAAAUUACGAUACAUGGCAUUGAAUAAUACUAUGCACAAAAUAUUUUUCUAGCACAAAUACGUAUUUUUGUAUGCAUAAGAUACUAUUUAAGUAUAAUAUAAUUAUUAUUAUUAUUUAAAUAAUUUGCCUAAAUAUAAUAUAUCAUUUGUAGAUAAAGAAUUGAAAUAUCAAGAAAAAGUGAUCCUAAUUUAGGGUUAUAUAAAUUACUCUUUCAUUAAAUGUCUUGAUAAAGAUUGAAUAUUGUUAGGAUUAGGACACCCAACAAAUAUUGGUUCAUACAAGCCCCAAAUCAAUGCCAUUAGUUGGCCUUUGAAAGAUCCAAACAACACUUAUAAUUUUUUAAUUAUAUUUUUAUUUAUCUAUAGGUCAAAUACUUGCUACACAAGUGAUUUCAAAUAUAAUAUUAGUAUGGAAUGGUUUAUAUUAGAAAGUUUACAAUAAAUUUAUUUAAGAAAAUAUAUCUAAAGAAAAAUUAUAAAUAUACAUGAUAAAUGUUAAGAUUCCUACAUCGAUACAAGUACAAAACAAACAAUUCAACAACAAAACUUUCUCCCUUUGAAAGUGAAGAUUAUUUUUACUUGGAAACAACAUUUAUAUACAAUGAAGUUUUUCAACCUUAAGUUUUUGUCUCUCAAUCUAAUCCACUAGACACGUUUGUGCUUUAAAAGUUAGAACUACUUUAUAGGGAAGACCAAGACUUCUAGCUAUUGAUAUAGAGUUUUCUUUAAAAGAUAAUACUAAGACUACAUAAUUCUUACUUGUAGAUUUGUACACAAAUCAAUCACAUGAAAAGGUAGAAUCCACAUUGUUAACCAAACUUUCAUAAACUUUAUAUGAAAAUAAUUAUUUUGAAAAUAAUUUUGGAUACAUAAAACAAAAUAAUUUAUAAGUGCUAAAAUAAUAAUUAUAUUCUUGCAUUAAUCCAUGAAGUGAGAUUGAGUCACCUUGUAAAUUGUAUUGUAAAGGUCUUCAACUCACUACUGUCAUAUAGUGGAUGGGUCAUUUGUGUGGUGUAUGUUGUUAAAAAUAAACAAUAAGAAAAAAAAAGAUAUAAGAAUGAGAGUGUGGCUUGAGACCUCAAUUUAUAAUAAGUUGUACAUCUCUUAGUCUUCCCAUUAAAGACUAUGUGGGAGUUAUACUCAUUAUUUACACUUAUUAUGUAUAAAUUAAUGGGUAAUGGUGGGUUAUGAACUUGAAUACAUCUAUAUAAUUGCAUAGGUUAUACAUUUUCAUUUUCCUCCAUUACUCAUAAACAUAAUGUACAAAUAAAUUUCAUAAUGAUGGGGUUACAAAAGUUGUAACACCACAUUCAUAUGAGUUAAAUUUUAUAACUUUCCAUUUGUAAUUUGAGUCUUCCAUACAUAAGACUUUUGGAUGCCCAAUCAAUUGAUUCACCUACCUAUCAAUUGAUACCCUUAAAUAAUAUUCAUAUAAAUAUAAUUAUAUAUGACCACACAUUAUAGGAAAAAAGCUAACACACACAACUUUGUGGAUGGAAAUCAAGAUUUUCGGCUCCUUUCUUUUUCUUUCUUUUUAGUGUCUAAGGUUUAAGUUUGUGUUUUAGAUACAUAACUUAAAACACAAAAUAAAUGACCAACCAAACUAUGAUUAUCUAGAUAGUAUUUUAAAAAAUAUAUAAAUUUAUAAUUUAAUCAAUUUGAUCUCAAUUAUGUAUAGGCACUUUGAAUCACAUUCAUCUUUGUCAUCCAGAUAAAAAAAAAAAAAAAAUUCAAAUCCAUAAUUAUGCAUCCUAAUCUCUUUUUAAACAUGAGGGAUUUAUAACCCCCACUACUUGAUGGACCCUUUCCUAAAGGUGAUUCAAUGCCACUUUGUUUGAUCUUCACAAUCUUUAUCACAUUCUUUGAUCUUUUGCAUUCUUUGAAUAAUUCAAUAUUAUUGAGGGGUCAUUCUCAUUAAAUGAGAAUAUUGAAAAAUCUAACCCUUUUGGAAGGGUAUGAAGAAGGUUUCAUAUCAGGGGACCCAUGUCUUACUUUUCCACCCAAAGCAUCGUAAUGCAUUCUAACUUUUUUUUGGCAGGAAAAGUAUUUGUAAUGUCAAUCUCUAACCGUGGCCAUAAAAGGGUGAGAUUUAGAGCCACACAAGUCAUAUCAUAUUCUGCAGAUUGUAGCCUCACAAGUCAAGUCCACAGGAUAUAUAUCAUCUAUAUAUUCUGCAGAUUCUGUCAUAUUUUUUUCUUUCGUGGACAGCCCAGUCACCAAUGAGUAUCACACUUUCAUAUCAUAUUUCUUUUUAAGAAUCCAAACAUUUUAAAACGGGUUAUGGGUGAUCCAGCAAAAAUUUACUAUGGUGGCAUUUUUUUUUUUUUUUUUUAAUUUGAAGUUUGAAAUCUAAAUAGAAAAUGAUGGAAAACUGUUAUUUAGACUUGAAAUUUCAUUAAAAAAAAUUAUUUGAACAAAAUAUCUAAAAAAAAAUUAACUUAAAAAGGAAAUGGUUUUGUCAUUAACUUUAAUAAUAUUUAAUUUUAUAUAACUAAUGGUAAUUGGAUCAUGGAUCCCACCAAUCAAAUAAUUUUUUGGAUUCAUUCAUUGUGCUAUUUGAUUAUAAAAAUCAAAUAUUUAAUUUUUUUUAUAUAUAUACUUUUUAUUGUAAUUUUGUAUUACUUUUACAAGGUUGAGUUUUUUUUUUUAGAAACUUUUCAAAAAAUACAAGAGAAAAAAAUAAAAAGAAAAAUAAAAUAUAAAAAAAGUAUAUAAAAGUAAAAAAAAAAAAGAUUUAAAACUAAUAAAUUAUUUUUAAUUGAUUUCUCAAACUCAUUUUAUGUAUUUUCUUUAUUUAUAUAAAAUUAAAUAAUUUAAAAAUAUACAAUUAUUUUAAUUAUUUUGAUUUGAUUUUUCUAUUAUAAAUCAAAUACAUAAAAUAAUUUUUCUUAGUUUCUAUAUAUCUUCCAUGUGUUUGUUCUUUUUUAGAAAUAUCCCAUAAAAUAUGGACCUUUUCUAAUCAACCAAACACCCAGGAGGAACAAAAAGGAAAAGAAUGAGAGAGAGAGAACUUAGAGAAAAAUAAAAUGAAAAAACCGCUAAAGAUAGUAUACAUUUUAUAUAAAGUUGGAAUAUAAAUCAAUGGAGCCACACCCCUUCAACAACCCUAAUCAUGUUGUAUCCAUAAUAAUAAUUCACAUUUUUUUAUUUUUUUUUCAUAUCAGUACACAUUUGACCUGAUCAUGAGCAAUAAUAAAUGUCCACAUUUUAAUAGAUUUGAAAUCUUCACCCAUUAAUUUAAGUUCUUCAUCUAAUGAAUAAUAAAUGUCCAUAUUUUUCUACGAGGCCACAUAGGACUUUGAAUAGUUUAAAGUGAACAUGUUACCUCAUUAAUUUGGAGACUUUACAUACUCUAUAAUACUAUAAAAUGUUGGAUAGAUCACUAACCUCAUUUAAAUAAUAAAAUCUUCUAAUUCUUUUUUUUUUUUUUGUUCUGAUUUUUACAUGAUUGUGCUUUAUUUUAUAAAUUAAUUAAUAAUUAUAUUUAUUUAUCUUGGCUUCCCGUACAUAUUUUACGAAAAUAUUAUCCAUGUAUGUAAUACACAAGAUGAAUGCACCCUUACAACUAAAUUCAUCUUUUAAAUUUGAAAAAAAAAAAACUAAAAAUUAAUAUUUUUUUAAUUAACAUUUAAGUAAUAAAAAUAACAUAACCAAUUUAAUUUUUGGUUUUUCAUUUUUAAAAUAUUACUCUUAUAUUUCAUAACUUUUCAUCCUUAAUGUGCUACAAAUCUUUUUACCACUAUAAGGGUUAUGACAUGAAAAUUAUGUGUAUGGAAUAAAUAAGAAAAAGAAAAUUAAAUUGUCUUAUUAUUUUGCAAUGUAGUUUCGAUUCCCAAACUUUCCUCAAAUCUCUUUGGUUAUAUUUGAUUAUUGGAAAAUGACAAUAAAAAAUAUAAAAAAAAAUAUUAUUCUCUAAUGUUUGGUUUUCAUAUUGAAGAUAUCGGAUAUAAUUAAAAUUAGUUAAAAUUUUUGGUAUUUUUAAAUUAUUUAUUUUUUAUGUUGAAAAGUUAAAAUAAAUAAAAUGAGUUUAAAGAACCUACAAAAUAAUUUAUUAAAUUAAAAACUAUCUUUAAUUUUUAUUCAUUUUUUUCUUCACAUUUUCUAUUAAACUUACGGAGAACCAAACACAUCCUUAGUAUUUUCCUUCUUUUUUUGUUAAUGUUGUUUUCCCUUGUCUUUUUCCAUAGUAUUUAAAAAUAAUAAAUUUGUUCCCCUUUCUUUUACAUGUAAAAAUAUUUACAUAAUCACAUAGAUUAAUCAUACAUGAUUAAAGGAUACUAACAAUAGGAAAUCACUAUAAAGAACAUACCUGUUUGAGCCAUGAUAAAAAAAACGUGAUUGAUUGUUGUAACCAAGUCUUCCUCUCUAUGAUCUUGAUAAUAGCUAUGGUGGCUCUAUGGGAAAACAAAUAAACCCUUUUUAUCUAGAUUAGAGAGGGGACUUAGCAUAACUCAAAUUGGAUUCUCAUUGGGCCCUCCCAUAAUGGGCUUCAAUGAGACCCAUAGCCUACACUUGCCACUCAACUGAGCUUCUACUCAAAAGAUGCAAAACCCAAUCCAAAAUGUGAUCACUAGUUAAUUGGGCACAUUAUAGAAUAUACUAUCCAUUAACCCGUUUUUGCAAAUACAAAUUAUUCAAUUAAUGUUAGCCCAUAUAAAAAAUUUCCAACAUUCUCCCACUUGGGCUACAUUAAUUGUUUUUGAGGAUUCAUUAAAUUCAUUUUGAAAAUAAGACUCUCGGGUUAAGUACAAAAAAGUUUAUUUUGUGUGGCCACACCUUUUUUUUUUUUGAAAGAAAUGAUAGUCUAUAAGUAGCAUCUUGUUAAACUUUUCUGGUCCAACAUAGUCUUAAUAUUAGACUAUAAUGGUCUAUAUGUUAAUCUCAACAAACAUAAUGCCCCUUAUAGUCACGAAUAUUUAUAACCAUAUCGACAUGGAUCGUAAACUCAGUAGUGUAGUAAGAAAUCAAUGCCAACAUGUGAUCAUCAUCUAUAUGCAUUGUUUCUUAUCAGUCCUCAUUACAAUUUACCAACAAAAUGAAAUUGUAAUUACAAUUUCUCAACAAAAUGAAAUUGUUGCAAUUUCUAAACAAUAUGAAAUUGCUUGACUUUAACAAGUCAUAUGUCACCAACAAUGCACCACAAAAUCUCAAAAUAGUGGUAUUUGUGACAUCCAAUAGUAUACAACUGUAAUUCUUAAGGUUCAAUAUCUCAAGAUACCAUGUUGUACGUAAUUCAAUUACGACAUGCUAUAAUAUAAUACUUAAUUAUGAUGAUCAUAAUAAAAAGAUUUUAAUUUUGCAAGUUGCAGAACAAUAAUGAUCAAUGUUUGCAUAAAACAAUAAUUGAAAUAAGGGAAAUCACAAAAGCUCCCACUAAACCAAAGAAUCAAAAGACUUAAUGACACCCAUAUUCACAACAUGUUCCUUGAACGUUAUGGGCUUUAAACCUUUGAUUAGAGGAUCAGCUAGCAUGGACUCAGUUCUUAUGUGCUCAAUCACAAUAUCUCCUUUCUUCACUAAGUCCUUGACUGUAAGGUACUUGAUUUCCAUAUGCUUAGAACCCGUACUAAUCUUAUUGUUCUUAGAGUAGAACACAACUGCAUUAUUGUCACAAUAAAUCACAAUAUCCAUCAUUCCUAAAACAAACUCUAUGUCUAAUCUCCAUCUCUUAUAGUUCGACCCACUUAGAAUUUCAAUUGUAGCAUUAUUGUUGUUCACAGCAAAGGAAACUGAUUGACAAAAUUUUGCAACUAGAUCAAUUAUGGGCAAUAGGUAAAAAAAACUUAAAUAAUCAUAAGCAAUACAAUACAAGAAUCAAUUGUACUAUCAUAAACUCCCCUUUGGGCAGAGUCCACAAUAAACAACUAUUCUCUAAGCAUGAAGAUCAACAAAUAAUUCAUUAAAAUUUAUUUCCUUUGGGCAAAUAAAUUUAUCAAAUUAUUUAUCUCAUUAAAUAUCCUCAUGUUGUUAAAUUAAUUUGCACAAUAACCCCCUUUGGGCAGGCGAUUGUACAAAUUAAUCUAAAAUUUUCCCCAUCAACAAAAUAGGAACUCAUAAACUUGCAAAUUUUGAUGGUUAAAUCACUUUGGUAAAAUAACCUCAACAAUUCACAGGCAACGUUCCAAAAUUGGGUAAAUUAAAAAAAAUUGCCCAACAACAAUAGUGCAUAUUUGCGAUAUAUAUGCAUAUGAUCAAUUAUAGUUGCAAGAAUUUGAACAACAAUUUUUAUUUAUUUAUUACACUUUAAAUUAAUUAUUAACUAGUUUAUGUGAUUUAGAACAAGUAGGAGAGUAUGCAUGAAAAAGUUUCAAUCUAGAGAGAGUGAGUACUACACUCCUAUUCCAUAUAUAUUAGCAUAAUUUCUGGUAAAUUCUCAACAGAAAAUUAUACCAAAAAAUAAUUUUAAGCUAAUUAAAUCACAUAAAUAAGUAAUAAUUAUUUAAUAAAUAUUUUUGACCCCCCAAAAAUAAAAUAAUAUAUCUAGAAAAAUAUAUUACAAAAAAACGAGCGCACAGGAAAAAACGGAGCUCAAAAUGGACACUGGAUGAGGUUAUACGCACCUCACACACUUGACCUGCGAGUGGGGAACGUGUGGCACAUGUGGCAUGUGUGGCAUGUGCUGGAGGUCAUCUUCAACCUCCAGCAUUGGGUCCAAAAUUCUGCAAUACGGGUCAAAUGAGCCGGUUGCAACCUGGAUUGCAAACAAUUGAAAAAAAUGUUUCUUUUGAUCGGGAUCUUGAGGGCUUUUAAACUUUAGGUUGUUUCUAACAAUUUUAGGACAUUUAAUCAUAAAAAAAAAACAACUUAAAGAUCUCCAUAAUUGAUUAACAAAAUUCGGUUUUUCUUACCUCCAUAGCUAAGAUUCAAAAACUCUAUUUUAACACCUAUUUCGGUCUCAUUUUACAUGUAUUUUUACAUUAACAAUAUAAGAAGUCUCUUUACAACAAUUAAUUAAACAAAAAAAAAAAAAAUUCUCAAUCUUGCUCAAUUUUUUUUUUUUUUUUAAAAAAAACGAAUUUUCUAGGGUUCAUACCCAUAUUUUCAAAUUUUCAAUUUUCACCAAAUUGAGCCAAAAAACCGAAAUUAAUGCUACAUAUCAACUAUAAUAUAUGUAAACAACAAAAUCUAAGAGUUUAAUUUGAGUAUAACACAAUAAUUUGAUCAAAUAAAAUUUUUCUUGAAUCUUUAAACAAGAAAAUUCCGAAAAUUUAAAAAUUUAGUUACUCCCAAUUUAAACAACGAAAUUGCACAUAUGAUAUAUCAAUUUGAAGUUUGUGACAAGAGGAACAAAAACCCUAAAGUUUCACAAUCAAAAGAAACUAAAAAAAAAACAUGCACAUUCAUGGAUCACAUAUUUGGCUUCGAAAAGAAAAUAAAAUAAGAAACUAAAAAUUUUAUUUUCGAUUUCCAAAUGUAGAUCCUAAAUCAUGUAAAUCAGACUCUGAUACCACAUGUAAAAUAUUUACAUAAUCACAUAGAUUAAUCAUACAUGAUUAAAGGAUACUAACAAUAGGAAAUCACUAUAAAGAACAUACCUGUUUGAGCAAUGAUAAAAAAAUGUGAUUGAUUGUUGUAGCCAAGUCUUCCUCUCUAUGAUCUUGAUAACAGCUAUGGUGGCUCUAUGGAAAAACAGAUAAACCCUUUUAUCUAGAUUAGAGAGGGGACUUAGCAUAACUCAAAUUGGAUUCUCAUUGGGUCCUCCCAUAAUGGGCUUCAAUGAGACCCAUAGCCUACACUUGCCACUCAACUGAGCUUCUACUCAAAAGAUGCAAAACCCAAUCCAAAAUGUGAUCACUAGUUAAUUGGGCUCAUUAUAGAAUAGACUAUCCAUUAACCCGUUUUUGCAAAUACAAAUUAUUCAAUUAAUGUUAGCCCAUAUAAAAAUUUUCCAACAUUACCAUGUAAAAUAUUUACAUAAUCACAUAGAUUAAUCAUACAUGAUUAAAGGAUACUAACAAUAGGAAAUCACUAUAAAGAAAAUACCUAUUUGAGUCAUGAUAAAAAAAACGUGAUUGAUUGUUGUAGCCAAGUCUUCCUCUCUAUGAUCUUGAUAAUAGCUAUGGUGGCUCAAUGGGAAAACAGAUAAACCCUUUUUAUCUAGAUUAGAGAGGGGACUUAGCAUAACUCAAAUUGGAUUCUCAUUGGGCCCUCCCAUAAUGGGCUUCAAUGAGACCCAUAGCCUACACUUGCCAUUCAACUGAGCUUCUACUCAAAAGAUGCAAAACCCAAUCUAAAAUGUGAUCACUAAUUAAUUGGGCUCAUUAUAGAAUAGACUAUCCAUUAACCCGUUUUUGCAAAUACAAAUUAUUCAAUUAAUGUUAGCCCAUAUAAAAAUUUUCCAACAUUCUCCCACUUGGGCUACAUUAAUUGUUUUUGAGGAUUCAUUAAAUUCAUUUUGAAAAUAAGACUCUCGGGUUAAAUAUAGAAAAGUUUAUUUUGUGUGGCCACACCUUUUUGUUUUUUUUGAAAGAAAUGAUAGUCUAUAAAUAGCAUCUUGUUAAACUUAUCCGGUCCAACAUGUUCUUAAUAUUGGACUAUAAUGGUCUAUAUGUUAAUCUCAACAAACAUAAUGCCCCUUAUAGUCACGAAUAUUUAUAACCAUAUCGACAUGGAUCGCAAACCCAGUAGUGUAGUAAGAAAUCAAUGCCAACAUGUGAUCAUCAUCUAUAUGCAUUGUUUCUUAUCAGUCCUCAUUACAAUUUACCAGCAAAAUGAAAUUGUAAUUGCAAUUUCUCAACAAAAUGAAAUUGCUGCAAUUUCUAAACAAUAUGAAAUUGCUUGACUUUAACAAGUCAUAUGUCACCAACAAUGCACCACAAAAUCUCAAAAUAGUGGUAUUUGUGACAUCCAAUAGUAUACAACUGUAAUUCUUAAGGUUCAAUAUCUCAAGAUACCAUAUUGUAUGUAAUUCAAUUACGACAUACUAUAAUAUAAUACAUAAUUAUGAUGAUCAUAAUAAAAAGAUUUUAAUUUUGCAAGUUGCAGAACAAUAAUGAUCAAUGUUUGCAUAAAACAAUAAUUGAAAUAAGGGAAAUCACAAAAGCUCCCACUAAACCAAAGAAUCAAAAGACUUAAUGACACCCAUAUUCACAACAUGUUCCUUGAACGUUAUGGGCUUUAAACCUUUGGUUAGAGGAUCAGCUAGCAUGGACUCAGUUCUUAUGUGCUCAAUCACAAUAUCUCCUUUCUUCACUAAGUCCUUGACUGUAAGGUACUUGAUUUCCAUAUGCUUAGAACCCGUACUAAUCUUAUUGUUCUUAGAGUAGAACACAACUGCAUUAUUGUCACAAUAAAUCACAAUAUCCAUCAUUCCUAAAACAAACUCUAUGUCUGAUCUCCAUCUCUUAUAGUUCGACCCACUUAGAAUUUCAAUUGUAGCAUUAUUGUUCACAACAAAGGAAACUGAUUGACAAAAUUUUUCAACUAGAUCAAUUAUGGGCAAUAGGUAAAAAAAACUUAAAUAAGCAUAAGCAAUACAAUACAAGAAUCAAUUGUACUAUCAUAAACUCCCCUUUGGGCAAAGUCCACAAUAAACAACUAUUCUUUAAGCAUGAAGAUCAACAAAUAAUUCAUUAAAAUUUAUUUCCUUUGGGCAAAUAAAUUUAUCAAAUUAUUUAUCUCAUUCAAUAUCCUCAUGUUGUUAAAUUAAUUUGCACAAUAACCCCCUUUGGGCAGGCGAUUGUACAAAUUAAUCUAAAAUUUUCCCCAUCAACAAAAUAGAAACUCAUAAACUUGCAAAUUUUGAUGGUUAAAUCACUUUGGUAAAAUAACCUCAACAAUUCACAUGCAACGUUCCAAAAUUGGGUAAAUUAAAAAAAAAAAUUGCCCAACAACAAUAGUGCAUAUUAGCGAUAUAUAUGCAUAUGAUCAAUUAUAGUUGCAAGAAUUUGAACAACAAUUAUUUAUUUAUUUAUUACACUUUAAAUUAAUUAUUUAACUAGUUUAUGUGAUUUAGACCAAGUAGGAGAGUAUGCAUGAAAAAGUUUCAAUCUAGAGAGAGUGAGUACUACACUCCUAUUCCAUAUAUAUUAACAUAAUUUCUGGUAAAUUCUCAAUAGAAAAUUAUACCAAAAAAAUAAUUUUAAGCUAAUCAAAUGACAUAAAUAAGUAAUAAUUAUUUAAUAAAUAUUUUAGACCCCCCAAAAAUAAAAUAAUAUAUCUAGAAAAAUAGAUUACAAAAAAACGAGCGCACAAGAAAAAACGGAGCUCAAAACGAACACCAGAUGAGGUUAUACGCACCUUACACACUUGACUCGCGAGUGGGGAACGUGUGACACAUGUGGCACGUGUGGCAUGUGUUGGAGGUCAUCUUCAACCUCCAGCAUUGGGUCCAAAAUUCUGAAAUACGGGUCAAAUGACCCGGUUGCAACUCGGAUUACAAACAAUUGAAAAAAAUGUUUUUUUUUUAUCGGGAUCUUGAGGGCUUUUAAACUUUAGGUUGUUUCUAACAAUUCUAGGACAUUUAAUCAUAAAAAAAAACAACUUAAAGAUCUCCAUAAUUGAUUAACAAAAUUUGGUUUUUCAUAUCUCCAUAGCCAAGAUUGAAAAACUCUAUUUUAACACCUAUUUCAGCCUCAUUUUACAUGUAUUUUUACAUUAACAAUAUAAGAAGUCUCUUUACAACAAUUAAUUAAAAAAAAAAAAAAUUCUCAAUCUUGCUCAAUUUUUUUUUUUAAAAAAUAAAAUAAAAUGAAUUUUCUAGGGUUCAUACCCAUAUUUUCAAAUUUUCAAUUUUCACCAAAUUGAGUCAAAAAACCGAAAUUGAUGCUACAUAUCAACUAUAAUAUAUGUAAACAACAAAAUCUAAGAGUUUAAUUUGAGUAAAACACAAUAAUUUGAUCAAAUAAAAUUUUUCUUGAAUCUUUAAACAAGAAAAUUCCGAAAAUUUAAAAAUUUAAUUACUCCCAAUUUAAACAACGAAAUUGCACAUAUGAUAUAUCAAUCUGAAGCUUGUGACAAGAGGAACAAAAACCCUAAAGUUUCACAAUCAAAAGAAACUAAAAAAAAUAGGCACAUUCAUGGAUCACAGAUUUGGCUUUGAAAAGAAAAUAAAACGAGAAACUAAAAAUUUUAUUUUUGAUUUCCAAAUGUAGAUCCUAAAUCAUGUAAAUCAGACUUUGAUACCACAUGUAAAAAUAUUUACAUAAUCACAUAGAUUACUCAUACAUGAUUAAAGAAUACUAACAAUAGGAAAUCACUAUAAAGAACAUACCUGUUUGAGCAAUGAUAAAAAAACGUGAUUGAUUGUUGUAGCCAAGUCUUCCUCUCUAUGAUCUUGAUAAUAGCUAUGGUGGCUCAAUGGGAAAACAGAUAAACCCUUUUUAUCUAGAUUAGAGAGGGGACUUAGCAUAACUCAAAUUGGAUUCUCAUUGGGCCCUCCCAUAAUGGGCUUCAAUGAGACUCAUAGCCUACACUGGCCACUCAACUGAGCUUCUACUCAAAAGAUGCAAAACCCAAUCUAAAAUGUGAUCACUAAUUAAUUGGGCUCAUUAUAGAAUAGACUAUCCAUUAACCCGUUUUUGCAAAUACAAAUUAUUCAAUUAAUGUUAGCCCAUAUAAAAAUUUAUGUUUGGUUUUUGGAAAAUUUGAGGGAAAAAAAAUAAAGAGAAAAAAUAAAAUAAAAGAAAAAAUAAAUAAAAAUAAAUAAAUUUAAAAUUAAUAAAUUAUUUUUAUAUGUUUCUUCAAAUUUAUUUCACUUAAUUUCUUUCAAAAUAAUUUUAAAAUGCAUAAGUUUUUAAUUAUAUAUAUAUAUAUUUUUUAAAUUUAUAGUGAAACCAAAGAGAAAACCUUUAUUUAUUUAUUUUCCCUAAGAACCAAACCUAACCUUUGCAUUUUUCCAAAUUUCGGAUCCAAAAGUAACUGAAUGUUACGAAAAAAAAAAAGGAGAAUUGUGUUUUGGGCCCAGAUGGGCCCAAAAAUUAAUAUUUGGUCCAUAUAACUUCCAUAAUUGAUGGAAAUGAUAUAAAAUGUUAAAAGACCAAUAUAUUUUUCAAAUUUCUAUAUAUUAUCUUUUAAGGAUAUAAAAUAGUGAUGGACUAAAAUACCCAAUGACUUUUCACAUAAGCUUUUUUUGUCUUUAUUGUGUCACUAUUCAUGCAACCAUAAUAAUUCUAUUUUAACAAUUUGGAUUUUUCAUUGUUUUUAAUUUUUUUUAUAAAUAAUUGAAAAUCAGCAUUAUUUUCUAUUUUAAAUUAUAAAUAAAGAAAAAUUAUGUUUAAAAACUAUUUUAAAAAAUACUUUCUAAAAAAAUGGUAAUACGAUUUAUAUUUUUUAUAUUUUCUUUUUGAAAAAACAUUUAAUUAAAAAAUGAAAACUAUUUUUAAAAAUAAAAAUUGAAAACCUUGUUUAACACUAUUUUUUAUAUGAAAAUAAUAAAAAGAAUUAAAUUUCAUUAAUUGAUUAUCCAAUUUUUUUUCCAUUAGUUAUUUUAAUAAUAAUAAAAAAUAUAGUAUGUUUACAAUUAAACAAAGAAAUUGAUCAAUUAUGGGUUUUUUGUGGAACUAUCUUUUACAUGAAAAAUAAUUAAAUAAUUAAAUUAUAUAUAUUUAUUACUCUUUUUAACUUUAUUUUCUUUAUUUAUUUUUUGUCUAAUAGAAAAUUUUAAUAUAUCCAUAAUUAACAAAGUAAUAAAUCAAUUUUGCACAUUUUAAUCUAUUAAAAUAAAUUACUUUCUAAUUUAAAUAAAUAAAAUGAAAUAAGUAAAUAAAUUUGAGGUUAUUUCUAUUUUUUAACAUAUCUUAUAUCAAUAUUUUUUAUGGUUAAAUAAAUUUUUUAUUUUUUAUUUCUUUAAUUCCAAAAAUAAAAUGAAAUAAAUAAAUAAAUUUGGUAUUUUCCAACUGAUCUUAUAUUCAUAUUUCUUAUGGUUAAAUAAAAUUUUUUAUUCUUUUUUCUUUAUUUCCAAAAAUAAAAGGAAAUAAAUAAAUAAACUUGGCUUAAAUAAUAGUUUUUAAGUAAUUUCUUUGUCUUAUUUUUAAUUACAUUUUGCAUUGAAAGUAAAAUAAAAUAACGUUUUAUUUGAGUCACUGUACAAGAUAUUUAUAUUAAGUGUACAUGACAAAUAUACUAACUGUACAAGGAUGUACAAGACUAUUAUUUGUGAAGGAUUUUAAGUGAUACUGAAAAAGUUGUUUGUUUAUUUCCCCUAACCGAGGAUAAAUGACAUUCUUUACACACAUUGGUUAAGCAUACAUUCAUCUCAUGCACUUUAUCUAACUUGUAUAUAGUCAUUUGAAUAGGUACCUCACUUAUGAUGAUUGUAAAAUAAAAUUAUACAACAAUUUUUCUUCUUUUUUAAAAUCAAACCAAUGCAACACAUGAUUAACCGAGCUAUUAUUAGAUAUUCAUGAGAUGAUGUAUGAAAUUUGAGUUAUUGUAUAAGGGUAUUACACUAACUGUACAAGAGAAAUUUACUAAUUGUAUAAGGGUGUACAAGACUACUUUUUGUUAAGGAUUUCAAGUGAUUUUGAAAAACUUUCCCAUUUUUUUCCACUCAAAGAUUUUUUCCCCACUCAAAUUCUCUCACUCAAGAAUUGUUUCGAAUUUUAUUUUUAAAUUUCAUCAUCAAAUUUUUGUAAUUGCAUAUUUUGUUUUUGUAGUUUUAGCAAUGUUUUUUCUUUCCACUAUUUUUUUAAAAAAUUUUUAUCCAAAUGAAUCUAUAUUUAAAAUUAUAAUCAUAUUUAUCAAUUUUUUUUUACUAAGAUUAUCUUUAAUUCUUCUAAUAUAUUUAUACUCAUUUAUUUAAAAAAUGAAAAACCAAUUUUUUUUUGUAAACAUAUUCUAUUACGGAAGUAAAAAAUUAGAUAAGUUUGAAAGUCAAUAAAAAAAAAAUUAAAUACCACUUUUAAUAAUUUUUAGAUAAAAUUUUAUAUAAUAUAUUUUAUUUGAAAUUUAAUUUCUAAAGUUUUACUAAAAAAUUGUAUUGACAAUUUUCUUGUUGUGAAUUAAAAUACUUUGCAUUAGUCUAUCUAAAUAAGAAAAAUUAUUAAUAUAAUAUUAGAACUUCAUAUCUUAAUUAUUUUUUUUCAAUAAAUUUAUCUUUUUAAAAAUUUUAAAAUAAAAAUAUUAAAAAUUAAAAAGGUAAAAGGAUAUAUCUAUAUAUAUAUAAUAAAUUGAAGUAAUAGUCAAGUUUAAAAUUUUUUAAAAUAUGGUUAAUGUAGAAAAUAUAAAAAAUAAUUAAAAAUAAGAGAAAAAUAUAAAUGAAAAGGUAAUAUAAAUUUAAAAUAAAAAAAUGAAAAAUUAAACUAAAAGAUAAAUAUAAAAAAAGAUAAAAAAUAUUUGGAUGAAAAAUCCCAAAAUUUUUAUCAUUGCUAAUAAGAGCAAAAAGAUUCAAUAUCUUUAAAAAUGAAAAACAAAAAAACAUUAUUACUUUUUAUUUGAUAUAAAAUAGAAAUAUAGAUUAGAAGAAAAAGAAAAAAAAAGUUAGAAAUGAGUAAUAUUUAAUAGGGAAUAGAAAAAGGAAAAAAAACACAAAAAAAUUAAAAUUCACACUCACUUGUGCUAUGUAAGGAUUAAGGGUAUUUUAGAGAUUAACUAAGGACAAUAUCCUUCAUCUUAAUUUUCAUAUUUUAUUUGAGUCUUAGGCUUAAAUAUGUAUGAUAUAUGUAUCAAAUGUUAAUUUUUGAGUUUAAUUGGAUAACACGAUUCUUCAAAAAAAAAUAAAAAUAAAAUGAAUGAAGUACAGGAGCAUAAAUGGUACAUCAAUUUUAUAUUGACUACCUUCUGAACCUUUAAUUGCAGCGUGUUGACUUGUCCACCGAAUCCAUAAUAUCAGCCAGUACCCAUGUGACUUGGCCCAUCCCAUCCCAUAUCUCUUACUUUGUUCCCUAUUCUCUCACAAUUCCCUCAGCUUCUCAUCUUGUACGUGCUGUAUUUUCUUGGCUUUCUGCAACUUUGAGUUGUUCCAAAAUGGCUUACCAAAUUCCAUUCGGUGUUGUGGAGCACAUUUUGACCAACUUGGGGUCCUCGGCGUUUCAAGAAAUUGGAUCCAUGUAUGGUGUUCCAAAGGAGAUAACCAAGCUCAAUGGGAAACUGGGCACCAUCAAGGCUGUGCUUUUGGAUGCUCAGGAGAAGCAGCAGCAGCAGAGCAAUCGUGCAGUCAAAGAUUGGGUCCGGAGGCUCAGGGGUGUUGUUUAUGACGCAGAUGACUUGCUGGAUGACUAUGCAACCCAUUAUCUUCAGCGAGGAGGAUUGGCAAGACAGGUCAGUGACUUCUUCUCAUCUGAAAAUCAAGUUGCUUUUCGUUUUAAGAUGAGUCAUAGACUCGAGGAUAUCAAAGAAAGGCUAGAUGAUGUUGCAAACGACAUCCCCAUGUUAAAUCUCAUUCCACGGGACAUAGUACUACACACAGGGGAAGAGAAUAGUUGGAGAGAAACCCACUCAUUCUCGUUGCCAUCUGAAAUUGUGGGAAGAGAAGAAAACAAAGAGGAGAUAAUAAGGAAGCUGUCAUCUAACAAUGAAGAAAUUCUUUCCGUUGUUGCCAUUGUUGGCUUUGGGGGAUUGGGUAAGACCACCCUCACUCAAUUGGUAUACAAUGAUGAAAGAGUAAAACAUUUCGAGCAUAAGACAUGGGUUUGCAUUUCUGAUGAUUCUGGUGAUGGUCUUGACGUCAAACUGUGGGUCAAAAAGAUUUUAAAAUCUAUGGGAGUUCAGGGUGUGGAGAGUAUGACCUUGGAUGGUUUGAAAGACAAGCUUCACGAAAAAAUAAGUCAAAAGAAGUACUUGUUAGUACUUGAUGAUGUUUGGAACGAAAAUCCUAGAAAAUGGUAUGAAGUGAAAAAAUUGUUGAUGGUUGGUGCUAAAGGUAGUAAAAUUAUAGUAACCACCCGAAAACUUAAUGUUGCAUCCAUUAUGGAAGAUAAGUCUCCCGUUAGUUUGAAAGGUCUAGGAGAAAAGGAGUCUUGGGAUUUAUUUUCAAAAUUUGCAUUUAGAGAACAGGAGAUUUUGAAGCCAGAAAUUGUAGAAAUUGGAGAAGAAAUUGCAAAAAUGUGCAAGGGAGUUCCUCUCGUUAUCAAGUCUUUAGCAAUGAUAUUGCAGUCUAAAAGAGAACUGGGGCAGUGGUUGUCUAUUAGAAACAAUAAAAAUUUGCUGUCACUUGGAGAUGAAAAUGAGAAUGUUCUAGGGGUGCUGAAAUUAAGUUAUGAUAAUUUGUCAACUCAUUUGAGACAAUGUUUUACAUAUUGUGCUUUAUUUCCAAAAGACUAUGAGAUUGAGAAAAAGUUGGUGGUACAACUAUGGAUAGCACAAGGUUAUAUUCAAUCUUCAAAUGAUAAUAAUGAGCAAUUAGAGGAUAUAGGGGAUCAAUAUUUUGAGGAAUUAUUGUCAAGGUCAUUGUUGGAGAAGGCGGGAAGCAAUCAUCUUACUAAUACAUUAAGGUAUAAAAUGCAUGACCUUAUACAUGAUCUUGCACAAUCAAUUAUAGGAUCUGAGGUCCUCAUUUUAAGAAAUGAUGUAAAAAACAUUUCAAAAGAAGUUCGUCAUGUAUCAUCGUUUGAAAAGGUGAAUCCUAUAAUAGAGGCUCUAAAGGAAAAACCUAUAAGGACCUUUUUAUACCAAUAUAGAUAUAAUUUUGAAUAUGAUAGUAAAGUUGUGAAUUCAUUUAUUUCAAGUUUUAUGUGUUUACGUGUGUUGAGCUUAAAUGGCUUCCUAUCAAAGAAGGUGCCAAACUGUUUAGGUAAAUUGAGUCAUUUAAGGUAUCUUGAUCUUUCCUACAAUACUUUUGAGGUACUUCCGAAUGCUAUUACAAGGUUAAAGAAUUUGCAAACACUGAAACUCAAAGUGUGUCCGAAUUUGAAAAAACUUCCAAAAAAUAUAAGGCAACUUAUCAAUCUUAGACACUUGGAGAAUGAGAGAUGGAGCGACUUGACUCAUAUGCCACGUGGAAUAGGAAAGUUGACUUUACUUCAAAGUCUACCAUUGUUUGUUGUUGGGAAUGAGACAGGGAGGUUAAGGAAUCACAAAAUUGGUAGCUUGAUUGAGUUGGAAAGCCUGAACCAUCUAAGAGGAGGGUUAUGCAUAAGUAAUCUUCAAAACGUGAGGGAUGUUGAACUGGUAUCCAGGGGAGAAAUUUUGAAAGGAAAACAAUAUCUUCAGUCCUUGAGAUUGGAAUGGAAUCGGUCGGGCCAAGAUGGGGGGGAUGAGGGUGAUAAGUCAGUGAUGGAAGGCCUUCAACCACACCCACAAUUAAAGGAUAUCUUUAUAGAAGGUUAUGGAGGUACGGAGUUUCCAAGUUGGAUGAUGAAUGAUAGGUUGGGUUCCCUGCUUCCCGACUUAAUUAAAAUUGAAAUUUCGGGAUGUUCAAGAUGCAAAAUUCUGCCACCCUUUUCUCAACUCCCUUCUCUCAAGUCUUUGAAGCUGGAUGAUAUGAAAGAAGUGGUGGAGAUAAAGGAGGGUUCAUUGGCAACGCCACUUUUCCCAUCUCUUGAAUCGCUCGAACUCUCUCACAUGCCAAAGUUGAAGGAAUUGUGGAGGAUGGACUUACUAGCAGAGGAAGGUCCUUCAUUUGCUCAUCUUUCAAAGUUGCAUAUUCAUAAAUGCUCUGGUUUGGCAUCACUGCAUUCUUCUCCUUCUCUUUCUCAAUUAGAGAUCAGAAAUUGCCAUAACUUGGCAUCCUUGGAACUGCCGCCGUCCCAUUGUCUUUCUAAAUUAAAGAUCGUAAAAUGCCCUAACUUGGCAUCCUUCAAUGUGGCUUCAUUACCUCGUCUUGAGGAAUUAAGCCUGCGUGGAGUCAGAGCAGAGGUACUGAGGCAGUUAAUGUUUGUCUCUGCUUCUUCUUCAUUGAAGUCUUUGCAUAUACGGAAGAUUGAUGGUAUGAUAUCUAUCCCAGAGGAGCCGCUUCAAUGUGUUUCCACUCUCGAAACUCUCUACAUUGUUGAGUGCUCUGGUUUGGCAACAUUACUACACUGGAUGGGCAGCCUUUCCUCGCUUACGAAACUUAUUAUUUAUUACUGCUCUGAAUUGACAUCACUGCCAGAAGAGAUCUAUUCCCUUAAAAAACUGCAGACAUUUUAUUUCUGUGAUUAUCCACACCUAGAGGAAAGAUACAAGAAGGAAACAGGCGAAGACCGGGCCAAGAUUGCUCAUAUCCCACAUGUUCGUUUCAACAGUGAUUCCUAUAUGGAAUUGGAGGUAGGUCCGAAAUCCCUAACCUUUCUUCCCAUUUUUAUUAAUUUAGAAUCAGAAUGCUAUAUUUUCAUUUUGUCUCUGGUAGUUCUUUUAUGUUGGCACCUCAUGUGUUUGUUUAAAUGCUCACAUCAAUAACUUUUCGAAAUUUUUUUCCAGCUUGACUACAUUUUCUGAUGCUGUGCACUAAACUAAUCAUUUUACUUGGAGUUCUACGUUCUAAGAGUUUGAGGAAAUACUGAGGUCUGGUAUGAUAACUCUCAAUCUUAAACGUUGUUUUGUGUUUGGAAUAUUACUACACUUGAUAGAUACCCUCACCUCACUUACAGAGCUUGGAAUUCAUGGCUGCCCUGAAUUGACAUCACUGCCAGAAGAUAUGUUCCCUCAAAAACCUGCUGACACUUGACAAUCUGCAUCUGUUCACACUUAAGAGGAAAGAUGCCGAAAGGAAAGGUGAAGACUAACCCAAGCACAAAUUGAUAUCAUACAUCCAUGAAGAUUGAACUGAUAUAGAAUGCCUUUCAGGUCUGAAAUCCCUAACUUUUCUUCUCAUUUUCUGUUACUUCAUUUGUAUUAUCUUACAUUUAAAAUGCUCUGUUUUCAUUUGUUUUGGUGGUUCUUUGUAUUUGCACCUUGUUUGAUUAAAUGCUUACUUCAGUAAAUUAGAAUUUUACUUGAGUCUUUUACAUCCUAAGAGUUUGAGGAAAUACCGAGCUCUAAUAUAAAUAGUAUUGGUCACAAAGUCCACCUUUCCUAAGAAGCUUACCAUUGGCCUAAUGCCCAAAGGAAACAACUUUGGAUUGGCUUGAAGAUUUCACAUGGUCUAAACAUUUGUAUUUACUAGAUGCCUGAUACAAAAAGUAGUUUCAAUUUAGCUCUUUGAUAUAAAGAUUAAAUAAUUGGAAAAUGUAUAAAUUUUUAUAUUUUACUUCAAAUUCAUUUCACUUAUUUUAACUCUUUGAUAUAAAGAUUAAAUAAUGGGAAAAUGUAUAAAUUUCUAAUUAAUCUUAAUAAUAUUUUAUUUUCUUUGAUAUUUUUCAUAGAACAACCAAACAUGAGAAAAUAAUUUUCCCUAUCAUUUUUUUCUUAGUACUUUUUGGGAACCAAACAUAAACUAGAUGUUUUACUUUAGUAGCUUCAUCAAAUUAAAUAGACAACCUCACACCUCUUAUUGAGCUAAGGUGUUAUUUGAGUUAAUGUUUUGUCUUUACUUAUUCAUUGAAGCCUUUGUCUAUUGGAUGCACAGGUGAUAUGAUCCAAACUCAAAUUGAACACCGCUCUUGUUUUGUAACAUUACUACAUUGGAAAGGCAACUUCAGCUCACUUAUAGACCUUUCUAUUGGUGAUUGCACUAAAUUGACGUCACUUUGGAAAAGAUGUGUUCUAGAUGGAAAAUCUUUCAUUAUAUGCACCUACUUGCAAGAUACCAAAGGGAAAUAGGUGAAUACUUGCCCAAGAAUAUAGAGGGCCAUACUUGGUUAAGGUUUCGUCAAUACGGAGAACCAUGUCAGGUAUGAAAUCCUCCUUUCUCAUUUUCUGAUGACUUCAUUUUUAUUCAAUAACCAUUUGAUAUUAUUUCUGUUGAUUUUAUUUUGAUAUUAGAUUUUCUUGCUUGCUCAAUAAUUUCAUUGAAGUUCUUUGGAUAUCACAUUUUCUUUGAUGUUUUUCUUUUCUUUUUAGAAUAAUUCAAAAUAUCAUUUUUACCUGUUCACAAAAUUUGAUCACAGUUGAGUGAUUAAAAUUCAAGUUUAUUAUUAUUAUUAUUAUUAUUAUUAUUAUUAUUAUUAUUAUUAUUAUUAUUGUUAUUAGCUAUUGGACAUAUUCGUUUUCUAAUACAGACAUAAGACUGACAGGUAAUGUGCAUAGAAUUUGUAGAAGAGAAGAAAGAUUUGAUCCAAGAUAUUCCUAAAGACCAAAAACUUUCAAAGUCGUCUAAGAUCCCAUAGGUUGAAUUUGGAUUCAUCCAAUUUACAAUCCACUAAUUCUACUUAUGUCAUCUUUGUUAUGUUACAAUUUGCUUUUACUUGUUAUGCAGCCUACCUUAAUAAUUUGGGGAGACCAAGAUACGACGUUCCUAAUAGAACCAGCUUACAAAUUGAAAAGGUAAACUUGUAUCACUUGCCUACAUGCCUACAACAAUACAAACACUAGCUUAUGUCUUUCUCAAUAUUGAGAUUGUUACUGCAUGCAAGCAUUUUGGGUGAGGAGGCCCAACUUGUGAUCAUCAAUAACAUAGAGCAUACUUUUAUUAUAGAGAAGCCCAAGGAAAUAUUUAAGCACUUGAAAUCCUUUCUCAUUGAUUUGCUUCCACCUCCUAGGCAACACUUGGAACCACUCACACCAUGACAAGGUGAAAAGAAACUAAUGCAACAUUCUCAAUAUAUCAAAGGAAAGGUCAAAUUUUAGAUUUUUGUGUUUUUCCUAUCACUGUUUCUAUACUAUUACUAGUGCACCUUAUUUGUCAACAUGAUUAAAAUAGAAUUCCCUAGGAUAACUAGUGUCUCAGGUGAUCUUAAGGUUCAUAAAUUUUUGGUUUCCACAAGAUAGGUGCCAACUAAUUUUAUUUUUUUCUACAUCCAUGCAAUAUUCUAGUCAUCUAUUAACAAGGGAUAAAAAUUCUUGUAGAGAAUAGAAUAAAGAACUAGAUUAAAUGAAAAUAGGACAUUAGUAUUCUAUUUACUAGUAAGGGUAAAAAAUUCUUGAUGGCCAUCAAGCACAUUGUUCCUAAAAUAAUAGCAUCCAUGUCGUUGAGCAAAAGUUUAUUGUAAUUGCAUUUAACAUAUAAAGCAAAACUGAUUUUUUUAUUUUAUUUUAUAUUUACACCUUAUGCAUUUGAUAAAAUUCUUAAACAAGUAAGUUUGAAAAUUUUCUCUUCAAAUCAUUUGAUAAUUGAAGGCCAAACUAAUCAAAUUGAUUUAAAUUUUACAUUCAAAAGUUGAAUUUAUUAUUAUUAUUAUUAUUAUUAUUUUUUUUUUUUUUGCAAAAUUUACUUCACUUUAGAAGUUUGUGAUUAUUCUCUAGUCCAUCUUAAAAUGAGUGCCUCCAUUAUUCCAUUCCUCUAUCACUACAAAAAGUUUAGAUUGACCUAAAAUUUUCUCAUGACCUAGAAACUCAUAUCUACUAGAUGGUUAAAGCAAAAAAAGGCUUUUGCCUUAUGUUUUAAGUAAUCUCCCUAUUAUCUAUUUGUUGAGAGCAUCAUACAAGAUGUAAUUAUAUUUCUUAAUUUUUUUUUAUGUAAUAAGAACUAGAUUGAGAAAGAUGCAACUUGUAGAGAAAAAAAUUUCUUUACUACUUCCCUUGUAUUUGCUUUGUGUGUAUCAACUGUGCUUUUCAUUAUUUUAAAAAAUAUCACUAACAAAAAACUUAUUAUUGUUAUAUAUCAUAAUUUAGCAAUUUUUUUAUUAUUUAGAAAUCAUGCUUGUCAUUGUGUUAAUUAGUAGGUAGCCUAAUAACUAUAUUGUUCAAGUUAUUUUGUGUUGGCAUUCUUCAUGUUUCAAAAGCUUGUUAGACUAGCAAUUUUAUUGCAAAUAUAAUGUUCUCAAAUCAAUACAGAAAUGGAUGAUUGUGGGGAUUAGGCAUUGACUUCCUUGAGAAGUUCAAUUGAGGGUUUUUUAAACUAGGUCUCUACAUCAACAAAUGCUACAUUUUAUCACUCGAGACCUUAGAAUAAAUAUUGCAGAAAGCUUCAUUUGCUACAUAGUAAGGAUGAGGUUGGCAUAUAAAUCCUAAGGACUUAAAAGCUUGAGUUGUUGUCUCUUCCAAGGGGCCUUUAGAUUUAUUAAUGAGUUCCAAAUCAUUGUCUACCUUGAAUUUGAAUCACUGCUAGAAGGAUGUGCCGCUAAGCAUUCUCAUGUUCUUGAUAUGGAGUAGAAAUGGACUUCUAAUUCAUGAAGAACUGAUGGGCUCUUUGAUUAUGCCAUCUAUAAUGUACUUCAGGUUCAUGCUUCAACCUCUCUUCUUGCUUUUGAUAACUUCAUUUUAGUUUUACACUGCUUUCCUUCCCUCUUAUCUGUGUUUAUGUAUGUUUGUGCAUAUAAUGUGAACCUUUUCCACUGUUACUUUAAAGUUUUUUCAUUCUUGGGCUUGGGAAAUUACUAAAUUUGAUUUUAAUAUUUUCCUGUAGAUUUCACCUUGCUUAAAAAGCUUUUGAUUAUUCAUAUUUGCAAGAUGGCUAAGACAUCUGAUUGUGCUCAGAACUUCUGGUUUCUAUUAAAUAUAGGUAUGUUGUUUGCAAUUCUAACCCACUUACUCCUCUUGAAGACUACAUAAAUUGCUAGUGUUUUUACUUUAAUGGUUAUAAACAAUGUGUGCCCUUGUUACUUCUUGCUUGCAUUCUAUAUGUUGAAGAGCUUUAUUAGGCUAAUUAUUUUAUUGAAGAUAUAAUUGUUGUCAAGUCAAAGCAAAGCCGAAUGGUGAUGUGGUUUCAACUUCUUAGAAGUAACCAAAAAGUAAGGAACUCUCUCUAUGGUAGUACUUUGAUGUCACAUUGGGCUUUCAGAUUGCUGCCUUGAAUUGACAUAAAUAACAUAGCAUCUUUCCCAAUUGAGUCGUUUCAACAUGUUACUAUGCUUCAAACUCUCUCAAUUAUGUCUUGUUUAGGUUUGGCAACAUUAGAACACUGGAUAGGCAGCCUCAACUUACUCACACAACAUAAAAUUCAUCUUUGUUGUUAACUGACAUCACUGCCACAAGAUGAGUUCACUCAGUAUUUUACAGACAGCUAUAGUUUGGGACAAUUCUGGUUUGGCAACAUUAUUAGACUUGAUAGGUAACCUAUCUUCACUUACAAACACCUUCAAAUUUAUAGUUGUCCUAAACUAGCAUCACUACUAAAAGACAUGUGUGUCCUCAACACCCUAUAGGCACUCACAAUUGGAGAUUGUUAUGGUUUGGAAACAUUCAACAGACUUGAUAGGUAACCUUACACCACUUAUAGAGCUUCAAAUUCAUGGCUACCCUGAAUUGACAUCACUUUCAGACUAGAUGUUCACCCAAACCUCAAUUGACACUCACAAUUCAAGGCUUCUCUAUAUUGGCAACAUUACCAGACUUGAUAGGCAUCAUCACUUCACUUACAUACCCUGGAAUUAAUAGCUACCUCAAAUUCACAUCAUUGUCAGAAGAGAUUGGUUCACUCAUAUCCCAACAGAGAUUCAUGAUCUUUUAUUGUCAAUGUCUAUUAGAAAGACUUCGAAGGGAAAUAGGUGAAGAUUGGGCCAUUAAUCUUCAAUCCUAGAUAUUGAUAUUUUGGUGAAGAUUGGAUUAAUAUAGAGUUCGUUCAAGUUUGAAAUCCUAACCUUCUCAUUUGUUAUGGUUUUGUUUUUAUCAAUAUACCCUGUUUACAUUCUAUUUGGUAAUUAUGGUAUGUAUUAGCAUAUAGAUAAAAAAGGACUUAGAUGGUUAAUUUGAAAAGUUUGCAUCUUCAAUUAAUUAGUAAUUAAAGACCAAACUGAUCAUAUUACUUUAAGUCUUGCAUUAUAAGAGUUCGGGAAAAAUGUUAGGGUCGAUUGAACUAUUAUUUUGUAACAAAUUUCACCUUGCUCAGGAAUCUCAUGAUUAUCCCUUGGCACAAACAUUUCUCGGUGUCUGAGAAAUUCAUAUCUACUACAUGGCUCAAGAAUCUAGUAGCAUUCAAAAUUUCUGCUCUCUUUCAAAUUAGGUGUGUUGCUUGCAAUUCCGGUCCUUUUCCUAUUUCUAAAUGCUAUAUUUUUAUUUUACUAUCAAUGUGUUAAGAGCAUUAUGUUCUGUUUUCUAUAAUAUUGUUUUCUUACUUAUCAUAUAUAUUAAUUAUUUCACUACAAAUGUAUUUGUUGCCAAGUUAAAGCAAAAAUGGAAAAUGACGAUUUUUCAUAGAUCAAUGUCUUUCUCAAUUGCUGCCACACCUGACUUCUCUCUAAGUUGUUGAAAAUUUAGAAGUGUGGUAGCAUAAUGUCUCUGGCUCAAGUGCUUUAGCGCCUCAUUGUCCUUGAAGCUUUAGAAGUUGUCAAUACAAUUGGUGUUUCAACAUGUAACCAGUUUGGAAAUUCUAAGAAGUGUAAGUACUAUGGUUUUGCAACUUUGUUAGAUUGGAUAGGCAACUUCAAAUUAUUGAAUGCCCUGAAUUGAAAUCACUACUAGAAGGGACCCACAAGCACUUUAUAGAAACUCAUAAUCUACUAGUCGUACCACUUAUUAAGAAUGCCAAAAGGAAAAAGUGAAUAUUGGCCUAAGCAUGGUUGAUUAAUAAACUACUCAUGGUCUCCUUAAUUCAAGUGUGUCAUUUAUUAUAUGUUUCAUGUUAGUAAUCCUACAUUUCUCUUGUUUUUGUUGGCUUUAUUUUUUUGAAUUAUUUUACAAUCAAUAUUUUAUCGAUGUUCUUCCUUUUGUACAAUUCUAUUUCUUGAUUCUCAAAUGAAUUAAGACAUAUCAAGAAAAAAAUCACAUUGUUUGCUUUCCAUAUACUAUAUGCUUAUAUGUACAUGUGUUAAAAACUUUUGAUUUUUAAUUGAUUACUUUCUAUUUAAUUUGUUAAAAAUUGUUAGUCUAUUUGGAGAUGAUUUUUUUUUUCAUAUGUAAUAGGAUACCAACAAAUUGAGUGAGGAGCACAUCUUACUAAAUCGUUUAUCAAUUUAUUCACCUUCCUAAUCUCAAGCUUCUUCAUGUUUGAAUUAAAACACCUUGGAGUACACAAACAAAAAUGAUGGUAAUAAGUCUUUCUCAUCAUCUUUAUUUUCAUUAGAAGGCAAUUUGUAUCAUCCUCAUUCCCAAUCCUAAAAAUAGGUUUAGAAAUUAGACAUGUUUUCUUAAAUGAUCUUCUUGGUCCAUGCAUGCUUUCUAUAUAUUUAAAAAAAUUUUAAACUAAGUACUUAAUUGUAGAUAUGAUAGUUUUCAAGUUAAUGCACAAAUGGUGAUGGUGAGGAUGCUAAAUAUAGUCCAUGCUCAGCCUAUUUGUUGACAAACUACCGAGGGCUAGUGCUAAGGGAAACACUUAAUGCACUUGUAUCAUACUCUCUUUUCUUUGCCUUCUCUAGUCGUUAUCCAAGGUUCAUAUAUAAUAUGUCUUUAUCAUUAAACUUUUCAUUUUUAACCUUUUGUCUUUUUAUGGUCUAUUACAUGGCCAUCAAUUUCUAAGAAAGUGGUGUACACUAUUAUAAAUCUUAUCUCUUUGUUCUUAUAGACAAUAGAACAACAUGCUAAUUGCAUGAUAUACAAUUUGUAAUAGAUGUUCGGCUAUCAGGUAACCUUUAAGUACCUUGGAGCUAAAACAUUUGAUGUUAAUAAGGUUUGAUGAUUCUCACUUUGGUGCUUAGGUGCUUUGUUGGAUUUCAAUUCAGGUGAUUAAUUAAUCUUAUUAUGAUUAUUUGAUUGCUAUAAUAACUAAAUAAUCAUUCCUAUUUUAUCUUGGUAAUUGACUUCAAUGACUUUUUAACAAUUAUAUCAUGCAUGAAAUGUCCAACCUAUUAUUGUUAGUAUUUCAAUAACAUACCUCUAAUGCUACCACUAAUAUACUUCAUGUAUUCAUAUUUAUAAAAUGUUUCAUUAUUUUAUAUAAUUUAAUGUUUUCAAAUUUCUUUUUUGAAUGGGAGAAAUGACCAUUAAUCUUGACAACAACACAAGUAUCAUUGGUCUAAUAUUGCUUUCUUGAGUAAUUUGGCAAUUUAAUUAUGAAGUUUAGUUGUACAUUACUUGAGAUUCAUGCUUUAUGUAUAUGGUCUAUUGUCCAAACUUCAAUGACAUUUAGUAGACUUGUGAGUGGCGUUUGUCUAUGAGUUUCAACUCUUCAAAACUAUUAUUGAAGCCUAAGUUCAACUUCAGUAAGGAAAAAAAAUCAACAUUUUCUUCCAUUAUGUAAUUUUAUUCACUAUUGAUCUCCCGAAAUAUUGUUUUUAAAACAUGCCCUUAAAUGGAAUUCAUGGCUUCGCUAUUAUUUGCAGGAGAAAUUGUCAAGUUCUAUAUUUGUUUAGAAAGUUGGAAGAAGUAUUUAAUUUGACAUGGUUUGGACAUCUUGCUGCCAUCUUUUUAAAUUAGUUAUCAAUAAUUUUCCAAAGUUGACAUUUUUGUUUAUCUCAUACUCCUUUUAUAUUAGAAGGUAAUGCAUCGGUAUUGUGUAGACGAAUCAAGCCUUCUUUAAUUGAGGCGGGCCUUUUGCAAAAUAUUUCAAGUUUGUUUUCUUUCCAUUUGUUGCUUCAUAUCUAUUUUUUGUAAUCAACCAAGCAAGGGUUUCUUGUCAUGCCAUAAUGGUGACUUGUAAUAAUCAAUUAUUGAUUGUAAGGAUACUUGGCUUUAUCAAUUAUUAUAUUGAAAUCAAUUCAGUACUAUGGCUAAUGCCAAAAGGACAAUAUUUAGUUUCGAUUGACCAUAAUUCACUAUUCUAGAAACAAGUGCUCACAAAUUUUGCAUCUUUGAAGGAUGUGGGAAAGAUUGGCUUAACUGCAUCACCAACUUACAAGCUCCUUAUAGCAUCCAUAUAUAUAACCUUCAUUGUUAAGGUUUAUAAUUCCUAUCUCAUUUUUUUCAUCUCUUUAUUGUUUAUAAUUUUUGAAUUGAUUUGUUAAAAAAAAUUUAAACCUUAUUUGCAAUACUGAUUUGUUUUAUUCUUAUGUGCAAUAGAAUAAUAAGUUGAAUAAGAAGCAUACACUACUUAAUUGAUAUAACCGUUUAGUCAAUUCUCUUCUCAAUUUUUUUUUGUUUUUCUCCAUUUUUGUUCAAGGUAAUCAAAGUAUCAUUAUUUCUAUUUCUAAAGGUACUUGUACCUAGCUUGAAAAACUUUAAGAUAAGUUAAAGUGGAGAACCAUUCCCAAAACAAGUAAUAAGUACAGUUGGGUUAUUGAUAUCAUAUCCUCGAUUGACAUCUAUGCCAUUGUAUUUACAUCUAAAGGAUUUAUGAUGAAAAUAAAUAUCUUCUUCAUUUCCAUUUUCCUCACUUUUUUUUUCGUAAUUUAUGUGCAUAUCAUAAUCUUUUGCGAGCAUAUAUAUGCAUGUUGUAAUCGCAAUAAUCUAUUGCUAUCAUAAUUCAUAGCCUAAUAUAGUUGCUAGCAUAUAUAUGCAUGUCAUAAUCUAUUGAAUUUUUUAGCAUAAGGUCUUAGAGUAUUCACAUAUCUAUAGGUUCUAUAUAUUUAUACUUUUUAAAACAUCAAAUGAAGUAUAUCAGCCUUAUCCCGAAGGUGAAGUCUCUUUAAAUUGAGCUUCAACAUGUUAGCAGUUACCUAACUUAAUAAUCUAACAAUUUGGUAUUAUAUAUCAUUUUGCAACUCUUCCAUAAAGUAAUUGUGUUUCCUCUAUUCAUAUUUUCUGUCCUUAUUUUUUUUUAAAAAAAUUGAAUUAGUAAUUGUGUGUCAAAUCAUGCUUACAAUCAUUAAUAGGUACUUAUAUGAUAAAUUGAUAAAUUUAUUUUACAAUUUUUUCAACAUAUUUGAAAAACAAAAAAAAUAAAAAAAAUAAAUAAGCAUGUCUUUCUAGAUGUAAUCACUACCAAGCUCAUGUGAAAAGCUAUAGCAAUGAGGGUAUAAGCUUCAGUUUUGUUUUGGAGAUUCAUAUUGAGAGUUGUAGAUUGUGAAUGUAAUUGUGUGCAUAAUGAGGACACUAAUAGUAUAAGCUUUGGUGUCUAUUUUUUUUUUUUACUUGAAAUAUCUAUAGCAGAAUCUGAGGUUCAACUUCAUCACCAAUAACAUGGUCGAGGACAUAACUUCAAGAGACAGCAAACAGUUUCAUAUUAAUCUUUUGGGGUGCAGGAAUUUGACAUUCUACAACGUUGCAAUUAGUGCACCAAAAGACAGCCUUAACACAGAUGGAAUUCACAUUGGACGUUCCUCAGGGAUCGAUAUCACCGAUUCAGCCAUAGAAACCGGAGAUGAUUGUGUCUCAAUUAGUGAUGGCAGUGGGCAAAUUAAUAUCCAAAGAAUAACCUGUGGACUUGGCCAUGGCAUCUGUGUGGGAAGUCUAGGAAAGUACCCCGAUGAAGAAUCUAUGGUUGGCAUUAGUGUCAAGAACUGCACCUUCAUCAACACCCAGAAUGGCGUCAGAGUGAAGACAUGGCCUGCUUCUCUCAUCAAGACACUACCUCUGAAAUGCAUCUUGAAGAUAUUGUCAUGAAUAAUGUUGGCAAUCCCAUAAUCAUAGAUCAAAAGUAUUGCCCCCAUAACCAAUGCAACUUAAAGGUACUUCUAAAGGAAAUGAAAAUUUCCAUUUUUAUUGCUUAUUUUCCCUCUUUUUCCCUUCAUUUUUAUUGGUUUGGAACUUAACUAUCCGUUGUUUUCAGAGUCUAUCACGCAUUAAGCUCAGCAAUGUUAGCUUCAGAAACAUCCAGGGCACUACCUCAACUCAGGUUGCUGUCAAGCUUGUUUGUAGCCAAGGAGUACCAUGCCAAGACGUUGAGCUUGGUGACAACAACGGAAAUGAAGGCCUUGCCAUGUCACAAUGCAAGAACAUUAAGCCAAAUCUACUGGACAAGCAACUGCCAAGGACUUGUGCCUAAGAUGCUUAAUCUUCUUCCAAAGUCUGAACAAAUUGUACUGCUUCUAUUAUAUAGCUACCUCUUCAUGCUCACGCGUCUGCUAUUUUAUUGGUGAAUAAACUACAAUGAACAAACAAUGAUACGAUACUCGGCUAUUAUGGAAGGUAUGUGCAGUUUGAUCCCAUAAGAAAAAACAAAUGUCUAUUUAGUCUUUUGCUGCUAUAGUACAAAUUGAAGCUCCAAAGAAUAAUGUUAAUGUAAAUUAUUUAAUGUUAAUGCAGUUUGGAUGAGAAAAUGCAGUCAAGUGAAUAAAAAUUCCUUUGGAGUGUAUCAUUUGAAAUUUUAUCUUUGGAUUACUACAACCAAGAAAAAACUAUAGAUUGGUAUCUGGUGUGUUGGAAAUGCUUGAUGGUUGGUAAUCGAACUAAUGUACUAAUGACUUCGAGAAAAACUAAGAAUGAUAAAGACAAUAGUAAUAAAUGGCAAGAACUGAGAAAGUAUUGAAGUUGUAAUUGUCUCAAGGAGCGUAUUUUGGGAUUUGAAUUAUAUGUAAAGAAGAAAUGCUCUUGGAAACUGCAACAUGAUGGAUCUUGAAUGGUUUUCUGUCAUAUGUGUUUGUUGUUUGGAGAUGACCGAGUAAUAUUAGUUUUAUCAUGCCCCUUUAAGCUGCCAUGUGGAAGCUGUAGCGUUAGCAGAGAGUUGAUAAUGCUUUUUGGGUAGUUGGAAGCUUGAACACCAACAUAUUAGUGCAAGGACAUGAAGAUAUUAAUUCAUUCAUACGAUUUAUUGUUUGAGAGGAUAGAAAAAAAAAAUAUAAAACUAUUUAAGAUCCUAAAAAUAUCUUAUAUUUCUCCGUUUUUUGUAUUUACACUCUGAUCCAUGGACUUUUACCCCACAAAAUAUCUCAUAUUCUUUUUCAAAUUUCUACCUACAUAUAAACUUCUUAUGUCUAUAUUUAUUAUAUUACUUUUUUCUCCUCAUGACCUAAUUAAAAUAUGUAUAAAGAUAAUCCUAACAACUUUUCUUAUUUUAUAGGCAAACCUAUUUCUAUAAGGAAUUAAUUGUAAAACAUCCUAUAUAAGCUACCUUAACAUAGCUGAAUUAUGUUAUAAAUUUUAUUUUGAUACGAUAAAUAACAAAAAUCCAUUGAUAAAAAAUUUAUCAAAAUCCAAUAACUGUAUAGGAUAAACUACACUUAUUUUGGAUAAAUAAUAAAGUACAUUAUCCAAGUAUUAAAAGAUUGUCUUUGUUGUGUAUAAUUUGGAGAGCCUCAGAUAAUGUGCAAGUAGAUGAGACUUAGAGUGAUAUGUUUUCUCUUUCAAAUCAAUUUUAGAGGGACCAAAUCCAAAAUUUUAGUCUUUUUUUAGAAGUGUUUUAGAAAAUAGUUUGGAAAAACACUUCUUGAUAAUAGCGUUUGAAAAUUAUUCUCUAAUAUUUUAUAGCACAUAAAUUUGUUUGAGAGAAUAAAAUGCUCUUAACUUGUUUCCUAUGUUUUUAAAUAUAUUUUAAAAAUAAUUUUCAUAUGCAUUGCUUUAUUUUUAAUCAUUCUCUAUAUUUGUAUAAUAAUUUUUUAAAACAAUUCUAUAAAGAAGUAAAAAGAAACAAAAAUAACUAAAAAGAUGUUCUUUCGAAACAUUGUAUUUUCUGUUUAAAAGUUUUUUUUUUUUUUUUUUUUCUGUUUUCUAGUUGUCAAACUAUACUUUCUUGUUUUUUUUUUUUUUUUUUUUUUUUUUUAUUUUUUUUUUUUUUUUUAUUCUAGAUAAUAGAAAACUGUUUUCAUAACAUGGCCUCAACUUUUACUAUGAAAAUCGAAAUGGUGCUUAAACUUAAACUUCAAAUUGAUUUUAAUCAAAAUAUGUUUUUUUUUUCUCCUUUUUCCUAUCAAAUCAAAACUCAAAUUUCUUUCUUUUCUAUAAAUACAAAAUUUCAAUUUCUAUCGUUGGACUAAGAACUCCAAAUCAUUUUCAAUUGGCGGUGGAGUCUUUGAUUUAAGGACACAGAAUGCGCAUGAAAAAUCUCAUAGUUGUGUGUGUGCAUGUAUGAUAUAUAUAAAGAAUGUUGGAUGAGGAAAUUGUGGAUAUGGCCAAAUCUGAAUCUCUUAUAUUUUUGCAAUAGCAUGUGAUUUACAUAGAAACUCGAUGGUGGAAGAAGACUAUAAAUAAAGGUCUCCUCUCCUCAUUCUAUUUAUCCUAGAAUUGAAGGAAAAAGAAUGAUCUAACUCUUUGAGUGAAAAAGUGAGGUUAUCUUGAGAAUUAGAGGAUUAUUAUUCUCUUGGGUGUAAUUAGGAUAUGGAUUGUGAGGAGUGAGUGAUUAUAAACACUUGUGGUUAUUUUUCUCCCUAUAAUGAAGAUCUAUAGUAGCUCUGUGGGCGUAGCUUGUUUUGGGUGAACCACGUAAAUUUCAUGUUUUGUUUGUCUACUCUAUUUCGUUAUUAUUUUCACAUUUUUUUUAUUCAUUUCAUUACUCUAGUCUUUUGGGAAGUUUAUUUCCUAACAACUGGUAUCAAAGCGACAUGUCUUGUGGUGUUUUAGGAGCUUAGUGGUAGUUUGAGGAGGUUGGAAUUUAAGAGGACAAUUGUGACCUCUCUAGUUUUUCUUAGGAACUUUUAUUUUUGUCUAAGGAGACUAGGUUUUAAGUGGGAUUGUUGUGAUCCUUCUAGUCUUUCCUGAGAACUUUUUUACUAGUUUAAAGCUUUGGGUGGAAGUUUUUCUAUAAUUUUUUGCAAGUACAGAGGUACUGUAAAAAGUACAAUUUUUGCAGAAGUCCUAAAGAACCAGAUUUGAGUGGGAUUGAUGGCAACAAACGAAGGAAAGAGCAUCAUAAUUUAGAAGUUCAAUGGUGAAGAUUUUAGCUUCUAGAAAAUGCAAAUUGAAGAUUAUCUAUAUUAGAAAGAUGUGCAUCUGCAUUUUUAAUGAAGAGUGGGCUCUACUCGAUAGGCAGGCCCUUGGAGUUAUCUGGUUGACGUUAUCUCAUAAUGUCGCUUUCAACAUAGCAAAGAAGAAGACUGUGAUGGGUCUUAUGGCGACUCUCUAUGACAUGUAUGAGAAGCCAUUCACUUCAAAUAAAGUGCACUUGAUGAGGUUGUUAUUCAAUUUGUGAAUGAUAGAAAGCGCGUCUAUAGCAACUCACAUCAAUGAAUUUAGUACAAUCACAACACAACUAAGUUUGGUGGAAAUCGAGUUUGACGAUGAAGUUCGAGCUUUAAUCUUUGUAUCCUCUCUACCGAAAAGUUGGAAUGCGAUAGUGACAACAAUGAGCAAUUCUUUUGCAAAGAAGAAGAUGGUAUUUAAGGAUAUUCAAGAUCUAAUUCUAAGCAAAGAAAUACACCAAAGAGAACUAAGAGAAACAUCAAGUUCUACCUUAAACAUUGAAUCUAGAGGUAGACAUAAUGACAGAAACUCAAAUCAAAGUAGAUUAAAAUCAAGACAGAGCAAGUCUAGAUCUAGGAAGGAAGAGAAUAGUUGUUGGAACUGCGGUAAGACUUAUCACUAGAAGAGAGAUUAUAGAGCACCGAAAAAGAACAAUGGCAGUGAAAAGAAUCCACGAACAUGGCCGAAGAUAUUGGCAAUGCUCUAAUCCUAACUGUCAAUAGUCUAGUUGAAUCCUAGAUUUUGGAUUCUGGGGCAUUGUAUCACUGCACCUCUUAUUACGAAAUCAUGGAGAACUACAUCAGUGGUGAUUUCAGGAAGGUUGACCUGGAUGAUGUUGAGACCUUGAAGAUUACGAGAAAAAAAGAUAUUCAAGUGAGGCUACCAAAUAUGUGGAAAUUUAAAGAUGUGAUAUGUAUUCCUAGUUUUAAAAAUAAAAAUAAAAAAUCUCUGUGGAUUAACUUGAUAAGAAGCGGAUGAAAGAUCACCAAGGGAGCUAUGGUCAUAGCUCAUGGAAAGAAGAACGGUCCUCUCUAUGUUACUUCUAGAAUGGAGAAUAUUGUUGAAGUUGUAAAAUCAAAUGAGAAGUAGAAAAUUUGGCACGAGAGACUCAGUCAUAUGAGCGAGAAAUGGAUGAAGGUUCUUGUUUCAAAGACAAAGCUGUCAAAUCUAAAAUCAAUGUGAAGAUUGUAUAUUCAAUAAGCAGAAAUUGGUUAAUUUCUCAAAGAUUGGCAAGCCAUCCAAAGUAGAGAAGUUAGAGCCGAUUCACAUAGACACGUAGGGGUCAUCACCAGUUUCAUCUAUUGGAGGCUCAUUGUACUACAUCACCUUCAUUGAUGACUCUACUAGGAAAGUAUGGGUUUAUUUUCUAAAAAAGAAGUUAGAAGUUUGUGAUGUUUUCAGGAAAUGGAAAGCCAUGGGAGAUGCGAAGAUCUACUAGGGGCCUAUAAGUAGAGGUCUCAUCUCCUCAUUUUAUUUGCCUCAUAAUUGAAAGAAAAAGAGUGGUCUAAUUCUUUGAGUGAAAAUUGAGGUUCUCUUAAGAAUUAGAGAAUUAUUAUUCUCUCGGGUGUAAUUCGGAUUUGGGAUGUGAGGAUUCAAUGCUCGUAUACACUUGUGGUUAUUUUUCUCCCUAUGUUGAAGAUCUACAACAAUUUUGUGGACGUAGCUGGUUUUGGGUGAACCAUGUAAAUUUCGUGUGUUGUUUUGUUUGCUCUAUUUUAUUAUUAUUUCCACAUUUUUUUAUUUGCUUCAUUAAUUUGGUCUAUUGGGAGGUUUACUUCCUAAUAUUUUUCAAGUCAAAUUCUUAUCUAAAAUUGAAAUAAGAAUUGGUUUCAUCCUCAAUUGAAAUCGAUUCUUGGAACACUUCACCAUUCCCUUUCCACAUUUCCCACCAUCCAACCCGGCCAAUAAAUACAAUUACUUGGCUCCAUUGCAUAUUUUUGCUUAUCUUUCAUUCACAUUCAAAAAUGGUUAGAAAGGAACCUUGAUUUUAGGAAGUUCCCAAUUAUUAGGAUUUGAUUUAGUUUUCUAAUAGUCAAUUAGAAUAUUUACAAAUUUGAGUGGUUGAUUUAAUUAUAUGUUUAUACAUAAUUCCUACAAGUUAUUUUUUUUUUAAUACUUUUUGUUAUUAGGAAUCUCUAUUUUUUAGGUAAAGGUGUCCAUAAAAAAAAAAAAAAAAGGAGUUAGUGCGAUAGUUGAACAAGAGUGGUGGAAAAUAAUGUCAUUUUCUUGAUUUUUCUCAAUUACUUACCUUCUUACCUUGACUUUCCAUCAUGACUUAUUUCUCUCUAUGGAUUUGUUUAUGUGUUAUCAACUCUAUUACUUGAAUAAAUUGGGUUGUAAGAAAAAGAUGACAAGUAGGACAGAUUUGUUACAAGUUCUUUAGCUCAAUAAAAAAACUUACAAUAAUUGGAGUAUGAAGGUAAAGACUUUACUUGAUUCACAAGAUGUAUGCAAAGGUUGAAGAGGAAGGCUAUAAACAAGGAGUCAUGACAUAAAACCACUAUUUUAAAAGCAAAGUAAUUUUUUGAAAGGUAUAAGGAAAAAAGAAAAAAAAAAAGGAAGAAGAAAGCUCUUACCCUUAUCUAUCAAGCAAUGAAUAAAGGCAUAUUUGGAAAUUUUCCAAAUGCAACCAUGCACUACCAAGAAAGCAUGGAAGAUAUUAGAAAAUGCAUAUAAAGAAAUUGACUAAUUAAGAAAAGUUUGCCUUUGUACUGGGUAUUGUGUAGAGAAAUCAAGUCUUCUUUAAUUGAGGUGAGUCUUUUGCAAAAUAUUUCGAGUUUGCUCUCUUUCCAUUUGUUGAUUCAUGUUUUUUUUUUUUUUGGUAAUCAACUAGGCAAGAAUUUCUUACUUGUCAUGCCACAAUGGUGAACAUGCUUGCAUGAAUAGUAUUCUCUCUACUCUUUCUUUUUUAUUCUUUCUUUAUUAUAUUGAUGGAUAUACUUAGAAGUGAAUAGUUAAUUGGGUUUUUUAUUAAAAGAAAUCAAAUAUUGGUAAUGCUAUUUAGUAUCAUGCUUGUAAUAAUCAAUUAUUGAUUGUAAAGAUACUUAGCUUAAACAAUUAUUAUAUUGAAUUCAAUUUAGUACUAUGGCUAAUACCAAAAGAAUAAUAUUUAGUCUUGGUUAACCAUUAUUCACUAUUCUAGAGACAAAUGCUCACAAGUUUUGCAUCUUUGAAGGAUACGGGAAAAGUUGACUCAACUGCAUCACCAACUUACAAGCUCAAGCUUAUAUACAACCUUCAUUUAUCAGGUUUAUAAUUCGUAUCUUUUUUUUUUCAUCCCUUUAUUGUUUAUAAUUUUUGAAUUGAUUUAUUAAAAGGAAUUUCAACUUUAUUUGCAAUAAUGAUUUUUUUAUUCUCAUGUGCAAUAGAAUAAUAAGUUGUAUAAGAAGCAUAUACUACUUAAUUGGUAUAACCCUUUAGUCAAUUCUCUUCUCAAAUCCUUUUUAUUUUUCUCCAUUUUUGUUCAAGGUAAUCAAAGCAUCAUUCUUUCUAUUUCUAAAGGUACUUGAACCCAAUUUGAAAAACUUUAAGACAUGUUAAAGUGGAGGACCACUCGCAAAAUAAGUAACAUUAGUUGGGUUACUAAUAUCAUAUCCUCGAUUGACAUCUAUGCCAUUGCAUUUUCUUCUAAAGGAUUUAUAAUGAAAAAAAAUAUCUUCUUCGUUUCCAUUUUCCUCCCUUCUUUUGACCAUAAAUUUGUGCACAUUGAAAACAUUCAUAGCCCAAUAUUUUUGCUAGCAUAUAUAUGCAUGUCACAAUCAAUUGAAUUUUUUAGCAUAAGUCUUAUAGUAUUCACAUAUGUGUAGGUUCUAUAUAUUUAUCAUGUUUACAAUAUCAAAUGAAGUAUAUGAACCUUAUCUCAAAGGUGAAGUCUCUUUACAAGGAGCUUCAACAUGUUAGUAGUUACCUAACUUAAUAAUCUAACAAUUCGUCACUAUAUAUUAUUUUGCAACUCUUUCAUAAAGUAAUUGUGUUACCUCUAUUCACAUUUUCUAUCUUUAUUUUAAAAAAAUUGAAUUGGUAAUUGUGUGUCAAAUCAUGCUUACAAUCAUUAAUAGGUACUUACAUGCUAAAUUGAUAAAGUUAUUUUACAAUUGUUUCAACAUAUUCAGAAAACAAAAACAAAAGAAAAGAUUAAUAAGUAUAUCUUUCUAGAUGUAAUCACUACCAUGCCAAUGUAAAAAAAUAUAACAAUGAGGAUUUCAAAGAUUAAAUUAAGUCUUGGAGACUCAUAUUGACAAGUUGUAAAUGGUGGGUGAAGUCUCUUUAAAAUGAGCUUCAAUAUGUUAGCGAUUACCAAACUUAAUAAUCUAACAACUUGACACUAUAUAUCAUUUUACAACUAUUUCAUAAAGUAAUUGUAUUAUCUCUAUUCACAUUUUCUAUCUUUUUUUUUUUUUAAAAAAAUUGAGUUGAAAAUUGUGUGUCAAAUCAUGUUUGCAAUCAUUAACGGGUACUUAUUUGCUAAAUUGAUAAAGUUAUUUUACAAUUGGUUCAGCAUGUUUUGAAAACAAAAACAAAAGAAAAUUAAGAAGUAUAUUUUCUAGAUAUUAUCACUACCAAGCCAAUGUGAAAAGUUAUAAUAAUGAGGAUUGCAAAGCACCAGUUAUGUUUUGGAGAUUCAUAUUGAAUGUUGUAGAUUGUGGAUGUAUGGUAUAGGAGUUAACUUGAGUUUAUCAUUCUUUCUAUUUUCGAUACCUUAAUUUUAUAUGCAUUGUCCAUCAUAUAUAUUUGUUAUCAUCUAUUCUUUACAACCAAUUUUUUAAUGACUUCUACAAUUUGUGUAUAAUGUAUAUAUUGCUUUUAUUUGUACCAAAGCAUCAUCAAGCUACAAAAGCAUCACAAGUUUUUCUAUUGGGUCAAGUAUUUUAGUAGUUUUUGUACUUAUACUUGAAACUUUUUUAUGACACUAAUGAGGACAUUUACCUUGAUUAAUUUAACAUUUAUAUUGCAAGUAUCUAAAUAAGAGUUCUAUAGAUUUAUUUAGACAUUUAUGGGCAUAUUUAUCCUCUUUCUGACAUAUUAUAAUGAUAUUUUUAACAUUGAUAUAAAUUAUUUGUUUGAAGGUUUCAACUAUUGAAAAAUAUUAUUCAAGCCCAAUGUUAAUCUUUUUCUAUAGUGGAUUUCAAAUAAUAAAUUCUUAUUUGAUUAUUUGUAGCGAAAAUAAACAACUUUUAUGUUUGAUGCGGAAAAAUAUAGAGUAGGUCACUUUCACAAUAUAUGGAUGCUACUCCUAUACUUUUAAAGAUGGUUACAAUCGCCUUUAUGAUGGAUAAUGAUUUUCUAGUUCUUUUAGUACUAUUAUAUUAUGUCCAAAUUUUAAUUUUGAUAUGGUCCAUAAUCUCAUCGUAUGUACUAUUGAUAGAUUACAAUGCAACAAACGCAAUGUGAAUCUCAAAGAUGAUUAUUACGUUGAAAAGUAAGUUCCCCAUGUUUUAUUUAAAUUUUUUUUAUUCUCUAAGGAUUGUUUUAUUCUCUUUAUUUUUAAAGGCUCAAAUCAUCUUAAGUUUAUUUUUUCUCUUAUUUCAAUAGUUGUAGCCCAUAUGUAGGAGAAAUUUCUCUAAAUGAAGGGUAAAGAAGAACAAGUGCAUUUAACUUGUUACACUUGCAAACUAGAAGACAACCUCAUAUUUCAGAACCUGCACUACAUGAUUUCAAUAAAAAUUAAGAUUGUUGAUUGAGAAAGGAAUGGUGAAUUCAAAAUUCUCUAUAAUUUCCAUUGUUGGUGCUCUUGAAGAUUUUGGUAAAAGACUGAACAAUUGAGUUUAGCAUGUCCUUGAAAUGUAUUUGUUUUAUGAAUCAAUGCAACUUGGUUAAAGUCUCUAUAUAAGUCAUAUACAACAUAUUUUCCCUUUAAUAUCAGCUCAUCAAUUUUUGUUUCCAAGCUUUUUGUCAAUUAUAUUUUUUAAUCCUUUCUAUUGUUUUUUGGUCUUCCAAUGACUUUGUUUCUAUUUUCAAUACUUGAAUCCAAUGUAAGAUGUUUGCAUUUUAAUUUUAUAAUUUUCUUUAUUAUUUUGCUUUUUGUUUUUUUAUGGUGUUUCCUUUGUAAUCACUUACUAGAUUCAUACUUCUAAGAAAACAUGUUGAUGAUGAUGAAAACAUGUUUCUAUAGAAAUAUAUAUAUUAUGAAGACUUCUUAUGCUUCUAUUAACCUAAAAUGAUGAUAUUGAUAAGAAGUGUAUUUAUUAUCAUAUUGCAUUACAAGUUUACUGGUGGAUCACUCUUAACAAGUACAUCUUAGCUAAAAGUUAAAAAAAUGUUUCUCUUUGCACAUACCUUUACUAUUGUUUCAAUUGCUAUCUUAAUAUGUUAUGGAAAAACUACUACAAAUAACAAUAAUAGGGAGAAAAAAACAAAAAAACAAAAAUAGAAAACUUAUAAAGUAGGACGAUUUAUGUGGUUUGGCCUAAAACCUACAUUUAUCCAUGAAAAUGAAGAAGAAUUUCCACUAUUAUUAAAGGAUAUUGCAUCCUAAAGCUCUCAAAUCCCAUAAUUACACUAAAAAAGGACUUUUUUUUUAAUCAAAAUCUCUUCCUUUAUUUUCUUGAUUAUAUAAGAACAUUCCAUAGAGAAUUAAUUAUGUAAUUAUCAAAGAUAACUAUUCCUAAAAAAAAAAUCUUAUAAUAUGAUAUUUUCUUUAUAAUAUAAAAAAAAAUCUUUUAUAUAAAUAUAUCAUAAUAGGAAAAUAUUAAAGACUUAUAAAUUGACUUGAAAAACAAUUUGAAAUAUUUUUCAACAAUCUCCACAUUAGCUCAAAUUCCCAAGAUUCAAAUAAACUCAAAAGUCUUCCAUGUUACUUUGCUCUUAUACACCCUUAAGGGGACUUCAAGUAAUGUCAAUACCAAUUAAGUCUAAGCAAUGCAUGAACUUAAUCAUAAAGAUAAGUUUAGUCAUCAUAUAUAUAAAAUUAUCAACUAUAGGGAUCUUUUUCAUUACAUUAGAACCUUGUUCAAUCAUAUCUCUAAUAAAAUGCAUUCUAACAUUAAUAUGUUUGGUCCUCUCAUGUAACAUAUAAUUUUUAGUCAAAAGUAUGACACUUUGGUUACCAUGAUAACAAUAAUCAAUGAUUGGAACCAAAUAAUUACAUUUUGUGUGCCUAAACUUAGACAUGCGUAUUUAAUAUCCAAUUCUAGUUUCAUCCCUUUACUCAAUUUUAUUCCUAAGUCCUUAAUUUUGUGUUUAAAAAUGCAUGUACUGGUGGUUAAUUUUUCACUCCAUAGUUGUCAUAUCAUCCAAGUAAUAGUUGCUACAUUAUUCAACAACGGGUUGCCUAUAGACCCACAUUUUUCAUAUGCAUCCCCACUCAAUGGCGUGGUUGACUUUUUAAGUGAAAAACUAUGUUUUAUAAAAACUUGGAGUUGCCACUUAUUUUUAUUUUUUUAAGGGAAAAUAAAAUAAGAAACUAAAUCUUAAAAAAAAACGACUCCUUAAACUUUUGGAAAAACUUGUCUUUUAAAAAUCCAAGUCUAGAUCCAGGGAUUAGGUUACUUAUUGGGAUGGUACCUUAAAAACGGAGCAUCCCUCUAAACCUUCAAAAGGUCUCUAUUGGCUAGGUUGAGGGAAGUGUGACAAUUAAUUGAUAGAAUUAGGGUACAAGAAAGACUAAAGUGUUUAGCUAAAUUCUAACAGCAUAUUAAGUAUGCAGAGCAAUCAUUUCAAGUCAUAAGUAUAAAAAGAGAGAUAGGGUGCGUACCUAGACUAUAACUCAAACACUAUCAUAAGACAUCAAAGUUAGUUCAGAUAUCAUAUCACUCAACACACAUUAUCAUUCACAUCAAAGAAUCAAAUAACAAUCAAAGCAACCAAUAACAACAUCAAACAUAGAGAUGUUCAUACAUGAAACAUACACAUAUGUUGAAUUAAGAGACAAAGGGUGAUGGGUGUAUUUGAAUUGCAUAAAUAAUUUACAAUGCACUUCGAUAAGAUAACAAAGGUUAGAAUAAAUUAUAAUGGAAAAUAAAGAGAUCCUAAAUCCUAGCAUGCAUGGUAUUUACAUGGCAUAAGGACAGAACAUAGGCUCACAAAGACAUCAAUAUUCCUACAAGGCAUGCAUACAACUUCUAGAUGUAUACAUAAGAUAUAAGAAACAAUGAUUAAUUAUAACAAAACAUAUAACCAACUAAUCAAAAUAUAGGCAUCACAAGUAUAAUUCUAAAAUAUUAUGUAAGCAUCACUUGACUAGAUAAUAAAUAAAAGCCAACAUCCAUAUCCAUUAAUCAUGAAUUAAACAAUAUGAGCAACUAGUAUGCAAAAAUCCAACAUAUGAAUAUAACCACACCAAAGCACAGAGGAUAUCUCCUAUACGUUUAGAACAAAUAAAAAAUUCCAAACACUCGUUCAAAUAUCAAUUUUAAUUCAAAAAGACCAAAAGUUCCAGAAGGUCCAAAAUUGAGUAGAACACUGAAUUUUUAAAAAAAUAUCUAGGCCUUCUAAAUUCAUACAAAAAAUAGAAAAUGUCAUUCAAGGUGCCUAAAUUAUAUAAAAAAUAAAUCCAAGACAAGGAAGCACUCAAAAGAAUUUUAAAACACUCCAAUUGAUUAGUUGUCCAAAAUUAGUCAUGUAUAGUAAGUGCAACUUUGAAAAAUCAUAUCUCUCUCUAAAAAAAAUAUAUUUCAAUAUUUUAUAUGUCAAAAUUCAACUUCAUGAAAUCAAUAAUUUUGGAAAAAUAUUUAUCUAAAUUAAAAAGGUAAAAAGGUAAUUUAAUUUUACAAAAUUCUAUCAGAUGUACCAAAACAAAACAUGCUGAAAGAAUAUAUCAUAACUCAACUUUGAGAAAGACUUGUUGACUCAACUAACGUUCCAAAAUCAACUUCAAGAAGUGAACAACAUCAUAAAAGUUUUGGAAAAUUUUUUAAAACACUCCAAAAUUAUCAAAACAUUUUUUUUUUCCUAAAGGGUUAGUAGCUGAGUUGAAAAAUGAGUUUUGAUAACCUUUUUCAUGUAGGUGUUCCAUCAAGUCCCCAUUCAAUAUUCAUAGGUUUAACCCAUGCAUUCCCAACCUCAAAUGAAAAGAUUCACCAAUGCCAAAAAUACUCCCAUUAGUUUGGAAGCACGAGUUCAAACUUAUGUGAAUAAAAAACAAAGUUUUGGAAGACCAAGAAAUAGAUAAUGCAACUUAGAUGAAAUGAGUUGCAUGUUUUUUAACGGAGUAAGAUCUUUGCCUUAAACCUAAAACACAUUUUUUUUCAAAGAUUUUAGAUAGUUUAAAUUCUUUUGAAAAUGAUUAUAGAAGAAGCACAAGGAUCCAACUGGUUUAAGUAAUCCCCGAACAAUCGGAAAAAAAAAAAAUGGACUUUUAGUUUUCUAACUUAAAAGGGAUUUAAAAACAUAAGAGAUAUUAACUUGGAUCCCCUUUAUAGUUGAAGGAGGCACGUGCAUGAUGGAGAAAAUCCAUUUUUGGUAAAAAGAAAUUUUGAAUUAACUCAAAAUAACAACUAAGAAAGUUUUUUUUCUAACAAAAAAGUUUCAAACUCAAGAAUUCUUCAAAGAGUAAACAAAAUAGGUGUCAGGUUAAAGAGAACCUACAAUUUAACUAGAUAUAACAUCUAAUGAAUUUUAAAACAACCAUCCACAUGAAAAUUUAACCAAACACAUAUCUAUAAUUUUUUUUGAAAAACAAUCAAUAUGGAAAAUUAAGCAAACAUAAUUCAAUACAGUUUUUUUAAAAAAAAAAUCUAAAUAACACAUGAACUUCAAUAAUUAAAAUAUCUAAUGGAUUAUUAUUAUUUUUAAAAAAAAAAACCAACAUAGAAAAUUUAACCAAGCACAUAUUUGGAAUUUUUUAAAAAGAAUAAUCAUCACUAAAAAAUUAACCAAACAUAAUUUAAUAAAUUUUUAAAUAUAAAUAACACAAGAACCUAAACAAUUAUAAUAUAUAAUGGAUUUUUAAAAAUACAACCGAUAUGGAAAUUUUAAUCGAGCACACAUUUAGAAUUUUUUAAAAGAAUAAUCAACAUGAAAAAUUAACCAAACAUAAUUCAAUAAAUUUUUAAAUCUAAAUAGCAUAAGAACUUAAUCAAUUAUAAUAUCUAAUGGAGUUUUAAAAAUAUAAUCAAUAUGGAAAAUUGAACCAUACACAUUGAAAAUUUUUUACAAGAAUAAUCAACAUGAAAAAUUAAACAAACACAAUUCAGUAAAAUUUUUAAAUCUAAACAACACAAAAAUCUAAAUAAUUAUAAUGUCUAAUCGAUUUUUAAAAAUACAACCAAGAUGGAAAUUUUAACCAAGCACAUAUUUAGAAUUUUUUAAAUAAUCAACAUGAAAAAUUAACCAAACAUAAUUCAAUAUAAUUUUUAAAUCCAAAAUAACACAUGAACCUAAACAAUUAUAAUAUCUCAUGGGUUUUUAAAAAUACAAUCAACAUGGAAAAUUUAACCAAGCACAUAUUUAGAAUUUUUUUCUAAAAAAAUAAUCAACAUGAAAAAAUUAACCAAACAUAAUUCAGUAAAAUUUUUAAAUUUAAAUAACACAAGAAUCUAAACAAUUAUAAUAUCUAAUGGAUUUUUAAAAAUACAAUCAACAUGGAAAAGUUAACCAAUCACAUAUUUAGAAUUUUAAAACUUUUUUUUUUAAAAGAAUAAUCAAUACGAAAAAUUAAACAUAUAUAACUCAAUAAAAUUUUUAAAUCUAUUAACUAACAAGAAAAAAAUUAUCUAAUCUAACAAUCCAAUGAAUUUAACAUUUAAAAAAAAAAACUAAAAUGAGAUUAUCAACUUCAAGUACCAAUGAUUCAAAAAAAUAAACAAUCAUCAAGAAGAGAUUAAACAAAUAUCUAAGAUUUAAACAAAAAAAUAAUAAAUAAAUAAAUAAACAACUUUUGAUCAUCAACACCAAGAACCAAUGAUCCACAAAAAUAAACAACCAUCAAGAUGAGAUUAAACUAACAUCUAAGAUUUAAACAAAUAAUAAUAAUAAUAAUAAUAAUAAUAAUAAUAUAUUGCUGAAUUCUGAACCGUGAUUGACUUGUUAAUGGGAUUUUAAGGAUUCGUAUGUGGCGGAGGAGUUUUGCACUUGUUUAUCACAGAAUUGCGAGGUUUUCUGUUUAUUAUCUUUGAGCAAAUCGGGGGUUAGAUUUGAGCAGAAAACAGAGGAGGGUGAUUGAGCGGGAGGCUAGUGAUGAGCAGUUCAUCCAACUUCGCAUUUUCCGUGUGAUAGUUUCAGUUCACAGAACAAUCAAGGAUUGAAGUUCUAAUGAAGCCUCUGUCACAACUCUCAGAACCCAACUUCCUUCAUCUUCGACUCUUUGAUCAGAGCUUUCACAUCUAUAGCAGAAUUCUUCAUUCCGCUGGCUAUCUGGCCUCUGAUAAUUACACUUUCAUGUUCUUGGUUCGCACCUCUGCUCAGCUAUUGGCGCAUGUGACUGGUUCGUCUACACAUGGUGCCGUUGUGAAAUAUGGAUUUGAGCAUGAGCCACAUGUUCAAAGUGGCUUGAUUUACAUGUACGCAGGAUUGGGUGGUUUGGUUGCUUGCCAUUGGAUGUCUUCAUCAAUUUGUGAGCCAGAUUUGGUGUGUCAGACUGCAAUGGUCAGUGCAUGUGCCAAGGUGGGAGAUUUUUCUUUUAAGCCGUUUGAUAAAAUGUCCCACAAGGACCCUAUUGUAUAGAAUACAAUGAUUUCGUGAUGCGCAAUGCAGGCAAUCAAAAAAGGGAAUCGAAUUUAUUCAACUUAAUGCAAAGGUCGGGUGUUAUUCUAGGAGGAUGAGUUUCUGAGAUAUUCAUUCAACUCAGAGGCUUCACGUUCUAUAACAAAAGGGAUCGGGUGAUUUAUUUGAGUCUUCGAGGAAUUCUAUCACUGAGUGUGAAAAGCCGCCCUCAACGCAUGCUGGCUCUCCUGUGUGCAGUGGUUCUGGGAGCAUGAAUGAUUAGAUAUCGUAUGUUUCAGGACGUGAAACUUGCUGCAAGGAGAGGAGUGGGGCUUCUCGAGAUGCUCUGUCAUACAACAGAGUUGGUAGUGAAGAAAUCUAAUAUGAAGUAACUGAUUGUGGCACUACAUUUAGUUUUGCUGCAGGAAACUCUUUUGGUGCAACACCUGCAAGCUGAAGUUUAAGGUGUCCUUCUUCCAUUUGCUUCAACAGAUGAAGAUUCUGAUAUAGAAAUACAUGGAUCUAGUUCUGUAAGUAUUGAUGAGAAUGAUGUGGUUGAGGUCAUGUUGCCCAGAACUUCAGGUGUCAGUCAUUGCUUAUCUACUGUAAAUUCUAGUUCUGUAAAUGGCAUUUUGACAGGGACAAUGUCAUUUUCAUUGAAGCUGCCACCAAUUGUUUUCCGGAUAAAUUUGCAGACAAUAAAAGCAUUGUUGGAUCUUUCUACAAGAAAAUUCGACUCGCUCCCAACUCCAAUUCAUAUCCUCUUGAAAGAAUGAAGUUCUCUAUGGGCACCUCAAAAGCAUCCUUCAAGACUGAGAAAUCCAGGAGUCAGUUACAAAACGCAAGACAUGUCAUGCUCAGAAAGUGCUACUGUCAUUUAUAUUUUAUUGCGUCAACGCGGGAACGAAUGGGCAAACUUCGCUUGAGGUGAGAUGCUGAGAACCAAGGUCCUCGAUCAUUCAAAGCCAAAAUGAAAUCACAUCAAAUGCCUGAACAGAUUGUUUUCUGGAAGUGGAUUACCCUGAAGAUGCUGAGCAUAGUCACGUAGACCUCAGUAUAUCAUUGAUCAAUCAAAGGUGAUUCAGAACCUGUAAAAAUGUUUGAGAGAACUAUUAAUUUGAUAAACAAUCAGAUAAUUAACUAUCGAUAUGAUCCGUCUGAAAAGUGGUUGGUUUUGAUUGGAAUUGCUCCGGGUUCACCUGAGAGACCACAGCUUGUCAAAGGGAAUAUGCAGCUUUUCUCUGUUGAACAGCAUCGAAGUCAAGCUCUUGAAACUCAGGCUGUAUCAUUCGCCACAUUUAAAGUUCCAGGGAAUGAUCAAUCCUAUGCACUUAUUGGUUUUGCCACAAUAUCCUUUAAUGCCGGACAGAUUGUCUCAAAGCUACAUGUCAUUGAACUUGGAUCCAACUCAGGGGAACCAGGAUUUAUAGGGAAACAGGCUGAUCUUUUCUUUCCCCCAGAUUUUACUGAUGAUUUUCUAGCUGCAAUGCAGAUAUCGCACAAAUAUGACUUUAUACAUGUGAUUACCAAGCUUGGAUUGUUGUUUGUUUAUGACCUGGAGACGUCUUCUACAGUAUACAGAAAUAGGAUUAGUCCAGGUCUAAUAUUUUCUUACUGCUGAAGUUACAUCUAUUGGAGGUUUUUAUACCAUCAAUAGGCGAGGGCAGGUGCCAAUUGCUACUGUAAAUGAGGCAGCAAUCAUACUUUUCGUCAGCGGCCAAUUGAACAACUUGGAGUUAGCAGUCAAUCUCACAAAAAUGGGGAGUUUCUCUGGUACAGAGAACUUGGUUGUCCAGCAUUUCCAAAAAUUGUUUGCUCAGACAAAAUAUAAGGAGACUUAAGGAAUCCCAUGGUGGAACCAUGUCAACAUAGACUAGAACUGAUGGAAAUUUAUCUUCCUCACUGUCAGAUAUCACUGCUCUUGAGGAGUCUCUUACUGCUGCUGGUGGGAAGUUCAUCUUUGUGCAAAAGCUUCGUGACUUUGUUUCUGUUACAUGUGACGUUUUGCAGCAUAAGGCUUUUCUUUUUAUUGAGGGACUUGAAGAGCAAAUGCAGAAGCUUCAUGAAGAGCGUGCAUCAGCUGUCUUAGAAAGGAGAGCUGCUGAUAAUGAUGAGAUGAUGGGAAACACAAGCAUCCAUUGAUGAUGCAAUGUCGGUUUUCACUAAAAGUGGUUCUAAAAAGGCAAUGGUUGCUGCUGCUGUUCUUCUAAGAGAACUGAACUGAGUAGCACACCAGCAUACUGUUACGGCUCAUGAGCAUCAGAAGAAUCAUAGCAGGGGAGCCAAAUAACCGGGUGGAGACUACCAGAAAUCAUGCUUAAGAUGACAUUGCUCAAUCCUAUGCCAGCGGAGCUGUUUCUAAUGUCCAAAACCAUUGUGUUAGAUGACACUAGUCCAGCCACUCUAAAGAUCAGAAAGCCUAUCGAGGGAGUUGCUUCAUCAGGAAAGGGGUAGAGGAGAUUUAAUUUCUAUUGAUGUUCUUAGUAUCAGGAACUCUUCAUCCUUGAGCGCCAAAAGUUGUAAGUCUAAAAUUUGGAAAGCCAGCUAUUUCUUCUGAACUGCAUCUGUCUCCUAGUACCAUAGGUCAGCUGACCUCAAACGUGAAAUCUAGAAAGGUUGACGCUGCUUGCACAGUGGUAGCUAGCUUCUCCUUUAUGCUGAACAAAUUUUAUUAGGAUUCACGAUCAGUUGAAGCAUCCACAAUUUUUGAUGCUGAAAUGGAAGAAACAUUUAAGGUCAUUAAACUAAGAAGUCUGAUGGCUGGUUCCUCUGCCCAUGCUGUUCCAACUUCAAUUGGUUCCAGUUUGCCACCAAGCUCAUCAAUAGACUCAUUGCCUUCAGAAAAGUCAACACCGAAUCCCCAUGCUGAGGAUUUCAAGUUCAAUCCCAAUAUAAAGGGGUUCAUUCCGCCUCAAGUGCCUCCUGUCAUAUUCAAUCCACAAACUACAUCAAUAUCCUUUUGACAUCCAGAAACCAUUUGGAAAGAUUCUCAAUGAAGAGACAUAUACCCCAAAAAUGAUCCCAAUCAAGGCACUUUCAAGCUUGGUCAAGCUUUAUGGAAGAGUUGCAGCAGAUUGAGAGGCUCAAAGCAUAGUCGUCUUAAAGCAGAGUAGUCUACUGGACACCUUCUUGAUAACCAACAGACUGCAAAGUUCCCAAUAGAAGUUAGUUCUUAAAGUAGCAUUUAUUGGGAUUAAUGUUCCUCUUGAGACCAUACAGGUGAAAGAUAUCAUCUUCAGUUUUACAAGGUGGAAUAAUGCUCAGUGGGCAUAAGAAAUGAAUGAUUCCAGUGAUGAAACCAUGAUCUUCAAUAGUGGUUCUGCUCCACCAGCCUAAAGUGAAUUUCGCCAAGCCCAGAUGGAGAUCCACUUGGUAUAAUAACUGGUUUCAGGCAGAUAGUAGUGACGGCUCAUGAUUGGGAUGAUAUAUGUGCCUUCUUCUCUUGGAUUUUGGGGUUCUGGAAAGCCAAGAAAACUGCAACUGUGGAAGACCGUAUCCUUGAAAGAUCAUUCUGGUGUUAUUGGUGAGAGCAUUAGCUUUUCAGACGAGGUAAUUGGUGUACUACAGCACUUGCUCGCUGUGCACAUAACAGAUGACAUUGAGAACCUGUGCUGGGAUUUCUUGAGUAAUAGAAUGCGGUUGUUUCUGGUACUCUCCUUGCUUCAAACUGGAAUUGGGGAAUAUUGCCUAAAAACAACAAUGUCCCUGGAAUAGGUCCAAUCUCUCCUGACUAUGCAUCCAGUGAUAAUGAAUAUCUUACUUUUGCAGAAGGCCUAAUUUCCAGUUUACUAGAAGCUGGGCAAGUUGCUAAAAUCUCAAGGAUAUUGUCAUCUUUCUUGAACAUAUAUUUACAAGCUUACCAGAAAGCAUUUCUCUCUACAAUUAACAAUGGCCAGCACCAUGGUGAUAGGUUUUCACCUUUAUUGCUUCUCAAACAUACUGGUGUUGACAAAGGCAUACAGGAUGGGUUUCUUGAGAAGAGUGGAAUAAAUCCUUGUCAUCUGGAGUCUGUUUAUGGUCUCUUAUCAAAGUUAGAUCAAAUGGUUAAGAAAAGAGCUUCUGGAUUCCUAUCGAAGGUCUUUUGGGAAUGUAUAUUGCAUGGUUUCCCCUCUCAUCUUCAAGCUCCCAGUGGAACUCUUCUUUCAUGCAUUCUAAGUAUAAGAGGGAUCAUUUGCAUUCUAGAUGAGCUACUGAAAAUCAAGUGAGCGCUUCUUUGGCUACAUAUUUCCCCUUGAUUGGCGAAAAUCAUCUACUGAGGCUACGGUUUCUCUCAAAGAAAAUGAGCUUGCUGGGAAUUUACUUAGGGAAGUUAUUCUUAAAAACAUCAGCUAGAUCCAGAAGUUUUAAAUCUUCUCAUACCAAGGCGAUCUGCAAUGGCAGUAGUCGUACAUCAUCUUCUGAUCAAAUUGGUAAUGAAAUUUGGGAGAAUGACGUUAAUAAAGUUGAGGACCUUGAAGCAGUUCAGAUAUUGCAGGACAUUUUUAGCAAAUAGCAGGGAACUACAGGCAAAAGUGUUAAAUAGGAUGCUUAAGAUUUUCUCAGGUCAUCUUAAAAGCUAUAAAUUGUGUCAACAGCUAAAGACUAGGUCACUCCCUAUCUUAAAUAUGGAUGAUUUUCUUCCAUCAUCGCAAGAGAUCAUCUUGGAAAAUCUUGGAUAUGCUCCGAUUAUUGUGAAAAGCAUUUCUGAGCAAGAAUCGCCUUCACUUUGCUGUUUGUUGCUGUAGCUAAUCACGUCUGAAUUAAAGCACACCAUUCUUUCAUUUUUUGUCAACACAAUGGUAAUCCUGAUCAGUUGGAGAGAAAAUUCAGCUACAGCAGCUUCAAGAAACACUCUGGCAGCAAGGAUGAUAUCAUAUCCUCAUCAAAGCUAAUUGAAUCCGUUUCUGGGAAGUUUCCUUUUUUUGAAAUUAAGAAUAUAGCUGCUGAUGCAUAGGGAAGAGACUCCCAGAUUUAAAAUUUGCAGUCAGGAAAGAAGCAGAGUACUCUCUGAGGAAGAAGUGGAAAAAGAUUGAAAACUUUGAUGCCCAUGAAGAAGGAACCUGAUUCCACUCUUGAAAAAAUAUUAGACAAAUCUACUGGUUAUUUGACGAUUGAAGAGUCGUAGGGUAUUAUUAGUUGCUUAUGAAUUGUUAAAACAGCAAGUUCCUGCAGUGGUCAUGCAGGCUGGUCUACAACUGUGUGCUUGCCUAAUAAAAACACAUUCUCUAGCCUUGGAGUUCCCUGAAAAUGGAGGUGUGGCUGCUCUUUUCUGUCUUCCAAGAAGCUGCUUCUUUCUUGGAUAUGACACGGUAACAUCUGCUAUCAUUCAGCAUCUCCUUGAAGAUCCGUAGACACUUCAAACAGCUAUGGAAUUGGAGAUACGACAAACUCCAAUGGGAACCUUGAAGUGUAUAUUUGUAGAUCAAAGCUUCGCGACCAUUACUGUUAGUAAUGAACUAAGCUUCAAUUUUGAUCUAUCUUCAACAAUAGGAAUUGAUUUAUCCAAAAAUUUGCUACAUAGAGAGAUACCGACAGGAUUUUCUGGGCUGUUGGGUUUGGAAUACCUGAAUUUAUCAUAUAAUUAUCUUGAUAGUCAGCUUCUUACCUUGGAAAAGACGGAGAGAUUGAUGGUACUGGACCUAUCAGACAAAUCUUUGUCAGGUCAGAUCCUAGAAAAUGUUUCCAAUCCAAGAAACGUAAAGAAUCAAGAUAUGUCAAGUGGAGGUUCAAAAUACGGAGGAUAAGGGUCAUAUUCAGAUUCCACCCUUCAAUUCGAUCAUGGUUUCUGGUUGUUCAUUGCAGUUGUUCUACUGAAAGGCACAGACGAGUAAUCAGUGAACUCGAUAAAGCAUUAUCUUCAUUUUCGAACCUGGAGUGCAAUUCUUCGAAGAGCAUUUUAUUGCCAGAUAAAAAGCAAAAAGCAUGAUAGAUGGAGGAAUGGUUCGGUGCCUAACUAGCAUUCUUGAGUGAUGCAGUUUUCAAGUUUGAUGGUCUGAACAAGAAAAAUCCCCAGCUUCAAACCGAAGAUCUGAUGAUCAGGGGAUUGCACCAUUAACUACAGAGAUUGGUGAGAAUAGUCAGAAUAGAAACAACCAACAAGGACUCAUGGAUGCAGUAGGAACAGAGCAGCGACAACGUCAAGGAAUUUUGCAAAGUGAAGGAAAUCAUUCAUUUACAGAUUCGGUCCGAUUAUGGAUGAAAAGCAACAAUUAGGAGUCUGCUUGGUGAUGGCAACGACAAGGAUACCUAUUCUAGUGGAACCAUUGAAUCAAAUCUUGGUGGCGAGAAAUUAACACAGAAUGCAGGAAAUCCGUCAAUACAAAAAACUGGGGAUUUUGAACUUUAUGUUCAGUGUUUGACCAAUAUUGGGGAGAAUCCAUUUGAGCUUACGGACCAAGUUACCUUAUAAAUCGAAAUGCUUCUGACCACUGAAUACUUUGGCAACGAAUUGGGUCCUUCUAUCCCGAAUUUUUAGACUCCACUCCAUCAUGGUUACCUUGCUACACACACCUCCUCCUCUUUUUUGGCUUCUUUGAUUAGGAAUUUACUAUUUUAAAUUGAAUUUUUUAAAUCAUUUUUCAACUAAGCAUUUCCAGCUUUGAAAAAUCCAGAUUUUAAUAAAUUUGCUGCCACUUUCCUCCAGGCAUGCAUUUUCACUAUCUUCUUUUAUUCUCAAUUAUUUUCAUGGUUUUCUCAAUUUUCAACAAGCAUGAACAAACUUCAUGAUUCCAAAUAAUGGAAUUCAUAGAAUCAAUUCAUGCAAAAUUAAUUAGAGCUAUGGUGGGGGCCCAACAUUCGUGAUAUUUUCCUCAAUAUUGUCUGUUUAAUUGUGCUUCCUCUAUGUGGAUACAUGAGAUUGUUUUACACUUAUUAUUGAGCUAAUCUUAUUUCUCAUUUUAGCGCACGGCUUGCUAUCCAGGUACGUUCCCUAAUACCCACUUUCUAAACCCUAUGAAUAUGAUUGUCGUUGCGUACUAUGCCCAUGCUUGCUAUCCUGUUUGAUUGUCUUGAUAUAUAUUUGAUGUUUGUUUGAUUAUCUUUGAUAAAAUGCAUAUUGGGUGAUAUAUUAUCUAAACUAACCAUUGAUGUUUUAUCAUAGCGCUUAAGAAGUGGUCCAGGUACGCACCCUAACUCUCCUUUAUUGUAAUUUGAUCAUGUUUGACAUGUUAUUUUUUAAAUCACCUUAGUCUAUCUAGAUAUCCUUAAUCACUCAAUUAAUUGCCACAUUUCCCCCAAUUUAGUCAGUAGAGACCUCUUUAGGGCUUAGAGGGGUGCUACCUCCUAGAGGUACCUUCGCAAUAAGUAACCUGAUCCCCAGACCUAGACUUGGGUUUUUAAAAAACACGCUUUUCCAAAAAUUAUGGAGUCAUUUUUUUAGGGUUUUAUUUCUUGUUUUAUUUUCCCUUUAAAAUAAAAAUAAAAUGAGUGGCGACUCCGAUUUUUCUUUCCAAAAAUUACUUUUUCAGAAAUAAAAAACGAGUCUCGCCGAUCGAGUGGGGACGCAUGUGAAAAAUGUGGGUCCACAGACAGGUUGGCCUUUGGCAAUUGCAGCAGACCCUCUGAACCAUCAUCAGCUAUCAGACCUAGCAGACCUCCUUGUCAUUUUGCUUACUUGGAGGUUCUUCAAGAUCACGGACCAUGCCGACUCCGUUUUGCAAUCGAUAUACUUUUUUAAGAUCAGCAAAAGCAACAAUCUAAACUCAGAAUCAGAUCACCCACAAUUGUCUAGUCACUGGAUGAGAAAACCUCCAGGUCCUUUUUGAGGAACAUGUAUUAAGGACCCUUCCACAACUUUCUUUAUCCAUUCCUUUGCCAAGUGAUAUGUUCUCUUCUAUCUUGCCACUCUGAAUUCAAGGAAAAUGAGUACCAAAUUAAACAUCAUAACCAACUUGUUCACUAUGGUGGCCUUUAAUUUGAGCUUUACAAUUUCUAGGAAACCCGUGACGGAUCAAAUUCCUAAGUUGCAUUCCUGAACGCACCAAAACUCAUGCUAAUACCUUCAUGGGCACCAAAACUAAUCAAUCUCACCACUAGCAAAACUUCUCCAAAAAAUCGGCAAAACUAUCCAUGCUUCAUCUUUCCUCUGUUCUUUCGCCCCUGUUUUUCUUCCUUCAUUCUCCAGUAAUAGAUACUUUAACCGGUGCCAAACAAUCUUCCUCCUGGAAUGGUAGUUGUACGAGAAACCCUUGAACUUGUUUUCUUAUUCCAAAUUUGGAUAUGGAGUUUUGACAGCAUCAAGAAACCAUUCUUUAGUGCCAUUGAUUAGUGAUGCAGGCAUGGCUGGAAAUACUCGAAAUAUCCACAUAAAACAAAGGAAGACUGGAAAUGGACCAAUAAAAAAUAAACAACAAAAAGGAAGAACCAAUGGAAGCCAAAUUUCAUAUUUUAUUCCAUGGGCUUAGGUUGGUGAGGGGAAUACAAGCAAAUUCCAACAAACAUAUACGACGACUAUUCUCAUGUAAUGCACAGUAAAUAAAAAAGGUAAAGUCUUUUAGCCCUAAACCAAAACUAGAGUACUCCAAAGGGAGAAAUCAACAACAUCUAGAGAAGCAAUCAAGUGCCAAUCCAAACAAACAUAUAGCCUCUAUCAUUCUACACCCAAGCAUCCAAACAAAACUCAAAAUCCCACGAAGAUCAAUACAUAACAAAAGGAUAACGAGAAUGAAGGAAGAGUCAACAAGAGGCAUUCCUGGAAAUGUUCCUCUCUAGUAAGAAAAUCCCUGUUGGUAUAUCGUCUUAGAUCUCUUACUCUGCUUUGUUGUGUUUCCUUCCUCUCCCUAUGAAGACAAUCUCAGAAUUCUCCNNNNNNNNNNNNNNNNNNNNNNNNNNNNNNNNNNNNNNNNNNNNNNNNNNNNNNNNNNNNNNNNNNNNNNNNNNNNNNNNNNNNNNNNNNNNNNNNNNNNUUUUUUUCCGGGGGGUUGGGGUGGGGGGGGGAAAAAAAAAAAAUUCCAAAAAAAAUUUUGGGGGUUUUUUUUUUUUAAAACCCCAAAAAAAAAAAAAGGAAAAUUUUUUUUCCCCAAAACAAAAAAUGGGUUUUCCCAAGGGGGAAAAUUCACAACUUUUGGGGAAGAAAAAAAGGGCCAAUCCAAAAAAAAAUUUUUCUUUUUUUUUUUUCCCCCCAAGGCUUCAAAAAAAAAUAAAAAUCCCCGGGGGUUCAUUUAUUUAAAAAAGGGUUCGGGGAAGGGGGGGGGGGCCCCCCGGGGGCCUCCCGAAAAAUUUUCCUUUUUUAAAAAAAAACCCCGGGGGGAUUUUUUUUUAAUUUUUUUUUUUUGUUUUUGGGGGUUUCCCCCCCCCCCCUAAAAAAAAAAUUUUAAAAUUUUCCCCCCCUUUAAAAACCCCCCCCCCCCCCCCCCCCCCCCCCCUUUCCCCUUUUUCUUUAUUCCUCCAAAAGCCUAAUCUAAACUCAAAGGGCAACCAAGGUCACGAUGAGGGGUCAAGUAAAUCCCCCAACUAAAGUCUCUGAGGUGGCUAAAAAAAAAGUAAAUUGUAUGAGUAGUCAUGGGCCACCAAGAGACUACUAUUAAGUAUCAAAUGAGCUUCUAAUAGGACAUGUGCUAAGAGGACAAAAUGGAGGGUCUACAAUACCUUUUUAGGAUCACAUAAAGGGACACUUUGUCUCAAUUCCAUGAGAUAUCAUGGUGCCUACAUUUAGAAUACCUAUUGUUACUGGCUUUCAUCAACAAUGACCCAAUCCAUAGGAAAUAUGUGAUCAACUUACAAUCUCACCCGUAAAUCAAAGACACUAGUAACUUUAGCAUAAACUCAACAUUCUCUCAAAGUUGAGGGACAACGCAAUGAAGUAGUUUGGUGAGGUCAUGACUACUUGAUAGCCUUAAGUCAUGACUUAUUGUAGGUCCUGUUCAAUGUGUAACCAUACACACUAAUGCACUCACCAUGGGAAACCCAUCUCGAUAGCCAAGACCAAUUAUCCCUCUAAUUAGGAGGUGGUGCACUACAACCCAUAAUAGGUUGCCUAGACCCAUGAAUCGGUUGUGAACAAGUCAUCUAUUUGUAAGAAAUCCAUGACUUGGAUCUUUCUUGCAACUCUUAAAGCACCAAGUCACGUACAAUGCAAAAUAUGCAUGCAAGAAUGCUCAUAAAAGUGUAAUGCAUGGAAUAAAUUAAAACAAAUAAAAGUGAAACUAGAAUAUCAUUAAAUAAUGAAUUCCAAAUUUGUUAUAUCAUUGUCAUGCUUUUAAGGGCUCUAUCUUAACAACAUUAAUUUAUUUUGUUCUAAGAUCAUCAAAUUUUUAUUUAACACAACCUCGUUGAUCUAUAUACAACACAACUUGACUUCUCCUUAAUUUGAUAUCAUAUUUUUUUUUUCUUUUGAAAGUAAAGGCAUCGUAUACCAUGAUCUCUUUGAUUUUCCAUUUUAUUUUUCAUCGUGGUUGCCUUUGUUUCCAUUUUGGAGGUGUUUCCAUAUGUUACAAGUGAGCAACUUAUAUUUAAGAGCAUGAAUUUUGGAAAGUGUAUGAGAGUUUUGCUUAUCUAAAGAUUCAAGUAUAUACUAACUUACUUCGAGAAACAAUUAUAAUGAUCUUAGUCAAACAAGGCAUGUAGACAAUAAGAUUUGAGCAUGAUGUACAAAGGAUCUUUCCAAAGAUAUCAAUGUCUACUUUAUGAGUUAAACUUAAGAAGUCUCCCUCUUGAUCAAGCACAAAAUGUAACUAAGGUUGAAAUUCCACUCUCCAAAGACAUUUAAUUAUCAAGAAUCAUAUCUGCAAUAGUGAUUAACAAAUAUCUAAGAAUCAAUCCACAUCAAGUCUUGUAGAUAUAGUAUAUUUCUCUAGUUCUCAAACUUGAGAUAUUAAAAAUCAUGCCAAUAUAUCAAGUAAAAAAGCAAAAAUCAUAUGCCCAAAGCAAACCAGAAGAAAACCCAAGGAAAAAAGUAGACAAUGAAACAAUUAAGCUCAAAACCUUUCAAGGCCUAUAACAUUAGAUAAUUAGUCAAUUAGGCGUAUGCCCAAGGAUUUCCUAAGGAACUCAAACCUAAGAGAAUUCAAGGGUUUUGUAAAGAUAUCUACCAAUUGAUGUUUCGUGGGGACAAACUCUAGAGAGACAACGUUUUCUUCAACAAAAUCCCUAAUGAAAUGAUGAAAAAUUUCAAUAUGUUUAGUACGAUAAUGAAGAACACGAUUCUUUGAUAUAUUUAUAGAACUAGAGUUUUAAUAGUAUAUGUUCAUGGUCCUUUACUCAAUCCUAUAGUCUUUCAGUAUUUGUUUCAUCCAUAAGAAUUGUGUACAACAACUUUCAGCAACAAUAUAUUCAACUUCAACAAUAGAUAAGGAUAUAGAUUUUUUUUUUCUUACUAAGCCAACCCACAAAACAAUCACCAAUAAAAAAGUGAGCAUCAUAUGUGUUUUUUCUAUCCUCAACAUUUUCGACCCAAUCAACAUCAAAAUAACUAACAAUCAUAAUAGAAGAAUCAUAGGGAUACCAAAAACCAUAGUCAAGAGUCUCACUAAUAUAUAAUGUAAUUCUUUUAACGGAAAUUAAGUGUGACUCUUUGGGGUUUGCUUGUUAGUUAACACAAACACCAACACAAAUGAUAUGUUAGGAUGACUCACUAUGGGGUAUAAUAAGUUUCCUAUCAUACUCCUAUAGAGCUCUUUUUCAACAUCCUUUCUAGAUGCAUCCUUAUUAAGCUUAGUGGUAGUGUUCAUAGGUGUCCUAGAGUGUUUGGUGGAUUCUAGACCAAAUUUCUUCACUAACUACCGAGCAUAUUCAGAUUGUGAAAGAAAGAUUUCAUCUUUUAGUUGUCUAAUCUACAAUCCUAAGAAGAAAGUUAGUUCACCAAUCAUACUCAUCUCAAAUUCAGUCUUCAUUUCCCUAACAAAACUAAAGUCAAGAUCACUAGAGGUGGCUCCAAAAACAAUAUCAUCAACAUAAAUUUAGAUCACUAAUAAUUCAUCCUUGUACCUAUGCGUAAACAAGGUUCUAUCAACUUCCCUUUUCUCAAACUUUUUCUCCAAAAGCUAGGUAGUAAUCAUCUCAUACCAAGCUUUAGGAGCUUGUUUUAAUCCAUAAAAGGCUUUCUUCAACCUAUAGCUAUGAUUGGGGAAUUUCGGAUCCUUGAAACCCUUAGGUUACUCUACAUAAACUUCUUUACUUAGAAUCCCAUUAAAUAAAGCACUCUUGACAUCCAUUUGAUAAAGCUUCAUUCUCAAGGAGCAUACUAUAGCCCAAGUAUCUUGAUUGAUUCUAGUUAGGUUACGGGUGGAGAUGUCUCUUCAUAAUCAAUCUCCUCUAUCUGUGAGUAUCCUUGGGCUACUAAUCUUGCUUUGUUCCUCACAAUGACCUUAUUUUCAUCUUGUUUAUUUUUUAAAAUCCAUUUUACACCUAUGACAUACUUAUCUUUAGGCCUAAGGACUAAAUACAACAUAUCAUUCCUAGUGAAUUGAUUCAACUCUUCCUAUAGUGCGGUAGUCUAAGACUCAUCUUCUAAAGCUUACUCCAUGAUAUUGGGCUUCAAUUGGGAGGUAUAGCAUAUAAGAUCCAUUUCAUUUAAUCUUUGAUUAUCUCCUAGCAACUACACGUUCAUUCACCUUACCUAUAACUUUUGAGAUACAAUAGUUCUUGGGUACUUUGGAUUUAUGCUUAUUCCCCAUUUCUUCAUAAUUGUCUUCUUGAGAUAUAUUCUCAUCCUUGUUGGGGUCAACUUCACUUUGAGGAACAUUAUUUGGGUUCUUUGAUUUCUCCUUAAAAAAACUCACAAAGAAGUAUCUUGAAAAAUCAUCCACAACAACUAGGACAAAUCUCUUACCACUUCUACUCUCAAUAUGCAUGGGACCCAUAGAUCCAUAAAAAGAAGGUCUAAAGGUCUAGUGGUCCUAAUUUCCUUAACCUUUUUGUGUGAACUUUUUUAUUGUUUACCCACCACAAAUGGGUUUAGGUUCACCACUAAGUUUAGGGAUUCCUCUAACUUUUUCACUAUUAACUAAGUGUACAAGAUCCCUAUAGUUUAUUUGACCUAGCCUUCUAUGCCAAAGUUUAGUAAGGUCUAGCUUAGCACUAGUGCACACAAGAGGUGUCUUAGAGUUAGGAUUUAUUGCAUAACAGUUGUCAACUAUCCUAUGUCCUGUGGUAAUGGCUUUUCCUUCUUUGUUGACUACCUUGCAUAAGUCUUAGCAAAAAUUCACCCUAUGAUCUUUGUCAUAGAUUUGACUAAUACUUAGGAGGUUUGCCUUGAGUUCAUCUACAUAAAGAACUCCAUCUAACUUAGGACAAGUAGGGAUAGAUAUACUUCAUUUGUCUUUCACAAGCUAAGUUUCCAUCCCCAAAGGUAAUUGUGCCACCAUUAUAGUCCUUAAAAGAUAUGAAAGAAGGACUUGUCUCUUGUCAUGUGUCUAGAGCAACCACUAUCAAAGUAUCACUCACUAGAAGACCUAACUUUAAGUGCAGUGAAGACUACUUGACAUUUAGGCUUAUUUUUUUUCAUCCAAACUUGUUUAAUCCUAGGUGGUAACUUAGAGAAGCUUUAUUGAGAUAUAGGCUUUUGAUUAGGUUUAUUCCCUUUUCCAUAAUUCAAGAUGUUAUUUUUAAGGGAAUUAAAGUCAUUCAUUAGCCUAUUUAUUUGAGAUUCAAAUCUCUCUAGGAACUUAGUGUAGCACCUAUACUGAGUGUGUCCUAUUUUCUUUCAGUGUAUAGUGAUGGGUUUAUGAGAGAUGCUACUUGGUUGGGGGUUUCAUCUUUUCCUUUAACAAACACAAUUUCUCCACUAGAAAGAGUUUCAUCUUUAUUAAUAUACUCCAAACCUCAUUUAUCACCAUGGGUUUUCAUUUAUCAAGUAUUUCAUUAAGCAUUUUAGUUCUAAGGUGAAAGAUCUCAUUCACAAAUGAAAAAGGCUUACUAUUUUUCAUCUCUUAAGUAGGAGUCUUAUUUUUCUCAAUAAGAGAAUGAUGUUCAGAUCAAGAAAUCUAUUUUUUUUUUCAAGUAUAUUAAUAUUUUUUUCUUUUAGCACAUCAAUCUUAGUUUUGUAAGCUUCAAGUAUAUGAUCAUAUCUUAAAUAAUUCUUAAUAAGUUUUUCAUGCUCAACAACAAGAUUAUUCAAAAAAGUAGCUUUUUGAUCAUUAGUGAAUUCAUUAUCACUAUCACUAUCAUGCACAAAUUCCAUAGAUGCAACAAAAGCUAAAAAGUUAUUAGGAUCAUACCUUGUAUCUUCAGAAGUUGUGGAACCACUUUCUUCAAAAUCAAUGUCACUCCAUGUAGCUUGCGUAGACUUUUUGACAUUUUUUGGGUUAGGACAAUCAGUAGCAAAGUGUCCCAAACCACCACAAUUAAAGCAUUCUACUUUCUUACCUUUGGAGGAACCUUAAUCAUUUUCUUUGGAUGAUUUCUUAAGUCUCUUUCCUUUUCUAGAUUCUUGAUUUUCGCAAAACUUUUUGUUGAAUUUCAUUACCGUUUUAAUUCUUUUAGUCAUAUAAAUCAAUUCAUUCCUAGUUAUAUUAUGUGACAUUUCAGUAUCUUUUUUCUCAUUCUCCGAAGCCUUAAAGACAAAGUCUUGAGGAUUUUGAGAAUUAGGUAAGGGCAUCUCAUAUGUCUAUAUAAAGCCAACAAGUUCACCAACUCUCAUCUAAUCAAUGUCUUUGCUUUCCUCUAUAGCAAUAACUUCAGGUUUAAAUCUCUUUGGGAGAAAACUCAAAAAAUUUUCUUACUACAUUUGAAUCUAGAAUGGGUUUUCCAAGGUUCAAAGAAGAAUUAACUAAUAAUCUCAAAUUUAGUUUUGAUUUUCAUGCAUUGUAAUAAUCUCAAAUUUAGUAGUAAGCAUUUGCAAUUUAGAAACUUUAAUAGUAGGUGUACCUUUAUGAGUGACUUGAAGGAUAUCUCAUGCUUCCUUAGCACGAGUAUGGUUUGUUAUCUUGCGAAACUCAUCUGGACAAACUCUAUUAAAGAUACUAAAUAAAGCCCUAACAUUGGCUUCACUUCCUUCAUUAUCAACUUUGUCCCAAUCUUGUUUAGGUUUUAAUUCUCCAAGUGAUCUUCCACGGACAUCAAGAAACAAUGAGGGCGUUCACCUUGCAUUUUAAGAAAAAACUUCAUCUAGGCUUUCCAAUAGGGAUGGUUACUCCCAUAGAAGCAAGGUAGACUAUUUAGAGGAGCCCUAGUUUUUUAUUGUUUCAUACUAGACUUACAAAAUCAAUAAAAAUUUCAUUUUUAUCCUAUAUAAUUAAUAAAAAUUUGAUUUUUAAUCAAUAUGAAAAAAAUCGAUUUUUAUUUGUUUGUAAUAUCAAUUGAAAAACCAAAAGUCUAUUAGGAUAACACCCAAAGGGAAGGGGGGUACUGAGUGUAUUUAAAAAUUAUUUGUAUAUUAUAACUAACUUUUUCCUUGCAAGAAGUUAGGGAUUAUUAAUUCAUUCAACAAUGGACAAUGUAAUCAAGAUAAUCAAAUAUAUGCAAUGAAGCAUAAGGAUAUUUACAUGGAAAACCCUCACACCAACUAUGGAGAUAAAAAACCACGAGGUCUAAGAUUGUUAAUCUAAAUCCACUAUAUGAGAUCAAGUUACACAAAUUUACUUGACCACUUUACCCUAAAAACUUACUCUCCAAUAUCUACAACUUAAUCCACGUCUGUGAUGCAGCAAAUCCCUAAUUGCUCCAAUGAAUACACUUCAGCCUCGCUAAAGGGAUGAAGAUCUUCAACCCCAAGAUUCAAAGCUUGAAUUCUUUGAAUGAGAGAUCAUGAAUGGUAUGACACGUUAGAAUUUCUCUUAAAGAGACUCUUUUGAAUCUCUCUAAUCUCUUACCCUAUAAGGGUUAUAGAGAGGUAUAUAUAGGCAAAUAACCCGAAGAGAUUUGAUAUGCAUAGGUUUCCAAAUCCAACUUAUGUGAAAUUCUCAAAAUUAUUCUCUAAUUUUUUGCAAGAAAUACAUGAGCGCUUGAGCACACAUAACCACCGCUUGAGUGGUGCUAAGCGCUUAAGCGGUCCCAAUGCUUGAGUGUUGCUGCCUACUCAAUUGUCCCCUAUUUCAUUCACUUUUUUUAAAAAAAAAAAAAAAUCAAUUUUUGUUGAUUUAAAAGAUAUCGUUCCUCUUUAUACCUCAUAAAAGUCUAACUUGCCACAAGUCAAACCUUUUCAGACAUACCUGUGACUUCUCAGUUGAACGAACAACAACCCUUGAUCUUCAAUGAAGAGCAAGUCACUAUUUAAUAGGACUUAUGUGUUCAAACAUUAAAAGAAAUAAAAUUGUCGACAUACAAACAAGACUCAAUGUCCUAACAACAUCUCUAUCAUUUAGAUUCCAUAUAUGUAUAUUACACCCAACAAACUUAAAAUGAUUGAAAAUUUCAUGAUAUAUCUAAUUUAAUGGCAAUAUAAAGACCACCAAAAAGAAUGAUAUUUGACAUUCUAAUCAUAAUACAUUUUUGUUAGUUCACGAUGUAAUUUUUAUUUGUUUUCAUUAAGAUUAUGUUUGAUUUUUGAAAAAUAGUAAAAAAAAAAAAAAAUGUAAUAAAAAAGAAAGAAAAUAUAAAAAAAUAAAAAAAUGAAAAAAAUAAAUUUUAAAUUUUAAAUUAAUAAAUUAUUUUUACACACUUCUUCAAACUUAACUCAUUUAGUUUUUAUCUUUUAUAUAAAAAUUAAGUAAUUUUUUUUUAAAGUUUCUAACUAAUUUUAAUUAUAUUUUAUUUUCUUUCAUAUUUCUUAUAGUAAAAUAAACAUAAAAAACAUUUUCCUUAACAAAAAUUUCCCCUUUUUCCAUAACAUUUUUCAAGGAAGAAGACCAAAAAACCAUAUAUAUAUAGCCUAAUUAUGUUUAAUCUUUUUAGAAAUAUCCCAUAAAAUAUGGAACUUUCCAAGUCAACCAAACAUUGUUUAAAAGAAUGAAUGAAAAGAAAAGUAAAAUGAAUAAAGCAUACACUAAUAAAUUUCUUUGGAUCAAUUUUCUUCUGUACUUUUAUUCUCAUCAGUUGCCAAUAUAUAUACACAGAGAAGAGAUACAUCAAGACUCCUAAAUAAGGUAAAACUAAACAAGGAAGAAAAUAUGUACAAAUUACAAACACAAUAUUUGCCUACCACGCCAAUCAAGGCUUACCAUAAUCGGCUUGCCCAUCAAAGUUUACCAUAAUCACUAAUAUAUGAAGUUGGAAUAUAAUUAAUGCGAGCACAUGAAGCUACAUUUGAUAAUAUCACAUCUCUUCAAUAACCCUUAAUUAUAAUGUCCAUAAUAAUUAUAAUUCACAUCUUAUAUUCAUGUUGCUUGAUAAUAAGAAAAUGGACACCAUAAAAAAUAGGAUAAAAUAAGUAUUGAAAGUCUUCACCUAAUGAAUAAUAAAUGUCCAUAUUUUCUAUUAGGCCACAUGGGAGUUUUCAAUGAACGAAUCAACGUCUCAGUUGUAGCCUUCACCUAACAUAUAACAUAACAUGGGCAAGUUAAUCGUAUUAUAUUAUCUUGAUAAACAUAAGUUUAUAUUUUUUUUUCUUUCUUAUCACCUCUUACUUUUUAAUAACUUUAGAAGUUCAACUUUUGUAUCAAAAUGAAAUUAUUAAAUCAACAAAACUUCAUCCAAAACUGGAAAAUUGAUAAAUUCAACAAUAAUAAAUUUUAUGAGGCACCAUAUUGACCAAAACCUAACCCAACUUUAGAUCUUUCUUCAAAUAUUCACACUUAUAAAUUUUUAUCCUCAAAGAAUUAUCGAUAACAUAUAUUUAUUUACCAUUACUUUGAUAUUUUGGUAAUCUAAUUUAUGGCCAAGCGCGAGCAUAAUUUAAAUUUAAAAUCAUUAUCAAUUCUCUCCCAAAUAUUUUCUUUUGUAGUUGAUAUUUGAACAUUUAUCAAUAUAAAGAUUAUUGUGUCGAUAAUAUUUUCACUCCCAACGAAAAUGAUGGCAUAAGAUGUAAGACUCAAGAUUCGGUAAGCUUGAGAUUUGAUAUUGGUUUUGAGAAAAUAUGUCUAAAAAAGUAAGUAUGAGAUUAUGUGUGCUUAAGAUUUGGUGUUGACUUAAAAUUUGAUGUGAUUUGAAUCACACAAAGAGGAUUAGUUUUAUCUUAUUGAAUUAACUUUCAAUAAUUUCAAGUCUUAGAUUGAGUUUUGUCCAUCUCAUCUAAAAUAUUAAUUGAUGUUUGACGUGGAUAACCUAAACUUUUUAUUACAUUCAAUUACCAUCAUUUAAGUGCUUUAUUCCUAAUAUUAAAGAGUAACAUUGUUGUACACUAACAAUCCUUCCUUUAACACUUCUAUGGAGUGAACCAUAACUAUUAACUCCAAUAUUAAUUCUUGGAUAGGGUAUUUAUCAUUUCUUCUCAAAACCAAUUAUAUUCAAUGAGAAUAAACUAAAUUUUUUAUGGCUUUCAACCACCAUCAUUUUGAUUGCCCAUCUCUAUACUUAAAGAAUGACAUUAUUGUUGCACCCUCAUGAUGAGAAAUAGUUUUAUUCACUACUUUUAACGAAUUUGUUAUUUUGAUUAAAUAUACUUCUUUUUAUUAAAAGUUUUGUAGCAUUCUUCGAACAGAUAACAAAUUAAUCGAUUUCAAUUUUAAUAAUAGUGAGCUUGUAGACUUGUUUUAUUUUCUAAUUUUUAUAUCAUCACACUUUGGUUUAUAAAUUGAUUCGUUAAUUAUAUUUAUGUAUUUGUCGCUUUCCUUUGACAUUUUAUAAAAUUAUUGUUCAUGUAAUAUGCAUGAAGAAUUUACUAAUAUUUUACUUAAAAUAUUAUAAGAAAUAAAAAGUAUUUAAACCACUUCGUUUUGAAAAAAUAAUGUAUUACCAGUGUUGUCAUUUUUAUAUUCACAAAAGUCUACUAUAAAUAUUUUUAUAAAUUCUCUCUUAUUAUUCACAAUUUUCCAUCCUUAGUGGUGUAUUAGGCAAAUAUUUUUUGUUACAAAAGUUACAAAAUAAAAUAUAGUUAUAGUGAAAAAAUUAUUAAAACAAUUAUACAUGACAUAGAAUGUAUAUUAUUAUAAUAUAUUAGCUAGUUUUAAGUUCUAAUAUUUAAUUGUGGGUGAGUGCUUAUUAAUGAAGCUUCUCCAUUUUUUCUCUUUUUAAAUGCCUUCUAAUUAACAUUUUUGGACUAUUUUGCAGAUAAUGAACAAAUUAGGUAACUUGAGUUUUAAUUAAUAUAAGUUUAUCCACUUGGUUUUCCCCUCCUUCAAUGCUUGGUCUCUGUUACAACCUUGUGAUUUGUAUUCAUGAGUAAUUAAUUGAUGGUAUCAUUUUCUAUAAAAUAUUGAAUGGUAGUUUAGGUUCAACUUUUGUAUUUAAAUUAUUUGUAUAUCUUUCUUCUAGAAGGAGUAUUCAAUCUUGUUUGGUAACUAUUUUUUAAAAAUAGUUUUUAAUAAUAGUUUUUGAAAAAAAAUAUAUGAUAUUUUGUAAGAUAAAAAUCUAUUUAAAACUUGAAAUAUUUUUAACAUGUUUUUAAUAUUUUUAAAUAUGUUUUGAAAAUAAUUUUAUGUGUAAAACUGUAUUUUUAUUUAUUAUAUAUAUUUAUAUAAUUAUUAUUUAAAGAAACUUUCAAAAAACAAGUGAAAACAAUUAAAAGAUGUUAUCUUAAAAUAUUCUAUUUUUUUCCUUAAAAAUAGAAAAUAGAAAAAAGUUUUUUUUAUUACCAUACAUGUUUUCUAGUUUUUUUUUUAAAGAAAAAAAUAAAAAAUUGCUCUUGAAAACAAUUGUGAAAUCAAAAAACAAAAAGCUUCUACACUUUUUUUUUCCCUAAAAUUUCUAUAUUUUUAUAAUAUUAGGUAAUGUUUGACUAAAAAAAUUAAGGAUAAAAAUAAAAAUAAAAAUGUAAAAAAAAGUUAUAAAAAAUUAUCUCCUAUUCUUUUGUCCAAGGAAAAACUACAAGGAAAACAAUUAAAAUUACAGAGGAAUACACUUUGGAUUCACAAAAUUUUCUCAUCCUUUUUUUUUUUUUGAAAGAAAUAUAAAAGGGAAAAAUCUUUUAGAUUAUGCUUGAUUAUUGAAAUAUAUUUUUUUUUAAAUAAUCCUUUGAUAUUUAGUUUUACUAUCGAAAAUAAGAAAAACUAAAUAAAUUAAUUAAAAAAUUUGUAUUUUCAAAUUAUUUAAUAUUUAUAUGGGAAUUAUUAACAUAAUUUUUUUAAAACAAAUUAUUUUUUAUUUUCUUCAUUAUUUCUUUCCUUUUUUUUUUUUUUUUAUGAUAUCUCAUAUGGCAUAUAUGAGAAAACUCCUAACUUUGUAUAAGUGUGGGUUCAUAUUAAUAAUAUAGAUAAACUUUAAAAUAGUGAGGAUCCCUUCAAACUCAGAAUAAAUAAUAUGUGUACUGUUGGAUAUGGAUAGUUACAUUCUCUUCUUUUUUUUUCUAUUUGCUUUAUCUUGGCUCCUCAUAAUUAGCCAAAUGUCCAUCCAAAAGACUUGGACGUAAAGGAAAAAAAGUAAAAUGAAUAAAGCAGUGGAGCAUAAAUAAUACAUUGGUUAUAAGGUUGAAUGAGAAGUGAGAACAGAUGGCACCACAUUUUAUAUUGACAACGACCGCAUUUUAUGGGAAGUAUUAUUUAAUACUUGUCCACCAAUUACAUAAUAUUAUUCAGUGCCCAUGUGACUCAGCAACGAUCUAUUUUUUCUAAGUCUCUUAGACUUUUACGUAUUAAUUUUUUAUCAUAUUCAUUGUUUUUAGAUUUAAUAAUUAUACAUUUACAACUACUUUAUAGUAAAAAUAUAAUAUUAUUUAUAAAUUAAUAAAUUAUUUAUUUAUCAAUAAAUUAAUAAUCCUACAAAAAUGAUAAAUUCUCUUGGUUCCAAGAGUAUUAUUUUACUGUAGUUGGAGAGACACCCAUUCCUUUACUGAUAUUAUUGGAAGAGAUGAAAGCAAAAAGGGUGUGAUACGGAAGUUGUUUUCAUUUAAGAAUAAAUCUUAAAGUUGUUGCCAUACUUGGUACUGGGGGCUGGUUAAGGCCACCCUUGCUCUCAAUUGGUCUACAAUGAGAGUUUAAGACCAAAAUAAUCCAUUUGUAAAAAAAAUGACAAUAAUAGUACCGAUCUCAAAAUAUUUGUCAAAAUAAUCUUUUGUAUCCACGUAAGCAUUCACAUGGAUUUUUUUUUAAGUGUAAAAAACCACCGUUGAUAACUAUGGUUUUAAAAGUUUCAAAAAUAUCUUUAAAACCACAGUUUGUAACUGUGGUUUUACAAUUUUUCUUAAAACCACAGUUAGUAACUGUGGUUUCAAAUUUAUUUUUAAUUCACCCCGUUUGAAUGGUAGUGUGAUUUUAAUAUUAUUUUUAAAAUAUUUUUUAUCAUAAUAACCAUAAAAUCACAGUUAGUAACUGUGGUUUUAGAAAUAUAAUAAAAACCACAGUUACAGAUUAUGGUUUCACACUUUACCAAAAUUUCUUAACGAUAUACCAAAUUUCCCUAAAGUUCAUUUAGGAGUAGAGAUAUUUUUUUGCAAUUUUUCAUUGUCAGUUUAAAAUUAUUUUUUUUACAAAUUAUUCUUAAUAAAUUUUUUCUUUACUAUUGUUUUAAAAUUAUAUAUAUAUAUUUUUAUCUUUAUUUUUUUUUCAUAUUUUCCUUGAAAUUUUGAGAAAAUAAUUUCUCCUACAUGCAUUCCCAUAAAAAUUUAUAUAUUUAUGGUAAAUAAAAUAUUUAUUUGUUUUAUGAAUUUUAUCACAUAUGAAUUAAAUAAAAUUAUUUUUUCAUAUUAUUUUUAAAUUUUAAAAUAAUUAAACAAAUUGUUUAUAUUAUUUAAAUUUUAUAUUUUCAAAUAAAAAAUAAUAUCAAUGAUUAUAAUUUUAGGUUAUUUAUUACUAAUUGUGGUUUAAUGGUUAUUAUGAUAAAAAAAAAUAUUUUAUCAUUAAAAUGGAGGUGGAUUAAAAAUAAUUUUGAAACCACAGUUAAUAAUUAUGGAUUUAAGGAAAAUUGUAAAACCAUAGUUACAAACUAUGGUUUUAAGCAUAUUUUUGAAACUUUUAAAAUCACAGUUACCAAUGAUAGUUUUUUACACUUAAAAAAAAAAUUCAUGUGAAUGCUUACGUGAAUAUAAAAGAUUACUUUGACAAAUAUUUUGAAAUGGGUACUAUUCCUACCAUUUUUUUUUACAAAAUGAUUAUUUUGGUUUUAAACUCCUAUGAUGAUGAAAGAGUGGUACAAUACUUGAGUCUAUGCGACACCUCAAACCCUGAGGAUAAGGGUACCGUGGUCAAAGUCAAAAUCUAAAUCAUCAAAUUUAAAGCAGCUUCUAAUGGAAGCAUUCAUCCUACACUAAUACCUCCUCAUUGAUAUCACGUGGGGAAUAAUAUAAAAGAGUUUAACUCCAUAUAUAGUAUCGAAUUAUAUCUUGGGAGAUAUCACCUUUUUUAAUAAAAAUCAAUUAGUAUGUAAGCUUAUUUAAUUCAAUUUCUUUGAAAAAAUUUACACUUUCAAUUUAACGAUAAAACAACAUAAUAGUUGUAGUAGAGUAAUUGAAAUGUUUUACAUAGAUUCACGGGCUGAUCUAAUGGAUUGAAAAAUAAACCUAUUUUUGGGUCUGAUUGAUUUUAUUUUAUUUUUAACAAUUAUGUAAUUGAGUUAUCCUUGUACCAAUUACUCAACCAAUUGGAUUGACCAUCAAUGUGAUUGACUACUUUUGAUAUAAGCGGGUCAAUGCAUCAUCAUCAUGUGGGUUAGGAGUAGUGUUAAAGCCGAAAGUCGUGAAUAAUUGAGUCUAUUACCAUUGAGUUAAUACCUUUAAAAAUACUUUUAGAAUUGGAUCAGUUUUUAAAUCGAAAAAUUUAAUAGUACAUGGUUUAUUGAUUGGACUAAUGGUUAAAUCGUGAUCAAAUAAUUAUAUUAUAAACUAUGCAUCAAUUUUGAUAAACCUUACAAAUGGCUUAGUAGUAGUGUUCCCAUUACUCACAGAUUAGCUAGACAUGUGCACAAAUCUGGCCCUUACAAAAGGGAUUGUGUUUCUUUUUUUUUUUUCACCUUGGUUCAAACUUAGAUAGAUUUAACUUUAAACUGACAAUUUUGAAGUAGAAUUUUUCAAUACUUCUGAAAUAUGAAAACGAACAAUUUUGAUUUUUUUUUUUUUAAUUUUAAAGGGAUAUUUGCAUAAGUAUUCAUAAUUUUUGCAUACAAUUGUGAAGCGUGACACUUUCAAAUUUAAAUAAGUAUUUUUCUUUACAUUUCAAUUUUUUUUUUAAUUAGCUAUUCAUUGACUUUUUAACAAGCUUAAGAGCAAAAUGUUUGAGUUUUGAAUGUAUAAAACAUGUCAAAGAUUAAAGGAGAAGAAAGAAAGUAUUUAAAUCUAAAAUUUAUUUCAAUAUACGUUAUUAAUAGUAAAAUAUCAUAUUUUACUCUUUAAUAAAUUAAAAAAAUCUAAAAACUUAUAUUUUAAAGUUUUUAAGAAUUUUUAUAACUAAUUAUAACUUUAAUAAUAUGUAAAAUUUACAUUUAAUUUUAUAUUGAUAUCAUGAAUUUAUAUUGGUCUCACAAUUAGAUAGUGAUUGAAUCAUGGAUCCAACUAGUCCAAUAACUUUUCGGAUACACUAACCCAUUCGAUUAUAAAAACAUAAUAAUAACUAUAAAAUUUUAUAUAUAUUAUCACAUUUACAAGUAAAAAAUCAUGCACGAUUUCAGACUUGAUUCUUUUAUACAUUUGAGUGAUAUUAGAGGUUGAAUUUUUUAUCUUAAUAUAUAUUAAUGCCUAUCAUGAAUACACAUUUGAGUGAUAUUGGUGGUUGAAUUUUUUAUCUUAAUAUAUAUCGAUGCCUAUCAUAAAUAAAAAGUAUGAAGACAUAAUACAACUGUAUUUGAGUUGUAGAAAGCAUGGUGUUUCCCACGUCCCUACCUAUGGAAUUAUAAAAUUCACACCAAGAAUGCAUCAUCAAAUGACCACAUCCACUGCAUGUGACCCCCAUGUGAUAUGUCACUACACUCUUUCCCAACUCUUCCAACUUCUUCAUCUAUAUUUUAAUCGACAAGUUUAAAUUUCUUUAAAAUGUUGACAUAGAAUUGAGAAUAAUGCUAAUCACAAUUUUCACACAAUUAAAAGUUUUGUACUUUUUUUUUAUUUAAGGAAUAAUCAUUUUUUUUCCUUAUAUAUAUAGCCUUACUCUAUGAAUGGCCCUUUCUCCUCUUGGCCAAAGGAAAUCCAAAUUAGCUUGAAUUUUGAUAUAAAUGAAGUUGUUCAAUUUGCCUAAUUUUUUUUAUUUUUUUAUUUUACUUUUUAUUGUAAUUUUCUAUUGCUUUUAUAAAGGUUGAGUUUUAUUUUGGAAACUUUUCACAAAAAUACAAGGAAAAAAUAGGGAGAAAAAUAAAAUAUAAAAAAGUUAAAAAAAAAAAAAGAGAGUAGAAAAUAGAUGUAAAAUUAAUAAAUUAUUUUUUCAAAUUUAUUUCAUUUAUAUUUUUUUAUUUAUAUAAAGAUUAAAUAAUUUAAAAUAUAUAGUUAUUUUAAUUAAUUUUAAUAAUUUUGAUUAUAAACCAAAUAUCAUAAAAUUAUUUUUCUUAAUUUUUUUCUUUUCUAUAUAUCUUCCAUAUUCUUUUCUUAAUAAUGCUGUAUCCAUAAUAAUAAUACUUCUGGAUGCUGAGGAAACCCAACCAUAUUUUAUAUCAUGUCACAUGGGGCUUGGAAUAGUUCUAGGUAGACGAGUUAACAAUUGAUUUGAAAUCUUCAACCACUAAUUUAAAUUCUUCACCUAAUCAAUAAUAAAUGUCCAUAUCUUUCUACCAGGCCACAUGCAUGGGACUUCGAAUGGUUUAAAGUGAACAUGUUCCCUGAUUAAUUUGGAGCUUUCACAUAAUAUAUAAUAUUUUUUUUAUUUACAUAAAAUUAAAUAAUUAAAAAAUAUAUAAUUAUUUUAAUUAUUUUGAUUUGAUUUUCUAUUAUAAAUCAAAUACCAGAAAAUAAUUUUUCUUAGCUUUUUUUUUUUUUCUAUAUAUCUUCCAUAUGUGUUUGUUCUUUUUUAGAAAUAUCCCAUAAAAUAUGGACCUUUUCUAAUCAACCAAACACCCAGGAGGAACAAAAAAGAAAAGAAAGAGAGAGAGAGAACUUAGAGAAAAAUAAAAUGAAAAAACCGCUAAAGAUAGUAUACGUUUUAUAUAAAGUUGGAAUAUAAAUAAAUGGACCCACACCCCUUCAACAACCCUUAAUCAUGUUGUAUCCAUAAUAAUAAUUCACAUAUUUUAAUAGAUUUGAAAUCUUCACCCAUUAAUUUAAGUUCUUCAUCUAAUGAAUAAUAAAUGUCCAUAUUUUUCUACGAGGCCACAUAGGACUUUGAAUAGUUUAAAGUGAACAUGUUACCUCAUUAAUUUGGAGACUUUACAUACUCUAUAAUACUAUAAAAUGUUGGAUAGAUCACUAACCUCAUUUAAAUAAUAAAAUCUUCUAAUUCUUUUUUUUUUUUUUCUGAUUUUUACAUGAUUGUGCUUUAUUUUAUAAAUUAAUUAAUAAUUAUAUUUAUUUAUCUUGGCUUCCCGUACAUAUUUUAUGAAAAUAUUAUCCAUGUAUGUAAUACACAAGAUGAAUGCACCCUUACAACUAAAUUCAUCUUUUAAAUUUAAAAAAAAAAAACUAAAAAUUAAUAUUAUUUUACUUAAUAUUUAAGUAAUAAAAAUAACAUAACCAAUUUAAUUUUUGGUUUUUCAUUUUUUUUAAAUUAGUCUUAUAUUUCACAACUUUUCAUCCUUAAUGUGCUACAAAUCUUUUUACCACUAUAAGGGUUAUGAAAUAAAAAUUAUGUGUAUGGAAUAAAUAAGAAAAAGAAAAUUAAAUUGUCUUAUUAUUUUGCAAUGUAGUUUCAUUCCCAAAAUUUCCUCAAAUCUUUUUGGUUAUAUUUGAUUAUUGGAAAAUGAAAAUAAAAAAUAGAAAAAAAAAUAUUAUUCUCUAAUGUUUGGUUUUUACAUUGAAGAUAUCGGAUAUAAUUAAAAUUAGUUAAAAUUUUUUAUAUUUUUAAAUUAUUUAUUUUUUAUGUUGAAAAAUUAAAAUGAAUAAAAUGAGUUUAAAGAACAUACAAAAUAAUUUAUUAAAUUUAAAACUAUCUUUAAUUUUUAUUCAUUUUUUUUUCACAUUUUCUAUUAAACUUAGGAGAACCAAACAUAUUCUUAGUAUUUUUUUUUUUUUUUUUUGUUAAUGUUGUUUUCCCUUGUCUUUUUCCAUAGUAUUUAAAAAUAAUAAAUUUGUUUCCAUUUCUUUUAGGUUAUAUUUGGUUUUUGAAAAAUUUGAGGGAAAAAAAUAAAGAAAAAUUAAAAAUAAAUUUAAAAUUAAUAAAUUAUUUUUAUAUGUUUCUUUAAAUUUAUUUCACUUAAUUUUCUCAAUUAUAUAUAGAUUAAAUAAUUUUAAAAUAUAUUUUUAAUUAUAUUUAAUUUUAAAAAAAUUUAUAGUGAAACCAAUGAGAAAACCUUUUUUAUUUAUUUAUUUAUUUUUCCUAAUAACCAAACCUAACCUUAGGAUUUUUCCAAAUUUCGGAUCCAAAAGUAACUGAAUGUUACGAAAAAAUAUAAAUUGAAUGAAGUACAGGAGCAUAAAUGGUACAUCAAUUUUAUAUUGACUACCUUCUGUACCUUUAAUUGCAGCGUGUUGACUUGUCCACCGAAUCCAUAAUAUCAGCCAGUACCCAUGUGACUUGGCCCAUCUCAUCCACCCCUAUAAAGAUAUCUCUUACUUUGUUCCCUAUUCUCUCACAAUUCCCUCAGCUUCUCAUCUUGUACGUGCUGUAUUUUCUUGGCUUUCUGCUACUUUGAGUUGUUCCAAAAUGGCUGACCAAAUUCCAUUCGGUGUUGUGGAGCACAUUUUGACCAAGUUGGGGUCCAAGGCGUUUCAAGAAAUUGGAUCCAUGUAUGGUGUUCCAAAGGAGCUAACCAAGCUCAAGGACAACCUCGACGUCAUCAAAGGUGUACUUCUGGAUGCUGAGGAACAGCAGCAGCAGAAAACUCGUGGAAUAGAAGCUUGGGUCCAGAUGCUCAAAGGCGCCGUGUAUGACGCAGAUGACUUGCUGGAUGACUAUGCAACCCAUUAUCUACAGCGAGGAGGAUUCGCAAGGCAGGUCAGUGACUUCUUCUCAUCUGAAAAUCAAGUUGCUUUUCGCUUUAAGAUGAGUCAUAGACUCAACGAUAUCAAUGAAAGGCUAGACGCUAUCGAAAAAAAAAUCCCCAUGUUGAAUCUGACUCGACGGGAGGCAAUACGCAUAGGAGUAGAGAAUAGUUGGAGAGAAACCCACUCAUUCUCGUUGCCAUCUGAAAUUGUAGGAAGAGAAGAAAACAAAGAGGAGAUAAUAAGGAAGCUGUCAUCUAACAAUGAAGAAAUUCUUUCCGUUGUUGCCAUUGUUGGCUUUGGGGGAUUGGGUAAGACCACCCUCACUCAAUUGGUAUACAAUGACGAAAGAGUAGAACAUUUUGAGCGUAAGACAUGGGUUUGCAUUUCUGAUGAUUCUGGUGAUGGUCUUGACGUCAAACUGUGGGUCAAAAAGAUUUUAAAAUCUAUGGGAGUUCAGGGUGUGGAGAGUCUGACCUUGGAUGGUUUGAAAGACAAGCUUCACGAAAAAAUAAGUCAAAAGAAGUACUUGUUAGUACUUGAUGAUGUUUGGAACGAAAAUCCUGGAAAAUGGUAUGAAGUGAAAAAAUUGUUGAUGGUUGGUGCUAGAGGUAGUAAAAUUAUAGUAACCACCCGAAAACUUAAUGUUGCAUCCAUUGUGGAAGAUAAGUCUCCCCUUAGUUUGAAAGGUCUAGGAAAAAAGGAGUCUCGGGCUUUAUUUUCAAAAUUUGCAUUUAGAGAACAGGAGAUUUUGAAGCCAGAAAUUGUAGAAAUUGGAGAAGAAAUUGCAAAAAUGUGCAAGGGAGUUCCUCUCAUUAUUAAGACUUUAGCAAUGAUAUUGCAUUCUAAAAGAGAACUGGGAUUUUGGUUGUCUAUUAGAAACAAUAUUAAAAAUUUGCUAUUACUUGGAGUUGAGAACGAUAAUGUUGUACGGGUCUUGAAACUAAGUUAUGAUAAUUUGCCAACACAUUUGAAACAAUGUUUUACAUAUUGUGCUUUAUUUCCAAAAGACUAUGAAAUUGAGAAAAGGUUGGUGGUACAACUAUGGAUAGCACAAGGUUAUAUUCAAUCUUCAAAUGAUAAUAAUGAGCAAUUAGAGGAUAUAGGGGAUCAAUAUGUUGAGGAAUUAUUGUCAAGGUCAUUGUUGGAGAAGGCGGGAACCAAUCAUUUUAAAAUGCAUGACCUUAUACAUGAUCUUGCACAAUCAAUUGUAGGAUAUGAGAUCCUUGUUUUAGAAAGUUAUGUAAAUAACAUUUCACAAGAAGCUCGUCAUGUAUCAUUGUUUGAAGAGGUAAAUCCUAUGAUAAAGGCUCUAAAGGGAAAACCCAUAAGGACCUUUCUAAACCUUGGUGAAGAUUCUUUUAAGGAUAGUACAAUUGUAAAGUCAUUUUUUCCGAGUUUUAUGUGUUUACGUGCAUUGAGUUUAAGUCGUAUGGGUGUAGAGAAGGUGCCAAAGUGUUUAGGCAAAUUGAGUCAUUUAAGGUAUCUUGAUCUUUCCAACAACAAUUUUGAGGUACUUCCAAAUGCUAUUACAAGGUUAAAGAAUUUGCAAACACUAAAACUCAUAUGGUGUCGGCGUUUAAAAAGAAUUCCAGACAACAUAGGAGAAUUGAUCAAUCUUAGACACUUGGAGAAUGAUAGCUGUUUUAACUUGGCUCAUAUGCCACAUGGAAUCGGCAAGUUGACUUUACUUCAAAGUCUACCAUUGUUUGUUGUUGGGAAUGAGACAGGGUGGUUAAGGAAUCACAAAAUUGGUAGCUUGAGUGAAUUGAAAGGCCUUAACCAACUAAGAGGAGGGUUAUGCGUAAGUGAUCUUCAAAACGUGAGGGAUGUUGAACUGGUAUCCAGGGGGGAAAUUUUGAAAGGAAAACAAUAUCUUCAGUCCUUGAGAUUGGAAUGGGAUCGGUGGGGCCGAGAUGGGGGGGAUGAGAGUGAUAAGUCAGUGAUGGAAGGCCUUCAACCACACCAACACCUAAAGGAUAUCUUUAUAGAAGGUUAUGGAGGUACGGAGUUUCCAAGUUGGAUGAUGAAUGAUGGGUUGGGUUCCCUGUUUCCCGACCUAAUUAAAAUUGAAAUUUCGGGAUGUUCAAGAUGCAAAAUUCUGCCACCCUUUUCUCAACUCCCUUCUCUCAAGUCUUUGAAGCUUCAUAAUAUGAAAGAAGUGGUGGAGUUAAAGGAGGGUUCAUUAACAACGCCACUCUUCCCAUCUCUUGAAUCGCUCGAACUCUCUGACAUGCCAAAGUUGAAGGAAUUGUGGAGGAUGGACUUACUAGCAGAAAAACCUCCUUCAUUUUCUCAUCUUUCGAAGUUAUAUAUUUAUGCAUGCUCUGGUUUGGCAUCACUGCAUCCUUCUCCUUCUCUUUCUCAAUUAAAGAUCCAUAAUUGCCCAAACUUGACAUCCAUGGAACUGCCGUCAUCUCUUUGUCUUUCUCAAUUAGAUAUCAGAAAAUGCCCUAACUUGGCAUCCUUCAAAGUGGCUCCAUUACCUUCUCUUGGGAUACUCUCUCUGUUCACAGUUAGAUAUGGUGUGGUACGGCAGAUAAUGUCUGUCUCUGCUUCUUCUUCGUUGCGGUGUCUGUAUAUUAAAAGCAUAGAUGAUAUGAUAUCUCUCCCGAAGGAGUUACUUCAACAUGUUUCUGGCUUGGUAACGUUAGAGAUCCGUGAGUGUCCUAACUUGCAAUCCUUGGAACUGCCCUCAUCCCAUUGUCUUUCUAAAUUAAAGAUUGGAGAAUGCCCUAACUUGGCAUCCUUCAAUGUGGCUUCAUUACCUCGUCUUGAGGAACUAAGCCUGCGUGGAGUCAGAGCAGAGGUACUGAGGCAGUUCAUGUUUGUCUCUGCUUCUUCUUCAUUGAAGUCUCUACAUAUACGGAAGAUUGAUGGUAUGAUAUCUCUCCCAGAGGAGCCGCUUCAAUAUGUUUCCACUCUCGAAACUCUCCACAUUGUUAAGUGCUCUGGUUUGGCAACAUUACUACACUGGAUGGGCAGCCUUUCCUCGCUUACGGAACUUAUUAUUUAUGACUGCUCUGAAUUGACAUCACUGCCAGAAGAGGUCUAUUCCCUUAAAAAACUGCAGACAUUUUAUUUCUGUGAUUAUCCACACCUAGAGGAAAGAUACAACAAGGAAACAGGUAAAGACCGGGCCAAGAUUGCUCGUAUCCCACAUGUUCGUUUCAACAGUGAUACCUAUAUGGUAAUGAAGGUAGGUCCGAAAUCCCUAACCUUUCUUCCCAUUUUUAUUAUUUAAGAAUCAAAAUGCUAUGUUUGUUUUUACUGCUCACAUUAGUAAUUUUGAAAUUUUUUUCCAGCUAGGAUGCGCUUUCCGAUGAUGUGCACUAAACUAACCAUUUUACUUGGAGUUGUACAUUCUAAGAGUUUGAGGAAAUACUGAGGUCUGAUAUGAUAACUCUCAAUCUUAAACGUUGUUUUGUGUUUGGAACGUUACUACACUUGAUACAUACCCUCACCUCACUUACAGAGCUUGGAAAUCGUGGCUGCCCUGAAUCGACGUCACUGUCAGAAUAUAUGUUCCCUCAAAAACCUGCAGACACUAAAUAAUCUGCAUCUGUUCACAGAAAGAUGCUGAAAGGAAAGGUGAAGACUAACCCAAGAUUGCUCAUAUGCCACAAAUUGAUAUCAUACAUCCAUGAAGAUUGAACCGAUACACAAUGCCUUUCAGGUCCGAAAUCCCUAACUUUUCUUCUCAUUUUCUAUGACUUCAUUUUCAUUAUCUUACUUUUAAAAUGCUCUGUUUUCAUUUGUUUUGGUAGUUCUUUGUAUUUGUGACUUACUUGUUUGAAAACUUUUACAUCUUCAAAUUAUUUUACUGUAAGUGUUUUGCAUUCUAAGAGUUUGAGGAAAUACUGAGCUCUAAUAUAACUAGUAGAGUCCACCAUUCCUAAGAAGCUUACCAUUGCCUAAUGCCCAAAGGAUCCCAAAAGGAGACAACUUUGGAUUGGCUUGAAGAUUUCACGUGGUCCAAAAAUUUGUAUUUACUAGACGCCUGAUACAAAAAGUAGUUUAAAUUUAGCCAUUAAUAUAACUUUUUUAUUAGAGAAAUAAUUGCCAAACAAAUGCAAAAUAGAAAAUGGUGUUAAUGAAUUCAGUACUUCAUCUAUGUUGCAGUUUAGCAGCUUUUGUUAGAUAAUGAGUAUGGGGUUGGGUUUAUCUUGUUACCAUUCCAAAUAUUCUUAAAAAAAUCAUCAAGGCUUUGUUUGGUUUCUUGAAAAUUUGAGGGAAAAAAUAGAGAGAAAAAGUGGAAGGAAAAAAAAAAGUGGAAGUCAAUAAAUUAUUUUUAUAUUAUACUUUAAACUCAUUUCACUUUUUUUAACUCUUUGAUUUAAAGAUUAAAUAAUUUGAAAAUGUAUAAAUUUCUAAUUAAUCUUAAUUAUAUUUUAUUUUCUUUGCUAUUUUCCAUAGGACAAUUAAACUUGAGAAAAUCAUUUUCCUUAACAUUAUUUUCUUAGUACUUUUUGGGAACCAAACAUAACCUAAAUGUUUUAGUUUAGUUUAGCAGCUUCAUCAAAUUAGAUAGACAACCUCACAUCUCUUAUUUAGCUGAGGUGCUAUGUUAGUUAAUGUUUUGUCUCUACUUCUUCAUUGAAGUCUAUCUAUUGGAUGCAGAGAUGAUAUGAUCCAAACUCAAAUUGAACACUGCUCUUGUUUUGCAACACUACUGCAUUGGAAAGGCAACUUGAACUCACUUAUAGACCUACCUAUUGGUGAUUGCAUUGAAUUGACGUCACCUUGGAAGAGAUGUGUUCCACAUGGAAAAUCUUUCAUUAUAUGCACCUACUUGCAAGAUACCAAAAGGAAACAGGUGAAUACUUGCCCAAGAAUACAGAGGGCCACACUUGGUGAAGGUUUCAUCAGUAAGGAGAACCAUUUCAAGUAUGAAAUCCUCCCUUCUCAUUUUCUGAUGACUUCAUUUUUAUUCAAUAUCCAUUUGAAAUUAUUUAAGUUCAUUUUCUUUAUAUAUUAUAUUUUCUUUCUUGCUCAAUAAUUUCAUUCAAGUAAGUUGUUUGGAUAUCACAUUUUCUUUGGGGUUUUUUUUUUCUUUUUAGAAUAAUUUCAAAAGGUCAUUUUUAACUAUUCACAAAAUUUGAUCAUAGUUGAGUGAUUAAAAUUCAAGUUUAUUCUUAUUAUCAUUAGUAGUUAUUUGAUAUAUUCGUUUGCUAAUACAAAAAUAAGACUAACAAGUAAUGUGCAUAGAGUUUGUAGAAGAGAAGAAAGAUUUGAUCCAAGAUAUUCCUAAAGAUCGGAAACUUUCAAAGCCACCCAAGAUCCCAUAGGUUGAAUUCGGAUUCAUCCAGUUUACAAUCCAUUAAUUCUACUUAUAUCAUCUUUGUUAUGUUACAAUUUGCCUUUACUUGUUAUGCAGCCUACCUUAAUAAUUUGGGGAGACCAAGAUAAGGUAUACCUAGUAGAACUGGCUCACAAAUUGAAAAGGUAAACUUGUAUCACCUGCCUACAUGCCUACAACAAUAUAAACACUAGUUCGUGUCUUUCUCACUAUUGAAAUUGUUAUUGCAUGCAGGCAUUUCAGGUGAGGAGGCCCAACUUGUGAUCAUAGAGCAUACUUUUAUUAUAGAGAAGCCCAAGGAAAUAUUUAAGCACUUGAAAUCCUUUCUCAUUGAUUUGCUUCCACCUCCUAAGCAACACCUAGAACCACUCCCACCAUGACGAAGUUAAAAGGAACUAAUGCAACAUUCUCAAUAUAUUAGAAUAUAUCGAAGGAAGGGUGGCCACAUAUGAAGACCCUAUUCCAAGGUCAAAUUUAAGAUUUUUGUGUUUUUCCUAUCACUAUUCCUAUGCUAUUAUCAGUGCACCUUAUUUGUCAAGAUGAUUAAAAGGGAAUUCCCUAGGAUAACUAGUGUCUCAAGUGAUCUUGAAGUUCAUAAAUUUUUUGUUUCCACAAGAUAGGUGCUAACUAUUUUUAUUUUUUUUACACCCAUGCAAUAUUCUAGUCAUCUAUUAACAAGGGCUAAAAUUUCUUGUAGAGAAUAGAAUAAAGAACUAAAUUACAUGAAAAUAGGACAUUAUUAUUCUAUUUACAAGUAAGGGCCAAAAAUUGUUGAGGGCCACCAAGCACAUUGUUCCUAAAAUAAUAGCAUCCAUGUUGUUGAGCAAAAGUUUUUUUAUAUUGGCACCUCAUAUGUUUGUUUAAAUGCUCACAUCAAUAACUUUGAAAAUAUUUUCCAAAUUUUCAACAAAUUGUAAUGCUGUGCACUAAACUAAUCAUUUUACUUGGAGUUCUACAUUCUAAGAUUUUGAGAAAAAAACUAAGGUCUGAUAUGACAACUCUCAAUCCUAAAUGUUGUUUUGUGUUUGGAAUAUUACUGCACUUGAUAGAUGCCCUUACCUCUCUUACAGAACUUGGAAUUCAUGGCUACCCAGAAUUGGCAUCCCUGCCAGAAGAUAUGUUCCCUCAAAAGCCUGCAGAAACUAAACAAUUUGCAUUUGUUCACACUUAGAGGAAAGCUGCUGAAAGGAAAAGUGAAGACUAACCAAAGAUUUCUCAUAUCCCACAAAUUGAUAUCAUACAUCCAUGAAGAUUGAACUGAUACAGAAUGCCUUUCAGGUUUGAAAUCCCUAACUUUUCUUCUUAUUUUCUAUGACUUCAUUUUUAUUAUCUUCCAUUCAAAAAUCCUCUGUUUUCAUUUGUUUUGGUAGUUCUUUUUAUUUGCACCUUAUUUGUUUUAUUAAAUGCUUACUCCAGUAAGUUUGAAAAUUUUUACAUCUUCAAAUCAUUUUGCUUGAGUAUUUUGCAUUCUAAUAGUUUGAGGAAAUAUUGAGCUCUAACAUAAAUAGUAUUGGUCAUAGAGUCUUCCUUUCUUAAGAAGCUUACCAUUAACCUAAUGGCCAAAGGAUCCCAAAAGGAAAUGAAUUUGGGUUGGCUUGAAGAUUUCACAUGGUCCAAACAUUCGUAUUUACUAGAUGCCUGAUACAAAAGAAAUUUUGCUCUCUUUUCAAUUUAGCCAUUGAUGUAGUCUAAAUGUUUUAUUAGAGCAAUAAUUGUCGAGUAAAUGCAAAAUAGAGAAUGGUGUUAAUGAAUUCAGUACUUCAUUUAUGUUGUAGACUUGUAGUUUAGCAGCUUCUGUUGAUAAUGAGUGUGAGGUUGGCUUUAUCAUGUCACUGUUCCAAAUAUUCUUAAAAAAAAUAAUUUAAGCUCUGUAUGGUUCUUAGAAAAUUUAAGGGAAAAUGUGAGGAAAACAAAAUAGAGAGGAAAAGUGGAAGGAAAAAAAAGUGAAAGUCAAUAAAUUAUUUUUGUAUGCUACUUCAAACUCACUUCACUUUUUUUUAACUCUUCAAUAUAAAGAUUAAAUCAUUUGAAAAAUGUGUAAAUUUCUAAUUAAUUUUAAUUAUAUUUGAUUUUCUUUGGUAUUUUCCAAAAGACAACCAAAUAUGAGAAAAUCAUUUUCCUUUACAUUUUUUUUCUUAGUACUUUUAGGGAACCAAACAUAACCUAACUGUUUUAGUUUAGUAGUUUCAUCAAAUUAGAUAGACAACCUCACAUCUCUUAGUGAGCUGAGGUGCUAUGUCAAUUAAUGCUUUGUCUCUACUCUUCAUUGAAGUCUCUAUCUAUUGGAUGCACAGAUGAUAUGAUCUAAACUCAAAUUGAACACUGUUCUUGUUUUGCAACAUUACUGCACUCGAAAGGCAACUUCAACUCACUUAUAGACCUUCCUAUUGGUGAUUGCACUGAAUCGACAUCACUUUGGAAGAGAUGUGUUCCACACAGAAAAUCUUUCAUUAUAUUCACCUACUCGCAAGAUACCAAAGGGAAACAGGUGAAUACUUGCCCAAGAAUACAAAGGUCAUACUUGGUGAAGGUUCCAUCAAUAAGGAGAACCAUUUCAAGAAUGGAAUUCUCAUUUCUUCUCAUUUUCUUAUGGCUUCAUUUUUAUUCAAUAUCUAUAUGAAAUUAUUUAUGUUCAUUUUCUUUAGAUAUUACAUUUUUUUGCUUUCUCAAUAAUUUCAUUCAAGUUCUUUUGGAUAUCACAUUUUCUUUGGUGUUUUUUUUAGAAUAAUUCAAAAUGUCUUUUUUAACGGUUCACAAAAUUUGAUCACAGUUGAGUGAUUAAAAUUCAAGUUUAUUAUUAUUAUUAUUAUUGGUUAUUUGAUAUAUUUGUUUUCUUAUACAGAUAAAAGACUAGCAGCUAUUGUGCAUAGAAUUUGUAGAAGAGAAUAAAGAUUUGAUCUAAGUUAUUCCUAAUAGGUUGAGGAAUUCAUUCUUGUAAAAAUUGAGUGUUAAAGCCUUCAAGAGGUUUGAAUCUUGAAGAAAUUAUGUGAGAGCCCAUUGGAGCCAGAAUCCAAGUGUAAAGGAGAUUGGAAGCUUUGUUGAAACUUCAAGUUAGUGGAACCCUCACUCGGUUAGGAGAUUGAGGAGAGUGGAUGUAGGCAAGGAAAUGCCGAACCACUAUAAAAUCCAAGUUUAAAUUCUCUAACUCUAUCUCUUUAUUUUUUUAUUAUAUUGUACUUGAAUUUGUUGUGUUGAAAAAGUUUUUGAAAAACCCAAUUCACCUUCCUCUUAGGUGUUUUUCUCAUUUAAGCAUAGCCUUUAUUUUCUCACACUUGAAAUCCUUUCUCAUUAAUUUGCUUCCACCCCAUAAGCAACCCUCGAAACCACUUACACCAUGACAAGGUGAAAAGAAACUAAUGCAACAUUCUCAAUAUAUAAGAAGAUAUCAAAGGAAGGUUGGCCACAUAUGAGGACCCUGUUUCUAAGGUAGAAUUUUAGAUUUUUGUGUUUUUCCUAUCACUAUUCCUAUACUAUUACCAGUGCACCUUAUUUGUCAAGAUCAUUAAAAGGGAAUUCCCUAGGAUAACUACUGUCUCAACUGAUCUUGAGGUUCAUAAAUUUUUAGUUUCCACAAGAUAGGUGCCAACUAUUUUUAUUUUUUUUACACCCAUGCAAUAUUCCAAUCAUCUAUUAACAAGGGCUAAAAUUUCUUGUAGAGAAUAGAAUAAAGAACUAGAUUACAUGAAAAUAGGACAUUAUUAUUCUAUUUACAAGUAAGGGCCAAAAAUUGUUGAGGGUCAUCAAGCACAUUGUUCCUAAAAUAAUAGCAUCCAUGAAGAUUGAACUGAUACAGAAUGCCUUUCAGGUUUAAAAUCCCUAACUUUCCUUCUUAUUUUCUAUGACUUCAUUUUUAUUAUCUUACAUUAAAAAAUCCUCUAUUUUCAUUUGUUUUGGUAGUUCUUUUUAUUUGCACCUUAUUUGUUUUAUUAAAUGCUUACUCCAGUAAGUUUGAAAAUUUUUACAUCUUCAAAUCAUUUUGCUUAAGUGUUUUGCAUUCUAAGAGUUUGAGGAAAUAUUGAGCUCUAAUAUAAAUAGUAUUGGUCAUAGAGUCUUCCUUUCUUAAGAAGCUUACCAUUGACCUAAUGGCCAAAGGAUCCCAAAAGGAAACGACUUUGGGUUGGCUUGAAAAUUUCACAUGGUCCAAACAUUUAUAUUUACUAGAUGCCUGAUACAAAAGAAAUUUUGCUCUCUUUUUAAUUUAGCCAUUGAUGUAGUCUAAAUGUUUUAUUAGAGCAAUAAUUGUCGAGUAAAUGCAAAAUAGAGAAUGGUGUUAAUGAAUUCAGUACUUCAUCUAUGUUGUAGACUUGUAGUUUAGUAGCUUCUGUUGAUAAUGAGUGUGGGGUUGGCUUUAUCAUGUCACUGUUCCAAAUAUUCUACAAAAAAAAAUCAUUUAAGCUUUGUUUGGUUCUUAGAAAAUUUGAGGGAAAAUGUGAGGAAAAUAAAAUAGAGAGGAAAAGUGGAAGGAAAAAAAAGUGAAAGUCAAUAAAUUAUUUUUGUAUGUUACUUCAAACUCACUUCACUCUUUUUAACUCUUCAAUAUAAAUUUCUAAUUAAUUUUAAUUAUAUUUGAUUUUCUUUGUUAUUUUCCAAAAGACAACCAAAUAUGAGAAAAUCAUUUUCCUUAACAUUUUUUUUUCUUAGUACUUUUAGGGAACCAAAUAUAACCUAAAUGUUUUAGUUUAGUAGUUUCAUCAAAUUAGAUAGACAACCUCACAUCUCUUAGUGAGAUGAGGUGCUAUGUCAAUUAAUGCUUUGUCUUUACUUCUUCAUUGAAGUCUCUAUUUAUUGGAUGCACAGAUGAUAUGAUCCAAACUCAAAUUGAACACUACUCUUGUUUUGCAACAUUAUUGCACUCAAAAGGCAGUUUCAACUCACUUAUAGACCUUCUUAUUGGUGAUUACACUAAAUUGACAUCACUUUGGAAGAGAUGUGUUCCACAUAGAAAAUCUUUCAUUAUAUGCACCUACUCGCAAGAUACCAAAGGGAAACAGGUGAAUACUUGCCCAGGAAUACAAAGGCCAUACUUAGUGAAGGUUCCGUCAAUAAGGAGAACCAUUUCAAGUAUGGAAUUCUCAUUUCUUCUCAUUUUCUUAUGGCUUCAUUUUUAUUCAAUAUCUAUAUGAAAUUAUUUAUGUUCAUUUUCUUUAGAUAUCACAUUUUUUUGUUUUCUCAAUAAUUUCAUUCAAGUUCUUUAGAUAUCACAUUUUCUUUGGUGUUUUUUUUAGAAUGAUUCAAAAUGUCUUUUUUAACGAUUCACAAAAUUUGAUCACAGUUGAGUGAUUAAAAUUCAAGUUUAUUAUUAUUAUUAUUAUUAUUAUUAUUAUUGGUUAUUUGAUAUAUUUGUUUUCUAAUACAGACAAAAGACUAGCAACUAAUGUGCAUAGAAUUUGUAGAAGAGAAUAAAGAUUUGAUCUAAGCUAUUCCUAAAGACCAAAAACUUUUAGAGCUACCCAAGAUCUAUCAGGUUGAAUUUUGAUUCACCUAGUUUACAAUCCACUAAUUAUCCUUAUAUCAUUUUUGUUAUGUUACAAAUUGCCUUUACUUGUUAUGCAACCUAUCUUAAUAAUUUGGGAAGACCAAGAUAACUUCUUCCUAGUAGAACUGGCUCACAGAUUGAAAAAGUAAACUCAUAUCACCUAUCUACAUGCUCACAACAUUAUAAACACUAGCUCAUGUGUUCCUCACUAUUGAGAUUGUUGCUACAUGCAGGCAUUUUGGGCGAGGAGGCCCGACUUGUGAUCAUCAAUAACACAAGGCAUGCUUUUAUACAGAGAAACCCAAAGAAACAUUUAAGCACUUUGUUAGCCCAAGGAUUCUCCUAAUCAGGUUUUGAUGAUAACAAACCAUGGUUAAGUGACUAAUUGGUUUGAAUGGUAAAAAAUCUUAGGUAUAAAUUUGGAAAUUCAUCAAAGGAUCAAAUGGAUACAAGAUCGAGACUUUUGGAAGACUUUUGAUCAUAGGAAACAAAUGUAAGAUGAAUGCAUGGGUGCACUUAGGUUUUACAUAUCUUUUCAUGAAGCUUUGAAAACUCGGUUUAUUCCUUAAAAUUACGAUUUCAUUAAAACCCGAGUUUUAUCAAAUGUACUUUAGGCAAAGCGUUUCAAAAUUGGCAUAUUAAUUUACCUAAAGAUCUUGCCUAAGUGUUAGAAAGGAAAAUAAUUGAAAAAUAUAGGUUUUCGGGGCCAAAAGGCUGAACCGAUCGAGGCACAUGCCAACCGACUUAACUAACCAGGGAACCGGUCAAUCGGUUGCUCUUGUCCGACCAAGAUCUGGUCGAGGAGUGUCAAAAACACUCUUUCUCAUCCAGUAGCCUUCUCUUCCCAGUCGAGGUACUCUCCUACCUCUGGUCGAGGUUCAGUCGAGGCAACGGUAACCUGCCAAAGCAUUAAAUGCUCCAACGGCUAGUGAACCAUUUGACCCCCAGCUCGACCGGUUGAGGCUAUUUUUUGCUAUUUUUGGCUCCUGAGCUUAGAAACCAAUAAAUUGAGAGCUCCACUUCAUUUAUGACAUAGAGAACACUUGCAAUCAAUUGUCUACCCAUUUAUUCUUGCCUUAAAAGCUCUCAUUUAUUUCUUAGUGCAUUAAAUCCUCACUUGCAUAUCCUUUAGUGCACCCUUGUGAAUCAUCCUAGCUUUGAUGUGUAUUUGAGUUAUCAUUAAGUUAGAUUGAGGGAUUCAUCUUGUAAAAAUUGAGUGUUAAAGCCUUCAAGAGGUUUAAAUCUUGAAGAGAUUAUGUAAGAGCCCAUUGGAGCCAGAAUCCAAGUGUAAAGAAGAUUGGAAGCUUUGUUGAAGCUUCAAGUUAGUGGAACCCUCACUCGGUUAGGAGAUUGAAGAGAGUGGACGUAGACAAGGAAAUGUCGAACCACUAUAAAAUCCGAGUUUAAAUUCUCUAACUCUAUCUCUUUAUUUUUUAUUAUAUUGUGCUUGAAUUUGUUGUGUUGAAAAAGUUUUUGAAAAACCCAAUUCACCCAUCUCAUAGGUGUUUUUCUCAUUUAAGCAUAGCCUUUAUUUUCUCACUCUUGAAAUCCUUUCUCAUUAAUUUGCUUCCACCUCAUAAGAAACCGUCGGAACCACUUACACCAUGACAAGGUGAAAAGAAACUAAUGCAACAUUCUCAAUAUAUCAGAAGCUAUCAAAGGAAGGUUAGCCACAUAUGAGGACCCUGUUUCUAAGGUAGAAUUUUAGAUUUUUGUGUUUUUCUUGUCACUGUUUCUAUACCAUUACUAGUGCACCUUAUUUGUUAAGGUGAUUAAAAGGAAAUUCCCUAGGAUAACUAAUGUCUCAGAUGAUCUUGAGGUUCAUAAAUUUUUGGUUUCAACAAGAUAGGCAUCAAACCAUUUUUAUUUUUUUCUACACCCAUGCAAUAUCCCAUUCAUUUAUUAAUAAGGGCUAAAAUUUCUUGUAGAGAAUGGAAUAAAGAACUAGAUUAAAUGAAAUAAGACAUUAUUAGUUUAUUUACAAGUAAGGGCAAAAAAUUAUUGAGGGUCAUUAAGCACAUUGUUCCUAAAAUAAUAGCAUCCAUGUCAUUGAGCAAAAGUUUAUUGCAAUUACAUUAGCAUAUAAAACAAAACUAUUUUUUAUUUAUUUAUGUUCACACCUUAUCCAUUUGAUAAAAUGCUUAAACAAGUAAGUUUGAAUUUUUUUUGUCUUCAAAUCAAUUUAAAUUUUACAUUCAAAAGUUGAAUUAAUUUUUUUUUUUUUGGAAAAUUUAACUGCACUUUAGAAGUUUGUGAUUAUUCUUUGGUCCAUCUUAAAACGAGUUCCUGCAUUCUUCCAUUCCUCAAAUUAAAAUCACAAUAAAACGUUUUAGAUUGACCUAAAAUUUUCUCAUGGCCUAGAAAUUCAUAUCUACUAGAUGGCUAAAGCAAAAAACACUUCUACCUUGUAUUUUAAGUAAUCCCUGCUUGCUAUUUGUUUAUUGAGAGCAUCAUACAAGUUGUGAUUAUAUUUCUUAAUUUUUUUUAUAUGAUAAGACGGUAACUGGAUUGAGAAAGAUGCAACUUGUAGAGCAAAAAAUUUCUUAACUACUUCCAUUGUAUUUGCUUUGUGUGUAUCAACUGUUCUGUUAAUUAUUUUUUAAAAAUAUCACUAAAACAAACCUAUUAUGUCAAUGCUCUCUAUUGUUAUGUAUCAUAAUUUAGCUAUUUUUUCCCUAGAAAUCAUUCUUGUUAUCGUGGUAAUCAGUAGGUAGCAUAAGAACUAUUUUGUUCUAGUUAUUUUGUAUUGCCAUUCUUCAUGUUUUAAAAUAUUGUCAGACUAGCAAUUUUACUGCAGAUAUAAUGUUCUCAAAUCAAUGCAAAAAGGGACGAUUGUGGGGCUUGGGCACAACCUUCCUUGAAUAGUUGAAUUGAGGGUUUCUAUAAACUAGGUCUCUAUAUCAAUAGAUUCUACAUUUCAUCACUAUGGAGACCUUACAAUAAAUAUCGCAAAAAGCUUCAUUUACUACAUAGUAAGGAUAAUCCUAAGGACUUAAAAGCUUGAGUUGUCUCUUCCAUGGCAGCUUCAGAUCUCUUAAUAAGCUCCAAGUCAUUGUCUACCUUGAAUAUAAAUCAGUGCUAGAAGUAUGUGCCCUCAACAUUCCUAUGUUCCCGAUAUUGACUAGAUAUUUGUUGCUAAUUCAUGAAGAAUUGAAGGGGUCUUUGAUAAUGACAUCUAUAAUGUACUUCAAGUUCAUGAUCCAAACCCUCUUCUUGUUUUCAAUAACUUCAUUUUUUUAUAUUACUUUGUGGUCAAUGUUAUAAGAAUGUUGUAUUUUGUUUACCUGAUUCUCAUCCAUCAACACACAUGAAAGGAAAAGUUUUACAUUUCUUUCCUUCCCUUUGCUCUGUGUUUGUAUAUGUUUAUGCAGCUAAUGCGAACUUCCAUCGUAACUUUUUAAGUUUUUUCAUUCUCGAGUUUGGGAAACAAAUGGAUUUGAUUGUAAUAUUUUCUUGUAGAUAUCACCUUUCUUAAAAAGCUUGUAUUUAUUCACAUUUUCAAGAUGUCUAAGUCAUCUGAUUAUGCUUAGAACUUUUGGUUUCUAUUAAAUUCAGGUAUGAUGUUUGCAAUUCUAACCCCCUUACUCCUCUUGAAGACUACAUAAGUUUCUAGUGCUUUUACUUUAAUGGUUAUGGUCAAUGUAUCCUCUUGUUACUUCCUGCUUGCAUUCUAUAUGUUCAAGAGCUUUAUUAAAGUAAUUAUUUUAUUGAAGAUAUAAUUAUUUUCAAGUCAAAUCAAAAUUGAAUAAUGACGUGGUUUCAACAACUUCUCAAAAGUAAUUGGAAAGUAAGGAACUUUGUGGUAGUAUUCUGAUAUCACAUUGGGUCUCCAAAUUGUUGUCUUGAAUUGACAUAAAUAACAUAAUUUCUUUCCAGUUGAGCUGCUUCAACAUGUUAUUAUGCUUCAAACUCUUUCAAUUAUGUGUUGUUUAGGUUUGGCAACAUUAGUACACUGGAUAUGUUGCCUCGAGUUACUUACAUAACAUAAAAUUCAUCUUUGUUGUUAACUGGCAUCACUACCACAAGAUGAGUUCCCUCAGCAUUCUACAGACAACUAUAAUUUGGGACAAUUCUGGUUUGGCAACAUUAUCAGAGUUGAUAGGCAACCUAUCUUCAUUAACAAAAACCUUUAAAUUUAUAUUUAUCCCGAACUAGCAUCACUGCUGGAAGACGUGCAUCCUUAGCACCCUAUAACCACUCACAAUUGGAGACUGUUAUGGUUUGUAAACAUUCAACAGACUUGAUAGGUAACCUUGCACCAAUUACAGAGCUUCAAAUUCAUGGCUAUCUUGAAUUGACAUCACUUUCAAACUAGAUGGUUCAUCCAAACCUCAGUUGACACCCAUAAUUCAAGACUUCUCCAUUUUGGCAAUGAUAGCAAAUUUGAUAAGCAUCCCUACUUCACUUACAUACACUAAAAUUGAUAGCUACCUCGGAUUCACAUCAUUGUCACAAGAGAUUGGUUCCUUCAUAUCCCUGCAAACACUUGUGAUCUUUUAUCGUCCAUGUAUAUUAGAAAGACUUAAAAGGGAAAUAGGUGAAGAUUGGACCAAUAAUCUUCAGUCCUAAAUAUUGAUAUUUGGUGAAGAUUGGACUAAUAUAAAGUUAGUUCAGGUUUGAAAUCCCAAUCUUUCUUCUCAUUUUUUAUGGUUUUGUUUUUAUCAAUAUGCUUUGUUUACAUUCUAUAUGGUAAUUUUAUAUGUAUUAGCAUAUAGAUCAAAAAGGACUUAGAUGAUUAAUUUGAAAAGUUUGCAUCCUCAAUUAAUUAGUAAUUAAAGACCAAACUGAUCAUAUUACUUUAAGUCUUGCAUUGUAAGAGUUUGGGAAAAUGUUAGGGUUGACUGAACUACUAUUUUAUAACAGAUUUUGCCUUACUCAAGAAUCUUAUGAUUAUCCCUUGGCACAAUCAUUUCUUGUGUCUAAGAAAUUCAUAUCUACUAUAUGGCCAAAGAAUUUAGUAGCAUUCAAAAUUUCUGUUUUCUUUCAAGUUAGGUGUAUUGCUUGCAAUUCUAACAUGUUUCCUAUUUUGAACGUUGUGUUGUUAUUUUACUAUCAAUGUGUUAAGAGCAUUAUACUAUAUUUUCUAUAAUGUUGUUUACUUGUCAUAUGUAUUAUUUAUUUUAUUGCAAAUGUACUUGUUGCCAAGUUAAAGCAAAAGAGGAAAGUGAGGAUUUUUCAUGGACCAAUGCCUCUCUCAAUUGCUGCCACACUUGACUUCUCUCUAAGUUGUUGAAAAUUUAGAAGUGUGGUAGCAUAAAGUAUUCAGCUCAAGUGCUUUAGUGCCUUACUACCCUUGAAGCUUUAGAAGCUGUCAAUACAAUUGGGGUUUCAACAUGUAACCAUUUUGGAAAUUCUAAGAAGUGUAAGUAUUAUGGUUUUACAACUUUAUUAGACUAGAUAGGCAACUUCAAAUUGCUGAAUGCCCUGAAUUAAAAUCACUACUAGAAGGAACCCAUGAGCACUCUAUAGAAACUCAUAAUCCACUACUCUUGCCACUUAUUAAGAAUGCUAAAAGGAAAAAGUGAAGAUUGGCUUGAGCAUGAUUGAUUAAUAAACCACACAUGGUCUCCUUAAUUCAAGUGUGUCAUCUGUUAUAUGUUUCAUGUCAGUAAUCCUACAUUUCUCUUGUUUCUAUUGGCUCUAUUUUUUUUUUAAUUAUUUUACAAUCAAUCUUCUAACAAUGUUCUACUUUUUUUACAAUUUUAUUUUUUUUAUUCUAAAAUGAAUUAAGACAUAUAAAGAAAAAAAUCACCUUGUUUGAUUUUCAUAUACUAUAUGCUUAAAUGUACAUGUGUUAAAAUCUUUUGAUUUUUUAUUGAUUACUUUCUAUUUAAUUUAUUAAAAAUUGUUAGUCUAUUUGGAGAUGAUUUUUUUUUUUCAUAUGUAAUAAGAUACCAACAAAUUGAGUGAGGAGCACAUCUUACUAAGUCGCUUGUCAAUCUAUCCACCUUCCUAAUCUCAAGAUUCUUCAUGUUUGAAUUAAAAUACCAUGAAUUACAAAAACAAAAAAUGAUGAAAAUGAGUAUUUCUCAUCAUCUUCAUUUUUAUUAGAAGGCAAUUUGUAGCAUCCUCUUUCCCAUUCCUAAAAAAUACUACAGCUUUGUAGGUUGAGAAAUUAGACAUGUUUUCUUAAAUGAUCUUCUUGGUCCAUGCAUGCUUAUAUUUGGAAGAUUUUUAAACCAAGUAUUUUAUGACAUAUAUGAUAGCUUUCAAGUUAAUGCAUAAAUGGUGAUGGUUAGGAUGCAAAAUAUAGUCUAUGCUCAACCUAUUUAUUGACAAACUACCAAGGGCUAGUGCUAAGGUAAACACCUAACACUUGCAUCAUACUCUCUCUUCUCUGCUCUCUUUAUUUGUUUUCCAAAGUUCAUAUAUAAUGUCUUUAUCAUUCAAGUUUUCAUUUUCAACCACUUUUUAAACUUUUGUCUUUUUAUGGUUUAUUACACGACAAUCCAUUUCUAAUAAAUCUUAUCUUUUUGUCUUAUAGACAAUAGAACAACGUGGUAAUUGCAUGACAUACAAUUUGUAAUAGAUGGUCAACUAUAUAUUAAGUAAUCUUUAAUUGCCUUGGAGUUGAAACGUUUGAUGUUGAUAAGGUUUGAUAAUUCUCGCUUUGGUGCUUUGUUGGAUUUCAAUUCAGGUGAUUAAUUGAUCUUGUUAUGAUUCUUUGAUUGUUUUUAUAACUAUUGUGAUAAUCAUUCUUAUUUUAUCGUGGUAAUUGACUUCACUGACUUUUUAACAAUUAUAUCAUGAGUGAAAUGCCCAACCUAUUAUUGUUAGUAUUCCAUUAACAUACCUCUAAUGCCACCACUAAUAAACAUCGUGUAUUAAUAUUUAUAACACGUUUCAUUACUGAAAUAAUUAAAUAUUUUCAAAUUUCUUUUUAGAGUGUGAGAAAUAACCAUUAAUCUUUACAACAGCAUAAGUAUCAUUGAUUUGAUAUUGCUUUCUUGAGUAAUUUGGCAAUUUAAUUAUGAAGUUUAGUUGGACAUUACUUGAGAUUCAUGUCUUAUGUAUAUGGUCUAUUUUCCAAGCUUCAAUUAUAUUUAGUAGACUUGUAAGUGGUGUUUGUCUAUGAGUUUCAACUCUAGAAAACUAUUAUUGGAGCCUAAGUUCACUUUCAAUAAGGAAAAAAAAAAAAAAACUCAACCUUUUCCUCAAUUGUGUAAUUUUAUUCACUAUUGACAUGCCCUUAAAUGGCAUUGCUAUUAUUUGUAGGGAACAUUGUCAAGUUCCAUAUUUGUCUAGAAAGUUAGAAGAAGUAUUUAAUUUGACAUGGUUUGGACAUCUUGCUACUAUCUUUUUAAAUUAGUUAUCAAUAAUUUUUCAAAGUUGACCUUUUUGUUUAUCUCAUACUCCUUUUGUAUUAAAAGGUACCGCAUGGGUAUUGUGUAGAGGAAUCAUGCCUUCUUUAAUUGAGGUGAGCCUCUUGCAAAAUAUUUCAAGUUUGCUCUCAUUCCAUUUGUUACUUCAUGUCUAUUUUUUUGUAAUCAAUCAAGCAAGAGUUUCUUACUUGUACAAUGGUGAACUUGCUUGCAUGAAUAAUACUCUUUUUACUAUUUUUUUUCUUUCUUUAUUAUAUUCAUUGAUACACUUAGAAGUGAAUAGUGAACCAGGUUUUUUGUUAAAAGAAAUCAAAUAUUGGUAAUUAUUUAGUAUCAUGUAUAUAAUAAUCAAUUAUUGAUUGUAAAGAUACUUGGCUUAAUCAAUUAUUAUAUUGAAAUCAAUGUAGUACUAUGACUAAUACCAAAAGGAUAAUAUUUAGUCUUGUUUGACCAUUAGUCACUAUUCUAGAGACAAAUGCUCACAAGUUUUGCAUCUUUGAAGCAUAUGAGAAAAGUUGGUUCAACUAUAUCACCAACUUACAAGCUCCUUAUAGUGUCCAUAUAUAUAACCUUCGUUGUUCAGGUUUAUGAUUCAUAUCUCAUUUUUUUUUUUCAUAUUUUUAUUGUUUAUAAUUUUUUAAUUGAUUUGUUUAUAAAUUUUUAAACUUUAUUGGCAAUACUAAUUUUUUUUUUUUAUUCUCAUGUGCAAUGGAAUAAUAAGUUGAAUAAGAAGCAUAAACUACUUAAUUGGUAUAACUGUUUACUCAAUUCUCUUCUCAGAUAUUUUUGUUCAAGGUAAUCAAAGUAUCAUUCUUUUUAUUUUUAAAGGUACUUGAACUCAGUGAGGACCAUUCCCAAAACAAGCAAUAACUACAGUUGGAUUAUUGAUAUCAUAUCCUUGAUUGACAUCUAUGCCAUUAUAUUUGCAUCUAAAGGAUUUAUGAUGAAAAAAAUAUCUUCUUUAUUUCCAUUUUCCUUCCUUCUUUUGACCAUAAUUUGUGUGCUUAUUGAUAGCAUUCAUACCCUAAUAUAUUUGCUAGCAUAUAUAUGCAUGUCAUAAUCUAUUGAUUUUUUUAGCAUAAGGUCUUAGAGUAUUCACAUAUCUCUAGGUUCUAUAUAUUUAUAAUUUUUACAACAUCAAAUGAAGUAUAUGAACCUUAUCUUGAAGGUGAAGUCUCUUUAAAAGGAGUUUCAACAUGUUAGCAAUUACCUAACUUAAUAAUUUAACAAUUUGGCACUAUAUAUAAUUUUGCAACUCUUUCAUAAAGUAAUUGUGUUACCUUUAUUCACAAUUUCUAUCUUUAUUUAAAAAAAAAAAAUGAAUUGGUAAUUGUGUGUCAAAUCUUGCUUACAAUCAUUAAUAGGUACUUAUAUGCUAAAUGGAUAAAGUUAUUUUACAAUUGUUUCAACAUUUUUAGAAUAUAUAUAUAUAUAGAUGUAAUCACUACCAAGCCAAUGCGAAAAGCUAUAACAAUGAGGAUUACAAAGCUUCAAUUAUGUCUUGGAGAUUCAUAUUGACAAGUUGUAAAUGGUGGGUGAAGUCUCUUUAAAAGGAGCUUCAACAUGUUAGCAGUUACCAAACUUAAGAAUCUAACAACUUGGCACUAUAUAUCAUUUUGCAACUCUUUCAUAAAGUAAUUGUGUAACCUCUAUUCACAUGUUCUAUCUUUAAUUUUUUUUAAAAAAAAAAGAAAUUGAAUUGGUAAUUGUGUGUUGAAUCAUUCUUACAAUAUUUAAUAGGUACUUAUACACUAAAUUGAUAAAGUUAUUUUACAAUUGUUUCAACAUGUUCUGAAAACAAAAAAGAUUAAUAAGUAUAUUUUUUCUAAAUGUAAUCACUACCAAGCCAAUGUGAAAAGCUAUAACAAUGAGGCUUACAAAACUUCAACUAUGUUUUGGAGAUUCAUAUUGAAAGUUGUAGAUUAUGGAUGUAUAGUAUAGGAGUUAGAUUGAGUUUAUCAUUCUAUCUUUGACAUCUUAGUUUUCUAUGUAUUGUCCAUCAUAUAUAUUUGUCAUCUAUUCUUUACAACCAAUUUUUUAAGGACUUCUAUGAUUUGUUUAAAUUUAUAUAUUUGUUUUUAUUUGUACUAGAACUUCACCAAGCUACAAAAGCAUCACAAGUUUUGCAAUUGGAGUUCAUGGAUCAGGUAUUUUAGUAGUUUUUGUAUCUGAAAUUUUUUUAUGAUACUAAUGAGGAUGUUUACCUUGAUUAAUUUAACACUUAUAUUGCAAAUAUCUAUAUAGGAGUUCUAUACAUUUAUUUAAACAUUUAUAGACAUAUUUAUCCUCUUUCUAGCACAUUCUAAUGAUAUUUUUAACAUUGAUAUAAAUUGUUUGCUUGAAGGUUUCAACUAUUGAAAAUUAUUAUUCAAGCCUAAUGUUAAUCUUUUUCUAUAGUGGAUUUCAAAUAAUAAAUUCUUAUUUGAUUAUUUGUAGGGAAAAUAAACAACUUCUAUGUUUGAUAAGAAAGAAGAUAGAGUAGAUCAAUUUCACAAUGUACGAAUCCUACGCAUUCUAUACUUUUAAAGAUGGUUACAAUUGGCUUUCUAUACUUAACAAGUACAUCUUAGCUAAAAGUGAAAAAAUGUUUCUCUUUGCACAUGCCUUCACUACUAUUUUAAUUGCUAUCUUAAUAUGUUAUGGAAAAACCACGACAAAUAACAAUAAUAAGGAGAAGAAAUAAAAGAACAAAAAUAUAAAACUUAUAAAGUAGGAUGAUAUAUGUGGUUUGGCCUAAACCUACAUUUAUAUGUGAAAAUGAAGAAGAACUUCUACUAUUAUUAAAGGAGAUUAAAAUCCUAAAGCUUUCAAAUCUCAUGAUUACACUAAAAAUGGACUUUUUUUUUUUUUUAAUCAAAAUCUCUUCCUUUAUUUUCUUGAUUAUAUAAGAAUAUUCUAUAGAGAAUUAAUUGUGUAAUUAUCAAAGAUAACUAUUCCUAAAAGAAAAAUCUUAUAAUAUGAUAUUUCCUUUAGAAUAAAAGAAAAAUCUCUUAUAUAAAUAUAUCAUAAUAGGAAAAUAUUAAAGACUUAUAAAUUGACUCAAAAGAAUUUGAAAUAUUUUUCAACAAUCUCCACAUUGGCUCAAAUUCUCAAUAUUCAAAUAAACUCAAAAUUCUUCUAUGUUACUUUGCUCUUAUGCACCCUUAAGGGGACUUCAAGUAAUAUCAAUACCAAUUAAGUCUAAGCAAUGCAUAAACUUAAUCAUAGAAAUAAGUUUAGCCAUCAUAUCUAUAAAAUUAUCAACUAUAGGGAUCUUUUUCAUUACAUUAGUACCUUGUUCAAUCACAUCUCUAAUAAAAUGUAUUCUAACAUCAAUAUGUUUGGUUCUCUCAUGUAACAUAUGAUUUUUAGUCAAAAGUAUGACACUUGGCUACCAUGAUAACAAUAAUCAAUGAUUGGAACCAAAUAAUUACAUUUUGUGUGCCUAAAAUUAGGCAUUCAUAUUUAAUAUCCAAUUCUAGUUUCAUCCCUUUACUCAAUUUUAUUCCUAAGUCCUUAAUUUUGGGUUUAAUGUAUUUUUUAAAUAUUUUCCUUCUUUUUUGGUAUAUUUAUAUCACAUUUUUGCUAGCCAUUAUAUUUUUCAUGUAUUGGUUGCUAAUUUUACACUCCAUAGUUGUCACAUCAUCCAACUAAUGGUUGUUACAUUAUCCAACUAUGGGCUGCCACAUGCUCCAGCUACCUUAGCCUCCUUGCCAAGUAUUUUCCAUGCCAAAAAAAGAUUGACAACUAUUUCAAUUGGUUGGUAAAGUUGAGAAAAGCUUCCACCAACCUCGCCAUUAAGUUGUGCUCCUUGCUCCAAUUUCUAAUUUUGCUUCCUACCCUCUUGUGGAGUUAGUGUGGAAAUGACUUUAUACAAGGGAGAUGAAGGUUGGUUUUAAGUAAGGUAGCUUAUUUGUAAACUUGUAUUUCCUUUAUUCAGGCGGUAGUUCUCAUUUCUUAGCCUUGAUUUUCAAUUUUGAUCCUCUUGUCUUGCCACUAUGAGUGGCCAACAUCCAAACCAAGGAAUAAUUUUUAAUAAAAUAUUAAUAUUCAAAUAAAAUCAUAUAUUUAUAUUCCUUAUCGCAUUUAUAGGAAGAGAAAUAUUUGGGACUAGGCCCAGUUCACUUUUUAUAAUUAUAAAUAUCAUAAAAAUAUGAAUAUUAAUAUCCUUAUCCUCAUAAAAGCAUAAUUAAUUUAUUUUAUAAAAAAUUAAUAUUAAAUGGAUUUAAAAAUAAAUAAAGUUUAAUUUUUAAGGUAUACAUGCAUAAGUUUUUCAUUACAUAUACACAUUCAAUACUUAAUUAGUAAUAGUGUAUUCUAAAUUUUUUUAUCUAGUCUAUAAUUAAUUAAUCCAUUUUUUGGAAUUCUAAAUUGUUCUUAAAAAUUAAAAUAUUCAUUAAAGAAUUGAAAGUGUUUAUUAUGUUUAACUUAAUUUAAAUUUAUUUAUCUAGUGAGAAAAUUCAUAAAAUAUAGUUUUAUGUAUAAAGGAAAUAGUAACGACUUUACAUUUAACGAAUCUUUUAUUUUAUAUUGAUUCAUUUAAUAGUCUAUUAUAUAUAUUUAAAAUUUAUUAAACUCAUUAAUAAAUUCAAUACAAAGUUUUACUUAAUUUGAAAUUCAUCUCUCUAGUGAAAAAAUUGAAAAAAUAUUAUUUUGUGAAAAAAAAAAUACAAUAAAAUCAUUCUAAACUAAUUUUUAUCCAAAGAUUUUUUGUAUUUAUUAGUUUAUUAUUUGAUUUUUAAAUUAAUUUAAAAAAUUAUUAGACUUAUUAAUGAAUCCAAUACAUUUUUUGUUUGUUUAAUUUAUUUAUCACACUAUCAAACAAACUUUUAUUAUUUAGUAAAAGACCUCUCAAAAGAGGUUUUUUUUUCUUAAUAAAAAUAAAAAUAAUAUUCUAAACGAUGUUUGAUUCAAGAGUUUUUUAAAAGUAAAAAUAAAAAUAAAAAUUAUUUUAAAUUAUGUGUACAUAAUUGUUGCAAAUUUAUUUCUUUUUCCAUUACCAUUUUCAUUCCUACCUAACAUUGAAAUGGAAACAAAUAAUCAAUCAAACCUUACAUUUAUUCCUAAUCUAAUGACAAGAAUUGGUGGUAUCACCAAAUUCAUUCCAUUCUCUAGUCUCAUGUAUCAAACAUAGUUGUAUAAUACCAAAAACUUCGUCUAAGUAAUGUGGGAUCUCACAUUCACUUUCAUACAGAUACAAUUUUUAUUGUAUCACAUGGAAUUGUGAGGCCUUUAAGUACCAUUUGUAAUGACCCACCUCCAAUUAUAUAAAUAUUAUUUGGUCUAAGUCCAAUGGACUCUAAUCGGUUUUAAAACUUGACUAUACUGUUAAGAGAAGUCUACUAUGUAUACAAUCUUCUCCUAAUAAACGUGUGACAUAACAAAUGGUGGGACUCAAACUAAAGCAAGGCCUUUCAAACUGUCUACCAUCUUAGUUUCAGCAUGAAUUCAGUUUGUUCCAAACAACAUAACUCUGGAGUAUUUUAAACAAACGAUUUCCAUUGAAAACACAUAAUUAAAGUAUAAGGAAAACAAACCCGAUCUUCAAGCGGUUUUGGGGAUCGCCUGUGGAAGAGCAGUGAAAUAGAAAUAUCCACUAAGUGUAUAGGGACCCAAGAUCAACACAUGCAACAGGAUAUCUAAUUCCUCCUAAUAUCAUCAGCAUGAAGAAAAUUGGCAUCAUUUCCACUGAGUUCUGAUGCCCUCUCUGAAAAAAAAAAUAAAUGCAAAACAUUUGUUUUUUCUAAUCAUCGGUCAUCCAUACAUAGAAAAAUCUAUGUGUGAUCUUAAGCUAGAAAAGAUGUUGCAUCUAAUCAAAUUCACUAGACAUGAUGAUAUCUAUACUUUUUUAAAAAAAAAUUAUAUUCAUAUUUAUGUCAGAAAAUAAAUUUUUUAUUUUUUAUUUUUAGAACAUUAAACUUUUUAAAAGUCCUUUCUAGGAUAUUUUCUAGCUUUUUCCUUUUGUUAAUUUUUGCUAUUCAAACAAAUCUUAAGAAAGGAAUCAAACUUGGACACAAUUGAAGAGCUUGGCAUUCUUGUUUUUAGAUUCCAAAGCAUAUAUAGAGAUUGGGGUAAAACACCUUGUACCGAAGAAAAAAAAAAGGAAAAAAAAAACACCACAACAAAAAAUUAACCAAAAAUCAGAAAAUUAAUUGGAAUAAAAAAUCAAGAAAAUAUUUUUUUGGGUUAAUAAUUAAUUAUAAUGAAAUCAAAAGAAAAAAGAAAAAUACAUACUUCUUCCUGGCUUUGCCUACACUGAAAGCCAUGAAAGAAUUAGGAAAGCAGUAAAGAACAAGAAGAAGAACCACAUCCAUAUUCUGGGGAAAGCAAAUCCUCUGCUGCCUUCUUCAGAUUGAAGGCAACUAAUAAAUGGUUUAAGGGGUUAUGAGUUUGACUUGGUUGAGUUUGAAGCUACAAAUGUAAGAAAAAUGGUAGUAAUUUUGGAAGCAUUUCUAACUCUUCUAUAACUUGAAAGAUAAAAAAUUUUAAGGGUUAAAAAUGUUAAAAGAGCUUUUUAGAAUCACCCCAAAUGUACUCUAAAUUAUUUAUGACUUGAUGUCACCUUCACACUCAUUUUUCAGUGUCAUUUAAUUUUGGUGUUCCCAUAUUGAAGAUUUAGGGUAAUGUAAUAUUCAAGCCUUCACAUUUUGCCUUCACUAACCUUUGAAUUUUAAUUAAAUUCUUUGAAGGAUAUUUGACCACUUCAUUGUCCAAAAAUGCUUAUAUUGCCAUUUUUUUUUUGUCUUUUUCUACAAUUCCAAUUUUACUAUUUUUCUUUUAAUUUAUUCCUAUUAUUAUUUAGGCUAUUAUUUAUAAUAUUCUUAAUAUUAUAUUUAUAAUUGUUAAUAGUAUAAUUACUUUUUUUCAUUUAUUUGUCAUUUAUAUUGCUUAUCUUAUCUUUAAUCAUGUAUAAGACUCAAAAACUGCAGAAAACAUUAAUAAGUAACUACUAAACUUCAAAGAGAUAAUAAAAUUCAACUACAUUGAUAUUACAAUAAUACAAAUGAAAUAUAUAGCAACUAGCCCUUAAAAGGGCUUUUAAGAGAUAAUGAGUCUACUUCAGAUUGACAUUUAAAGUAGAAUCACCAUCUCUAUAGAUAUAUAUGAAGCCUAAAAAGAAUAGAACAUCACUAAAUAAUAUUAAUAAAACAACAACUAGAUCAAUUGAUAGUGAAAGUAAAGGUUUACAAGAUGAAUCACAUAAAUAAGAACAACUAAAUUGAGAAACAAAUUACAUGUCUGACAAAUCUAAUGAGGGAAAACAUUGGAGCUAGGUGCCCAAUGAUUGGCUCCUUGAAGUUGACCUACCUCCUCAAUAGGUACAUAGGAGUCCUUACCUAAAAAAACAUUAAAAUCAAUAGGGUGAACAUAAGAUCUAAUAAAUAGGCACGAUAUGCAGAUGCUAGGAUGGUUAGUCCAAGGUAAAAAAAAUAGUUCUAAAAUGUAUCACGUAAUAAUUUUGGUGUAUUAUGAGAGGAAAAUGGACUUGUGAGAACUAUACUUUGUGGAUAGAAAUGUGAGGAAGAGUGAAAGACACUCAGUGGAGUAAGAGAGCUAACAGUUUAGGGUAGUCAUACAAAGUGUGGGUAAAUAGAUGUAUCUAUUUUUGUUCCUAACAAUAUUUUUUUGUUGUAUAGUGAAAUAUUAUCUUUCAAAUAUGGAAGUAAGCAUGGUUAGGUGUACCAUGUUAAAAUCUUAAGUAUUUGUUUUAUUUUGUGUUCUUCCAUUAAUAUAUUUCAAUAUUAGAGCUUUCAUUGACUCAAUAAUUUAUUAUACGAUGAAUCAUCAUAAGUGAAUAUAUUUUUAUAUUAGAAUAAACCAUUUUCUUAAUUAUAAGUAUAUUUGAAUAUUUUACUAAACUAUUUUAAAAUAAAAAUAUAGUAAAAAAAAUUAAUAUAUAUAAUAAUAACAUGAUAAAUAACAUAUCCCAAACCAAAUGCAACAUAAAUUUCUAAAUUGUCUCUCCUUUCUUAGUUCUCUAUAAUAAUAUUGCCAUACCCAUUGUUUAAGCUAUAAAUUAACAUUUUAUGUUCUUUGAAACAUAUGUAUUACCAACUCAAUAUAUAUAUAGCUACGAAGACAUAUUUCUCAUUUUUCCAAUCAAAAAGCAUUGUGAGUUGAAACCUUUUUGUUUAGAAAGUUAACUUGCAAUGUUAAUAUUCUUUUUUAAUAUUAGCCCCCUAGGAAUAUCAUUGCCUUUCACCACACUUUAAGUUUUUUUUUUUCGAUAUUCUUUUUUACUUCUACACUAGAAUUUAUGUAACUUCUUGUUCUUUAUUUAUUAUUAUUAUUAUUUUUUUGCAAUAUUUUCUCUUAAGUCUACCUUACACUUCUUAUUACCUCUCAUAUAUUUUUUUUUUUUGUCUUUUUCAAAUACUUGGUUGCUUCUCUAUUACAAUUCAUUAACUUCCUAUCAUUUUAUUUAUUUUUAUUUUUUGCAAAAUUCUUUCUUAAAAUACAUAAAUCCAUAGUUUUUAUUUUAAAAGUAUCAAGUAAAGAACAUAGACCUACUCAAACACCAUUGUAUAAUACCACUAAAAUUUCCAAAAAUCCCUAAAAUUUCAUAAAUUCUCUGCAAACUUAUCCCUAAUUAGAUGCUAUUACAUUAAAUAUAUCUAAUUCAGUCUAAACACAUGAUUGAUAAUAAUAUAAAAAAACUAAAACAAUAUUAAUAUGCAAUUUAUUAUUUUUCAACACACUGUAAUAGUUCCCAAAUAUUUUCAAACAUCAGCUAACAAACCUAAAUUUAUUCACUCAAAAUACAUAAUUGAUAACAAUGGAGAACUAAAAAAAAAAAAUUAUAAAUAUAACAAUUUUAUACUUUGAAUACAAUUCAAUAAAUCCUAAAUUUUUAAAAACAUUUAACUAAUAAACUUAACCAUACUCAAAUAUUAUUGUAUAACAUCUCUAAAAAUUUCAAUAAUUUAUCAAACGUGAAGACUACACUCACCGGUUUAGUAGAAUCACUUGCCUCUUCUAUUGGUAAUUGGGAUUUUUGUUCAGUAGCUUCGCUUUCCUUUGCUUCACUUUCUUCUGCUUUACUUUUUUCUUCUGUUCGCAAUUGACAUUUUUGUUUUUUCGUUACUUUUUUUAAUCUUUUUAUCAAAUCAUUCUUCAAUGAACUCAUUGUUUCAUUCGUGCUUGAAGAUACAAUAUGAGAUAACUUGAAAAAAACAGAAUAACGAUUUUUCUAAGGAUUCAGAAUGAAACAAAUGAUGAAAUGAUAGACGAUAAAAUUUCUAGGGUUUUUGAAGGAAAGAUGAGAUUUUUGUUUUGUGCAUCAAAGGAAUAUAAUGGAAUAAAAGAAGAUGAUGAAAGAUGAAAACUCGUUCUGUAAAUGAAGUGAAAGAGGAUAUGAGUUUUCCUUUUUGUGCACCAAAGGAAGAUAAUGAAGUAGAAGAAAAUGAUGAGAAAUUUUUUUUGGAAAAUAUGAGGAGUCGUUCUGUAAAUGAAGCAGAAGAGGAGAAGUUGUAAGUGUUGGAGAGAAAAAAGAAGAAGGACAUUUUUGUCUCAAUCAAUAAUUUUGUUUUGUUUUUUAACCGGUGGAUUAUAUUUGCAAAUAUGGGGGUUAUUUUGACCCCUUUAACCAAAUAACCCUUUUUUUUAUCGAGUUACAACUUUAAAUUAGGUGUAAAAAGAUAUUUUGAUAUGGUAGAUACUGUACAGUUAUAUAUUGAAAUUCCAUGGUUCAUUAGAUAAACCAUCCUUGAAUUUCUUUGGUUUCAAUUAAGAUGAUAGAUCAUCCUUCCAUAGAGUGACCUGAUAUGACAUUGAUUUUCUAGGGCUUCAAACACGAAGGGUGUCAAUGACUAAGAACUCCGUUUGAUUGUCGAGAAAAUGAGGAAAAAAACCCUUAAAUAAAAUAUAAAUACAAUUCAGAAUUUCAAUUUUACAUUGUUAGGGACCCCAAAAAUGGGAACAUUCACUUAACUGAGCCUAAUCCAACCACCUGCCUUAGUUUAAUUUAGUCCCCACUUUCUAGAAACCAAAAAAAUAUAAACAUUCCUGUGUUUGACUACUUAGAAAGCAUAGGACAAGCAAAGAAAAGGACAGUGCCUCCUCGAUCAAACAGUUUUUUUUUUCCUUUUCUUUUCUUGCAUUUUCUUUUUUCGGUAACCAAACAAAACUUUUUAAUUGAGCAUUGUUGUAUACAAUUUAGAUUUCUUUCCCUUAGUUUCUCCGCAACCAAACAGAAUUUUUCUCAAUUGAGCGAGGGUCUAGUAUAUCCUUCGUUUUCCUAUAACCAACAUAAUUUCCCUUGUUAUUUUUUUUAAUCUUUUCUUUGAAUUUCUCAGAAACCCAACGGAGUUUACUUCUGGUGCAACCGUGCAAGAAAAUGGUUUUACCUAAUCGCAUUUCACCGGACUAGCUGAAGCAAUAGAGGCUUAAGAAAAAGAGACUGAGCUUUGUUUGUUAAACUCCCUAUGUGAGUACGCAAAGUAAGAAGAAUUGAAGCUGAAAUUAGGCGGCUUCUAAACACGUCCUAGGAGUUGGUUUUAAAACCCAUUUUUUCCCCUUUUUGGUUGCAAUCGGUCUACAAAGAUGCCAUUAAAAGGUAACCGCGGUUGGUUGCAUGAACAAGAAAAUGAAAAAAAAGAAGUUAAAACUAAUUAAAAUUAUUUAAUAUUUUCAUUGAAAAGUAAAAAUAAUUACAAUAUAUUUAAAUAAACACAUAAAAAUAAUAAUUUAUUAAUUUUAAAUCUAUUUUUUAAAUUUUCAAUUUUUCAUUUAUUUUGUUCCCUCUAAGCUUUCUAACUAAGGUCAUAAUUUGGACAAAUUGUUGGAUUCAUAGCUAAUCUAAAUAAUCUAAUAGAGAUAAAUAAAUAAUUAAUUUAAGUUCAACCCAACCUCUAAGCUUUCUAACUAGGGUCAUAACUUGAACAAAUUGGAUGGUUAACAUACAACUUGGACAAAUUGGUGGGUUCAUAGCUAAUCUGAAUAAUUUAAUAGGGAUUAAUAAAUAAUUAAUUUAAGUUUAGCCCCACUUCUAAACAGAGGUAUUUAAUUCAAGCUCAACCAACUUCAUUUCUUCGAGCUCUGGUUGAUGAGGUUAAACUUGGGUUAGCCCCUGAUUGUAUAAUUCAAAAUACAUGUAGAAUGUUUUUUAAUAAAAAAAAAAUUAUAUACUUAUAUCAAAUUUUAAAUAGUAAGUAGGACAAAAUUUUAAAAUAACAAAAAAAAAAAAAACAAAAACAAAAACAAAGUUAUAUAUCUUUUUUAAAAAGUAAAAAAAUAUAUUAUAUAAUAUAAUUUGAUUUUUUAUUUAUAAAAAUUUAGAAAGAAUAAAAUUAUUAUAUAAAAUAACAUAUAUUGGAAAUAUUAUAAAAACAUUAAAAGUUUGUUCAGUAGUUAUUCAAAUAAGUGUUUCUAUCCCUAAUUUAAACUUUGGUUUCAAUCUAACUCGAAUUAAAUUUGAGUUGAAAAAGUUUAACUUGAAUAUUAAAAAUAAUUGUCUAAACACGAUCAAAUAUCUGAUUGGAUUCGACUAAUCUGCCAAAGUUGCACUCCUACCAAGAACCAUACACAAUAAAAAAAUUUUAAAAUAUUUUUUGUUCUAGGAAAGUACUCAAAAAGGAGAAAUAAAGAAAAAAAAUGAUUUUAUAUGUAUAAUUAAAAUUAGUUAAAUUUUAUAUAUUUUAAAAUUAUUUAAUUUUUUUAUAUGGAAAAGAAAAAAAAAAAGAGUGAAAUAAGUUUGAAAAAACAAGUAAAAAUGAUUUGUUAACUUUAAUAUUUUUUUUCUUUUCUUUUCUUCUAUUUUUUUCUUUUUAGUUUAUUUUUCUCAAAAUUUUCAAAAAAUAAACAUAGAAUUAAAAAAUAAGAAAUAAUUACAUAAUUGGAAAAUCAAUUUUAGAACUUGCUUAUAUGAUUGCAUUAGUUUGUGUAAAUAAUAAUUUUAUUGAAUGUUAAGAGAGUGGUAUUAAAUGCACAUUAUUUAAUAUUUUUCUAUGGAUAUUUUUAUGGGAGAAUUGUGUUUUGGGCCCAGCUAGACCCAAAAAUUAAUAAAAGAUCCUCCAAACACCUAUAAUUGAUUGUAAGGAUAUAAGGUUGGAAUAGACAAAAAUACCCCUUUUUUACUUACACCAAUUAUUUUGUCUUUAUACCACCACUCUUUACAUGCCCCAUCUAUAAAAUUCUCCUUUAUUUAAUCAUUUUUUUUAUUUUUUUUUAUUUUUUAAACUCCUUUAAAAAUAAUUGAAAAAUCAACAUUAUUUUCUAUUUUUAAAUUAUAAAUAAAUAAAAAUUAUAUUAAUGAUUCAAAAAUUAUUUUGGAACAUGCUUUUGAAAAAAAAUAUUAAUUUAAAUGAAUAAAAAUUAUUUUUUACAUUUUACAAGUAAAUAAUUUAAUGAUUAAAACACUAUUUAAAAUAAAUAUAUUUACUAUUUUUUUUCUUUUAUACUAAAAAGUAUUUUAAAGUUUAUUUUUUUAUUAUUAUAAAAUAAAAAGUUUAAAGUUUUUUUUUUAAUCUUUUUCUUUCCAUAGUUUAAUAAUUUUUUGAACAUAGACUUUUGUAAUAAGUUAUAUGAAUGUUCCAAAUUUGUUUAUUAAGGAAUUUUUUUAAUGAUUUGAAUUAAUUGAAAAUUUAUUGAAAUGAGAAAAAAGAAAAAGAGAGAAAGAGGAUAGAUGAAGAGUUUUUAUUUUAAAUAUCCAACUAAAAUGUUUUCGUAUUUAGAAAUGGAUUAUAUCAAUACAUAGUAUAGUAGAGAUUGAUUUUUUUCUCAUACAAAAGGGUCAAAUGAUAUGUUUACUCAUUUUAAAUAAAAACAAGUAGCUAAAAAUUAUAUAGAUUAUGUUUGAGUUUGGUUUUAAAAUAUUUUUUCUAGUUUUUAUUAUUUUUUUAUUUUUAAAAAUUAUUUUUAUUUUCUAUAUUAUCUCUUUUUGAAAAUACAUUUAAUUAAAAAAAUGAAAAAUAUUUUUAAAAAUGAAAAUUGAAGACCUUGUUUAAUACUAAGAUAAUAAAAAGAAUUAAAUUUCAUUUAUUAAUUAUUCUUUUUUAUUUUUAAAAUAUAAUAUGUUCACAAUUAAAUAAAGGAAUUGGUCAAUUGUAUAUUUUUUUCACAAAAAUGUAAUAUGUUCAUAAAAAAAUUGGAUUGAAGUUUUUCAUCAUUUUUUUAAUCAAACUACUAGAAUCAUGUUUAAUACAAAUAUAGGCAUAUAUGCACUACGGGAAUAUGAAAUUUGUGUCACUAUACAAGAGUAUUUACUAACUGUAUAAGGGAAAUGUACUAAGUGUACAAGCAGUGUAUAAGAUUACCAUUUAUAAAAGAUUUCAAUCUAUUUUGAACCACUCCUUUAUUUUCCUUGUCACUCAAAAAUUGCAUACUCAUGUCAUGCACUUUAUUUAACUCCCAUAUGGAAAUUCCGAUACUUUCCCCAAUAAUGAUGUUUAGGAAAAAAAAAAAAACUAACCCUAAUUCAUCCAUCCUUUUAUUAGUUAAACCAUUAGAAAUAUGAUUAACACACCUACAUGGACAUAUUACUUAGGAUAGAUAUAUUGUACAAUGGUAUUACACUAAUUGUACAAGGGAAAUGUACUAAGUGUACAAAGAAAAUGUACUAAGUGUACAAGGGUUUACAAGACUACCAUCUAUAAAAAAAUUUAAUCGAUUUUGAAUCACUUUUUCAUUUUCCUUGUCACCCAUAGAUUGCAUACCUACAUCAUGCAAUUUAUUUAACUUUCACAUGAAAAUUUCGAUACUUUUCUUAGUAAUAAUGUUUGGGGAAAAAAAUUUAAUCAUAAUUCAUCCACCAUUUUGUUAGCCAAACCAUUAGAAAUAAGAUUAAUAUAUCUACGUGGACACACAACUUAAGAGGGAUAUAUUGCACCAUUGUACAAUGAUGUUACACUAACUGUACAAGGGAAAUGUACUAAGUGUACAAGGGAAAUAUACUAAGUGUACAAGAGUGUACAAGGCUACCAUUUGUGAAAGAUUUUAGUCGAUUUUGAAUCAUUUCUUUAUUUUUUUUGUUACCCAUAAAUUGUUUAUGAAAUUUGCACUAUUAUAUAAGAGUGUUACACUAACCAUAAAAGAGUAUUCCACUCACUGUGUAAGGCAAUGUACUAACUGUAUGGGGUAAAUGUACUAAUUAUACAAGGGUGUACAAGGUUAUCUUUUAUGCAAGAUUUUAAUCAAUUCUGAACUUUUUUUUUUCUUGUCACCUAAGGAUUGAACACUUUUCCCCCACACAUUCCUUCACCUAAAAAUUGUUUUAAUUUGAAAUUUUAAAUUUCUUCAUCCAAAAUUUGUAAUUGCAUAUUUCAUUUAAGUAGUUUUAACAAUAUUUUUUCUUACUACAUUUACAUCAUAUAUAAAGGAAAAUUAACCAUAAUAUUUAGGUAUUACCUUUUUUUUUUUUUGUGAAAUCAAAUUAAUAUAAAUGGAUAACACAUUAAUGUCAUUGUUUCAAAUAACUUAAGACAAUAUAAACAACAUAUAAUAACUGUUGAGGAAAAAUUAUGAAUAUUUUUUUACCAAACUAUGUCAUUUAGAUCUUCUCUACCAAAAUUAAAACAUAGGAAAUAAAAUUAAAAUUAAUCACAUUUAAAGUGUUUAUUACAAGUAAACCGAAUGAAAUAUAUAUUUUUACUAUUUUACCUUUAUAAACAUAAUGUUAGCAGAUAUUAAAAAAAUCAUAUUUAAAUAGAAUUAAAAAGGAUAAAAAAUUAUCUUUGUAAAAUUUGUAAUUUUUUUUUAUAUAAAAAAUCAUUAUUUUAAAUUAUCAAUUUAAUUUAAAAUAAUUUUUUUGUUGUAAUUAUAGUUUUAAAGAUUCUACUAUUUUUAUAUUAUUACUUUUAAUUUAUUUUCUUUGAUUUUUUAUUUUAAAUUUCAUCUAAACUUGUUUUUUCUUACAUUUAUAUGUUUUCUAUUAUAUCAUUAUUUAAAGUAAUUUUCAUCUAAUUUGUAUUCCAUUAUAUUCUCUUUUCAAUUUUAAUGUGUUGUUAUACCUCUUUACAUAACAAAAGAUUUUAUUAUUUUUCAUCUACAAAACUUUAUACAAAAGAUAUCAUGUACAGGGAAAAAAAAUUAAAAAAAGAGAAAAUUAUGAUAUAAUUUACAUACACAUCUCUUAAUAUGAUACAUUUGCUUGACUUAAUGACAUCAUGCUUUAAUAAUUUAAAUCAUGUCAGUCCACAUCUAUUUUAGAUUUAAAAAGGCAUUUGAAUAUUUUUCAAAUUAUUAAGUUAUAAUACAUUAUUCAAUUAAAAAUUAAGUAUCACUAUUAGUUAAAAGAUGAUUAUUUUAAAAAAUAAUAUAUUAAAACAAUAUCAAUGUGUUGUCCAAAAAAUGGAGAAAAUAUUCAAAUAAUUGUCUACAACCUUAAAGAUAUUUAUAUAUAUAUUGGAUAAAAAAGAAUAAUAAUAUUUUUUAAGGUGUUUAAAAAUUAUUUAUUAUAUAUUUUGUAAGUUUAAAAAAAAUAUUUUAUGAGGUAUUUAAAAAUUUUUUACUUUAAAAAUAUAGUAAUAAUCAUUUUCAACCAUUGAUUACCAAUAUUUAAUUUAUUAGGCAUGGUUUUUGGGAGAAAAAUAAUUGAUGAAAAUAGUAACACCUUUCUAGAAAAGAAUUAAUGAUAAGGUGAAUGAUGAAAGAGAGGGAAAAAAAGAAUGAAAGAGAGUGGGAAGUUAGUUGUUUUCUUUUUCUUUUUGACAAUAAAUGACAUUUUCGGAAAAUUAAAUGUUUCAUAUCCUUCUUUUCAAUUUGUAGACUUUCUUUAGGUGUUGGGUUUAAAUAUGAAACUUAUGAGGAUCUUUUAUCAAUUUUUUGGCCCUGGGCCCAAAACACAAUUCUCCCUAUUUUUAUUUCUAAAGAAAGUAAUCUUUACAUGGAUUGGACCACUGUUUAUUUAUCCAUGUGGCCCAGCCCAUUAAAAACAUCAAACCAACAACCCAAGGGACGACCCUGGUCAUUCUCGGGGGCCCACAACCUUCAUCUCAAACAAAAGCCCAUGGGCAGGAUCACCUUCCACACACAUCUUCAUACCAGCCACCACGCUACCAACAAUCCUCCUCCAUGAAAGCCCACCUCCAUCACAGCAAGCAGAAAAUCCAACACGCCAACCAUCAACCUCCGCACAGACCUAACACUGCAUAGCCGUGUUUUAGGAGUGUCAGGACGUGAUUAGAGAGGAUCUACUUUGAGUGUUCAUGGAGUUUCGCUAUAAGAGGGUGAUAGACCAGAGUAUCAAUGCUCCCUUUGUAACUUUAGGGGCAAGGAGGAAUCAGUUUACCAAAAAUUCUUCAUGAAACCAUCCAUUUAUCUCAGGGAACAUUUAUUAAGUAGAGUCAAAUUGAUUUACAACUAAGAGAUGAUUCAUUCCUUUUAAUGAAAGAACCUUAUUUCAAAUUGCCCUAAUGUGGCCUAAUAAAGCAAUAUUACUGGUUAUAUUUUGGACACAUCUCAAUGCCAUCAAUGGCUUCUCCUUUUUCAUUCCUUUCUCCUCUUCUUCUGCUCAGAAGAUUCAGACUCAUAAGUGGAGGCAACCGGUAGUCUCGGUUCUGGAGCUUGGUGGAGUCAAGAUUGGCAGAGAUGGUAACAUACCCACAUCCCAAAAUUGCGUUUAAAAAGGAUCUUUAGCUUGAAUUUUGUGUGCCCAAUUUGCGUUUUUGCAGGCAUUUGCACUCAAGUCGUGUCGUUUGUUUGCAAUUUCACAAUCUGAUUUCUUUUCUAUUGUGCUUUUUUUUUUUUUUCCUGCUAGGUUCAAAUUCAAGCAUCCAAUUUGUGUUUUUCUGGGUAUUCUUAUGCCCAACUUGUGUCAUUCAAUUUGCAAUUGUCGUUAUCAGACUUCCUUCUCUCUUUUGAGACUUACAUGGUUAGAGACGUCAUUUCUGUGAAAUUAAGAAUGCAUGUUUCAACUUUCACUUCUUUCUCUCUUUCCUUUUUUUUUCCCUGUCAUACUCCUCGGUUCUGUUUGGCGAUAGUAGAAUUCAGGAAUGGUUUCCCUUUUCUUUUUUCUUUUAUUUAUUUAUUUUUCAAUUUUUGGGUUUCUUUUGGUUAUAUGGAUUCUACAUUUUUAUUUUAUUUUUAUUUAUUUAUUUUUUUUGUGAAAUUGGAAUUGAAGAACUUAUUUUGCGUUUUACAAGCUUAGCGGGUUACGUUUCUGUUCUAUUUGUUGUACUGUUGGAGGUGUUUGGUGCAUUUAUAUAACUAGGCUUGCAAUUUCGCCUUCUGAUAAAGGUUAAAUUUUCUCCCUUUUUAUUUAUUUAUUUUUUAAUGGUGUAUUUGUGUUGGGAUUUGGUGAAAUGGGGAUUCUGUACUGGGUUUAUGGCAUUUUUUCAAUUGGUUUGAUAUUUGUGAAUGUGGGUUUUGUAGGGAAGAUGUGCAAAUUUUUUGAAAGUAAGAAUGCAAUUACAACUUUGAUUUCCUUUAUAUUUAUAUUUUAUAUUUUUUAUGCUUAUUUGCGUAUAGGUUGAUGUCAAAAUUCAUCUAAUGGGUUGUUUUUUAUUGCUUUGGAUUGGUUUAAUGUAGUUGGAUGGUGGAUUUUGUUUCUAAAACUUAAGGUCAAUUUCAAUUUUUUUAUUUUUUUAUUUUUUAUUUUUAUUUUUUCAAUUCGAAGACCUGGGAAUUGAUGUACUCAAGUUUUUGGAUUUUGCUGAUUGCCUUGAUAAACUUGGCUUGCAGAGCCUUAAAAAAUAAACUAUACUCACUAAGCUAUAUCUCAGAUGAUACUUCAUCAGGGCGUGAAAUGCAACUUGGAGUCUUUGUAUUUUUUAAAUUAUUUGGGUUAUUCUAUUCUGAAUAUUUGGUAAAAUUAGAAUUCAUGUACUGAACCUUUUUCAAGUUCUUUUGGUUGGCUUGAUAUAUUUGGUUGUGGGGUUUGUAGAUGUGGUGAGGGAUGAUCCUACAAACAAUGUCCCGGAUGCAAUUUUGUCGAAACUUGGAAUGCAGCUUCACAGGAGGGAUCAACACCCAAUUGGAAUUCUGAAGAAUGCAAUAUAUGAUUAUUUCGAUGCCAAUUACUCUAACAAAUUUGAUAAGUUGGAUGACCUUUGCCCAAUAGUCUCCACAAAAGAGGUUUGACCAUUAAGAUAUAAAAUAGAAAUUUUAUGCAUGUUUUUUUUUUUUUUCACUGUUUUGAGCUAUACAUUGCACUAUUUGGAACUUGUAUUAUCUUGCUAUGACUAGUGCUUGGCAUUUUGUUGCUGUUUAUAUUUAUUUUGCUGCCCAUUUCCUGUUGGUUUCUGUCCUGUCCUUGGUGUUUUAACAUUUAAGAAUCCAUGAAAGUGGUAUUUGCAUCUGUUGCCAAUUAUUCCAUCAACGAUGUUUUAAGUAGGAAACCUAGUAUCCAAACUUCCAUCCAAACUUACAUAUAAAAAAAAGUCCAGAACAGGCAUUCAGUUUACCAGGUUUAUCAAUUCUCUCCAAUGUUUAUUCAACUCUUAAAUGCAGUAUUCUGGACGUACUCCAAAUUUGAAAUUCCUUUGGUAAAAUAAAAGCAUGGUACUUACAGUGGUCUAUUAAGGAAAAUGUUUGUUUGACCUAGCUUUUGUACAAAAAAUUCAAAGAUAGUCUUGCAGAUAUGUAUCAUAUGGGUGUAUAUUUCUCUAUCAUGAUACAAGUGAGAAAAAAUUCAGGAAAGUUGUUUUGUUGAAAAAAAAAUUGAAAGUUAAUUUAUGUUUUGAGAGGGACAUUAGACAACCUAGGAUUCAAAGGGACAUGUUGUCUCUUAGGAAAAUAUAAUUCAUAACAUUCUCAAUCACUUACAAGUUAUUUUCUUCCUUUUAAAUUGAUUUAUUUAAUUUUUUUCUUUGUUGUAGGCAAGCAAAGAAUAUAUUUACAAAACCUACUAUUAUCAUUAUUUUGGUACUUAGCAUUGAUGGAGAUUGUAAAAAUUCUCUAAUAGUAUUGCAGGAGAAAAAUAAUAUUUAUGAAUUUUUGUUAAACACAAUUGUCAUAAUGAUAAUAAUUAAUUAGAAUAAUAUAAGUUUGUAAUUGGAAAAUUUUUUAAAAAUAAAAGCUUUUGGAAAUAGUUUGAAUAGGAGUAGAAAUUCUUGGAUUUCAUGGAGAGCUUAGGUGGGAUCUAUGCAUGGGGUUGUUUGCUAACUAUUUUAGUAUUUGCUGCUCUUCUCUCUUAUAGGUGUUCAGUUGCAGCUUGUAUUCUCUUAGCAUACUUGGGUUGUGCCCCCUUUUGUGUUCUUCAAUAUAAUCUUCAAGCUCAUGACUAGUGCAAUUUCUACUAAUUGAACACUUUUCACUUCAAAUAAUAUUUAGUAAUCUAAAUAGCAUUUAUCAAAUUAUUUCUAACUCGCCAUUAGAUUUAUAAAGAACCCAAAAUAUGAAAUUUUCUUCUUAGGCAUGAGAAAUUGUCAUUGUUAUAAACCCCAUGUUUGUCUUCUACUUACAAGCAUAAUUAUAAAGCAUGAUCUGCACGUCUUAUCAUGAAAUAUAACAAUGUCAUAAAAUAGAUGAUUGAUAAAAUAUUAGAAGUCCAUUGCAAAUGCUUAAUGGAACCAAAAAUUAUUACAGAGCAAGUGCAUAUUUCACUCAAACUUUUAUGCAGUAGUGGUAGCUUAUAAACUCACAACUUGGACUUUAUAUGGUGCAAAUGUAUGUUAUCAGCUAUUGCUUUUGACCAGUCAUGAGUAGAUACUAUUUAUAAAAGGACACAAAGGAGGAUAUAAUCCAAGUGCACUUGUAGUCAACAAGUUACUCUAGGCAUCAAAAUUGAAAGAAACAACAAUGAAGAAAAGCAGCAGAAAGUGCCCCUACCUCCCAAACUGUCAAUGAACUACUGGAAGGAUCUACUACUAUUCAAGAUAACUUCUUCUAAGCACAACUACAUGUAACAGUUCUUAGCCUGCGCUAUGGUGUCAAGAGGUAGGCUCAUUGGAACAUGCCUAUUUUGAUGGAUUUAAGUUUAUGGGGAUAGUUAAAGUGUAAAGUGUUUGAUAAAAUAAAUUUGCUAGUUUUGAUAAAUUGGAAUUACUACUGAAUGAAAUGUGAAGCUAGAUAUUAGGAGGAGAAAGAAAGAUAAUUAAUUUAUUUGUAUGAAACUAUGACUUAUGCAUUGUGAAGCUUAUUGGUUGGGAAUUGUUGAACAGGGGAACUUACUUAAUAGGGGAGAAAGAACCACACAUAUUUCUUGAUGAGAAAAUAUAAUUACAUUAGCCAAAGGCCAAAAAUAUAUGAGUAGUUCGCUAAUUGCAUAUUAUUGGAAAGAGUGCUGAGCAACAUAUGAUUCAUAAACUUUUUACAAUUUAAAGGCCUAGGUCCAAUGAGAUAUGUUGCAUCAUAUUACCUAAUGAACCAAUGAAGUUUAUGGAUUUCCAAAACUUCUUGGAGAGGUUCAUUAUUUUAUGGUUCUUUUUUUCUUUUUUAGGGUUCUUUAUUUUCUUUUUGCCGAGAUAUCUAGAAUAUGGCAUGGUAGGUAUUUUUGCUCCAUACCUCUUUGGAGCUCAAUUAUUUGGCAAAGUAGGAAGAAAACAAAUUAGCAUCAACUUUGGCUUGACUUGAGAUCACAAAUCUGACUAGAGAUUUUGCAGUAGUGUGUUGAGGUCUAAUCCGAAUCUAGGUUGUGAUGUGUGCAUCAAAGAGUCUUUCCAGAAGUCGUGAAGCUUUGAGGUGUUUUGUGAUGGCAUGACUAGAUAAUGAGCUGCAUUUUGGUCUGGAAUUUGGAGUUUGGUUAUGCAAUUUCUGUAUCUAUAUCUCCAAAAUUAUUAACUAAUUUUAAUUAUUUUAUCUAUUUUUCAAAAUAAACAUUCAAAAUUGAAAGUUUGUGUCACGAGUAUUCAGGCUUAUCCGGAAUAGAAUGCCCUGCAUUAACUCUUGCUGUUAAUGCAUAUAAUACCAGGUCACUCAACACAACCAUUUGCUUGCUUAUGUUGACUUUCAAUGGCUUAAAAUUUAUGGCUUCAAUGGUUAUUACCUGCUAAUACUCAAACUAAUUUUUUUUUUGCUAGGUAAAUAAGAGCUUGUAUUAGAAGCGCCUAGAAGUGGCGAAAACAAUACACAUGAAGUAUACAAACAGAUUGCCCAAGAAACUAGACAAAGAAGACAAAAAACCUUUCCCCUAACUAGACAUAUGACCACUCCAUAAAAUCAAACAUAGACAAAGUAUGAUCCUCUAUAAACACCCUAGCUCAAUUUACAAGAGUAUACAAAAAGGAAUGUUUUAAAGCUUGGUCGGACUGUUCGAUAUCAUUUAAUGCUCUUUCGUUUCUUUCCUUCCAUAAAGUCUACAUUAAGCAUAAAGGGGCGACCCUCCAAGACUUCUCCCUUCUCUUACCCACAAAGGCACCAUACUAACCAAGCAAAUUCCUUUCAAUCGAAGAAUGCAAAACCCACUGCACACCAAAAAGGGAGAAAAUCAAACUCCAAAGCAUUGUAGCCUUUCUGCAAAACAAGAUUAAAUGGUCACUGGUUUCCUCUUUCUCUGUAUACAAGCAUAUUCAAACUAAUAACUAAUAGUUAUUGGAUUUAAAGCUUGUUUGUUAAUGUUCUUCAUGGUUGUGCUUCUAUUUUUAAUCGAUUCUCUUGGCCAUCACCGUUUCCCCCUUAUUAAGAUUGGAUAUUUAAGUUUCAACAAAACAGCCUACUAAAUCCUCAAGAUAGAUCUUAUUUAUAAGGCAUGGGAGUUUUGGUCAAUGUCUGCUUCCAAAAUUCUUAUCCAUAUUUCUGUGAAUUCUUAUGCCAGAAAUUUUACUUCUUGCAGAAUUUUGAUGAUGUCUUGGUUCCUCCUGAUCACAUCAGUAGGAGUUACAAUGAUACAUACUACAUUGACUCUCAAACUGUCUUGAGGUGCCACACUAGUGCUCAUCAAGCAGAGCUGUUGAGGAGGGGACACACUCAUUUCCUUGUGACUGGAGAUGUUUAUCGUAGAGAUUCCAUUGAUUCAACUCACUACCGUGUUUUUCAUUAGGUUUCUUGUCUAUGAUUUGAUCAAUGAUUGUUUUCUAUUAACAAGUUUCUUAAUGUUUUCUUCAGUUCAAUAACUUAUCAUGCAGAUGGAAGGUGUUCGUGUCUUCUUCCAGGUGAUUGGGAUGGCACGUCUUAUGCAGCUGAGGAUUUAAAGAAAUGUCUUGAGGGUUCGGUGUAGCACUUGUUUGGUAAACUUAGAUCAGGAGAUUGUCUUAAUCAGAUGCAAACUUAAUACUAUCUGUUGAUGUUGCAGUGAGAAAUAUGGGUUAAGGAAUUAUUUUCCAGGUCUAAUAAUUCAAAAUCUGGGAAAUACUGCAAGUAAAAGGGGGGAGGGGGAAUAAUGAAAUAAUAAAAUAAUAAAUUUAAGUGGGCAAAGCAAUUCAUGUUAUGCAAAAGCAGUACAGGUUGGUCAUUUAGAAGUCAAAUCAAGAUAGUCCAGAAUAAUAUAGGGAAUUAUUUGUGAUUCUCAAGGUACUUGUUAAGAAUCAUUGACAAAUUACCUAAAGAAACAUUUAAGAGUGCUAUUAUUAUUGAAAUUUCUGAAAUCUAUCAGAAAGGUAGUUUUCAUCUUGGGGUUUACCAUAUACUGUAUAGAAUCUGCGUGGGCUAAAUGUAUUGAAAUUUGCAGGUAAUGUGGAAAUGCGCUGGAUUGAUACAUAUUUCCCUUUCACCAACCCAUCAUUUGAACUUGAGAUAUAUUUUUAGGUGUGCUUUUGAUCUGGCUGGUGGUUACAUUUUAGCACUAUAUAUUUUGAAUUUCUUUAAAACUUUGUUUUUGAACUAAUUUUAGUAGAAACAGGCUCCAUUUCAUUUUUUUGUUUUUACCUUUUGUAAGAAAGGGUAAAAAUCAUUUAAAAAAUGUGAACUUCAGUUUAUUCCAUUGCUGGCAUGUGUGGCUUUCAUAUGUUAUUGAAGACACUAAGAUUCAUAGACUGAUAAUAACAGUAAUAACAGUAAUGUUGAUGAUAAAAUAAUAUAAAAGUAGAAACAAAAUUAGUUGUCACCUUUUUUUUUUCUUUUAAUUUCUUUGUUUUUCUUACUCCUCUGAUGUCGGGAAGGGGUGUAGGGCUCUUUGUUGUCACCAAAUGUGAAAAAGAGGAUGCAUUAUGUCCUUUUAUUUUGGACUUACAGGACUUAUGAUGAAGGCAUUGCUUUCUUCAAUGUAUAUUUAUGACUUCAAGACAUUUUUGUAUUUUAUUUUAUGGCAGCAUUUUUUAGUGUCACUAUUGAAGGAGAAAUUCAUAAGCAUACAUACACACAUGUUAGUGGGCAUACACAAACACUGAUGUUCCACACAGUAAUUAAAAAAUUCUUGCUUUAAGGAGUAUCUUUUUCCAGAACGCAUGUCCAUGUCAAAUGGCAACAUGCCAAUGACUAUUUGCCAGCAGAUGGAAUGCUGGCAACACUUUUAUGGAUUGAAUGUUUUCCUUUCCCUGUUCCUUGUAGUGAAUGAUAUGUACACUUUAGUUGCUCUUACAUAUUUGAUGCAUUGUGCUUCAUGCCCUAACUAAUGUAGAACAGAAAAGUACCAGAAAAAAUGAUGGGAGUCUAGGAAUUACUUCCAAAAACCUUAGGCUUCGCAUAUAGGUUUAGUUUUCAUCACACAAAAAAGAAAACAAUGAAAGCUGGAAGCUUUUGUGUUUUCAUUCAUUGAUCCUUAUUAGAAAAAUUAGGAGAACCCAACCUAUGGUAAUCACCCUGGGGGAGGUGAAUAGGUGAUGGUCUCUUUUUGCAAAUUUAAACUAUAUGAAUGUAAGAGACAAUUAUAUGCAAGUAUAUAAUAAACAAUGUAAAGACAAUUGCAUAUAAAUUAAAAGAGUAGGGAAGAGAGAAUGCAAAUACAAGAUUUUAUAGUGGUUCGAUGCAACCUGACCUACAUCCACUCUCCUCUAGCUUCAAUCCCAAGCUUGAGGUUGCAUAUAAAUUAAAAGAGUAGGGAAGAGAUAAUGCAAACACAAGAUUUUAUAGUGGUUUGGCACAACCCGGCCUACAUCCACUCUCCUCUAGCUUCAAUCCCAAACUUGAGGUUCCACUAAUUCAAGGCUUCUAAACCAAGCCUUCAAGCAAUAUAAUUGAAUUAUGGUUCCAAUUCACCCUCUUGGACUUUUGGCUCCAAGCACCCUUUACACUUCUCAAGAGAUAUCCCAAUCUUGAACAACCCCUCAAGUGAUACCCCACACUGGAGAAACUUCCUCUCAAAGAUUUACAAAUAAAUGAUUUCACAAAAUCCUAGUACAAAAACUUUAAGCUCAAAUGAUACAAGAAAACUAGGAUUGAAAUGUGCACUAAGGAUAUGCAAGUUUUAGAAUAAUGAUAUACUCAAAAACACUCUUUCAAGGCUCAAAUAUAUUCAAGAAAGAUUUGAGAAGGUUAAGAUCUUGAAACAAUGAAGACUGAAACCUUUUUAUAACGGAAAAAAGCCAAACUAGUCGUUGGGGGUUCGACCGGUUGACUAGCCGUUAGUAUUUAAUACUUGGUAGGUGACCGUUGAACCUCGACCGGACCUCAACCCGACCUCAACCAGUUGAGGUUCAACCUUGACCGGUUGAACAACCGUUCUGGAAGAAAGAGAAAGUUUUUUGCACCCUCGACCGGUUGAGUUGGGGGUCGACCCAGACCUAGACCGGUUGAGCUGGCGGUCGACCGGUUCCUCAUCCGGUUCAACCAGUUGAGCCGUUUUUGGCUCAACAACCAAGCUUUUUUAACUUAAAACCUUUUAAAACAAGUUUGAAAAACAUUUAACACAAGGUUUUAGUUGAAAACAUGAAAUCAUCCAAUUUUUAAAAUAUUUAAAACAAAAUAACUCUUGGAUGAUUUUGGUGCAUAAGUAAAGAAUGUAAUGCAUGAAAAUCCUAGUGCACCAACAACCUUACAAAGAGAUCUUAUGAAACUUAGGUUUUAAAAAACACUUCUCUUUGAGGUGGUCUUCUUCUUCAUGAUUUCUCCUUGGCUUGAUUUGUCUUUGUGAUUGCCACUUUAGAAAUCGUUUUGCCUAAUCACAUUUGAAAUAUAAUCAUUAGUUCUAAACUUUGUUUUGUUAUCAUAAAAAUCAAGAUUAACCAAAUCUUGGUUUCACAAUCCUUUUAGAAGAUAGAGUGAUUAGCUUUGUAAAUACAACCCUAAGACCCCUAACACUCUUUGGAACCAAUCACAGUAAUAAUAAAGCUGAGAAAUCAGAAACUUGAACUAAUAAAUAAAAAUUAAAAGGCACUUGCAAAUAUAAAGCAUUAAUGACUUUGGAAAUAAGAACACUCCAAUACCCCCCACGCCCUUUGGAAAACUCAACCUUGACAAGUUAAAGGCAUGAAAUUUCUCAUAAAGAUCACAAUUCAACUGCUGAAAUUCAUUGCUUGUGAUCCACAUACAAUCUCAAAGUGGCAUUUCUCUCCAUUUAACAAGAUACUUUUGAUAACCUCCUCUUCUGGUUGAAACAAUUUAGUGAUUAACAACUUUUCAAUCUUCUCUUUCAAUCAAGGGGCUGGUAGAAGAUGACCAUUUGGACCAUUAAUUGAUGUAGUAACUUUAGGAUUAGGAUAAAGGGUGUGGUCUUCAAUAUUAGAGAUCUUAUUAAUGCCCAUAUUUUCUGGCAAGUCAAGUACAUAAGCGUUGGGACUUGUUUUCCUAAGAAUUUUAUAGGGACCAACUUUCUUUGAGUGGAGUUUCUUAUAGGCACCUUUAGGAUAUUGUUCAGGCCUUAGUCACACAAUAACCAUAUUACCUUCAAUAAGUUCAGCAAAUUUUCUUUUCACAUCAUUGUAUGACUUAUUUAUUUAUUUGAUGGGCAAGCGGGAAAACACAUGUAAUCAUAUGACUUAUAAUUUCAUUGAUGAAAACAAUUUUCAUUGAACAUGAUAAUGUAUGUCAUCUAUAUGCUCACUAAAAGCAUCGGCUUCAAUGCUAGGUCAUGCAUCCAUUGUUAAAGGAACCAAAUCCAUAGGCUUUCUAGGAAGUGAUUCAGUCACAAUCUCGAAAGGACUAUGACUAAUAGACCUAUUCAAGGAGCUAUUAUUUGUAAAUUCGGCCAUUGAUCUGAUCUCCAACUAGGCAAUGAAGUAAAUGAUGCAAGCUUCAAUUAACAACUUCUAUUUGGCCAUCUCUUUGAGGGUGAAAAGCAAAAGAAAACUUUAGUUUGGCAUUUAGUAUUUUCCAUAAAGUUCACCAGAAGUAACUCAUGGACCUACCAUCCAGUUUAGGAAAAUCAUGAAGGCGAACAAUUUCCUUGAAGAAGAGUUUGUUUUUUUUUUUUAUAAGUAUUCCUUGAAGAAGAGUUUAACAAUCAGGCAACAUCUUUAGUCCUUAAGCAUGGGAUAAAUUGUACCAUCUUGGAGUAAUGAUUUAUCACUACAAGUAUGCAAUCAUGUCUCUGAUAGUUUUUGGCAAACCAGGGACAAAAUCCAUGCGUAGGUCUAGCCAUGGUUCAUGUGGCACAGAAGUGGCAUGUAUAAACCUGUAUUCUUCCUUUGCCUCUUUGAUAAUUUGUAGGUUUGAUGUCUGGAGACAUUCUUAGCCACAUCUUUUUUCAGACUUGGUCAGUAAAAAUGAUUUUCCACCAUUGUAAUGGUUUUAUCUCUUCCAAAUUGACCGGUUGUUUCUCCAGCAUGACGAAAUGAUGUUUUGGGUAAGCAAAGCCGAGUCCCUUUGAAGCAAUAUCAAUCAUGUAAAAAAUCACCAUAUUUUCCCGAAUUUCCAGGCACUAAAGCAACGCAUAUAAUGCUAAAAUCUUUGGAAGAAGGAUAAGGUCUCUUAAAUGAGUCAAAUCCAACAACUUGUACAACAAUAGAAGAAAGAGUGAAUGCCAAUUUGCUAAGAGCCACUGCAAAGAAUUCUUUGUCAUAGGUACAAUAUUUCUGCUUUGCUUCAUUAAGCUUUUUGCUAAGAAAUGCAAUAGGGACACCUCUAACUCUUAUAUUUGAUGCAUUGCAUGCCGCUUCUAACACCUCCCGGAAAAUUUGGAAGCUGCAAAACCAGUGCUUCAAUUAACAUUUUCUCAAUUUCUUUGAAAGCUUGUGAUGUUGCCUUGGUCCAAUUCAACUGAUUUUCUUCAUACAAUAAAUUAUAGGGGCUGUAACAUUGCUGAAACUUAUGAUGAAAUGUCCAUGGAACAUUUCUAGCCCAUGGUAACUUUGUACUUGUUGUGAUGUGUUGGGAAUUAGGAUGGCUUUUACUUCAUUCAUACUUCCAAUCCUUUUGCCAAAACAACAAGCCUAAGAAUACUACUGCUGAGAUCAUGAAAGAGCAUUUCUUGAAAUUUAUGUAGAGCUUUUCUUGGCGAACAACUGUCAUAACUUGCCAUAGAUGGGAGAUGUGAUCUCCUUUGGUCUUGCUGUAAUUAAGAUGUCAUCAAAGUAAACAACCAGGAACUUUUCAAUAAAUGGCUGAAGUACUUGAUUUAUGAAGCACAUGAAUGUGCUAGGGGCAUUUGAAAGGCCAAAAGGCAUGACUAGCCACUCAUAGAGGCCAUCUUUUGUUUUAAAGUCCGUCUUCCAUUCAUUUUCCAAUAUACUGCUUAUUUGAUGAUAUCCACUCUUUAAAUCCAUCUUUGAAAAUAUGCAAGAGCCAGCCAUCAUGUCAUAUCUAACAUAUGAUUGAAUCAAGGGAUAGGAAACUGAUACUUGAUGGCUAUCUUGUUAGUAGUGUGACUGCCAACUACUAUCUUUUUUUUUUGUGUUAGCAAGGCAAAGACAACAUGAGGGCUUAAACUUUCAUGAAUAGUUCCCUUGGACAGCAGCUACUCUACUUGUCCUUUUAGUGCUUCAUGCUCACUUGGAUUCAUAUGAUAGGCUGGAAGAUUAGGCAAUUGAGGCCUUGCCAUAAAAUCUAUAAGCAUGCUGAAUGUUGUGCAGAGAGGAAAGUUUUUUAGCAACAACUAUGGUAGGUCUUUUCGAGCAACAUCUAUGGUAGUUCUUUUUUAGCAACAUCUAUAGUCAUCAGGAUCAUAGGCUCUAUAAUCAAAUGAAUUUCGGUUUCUUCAUCUUUUUGUUGUUCUUGUUCUUCUUCAUGCUCCAUUCUGAUGUACAAAUUGUUCUUUGGACAAUUUAGGUUAUUUGGCUGGGUUGUUGACACUUAAAACACCUAUUAACCUUACCCUUAGGAUUAACGACAUUAGAAGAAUACAACUUAGACCCUGUAGGUUGGAUAAAUGGCUUGAAUUGGCCUAUUCUUGCACUGCAACCUACAUCAGUGAACCUCUUUGCACUGGUUCUAUGGAUGAAACUCACAUCCCAAGUACUCCUCCAUAUCUAAUGCAAAUUGAAAAACAUGUUCUAGGUUGUAUAAUAGCUUUCAAGGGAGAUCUGGCUGAGGGAGGGGGAUAGAAACACGGGUUUCUUCCAUCAUAUGGCAAACGCUCAUCAUAGAAACAAUUCUUUGGACAGAAUUAAGAUAAAUGGGGAAUGGCUUUCAGAGGAGCAGGAGAUUAGGGAAGGAAUUGCUAAUGCUUUUCAUCAGCUGCUAUCAGAAGAUACGGGGUAGAAGGCGGACAUUGGGAGGCUUCAGCUUGAUCAAAUCAGUCAGCAAAAAGCAGAGAAUCUGGAGAGUCUUUUUACAGAGAAUGAAGUUCAUAUAGCUUUGAUGGAGAUGAAUGGGGAUAAAGCCCCUGGUCCAGAUGGCUUUACUAUGGUUUUUUGGCAAAGUUGUUAGGACUUUGUUAAAGAUGAGAUCCUAGAAAUGUUCAAGGAAUUCCACGAGCAUAGCUCUUUCCUCAAGAGCCUCAACAAUACUUUUCUGGUUUUGAUUCCUAAGAAAAGUGGGGCUGAGGACCUUGGAGAUUUUAGACCUAUUAGUCUUCUGGGGGGGCGGGGCUUUAUAAGUUAUUGGCUAAAGUGCUAGCUAACAAGCUGUAGAAAGUGGUUGGAAAGGUGGUCUCCACUUCUCAAAAUGCCUUUGUGAUGGGAAGACAAAUUCUUGACGCUUCUUUAAUUGCAAAUGAAGUGAUAGACUCAUGGCAGAAACAAAACGAAAAGGGCCUUAUUUGCAAAUUGGACAUAGAAACAACUUAUGACAGCAUCAAUUGGAAGUUUUUGUUGAAGGUUUUGCAAAAGAUGGUCUUUGGGUCUAAGUGGUUGGGGUGGAUGUGGAGUUGCUUGUCUUCAGCCAAAUUCUCAGUUUUGGUUAAUGGGGUGCCUUCUGGCUUCUUCCCUAGCACUAAGGGCCUUAGACAAGGAGAUCCCCUAUCUCCUUAUCUCUUUGUUAUAGGAAUGGAAGUGCUGGAUGUUCUUAUCAGGAGAGCCGUGGAGGGGGGAUUUUUAUCAGGGUGUAACAUUAGGGGUGGUAGCAGAUCCUCUUUGAACAUCUCCCAUUUAUUUUUUGAUAAUGACACAAUUGUGUUUUAUGAGGCUAGUAAGGAGCAUCUAACUCACUUAAGUUGGAUUUUACUCUGGUUUGAAGCGGCUUCAGGUCUAAGGAUUAACUUAGUUAAAAGUGAAAUUAUUCCAGUUGGAGAGGUGAAGGAGAUUGAAGAGUUGGCUGUUGAGUUAGGUUGUAAGGUGGGGUCCUUACCCUCUCAGUAUUUGGGACUUCCUCUAGGGGCUCCUAAUAGAGCUUCUUAUAUGUGGGAUGAGGUGGAAGAGAGAGUAAGGAGGAGACUUGCGCUAUGGAAACCACAAUAUAUCUCCAAAGGGGGAAGAAUCACUUUAAUAAAAAGUACUUUGUCUAGCAUGCCAAUCUAUCAAAUGUCUAUUUUCAGAAUGGCCAAGAUUGUUGCUAGAAGGCUAGAGAAAGUGCAAAGGGACUUCCUAUGGGGAAGGGGAAAUCUGGAGGGGAAAAUUCAUCUAGUUAAUUGGGAGGUGGUUUGUACAGACAAGGAAAAGGGUGGGCUAGGCCUUAGGAAGCUAGCCAUGUUGAACAAAGCCUUGCUUGGAAAGUGGAUAUAGAGGUAUGCUUGUGACAAAGAUAAUCUUUGGAAACAAGUGAUUACGGUGAAGUAUGGGCAAGAGGGUCUUGGAUGGAGGCCAAAGAAGGCUAAUGGGGCGGUUGGAGUAGGGGUUUGAAAGGAGAUUUGGAAAGAAUCAGAUUGGUGCUGGGAUAACAUGAUAUUCCGAGCUGGGAAGGGCACCAAGAUCAUAUUUGGACAGAUGUUUAGUGUACCGAUACAACAUUGUCCCAUUGCUUUCCUCAUCUCUUUGUCAUGGCUGUUCAAAGGAGUUCAACGGUUGAGGAAAUGUGGGACCAAAAUUCUAGUCAAGGAGGUUGGAACCUAAACUUUUUGAGGGACUUCAAUAAUUGGGAGCUAGAUAUGAUUGGGGAUUUGCUCCAUGUGCUGAGGGGUCAUAGGCCUUCUUUGGAGGAAGACUCAGUUUUUUGGAGGCAAGGAAGAAAUGGUUAGUUCAGGGUUAAGGAAGCUUAUAGCUUGUUGACCAAUCCUAAUGAAAUCGGCUUUCCUUCAAGAAGUAUUUGGGUGGCUAGGGUGCCAACUAAAGUCGCCUUCUUUGCUUGGGAGGCGACGUGGGGGAAGGUGCUUACUCUGGAUAGACUAAAAAGAAUAGGGGUGCAACUUCCGAAUUGUUGUUUUUUGUGUGGGUGUGAAGAAGAAAAUGUAAAUCAUAUCCUUAUACAUUGUAUAGUGGUUAGAGUUUUGUGGGAUAUUGUCCUUGGGUUAGUAGAUGUUAAAUGGGUCUUUCCAGAAACUGUAAAGGAGGUCUUAAUUAGCUGGAGGGGCUCCUUUGUGGGGAAGAAAAGGAAAAAGGUUUGGGAUUCCAUUCCAUUGUGUAUUUUUUGGACGGUAUGGAAGGAGAGGAAUAGAUUAGCUUUUAGGAGGGGGUGUGUUGAAUAUUCAGAAGUUAAAGAAUUUUUUUGUCUGUAACUUGUGGAGUUGGGCCAAAUUGUAUUUUGGUGAGGAGUCUUUCUCUCUUAUAGGCUUCCUGGAGUGGGUAGCAUCCACUUAAGGGGAGGUGAUUCUUUUUAUCUUUGUUUUUUGAGGCCCUAGCCGCCUUGUAUACCCCCUGUAUGCUUUGUGGCUUUUUGCCUCUUUAUUAAUGCAUUUCCUUUUACUUAUAAAAAAAAAACAAAAAAGUUCUAGGCUGUAUAAUGGUUGAUGCAUCAACUCUCUUCUCAUUUUAGGUCUCAAUCCAGCUUUGAAUCAUGCAAGAGUUUGCCCUUGGAUCUUCUACUAUUUGACUCCAAGUCUUUAGCUCAUGAUAUCUUUGCAUGUACUUUGGUCUCUACAAUAGACAUGUUGUUCUGAUUCAUAGUAAUGAGGUGAUUACAUAACUUAUUACAAUAAUUGAUCCUGUAUGUAUUUUUCACAUAGCUUAUCCUUCAUCUCAUGCCAUGUGCUGACAGGUGGUAGCCUCAUCUUCCCAUCUUCCUAGUAUCUCUUUCAACAUCUGUCCACUAAUCUUUUGCUAAGCCUAUUAGUUUCAUUUUAGUAAACCACCCUCUCUAUUCAUCAUUCAUACAUACCAAUCAAAACAGUCCUCAAUUGUAGUUAGCCAAUCAAGAAAUUGAGUAGCAUUGCCCUUCAAAUUAGAACUUCUCCUUUUACUUUCCUUGUGAUAUCUUCAGCAGUUUCACAAGGUUUGCACCUUGUUUCAGGUAGUCCUCUAGCCCAUUCAGAUAUAGGAUAUUGUGGUGCAUGUCCAAUGUUCCUCCAAGUUUUUGUUGUUAUUAAUUUGAGAUAAUUCUCCUUGCACAACACGUGCUAAAUCAUUAGUGGGCUGAGAUAUUUGUGUCUCAAUGUUGCUUAGUCGAAUAUGCAGGCUAUCAAGCUGUUCCAUCACCACAUAGUAUCUCAUCAUGUUGACUAUUAGAUAAAUCUAUUUUGAAACUCUUGCUAGGUCUUGUAAUCAUGAUCUCAACUUGCUUUGAUGCCAAAAUUGAUGCUGAACAGAAAGGUAAAAGAAAACAUGUUGGGACUCUAGGGAUCACUUCCAAAUCUUAGGCUUCACACUUAAGUUCAGUUUGCAUCACGCAAAUAAGUUGAACUAUCAUAGUACGAUUGGUUCAUAAUAAGGUGUCAUCUGAUUGGUUCUCGUGGAGACAACUUGUGAUCAUUCAAACUGGAGGCUGCACCUGAUUGAUUACAUUGAAAGUUGGAAGGUUUUGUAUGAGAUAAAUGAACCAACUUUAUACACUAUAACUCUAGACCUUAGACUCUUUUAGAGCUAAUGGCAAUACUAAUGAAGUUGGAAAAUCAACAAUGUGAACUGAUAAAAAAAAUUGAAAGACUCUUGAAAAUGUAAAGCAUUAAUGAUUUUGGAAAUAAGAACACCUGUGAUCCUUUGACUAAACUCAUAAACAAAACUUAGACUGAAAUCCACAUUGAAGUAUAUAAAAUCCCGACUGGGCCUAUUAUCAUCCAAAGUAUGCCAAAUCAUAAUUUGGGCCUUAAGAGUCCAAUCUCUAUGCAUUUGUUAACCUUUCACAAGUGAUUGCCACUUGUCUUCAUCGCUAACAAACACGAUUAUAGCAUCAAAGAAGGGCCAUGUCCCCAAAUCUGGCAGUAAAAGUUCUUUUUACAAGCUAACCUCAGGGAUCCAAUUACUACAUUAUUGUGUUAACCAUGAACAUUGGUGCUCCUGUUCUGCUUGCAUGGUUACACUGAACCUGCUAUCCAAAUGUGUUGGUUGACCAAAUGAGAAACUCUAGGAAAAUGAAUGAAUUCAUAGUGACAUAGCUACAUUGAAUGCAACUUGUGUGUUUGUGUGAACAGGAUUGGGGGAGUUAAAGAGAGUUUUUAGAAGGGAGAAUACCUUUUUAAUUGGUCUUAGUGUUCAGUAUGCAGCUGGUUCAGUGAUCAAGAGGCCAGUUUAUAAUACAAUUUUCUUGAGAUUUUUAUUGAAGUGAUCCCUUGAAAAGUCAGGCUACUUUUUCAAGAAGUAAAUGUUUUAUCUUGGAGGUUGUAAAAGAUGCAUUCUCAGAAUAGGUGCCUUGAUUAUGUUUCUUCAGCAGAAGAACCUACAAUUAGGGUCCUGUGUAUAUCCUUUCUUGGAAUUUUCAUAACUUUACCAGUAUUAACUUUCUAUUUUAGGACUAAACUGUUCAGCAAAUCUAUGGAAAAGACUAAAGAGUAAGUACUAAGUAGUUCCUCCAAGGGCUGCCAAAAAGCACUUCCCAAGGCCAUGAGCCAAAACUGGGCCACAUGGAAAGGGGUUGUAACAAGUCACUUGACUUGGGGUUGUUAGAGGCCAUCAUUAGUCAAGAUUGGUUUUAGAUUUAACUUUAGGAAUUUAUUUAUUUUCCUGAUUCCUAUUUUAUUUUUAGUUACAAAAUCAUAUUUGACUCUUGUUUUCCACUCUAAAUUCACAAUAUGUGAACCUUUUUUUUUUUUAUCAGAAACGAAGAAGAUUAUAUUAAUAUAAAAACAAAUACAGGAGAAAUAAAAGAAACAAGAGAAAGAGAAAAAAAACCAAGGGAAGGAUGAGAGGUCUUUUCUACACAAAUUGAACAAAGGAGAAAACUCCCAACAAUAGAACUCUAAAAACAAAGAGAAACCCCAUCAAUUUUCAAACUUUUGAAAUGCAAACCCCAAUCCAAUUGAGUUGUAGAACAUUUAGAGGAACUCCUCUAAAAGCUUCAGUACAAGAAGCCCAUAGAGAAGAAUAAAACCGAAUCAAAUCCCAUACCAUCUCUUCCGUUCUCUCUCUAUCCUCAAAGAUCCUAUUGUUUCUCUCUUGCCACACCAUCCAAAUCAAAGUAAGGCAAGCAAUUUGCCAAAGUGUCUUGCCUCUUAAUGAGUUCCCCAAGCCUUUAAAAGUAAUAACCAACAUAUCCUCAAGGCUCCUUAGAGGACCCAAACCAACCCUACUAGAUUGAAUAACCUGUGCCAAAGUCCAAUGGUAACGGGACAAUGAAGAAAAAGGUGGUCAAUCGAUUCUCCAUUUCCUUUGCAAAGAAUGCACCAUUGAGGACAGAGGGCUUUGUAGGGUCUUCUCAAUUGCAACUUGUCAUUAGUGUUUACCUUCCCAUGUUCUACUAACCAAGCGAGGGCCUUAACCUUUGAAGGGACUUUUGAGCUCCAUAAGAACUUGGCCGGAAGGAACAAUAAAGGAUUUGAGACUUUUGACAAGGCCAAGAAAAAAGAUUUCACUGAAAACAAACCUAACGAAGACAAAGACCACGCUCUUGAAUCUGAUGAAGAAGUAGAGAAAAACACAAAACUAAGGGAGGACAUUAAUCUCUUAAGGAAAUCAAUUUCUGAAUCCGUUAGAUUGCGGCGAAAAUUAAAAUUCCAAGACAGUGGUAAGGAAUUGCCAAGGACAUUUAAGACAGUGAGGUUUUUCACAGAAAUAACUCUAUAAAGAUCAACAAAUUGAGAGCACAAAGUUUGGUUACCCCACCAAAGAUCUUCCCAAAACCAAAUUCUCUCCCCAUUGCCCACUACUAGGCGGACAAAAGGGGAAAACUCCUGGAAAACUUGAGCAAUAGCCUUCCAAGGACAUCUGUGUGACCAUCUAACCACCAUGUUGGUGUUCCAUCCAUUUGGAUGUGUCCCAUAUACUCGCAAUAACCUUAUGCCAAAGACCACUUGUGGAUCCGCAUUUUUCACGUGUGCCCCCAUUCAAUCGGCGAGACUCGCUUUUUAUUUGUGAAAAAGUAAUUUUUAGAAAAGUUGGAGUCGCCAGUUAUUUUAUUUUAUUUUAAAGGGAAAAUAAAACCCUAAAAAAAGAUGACUCCAUAAUAUUUGGAAAAGCGUGUCUUUGAAAAACUCAAGUCUAAGUCUGAGGAUAAAGUUACCUAUUAAGAAGGUACCUCUAGGAGGUAGCACCCCUCUAAGCCCUAUAAAGGUCUCUACUCACUAAGUUAAGGGAGAUAAGGCAAUUAAUUGAUUAAUUGAGGGUACCUAGGUAGACUAAUGUGAUUUCAAAAAAUAGCAUGUCAAACAAGAUCAAAUCACAAUAAAGGAGAGUUAGGGUGUGUACCUGAACCGCUUCUUAAGCACCAUCAAAAGGGAUCAAAGGUUAGUUUGAAAAUAUGACACGUAACAUGCAUUUUUAUCAAAGAUGAUCAAACAAGCAUCAAGGCAAUCGAGUAUGACAUCAAACAUGGACAUGGCUCAUGAUAACAUACACAUUCAUAGAAUUUUAGAGUUGAAGGGGUAGAAAGAGCGUAUCUGAUUAGCGAGCAUCCACACCUCUAUGGGAAACAAGGGUAGCUCAACAAAUAAAUACAAAACAAAUUCAUGUAUUUCAUCAAGAGGAAUAAAAAAUCAAUCAGAUAUCAAGCAAACAAUAUUGAAGAGAAUAUCAUGAAUGUCGGGCCCCCCUCUAAAGGCCUAAUUAAUGUUGCAUGAGUUGAUUCUAUGAAUUCCAUUGUUUGGAAUCAUGAAGUUCGUUCAUGCUUAAAAAAAUCAAGAAAACCAAGAAAAAUGUUGAAAGACCCAAAAGAUGCAUGCCUAAAUGAAACAUGGUAGCAAGGGUUUUUAAAACUGAAUUUUCUCAACCUGAAAUCCUUCAAUGAUGAAAUUAAAAAAUGAAUAAUAGCUUUGAUGGAAAAGAGAUUUUGAAAACGUGAUUCAAAACAUGUAAGAUCACAAGGAAAUAUAAAAGCAAUAAGGGAAUGGUGCAUCAAGAUGGCCACUGUAUGAGUGAGGUCUGGGGGUGUGACUGAGACUACUUUGCUAAAUUUGAAGAUGAUUUCCUUAAUUCCAUUCUGCUGCAACAUUCUGAUACGCCUCAAUAAUUCAGGCACGUUCAUCUCCUUGGCCAUCUGAAACAAGCUCCAUGGUUUGCAGAUAAUUAUAAGUCUCAUGAAUGCAGGAGCAAUCAUUACCUAUUUCCAGUAAUUAACAUAUUUAACAUCCUGUUCACGAGUCAUGCAACCUGGUUAACCCACCAGAUUGCAAAGAAUUAAUGCCAAGUAAAUUCUAUGAGGAACAAGUGGGUGUCACGAUUCUCAAUUUUUGAAGCUUCAAUCACAGACUACACAAAUAGUUGACUUUCAUUAAGUUCGUCAUCAUCAUCAUCCACACAACCAGGUUGUUGUUUCAAUUCAGUGUCAAGUUGGUGAAUCUUCUUCUGUUUUAGCCAUAUAGGAAGCCUUUUCGAUUGUAAAUCCGGAAUGACAUCAAGCUUAAUCUCCAAUUCUGAACCCUCAAGGUACAGUUUCUUCAUUGAGCCUUUAUUACUUUUCCUUUACUGAUAUUACAGUAGUUCAACUCAGGCAGCCAACUUAGCGAAUUAAGCAAGCAUUUGUUGAGAAGACGUUCAGUUCAUUUAAACAGCAGAGAUGCUUCCCAAACACUUUGAGAAGUUAUAAAAGGAUUUCUCACCAAUCUGCUCACUGUCCUCCAUAUUUAAAAGUCCCUUUAGCCAUCUCAGUUGUGAAUCUUCAAAUCUAUGAUCCUAAUCUGUCCGGAUAAUUUCCCUCCUAGCAAAUUCGGGAAUCGACUUAGAAUUUCUAAGAUGUUCAAGGUCUUCCUUGAGUUUUGAAUACCCUAAUUUCAAUAUAGAAACCUUUUCUGUAAGAACCUUUCCUGAAGCAAUCUCAACAGCAAGUUGUUUAGCGAACUUUUGUGUUUCAACGCCUAUUUCAUCAACAUGACUUUGUAGAGAGCUUACCUCCAGCUUAAGCUCAAUAAUAGAAGACUCCGCAACUUCCAAGCUUCCUUUAAGCCUAUUGCUCUCUUCAUAAGAAAUUGACAAGUCAUUAUCCACAGAAUUGUCUAGACUCCGUCCAUGAACCCAAUCAUUGCUUCUCUGUGCCAAAAACCUUUGAUCUGAUGGGCCCUCUUUCUCUGUCUGGGGACUUUGAGUGUAGGAAAGUCCAUUUAAAUCACCAGAGGUUGCAUUCUUAAGACUAUCGAUCUCAUGUGUGCUGGAGGUAUCAUGCUUUUCAGUUUAUAAAAUUUCUGAUGUAUUGAAUGAGCCAUCAAAUCUAAUAGCUGAGUCUGAAUAUUCUUCAUUUAAUCCUCCCUCUUCUUCAAGUGAAGGAAGCUCUGUUGAUUCUGGUUUGAAUCUAACCUUUACAUUGACCUUAUCCAUGUGUUCAUUGACAGUUUCUUCGGAUGAUAAUGCUUCUCCUCCGUUAGAUCCAUCACGCCUAAUUUGUCCAGUGUUCAUCUGCAACCCUCUCUCUCUUUGUUCCCUCUGCUGCUCAAACUCUCUGAACCUGAUUUUAGAAGUUAACAGCUGCACAGUAACAUGUAAUACAGUCCCAGAAUUGCAUCCAUGAAGAGGCAGUGCAACAGUAGAAGGCUUUAGGGCAUUGGAAUAAUCAGCAAGGUUGAUAUUAGCCUCACCCAGGAUAUUAGACCAUGAAGAACCCAUUGCCACUAUAACUUUACAGAGCUUCUCAUCGUACUGCUUGGUUAGACUUGUUUGAAAGCUGAGCGUUCACAUCAGCUUUCAUACGUCGCAGGAGGUAUGGCAUACUCAAGUCACGUAGGACUACUGCACACUUGUAAAUGGUGGAUGCAUGUAAUGGAGAAGCAUUGGCAUAGCCACCAACAGAUAUAGGAACUGUAAAUUCUGCUUCAAAUAUAUGCAACAUCCCCAAAUUCCCAGAGAAUAUAAAAUCGAACAAAGACCACAGCUCAGCCAGCUUAUUCUGAAUUGGCGCACCAGUCGUUAUAUGGUGAAGGGUCUGUAACUGUUUAUGGAGUAUGCUAACUCCAGCAUUUGAAUUCCAAAUUCAGUGUUCUUCAUCUAAAAUUGCAUAACCCGUUUGAUAUCAAGUAGCUUUCCAGCCUGGAUGGUCUUGCCAAGUCCCAUCUCGUCUCCAAUAAUUCCACCUACUUGUUGGCGAUGCAGUUCUCACAGCCACUGAACCUCCACCUUUUGAUAAUAAAAAGGUUUACUGAAAAUGCUUUUAGGUAUUCUCAGACCACCUUCAAGUGUUACAUAAGGGGGGUUCAUUAUCGUCUGUAUUUUCAGUAUCUUUUUGGUUUACUUCUUCAUUACUAGAGGUCACUAAAUUGUCACUUGUAUCUUUCAUCAUGAUCUGCCUCCUCAAAUUCUAAGAUUAAAGCACCUGCAGAAACAUUCUGAGCUAUGUCUAUGCUGGAAGAUGGACAAGACUGCCUCUUAACUUCACUUCGAACAGCUGGAGUUUCUGAACCCUUACGAUUUGGAUGGCAAGGUGGCUCUGAGGGGAGCCAAUUUCUAAUCAGACGGCACAGCCUUCGAAUCGCAGUUUUCGCUGUAAGAAGUGGAACAGAUUCACCAAGAGAUGCAAGACUUUGAUCCAGUUUUAGCGUAGAAUUUUUAGAACCAGUCAUUUUCAAUCUACUCACUAUACAUUCUGAUUCAAACAAAAAUCCUUUCGAUCGAAUGAGUUUCGUUCCAUCGCCUACCACAAUCUUUUUUUUAAUUUUGAACAUGAGAGAAAGAGAGCGUCAUAAAUUUUGUUUUGAUUUUCCCAUUUCAAAUAGCAUUUGCCUCAGCUUUUUGAGAAUAGCUUCAUCAUCUGGCCUGGCCAUUUUCAAUGCUUCUGGGAGAUUCUUACAGCCUGCAUCAUCUUGAUCACUUGGUUUGCUGUGAAAAUUGUUUGUUUGUAUGAGAGGAGCAAAUAUCGAUUCUGCAUUCGGUGUACAGGUGGUUGCCAGAAACUCCAGUCUUUAAACACAAAUUGAGUCUUCAUCAUAGGGUGGAUGCUAUUGAAGCAUUAGAAAUCCUUCAAUUAAAUUGUUUGAGCAUUCCAGAACCUUUUGGCAGAGUAUCUUCCAGCGCUAUGGGAGACAAAGGUUAAAUGCUUGGCUGGAUUUAUGGCAGCACACUCUUCCAGUGAUGCGGCGAUUUCGACGUGUUCCUGACUGAUUUCAAGAGCAUUUUUGCUGCUCUUUGUGGUCAAUAGUCUGACCAACAAAAACUUCAACACUUGUAUUAACUGGAAAGUUCAUCAGCUGAUGGCCAAGAGAAUCCCAAGAUCUGCCUCAAAAUGGGUUUAGUUCUGAUGCGAAUGCUGCUCUCUCUUUUUUUUUUUCUCAGGUAAUCUGUUGAUAAAGCUCACCAAAUUUUCACAUUCAACCCGAUCUUCCUCCCUCAGAGCAAAACUGGUUAGAGAAGACCUCCCAGGAAGGAGUUGUCCAUAUGUUUGAACUAGAGUUAUUUCAGGGACAGCAGCUAAAAUUUUCAACAUGGAAUGAGUGAGUGUACAAGGAUGACGCUUGAAAAUGAGGUUUAAGGCCCCAAUUUUUCCUCUUUCAGCGAGUGCAACAGCAGCUCAUCAGAAGGCCACUUUCUAGAGAGAAUGGACGGAGUAAUAAGAUUCUUGGUCAUUCGUUGCAUAAGCAUCAACCUGGUACUCUGGCUAGGGGGCCAUAGUUUGAUUGACAUCUUGCGUUAUUGAAGAUUUUGGGCAGUGGAGUCCAUGUCAAAGAAACCUAUGUUUCUGGGAAAACCUCUUUCUGGGAGAUUUUGGGUGAUUUUGAGAAGGUUAUGGAAAAAUUAAAGGGGAAAACUGAAGGAAAAUUUCUGAAACCAAGGAGCAUGGAAACUGAUCCUUUUGGGGCAGCAUGUCAAAUGCCCUCCUUGCCAAGACUAGAGCAUCAUAUUUUGAGUGCAUAUUUACAAGUGCACCACUCACAAGUACCUCUUUGCUAACUCAUGCUUGAAGAGCAUACCCAUGAACUUCCUUUCCUUUUUCUAAGGAAUGAAGAGCAGAACAUGCAGUUAGAGCUGCAGUUAAAGUCAUUUGAUCUGGUCUAAUUUCUUCUAAUAGCAUCUCUCUGAAUAGCUGAACAGCUUGUUCUGCAUGGUCAUGCUCUGAAAACCCAGAGAUCAGGGAGGCCCAUAAAACAUAUUCUUUGUCAGGCAUUUGCUCAUAAACUGUGCAAGAUUCCUCUAAACUACCACAUUUUGAGUACACUGUGGAAAGAAAACUGCCCACAGAAAUAUCAGUAAACAAGCCAAUUUUAAUAAUGCAGCAAUGAAUCCGUCUCCCCAAACUUACUGUCUAUUAUGCUCAAGACACUAGAACUACAAAACUUAUCAGGUCUCAGACCCUCCUGAAGCAUCUCCUGAAACAAUUCAACUGCCUUUCCAGUACUCCCACUUUGAGCAAAGGUGGAUAUCAUAACAGCCCACGUGGCUAGAUUCUUUGUACUUUCCAUCUCUCCGGACACCCUUUUAGAUAAAUCAACCACUCUUAUUUUUGAAUACAUAUUGAUCAAAGUAUAACUUACAGUGGAAUCCAAAUUAAUAGAACCCAGUUUUGAAAAUCUAGGAAUGUAGUUAGAUUGCCUCUUUAUUCAUAGCUGGUUUAGCGCGAACAGUAAGUACACUAGUUAUGGGGUAGUUGCCUAUUUUCUCUCCUACUUUUCUCAUUUCUUUGAAGAAGUGGAAAGCAGAAAAAAAAGCUGUCAUCCUUUUGAACAAAAACAGAAAUGGUGGUAGUCCAAGAAACUACAUUACAUAUUGGCAUUCACAAAAAUUCUUUCACAGCUUGAUCCAUAUCCCUGAAUUUGGCAUACAAAUCAAUGAUGGCAGUCCCCACAAAAACAUCUUCUCCUGCACCACAUUUAAUUACUCGUCCUUGAAUCCCUCUUCCAAACUCAAGUUCCUCAAGCGCAGCACAAAUUGUUAAAAUGCUUGAAGACGUAAAACUAUUUGGCAUAAAAAAAAUCUGCAACACAUUCGGCAGAAAAGAUCUAAAGCAACCCAAUUUUCCUUAUUUUUAACAACCCCAGAAAUGAUAGCAUUCCGGCAAACCACGUUCUCACAUAAAACGUCUUGAAACACCUUCAAAGCUGCAAAGCUUUGUAAACAAAUUAAUCAUUCCAGCCUGAACAUACCCAUUUGAGAAGAACCCAUUUUUCAAUGCGAGUGAAUAUACCAAUUCACCAUACAAAGGAGACCCUAAGGCAGUACAAGCCGAAAGAACACUCCCAUAGGUGAACUGGUUGGGAUCAAAUCCUAGAAAAAAAAACUCCAUCUUACAACAAAAAAAUCCUCCACGAAUCCUCAAAUUAAAAGUUCUGGUUGCAACCUGAAAUCGCAAUAUCCCAAGAAAUAACAUUUGGGUGAGGAGUUUUAUCAAACAAUCUGGGUACAUGAACCAGGGAAUUGGAUUUACAAUACCAAUCCAUUAAAGAAUUAACUAUUCAAAGUCAGUGAUCCCUCUCCAUAUGAUGAUAAGAUCAGCAGAGCAUGGCAACAAGGUUGCUUCCAUAAGGAUCAUCAGUUGCAGUAUAAACUCCCAUUUUCUAACAGAAACGAAAAUCAAACUUCCAGAAUUUCUCCCAUUUUUCCAAGGUCGGUGAUGUGUGAUGGAUCCAGAUUUCAAUGAUGCGUGUUCCAGAUUUCUGCAGUUCACUGGAGGAACCUUGGAAUCAACUAUCCAAUAUUUGAGUGAGAUUGUUGCAUACUUCAUCUCUCAUAUUAACACUUCCGUCAUUCCUCAAUAUACGCCCAAAUGCAAUGACAAAGACUCGGACAGCAUGCAGGAAAUGGGAUAGAGAAGAAAUAAAAACGAAGUAAAACUCGGAGAAGGAAGGAGCAGAAGAUGUUGAUCAGUAAACAUAAAUAGCCCCCACUUCAAGUAUUAAUCCAUGGGAUAAGAACAGAAUAGAGGGAACAAUGUAAAAUAGGAUUCAAACGAAAACAGAGUAUGAUCACAUUCAGGCAUGGAGUUAUAUAUUUCCGAAGGCAUCCAUGACACAUAAAAUAAUCAGAAUCAAAAUAAGGUAAAGAAGUAAACGACCAAUCUCAACAGAACAACUUGUGGCCCUUAACGUCCACACCAACCAACAAUAUAUUAAAUAUUCAAAAAUGAACACAUGGAGAAAUCGAACAUGAGUAAGAAUUCCGAGAAUAACUAGGAACGCAUCUGGAAGAACCUUGGCUGCAAUCACUCCUUUCCCACUUCUCUAUGCUUUUCCUCCAAGACAAUCAAAGAAUUCCUGGUUCCUCUUUCUUUUCCCCUCCUCUUAUCAUUCGUUCCUGCUCAAGAUCCUCUAGAAAAAAUCCCCCUUUCUCUAACAUCCUUUCUCACGUAUAUAUAUCACCCCUAAAAAAAUAUUCAAUCUGCUGAAGGAAAUCCACUUUCCUUUCUUUUAUUUUCUUUCCUUUUCGAAAAUCAGAAUGUUUCUUCCCUUCUAUGUAGGAUCCCCUCCUUCCAUAUGUAUGCAGCCACAUUAAUCCCCUUUUCCCUCCAAAAAUAUUUUUCUUACCUUCUUUGAGUGCACAUGCCUUUGUGAGAGUUGAACAACAGCCCCCAUUCUCUUGUCAAACAAUAAAAAAUGAAAAUAAAAGGAAUAAAACCAAAAAGAGUUAGCAAUCUUGCAACAUAUAAAAGAAUAAAGUAAAAUAAAAUGAAUAAAUAAAGUAAAAACAAAAUAAUUAAAUAAAAUAGAACGAAAUGGUCAAUCCUAUGCGGGCCAUGCAAGUCAUGCGACUAUGUGAAACAUGUAAGAAACACUAAAAAGUCUAAUAGGCCAAGUGUGCCUAAGAGGGCCUAGGGGGAUCAGGAUAUUGUGUAGGUGACCUAAACAUGUCUAAGUGUGUCAUCUUAAAAGUGCACCUGAAAGCUAUCCUAAAAGGAAGGAAAACCCUAAGUCUAACUUAGGGCUGCCAAGAAUCACAAUGGGGUUAGACAAAUCCCUCAACCAAAGUCUCUGAGGUGGCUCAAAAAAGGUAAGUAGUGUGAGUAGCAAUGGGCCACCAAGGAACUACUGUGGAGCACUAGAAGUGAACUUAAAGACAUGUGCUAAAGGGACAAAAUUGAGGGUCUACACCACUCCUUUCUCUAGGGAACCUCCAAAGUCAUUUCCCUAAGAGAGCAAUAUUUCUCAUAUUAGUCUCCCCAAAGCUCAAACCUCCCAACUCCUUUGGUCUACUAACAACUUCCCAUCUGAUAAGAUGAUCUUUCUUCCCUUCCCUCGCCCCAGACCAAAGAAAAUCCCUUUGCAUCUUCUCAAUCUUUGAAGCUAUUGAUACUGGGAUUUUAAAGAGGGAGAGGAAGUAGCUAGGGAUGUGAGACAGACAAGACUGAAUUAAGUAAUCAUCCCUUCCAAAGACAAAAAGGCCUUUUUCCACCCAUCUAGCCUCCUCGAAAUUCUCUCAACCACCGGAUCCUAAAAGCCUAUUGUCUUUGGGUUCCCUCCCAAAGGAAGGCCUAAAUAAGAUAAAGGUCACUCUAACACUCUGCAAUCCAAAACCGAAGCCAAACUAGACAACAGCUUUUGCCUAGUGUUAAUACCUGAAAUGGUGUUUUUUUCUAAGUUGAUUUUUAAACCAGAUACUUGCCCAAAAACCAAAAUGAUGAUCUUGAGGUUUUGAAGAUGUUUCAUAGAGGCUUUAGAGAAAAAUAUGGUGUCAUCAGCAAACUGUAACAAAGACACUCUAGUCCUAUCCCUCCCCAUAAAGAAACCCUCAGUUAUCCCAGUUUCCUUCUCUGAUCAUCAACCUACUUAGAACAUCUGCCACUAGAGUAAAAAGGAAAUGAGAAAGGGGGUUUCCUUGUCUCAAACCUCUAGAGGCCUUAACCCAACCCUUUGCAUUCCCAUUAACUAGGAUUGCAAAACUUGAUGAAGACAAACAACCCCUUAUCCAAGAUCUCCAUUUCUGGCUGAACCCCUUCCUUUGUAGUACAUGAUCUAAAAAACCCCAAUCCACAUGAUCAUAGGCCUUCUCAAAAUCAAUUUUGAAGACUACCCCUUCCUCCCCUGACCUUCUUUUCUCAUCCACCACUUCAUUGGCUAUCAACACAACAUCCAAAAUGUGUCUCCCUUCCACAAAGGCUCCUUGAGAGCUAAAGAUUGUUUCAUGAAGAACUUUGUGUAAACGCCUUGAUAAGACCUUAGCAAUUAUCUUAUAUAAACUUGCAACCAAGCUAAUAGGUCUAUAAUAUGAUAUUUUAAAAGUUUGGCUUUUCUUUGGCACCAUAGCAAUGAAUGUCGCAUUUGUACUUUGAUUUAUUACCCCCUUAGUGUGGAACUCAAGAAACACCCUCAUAAGAUCCUCUUUUAUCACAUCCCAACACUCUUGAUAAACUGUUAUAGUAAAGCCAUCAAGGUUAGGGGCCUUUUCCUUAUUCAAUUGGAAAACUGCCAUUCGAACCUCCUCUUCAGAAAACGGUCUAUCCAGCCAAACUGCACUCUCUCCAGAAAUAGGGGCCCAAUCAAUCCCUUCAAUCCUCCAAGAGUCACCUUUAGGUUUGGAAUAGAGUUUCCGAAAGAAAUUUACAAUCUCCUCAUAAAUAACCUCAAUGUUACUUAAAGUCUCCUCUAUCUCAGAAAUCAGAGACUUAAUGAACUUCCUGCUUCUUAUUCCAGUGGCCACUCUGUGAAAGAACUUAGAGUUGCAGUCCCCUUCUUUAAUCCACUUAACCCUAGAUUUUUGUCUCCAUUGAACCUCUUCCUUUAAUAACAAAUCCUCUAGCUCCUUCCUUCUUAAGGUCAUUUCCGAUACCAAAUCAAGAUUUAAAUUCCCUUCUUGUUCAAUUAGAUCAAUUCUACCUAAGUCCGAAAGAAUGUGUUUUUUCCUCUCUCUUAAAUCUCCAAAGGCCACUAUAUUCCACUCUUUCAACUUUGAUUUAACAAACUUUAGUUUCCUCAUGAACUUGUGACCUUCCCAACCUUCAACCAUACACUCUUGCCACCAAUCUCUAAACUUCUCUUUAAACUCAAGAUGGAGCAACCACAUAUUCUCAAACCUAAAAGGAGUCGGUCCCCAUUUUAAAGGAUUAGUUUCCAAACAAAUUGGGCUAUGAUCAAAGGUCCAUUUAGGAAAGGCCUCUUGAAAACUUUGAGAGAAAAAAGAAUCCCACUCAGAAGAAAACAAAAACCUAUCCAAUCUCUUGCAAAUAGGAUCCACUUGCAUGUUUGACCAUGUAAAAGCCGCAUUCCUUAGAGGGGGAUCCAACAAACCACUCUCCCUUAUAAACUCAUCAAAACACCUCAUGUUGAUUGUUAACCUAGAAUCACCCAUCUUCUCAGAUAUCCUCCUGAUAACAUUAAAAUCCCCUCCUACACACCACCUUGGGAAAGUUAGACCAUACAGGUCUUGAAGCUCCAACCAAAAGUCCUUCCUCCACAAAGGCUUAUUCGGACCAUACACUGAGGUUAACCAAAAAGACCCUUCCUCAUCAGAGUUCAACUUUACAGUUACAGAGAAGGAUCCUAACACCUUCUCUGUACACUUGAACUUAAUUGAAUCCCACAACAUCACAAUCCCCCCCAAGCCCCACAAACAGGAAGAGCAGCCCACUCCAAACUUCUGUCUUUCCAAACACUGCUCACAAACCUCCUGUCCUAAAUUACUCUCUUUGUUUCCUAAAGCAUCAGAGGUUAUGCUCAUUUUUUAAUUAUUUUUUUAUGAUUCUCAUAUGUCUUAGCACAAAUAAAGGAAAGGUUUUUUUUUAAUUAAGUUAAUUGAUUGAUAUUGAAAAAAUUAAUUGUUAGUUAUGUUCUAACUUUACAUGCUUGUUAAAAAAAUUAGACUAGUUAAUUUUAAAAUAUCUAUCAUUCUUGUAAUAAUUCACUAUUAAUUGCAUAGCUAAGUGAUUAUGUUCCUUCAUGUUUUCUUUUCAUAUCAGGUUGAUAAUAAAAAUGUAAUAUUGAGAAUGAGUUGAGCAUUGUUCAAUUUCUCAAGAUAAAUGUUCAUAAGGUAUGGAUGGUUGAUGUAUAUGGAAAGGAUUAGUUCACUUGCUUAAUAUCUAUAAUAUGUACUCAUUCUUGAUAUUUGUGAUCACUUCCUAUCUUUCUUCUUUUAUUGUCUUGCUUGUUAAUUUAUAACUUUACAUUCAAUUUGUUAUGAACCAUUAUACUCUAUUUGAAGUUUUGAUUUUAUGAUUCUUAUACACAAAAGAAUACUAACCAUUUGAGCAAGGAGGACAUGAUACUAAAUCAUUUAUCAAUUUGGCUAUUUUCUUCUCUCUAAUUUCUUAGCUUGGGAAUCAAAAUGCUUUGGAAUAUACAAGAAACAAUGGGGAUGAGUCUUUUUUUCAUCAUCUUUAGUUUUAUUGAUGGUCAACUUGAAGUAUCAUCCUUCCUAUUCCCUAAAGUACCCAAACUUGAUAGUUUGAAAUACUUAACAUGUUUACAAAAAUAUUCUUACAUCCUGUUUAGGUUCUAUAUAUUUGGAAAGUUUAUGAAGUUAAUUAUUUUAUUAUAGUCAUUGGCAAAAUGUUGCUCAUACCUUGAACAUAUCUACGAGCUAUUAAUGGCUAGUGCACGAGAAAGCCCCUCUUUCCUCUACUAUCCUUAGUUAGCAUAAAGGGUUCAUAUUUUGUUUUUAUUAUUUAGUCUUGUAAUUUCUACUUGUUAUCCCACUUUUUGUCUCUUUAUGGUUUAUUACUUGAAAAUCAAUUUUUGAAACAUGUUCUUAUAGGUAAUAGUGCUAUAACAUGUUAAAUUCAUGAGAAAAAAAAUUCUAAAUUGAUAUUCAAGGUUUAGUUUAUCUUCAAGUGUCUUCUAGAUGUGGAUUUUUGUGCUUACAAUCCAAAACAUUGAUAUAUGUUCUUUGUAGCUAAGGUUUGGUUUAUUUUCAAAUGCCUUGUGGAAAAGGCUUACGCUUUUCUUCUCUUUCUUUUUGAGAAAAUAUAUUGAUGAUUGCUAGAGAAUGAGGUUGUUGGAAAUCAAUACCAUAGAAAAUGUUUUGACUUUUUAAAAUUAUUUAAUGAAUUUGGUUGAGAACUUACUUGAUAUAGAAAAACAUAUUUAUUUGUGAAACAGGGAAAAAGAAAUAUUUUUUUACACGACUUGCCUUGUGUUUGCUUGAUGUGUGCACACAAACAAAUCAUAUAAUUAGGAAUAAAAAUUGUUUCUCCUUUUUAUAAAUAAAACUAUAACCAAAAUGCAAUAUAGAUAAGUCACAUUAAUUUAUUAUAUCAGUCCUAAAAAAAUGUUUGAACUAUGUUAACUAGUAGGUAUUGGAAAAAGGAAUUAUGUCAUCUUUAUUUGCUAUUUACUUAUUUUAUAAAAUUCUUAUAUCAAUAAAGUUUGAAAUUUGUAUGUAAUAAAUCACUAGCAUUUUGAAUUUUCAUUGUUAUAAUAAUUGUUUCUAAUUGUCUACUCUUUUUUUUGCUUUAUUUUUACAAUUUUUUUAGAAAGUUUCUCAUGUUAGUUAUUGUGUCAUAAAUAUAAUAAUUUUCAAGACAAUGAGGACUUGUGGUAUAUUGCUCACAUUCCAUAAAUAUAUGCUGACAAGGUGGUUUUUAGGUUUAUAUUUUAGAUCUUUUUUCCCACUAUUUAUCUCUUUAUCAUUUAUUACUUGGUAGUCAAUUUCUAAAACACAAUGAGCCUUCUUCUUUUUUCAAGACCAUUUUUUUCGUUCUCAAAUGUACUUGCAUUUGAAAAACUUAAGAGAAUGUUGAUAGGAGUUUCAUUAUGAGGACAUGCCACAACAACAUCACUUGUUAAUAAUAUUAUUCUAUGAGUUGACAUUAAUGUCAAUGCAUCUACACCUAAAAGGAUUCAUUAUACAAAAGUAUCUUCUACAUUUCCAUUCUCUCCCCUUCUCUUAACAUUAAUAUCUACACAUAUUGUAAACAUCAAAGAUCCAACAUCUUUGCUAGCAUAGGAACACAUCAUAGGCUAGAGCAUGUGCCAACAUAAGGACUUAGAGGCUUAAUGUAUCUUUGAGGUCUAAAUACUUAUGGUUUUUCUAGAUCAAUUAAAUUGUAUAUUCACCUUACCCUAACGCUAAUCUUUUACAAAGGACCAUCAAUAAGCCCCCACACUUGAAAAUCCAACAAUUGAGCUCUAUGCACUAUUUUGUAGCUCAUCUAUUUAGUAAUUAUAUUGAUCUUGUUACUUUAUGUUUGCAUUCUUCAUCUUUGGAGAAUUUCUAAGGUUGACAAUUUUGUUAAUAUUGUAGAUGUGAUUCUUUGCAAGUUGAUGCAAAAAAGCAAUACUAUUGUCAUAGUGACCUUGGUACUUUUCUUGAGUAAGUGAAAAAUGAAGAUUGUCAUAGACUAAGUUCUAUCUCAAUAGUUGCCUCUAAAUAUAUGGAACAAAUAGCUCAAAGACCUCAUUUGUGAGAUAAUGGGGAAUGUGAGAGGAUGACCUAUAAUUCCAAGCCCUUGGAAGCUUGUUCCAACAACAUUUUAGAAUUGUUUCCAAAUUCGUGUCUCUAUCAUCAAGAUCUCAACAUGUUGCAGCCUUGAAAAUCCUAAAAACUAGUUACUAUUCUAUUUCAAGAUCAAAUACCUUACCAGACUUGAUAUUAAGCUAUGAAUUUUUGAAUAAGCUUCAAACUGUUAAAUGUUAGAAGGAAUUGAUCUCUUAACUCUCUCCAAAGAUUCAUGAAUUACAAUUUCUCACACUUGUCAAAGAGAUGCCAAAGAGAAAGAUGAAGAUUUGCCUAUGAUUUCUCAUGUUCUUGAAAUUGGUACUGACAAGGAAUGAAUGGUUGAUUCAUAAAGAGCUUAUAUACUAUUUAAUUCAAGCAUGAUAUUUAUAAUAUAUUUUAGGUUUGUGUAAUAGAAAGUGAGAUAGGAUCACUAUUGUUGAUAGAAAUUGAUAUAUUCUAUGAUUUGUGUAAUAUUGAUAUUCUUAGUUGAUUUGAAAAUUCAUUUAUGGAGUUUCUGUAUUGAAGUUGCUAACUUUGGAUUUUCAGCACUUGUAAGUGUUUCACCACUUACAUGUCCCCUUUUUGUCAAGCUUCAAUGAUAUUUUCAACACUUACAAAUAGUUUGUUGCUAACCUUUUUCACUACAAGAAAUAAUAGUUUUAACAACAUGAAUCAAACGUUGUCAAAAACCUUUCAAAAUGUACACAUAUAUGUUGUUGAAAAAGAUGUUUAGAGCAUGCAUUAAACCUCAUUUAAGUUUUUUACAAUAUGCGUGUACACAUUGACAUUACUAUUCACAUCAAAAUGAAAGAGAUUGAAAUAUUAAAUAUCAUUGCUAUCAUUUAGAUUCUAUAUAUGUUUUACCUUCAACACACUUAAGUUGAUUGAAAUUUUCAUAAUAUAUCUAAUUUAAUUGUAAUAUAAUAUAAAGACCACAAAAAGAAACUUAAGAUGAUUGAAAAUUUCAUAAUAUAUUUGGUUUAAUGACAAUAUAAUAUAAAGACUGAAAAAAGAAAAUAAUGUUUGACAUUCCAACCAUAAUACAUUGUUGUUACUUCAAAAAUUUGAAAAAAAAAAUACAUUCAUAAUUCAUUCAAUAAAAACAAAUACAAGAUUCUAGAAACUUUUAACACCUAAUUUCUACAUGUAGAACAAGAACAAGGUUAGGAUUUUUUUGAGUAGUUAAGUGAAACUCAGUUUCUUAUCCUACUUUACAAUUUUUGGUUUCUUACUUAUUCAAAAAAAAAAGUUGAUAAUAUUAAUACUUUACUUGGUAUAUAUGGAAUUACAAAAUACAACAAGAUUUGCAUAUGGAAUCAUAAAAGAACACUAGAAUGAAAAUUAAUAGACAUACAAAGAUAUACAUUUGAGUUGAAACACACCUUGAGGAGAGGUACAACAAAAAACUUAAGCAAAUGUACCCAAGGAUUAUGGAAUUCUCCUCGUUUUUCCUCUAACAAACCUCACUUUUCUACAUGAUACUGAAGUUGUCAAAAAUACAAAUUGAUACUAAAACAUAAUAAUUAUAGUCAUAUCCCAUUAAGACAUUAAAAUAUUAGAAAGUCUCUUGAUGAGCAUUAAGAGGGUUAAAAUUAUGUUUAUUGCUCGGAUACAACAAAAUGAAGUUACAAGUAUACUAAAUAAUAUGCUAGGAAAUAACAAAUCGACACCAUAUAUAAGAGUAGAAUUGAAGCUAAAACAAGAACUUUGAAUGCUUGUUUUGCACCCUUUGUGUGGAAAGGCCUUAUUAUAUUGUUCUAAUCAUGUAUACUUUAAAAAAAAAAAAAAUUGUUUUGCAUCUUUUUUCUUAGGGGUCUUUUUAUGCAAUUUUAUUUUCCUAUCACAAGAAAUUUUAUUAAAGUCUUUGUAAGUUAUUUUUCGUCAUAAUUUCAUUGUAAAACAAAUAAGAAAAUUUGAGAUUUUUCCUAAUAUUUUUGCUUUAGAAUGGAGUUUUUUGCCUUUUUGUGUGAGACUUGGACUCAUCAAUAUCUCAUAGUUCAAAAUGGAGCCUUUCGCAAAGGUAGAAGAAGCACCUUCAACACUAAUGAUGGAGUUACUUUAGGAAACAUGACUUUCAUUCUUGUAAAAAUGCCUAAAGACAUUUCAUUGUUUUGACCACUGCACAAAAACCCAUGUUUUCUUGAUUUCUUAAGGAGUUGUAUCUUUUAAAUAAAUUUUAUACACAAACAACACUUGAUCUCAAGAUCAACUCAAGUAAUCCAUGUCUAAGAAAAGGAUGUGAGCCAAUUGAACCAAAGUGUUUUGAACAACUUGAAGACAAGCUAUGCCAUAUGUCAUACCACCUUUUUUGAUGGAACUCAUGAAAGGCUAGUGAAUAUGAGUCUUUGAGGAAUGAAUUGGGCUCAAUGUUGUUGUAUAUAAUUUAGAGUAGAUAUUUGAAAUGUAUGGAUAUUAUUUGUCAUACCAUCAUGGGUAUGAGUUGUGAUGUUUAUUUUCCUUGUAAUUUAUUUUAUGCAUUUAAGUGUCUUAUUUCAAAAAGGUAAAAUUUUUAUAUUUGAUUACAUUAGAGUUUAUAUUUAAUACUUUAAUUAGGAUGACUAAUGAUUAUAUAUUGAUGUAAAUAUUAUUUUUCUCAAAGGAAGUUCAAAAGUUAUGUUUGGAACCAAAUCCCAAAGGAAAAGAAUUCUAAAAUUAGAUUUCAAUCUCUUGGUGAUCAUGAUUGGUAUGAGAAGGAAUUGAAAUGAAAAUAAUUAUCUUGGGUUUGGUAUUAUAACAAGAAUAAAAAAUAAAUAACUUUGGUGUACUACUUGGACCAUGCUACGACAUAAAUAUGAAUGAUCUAAAUAUUAAUUCUUCUUAACUAAAAUCAACCUAAUUAUAAAUUUAAUUAUAAAAGUAAAUAAAUUUAUCAUAAUAAAAUUAAUUAAGAAUAUCAUUUAUAUAAAAUUUACAGAAACAAUCAAUUUCAAUUAUUUAAAAUCACUUCUCAACAUUAAACUUAAAAAUCCCUCCAGCAUGAUCUAAAUUAUCUUAUAUUCAGCUUUUUAAUUCAUUUAAAAUACAAAGUAACUUACACUUGUUAAAAAAUAAAAAUAAAAGAUUAUGAGCAUAAAAAAAUAUUGUUUUCGUUUAAAUCCCUAUACUUCUCUAUUAAUAAUUACUAAAAUAGAGAAAUAACUAAAAUAACAUGACAUAAGUGAUAAAAAAAGAAAAAAAAGAAUGGAUAUAUAACUACAAUGAUAUAAGUGAGAUUAAAAUUAAGAAUUUACUCAAGUUAGAGAAUUAUUUAUUCUAAUAAAAAUGUUAAAGAAAUACAUUACUUAAUAUAAUAAAUUCUUUUUUCCUUUUGUCAUUCCAUAUGAGCAUCUAUAAUAUUGAAAAUAGAAAGAAAAGAAUCCCCAUCCAUAUUUAAAAUAAUUUAUUUUAGAAUAUUCUACCUCUAAAAAAUCCAUUAAAGUUCAAAAAAAGUAAAAAGAUGAUAUGACUAGUAUGUAUAGAGAAGAGAGUGAAAGAGACAAAAAAAAUGUAUUUACUAAUUUAAAUUUAAAGAGAAAAGGCAAGAGUAAUAAGGCAUCAUUGAAAAAGGGAAAGUUUAUUUUAAUAAAAUUCAAAUCUCAUAAAUUGAAAAGUUGAAAAGUUGCCUUCCAAAUCCUUUAAAAUUCUUUCCUUCUAAAAAUUCCCUCAUUUCAAAUCUAUUCUUCCCUUUUCCAUUUAAUUCCCUUGAUUCCAAAUAAAGUAAAAUAAUAACAAUCUUUCUAACAAGUUAAUAACAUAUAAAAAAUAAUAAUAACAUAAUAACCUAUGAAGCAAAAUUACAGACAUUUGGAAAUACAUUACAAAAUUUUUGUGGAUUUCUUCAAGAAAGAUCCUAGAAGCAAAAAUUUAGAAAUAUUAAGAGGGUAAUUUUUUUAAAAUAAAUUAUACAAAUUCUAAUAAAAAAUAUUUAUUCAUUUAUUCAAGAAUAUUAAAAAAAGAAAAUAUUAUGAAAAUAGGUAAUAUAAAAAUUUUCAUAUUCAUCUCAAGGUUUAUAUAAAAAUUAUUAGCAAUAUUUUUUUGUGAAUAAUUAUUAAACUGUUAAUUAUUUGUUUGAUGGUAUUAUAAUAUGAGAUGGUGAGAUUAGAAGAGUAAAGUACAAAGUAGGUCCCAUAUGAUAUAAUUAACAUAUCUUUUCUCUUCCAACUUAAGCCCAACUAAAUAAUGGGCUUAGGGCAAAGCCCUAAGUACUCAACUGAAUGAACUGGCUUUUGUUAUCUAGGAAUUUGUUGCUAGCGUCAUCAUCUUUCGUUGUGGAUUUCUAUGAAUGCCAUUUUUUUGUAAAUCCAAUUAAUUCACCAAUUAAAACCAUAAACAUACUUAAUUCACCAAUUAAAACCAUGAACAUACUUAUCUAUAACAAGGGAUUUGAAGAGCUUUUUAAAUACUAAAAAUGGGGUUUAAAAGUCAAGAAAGGUUUAUUUCCUUAAAAUAUAUAACAAUAUCAAAAAAAUAUCUUUAUUUUAAAUGAAAGUGUUUUUAAAAUAUAAUUCACAAAUAUAAAAUUCAAUUGCAUGACAAUAAUAAUUACUUUCAUAGGAACUUCUACUAAACAAACAAGUUAUGGGGGGCUUCCCUCCACGUGUCCUUCCCAGACUCAAGACCCCUUGGGUGACCAAGGUAGACAUAUAACACGUUUGGGAUCACUUCAUCUGGACCAAAAUAAGCUUUGUAUGGCACUAGAAGUGAGAAGUUUUCCUUCUUCCACAAUACCAGACGAAAUAGACAGACCAAGCCGACUGGACAUUUCAGACGGACAAAUAAAUCUAAUCAGCAGCCCUUACUUGAUGUGAUUGCCCAGUCCAUGCAGCAGUGAUGGAGUUGAUUGUCCUAUCAAGGCUCGAUUUCCAUCGAGCAAUCAUCAUUACAAGAAAUGUUAGAGUGCAUAAUCAACGCUAUAAUGAUGAUGCCAUCAGCUCUAUAUAAACCCCUCAAGAAGCAUGAACAAGGUACACAUGCUCAUUCUCUCCCACUAAAAAUAGUUAGAGAUAUUCUUGUUGAUUUCUGACUUGAGCUUUGGAGGGGCAUGCCCGAACCACUUGUCCGGACAUCCUUCUUUGCAAGGAAGAAGUCUGUCUGACUCUAGUGAAGCUGGAUGGACCUGAAUCUAAUUGGCUCAACACCAACAUUAAUGUCGUAUAUGGGAAAGACUAAGGAUGUCAACACUUUCCAGAAGCUAAUCAUCAACUAUGGGUGGUGAAGACUACUUUGCUUGGCGUGAAAGAAUAGAGAGACGUCAAUAAGAGAAUGAUCGGCAGAUGUAGUCUAUGCUUCGCCAAACAAAGCGACUCAAACAAGAGAAUGAAGAGUUGCAGGCACAGAUGUCAGCAUCAAGCCCCUCUCAAAGUCGAUAACCUCAAAGACAACAAAUAGCCUCAAGACGGACUAAUGAAACAUCUUUCCCUGGGAACACAGAGUUCUUCUCUGGUAGCUACACGAGACAGUCUAAGGAGGAGGUUUCGCCAGCUUGCCAAAUGCAGCUGGACGAAGGCACUAACUCUACCCGGGCAUCAAUGAAGAGGAGGUACGAUAGAAGGUUACAUUUGUCAGAUGCGAUGCGAGCCUGAUUAGGACCUCAGGCACCAAGCGUGGAGGAGCAACCAUGCAUAUUAGAAACCCUGAAGGCCCGUCUAGGUCCCCCAACCACAGUAGUUAUGUUGGGAUGACCCUCUCAACCGCCAAGGCAACAACAAGCUGAGGCCCCGAAGAUCUGAGCUUUGCCUUGCUCUGUCAGUCGACGGUUGGAUGACAUGCUCUCCAUGCGGUUCAACCCUCAUAUUAUUAACUAUGAGCCAUCUAGAGGGUUCAUAGUGCCAAAAUUCACAACGUACGACGGAAAAAACAAUCUGUUUGAUCACAUCAUAUGCUUUAAGUUACUCAUGACCCUCGAUAUAGGGAAUGAUGCACUAUUGUGCAAGGUCUUUUCGGCCAGCCUACACGGCCAAGCUCUUUCUUGGUUCCACCGUCUCCCACAUAAUUCUGUGAACACUUUCUGGGAUUUAUCAAAAGCCUUUGUGGGCCACUACUUAUGUUUGGCUCAUCAUAAACAUAACAUAAACACCCUACAGAACAUCAAGGUGCAGGAGAAUGAGUUGCUCAAAGACUUCAUGAAGCGGUUCGGGCAAGCCGUGCUUUAAGUGGAGUCCUGUAGUAUGGAUGCCAUCCUGUAGAUCUUUAAGUGAAGCAUUGGCCCGGGCACGCCAUUUUUUGAGUCUCUCGCAAAGAAGUCGCCUGCAACAAUGGAUGACCUGUUCAGACGAGCAGACAAAUACUCCAUGCUCCAAGACGACAUCUGGGCAACUACUCAACAGGUCUUGGUCACCAAUCGUCCGACUAAGGAUGAUGAGGCAGAAAGUUUUAAGCCAUCGAACCAAUCGAGGCAUGCUAACAAGAGGUGGGCUAGCUAGCAACAGCAAAAUCAGGCGAGACUAAUCCUCCUCGGUAUCUCAUAUCAGAGACUUCUUCUGAUGAUUCGUGAUUUGUCAAACUUUAGAUGGCCAGAACUUAUCAAAAUAGAUCCAGCUAGAUGGGAUUAGAACAGAAGGUGCUCCUAUCAUAAGGAUCAUGGUCAUACCACCAAGCAAUGAAGGAGUCUCCAUUACUUGGUGGAGAAACUAAUCAAAGUUGGGCACCUAAAACAGUAUGUCCACACAACUGGCGGGCAAAGAGAGACGGUGCAAGAGUUAGCCAUCCAAGCCCUUGCAUUUUUGGCAGUUCUUAGAGUUGUCAUUAACUACAUACAUGGAGGCUUCGUAGAUGAUAGAGACAAUUCUAAGCGACAAAGGCGAAGGUUGCUCCGUGUAGCCUCUGUAAAAGAGCGAGUUCACUCCGUUUAGUGCAACUUUUCGGAAGAGAGUGAGUGCUCCAUUGAUGACACAGUUAUCUUCCUUCCAGUAGGUGUUAAUCAAGUAUUGCAAUCGCAAGAAGAUGCCCUAGUCCUAACACUAGGGGUAGGCAGAUUCGAUGUGAGAAGGGUUCUAGUUUAUCCGGGUAGCUCACCAGACCUUUUACAAAUGUCAAGCUACAAGCAGAUGAGCUACUCCCUAUCCAUCCUAGAAAACCCAAAGCGUUUGUUGUCUGGGUUCAAUAGAGCUACGAUGACUUCUCUGGGUGAUGUUGUGCUGCCCAUCCAAGUAGGCUAAGUCACCCUAAACGUACAAUUCUUAGUCAUCGACGAUUUGUUCCCAUAUAAUGCCAUUAUGGGACGUGCAUGGCUUCACAUAAUGAAAGUCAUUCCCUUUACGUACCAUCAGAUGGUGAGCUACCUCACGGAGGAGGGACCAGUCGAUCUCCUUGGCAACCAACUAGCCGCGCGCCAAUGCUAUCAAGUGGUGCUAGAUUAUGGACAUUUAGCCGGUUGGAAUCAUCAAAUACAAUGGAGCAAUAGCAAUUAUUGAGCUUGGUGAAGAAAGAUCCAUCUGCAACUGAUCCACUCCAGCCAUUAUGUCUCUUACAUAGCACAUAUCAAAUCACCUAUACCAGUUCGCUGCUUACGUAGGAUGAACUGGAACUACUAAGAAGUGUGCUUCAGCAAAACAAGGACAUCUUCGUUGGGAUUCACUCAGAUAUGCUAGGAAUUCAUCCAUCUGUGGCCUCCUAUGAACUUAACACCACGCCCUCCUCACAUCCUAUCUAGAAAAAGGUCCGAUGUUUUCAUCCGGACAGGCAGAAAAUCAUCCUAACGAAAAUUGACAAACUAUUGGUAGCCAGAUUUAUCAGAGAAGUCAAAUAUCAAAACUAGUUGGCAAACGUGGUGAUCGUUCAAAAGAAGAAUGGGAAGUGGCGAGUUUGUGUUGAUUACACCAACCUGAAUGAUGUCAGCUCAAAUGAUAGCUUUCCCUUACCCCAGAUAGAUUAGAUAGUCGAUUCCACCGUUGGCUAUGAGAUGCUCUCCUUCCUAGACGUCUUCUUCGAAUAUCAUUAGAUUCCUAUGUUCUAGUCGGAUAAGGAGAAGACAGCCUUUGUUACACCACAUGAGUUGUACUGCUUCAAAGUCAUGUCAUUCGGGCUUAAGAAUGCUGAUGCUACUUAUCAGAAACUAAUGACGAAAAUUUUCAAGCCCUUGAUUGGUCGAACUGUGGAAGUCUACAUUGAUGGCUUUGUUUUAAAAAGCGAAACCCGAGCUAAGCACGUCCAGCACUUAAAAAGAAACAUUCUGUCUUAUGCGGGCAUACAACAUGAAGCUCAAUCCAACUAAGUGAGCCUUUGGCGUCAAUACAGGAAAGUUUCUAGGGUUUAUGGUGACCCAAAGAGGAAUUGAAUUUAAUCCGGCUCAAAUAAAAGUUGUCCUCGAAACACCUACUUCAAGCAACAAAAAGGAGUUGCAACACCUCACAAGUUGUCUAACAGCUUUAGGGCGUUUCAUAACCCAUUUCACAGACAAGCUGAGACUUUUCUUCCUCACUCUCAACAGAGCAAACAUGUUCAGUUGGACAGAUGAAUGCAGGCAGGCAUUUGAAGUAGUCAAGCGCUACCUCACUGAACCACUCAUUUUAAGGAGCCUCAAGUCCGGUAAACAACUUUGUAUGUAUUUGGUUGUAUCCCGACUACGUUGUUAGUGUCGUCCUGUUUCGGCACAUACAAGACAAAGAGCAGAGGCUCAUUUACUAUGUGAGCAAAGUAAUGGUAGACGCUGAGACUCGGUACUCUAAAAUGAAGCAGACGAAUCUAGCCCUUCAAAAUGUCACUCAAAAGCUCUGCCCAUACUUCCAGGCUCAUCAAGUGACCGUACUCACAAACCAGCCACUCCGAGUUACCCUGCACAAACCGGAUCUAUCCGGACAAAUGUUGAAAUAGGCCAUCGAGUUGAAUGAGUGCGGAAUCAAGUAUUAGCCAAGGUUAUCAUUGAAGGGACAAGUUAUGGCCGACUUUAUAGUUGAACUCCCUAAAAAUCAAGUACAUCCGGUUGAUCGCCCUGGAGAGCAAUGGUGGACACUUCAUGUAGACGAAGCGUCCAGAGUGUUCGGAUCUGGAGUAGCUCUGAUCCUAUAAUCACCAAUUGGGGAACUAAUGGAACAAGCUAUCCAUCUCAACUUUUCUGCCUCCAAUAAUGAAGCAGAAUAUGAAGUUGUCCUAGCCAGGCUAGAUCUUGCCCUAGUAUUAGCAGCCCAAGUUGGAAAUCAGGAGUGACUCUUAGCUAAUUUUCAAACAUAUUCAACGAGAGUAUGCAGCAAAGGAUGAAUGCAUGGCUCGCCACCUCGCCUGGUGGAAAGUCACCUGAAAAAGCUGGACGAGUGGGUCACUAGACGAGUGCCGCAUGGGAGAAUGGGAAGACAGACGCACUAGUCGGAAUAGUUGCCACUCUUUCCAUAAAAGAGGCGGUGAUGCUACCUGUUUACCUCAAAGCUGCCACCUUAAUCAUACUCGAGCCAGUGUGCAACACCAGUCAAACGAACUUAGGUUGGAUGCUUAACAUCGUGAAAUACCUUCAAACAAGGGAGGUACCAGGAGAUAAGAAGCAAGCUCAUAAACUCCGCAUACAAGCAGCACGCUUCACUCUAAUUAAUGACCAAUUGUAUAAACCAUCAUUUGGAGGUCCAUACCUAAAGUGUUUGAGCGAUCCGAAGGCCAAAUAUGUUUUAGCCGAACUCCAUGAAGGCGUAUGUGGCAAUCACCUAGGCGGACGAACUUUGGCACAUCGCGCUUACACGCAAGGGUACUAUUGGCCCACCAUGAAGCAGGAUGUUGAAAACUAUGUUAAGAAAUGUGAUCGGUGUCAACGACACACUCCCAUUCCCCGUGUACCUUUAGAAGUGGUCAACCUAGUCACAAAUCCUUGGUCAUUUACAUAGUGGGGGAUGGACAUAGUCGGGCGCUUACCCAUUGCAGCAGCACAAAAGAAGUUUUUGCUCGUUGCAAUCGACUAUUUUAGCAAGUAGGUGGAGGCAAAAGCCUAUGCCAACAUCAAAGAUAAAGAUGUCUCUAAGUUCAUCUGGAAAAACAUCGUAUGUCGAUUCAGAGUUCCACGAGCGAUUGUUACUGACAAUGGGCCACAGUUUGAUAGUAUUGUAUUUCGAACAUUUUGCUUGGAGUUAAACAUAAAGAACCUAUACUCAACACCUCGUUGUCUACAAAGCAACAGACAAACGGAGGCGACAAACAAAACCCUAUUGAAUGCACUAAAGAAAAUGUUGGAAAUGGCAAAAAGAAAGUGGGUGGGUGAACUACCCGAAGUCUUAUGGGCUUACCAGACAACAUCCAAACGACCAACAUAGGCCACUCCUUUUACCCUUACUUAUGGGAUUGAGGCCAUUAUUCCAACUGAGAUUGACAUGCUUACUGCUAAAACAGUCGUGUAAGACUAUAGGAACAAUGAUGAAAAAAUCAUAAGACAACUAAAUUGGGCAGAUGAAUUAUGAGGAGACGUGGAGAUACAACUAUCUGGAUAGCUUCAUACCAUCAGAAGGCAAUUGCUCAGUACAACAAAAGGGCACGACCACAAAUUUUUUAGCCAGGAUCUUUAACUCUCAGAAAAGUUUUUGAGAAUACAACUUAAGUAGGAGCAGGGAAGCCGUAAUCUAAUUGGGAAGGGCCAUAUGUUGUAACUAAGGCAGGAUACUCGAGGGCAUACCACCUUCAGACUCUAGACGGAGUACCCCUACUCUGCCCAUGGAAUGUGACCAACCUAAAGCUAUAUUAUCAGUAAAAUUGCUUAUUACAAGUAGGGAAGACUAGGCUUCAGUCGACUAGAGUAAAUAAAUACAAAGAAUCAAACCCUGUCCGGGUAUCUUGCAAUUCCUGCCUCAGCCGGACAUCUUUUUCUUCAAUCUUCUCUUUCUCGGCCACCAUAGCCACAUUUUCCUCAACUAGUUGGCCAGCUUCAGCCUGAGAUGCCUCCUUCUCCUCCUCGACCUUCCUCAGUAGACCGACACCUUCUUCAGCCAGCUCUUGGGUAGCAACAACCUCACUCUUCGUCGUCUUCAAGUUAGCAAGGAGAUCCUCAUUCCCGUCCACGUUAUGGGCAACACAUGUCCUCAUGGUCUCGACUGCUUCCAACUAGUGAAAAAGGUGAGCGCAUUGCCGCAUAAGGUUUUGGAUUCCGGUUCCCACCUGGGGGCAACAGAGAAAUUGUUAUAAAACGAGAGACUAAGGUAAAGUAAGCGAAAAAAUGGGAGAUGGCCUACCACUUCUGUUGUCUCAAAAGCUAUGUAGUCCUGCAUAUGGAGAAUGCAAGCAAUAGCAAUAUUUAGAGUAUCGUACGGAAGUCGUGUCGAAGUGGCAUGUGCCCCUUGGCGCCCAAAAACUUGAAAAUGAAUAAUAUGUCUUACCUCAACCCGACAGCUACCCUACUAGAAAAAGGCAGACGAAUUAGGGGGCUUUGUGAGGGGCUUCCCCCCACGUGUCCUUCCUAGAUUCAAGACCCUUUGGCCGACUAGGGCAAACAUAUAACCCAUUUGGGAUCACUUCAUCUGGACCAAGAUAAGCUCCGUCUAGCACCAGAAGUGAGAAAUUUUCCUUCUUCCACAAUGCCAAAUGGAAUGGACAAACCAAGCCGACUGACAUUUCAGAUGGCUCACAAUGUCAGACAGAAUGGACAAACCAAGUCGGUUGGACCUUUCAGACGGGUAAAUCAAUCUAGUCAAGUCCUUAGGAUUUCUUAUAGGCAUGGUUAACCAUGCCUGAUGUCUAAGCAUCGGCUUAGACACCUAAUGUCUAAGCGUCGGACUAGACGCCUGAUGUCUAAGUGACGAACUAGAUGCCAUUUACACUCAAAAGUCAAUGUCAAUUAAUUGUUACACACAAUCCCAAACAUUGGCAAAAGCUAAAUGGACAUCAGCAAAUGGCACUAGUCAGCAACUCUUACUUGAUGUGAUUGCCUAGUCCAUGCACCAGUGACGGUGUUGACUGUCCUACCAAGGCUCGAUUUUCGUCGGACAAUCAUCAUUACAAGAAAGGCUAGAGUGCAUAAUCAGCGUUAUAAUGACGAUGUCAUCAACUCUAUAUAAACCCCUCAAGAAGCAUAAACAAGGUACACACGCUCAUUCUUUCCCACAAAAAUAAUUAGAGCUAUCCUCAUUAAUUUCUUACUUGAGCUUCGGAGAGGUGUGCCCGAACCACCUAUCCGGACAUCCUUUUGUGUAGGGAAGAAGUCCGCCUAACUCCAGUGAAGCUGGACAGACCUAAAUCUAGUUGGCUCGACACCAACACAAGUAAAAUGCUAUUAUAUGAAAACAUGUUUGAAUUUUGUAUACGCAUUUGAUAAAAUAAAAAAAAACCAAAAACCUUUUUUCACUUUGUUAAUAUAAGCUUUCAUGUUAUUUAUUUAUUUAUUUAUAAAUAAAACCAUUAUUAAGAUAUUAAAAACAACAUUUUUAUUUUUAUUAUUCAUUAAAUCUUAUUGACACUCCCUACUUAUUAAUACUCAUAUUUAAAUAACUUUAAAAGUUAUUAACUUUUUAUAAAAGUGUCUGAUAAAUCUACAUCAAGAGUUACUAAUUUUUUCUAUUUUUAAAAACAAAAGGUAUAUUUACCCAGUACCUAAUUCAUUAAAAUUAUAUGCCUCUUAACUAGUCUUGUAAAUGCAUUAUUUUUUUAUUCCACUUUCAAUGUACUUCUUAUCAUAUUUUUCAUGGUUAUAAUGAUUUAAUUAUAAUACAUAUUCAACAAAGCUUCAUCCAAACAAUGAAUAUGAAAAGGUAUAUAUGAAAAGGUAUAAAUUGAAUGAACCUAGAUAUUGCCCAAUAUUGAUAAAAACACAAUAGGAUGAUCAUACUGUUGUAAUACUCUCCUCUUCCUUUUUCAUACAAACAUAAUUUAACAUUUGGAUUAAACUUUCUAAAAUGUAAGUUUUCAUCAUUAAUUUGAAUCAAGAUAUCUAAUUAAAAAAUUAAAAGUCCUUCGAAGAGCUUACAAUACAGAAAAUUAAAGUUAAUUAUUAAGUAAUUAUAUAAACUUAAAUGAAAAGAAAUCUUAUUUUAAAAAUAAUGAAAAAAGAGAAAAUUAGAGACAUGGAAUUGCUUUUAGAACUAAUCCAAUUGAUGGAAAUUUGAGAAUGCUUACUAAUAGCCAAAGUAACAAACCCUAAAAAUAAUAAAGGGUAUGAAGACUUAAAACUUCAUUCAAUGCAAACCAAAUCAUCUAAUGAGCUAUACUUUUUGUGAAGAAGUUAUUUCUUAGCUAUAUUCCUUGGACACUACAAAAAUAUUUAGAUGGAUGGCUUAAAACUUAAGAAUUUUUUUUUUCAUUAAUGUGAUCUCAUGUAAUGCAUAUAUCCUAAUGUUUUCAAUUUUUUAGUUUUAUUUUCAUAUUUAUCUUGGGGUUAUGUAAAAAGCAUUAACAAUAUUCUUUUCAAAUAACUAUUAAAAUGUUAAUUAUUUAUUGGUGGUAUUAUAAUUUGCGAAGGUGAGGAUAGAGGACAAAGUACAAAGGGUCACCGUACGUAGGGCACAUGUAAUAUAUCUUUUCUCUUCCAACUUAGGCCCAACCCAAUAAUGGGCUUGGGGCAAAGCACCAAUUAUUCAACUUGAUGGAUUGGACUGGGUUAUCUAAGAAUUUGUUGCUAGUGCCUUAAUCUUUGUUUGUGGAUAUCUAAGAAUUUCAUUUUUUUUUUCUUUAAAUACAAGAAUUCACCUAUUAAAACUAGUCAAGAAAGUUUUAUUUCCUUAAAAAUUUCAAUAAUAUAAAAAAAUUAUCUUUAUUUUUAAUAAAAGUAUUUUUAAAAUAUAAUUCUCCAGUAUAAAAUUCAAUUGAAUAACAAUGAUAAUUAUUACCUAAUCUACUAAACAAACAAAUUAAAUGCUAUCCUUUCAUAACACACAUUUGAAUUUUUUUAUAUGUAUUUCAUAAAAAGUUUCUUUUUUCACUUUGUUAAUAUAAGCGUUAAUAAUAUUAUUAUUAUUUAAAAAAAAAUUAGAUCAAACCCUUAUUAAGAUAUCAAAAACAAUAUUUUUAUUUUUAUUUUUCAUUAAAUAUUAUUGACAUUCACUAUGUAUUCAUACUAGCAUUUUUUAAGUAGCUGUAAAAAAUUAUUACCUUUGUAAAGUAAGUUUCUAUGAAGUCCGAGUUACAAUUUUUUUUUUUUUAAAAAAAAAAUAGAAGAUGUAUUUAAAUGAUACCUAAUUCAUUAAAAUUAUAUGUCUCACUACUAGUUUUGUUAAUUUCAUUUUCAGUAUACUUGUUAUCAUUUUUUUAAUGGUUGAAAUCAUUUAACAAUGAAUAUAAAGCUUCACCCAAACAACAAAUAUGAAAAAUUAAAAAUUGAAUGAGCCUAUAUAUUGCUUAACAUUGAUGAAAAUAUAAUAUGAUGAUAAUACUAUGGAAUACUCUCCUCUUUGAUGGGUUGAUCAUGUUCAUACAAACACAAAUUAACAUUUGGAUUGAUUAAACUUUCUCAAAUGUAAGUUUUUGUCAUUAAUUUGAAUCAAGAUGCUUGAUCGAAAAACUAGGAUUCCUCAUAAGAACUUACAAUACAUAAAAUUAUAGGUAAUCAUUGAGUAAUUCUAUGGACUUGAAUGGAGAGAAAUUUUAUUCUAAAAAAAUAGAGAAAAAAAAUAGAAAAUUAAAGUCAUGUGAUUACUUUCAAAACUAAUCCAAUUGAUGGAAAUUUGAGAAAGCCUCCUAACAGCUAAAGUAACUAACCCUAAACAUCAUAAUAAAGCACUAUGAGAAUGAUGAUUGAAACUUCGCUUAAUGCAAACUACUAUCUUUGCAUAUCUAAGUCAUCCAAUGGGCAAUAAUACUUUUUGUGGAGAAAAUUGGACUUUUACCCCUUGCGAUAUAUAGGCCAAGACUAAGAUUAAUUGCUUUCUUUAUUGAUUACUACCCAAAAAGUGCUAUUUUACACCUUUAAUGCAUUAUGUUUUAAGCACUUUUGUGUAGUAGUUCUCCAUCUUUAGUCCAAUUGGCAUGUUAAGGACCUAGCAAUGUCUUUUAAUCAUAUUUGUGGCUAGUUUUAAUGUUUUGACAGCUUUUUGGAUCGUUAAAACAAGUCAAGCAAAGGAGAAAACCAAAGAGAAGCAAAGUGAAGAAAAAUCAAAAUGUAGCAGCUGCAGUCUUCUUUCGCACUUUUGGAGCACUUCCCGAAGUCCAAUUUUUACAUGCUAUAUACCAUUUUAAAGAUUUUGAAGUCAAGAAUCCAACGCUUCAAACCGUGCAUGAUUUGGAGCUGAAACAAGGAAGAUAUGGCCUUCGGAAGACAACUCCUCCAGGUGUGCGAGAAUUUCGCACAACCCCUUUUAGCUGUGCGAAUGGUGUGCGAAGUUCGCACACCUCCUUCAGGUGUGCGAAAAUUUCGCACACCCCAUGCGUGCUCUGUUUUUGCCGACUCCACUUUAGAUAUUUUCCUAUGUAAUUUUUGAUGUAAUUUCCUUUCCUAUCCUUGUAACUAACCAAUCACAAGCUUUUGCUUUUGUAAAGACUUUAUAAGGGGUGGAAAUUACCUCUUGGAAAAUAUACGCAUUACAUUUGACACUUAGAGAUUUUUUACAGAGCUCUCUCGUUUUCCAUUUUUUCUCUACUAUUUUCUUUUUCUUGGAAGCCAAACAACCUCUGAGGAUGUUUUCUCAUAGGAUGAGAGGCUAAACUUUUGGUUUCUUGGAGUGAUGGAAGCUAGGUGAAAAGUUCAGAUGCAAGGUGGAAAACGCUCGUGCAUUAAAUUCAGGUAGUUGGAAUUCAUAAAUGGCUUUUAAAUCCAAAGUUUUGCUUUAAAUCCCUUAGAAUCACUUUGAAUGACCAAUACAUGGUAAGCUUCAGGUCUUUAUGGAUGCUUAUUGCUAGAUCCAUAUUAGUCCAUUAGUUAUCAUGUACGAGUCAUUGGAAAGCAGUUCAAGGUGAAGACCUAUAGUGUCUAAAGCCAUUAAUGGACUUUGACUACCAUUUAUAUUGAUUAUUAUGGAUUAAAUCUUCAUUGUUAAACCUAUACCGGUUCGGGAAAUAACUAUAGGUUAAAUCCCCAAUGCGAGGAGAAAAAUCCGGAAUUUUCCACUUUGCAUUCUAAACUUGAUCCUAGUAAUCCUGAGCUCCGGGAGACUUUCCUUCUUCCAUUUUUAAUUAGUUUAUGUUAGUUUAGUUUUAAACACUUUCAAAUCAAAUUUCAUUUUCUUUUAAAUUUUAAGUUUUUGAUUAAGGAAAUCAUUAAAUACAAUUUCUAAUUUUGAAUACAUCACUGGUAGAAUGAAAACCCAUCCCAGAGUUCGACCCUAGAGCCACUAUACUAUAGUAGCUUUACUACAUUAGUAUGAGGUCAUAGGUUUUAUAAAUGUUUUUGAUUAAAUGACCCAUUUGGAGUUACAUGCGCGAAUCAAAAUGGCGCCGUUGCUGGGGAUGGUGCCACAAUACAGUGAUGCAACCUUUUAGAGGCUACUUGUGAUUUCCAUCACAAGUUUGGUGAAUUCCUUUUUCACUAACUUCUUUUCCUUUCAUUUUAUUUUUGUUAGGUUUAUUUUCAUUUUCUUUCUAACCUUAACUUUUUUCUAGGUUUCUUUUGUUUUUGUUGUUUUUGUUUUAUUUCAGGUAAGUAGUAACUUUUGCAUGCCCUAUUGGAUUCGGGACCAAGAGGGAAGAUUAGUAAGGAUUGAGAAUCCUCAAGACACAGAGUUGGAUAUUUGUGUUAACAUCAUGGACCCUCCACCAGAGGAUCAGAAUUCUCAACAAGGUCAAGGGGGUAAUCCUAAUGCAUAUCUAUCCAUGAGGGAUAGAAUGCAUCCACCAAGGAUGAGUGCACCCUCAUGCAUCCUGCCUCCUCUUGAGCAGCUGGUUAUAAGGCCCCAUAUUGUGCCCCUUCUACCAACUUUCCAUGGAAUGGAGAGUGAGAAUCCAUAUGCCCACAUCAAGGAGUUUGAGGAGGUGUGCAAUACCUUUAGAGAGGGAGGAACUUCAAUAGACUUGAUGAGACUCAAGCUAUUCCCUUUCACUUUGAAGGACAAGGCAAAAAUAUGGCUUAAUUCUUUAAGGCCAAGGAGCAUAAGGAAUUGGGUUGAUCUUCAGGCCGAAUUUUUGAAGAAAUUUUUCCCCACCCAUAGGACCAAUGGGUUGAAGAGACAAAUCUCAAACUUUUCUGCAAAAGAAAAUGAGAAGUUCCAUGAAUGUUGGGAAAGGUAUAUGGAGGCCAUCAAUGCUUGUCCUCAUCAUGGCUUUGAUACAUGGCUCUUGGUGAGCUAUUUCUAUGAUGGGAUGUCAUCCUCCAUGAAGCAAAUUCUUGAAACCAUGUGUGGAGGAGAUUUUAUGAGCAAGAAUCCGGAAGAAGCCAUGGACUUUUAAAGUUAUGUGUCUNNNNNNNNNNNNNNNNNNNNNNNNNNNNNNNNNNNNNNNNNNNNNNNNNNNNNNNNNNNNNNNNNNNNNNNNNNNNNNNNNNNNNNNNNNNNNNNNNNNNGUAGUGAUUAAAGGAGGAUAUGAUGAAAAAACAUAUGCCUCCCCCUUUUCCUCAAGCUUUACAUGGAAAGAAGGAAAUCAAGAAUUCAUCAGAAAUUCUUGAAGUCUUGAGACAAGUGAAGGUGAAUAUACCCUUACUUGAUAUGAUCAAGCAAGUCCCCACAUAUGCAAAGUUUCUAAAGGACUUGUGCACGGUCAAGAGAGGGUUACAUGUGACAAAGAAUGCAUUCCUCACUGAGCAAGUAAGUGCUAUCAUUCAGAGUAAGUCUCCAGUUAAGUACAAAGAUCCGGGAUGCCCCACCAUUUCAGUCAACAUUGGAGGGACACAUGUGGAGAAAGCUUUACUAGACUUGGGGGCAAGUGUGAAUUUGCUCCCAUACUCUGUGUACAAGCAACUGGGACUUGGAGGAUUGAAGCCCACAGCCAUUACUCUCUCCUUAGCUGACAGGUCAGUCAAAAUCCCAAGAGGGGUGAUAGAGGAUGUUCUAGUUCAAGUGGACAAAUUCUACUAUCCUGUGGAUUUUGUUGUGCUUGAUAUUGAUCCCAUUGUGAAGGAAGCAAACUAUGUACCAAUCAUCCUUGGGAGACCUUUCCUAGCUACCUCCAAUGCCAUUAUCAAUUGUAGAAAUGGGGUGAUGCAGCUCACAUUUGGGAAUAUGACCUUGGAAUUAAACAUAUUCCACCUAUGCAAGAGGCAUUUUCACCCAGAAAAAGAGGAAGGAUUGGAGGAGGUGUGCUUGAUCAACACCUUGGUUGAAGAGCAUUGUGACAAGAAUUUACAAAAGAGCUUGAGUGAAAACCUUGAAAUGUUUGAAGAAGGGUUACCUGAACCCUCUGAUGUUCUAGCCAUCAUGUCUCCUUGGAGGAGACGGGAAGAGAUCUUACCACUGUUCAACCAGGAAGACUCACAAGAAGCAACUGUGGAGGACCCUCCAAAACUUGUUUUGAAGCCACUUCCUGUUGAUUUGAAAUAUGCAUAUUUGGAGGAAAAUGAGAAAUGUCCAGUGGUGAUUUCUUCAACUCUUACUAUUGAUCAAGAGGAUAAUCUUUUGGGAGUCCUCAGGAAAUGCAAGAAAGCCAUUGGAUGGCAAAUUUCUGAUCUGAAAGGGAUUAGCCCUUUGGUGUGCACCCACCAUAUCUAUAUGGAGGAUGAUGCAAAACCAGUGAGGCAGCCCCAGAGGAGGUUGAAUCCUCACAUGCAAGAGGUGGUGAGGGGUGAAGUUCUGAAGCUACUCCAAGCUGGGAUCAUAUAUCCCAUUUCAGACAGUUUGUGGGUGAGCCCCACCCANUAGUCCUAAAGAAAUCUGGAAUCACUGUGGUCNNNNNNNNNNNNNNNNNNNNNNNNNNNNNNNNNNNNNNNNNNNNNNNNNNNNNNNNNNNNNNNNNNNNNNNNNNNNNNNNNNNNNNNNNNNNNNNNNNNNUGAGAAUCCAUAUGCCCACAUCAAGGAGUUUGAGGAGGUGUGCAAUACCUUUAGAGAGGGAGGAACUUCAAUAGACUUGAUGAGACUCAAGCUAUUCCCUUUCACUUUGAAGGACAAGGCAAAAAUAUGGCUUAAUUCUUUAAGGCCAAGGAGCAUAAGGAAUUGGGUUGAUCUUCAGGCCGAAUUUUUGAAGAAAUUUUUCCCCACCCAUAGGACCAAUGGGUUGAAGAGACAAAUCUCAAACUUUUCUGCAAAAGAAAAUGAGAAGUUCCAUGAAUGUUGGGAAAGGUAUAUGGAGGCCAUCAAUGCUUGUCCUCAUCAUGGCUUUGAUACAUGGCUCUUGGUGAGCUAUUUCUAUGAUGGGAUGUCAUCCUCCAUGAAGCAAAUUCUUGAAACCAUGUGUGGAGGAGAUUUUAUGAGCAAGAAUCCGGAAGAAGCCAUGGACUUUUUAAGUUAUGUGUCUGAAGUGUCAAGAGGAUGGGAUGAGCCCAACUCAAGAGAGAAAGGGAAGUCUCCCUUCCAACCAACCCAAAAUCCAAAAGGUGGAAUGUAUGUAUUAAGUGAAGACAUGGACAUGAAAGCUAAAGUGGCAACAAUAGCAAGGAGAUUGGAAGAACUUGAGUUGAAAAAGAUGCAUGAAGUCCAAGCCAUUUCCGAGACCCAAGCCCAUGUCAUGCCAUGCACCAUUUGCCAAUCAUGUGAUCAUGUGGUAGAUGAGUGCCCAACCAUGCCAGCUGUGAGGUAGAUGUUAGGUGAUCAAGCCAAUGUUGUGGGGCAAUUUAAGCCUAACAACAAUGCACCUUAUGGAAACACCUAUAAUUCAAGCUGGAGAAAUCACCCAAAUUUUUCUUGGAAACCAAGACCACCUCCAUACCAACCACAAGCCCAAACCCAAGCACCUCAACAAACCUCUUCAGUGGAGCAAGCCAUUGUGAACCUAAGUAAAGUCAUGGGUGACUUUGUGGGUGAGCAAAAGGCAAUCAACUCCCAAUUUCAUCAAAAGAUUGAAAAUGUUGAGAGUUCUNNNNNNNNNNNNNNNNNNNNNNNNNNNNNNNNNNNNNNNNNNNNNNNNNNNNNNNNNNNNNNNNNNNNNNNNNNNNNNNNNNNNNNNNNNNNNNNNNNNNNNNNNNNNNNNNNNNNNNNNNNNNNNNNNNNNNNNNNNNNNNNNNNNNNNNNNNNNNNNNNNNNNNNNNNNNNNNNNNNNNNNNNNNNNNNNNNNNNNNNNNNNNNNNNNNNNNNNNNNNNNNNNNNNNNNNNNNNNNNNNNNNNNNNNNNNNNNNNNNNNNNNNNNNNNNNNNNNNNNNNNNNNNNNNNNNNNNNNNNNNNNNNNNNNNNNNNNNNNNNNNNNNNNNNNNNNNNNNNNNNNNNNNNNNNNNNNNNNNNNNNNNNNNNNNNNNNNNNNNNNNNNNNNNNNNNNNNNNNNNNNNNNNNNNNNNNNNNNNNNNNNNNNNNNNNNNNNNNNNNNNNNNNNNNNNNNNNNNNNNNNNNNNNNNNNNNNNNNNNNNNNNNNNNNNNNNNNNNNNNNNNNNNNNNNNNNNNNNNNNNNNNNNAGCAAUGAAAGUAAUCCAAUCAGGUUUUUGGUGGCCCUCUCUUUUCAAGGAUGCCCACUCUAUGUGCAAGGGAUGUGAUCGGUGUCAAAGGCUUGGUAAGCUAACACGCCGAAAUAUGAUGCCCUUGAAUCCCAUCUUGAUAGUGGAUGUCUUUGAUGUUUGGGGGAUAGACUUCAUGGGACCAUUUCCAAUGUCAUUUGGACAUUCCUACAUUUUGGUGGGAGUGGAUUAUGUCUCUAAGUGGGUAGAAGCAAUCCCAUGUAGGAGCAAUGAUCAUAAGGUGGUUCUUAAAUUCCUCAAGGACAACAUCUUUGCAAGAUUUGGUGUGCCUAAGGCCAUUAUCAGUGAUGGAGGAACCCACUUUUGCAAUAAACCUUUUGAGACUCUUCUAGCCAAAUAUGGGGUUAAGCACAAGGUAGCUACACCCUAUCACUCUCAAACAAGUGGCCAAGUUGAGUUAGCCAACCGGGAGAUCAAGAAUAUAUUAAUGAAGGUGGUGAAUGUGAAUAGGAAGGAUUGGUCUAUUAAGCUCCUAGAUUCCUUAUGGGCAUAUAGGACCGCUUACAAGACCAUUCUUGGAAUGUCCCCUUAUCGCCUUGUUUAUGGCAAAGCGUGCCAUCUUCCAGUGGAGAUUGAAUACAAAGCAUGGUGGGCAAUCAAAAAACUCAACAUGGAUUUGACAAGAGCCGGGUUGAAAAGAUGUUUGGAUUUGAAUGAAUUGGAGGAAAUGAGGAAUGAUGCUUACCUCAAUUCAAAAAUUGCAAAGGAGAGGUUGAAAAAAUGGCAUGAUCAAUUGGUAAAUCAAAAGAAUUUUGCCAAGGGACAAAGAGUCUUGCUUUAUGACUCUAAGCUUCAUCUUUUUCCGGGAAAAUUGAAAUCAAGAUGGACGGGUCCUUUCAUAAUUCAUGAAGUGCAACCAAAUGGAGUAGUGGAACUACUCAACUUCAAUAGCACUCGAACUUUCAAAGUUAAUGGGCAUCGUCUCAAACCCUAUAUUGAAUCUUUUUCCCGAGACAAGGAGGAAUUCAUCCUCCUUGAUCCACCUCCAACAUGAAAACACUUGGUUCAUGGUUGAACUUAGUCUCUCCAAAGACUAAAAAGUUCAUCCUCUUUUUAUUUUCUUUUAAGUUGAUUUUACUUUAAUCUAGUGUUUUCUUGUGUUUAUGCAUGUUUUGAUUUCUAUUUUUGACUUUAAUUUCAUUCUAAUGUGGUUUGAAUUGUGUUUUUUUGUGCUAACAUGUAGGUAGGAAGGCUUGAAGAAUGAAGUCUUGGUGAAAACAAGGGAAAACAGGGGAGAUAAGACAAGGCUCAGCAAAAUUCGCACACCCCCUUAUGGUGUGCGAAAAUUUCGCACACCAUUUACCCUGUGCGAAUUCCAUUUUUGCACCACUUUUCAAAAAUUACAUGCUCUCGGUCCCCUGUGCGAAUUUCACAGGUAUGCGAACCUUGUGCGAACCUUGUGCGAAUUCAUUUUUUGCGCCAAUUUUCAAAACCAUGCUCUCUGUCUUGGAGAAUCACAGGUAUGCGAAAAUUUCGCACACCAUUUUCCCCUGUGCGAAAUUCAUUUUCUCUUUAAAAGCUUUGUUCUCCACUUCAAAGACUUAGCUUCUUCUUCAAUUCUCUCAAAGCCUCUCUUCCGAUCACCCAUUGCCAUCCACAAAGCUCCUUUCCUUCAUCAUCCAUCAUCAUCAGCACCACCAUGGCAGCCAUUAUCCAUAGCUCCACUCCAUAGCCGCGGCAUCCACUAUUCACCACUUCCCAUUUUCGGCAAUUUCAUCUCCUUCCACCAUCAAAAUCCUUUCAAAUCUUCACCCAACCCUCUAAAUCCAUCCAUAAUUCAAUCCAAACCUUGUUCUUAUCAAGCCAAAGCCUAAACCAUAAGCAUUCAAGCCAUGGUUUCUUCAUAAGAAACCCAUUGCCGCCGGCCAUGGGAGCUCCCAAUUUUCAAUUUUCCUUUUGAAAAGCUCCCAAUUUUCAAGCCUAAUCAUCAUGAAAAAUCUUUUUCAUACCUAAGCCAGCUUUUCCCGCCCUCAAAGGCCACAAAUUUUCACCAUCUCCAUCAAGCCCAAAUUCUUCAAGCGCACGGGUGAAUAGUACCCUGUGCGAAAAUUUGCGCACAUCAUUGAGAUGAUCUUGGAGAUCAGAAAGACCUAGACUUAUGAAUUGUCUUAACUCCUUAAUCUCCUUUUUAUGCUGCUUAACUUCUUCAUGAAGUUCCUUAAUACUGACAUCCUUGGGAGACUGCUGGUCGAACCUGUUUAAGAUAUCGUUAAGGUUAUAAGGAUUAACAGUCUUCUUGGCUUCUACCUUAACAACAGAUUUCUUAAAAACUUCGUAAAGGUUUUGCUUAGUUUUUUCAUCUUCAACUUUUCUAAAAGGAUCUAGNNNNNNNNNNNNNNNNNNNNNNNNNNNNNNNNNNNNNNNNNNNNNNNNNNNNNNNNNNNNNNNNNNNNNNNNNNNNNNNNNNNNNNNNNNNNNNNNNNNNUGUUUGUUGCAUUUAGAAGCUGUUCUCCAAAGAUGUAUUGAGAAAGACCUAGUGCUAAAUUGGGAGAAGUGCCAUUUUAUGGUACAACAGGGAAUUGUCUUAGGACAUAUCAUCUCCAAGAAGGGCAUUGAGGUAGAUAAGGCAAAGGUGGAGCUAAUUGUUAAGUUGCCACCUCCCACAAAUGUUAAAGGAAUUAGGCAAUUCUUAGGACAUGCCGGGUUCUAUAGGAGGUUCAUUAAAGAUUUCUCAAAAAUCUCAAAGCCUCUUUGUGAACUUUUGGUAAAAGAUGCCAAGUUUGUGUGGGAUGAGAAGUGUCAGAAGAGUUUUGAGGAACUGAAGCAAUUCCUCACAACAGCACCAAUAGUGAGAGCCCCAAAUUGGAAAUUACCUUUUGAGGUAAUGUGUGAUGCAAGUGACCUUGCUAUGGGGGCUGUCUUAGGGCAAAGAGAAGAUGGGAAGCCCUAUGUGAUUUAUUAUGCGAGCAAAACUUUGAACGAGGCUCAAAGGAACUACACAACUACUGAGAAGGAGUUGUUGGCAGUAGUUUUUGCCUUGGAUAAGUUUCGUGCUUAUUUGGUAGGGUCCUCUAUAGUGGUGUUCACUGACCAUUCCGCCUUGAAGUACUUGCUAACCAAGCAAGAUGCCAAGGCAAGAUUGAUAAGAUGGAUCCUUUUGCUCCAAGAAUUUAAUCUCCAAAUCAGGGAUAAAAAGGGAGUAGAAAAUAUGGUAGCUGACCACUUGUCAAGACUUGUGAUAUCGCAUGACUCACAUGGUCUGCCUAUCAAUGAUGACUUCCCUGAGGAGUCUCUCAUGUCAAUAGAGGUAGCUCCAUGCUAUUCUCACAUUGCAAAUUUCUUGGUUACUGGAGAAGUACCAAGUGAGUGGAGUGCCCAAGACAAGAGGCAUUUCUUUGCUAAGAUCCAUGCCUAUUAUUGGGAGGAGCCCUUUCUCUUCAAAUAUUGUGCGGAUCAAAUCAUAAGGAAAUGUGUUCCUGAACAAGAGCAAUUAGGAAUUCUUUCCCAUUGCCAUGAUAAUGCAUGUGGAGGUCAUUUUGCCUCCCAGAAAACAGCAAUGAAAGUAAUCCAAUCAGGUUUUUGGUGGCCCUCUCUUUUCAAGGAUGCCCACUCUAUGUGCAAGGGAUGUGAUCGGUGUCAAAGGCUUGGUAAGCUAACACGCCGAAAUAUGAUGCCCUUGAAUCCCAUCUUGAUAGUGGAUGUCUUUGAUGUUUGGGGGAUAGACUUCAUGGGACCAUUUCCAAUGUCAUUUGGACAUUCCUACAUUUUGGUGGGAGUGGAUUAUGUCUCUAAGUGGGUAGAAGCAAUCCCAUGUAGGAGCAAUGAUCAUAAGGUGGUUCUUAAAUUCCUCAAGGACAACAUCUUUGCAAGAUUUGGUGUGCCUAANNNNNNNNNNNNNNNNNNNNNNNNNNNNNNNNNNNNNNNNNNNNNNNNNNNNNNNNNNNNNNNNNNNNNNNNNNNNNNNNNNNNNNNNNNNNNNNNNNNNUCAUUUCAUCGAUCUAUCAUGCCAAAGACCUGAGGAGGAUCUACCACAGCUCCCCAGAGCAGUCAGAGAGCUGCCCCUGUGCGGGCCCCACUAGCUGCACCCUCACAUUUACCUGAUUCUGCCCCUCAGAGCAGAUACCAUACGAGGAGAGCAUCUGCCACGUCUGUGGCCCCUUCACAAGUUCCGCCUCGGAGUCCUCCUACAAAGAGAGCCAAGACUUCAGAGCCAGGAGACUCCUCCAGAGCACCUCGGGAUUCACAGUCUCAGCCUUCUUCUGCCAGGCGCCGUAGACCCAGCUUGCCCAUUGAGGGCAAUUCAGAUUGCCGAUCGAGAGACUUUCAUGUCGAGGCAUAUUUCGAUCACUCUCUUAUGCGACAGCAGCCUGAGUUACGGGAUUCAUACCACCUACUUGAGAGGUACCAUCUGAUACCCUUUAUGACUUUGCCCCAGUUCUUUUAUCCUCGAGUAGUUUUAGACUUUUACCAGUCUAUGACUACUCGUGGCGUCCCGGUACCUGCCUCGAUCCUUUUUACCAUUGAUGGACGCCAGAGUAUUUUGGGGGCUAGACAGAUUGCCGAUGCCUUCCAUAUCCCUUUUGCACCAGUAGAUCCCGCUACAUUUAGACGCUGGGUCCCAUUUUCUGAGUGGGACAUGGUUCGUAUCCUAUCUCGAGGGACAUCUUCCCAGAGGACCAUUUUGAGGAGAGAGCUUCCCCCAGAGAUGCUCCUAGUUGAUGUGGUGCUUCGCACCAAUCUUUUUCCUCUUCAGCAUAAAGUACAGAGACGAGGGGCCAUUAUGGAGGCAUUAUUCCGUAUCUCUGAGGGCUACUAUUUUGGCCCCCAUCAUUUGAUUAUGGCCGCUCUCCUCCAUUUUGAGGAGAAGGUGCAUACGCGGCAUCUUGCGAGGGCAGACUCCAUUCCUUUACUUUUCCCUCGGCUGCUAUGCCAUGUUUUGGCGCAUAUGGGUUUUCCUACAGACCCUCGUUCAGAGCCCCGCCGCCAUUGUCGAGAGAGCUUCUCUCUUGACCAAUGGACUCAGAUAUGGCUCCAUCGCCAGUCCCCAGAACUUCCCGAGCCAAGGGAAGUCCCUCCUGCUCCGUCCACUACAGACCCUCCACAGCCAGUACCGGAGGCAGCAUCAUCUGAUGCCCCACCUGUUGUUCCUCCUACAUCAGAGCCGCCCAUUACUAUCCUUGGUCCAGAGUAUCGUGCCUUGCUCACUUCUUUCCAGACUUUGACCACUACUCAGACGGCCAUUAUGGAGCGCAUGGACCACUUCCAGACUCAGCAGGACCAGCAGACUCUCAUUCUCCGUGAGAUUUAGCAGCACCUCGGUCUUGUGCCACCAGCUCCACCUGUAGCGGUGCCUUCCACAGUUGCAGCGGAGGACCCCUCCUAUCCACCAGAGGAGCCUACUACUUGAUCAUACGAUCACUCCUCUCCUUUUUUGUAUCUAUAUGCUACGUUUUGGGAUGUCUUAUAUAUUUUGGACCACUUUUAUACUGGGAUUGGAUGUAUUCCAUGUUUAUUUUGUAUAUUGUACUUUCUCAGUUUAUAUAGACAUCUUCUCUUUUAGUGUAUUUUAGCUAUUCCAUUUUAUUUCCUCUUUUCAUCACUCUUAUGAUUUUCCUUUUCUUAUGCAACAUGUGGUUUCUCCUGUUCAUUCAGAGUCCCUUACUAUCAGGAGGUAUCACUUCCUCCCUUAUUUUAUCGCUUGCUUUUGGAACAUUGGGGACAAUGUUCAUCUUAGUUGGGGGGAGAGUUGAGGAAGUAAUUUGUUGAAUUUGUUAAGUUAUUUUGCUAACAAAUUUUUUGCAAACUCUCUUUGUUUUCUCAAAGAUAAAUUCUCAAAAGUAAAUGGGAGAAAUUAAAUUCUUAUCUUAUUGCCAUAGUCUCAGAGUUUGUAUUAUGCUUAUUAAAGUUGAUAAAUUGUUGAAGCUUCUUUUGUUUUCAAGCUUAAGUCUUCCACUCUAAUCUUUUCACACACUGAACACAUUAGAUUCCAGUUAUAAGAUGGAAAACUUUCUCACCCCCUAAACUUUGGAAAUUAUCGACUUGGUGCCAUUGACCUCAUUCUAUUAGUGUUGGGACACCUUAUUAAAGGCCAAUGUGUCUUAUGAAAAUAAUUUUUGCUUCACUUGCUUUGAAACCCGAGCAAGGUCCGAGGGGUAUAUGGUGAAAAUCUUUAAAGCCUGGUGCCCUAAGCCUUUACUGGUUGGGAGUUCACCGACCUCACUGCUCGUUACAUGGGUGGAUGGGUGGAGUAACACUUAGAAUAAAAAAAUAAAAAAAAAUAAAAAAUAAAAAAUAAAAAAAAAAAGAAAGAGAAAGAAGGGUGCGUUCUUAGCCUUUUAUAUAUGAGUUAGUGUUACUUAAGUUAGAGAAAAACCUUAGUUGGGGGGAGAAUAUAGUUUGACAUACUAUAACUGGAAACUAAGCACCUUAACACUUAGAUUUUUGUGGAAGAUUAAGAAUUGAUCCUUUGGAAGUGGAAAUUAUUUUGAUACUCAAAUUUGCAUAAUGGCCGCUCUUUGAAUGUUGUGAUAAGUAAGUUAUUUGAUGACUCGUGUUGAUGAUUGAGUUUUAUAUCCUUGACUUGCCACGAGAGUGUUUGAUUCAAUCAUGCCACUUGGUUAUUUUUUGGAGUGAUCAGCAUGAUUUUGUAAAUUACUAUAUUAUCUAUUUUUCUUUCUUUUUUCUCUCCUUCAUUGCUCAGGGACUAGCAAUGUGUCAGUUGGGGGGAGUGAUUACUACCCAAAAAGUGCUAUUUUACACCUUUAAUGCAUUAUGUUUUAAGCACUUUUGUGUAGUAGUUCUCCAUCUUUAGUCCAAUUGGCAUGUUAAGGACCUAGCAAUGUCUUUUAAUCAUAUUUGUGGCUAUUUUUAAUGUUUUGACAGCUUUUUGGAUUGUUAAAACAAGUCAAGCAAAGGAGAAAACCAAAGAGAAGCAAAGUGAAGAAAAAUCAAAAUGUAGCAGCUGCAGUCUUCUUUCGCACUUUUGGAGCACUUCCCGAAGUCCAAUUUUUACAUGCUAUAUACCAUUUUAAAGAUUUUGAAGUCAAGAAUCCAACGCUUUAAACCGUGCAUGAUUUGGAGCUGAAACGAGGAAGAUAUGGCCUUCGGAAGACAACUCCUCCAGGUGUGCGAGAAUUUCGCACAACCCCCUUUAGCUGUGCGAAUGGUGUGCGAAGUUCGCACACCUACCCCAUGCGUGCUCUGUUUUUGCCAACUCCACUUUAGAUAUUUUCCUAUGUAAUUUUUGAUGUAAUUUCCUUUCCUAUCCUUGUAACUAACCAAUCACAAGCUUUUGCUUUUGUAAAGACUUUAUAAGGGGUGGAAAUUACCUCUUGGAAAAUAUACGUAUUACAUUUGACACUUAGAGAUUUUUUACAGAGCUCUCUCGUUUUCCAUUUUUUCUCUACUAUUUUCUUUUUCUUGGAAGCCAAACAACCUCUGAGGAUGUUUUCUCAUAGGAUGAGAGGCUAAACUUUUGGUUUCUUGGAGUGAUGGAAGCUAGGUGAAAAGUUCAGAUGCAAGGUGGAAAACGCUCGUGCAUUAAAUUCAGGUAGUUGGAAUUCAUAAAUGGCUUUUAAAUCCAAAGUUUUGCUUUAAAUCCCUUAGAAUCACUUUGAAUGACCAAUACAUGGUAAGCUUCAGGUCUUUAUGGAUGCUUAUUGCUAGAUCCAUAUUAGUCCAUUAGUUAUCAUGUACGAGUCAUUGGAAAGCAGUUCAAGGUGAAGACCUAUAGUGUCUAAAGCCAUUAAUGGACUUUGACUACCAUUUAUAUUGAUUAUUAUGGAUUAAAUCUUCAUUGUUAAACCUAUACCGGUUCGGGAAAUAACUAUAGGUUAAAUCCCCAAUGCGAGGAGAAAAAUCCGGAAUUUUCCACUUUGCAUUCUAAACUUGAUCCUAGUAAUCCUGAGCUCCGGGAGACUUUCCUUCUUCCAUUUUUAAUUAGUUUAUGUUAGUUUAGUUUUAAACACUUUCAAAUCAAAUUUCAUUUUCUUUUAAAUUUUAAGUUUUUGAUUAAGGAAAUCAUUAAAUACAAUUUCUAAUUUUGAAUACAUCACUGGUAGAAUGAAAACCCAUCCCAGAGUUCGACCCUAGAGCCACUAUACUAUAGUAGCUUUACUACAUUAGUAUGAGGUCAUAGGUUUUAUAAAUGUUUUUGAUUAAAUGACCCAUUUGGAGUUACAUGCGCGAAUCAUUUAUUCCAAGUCUUUUGCAUAUCUAAGUCAUACUAAGAUUAAUUGUUUUCUCUAUUCCAAGUCUUUUCCAAAUCUAAGUCAUCCGAUGGGCCACACUUUUUAUGGAGAAGACUAAGCUUUUGCCCCUUGGGAUACAUAGGCCUCAUCCAAUGGGCCACACUUUUUAUGGAGAAUGCUAGACUUUUGUUCCUGACAAUAUGAAUGCUAAGACCAAUACUAAUUGUUUUCUCUAUUCCAAGUCUUCUACAUAUCUAAGUCAUCCGGUGGGCCACACUUUUUAUGGAGAAGACUAAACUUUUGCCCCUUACGAUACGUAGGCCUCAUCCAAUGGGCCACACUUUUUAUGGAGAAUGCCAGACUUUUGUCCCUAACAAUAUGAAUGCCAAGACCAAUACUAAUUGCUUUCUCUAUUCCAAGUCUUCUACGUAUUUAAGUCCAUCCAAUGGGCCAUACUUUUUAUAGAUAAGACUAAACUUUUGCCCUUGUGAUAUGAAGACCAAGACUAAUUGGUUUCUUCAAUAUUCCAAGUUAUGUGCAUACUUUUAUGUAGGGUAAUAACAUAAGGAAGUUUCAUAUGGUUUUAUAAUGCAAGUCUAGAUUUGUUAUUCUGUAUUUUUUUUUUUUUUACAUGUUUAAACACUUUCCCUCUUAAAUAACAUAACUUUUUUUUUCAAAUAAUCUUUGACAAAACUUUUGUCAUACCCUUUUUUAACUAUUAUACUAUUUUCCCAUAUCUAAAAUUUUCAAAGCACAUAUUUUGUUUUGCAAUUAUUUCUUAACUACGUACAUUCCUUAGACACUACAAAAAUGAUUUUAUUUGAAAAUUAACCAAUAAAUAUAUUUAGAUGGAUGACUCAAAAUUAAAGAAAAAAAUUUGUUCAUCAAUGCUAUUUCAUGUAGAAUAUAUAUGCAUAUGUAUCAAAGAAAAACAUGAAAAAUAAAAAACCAUACAAGUACAAAAGAAACAAUAUUUCAACAAUAAUGCUUUUUCCCUUUGAAACUUUACAUGGCUUUACAUGGAAACAACAUUUGGAUACAAGUACCAUAUAAAAUUUGUAAAAACCGUUCUUCAAAAAAUGUUUCUUAAAUUAAAAUUGUUUAGGAUUUUAUGUGGAAUUUGUAUUUUGAAAAGAUUGGUUCAAUAUAAUAAAAGUAAACUCAUUUUUUUUUUCAAAAGACGAGUUCAGUAUAAAAAGUAGGAAUUACUCAAAUUUUGAAAAGAUAAAUUUAAUGUAAAAAUAAUAAAAAAGUAAAAAAUAUUGGAUUCUUUAUUUAUUUGUCAAAUAACCCUUUUUAACAAUAUUCUUUUAAAAUAACCAUCUAAUAGACACCUUCAUCCUUUAAAAACUCAACUGCUUUAUAGAGAAGACCAAGACUUCUAGCUCUUGAUGUAGAGUUGUACUUCUUAAUAUUUCUCAUUAAAAGAUAAGAUUAACCUUAGAUGCUACUAACUGUGAAAGUUUUACUUUAGCUUAUGCAGGGACCUAUUUUAUGAUUAAAGAAACUUAUACAAACUAAAUGGAUAUCAUUUGAGAAAUUAUUGUGGCUAAGGUGGGUAAGAAAUAUGCUACUUUUUCCAUGAAAUCUUAGCUUGUGAUUAAAAGUGGGCAAAAUAGUUCGACUCUUGAUCGGACAACGAACCCACAUUGUCAUUUUAAUGUGGAAGUGACUCUAAAUUUUUCUUUGAUUUGAAGUCAAUGGUCCCACAUUUGAAUUGGAAACUUUGAUGAAGUUUCUAAUAAUGAAAAUUUAAACUUAAAUUAUAAGGGAACCUUUGGGUAUAAAUUCAAGUCAUCCAUUAUUAUAUUUUUUUCAUCACACAUCAGCCAAUUUUUGUUAUAGCUUUUGAAGAUACGAUGUAUCGAAUCCUUUGCUUCCUCUUCUUUCUCUCAUAUUCUCAUGUUUUUUGUUUCUACGAAGCUGUGUCCUCAUCACCAGAAUGUUGCCUUGCUUCGACUUAAGCAAUUAUUUUCCAUAGAUGUCUCCGCUUCUUCUUCGGAUGAUUGAAAUUUAGCUUCUUUUGCCAAGACAGACACUUGGAAGGAAGGCAUUGUGGAGACAGACAUGUUCAUGAAUCUUGAAAAUCUUGUCUAUCUCGAUCUUUCAUAUAACAUUCUGACAUUGAGCAACUACAGCCAUUCCAACAGUGCGCUACCAUCCUUGGAAACAUUGUUGUUGUCUUCUUGCAACAUAAGUGAAUUCCCAAGAUUUUUAUGAAGUCAAGAGUUAUUGGCGUUUUUAGACCUUUCAAACAACAAGAUUUAUGGACAACUUCCGAAAUGGGCAUGGAAUGUGGGUACGGAGACACUGUCUUACUUAAAUCUUUCUCAAAACAUGCUAACCAGGUUUGACAGAUUUCCAUGGAGGAUUGUGCAAUAUCUUGACCUUCAUUCCAACUUGCUUCAAGGGCCACUUCCAUCAUUGAUUUGUGAAAUGAGUUAUAUUGAAGUUCUAGAUUUCUCUAAUAACAACUUGAGUGGCUUAAUUCCACAAUGUUUGGGAAACUUCAGUAAGUCUCUCUCAGUUUUGGAUUUGUGAAUGAAUCAACUUCAUGGUACCAUUCCUGAAACAUUUUCAAAGGGCAAUCUUAUUAGGAAUCUUGACUUCAAUGGAAAUCAAUUGGAAGGGCCUCUACCACGAUCUUUGAUCAAUUGUAGAAGGUUGCAAGUUUUAGACCUUGGAAAUAAUAUAAUAAAUGAUACAUUCCCCUUUUGGUUGGAAACUCUUCUAGAGCUACAAGUUUUGAUCUUGUGUUCUAAUAGGUUCCAUGGUCACAUAAGCGGUUCAAAUUUCCAAUUUCCAUUUCCUAAGUUACGAAUAAUGGAUCUUUCAAGCAAUGGUUUCUCUAGCAGUUUACCCGAAAUGUAUUUGAAGAAUUUCAAGGCAAUGAUGAAUGUCACUGAGGAUAAAAUGAAAUUGAAAUAUAUGGGGGAAUACUAUUAUCGAGAUUGUAUAAUGGUAACAAUCAAAGGAUUUUAUUUUGAAUUUGUAAGAAUCAUGUUUACCUUCACAAUGAUUGAUUUGUCAAGCAAUACAUUCCAAGGAGACAUUCCAGAUUUCAUUGGUAGUCUUAGUUCACUUCGAGAACUCAACUUGUCUCAUAACAACAUUAUAGGGCAUAUUCCAUCAUCUUUAGGGAAUCUAAUGGUACUUGAAUCAUUACACCUCUCUUCGAACAAGCUUAGUGGGAGAAUUCCAAGGGAGCUGACAAGUCUAACAUUUCUUGAAGUCCUAAAUCUUUCGAAAAAUCAUCUCACUGGAGUCAUUCCUCGAGGCAACCAAUUUGAUACAUUUGCAAAUAAUUCAUAUAGUGGGAAUAUAGGAUUAUGUGGAUUUCCCUUGUCUAAGAAAUGUGUAGUUGAUGAAGCAUCACAACCUCCCAAAGAAGAAGAGGUGGAAUCCGAUAUUGGAUUUGAUUGGAAAGUCAUAUUGAUGGGGUAUGGUUGUGGACUAGUAGUUGGGUUGUCUAUGGGGUGCCUCAUCUUCUUAACAAGAAAGCCUAAAUGGUUUGUAAGAAUGAUUGAAGGAGAUAGACACAAGAAGGUUAGAAGGUCAACAAGGAGCACUCGCAAGCAGGGAGCAAGAAGAAGUUAGGCCAUUUCUAUGAUAUUGUAUUUUGUGGUGAAUGAUACUAAUUAAUGUUGCAUUCUUAUGUAAACAAAUAACAUGUAUUGCGAUUAAUGAAGUAAGAGUCUUUGAAGUUGUAAAAAUGUUUAUUUUUAUUUUUUCUUUCUCGAAAUGGAAUAAUACGUAGUAACAAUAUUUUCAAAUCAUCACUACCGUUUAACUUAUUUACAUAUCAUGACUAAAAGUAUUUUUAAAUGUUGGGUCAUAUAAUUAGAAAAGGUUGAACUCACAAGGUUUUGCAUAGAAUUAGAUGCAAUCGACUACUUAUCACUAAAAGACUAACGAAUUUUUGUUAGGAACAAAAGGUGAUUUUUUAAAAGAAUGAUAUUAAAAGGGCUAUAAAUUAAUGAAAUCCAAAUUCCAAUUUUAGGUUACAAAUUUUCACUAAACUCUUGUCCACAUAAUACAUUUAUCUUAAUAUGAAACAUUUAAUUGGGGUAGUCAAACACCCUCAGCCUUACUAGGGCUGAAAUUUUGGUGAUGCCAUAUCUUUGGAGUCAUUGCAGAACAACCAGUGUUUUAAUGGCAUUCCAUAAGAAGAAUGAAUGAGUUAUGAUUUUUUUUUUUUCUUUUUCAAACUGACAUGUAAUUUUUUAAGAAAAUUCUUAAUGAACUUAUUGAAUUUCUUGACACAUUAAAAUUUUCUUCAUAUAUCAUUCUUUUGAUCAUUUUUCCUUUUGACAAAAUUUUGUUUAUCAAACUUCAUUAUAGACUUCAAUUCUAUAUGAGUCAGACAGACAAAUUGCAACCCAUGAAAGAAGACUCUUAUCUUACCUUAAGUUUAUUACUAUCUACCCAAUAAAAUGGUGUGCUGGAUUUAGCAUCUUGAGUUGGACUCUAAGCAAUAUUGGUAGCAUUAUUUUAAGGCUAUGUUGCUCGAUAGUGUUAAACAAAGGAGAACAAUUUGCUAAAAAAAAAAAAAUUCAUAUCAUGAAAAAGAAAAUAUAUAUUAUUUUCUCCUAUUUGAAUGUGAAAAUUUGGAGAAAGUGAAUUAAAUUUUUUUGAAUGUCAUGCAAAGAGAUUACAUAUAUAUAUACUCCAAACUUGUAGAUUUUUUGUUGUAGAGAGUGAAUUCCUUAUAGAUUUAUUUUAUUGUCGUAGAGAGUAAAUUCCAUAUAGAUUUUUUUUCCCUCAAAUUUUUUUUUAUGGAAAAAUAAAUUAAAAUAAUUUUUUCAUUUUUUUCUUUUAUAUUUCUUUGUUUUUCUUUCCUCCAAAUUUUUCACAAAUGAAACAAAGUCUUCUCACAAAAUAAAGAAGUGCUUACCAAUAGGAGGAUUUAAAUAAGUUGAAGAAAAAUAUCAAUGAGAUGGAAAUUGAACAAAUCUUAUAGUUUUGUAAAAAAAACUUCAACUAAGAAUAAAAAAAAAAGUAAUAAUAUACAUAUUAAGUUGUUUUAUUGAAAAAAAAAUCAAUAUAUGUAUAAUAAAAUUUAUGAUAAUCCAUAAUAAUUUACAAUAUUUGAACUCAUUUAAUAUUUAGUUUGCAUAUAUUUAUGAUAAUGCAUAUAUAAUAAUAUACAUGUAUUUCUCAAAUAUAGAUUCACAAAAUAUUGAUUGCUUUCUAAUAUUUUUUCGAGAAUCAUUCAAUGAAUUUUUCUACUUUGAUAGUACCUUGGAUUCUUUUUGAAUCAAUCACUUUAUUGUAACUGUUAUCCAAUAGAUCCCCAGAAUCUUGAGAUUUAAACAAGACACAUCUGAAUACACUAGAAGUAUGUUUGAUAAUGAUUUUAACAAGUAUUUCUAAUAUUUUUAAUACUUAAAAAGGUAACAAUUUUCAAGUGUUAGAAAUAUUAGAAACGCUUCAAAAAAUCACUAUCAAACACACUAAAAAUACUAGAAACACUUCCAAUAAUCACUAACAAACACACUCUAGUUAUCAAAAUUUUUACCCAUGAAUUUUAAGAGUUGAGGAUGAUUUAAGUUAUUAUUUGUAGUCAUAAUUUUACCAACAAAAUUACAAUUUUCUUGUGAUUGUGUACUUUCUUGGUAUUCUAGCUUUGAUUUGGUAUUUUAUAUUCCCCAAUCUUCUAACUCUAAUACCAUUUGUUGGAAUACACACAAUUAGAUAUUGAUAAUAUUUUUUCGAAAAUAAUGUUUUAUUGCAUUUUAUUAUAUUAUUUUUCAAUCUAAUAAUAAACUUAUUUCUAAUAAACUAAUCAUACUUAGACUAUAACAUCAAUUCUUAACUACCUACAUUCCUUGGAUGCUACAAAAAUGAGUUUAUUUGAAAAUUAACCAAUAAAUAUAUUUAGAUGGAUGACUCAAAAUUUAAGAAAAAAAAUUGUUCCUCAAUGCUAUUUCAUGUAGGAUAUAUAUGCACAUGUAUAAAAAAAAACAUAAAAAAUCGAAAACUAUACAUGUAUAAAUAUUAAGAUAAGAUUCAUUGGUGCAAGUACAAAAGAAACAAUAUUUCAACAAUAAUGUUUUUUCCCUUGGAAACUUUACAUGGCUUUCCUUGGAAACAACAUUUUGAUACAAGUAUCAUAUACAAUUUUUAAAAAACCGUUCUUCAAAAGAUAAUUCUUAAAUUAAGAUCGUUAAUGAUUUUAUGUGAAAUUUGUAUUUUGAAAAGAUGAGUUCAAUAUAAUAAAAGUAUCUCAUUUUUAUUUUUUUUUCAAAAGACCAAUUGAGUAUAAAAAGUAGAAAUUACUCAUAUUUUGAAAAGAUAAAUUUAAUUUAAAAAAAAAAAUUGUAUUCUUGUAUUUAUUUGUCAAGCAACCAUUUUUAACAAUAUUCUUUUAAAUAACAUUUUUUAAUUUUUUUUCCCAUGUUUUUUUUUUUUUUGCCUCCCAAUUCAGUCUAAUAGACACCUUUGUCUCUGUUUAUUGACAACAUAGAUGAUAUGGUGUCUCCCCCGGAGGAGCUGCUUCAACAUCUUUCCCCUCUCCACAAUUUGAAGUGCUCUGGUUUGGCAACAUCACCACACUGGAUAGGCAGCCUCACCUCACUUGCUGAAUUAGAGAUCAGUGAUUGCCCAGACUUGACAUGCUUAGAACUGCCGUCAUCUCCGUGUCUUUCUAGUUUAAAGGUCAGUGAUUGCCCAAACUUGACAUGCUUAAAACUGUAGCCAUAUCCUUGUCUUUCUAGUUUAAAGAUUGGAAAGUGCCCAAAGUUAGCAUCCUUCGAAGUGGCUUCAUUACCUUGUCUUGAGAAACUAAGCCUGGGUGGACUUGGAGCAAAGUUACCGUCAAAGUUAGUCUCCGUCUUUGCUUCUUCUUCAUUGAAGUCUCUGUAUAUGAUAUCUAUCCCGGAGGAUCUGCUUCAACAUCUUUCCACUCUCUAAACUCUCUACAUUUUGAAAUGCUCUCGUUUGGCAACGUUACCACACUCGAUAGGCAGCCUCAUCUCACUUACAGAGCUUGGAGUUCAUGAAUGCCGUCAAUUGAAAUCACUACCAGAAGAGAUGCGUUCCCUUAAAAACCUGCAGAAAUUCUAUAUCUGGGAUUGUCAACAUCUAGAGAAAAUAUGCCGACAGAAAACAGGGGAAGACUGGCCCAGGAUUGCUCAUAUCCCACAUAUUGAUUUCUACACUGAUCAACGAAUAACAAGGGAGCUCCGAAAUCCCUAACCUUUCUUCUCAUUUUUAUUAUUUUUUCGAUCAAAAUGCAAGGUUUUCUCAUUCUGUCUUGGUAAUUCUUUUAUAUUGGCACUUCAUAUGUUUGUUGAAAUGCUCACAUCAGUAAAUCGAUUUUUUUUUCCAGACCAUAUAUACAGUCGAUGAUGAUAUGCACGAAACUCAUCAUUUUACUUGGAGUUGAGGUGAGAUUUGAUAUGAUAUCUCUCCCAGAGGAGCCGAUUCAACAUGUUUCCAUGAUCUAAAGUCUCAACAUUAGACAUCGCUCUGUUUUUGCAACAUUACAACACUGGAUAGGCAGCCUCCCGUCAGGUACAGAACUUGGAAUUCAUGGCUGCCAGAAGGUACGUUCCCUCGAAAACCUGUAGAAGCUCAAAAUCUACAUUGAAGUCUGAAUGAGGGCUGAGGUGCUGUGUCAGUUAAUGUUUCUCUCCCCUUCAUUGAAGUCUCUGUCUAUUGGAUGCUCAGGUGCUAUGAUGUCUCCCAGAGGAGCUGCCUCAACAUGUUUCCAGGAUCCAAACUCUCAAAAUUGAAUACUGCACUGGUUUUGCAAUAUUCCUGCCCUGGAUUGGUCGCUUCACCUCACUUAUGGACCUUCAUAUUUGUGACUGCGCUGAAUUGGCAUCACUUUCGGAAGAGAUGCAUUCCCUCAAAAACCUUCUGACACUAAAAAAUCUUUCAUUGUCAGCACCUGCUUGAAGAUGCCAAAAAGAAACAUUUCAGGUUCAAGAACACAGAGAGCUAUACUUGGUGGAGAUUUCAUCAAUAUAGAGAGACAUUUUAGGUCUGAAAUCCACCCUUCUCAUUUUCUUAUGGCUUCAUUUUGAUUUAAUUUCCUAAUUACAUGAAUUCUAUAUCUGUAAUCCCAGUAUGAAUUAGCACAUAAAUCAGAAGUGAUUUUGAUUUUUUUAUGUCCACACUAUUCAUUUGAUGAAAUGCUUAAACAAGUAAGUUCGAAAUUUUUUCCCUUCAAAUCAAUUUCUAAUGCACCAUGAAUUGGUAAUUGAAGUUUGGAAAGAUGUUGGGAUGAUUUAAUUAUUAUUUUGUUGCAGAUUUCAACUUGCUUAAGACGCUUGUGAUUAUUUCUUCUUGGCUCAACCUGAAAUCAUUGCCUACGUUCUUCCAUUUGCUACCUCAAAAUCACCUACCAAAAGUUUUGGAUUGCCUAAAAAUUUUCUCAUGGCCCAUAAAUUCGUAUAUAUCAGAUGGCUAUAUAUUUCAGGUCCUGCUUUCCUUAGAAAUCAGGUCUACUCUCUGCCAUAUAUUUCAGGUAAUCUGUUGCCUGCUUUUAAUCUCUACAUCAUCUUUCAUUUUGCUUUCAAUUUUUGUCAGGAGUGUCAUACAAGUUGUAAUUAUAUUUGUGAACUUUCAUAUGCACUAUCAUUUUUUAUUGUUUUUUAAUAUAUAACUCCAACCAAACAUAUCAUAGACCAAAAACUUAUUAUGUCAGUUCGAGUAGUUUAUUUUUUUCCCCCUUUUGGUGAUGUUGUUUUGGGCCUAGAAAUUUUUUUAGAGUAAUUAUUGCAAAUGUAAUGUUGUCUAAUCAAUACAAAAACUAAUAGUUGUGAGGCUUGGAUACAUGGCUUCCUUGAUCAGUAACUAAAUUGAGUGUUUCUGUAGGCUGAUGUCUCUAUAUUUGGAAAUUCAGAGAGUUGCAAAUUCCAAGGACUUACAAGAUUGAGUCGCUGUCUCUACCAUUAGGGCUUCAACAAGUUACCAUUCUUGAAAUUCUAAAAAACAUCAGAUUGCCUCAUCUUUGAAUCGAAAUCACUCCCAGAAGGAUGUGCUUCCCAACACUCUCAUGGGCUCUUUGACUUUGCCAUCUACAAUAUAUCAGAGGUUCAUCAUCCAUCCUCUAUUCCUGCUUUGGGGGGCUCUAAUUUUUUAUAUUAUUUUUCCGUUAAUAUUCUAAAAAUAUUAUAUUCUAUUUUUAAUUCUUUUUACCUGAGUCUCAUGCAUUAGCACAUAAGAGAAAAGUCAUAUAACACUUUCAUAAUGCAAUCAUUUUCCAUUUUAGCCCUAUACUAUUUUUCUUGUAUAUGGCUAAGGCAUCCAAUAAAUAUGCCUUCACUCACCAGAAAAAUACCCAUCACGUCAUCUCCAACCCCCUCUUUCUUCUCCUUCUUUCUGCAACACCCAUGGUGGAUUCUUUUGUGUUCUAACAACAAAUGUACUCUGCUGUUUUGAGUUGCUUCUCAUGGCUCCAAAAUGAUGGGUGUUUUUCCAUUUUGUUUUGGUCUUCAGUGAGUUCAGAAGACGAGAUUUGAAGGACGGUGUUAGUGGGUUUUGGUGGGAAUGUAGAUUUGGUGGACCUAAUGCUACUGCUGUCUGGUUUUAAGAAAAGAGGGUUGCAGUGACGACUGACGAGAAUGAGGUAAUUUUGGGUGGUGAAUGGAGAAAGAGACGAAUUUGAGGUUGAGGGUUUGAUGAAGGAAGCUAUGUUGUGUGAGAUUAUGCUCUAAUACUUGUUUAGAAUUUUGGGUCUCUAUUGCAUUCACGUAUAUUGUUUGCCAUUCCAACCCUCUUAUUGCUUUUGAAGACAAAAUUAUUUUUGUAAAAUCCUUAGAUAGUAAAAUUUGAAGUUCCUACCUUCAAAGAUACCAAUUCCUUGUAUUUUUACUUUAAUGGUUAUAAUCUAUAUGUGAUCUUGUUAUUUUAUAUUUGUAUUUUACAUGUUUGGAAAUUUUAUUGCAGGUGUAAGUGUUGCCAAGUCAAAGCAAUGCCAGAUAGUGAUGUAGUUGUGACACCUUACUUCUCUAAAGCAACUCGAAAGUGGGGAUUGUUGCCUACCACAUCUCAUUUCGGGAAAGUUGUGUUUAUAGGCUAUGAUAUGGGAAAUAUAUGGUUUUGGAAACCCAUAUAAGUGAAAUAUGAGAUAUGCCUGUAAUAAGAAAAAUAUUAUAGGUUUCAUACACUAUUUACUGUUCAAAUUUUUAUUUUCGAAAUUACCCUUUAGGUCUUUUGUCAGCAAGAAAUUUUUUUUUUUUUUGGGUUUUCCUUAGGGGUUUUGCAUGGAUUUUCUCAGCAAUCAAAUGAGAAUGAAUUUUCCUGGAAAUCGAAUAGGGGAUGGAGACCCUUAGAACAGAUCCAAAAAGCACAAGGAGCAAAAACAAAAAGCAAUUUUUUUGGUUUUCCUUGGGGGUUUUGCAUGGAUUUUCUCGGAAAUCAAACAAGGAUGAAUUUUCCCGGAAAUCAAAUGGGGGCGGCGGCGAGAAUAGAUCCAGAAAGCGUAGGGAGCAAAAAAAAAAAGAAAAUUUUUUGGUUUUCCUUGAGGGUUUUGCAUGGCUUUUCUCGGUAAUCAAACGAGGAUGAAUUUCCUCGAAAAUCGAAUGGGGGAUGGAGACCCCUAGAACAUAUGCAUAAAGCAUAGGGAGCAAAAAAAAAAGCAAGUUUUUUGGUUUUCCUUAGGGGUUUUGCAUGGAUUUUCUCGAAAACCAAACGAGGAUGAAUUUUCUAUGAAAUCGAAUGGGGGCAGCGAUGAGAACAGAUCCAAAAAGUGCGGGGACAAAAAAGAAAAAAAAAAACAAUUUUUUUGGUUUUCCUUGGGGGUUUUGCAUGGAUUUUCUCGAAAAUCAAACGAGGAUGAAUUUUCCCGGAAAUUGAAUGGGGAAUGGAGACCCUAUAACAGAUCUAGAAAGCAUAGGGAGCAAAAAAAAAAAGCAAUUUUUUUGGUUUUCCUUAGGAGUUUUGCAUGGAUUUUCUCGGAAAUCAAACGAGGAUGAAUUUUCCUAGAAAUCGAAUGGGGGGUGGAUUUUCUUGGGGAUCAAACAAGGAUUUUUUUUUUUUGCUUUCGCUGCCGCCGCCCCCAUUCAAUUUCUGGGAAAAUUCAUCCUUGUUUGAUUGCCGAGAAAAUCCAUGCAAAACCCUCUAGGAAAACCAAAAAAAUUGUUUUUUUGGCUUGCUGACAGGAAGACCUAAAGGAUAAUUUCAGAAAUAAAAAUUUGAACAGUAAAUAGUGCAUGAAACCUAUAAUAUUUUUCUUAUUACCAGACAUAUUUCAUUUCUCUCAAGUCAUCGAAAAUUCAGUGAUGUGCUAGUAGCCUAAUGUCUUUGUCACAAGUGAUUUAGGGAUUCAGAUUAUUUCUCUGAAUUGACAUAAAUAAUAUGUUCUGGUUUGGUAACAUUAUCACACUCAAUGGACAACCUCCAUUUACUAACAUCUUCAAGUUUAUAGUUGUCCUGAACUGACAUGGCUGUCAGAAAACAUGCAUGUCCUCAACACCCUCUGGACACUUGUAAUUGAGUACUUUUUGGUUUGGCAACAUUAAUAGACUUAGUAGGCUUUCUUACGUCACUUCAAAACUUCAAAUUCAUGAGUGCCUUGAAUUGACAUAACUUCCAGAGAAGAUGGGUCACUCAUGCUCUGUAGACACUUACAACAUUAACGGACCUUAUAUGCAGUCUUACCUCACUUGCAUGCCUUGAAAUUGAUAGCUACCCUGAAUUGACAUCAUCUCCUAAAGAGAUUGUGUUGGAAAUCAAGCCCACGUCGCCUUCCUGCCUAUGCAUGCUCCUUCCCAUAUUUAGCAUCCUCUGUUUACUUCCUUGAAUUAGUGUAAUGUAUAGCCUUUAUUAUAAUUGAUUUAGGAGUAAUUCUAGCAAGGUAGUUUAUUCACUUUCCAUGUAAGAGUAGUUUAUUCACUUCCCAUGUAAGAGUUUAUUCACUUUCCAUGUAAGGGAAAUUCCGUCUGGUGAUAGUGUACCAUUCCGGAAUUGUCUCAUAUCUGUAGGCUAUUUAUUUAUGCUUUCAUUCAUUGUAAAAAAAGGUAUCACAGAAUGAAUUGAGGUGUUCCUCCAUAGUUUGUCUUCAAUUUCUUCAUAUUUUAGUCUUCAAAUUCUUCAUGGUAUCAGAGCAGGUUUAAUCCUAUCUCAUCGUCUUCAUCUUUAGUCAGUUUUUUUUCUACUCAAUUCUAUUCUUCUAAUUUAUGCCUAAAUACGGUCCAGCCUUUGGAAUGGCUACCAACUCAUCAUCCUCUACUUCUGAUAUCAUCAUCUCAUAGUCUUCAUCCUCUCAUCAGAUGGAAACCUCUCAUCUUCCAAUCACAGCCCAUAAACUGAAUGGGCAAAAUUAUUUGCAAUGGUCUCAGUCCAUAUUAAUGUUUAUACGGGGAAAGGAGAAAGAUGACUACAUCACUGGAGCUUCGGCGGCACCAGAAACCACAGCAUCAACCUACAAAAAGUGGAUAGCAGAAAAUAAUAUGGUCAUGUCCUGGCUAGUCAACUCUAUGACCGCUGACAUUGGUGAAAAUUUUCUGUCAUUUGAUACUGCCAAAGAAAUCUGGGACACUGCAAAAGAAACUUUCUCAGACAAGGAAAACACAUCUGAAAUCAUCCAGAUUGAAGGCAUCCUCCACGAUUUGCGUCAAGGAAACCUUACGGUAACUGAAUAUUUCAAUACUCUUACUCGUCUAUGGCGUCAACUUGAUACGUUUGAGGUUCAUAACUGGAAUUGUGUUACAGAUGGUUUUUUGUAUAAAAAGAUUGUCGAAGGGAAACGUGUGUUUAAAUUUUUGUUAGGUUUGAACAAAAAUCUUGAUGAAAUCAGAGGAAGAAUCAUGGGAGUAAAACCCCUACCUAGCCUCAGAGAGGCAUUCUCUGAAGUCCGUCGCGAAGAAAGUCGGAAAAAUCUCAUGAUGGGAUCCCAUCAACAACUGAAUAUGGCAGAAAGCUCGACUCUUAAGACUCAAUUCGCUCCUUUUGACAAUCGUAAAAAAAUUAAAGGAGGUAGACCUUGGUGUGAUCAUUACAGAAAGUCGGGACACUCAAGAGAAACUUGUUGGAAGAUUCAUGGAAAGCCAGUAGAUUGGAAGCCACGUCAACCACUUGAGAAAGAAGGACGAGGUAAUCAUGUGGCUACCGAUGAACAAUCGCCACAAACUGAAGCUAGCCCUUUUAAUAAGGAGCAAAUGGAGAUGCUUCAGAAACUACUGUCUCCUCUUUUGUCAAUACAGUCACAAACUAGCUCAUCUUCCAACUAGGUCAUUGGUUCCGGAACCUUGGCUCACAAAGGUAAUUUUUUGAGUGUCUUCACUGCUGGUAAGAAACGUAAAAAACCUUGGAUAGUGGACUCAGGAGCAUCUGAUCAUAUGACGGGAGAUGCGACAAUUUUUUAUACAUAUAGCUCAUGUCCAAAUAAUUUAACAGUUCGAAUAGUAGAUGGUUCACUAUCAAAGGUUGCCGGAACAGGUUCAGUUGUGCUAUCAAGGGAUCUUACUCUCAACUCUGUUCUCCUUGUUCCUAACUUGGACUGUAAUCUAUUGUCAAUUAGUAAACUCACUAAGGAAAAGAGGUGUAUUACUAAUUUUUCCUCCACUCACUGUGAAUUUCAGGAUUUGGAUUCGGGGAAGACGAUUGGCAAUGCUGAGGAAUGCUCUGGACUCUACAUCCUUAAGGAGCGCCACGAUCCACAAGAACAACCUCAAAUGGCAGUUGGUAGUAAUUCUUUUUCGGUUUCAUGUCAAAAUAACGAUAGUGCAAUUAGGUUGUGGCACUAUCGCUUAGGUCAUCCAAAUGUUAUGUAUCUCAAGCAUUUAUUUCCUUCAUUAUUUAAUAAAAAUCCAAAAUCCUUUGAGUGUGAAAUCUGUCAAUUAUCAAAGCAAGUCCGGUCUCAUUUUCCCAUUCAACCCUAUAAAGAGUCUAGUCCAUUCUCAAUGAUUCAUAGCGAUAUCUGAGGUCCGUCAAGAAUAAAAAAUGUAACUGGUACCAGGUGGUUUGUCUCAUUCAUAGAUGAUCACACUAGAUUAACUUGGGUAUUCCUCAUGAAAGAAAAAUCUGAAACGAGUCAAAUUUUCAAAAAUUUUAAAAAUAUGAUUCAGACCCAAUUCCAGUCAAAAAUACAAAUUCUAAAGUCUGAUAAUGCUAGGGAUUAUUUCAACUCCAUUCUAGGAGAAUUUCUAGCACAAGAAGGGAUAGUUCACUUAAGUUCAUGUGUUGAUACCCCACAACAAAACGGAAUCGCUGAAAGGAAAAAUAGGCAUUUGUUAGAGGUGGCUAGAUCACUAAUGUUCUCCAUGAAUGUUCCAAAAUUAUUCUGGGGGCAAGCUGUCCUUACGGCAGCCUACCUCAUCAAUAGGAUGCCGUUUAGGGUACUAAAAUUCCAAACACCUUGUCAAACACUCCUAAAAUCCUUUCCGACUACUCGUCUCAUCUCCACCGUCCCACCCAAAAUUUCGGGUGCUCUGUCUUUGUUCAUAUCAAUCAACAACAUAGAAGUAAACUUGAUCCUAGGUCACUCAAGUGCAUCUUUCUUGGGUAUUCUUCAAAUCAAAAAGGGUAUAAGUGUUACUCUCCGGUCACAAGAAAAUUCUACAAUUCAAUGGAUGUCACCUUUUUUGAAACCCAUCCUUACUAUCCCAAAAACGAUAUUCAGGGGGAGAAUUCAACUCAGGAAUAUCAAUUUUGGGAUCUUGAGUCAUUCAGUGAGUCACCCAUCACCACUGAAAAUCACAUUCCUCCAGAGUCAUUUAAUCAGCCCGAGUCCAUUGUUGACUUGUGGGAUAAGGAGCACAUCCAAGAGGAAACGGAGGAAGGAGCACUUUCUCAACAAACCCAUGAGGCAGAACCGGGUCCUAAUCCAAGCAAACUUCCAGGUAACAACGCUCCUGAUGGUACUGUUGAUUCCGAGUUAGAAAAUGAUAUUCUUAAUAUGCCCAUAGCUUGGAGGAAAGAAGUUAAAUCAUGCACUCAGCAUCCCAUUGGAAAUUUUAUUUCUUAUGAUAAGCUAUCACCUACGUUUCGUGCAUUCACUUCUAGCAUCACAGAGAUACAAGUUCCUCAGAAUAUUCAGGAAGCUUUCAAGUAUCCUAAGUGGAAGGCGGCAGUCGAUGAGGAAGUUCGGGCGCUGGAAAAGAAUGGUACGUGGGAAAUUACUGACCUCCCAAGAGGUAAGAAACCAGUUGGGUGUAAGUGGAUUUUCACAGUAAAGUACAAGGCAGAUGGUAAUGUGGACAGGUAUAAGGCUCGGUUGGUCGCCAAAGGAUUCACCCAAUCCUAUGGCAUUGACUAUCAAGAAACUUUUGCUCCAGUUGCCAAGCUCAAUACUGUUCGUGUACUUUUAUCCUUGGCAGCUAAUCUCGAUUGGUCGCUUCACCAACUUGAUGUGAAGAAUGCCUUCCUCAAUGGUGACUUAGAGGAAGAAGUUUACAUGGACAUUCCUGCUGGACUCGAGACGACAUCAAAUUUCAACAAGGUUUGCAGACUCCGAAAAUCCUUGUAUGGUCUCAAACAAUCUCCCAGGGCCUGGUUUGAACGGUUCACUAAGGUAGUGAAAGGGUACGGAUUCGUUCAAUGUCAAUCCGAUCACACAUUAUUUGUGAAACACUUCCCAGAAGGGAAACUGGCAAUUAUCAUUGUAUAUGUGGACAACAUAAUUUUGACAGGUGAUCAUGAAGAGAAAAUUGACUUACUUAAAAAAUUACUGACAAAGGAAUUUGAGAUCAAGGAUCUUGGAAACCUCAAGUACUUUCUCGGAAUGGAGAUUGCUAGGUCAAAGAAAGGUAUAGCAGUCUCACAACGCAAAUACGUUCUGGACUUAUUAAAUGAAACAGGAAUGCUAGGAUGCAAGCCAGCAGAAACACCUAUGGAUACAACUGUCAAACUGGAAGAAAGUGAUGGAAGUGCGCCAGAUGAUAAAGGAAGAUAUCAACGUCUUGUGGGGAAACUCAUCUAUCUUUCUCAUACAAGGCCAGACAUCGGCUUCUCCAUUAGUGUGGUAAGUCAAUUCAUGAAUAAUCCAACCGAAAAACACAUGACUACUGUGAUCAGAAUAUUGAGAUACCUCAAGAUGACACUGGGAAAGGGUCUCUUCUUUCAAAGAACAACAAAGAAAGAGAUUGAGAUUUUUUCAGAUGCAGAUUGGGCAGGUUCAGUGACUGAUCGGAGAUCAACUUCAGGCUAUUGUUCAUUUGUCUGGGGGAACUUGGUUACAUGGCGAAGCAAGAAACAGUCAGUGGUAGCCCGUAGCAGUGCUGAGGCAGAAUUUCGUGCUAUGGCACAAGGUAUCUGCGAGGGAAUCUGGUUGAACAAGUUGUUAGAAGAAUUACGGGUUCCAUUGAAGCAUCCCAUGGUGUUAUACUGCGACAAUCAAGCUGCCAUCAAUAUCGCUAAGAAUCCGGUUCAUCAUGAUCGAACUAAGCACGUGGAGAUAGAUCGACACUUUAUCAAGGAAAAGAUUGAAGAAGGAGUUUUCAAAGUCAGCUACACUCCGACAAACUGUCAAACGGCUGACAUUCUCACAAAAGCUCUUGCUCGAGUUAACUUAGAAGAUCUGACAGAAAAACUUGGAAUGAUCAACAUCUACAACGCGGCUUGAGGGGGAGUGUUGGAAAUCAAGCCCACGUCGCCUUCUUGCCUGUGCAUGUUCCUUCCCAUAUUUAGCAUCCUCUGUUUACUUCCCUGAAUUAGUGUAAUGUACAGCCUUUAUUAUAAUUGAUUUAGGAGUAAUUCUAGCAAGGUAGUUUAUUCACUUUCCAUGUAAGAGUAGUUUAUUCACUUCCCAUGUAAGAGUUUAUUCACUUUCCAUGUAAGAGAAAUUUCGUCUGGUGAUAGUGUACCAUUCCGGAAUUGUCUCAUAUCUGUAGGCUAUUUAUUUAUGCUUUCAUUCAUUGUAAAAAAAGGUAUCACAGAAUGAAUUGAGGUGUUCCUCCAUAGUUUGUCUUCAAAUUCUUCAUAUUUUAGUCUUCAAAUUCUUCAGAUUGGUUUCUUCGGAUCCAUACUGCCACAAUCUCUUAUUGUCCAUGGCUAUUGGAAAGAUGUGAAAGUGAAACAAGUGAAGAUUGGUCAAAGAUUGUUCAUGUUAUAGAAAGUUAUUCAGGUUUUAAAUCCCUAUCUUUCUUCUCAUUUGCUAUGGUUUCAGUUUAUCAAUAAGCUUUGUUUACCUUCUUUUUUGACAAUUCUAGUAUGCAUUAGCAUAUAAAGCAAAAAAAAAAGAAAAAAAAAGAUGAGAUACUAUUAAACCUAGUUGUUAUUUGGUUAUUAAAGACCAAACUAUUCAUGUUACUUUAAGUUUUGCACACUAAGAGUUUGGGAAUAAGCUAGUGUUAUGAAAAACGAAAAUAGACCACAAAAAAAAAUAAAAAAAAAAAUAAGAACAUACACAGAUUUACGUGGAAAACCUUAGACGAGAAAAACUACGGGCAGAGGAGAAGAAUAAUCCACUAUGUCAAAAAUUGGUACAAAAUGGGAGAGCAUUAAGCGGUUACAACAGAAAUCCCUUAGAACCUAUACACCAUCCCAUAUAUAUAUAUAUGGGAGAAAAAAAAAAUAAAGCAGGAAAGAAAUCUAUAAUUUUUUCUUCACCAUAUAUAUCGCACCGUAAAGAUUUCGGGUUGGACCAAAAAAGGAAAUUAGGUCACCAAGCUCUAACAAUCUCCACCUUGACACGAAUUCCAAUGUAAGGAAUUAGAAAAACAAACUCUAAUCUUCAACAAAAAAAAAAAAGAAAAACUCUUCACCUCUUCCACAAACCCUAAAGGGUAAUUCAACAACGAAUACUAACCAAGUCCAAGCAAUGCUCAAACUUGGCUAGAGGGAGUAUCUUCAUCAUCAUAUCAGUAGGAUUAUCAUGGGUGCUAACUUUGGCCACAUAAUAUCACCACGAGAAAUGAUAUCACACACAAAAUGAUACCACACAUCAAUGUGUUUUGUCCUCUCAUGAAACAUCUAAUCUUUUGUGAGGAAAAUAGCACUCUGACUAUCACAAAAAACUAUGGUAAUUUGCAAGUUGUCACUAAGUUCUCUAAAUAGUUCUUUUAACCAAAUAGCUUCCUUUCAAGCCUCUGUAAUAGCCAUGUACUCAACCUCAGUAGUAGAUAAAACAACUGUAGUCUACAAAGUAGCUUUCCAACUGAUAACACAACCACCAAUAUUAAAAACAUACUUUGUAAGAGAUCUUCUUUUAUCAAGAUUACCAGCAAAAUCAUAAUCAACAUACCCAGCAACUCCACCUCUAGUUCUCCCAAAAUGGAAAGAAACAUCAGUAGAACCACGCAAGAAUCUAAAAAUCCAUGAAACUGCUUUCCAAUGUUCUUUACUAGGAUUUGCCAUGUAUCUACUGACUGCACUGACUGCAUAUGAUAAACCUAGACAUGAACAAACCAUAGUAUACAUGAGAGACCCCACUACACUAGAAUAUGGAACUCGUGACAUAUAAUCAAUGUCAUCAUCUGAUUGUGGAGCUAAAGCAUAUGAAAGUCGGAAAUGAGCCGCUAAUGGAGUACUAACAUGUUUAGCAUUCUGCAUAUUGAACCUGUAAAGAACUUUCUCAAUGCACCAUUUCUAAUUUAGGUAUAAUUUACCUGCCUUUCUAUCUCUUAGAAUCUCCAUUCCAAGUAUCUUCUUUGUUGCUUCUAAGUCUUUCAUCUCAAACUCCGUACUGAGUUGGACUUUUACCUUUCUUAUAUUUUCCUUAUCCUGGGCUGCUAUUAACAUAUCAUCAACAUAUAAGAGGUUUGACUCAUUCAUGACCACUCAUGAUAUUGAUUAUUGUUUAUACAUAUCCCUAAUGAAGUACAAAAUUUUGAUAUUAUGAAGUGGUGAAAAUCUCAUGAAUCCACUUUUCCUGUACUAUCUAAAAUGACACGUGAUCUACUAACCCCACCGGUGUCUACUGUAGCAUUAGAAUCUUCUUUUUCUAUAGUUGCAAAUAUAACAGGAGACAGGAGGACAACUCUUACAGCAAAGAUGCUAGAAGCUUUGACAUGUUUGAAGGAUUGAGAAGAUGGACGCAUGAGACUUCAAACUUUAGAGGAUGAACUUAAAGAAGCCUUUGAGAAAUUGCAUCUCAAUGCAGACAAUGAUGUUCAAGAGAUUGAUGAUGAUUGAAGAUGAAAAAAAGAAGAAUGAAGAUUGAAUAAGAAGACAAAAGUGAAUAUGAUAAUUGAAGAAUUAUAUGUUAUUCGUUUUUUUUUAAAUCUAUUAAAUGUAGCUAAUUUUUAAAGGUUGAGUAAUGCAUAUGAUUGAUAGUUGGGUGAGUGCCAACCUAGUUGGGAUGUACUCAAACUAUAGUGAUGCAAUUCUCACAUUUUUCUUUCUCCUUAUUUUUUUCAUGUAAUUUGUUGAAAUAUUGAAUAAAAGAAUUAUUUUUUUAUAUUUCAUUUCCUUUUAUAUUCCAUUAUUUUAAAUUUAUUGUUAUUUUGAUCAAAAAUAAAAAAAUUCAAAUAUAAUUUUUUUACUAUUUUUAAAAACAAAAACUAAUAUUUCUAUAAAUUUUACAAUUACAAACUCGAUAAAUAUAAAUGUAAAAAAUAAAAAGUAUAAUUAUUAGAGGUGUAUAAAUAUAUAUAUAUAUAUAUAUAUAUAUAAUUAUUAGAGGUGUUUAAAGUAACAAAAAGAAAUUUUAUUUAAUAAUGAAAAAAACUUAAGAAAAAAUGACUUAAAAAAUUAAAUUAAAUUUUUUAACAAAGUGACUGGCCCAUGGGCCACGACCCGCUAGCAUGGCCCGGCCCGGACCGACGCAACACGUAUGGGUCGUGUUGAGCCACCUAUUUGGCUUGCAUAGGCCAUCGGCCUGACUCGACAAGAUUUUUAAGUGGGUCGUGCCGGCUCGACACGUUGACUCUAAUGGCCUAGUCAAUAUCGGGCCGUACCUAGUCAUAUCCCAUUAUGGCAUUAAGAUAUUAGAAAGCCCCUUGGUGAGCACAAAGAGGGUUAAAAUUAUGUUUAUUGCUUGGAUACAACAAAAUGAAGUUACAAGUAUAUUAAAUAAUAUGCUAGGAGAUAAUAUAUUGACACCAUAUAUAACAGUAGAAUUGAAGCCAAAACAAGAACUUUAGAUGCAUGUUUUGCACCUCUUGUGUGGCUUUGCCUUAUUAUACUAUUCUAUAUGUCAUGUGUAUUUUGUUUUGUGUUGCCUGUAAAAUAUACAUACAUACAUAUAUAUAUACAUACAUACAUAUAUAUAUAUAUAUAUAUAUAUAUAUAUAUAUAUAUAUUUGCACCUUUUUUCUUUAGGGGUCUUUAUAAAUUUAAAGAAAAUAAAAAAUUGUUGGCAAAUAAUGCAUAUAUGAUUGCUCAUCCACGUGUUCUCUUAUCCACUUCCCUUCUUUUAAUUGUGUUAUGAUUCAAUCCCUCUAAAAUCUUCAAGUAGCAAAUAAAACACGUAAAAUAGCAAAAAGAAGUCAAAAUUAAUAAGAAUUCUUACAACAAAGUAGCAUGUAAGAUAUUGAAAAUGGAGUGAAGAUGCAAAUCCGGUUGAAAAGUUCUUUCUUACUUGUCUUUUACAAUACUCUCCCUUGCUUCUCUAUUACAAUUUAUGCAUGUAACUUCCUAUCUUUUGUUUCUUAUCAUUCAUAUAACUUAAUUAUAGUUGACAUCCAAAUAGUACUUAAUCAUAUAAGGAUUCAUUUAUAUAGUAAUAUAGUAAAAGUAAGUUACAAUUAUCAUCUUAAUCAAUGUGGAAGCUACCAUGUUAGGAGUGUUAAAAUAUCCACAAAUCCAUAGUUUUCAUUUAGUAAAAGUACAAUUUCUUGUUUAAUGAAAUACACACUUUAAAGAAAAUGUAAAAAUUUAUAUGAACCACACUUUUCUAUAACUAGACCAAAGUUUCAUAUGCAUGAAACUAUAGAAAGUAUGAUUAAGUUCAACCAAUCAUUAAUCACAUCUAAUAGUUAUGGCCAAAUUAAACCCAAUGUAAAGAUUCUAAUAAAAUACAUUUGGGAUUUAAUAAUUGUUGGUGAGAAGCUCUCAACCAAAAAUAAACUAUUAUAAAAAAGGUUUAAGAAAAAAAAAACCCCAAGAUAUUUUAAUUAAAAUAACUAUAAUUUAAAUAAUUUUUUAUAGGAAAAAGAUCUUAAUUUUUUUAAGAAAAAAAAUUCAUGGUUUUUCUUCAAAUAACUAAAUAUAAGUGGAUUAAAGGUUAUGCAACUCUUUGUUUGAAAAUUAGCAAUAAUUUCAAUACAAUACACCUUUCAAAAUAUAAGUGGUUUUUAAUUGGUAGUUGUUUGAGUCAGAGAUUUAUUUAUUUUUAUUUUUAUUUUAUUUUUAAAAAAAACUUCUUAUCAAAACAUAUUUUAUAUUUUGAUAAAUCCUAGAUUCAACAGUUCUAUUAGAUUAAAAUGACAAUAUUUUUUAUUUGAACUUUAAAUAUAAUAAAUAAAUUCUAAGAACUUUUACUUAAUAUAAUCUUUUGUAUGUUUAUAUUACAUAAAUUGAUAAAUUUUUUCAAUUUAUUCUUACAUUGUAAAUAAGAUUAAUUACAGAUUAAACUUUCCUUCCAAAUAAAAUGGUUGAACAAAACAUUCAUAGAAACCAAAAAAUAAAAAAGUUGAAAUGCAAUGAAAAGAAAAAAAAUAAAUAGAAAAAUAUGAUGCAUUUUACAUUAAGGAUAUAAUUUUCUUAAUGUGGUAAAUCAUUUCUAGCUAGUGGCACCAGGGAUCAUAUUCUUGUUUCAUUGGCUCUUCCAUAUUGCUUUAGUGUUGUUUUUUUGGGACCAAAGCACUUUUGUUGAAACCUUACUUGUAGUGCUAAUGUUCUCUUUUAUACUUGCAUAUCAGCCCAUGGUUAACCUCUUUCCUUGAUUCCAUGUCUUCUAAUAUUCUCUUGUCUAAAUCAAGUGACCUCUCACAAAAGCUAAUAAAGUAAAAGUUUAUGCACUUUAUCAUAAUAAAUACUAAAUCAAAAAAGGUGUGAGUAUUACAUGAUACUAGGAGAUUUUGAAAAAAUUAUAAUAAAUUUAAAAUAGUUUAAAAUUUAUUUUUCAAAUCUAUGAUGGUUUAAAAAAAAUUCAAAUUAAAAGUUGUCUUCUGAAAAAAAAAAAAAAACUUCAAUAUUUUAAUAUCGAAAAUAAAAUGUCCUCACUAAUUUAAGGUCUUUAUGAAUUUAAAGAAAACAAAAAAUUGUUGGCAAAUAAUGCAUAUAUAUAUUGCUCAUCCACGUGUUCUCUUAUCCACUUCCCUUCUUUUAGUUGUGUUAUGAUUCAAUCCCUCUAAAUACUUCAAGUAGCAAAUAAAACACGCUUACAACAUGUAGCAUGUAAGAUAUUGAAAAUGGAGUGAAGAUGCAAAUCCGAUUGAAGAGAAGACCGAUGAAGAGAAGAUGCCAACAGAAAGUUAUGAUUUUAGGAUUUCAUAUUAAAUUUUAAUUUUCUUUCAUUUGUUUAUUAUCCCUUCUACUUUCUCAGUUUACUCAUACAAUGUAAAAGAAAAAAAAAUCAGUUUAAACGCAAUGAAGAAAAAUAAAUUAAUACACCAAUAUGAUGCAUUUUACAUGAAAUAUAGAUAGGUGGCCCCAAGCAUCACAUUCUUGUUUUCCUUGAUGCUGCUUUUUGGACCAAAGCACUUUUGUUGAAACCUUACUUGAAGUACUAAUGUUCUUUUUUGUUAAUCUCAUUGCUUCAUUCCUAUUCUUAUAAUAUUCUUUCCUAUAAUUCAAGUGACUUCUCAUAGAAGUUAGGUAAAGAAAAAAUUAAUUAUACUUAUCUUAAUCAAUACUCAAAAAAAAAUAUUUGAAAAUAGGUGGUAAUGUUUAAAUAAAAUAAAAUAGACAUGCUCUCAUUGUAUCAAUAAUUUUGAGACAAUUCACCUUUUCAAUAUAUAGGUUUAUAACUGGUAUUGGUUUGGGUUAGAGGGUGUUUUUUUUUUUUUUUUUUAACUUCUUAUCAAAACAUAUUUUAUAUUUUGAUGAGUCCUACUUUCAGUAUUUAUAUUAGAUUAAAAUGAUAAUAUUUUUUUUAUUUGAACUUUAAAUAUAAUAAAUCAAUUCUAAGAACUUUUACCUAAUCUAAUCUUUUAUAUGUUUAUAUUAGAUAAAUUGAUAAAUUUUCUCUACUUUCUCAAUUUAUUAUUAAAGAGUAAAUAAGAUUACAAAUUAUACUUCCUUCCAAAUAAAAUGGUCGACCAAGAAACCAAAAAAUAAAAAAGUUGAAAUGCAAUGAAAAAACAAAUAAAUACAAAAAUAUGAUGCAUUUUACAUGAAGAAUAUAAUUUUCUCAGCGUGGUAAAGCAUUUCUAGCUAGGUGGCACUAGGCAUCAUAUUCUUGUUUUCCUUGAUUGUCUCUUCCAUUUUGCUUUAGUGUCUUUUCAUUUUUGGACCAAAGCACUUUUGUUGAAACCAACCUUGUAGUGCUAAUGUUCUUUUUUAUACUUUUAUAUCAAUCCCUUGUUAACCUCAUUGCUUGAUUCCACUUCUUCUAAUAUUCUCUCGUAUGAAUCAAGUGACGUCUCAUAAAAGUUAAUAAAGUAAAAGUUAAUAUGCCUUAUCUUAAUAAAUACUCAAUCAAAAAAGUGCCGAGUAGCACGUGGUAUUAUGAGAAUUCGACAAAAUUACAAUCAUUUUAAAAUAGUUUAAAAAGUAUUUUCAAAUCCAUUAGUUAUCCAAACUUUUCUCAUCAUUUUCUAAAAAAAAAUAAAAUAAUUUUUUAAUGUUUGGUUUUCACAUGGAAGAGAUCAAAUAUAAUUAAAAUUAGUUUAAAAUUUUUAUAUUUUUAAAUUAUUUAAUUUUUAUGUAGAAAAUUUAAAAUAAAUAAAAUGAAUUUAAAGAACAUAUCAAAUAAUUUAUUGAAUUUAAAAUUAUUUUUAAUUUUUAUUCACUUUUUUCCUCACAUUUUCUAUUAAAUUUAUAUGAGAAACAAACACAAUUUUAGUAUUUUCUCUUUUUUUUUUUUGGUUAAUGUUGUUUUCCCUCGUCUUUUUCCAUGGUAUUUAAAAAUAAUAAAUUUGUUCCCUUUAAUUGCAGCUUGUUGACUUGUCCACCUAAUCCAUGAUAUCAGCCAGUACCCAUGUGACCUGGCCCAUCCCAUCCACCCCUAUAAAGAUAUCUCUUACUUUGUUCCCUAUUCUCUCACAAUUCCCUCAGCUUCUCAUCUUCUACGUGCUGUAUUUUCUUGGCUUUCAGCUACUUUGAGUUGUUCCAAAAUGGCUGACCAAAUUCCAUUCGGUGUUGUGGAGCACAUUUUGACCAACUUGGGGUCCUCGGCGUUUCAAGAAAUUGGAUCCAUGUAUGGUGUUCCAAAGGAGAUGACCAAGCUCAAGGGGAAACUGGGCAUCAUCAAGGCUGUGCUUUUGGAUGCUGAGGAGAAGCAGCAGCAGAGCAAUCAUGCAGUCAAAGAUUGGGUCAAAGAUUGGGUCCGGAGUCUCAAAGGCGUUGUGUAUGACGCAGAUGACUUGCUGGAUGACUAUGCAACCCAUUAUCUUCAGCGAGGAGGAUUGGCAAGGCAGGUCAGUGAUUUCUUCUCAUCUGAAAAUCAAGUUGCUUUUCGUUUAAACAUGAGUCAUAGACUCAAGGAUAUCAAAGAAAGGAUAGAUGACAUUGAAAAAGGCAUCCCCAUGUUAAAUCUGACUCCACGGGACAUAGUACAUAGGAGAGACAGCCAUUCAUUCGUGUUGCCGUCUGAAAUGGUAGGAAGAGAAGAAAACAAAGAGGAGAUAAUAGGGAAGUUGUUGUCGUCCAAGGGUGAAGAAAAGCUUUCGGUUGUUGCCAUUGUAGGCAUUGGGGGGUUGGGAAAGACCACCCUUGCUAAAUUGGUAUACAAUGAUGAAAGAGUGGUCAAUCAUUUUGAGUUUAAGAUAUGGGCUUGCAUUUCUGAUGAUUCUGGUGAUAGUUUUGAUGUUAUUAUGUGGAUCAAAAAAAUUUUAAAAUCUCUGAAUGUUGGGGAUGCUGAAAGUCUGGAGACUAUGAAAACUAAGCUUCAUGAAAAAAUAAGUCAAAAGAGGUACUUGCUAGUCCUCGAUGAUGUUUGGAAUCAAAAUCCUCAAAAAUGGGAUGACGUGAGAACUUUAUUAAUGGUUGGGGCUAUUGGUAGUAAAAUUGUAGUGACCACCCGUAAACCAAGAGUUGCAUCAAUCAUGGGAGAUAAUUCUCCCAUUAGUUUGGAAGGUCUGGAACAAAAUCACUCCUGGGAUUUAUUUUCAAAAAUCGCAUUUAGAGAAGGCCAGGAGAAUUUGCAUCCAGAAAUUCUAGAAAUUGGAGAAGAAAUUGCAAAAAUGUGCAAGGGAGUUCCUCUCGUCAUUAAGACUUUAGCAAUGAUAUUGCAGUCUAAAAGAGAACAGGGCGAAUGGUUGUCUAUUAGAAACAAUAAAAAUUUGUUGUCACUUGGCGAUGAAAAUGAGAAUGUUCUAGGGGUGCUGAAAUUAAGUUAUGAUAAUUUGCCAACUCAUUUGAGACAAUGUUUUACAUAUUGUGCUUUAUUUCCAAAAGACUUUGAGAUUGAGAAAAAGUUGGUGGUACAACUAUGGAUAGCACAAGGUUAUAUUCAACCUUAUAAUAAUAAGCAAUUAGAGGAUAUAGGGGAUCAAUAUGUUGAGGAAUUAUUGUCAAGGUCAUUGUUGGAGAAGGCAGGAACCAAUCAUUUUAAAAUGCAUGACCUUAUACAUGAUCUUGCACAAUCAAUUGUAGGAUCUGAGAUCCUUAUUUUAAGAAGUGAUGUAAAUAACAUUCCAGAAGAAGUUCGUCAUGUAUCAUUGUUUGAAAAGGUAAAUCCUAUGAUAAAGGCUCUAAAGGGAAAACCCGUAAGGACCUUUCUAAACCCUUAUGGAUAUUCUUAUGAAGAUAGUACAAUUGUAAAUUCAUUUUUUUCGAGUUUUAUGUGUCUACGUGCAUUGAGUUUAGAUUAUGUGCCAAAGUGUUUAGGCAAAUUGAGUCAUUUAAGGUAUCUUGAUCUUUCCUACAAUAAUUUUGAGGUACUUCCAAAUGCUAUUACAAGGUUAAAGAAUUUGCAAACACUAAAACUCACAGGGUGUGUCAGUUUAAAAAGGAUUCCAGACAAUAUAGGAGAAUUGAUCAAUCUUAGACACUUGGAGAAUAGUAGAUGUCAUGACUUGACUCAUAUGCCACAUGGAAUCGGCAAGUUGACUUUACUUCAAAGUCUACCAUUGUUUGUGGUUGGGAAUGAUAUAGGGCAGUCUAGGAAUCACAAAAUUGGUGGCUUGAGUGAAUUGAAAGGCCUUAACCAACUAAGAGGAGGGUUAUGCAUACGUAAUCUUCAAAACGUGAGGGAUGUUGAACUGGUAUCCAGGGGGGGAAUUUUGAAAGGAAAACAAUGUCUUCAGUCCUUGAGAUUGAAAUGGAUACGGUCGGGCCAAGAUGGGGGGGAUGAGGGUGAUAAGUCAGUGAUGGAAGGCCUUCAACCACACCGACACCUAAAGGAUAUCUUUAUACAAGGUUACGAAGGUACGGAGUUUCCAAGUUGGAUGAUGAAUGAUGAGUUGGGUUCCCUGUUUCCCUACCUAAUUAAAAUUGAAAUUUCAGGAUGUUCAAGAUGCAAAAUUCUGCCACCCUUUUCUCAACUCCCUUCUCUCAAGUCUUUGAAGCUUAAGUUUAUGGAAGAACUGGUGGAGUUAAAGGAGGGUUCAUUAACAACGCCACUCUUCCCAUCUCUUGAAUCGCUCGAACUCCAUGUCAUGCCAAAGUUGAAGGAAUUGUGGAGGAUGGACUUACUAGCAGAGGAAGGUCCUUCAUUUUCUCAUCUUUCGAAGUUAUAUAUUCGUGCAUGCUCUGGUUUGGCAUCACUGCAUCCUUCUCCUUCUCUUUCUCAAUUAGAAAUCAGAGAUUGCCCUAACUUGGCAUCCUUGGAACUGCAUUCGUCUCCUUCUCUUUCUCAAUUAGAGAUCAUCAAUUGCCAUAACUUGGCAUCCUUGGAACUGCAUUCGUCUCCUUCUCUUUCUCAAUUAGAGAUCAGAAAUUGCCAUAACUUGGCAUCCUUGGAACUGCAUUGGUCUCCUUCUCUUUCUCAAUUAGAGAUCAGAUAUUGCCAUAACUUGGCAUCCUUGGAACUGCAUUCGUCUCCUUCUCUUUCUCAAUUAACGAUCAUCGAUUGCCAUAACUUGGCAUCCUUGGAACUGCCGUCAUCUCUUCGUCUUUCUGAUUUAGAUAUCAGAAAAUGCCCUAACUUGGCAUCCUUGGAACUGCAUUCUUCUCCUUCUCUUUCUCAAUUAACGAUCAUCAAUUGCCAUAACUUGGCAUCCUUGGAACUGCAUUCAUCUCCUUGUCUUUCUCGAUCAUGGAUCUAUGAAUGCCCUAACUUGGCAUCCUUCAAAGUGGCUCCAUUACCUUCUCUUGAGACACUAUCUCUGUUCACAGUUAGAUAUGGUGUGAUAUGCCAGAUAAUGUCUGUCUCUGCUUCGUUGAAGUCUCUGUAUAUUGGAAGCAUAGAUGAUAUGAUAUCUCUCCCGAAGGAGCUACUUCAACAUGUUUCUGGCUUGGUAACGUUACGGAUCCGUGAGUGUCCUAACUUGCAAUCCUUGGAACUGCCGUCAUCUCCUUCUCUUUCUGAAUUAAGGAUCAUAAAUUGCCCUAACUUGGCAUCCUUCAAUGUGGCAUCAUUACCUCGUCUUGAGGAACUAAGCCUGCGUGGAGUCAGAGCAGAGGUACUGAGGCAGUUCAUGUUUGUCUCUGCUUCUUCUUCAUUGAAGUCUCUGUGUAUACGGGAGAUUGAUGGUAUGAUAUCUCUCCGAGAGGAGCCGCUUCAAUAUGUUUCCACUCUCGAAACUCUCCACAUUGUUAAGUGCUCUGGUUUGGCAACAUUACUACACUGGAUGGGCAGCCUUUCCUCGCUUACGGAACUUAUUAUUUUUGGCUGCUCGGAAUUGAAAUCACUGCCAGAAGAGAUCUAUUCCCUUAAAAAACUGCAGACAUUUUAUUUCUGUGAUUAUCCAGACCUAGAGGAAAGAUACAAGGAAACAGGUGAAGACCGGGCCAAGAUUGCUCAUAUCCCACAUGUUAGUUUCUACAGUGAUUCGAUUAUGUAUAGUAAGGUAGGUCCGAAAUCCCUAACCUUUCUUCCCAUUUUUAUUAUUUAAGAAUCAAAAUGCUAUGUUUUCAUUUUGUCUCUGGUAAUUCUUUUAUGUUGGCACCUCAUAUGUUUGUUUAAAUGCUCACAUCAAUAACUUUUUGAAAAAUUUUCCAGAUUAACAUCAUUUGCUGAUGCUGUGCACUAAACUAAUCAUUUUACUUGGGAGUUGUACAUUCUAAGAGUUUGAGGAAAUAUUGAGGUCUGGUAUGAUAACUCUCAAUCCUUGGAACUGCAUUCAUCUCCUUCUCUUUCUCGAUUAACAAUCCAUGAUUGCCCAAACUUGGCAUCCUUCAAUGUGGCAUCAUUACCUCGUCUUGAGGAACUAAGCCUGCGUGGAGUCAGAGCAGAGGUACUGAGGCAGUGCAUGUUUGUCUCUGCUUCUUCUUCAUUGAAGUCUCUGUGUAUACGGGAGAUUGAUGGUAUGAUAUCUCCCAGAGGAGUCGCUUCAAUAUGUUUCCACUCUCGAAACUCUCUACAUUGUUAAGUGCUCUGGUUUGGCAACAUUACUACACUGGAUGGGCAGCCUUUCCUCGCUUAAGGAACUUAUGAUUUAUGAAUGCUCUGAAUUGACAUCACUGCCAGAAGAGAUCUGUUCCCUUAAAAAACUGCAGAAAUUUUAUUUCUGUGAUUAUCCACACCUAGAGAAAAGAUACAACAAGGAAACAGGUAAAGACCGGGCCAAGAUUGAUCAUAUCCCACGUAUUAAUUUCCAAAGUGAUCGAGUUAUGGAAUAUAAGGUCCGAAAUCCCUAACCUUUCUUCCCAUUUUUAUUAUUUAAGAAUCAAAAUGCUAUGUUUUCAUUUUAUUAUUAUGUUUUCAUUGUAUCCCUGGCACCUCAUAUGUUUGUUUUUACUGCUCACAUUAAUAAUUUUGAAAUUUUUUUCUAGCUUGGAUGCGCUUUCCGAUGAUGUGCACUAAACUAACCAUUUUACUUGGAGUUGUACAUUCUAAGAGUUUGAGGAAAUACUAAGGUCUGAUAUGAUAACUCUCAAUCUUAAACGUUGUUUUGUGUUUGGAACGUUACUACACUUGAUACAUACCCUCACCUCACCUCACUUACAGACCCAAGAAUACAGAGGGCCACACUUGGUGAAGGUUUCAUCAGUAAGGAGAACCAUUUCAGGUAUGAAAUCCUCCCUUCUCAUUUUCUAAUGACUUCAUUUUUAUUCAAUAUCCAUUUGAAAUUAUUUAAGUUCAUUUUCUUUAGAUAUUAUAUUUUCUUGCUUGCUCAAUAAUUUCAUUUAAGUAAGUUUUUUGGAUAUCACAUUUUCUUUGGGGUUUUUUUUUCUUUUUAGAAUAAUUUCAAAAUGUAAUUUUUAACUAUUCACAAAAUUUGAUCAUAGUUGAGUGAUUAAAAUUCAAGUUUAUUCUUAUUAUCAUUAGUAGUUAUUUGAUAUGUUCGUUUGCUAAUACAAAAAUAAGACUAACAAGUAAUGUGCAUAGAGUUUGUAGAAGAGAAGAAAGAUUUGAUCCAAGAUAUUCCUAAAGAUCGGAAACUUUCAAAGCCACCCAAGAUCGCACAGGUUGAAUUCGGAUUCAUCCAGUUUACAAUCCAUUAAUUCUACUUAUAUCAUCUUUGUUAUGUUACAAUUUGCCUUUACUUGUUAUGCAACCUACCUUAAUAAUUUAGGGAGACCAAGAUAAGGUAUUCCUAGUAGAACUGGCUCACAAAUUGAAAAGGUAAACUUGUAUCACCUGCCUACAUGCCUACAACAAUACAAACACUAGCUCAUGUCUUUCUCACUAUUGAAAUUGUUAUUGCGUGCAGGGAUUUCAGGCGAGGAGGCCCAACUUGUGAUCAUAGAGCAUACUUUUAUCAUAGAGAAGCCCAAGGAAAUAUUUAAGCACUUGAAAUCCUUUCUCAUUGAUUUGCUUCCACCUCCCAAGCAACACCUAGAACCACUCCCACCAUGACGAAGUUAAAAGGUACUAAUGCAACAUUCUCAAUAUAUUAGAAUAUAUCCAAGGAAGGGUGGCCACAUAUGAAGACCCUAUUCCAAGGUCAAAUUUUAGAUUUUUGUGUUUUUCCUAUCACUAUUCCUAUACUAUUACUAGUGCACCUUAUUUGUCAAGAUGAUUAAAAGGGAAUUCCCUAGGAUAAUUAGUGUCUCAAGUGAUCUUAAGGUUCAUAAAUUUUUGGUUUCCACAAGAUAGGUGCCAACUAUUUAUUUAUUUAUUUAUUUUUUUUACACCCAUGCAAUAUUCCAGUCAUCUAUUAACAAAGGCUAAAAUUUCUUGUAGAGAAUAGAAUAAAGAACUAAAUUACAUGAAAAUAGGACAUUAUUAUUCUAUUUACAAGUAAGGGUAAAAAAUUGUUGAGGGCCAUCAAGCACAUUGUUCCUAAAAUAAUAACAUCCAUGUUGUUGAGCAAAAGUUUUUUAUAUUGGCACCUCAUAUGUUUGUUUAAAUGCUCACAUCAAUAACUUUGAAAAUAUUUUCCAGAUUUUUGAAAAAUUGUAAUGUUGUGCACUAAACUAAUCAUUUUACUUGGAGUUCUACAUUAUAAGAGUUUGAGAAAAAACUGUUUGAUAUGACAACUCUCAAUCUUAAAUGUUGUUUUGUGUUUGGAAUAUUACUGCACUUGAUAGAUGCCUCACCUCUCUUACAGAACUUGGAAUUCAUGGCUACCCUGAAUUGACAUCCCUGCCAGAAGAUAUGUUCCCUCAAAAGCCUGCAGACACUAAACAAUUUGCAUAUGUUCACACUUAAAGGAAAGCUGCUGAAAGGAAAAGUGAAGACUAAGCAAAGAUUGCUCAUAUCCCACAAAUUGAUAUCAUACAUCCAUGAAGAUUGAACUGAUACAAAAUGCCUUUCAGGUUCGAAAUCCCUAACUUUUCUUCUUAUUUUCUAUUACUUCAUUUUUAUUAUCUUACAUUAAAAAAUCCUCUGUUUUCAUUUGUUUUGGUAGUUCUUUUUAUUUGCACCUUAUUUGUUUUAUUAAAUGCUUACUCCAGUAAGUUUGAAAAUUUUUACAUCUUCAAAUCAUUUUGCUUGAGUGUUUUGCAUUCUAAGAGUUUGAGGAAAUAUUGAGCUCUAAUAUAAAUAGUAUUGGUCAUAGAGUCUUCCUUUCUUAAGAAGCUUACCAUUAACCUAAUGGCCAAAGGAUCCCAAAAGGAAACAACUUUGGGUUGACUUGAAGAUUUCACAUGGUCCAAACAUUCAUAUUUACUAGAUGCCUGAUACAAAAGAAAUUUUGCUCUCUUUUCAAUUUAGCCAUUGAUGUAGUCUAAAUGUUUUAUUAGAGCAAUAAUUGUCCAGUAAAUGCAAAAUAGAGAAUGGUGUUAAUGAAUUCAGUACUUCAUCUAUGUUGUAGACUUGUAGUUUAGCAGCUUCUGUUGAUAAUGAGUGUGAGGUUGGCUUUAUCAUGUCACUGUUCCAAAUAUUCUUAAAAAAAAAUCAUUUAAGCUCUAUUUGGUUCUUAGAAAAUUUAAGGGAAAAUGUGAGGAAAACAAAAUAGAGAAGAAAAGUGGAAGGAAAAAAAAGUGAAAGUCAAUGAAUUAUUUUUGUAUGCUACUUCAAACUCACUUCACUUUUUUUAACUCUUCAAUAUAAAGAUUAAAUCAUUUGAAAAAUGUGUAAAUUUCUAAUUAAUUUUAAUUAUAUUUGAUUUUCUUUGGUAUUUUCCAAAAGACAACCAAAUAUGAGAAAAUCAUUUUCCUUAACAUUUUUUUUCUUAGUACUUUUAGGGAACCAAACAUAACCUAAAUGUUUUAGUUUAGUAGUUUCAUCAAAUGAGAUAGACAACCUCACAUCUCUUAGUGAGCUGAGGUGCUAUGUCAAUUAAUGCUUUGUCUCUACUCUUCAUUGAAGUCUCUAUCUAUUGGAUGCACAAAUGAUAUGAUCCAAACUCAAAUUGAACACUAUUCUGGUUUUGCAACAUUACUGCACUCGAAAGGCAACUUCAACUCACUUAUAGACCUUCCUAUUGGUGAUUGCACUGAAUCGACAUCACUUUGGAAGAGAUGUGUUCCACACAGAAAAUCUUUCAUUAUAUGCACCUACUCGCGAGAUACCAAAGGGAAACAGGUGAAUACUUGCCCAAGAAUACAAAGGUCAUACUUGGUGAAGGUUCCGUCAAUAAGGAGAACCAUUUCAAGUAUGGAAUUCUCAUUUCUUCUCAUUUUCUUAUGGCUUUAUUUUUAUUCAAUAUCUAUAUGAAAUUAUUUAUGUUCAUUUUCUUUAGAUAUUACAUUUUUUUGCUUUCUCAAUAAUUUCAUUCAAGUUCUUUUGGAUAUCACAUUUUCUUUGGUGUUUUUUUUAGAAUAAUUCAAAAUGUCUUUUUUAACGAUUCACAAAAUUUGAUCAUAGUUGAGUGAUUAAAAUUCAAGUUUAUUAUUAUUAUUAUUAUUGGUUAUUUGAUAUAUUUGUUUUCUUAUACAGAUAAAAGACUGGCAGCUAAUGUGCAUAGAAUUUGUAGAAGAGAAUAAAGAUUUGAUCUAAGUUAUUUCUAAUAGGUUGAGGAAUUCAUUCUUGUAAAAAUUGAGUGUUAAAGCCUUCAAGAGGUUUGAAUCUUGAAGAAAUUAUGUAAGAGCCCAUUGGAGCCAGAAUCCAAGUGUAAAGGAGAUUGGAAGCUUGGUUGAAGCUUCAAGUUAGUGAAACCCUCACUCGGUUAGGAGAUUGAGGAGAGUGGACGUAGGCAAGGAAAUGCCGAACCACUAUAAAAUCCAAGUUUAAAUUCUCUAACUCUAUCUCUUUAUUUUUUUAUUAUAUUGUGCUUGAAUUUGUUGUGUUGAAAAAGUUUUUGAAAAACCCAAUUCACCCUCCUCUUAGGUGUUUUUCUCAUUUAAGCAUAACCUUUAUUUUCUCACACUUGAAAUCCUUUCUCAUUAAUUUGCUUCCACCUCAUAAGCAACCCUCGAAACCACUUACACCAUGACAAGGUGAAAAGAAACUAAUGCAGCAUUCUUAAUAUAUAAGAAGAUAUUAAAGGAAGGUUGGCCACAUAUGAGGACCCUGUUUCUAACGUAGAAUUUUAGAUUUUUGUGUUUUUCCUAUCACUAUUCCUAUACUAUUACCAAUGCACCUUAUUUGUCAAGAUGAUUAAAAGGGAAUUCCCUAGGAUAACUAGUGUCUCAAGUGAUCUUGAGGUUCAUAAAUUUUUGGUUUCCACAAGAUAGGUGCCAACUAUUUUUAUUUUUUUUUACACCCAUGCAAUAUUCCAGUCAUCUAUUAACAAGGGCUAAAAUUUCUUGUAAAGAAUAAAAUAAAGAACUAAAUUACAUGAAAAUAGGACAUUAUUAUUCUAUUUACAAGUAAGGGCCAAAAAUUGUUGAGGGUUAUCAAGCACAUUGUUCCUAAAAUAAUAGCAUCCAUGAAGAUUGAACUGAUACAAAAUGCCUUUCAGGUUCGAAAUCCCUAACUUUUCUUCUUAUUUUCUAUGACUUCAUUUUUAUUAUCUUACAUUAAAAAAUCCUCUGUUUUCAUUUGUUUUGGUAGUUCUUUUUAUUUGCACCUUAUUUGUUUUAUUAAAUGCUUACUCCAGUAAGUUUGAAAAUUUUUACAUCUUCAAAUCAUUUUGCUUGAGUGUUUUGCAUUCUAAGAGUUUGAGGAAAUAUUGAGCUCUAAUAUAAAUAGUAUUGGUCAUAGAGUCUUCCUUUCUUAAGAAGCUUACCAUUGACCUAAUGGCCAAAGGAUCCCAAAAGGAAAUGACUUUGGAUUGGCUUGAAAAUUUCACAUGGUCCAAACAUUCAUAUUUACUAGAUGCCAGAUACAAAAGAAAUUUUGCUAUCUUUUCAAUUUAGCCAUUGAUGUAGUCUAAAUGUUUUAUUAGAGCAAUAAUUGUCCAGUAAAUGCAAAAUAGAGAAUGGUGUUAAUGAAUUCAGUACUUCAUCUAUGUUGCAGACUUGUAGUUUAGCAGCUUCUGUUGAUAAUGAGUGUGGGGUUGGCUCUAUCAUGUUACUGUUCCAAAUAUUCUUAAAAAAAAAAAAAUCAUUUAAGCUUUGUUUGGUUCUUAGAAAUUUGAGGGAAAAUGUGAGGAAAAUAAAAUAGAGAGGAAAAGUGGAAGGAAAAAAAAGUGAAAGUCAAUGAAUUAUUUUUGUAUGCUACUUCAAACUCACUUCACUCUUUUUAACUCUUCAAUAUCAAUUUCUAAUUAAUUUUAAUUAUAUUUGAUUUUCUUUGGUAUUUUCCAAAAGACAACCAAAUAUGAGAAAAUCAUUUUCCUUAACAUUUUUUUUCUUAGUACUUUUAGGGAACCAAACAUAACCUAAAUGUUUUAGUUUAGUAGUUUCAUCAAAUUAGAUAGACAACCUCACAUCUCUUAGUGAGCUAAGGUGUUAUGUCAAUUACUGCUUUGUCUCUACUUCUUCAUUGAAGUCUCUAUUUAUUGGAUGCACAGAUGAUAUGAUCCAAACUCAAAUUGAACACUACUCUUGUUUUGCAACAUUACUGCACUCGAAAGGCAACUUCAACUCACUUAUAGACCUUCUUAUUGGUGAUUGCACUAAAUCGACACCACUUUGGAAGAGAUGUGUUCCACAUAGAAAAUCUUUCAUUAUAUGCACCUACUCGCAAGAUACCAAAGGUAAACAGGUGAAUACUUGCCCAGGAAUACAAAGGCCAUACUUAGUGGAGGUUCCAUCAAUAAGGAGAAUCAUUUCAAGUAUGGAAUUCUCAUUUCUUCUCAUUUUCUUAUGGCUUCAUUUUUAUUCAAUAUCUAUAUGAAAUUAUUUAUGUUCAUUUUCUUUAGAUAUCACAUUUUUUUGUUUUCUCAAUAAUUUCAUUCAAGUUCUUUGGAUAUCACAUUUUCUUUGGUGUUUUUUUUAGUAUAAUUCAAAAUGUCUUUUUUAAUGAUUCACAAAAUUUGAUCACAGUUGAGUGAUUAAAAUUCAAGUUUAUUAUUAUUAUUAUUAUUAUUAUUAUUAUUAUUGGUUAUUUGAUAUAUUUGUUUUCUAAUACAGACAAAAUACUAGUAGCUAAUGUGCAUAGAAUUUGUAGAUAGAAUUUGUAGAAGAGAAUAAAAAUUUGAUCUAAGCUAUUCCUAAAGACCAGAAACUUUUAGAGCUACCCAAGAUCUAACAGGUUGAAUUUUGAUUCACUUAGUUUACAAUCCACUAAUUAUCCUUAUGUCAUUUUUGUUAUGUUACAAAUUGCCUUUACUUGUUAUUCAACCUAUCUUAAUAAUUUGGGAAGACCAAGAUAACGUCUUCCUAGUAGAACUGGCUCAAAAAUUGAAAAGGUAAACUCAUAUCACCUAUCUACAUGCCCACAACAUUAUAAACACUAGCUCAUGUGUUCCUCACUAUUGAGAUUGUUGUUGCAUGUAGGCAUUUUGGGCGAGGAGGCUCGACUUGUGAUCAUCAAUAACAGAAGGCAUGCUUUUAUACAGAGAAGCCCAAAGAAACAUUUAAGCACUUUGUUAGCCCAAGGGUUCUCCUAAUCAGGUUUUGAUGAUAACAAACCAUGGUUAAGUGACUAAUUGGUUUGAAUGGUAAAAAAUCUUAGGUAUAAAUUUGGAAAUUCAUCAAAUGAUCAAAUGAAUACAAGAUCGAGACUUUUGGAAGACUUUUGAUCAUAGGAAACAAAUGUAAGAUGAAUGCAUGGGUGCACUUAGAUUUUACAUAUCUUUUCAUGAAUCUUUGAAAACUCAGUUUAUUCCUUUAAAUUACGAUUUCAUUAAAACCCGAGUUUUAUCAAAUGUACCUUAGGUAAAACGUUUCAAAAUUGGCAUAUUAAUUUACCUAAAGACCUUGCCUAAGUGUUAGAAAGGAAAAGAAUUGAAAAAUAUAGGUUUUCGGGGCCAAAAGGCUAAAUUGAUCGAGGCACAUGCCAGCCGGCUCAACCAACUAGGGAACCGGUCAAUCGGUUGCUCUUGUUCGAUCGAGAUCUGGUCGAGGAGUGUUAAAAACACUUUCUCUCAUCCAGUAGCCUUCUCUUCCCAGUCGAGGUACUCUCCUUACCUUUGGUCGAGGUUCGGUCGAGGCAACGGUAACCUGCCAAAGCAUUAAAUGCUUCAACGGCUAGUGAACCAGUCAACCCCCAGCUCGACCGAUUGAGGCUAUUUUUUGCUUUUUUUGGCUCCCGAGCUUAGAAACCAAUAAAUUGAGAGCUCCACUUCAUUUAUGACAUAGAGAAAACUUGCAAUCAAUUGUCUACCCACUUGUUCUUGCCUUAAAAGCUCUCAUUUAUUUCUUAGUGCAUUAAAUCCUCACUUGCAUAUCCUUUUAGUGCACCCUUGUGAAUCAUCCUAGCUUUGAUUUGUAUUUGAACUAUCAUUGAGCUAGAUUGAGGGAUUCAUUCUUGUAAAAAUUGAGUGUUAAAGCCUUCAAGAGGUUUAAAUCUUGAAGAGAUUAUGUAAGAGCCCAUUGGAGCCAGAAUCCAAGUGUAAAGAAGAUUGGAAGCUUUGUUGAAGCUUCAAGUUAGUGGAACCCUCACUCGGUUAGGAGAUUGAGGAGAGUGGACGUAGGUAAGGAAAUGUUGAACCACUAUAAAAUCCGAGUUUAAAUUCUCUAACUCUAUCUCUUUAUUUUUUAUUAUAUUGUGCUUGAAUUUGUUGUGUUGAAAAAGUUUUUGAAAAACCUAAUUCACCCAUCUCUUAGGUGUUUUUCUCAUUUAAGCUCACUCUUGAAAUCCUUUCUCAUUAAUUUUCUUCCACCUCAUAAGAAACCGUCAGAACCACUUACACCAUGACAAGGUGAAAAGAAACUAAUGCAACAUUCUCAAUAUAUCAGAAGAUAUCAAAGGAAGGUUGGCCACAUAUGAGGACCUUGUUUCUAAGGUAGAAUUUUAGAUUUUUGUGUUUUUCUUGUCACUGUUUCUAUACCAUUACUAGUGCACCUUAUUUUUGAAGGUGAUUAAAAGGGAAUUCCCUAGGAUAACUAAUGUCUCAGAUGAUCUUGAGGUUCAUAAAUUUUUGGUUUCAACAAGAUAGGCGUCAAACCAUUUUUAUUUUUUUCUACACCCAUGCAAUAUUCCAUUCAUUUAUUAAUAAGGGCUAAAAUUUCUUGUAGAGAAUGGAAUAAAUAACUAGAUUAAAUGAAAUAAGACAUUAUUAGUCUAUUUACAAGUAAGGGCAAAAAAUUCUUGAGGGUCAUUAAGCACACUGUUCCUAAAAUAAUAACAUCCAUGUCGUCGAGCAAAAGUUUAUUGCAAUUACAUUAGCAUAUAAAACAAAACUAAUUUUUUUUUAUGGAAAAUUUAACCGCACUUUAGAAGUUUGUGAUUAUUCUUUGGUCCAUCUUAAAACGAGUUCCUGCAUUUUUCCAUUCCUCAAAUUAAAAUCACAAUAAAAAGUUUUAGAUUGACCUAAAAUUUUCUCAUGGCCUAGAAAUUCAUAUCUACCAGAUGGCUAAAGCAAAAAACACUUCUACCUUGUAUUUUAAGUAAUCCCUGCUUGCUAUUUGUUUAUUGAGAGCAUCAUACAAGUUGUGAUUAUAUUUCUUAAUUUUUUUAUAUGAUAAGACGGUAACUGGAUUGAGAAAGAUGCAACUUGUAGAGCAGAAAAUUUCUUAACUACUUUCCUUGUAUUUGCUUUGUGUGUAUCAACUGUUCUGUUAAUUAUUUUUUAAAAAUAUCACUAAAACAAACCUAUUAUGUCAGUGCUCUCUAUUGUUAUGUAUCAUAAUUUAGCUAUUUUUUUUCCCUAGAAAUCAUGCUUGUUAUUGUGUUAAUCAGUAGGUAGCAUAAGAACUAUUUUGUUCAAGUUAUUUUGUAUUGGCAUUCUUCAUGUUUUAAAAUAUUGUCAGACUAGCAAUUUUACUGCAGAUAUAAUGUUCUCAAAUCAAUGCAAAAAGGGACGAUUGUGGGGCUUGGGCACAACCUUCCUUGAAUAGUUGAAUUGAGGAUUUCUAUAAACUAGGUCUCUAUAUCAACAGAUUCUACAUUUCAUCACUAUGGGGACCUUACAAUAAAUAUCGCAAAAAGCUUCAUUUACUACAUAGUAAGGAUAAUCCUAAGGACUUAAAAGCUUGAGUUGUCUUUUCCAUGGCAGCUUCAGAUCUCUUAAUAAGCUCCAAGUCAUUGUCUACCUUGAAUAUAAAUCACUGCUAGAAGUAUGUGCCCUCAACAUUCCCAUGUUCCCGAUAUUGACUAGAUAGUUUUUGCUAAUUCAUGAAGAAUUGAAGGGAUCUUUGAUAAUGACAUCUAUAAUGUACUUCAAGUUCAUGAUCCAAACCCUCUUAUUGCUUUCAAUAACUUCAUUUUUUUUAUAUUACUUUGUGGUCAAUGUUAUAAGGAUGUUGUAUUUUGUUUACCUGAUUCUCAUCCAUUAGCACACAUGAAAGGAAAAGUUUUACAUUGCUUUCCUUCCCUUUGCUCUGUGUUUGUAUAUGUUUAUGCAGCUAAUGCGAACUUCCACCGUAACUUUUUAAGUUUUUUCAUUCUCGAGUUUGGGAAACAACUGGAUUUGAUUGUAAUAUUUUCUUGUAGAUAUCACCUUUCUUAAAAAGCUUGCAUUUAUUCACAUUUUCAAGAUGGCUAAGUCAUCUGAUUAUGCUUAGAACUUUUGGUUUCUAUUAAAUUCAGGUAUGAUGUUUGCAAUUCUAACCCCCUUACUCCUCUUGAAGACUACAUAAGUUUCUAGUGCUUUUACUUUAAUGGUUAUAGUCAAUGUAUCCUCUUGUUACUUCCUGCUUGCAUUCUAUAUGUUCAAGAGCUUUAUUAAAGUAAUUAUUUUAUUGAAGAUAUAAUUGUUUUCAGGUCAAAGCAAAAUUGAAUAAUGACGUGGUUUCAACAACUUCUCAAAAGUAAUUGGAAAGUAAGGAACUUUGUGGUAGUAUUCUGAUAUCACAUUGGGCCUUCAAAUUGUUGUCUUGAAUUGACAUAAAUAACAUAAUUUCUUUCCUAGUUAAGCUGCUUCAACAUGUUAUUAUGCUUCAAACUCUUUCAAUUAUGUGUUGUUUAGGUUUGGCAACAUUAGUACACUGGAUAUGUUGCCUCGAGUUACUUACACGACAUAAAAUUCAUCUUUAUUGUUAACUAGCAUCACUACCACAAGAUGAGUUCCCUCAGCAUUCUACAGACAACUAUAAUUUGGGACAAUUCUGGUUUGGCAACAUUAUCGGAGUUGAUAGGCAACCUAACAAAAACCUUUAAAUUUAUAUUUAUCCCAAACUAGCAUCACUGUUGGAAGACGUGCAUCCUUAGCACCCUAUAACCACUCACAAUUGGAGACUGUUAUGGUUUGUAAACAUUUAACAGACUUGAUAGGUAACCUUGCACCAGUUACAGAGCUUCAAAUUCAUGGCUAUCUUGAAUUGACAUCACUUUCAAACUAGAUGGUUCAUCCAAACCUCAGUUGACACCCAUAAUUCAAGACUUCUCCAUUUUGGCAAUGAUAACAGAUUUGAUAAGCAUCCCUACUUCACUUACAUACACUAAAAUUGAUAGCUACCUCGGAUUCACAUCAUUGUCACAAAAGAUUGGUUCCUUCAUAUCCCUGCAGACACUUGUGAUCUUUUAUCAUCCAUGUAUAUUAGAAAGACUUAAAAGGGAAAUAGGUGAAGAUUGGCCCAAUAAUCUUCAGUCCUAGAUAUUGAUAUUUGGUGAAGAUUGGACUAAUAUAGAGUUAGUUCAGGUUUGAAAUCCCAAUCUUUCUUCUCAUUUUUUAUGGUUUUGUUUUUAUCAAUAUGCUUUGUUUACAUUCUAUAUGGUAACUUUUGUAUGUAUUAGCAUAUAGAUCAAAAAGGACUUAGAUGAUUAAUUUGAAAAGUUUGCAUCCUCAAUUAAUUAGUAAUUAAAGACCAAACUAAUCAUAUUACUUUAAGUCUUGCAUUGUAAGAGUUUGGGAAAAUGUUAGGGUUGACUGAACUACUAUUUUAUAACAGAUUUUGCCUUACUCAAGAAUCUUGUGAUUAUCCCUUGGCACAAUCAUUUCUCGUGUCUAAGAAAUUCAUAUCUACUACAUGGCCAAAGAAUUUAGUAGCAUUCAAAAUUUAUGUUUUCUUUCAAGUCAGGUGUAUUGCUUGCAGUUCUAACAUGUUUCCUAUUUUGAACAUUGUAUUGUUAUUUUACUAUCAAUGUGUUAAGAGCAUUAUACUCUAUUUUCUAUAAUGUUGUUUACUUGUCAUAUGUAUUAAUUAUUUUAUUGCAAAUGUACUUGUUGCCAAGUUAAAGCAAAAGAGGAAAGUGAGGAUUUUUCAUGGACCAAUGCCUCUCUCAGUUGCUGCCACACUUGACUUCUCUCUAAGUUGUUGAAAAUUUAAAAGUGUGGUAGCAUAAAGUAUUCAGCUCAAGUGCUUUAGUGCCUCACUACCCUUGAAGCUUUAGAAGCUGUCAAUACAAUUGGGGUUUCAACAUGUAACCAUUUUGGAAAUUCUAAGAAGUGUAAGUAUUAUGGUUUUACAACUUUAUUAGACUAGAUAGGCAACUUCAAAUUGCUGAAUGCCCUAAAUUAAAAUCACUACUAGAAGGAACCCAUGAGCACUCUAUAGAAACUCAUAAUCUACUACUUUUGCCACUUAUUAAGAAUGCUAAAAGGAAAAAGUGAAGAUUGGCUUGAGCAUGAUUGAUUAAUAAACCACACAUGGUCUCCUUAAUUCAAGUGUGUCAUUUGUUAUAUGUUUCAUGUCAGUAAUCCUACAUUUCUCUUGUUUCUAUUGGCUCUAUUUUUUUGAAUUAUUUUACAAUCAAUCUUCUAACAAUGUUCUACUUUUUUUACAAUUUUAUUUUUUUAUUCUAAAAUGAAUUAAGACAUAUAAAGAAAAAAAUCACCUUGUUUGAUUUUCAUAUACUAUAUGCUUAAAUGUACAUGUGUUAAAAUCUUUUGAUUUUUUAUUGAUUACUUUCUAUUUAAUUUAUUAAAAAUUGUUAGUCUAUUUGGAGAUGAUUUUUUUUUUCAUAUGUAAUAAGAUACCAACAAAUUGAGUGAGGAGCACAUCUUACUAAGUCGCUUAUCAAUCUAUCCACCUUCCUAAUCUCAAGAUUCUUCAUGUUUGAAUUAAAAUACCAUGAAUUACAAAAACAAAAAAUGAUGAAAAUGAGUAUUUCUCGUCAUCUUCAUUUUUAUUAGAAGGCAAUUUGUAGCAUCCUCUUUCCCAUUCCUAAAAAAUACUACAGCUUUGUAGGUUGAGAAAUUAGACAUGUUUUCUUAAAUGAUCUUCUUGGUCCAUGCAUGCUUAUAUUUGGAAGAUUUUUAAACCAAGUAUUUUAUGACAUAUAUGAUAGCUUUCAAGUUAAUGCAUAAAUGGUGAUGGUUAGGAUGCAAAAUAUAGUCUAUGCUGAUUACUACCAAAAAGUGCUAUUUUGUAGAUCUAAUUAUAAUGGUUUUAAGCACCUUUGAGUAGUAAUCAUAUUCAUUUAACCCAAUUAAUUCAUUAAGGUCCUUAGUAAUUGGUUUUAACCAUUUUGUGGCAAGUUUACAUGUUUUUAUCAGCUUAUGAAUCGAUUCAAGCAUGCCAAAUGAUGGAGGAGCUACUUGGACAAGUUAAAGCAAGGAUUUUGGAAGUUUACAGGCUUGAAUUUUAAGUGGAAACACGAGCACAAGCAAUGGAGAAGAGGAAAACAGAGUGAAGAAAACAGAGGACAGCAGCUGCAGUUUUCUUUUGCACUUUUGGAGCACUUUCCGAAGUCCAUUUUCUACAUUCUUUAUACCAUUUCAAAGCUCAGGAAGUCAAUAAUCCAAUGCUUCAAACGGUGCACGAUUCGGAGUUGAAACGAAGGAGUUACAUCCAUUGCAAGCAGAUCACUCCAAGCUGUUUUUGCACGGUUGCGAAAUCAGCCUUUUGUUGCGAGAAUUUCACAGCCAUUUUGCACAGUGCACGGGUGUUCUCCUGAAGCUUCCCGAUAGUUGCGACCGAAACUUUUAGAUCUUUUCUUCAGAUAUUUUUGUAUAAAUUUCCAUUCUUCUCCUUGUAAGCCACCAACCAUAAGAUUUCUUAGUUAGGAAGGUUGGAAAAACGUCUCUAUAUAUAUUCCCUUGCAUCCACUGUAUAUAAAAAAUAUGUAAUAUCAAUCAAUAUAUAAUAUAUCUACAGAGCACUUGCUCUGUUUUUCAUUCAUAUUCUUGUUUUCAUUUUCAUUUUCAUUUUCUAGCCAACCAAACUCUAAGGAUUUUUCCUCAGAGGAUGAGAGGCUAAGCUCUUUGUCUCUUGGAGUGAAGAAAGCCGGGUAAGUUUCCAUAUGCAUAAAUUGGAAGUUUUGUUGUUUUAGUUUUUAAUGAAGAGAAAGUGUGACCCGUUAAUGGUUUUUAUCUUUUUAGUUAACUUAAAACGCCUUUAAAUCACCUGGGCCAACACUUGGUAAGGCAAGUGAUUUCCGUCCAUGGAGAUUCACUAGUUUACCCCUUGCGAGCCUUUGGGAGGUGACUUGAAGGUAGGAUUUUCUAGAAUAGCCAACACUUGGUAAGCUUUUGGACUCCAAGGAGACAUCCAUUAGUUAUCUCUUGCGAGCUUUUGACGGGUAAUCCAAGGUUAAAGAUCACCUUGAAUGGCAAGUGCUAGGUGAGAGGUAUGAGCCAUUGCAUGGUGCAUCAGUGAGAGGGAUUUAGUGUUUGAACCCAUUAAUGGGAAGCAUCUGUACAACACCGGUUGGAGAAGGAACUAUAUGUUAAUUCUCUAAUGCGAGGAAAAGAAACAAGUGACCGGAACUCUCCAUUUUUGUAUGAGGAAUCUGAGCCUAGUGAUCUGAAACUCCAAGAAACAUCUUUUCUUUGUAAGUAAAAUCAGUUACUAUUUUUGGUUAGUUUAAAACCGAACUUUUUCCAUUUAAACAAGUUUAUGUUUUCUUUUAAAGCUAACCUUGAAAUGAAAAGGCACCAAUUCAACUUUGAAUUAAUAUCAUUUGUGAAGUGAAAACUCAUCCUAGUGAACGAUCCUAGAGCCACUAUGCUAUAGUAGCUUUGUCUUUGCUACCCUAGUAUAUGGUGUAAUAGGUUAAAAAUUUUGUUGAUUACUCCCUCAUUCAAGGAGCACCAGCUGGACACAAAUCAGCUGAGACACCAAUUGGGCACAAAUCAAAUGGCGCCGUUGCCGAGGAUGGUGCCACUUUACAAUGAUAUCACCUUUCUAGAGUACUUGUGAUCUUCAUCACAAGUUUGGUGACUUUUCUUUUCCUUUUACUAACUCUUUUUAUUUCUUUAUUGUUCAUAUUUUAGUAUACCUUUUAUUUAGUUUUUAGUUUACCUUAAUUUUCUUUCUUUGAAUUGUUUUUCUUUUGUUUUCUUUUGUGUUCUCUGUUUUUAAUUCACAAAUUGCUAGUUGUGCAUGCCAUAUUGAAUACGAGAUAGUAGAGGAAGCCAUGAACUUCAUGAGUUAUAUGGCUGAAGUCUCAAGAGGAUGGGAUGAACCAAAUGCUAGAGAUAUGGGAAGAAAGACGUCUCAACCUAAUGCUAAGGGUGAGAUGUAUAUUUUGGAUGAUGGCAUAGACAUGAAGGCAAAGAUUGCAGCUAUGGCAAGGAGAUUGGAAAAGCUAGAAAUGAUGAAUAUGCAACCAGUGCAAGCCAUCUCUUAGACACCAUUGCAAGCUAUGCCUUGUGCCAUUUGUCUAUCUUAUGAGCACUUGGUGGAUGAGUGUCCUACCAUUCCAGCCGAAAGGGAAAUGUUUGGUGAUUGCAACACCUACAAUUCCAAUUGGAGGGACCAUCCAAAUUUCUCUUGGAAACCACAGCCACCUCAGUAUCAGCAACCUGCUCAAGCACCACAGCAAGCCUCAAACCUUAAACAAGCUAUAGUGAAUCUUAGCAAGGUUGUGGGAGACUUUGUUGAAGCUCAAGAAGCCAUCAAUGCUCGAGUCGAUCAAAGAAUUGAUAGAAUGGAGAGUAUGUUGAAUAAAAGGAUGGAUGGAAUGCAAAAUGAUAUGGCCCAAAAUUUUGACAACAUCCAAUAUUCAAUUUCAAGGCUCAUAAAUUUGAACACAGUGCAAGAGAUAGAAAACUCCCCUUCUCAACCUUAUCAAAAUUCCAUGAGUAUCCAUGAAAUGGAGGCUCAAGAGGGAGAAUGUUCAAUGGUGAAGGAAAUUGAAGAGGUUAUCACUUUGAGGAGUGGUAAAGAGGUUGAUCUGCCCACAUGCAAGCUAGAACAUAAGGAAGAGAGUGAAACAGAGAAAGAAAAGAGGGAGGAAAUCAAAGGAAAGAAAAAGGGGAAAAGCAUAGAGAAAGAUGGCUAUGAUGUUAAUGUACAAAGAGAACCACAAAGGAUAGUCAUCAAGGAAGAAUUGAUGAAGAAACACAUGCCUCCACCUUUUCUCCAAGCUUUGUAUGGGAAAAUCAUACAAACCAAGUCUCAAGAGAGAGAUGCAAACUUCAUAUGGGAUCCGGGCAAGCUAAAUAAGGAUCAAAUUUUUUGAUGGACUUAGUCUUUUUAAAGACUAGUUAGUCCAUAUCUUUUUGUUUUGUUUUUUUUACUUGUUUUAAUUUUGAUUUCAAUGUUUUAAUUUUGAUUUCAAUACUUUAAUUCUAGUUUGUUUUGAUGUAAUAUAGGUUUUUGGAUGAUCAAAAUCAAGAGGAAUUGCAAAUAAAUUGAAGGAAGUCUUUCGGAGCAAAAUCGGAGUCAAACGGAGCGAAAAUAGGGGAAAAACAGGGGUCUGCGAAAUUUCGCAACCUCUGCGAAAUCGGCACUUUGCUGCGAAACCAGUUCGUAGCCUCAGGACCCUCUCUGCGAAAAUUUUCGCAGCUGCGAAACCACUUUUGGCACACGAGUGCCACUUCGCAGCACAAGAGCCCCCAUUUCGUAGCUGCGAAACGGCUGCGAAGUCCCAAAACGUGAAAAAUCCCAAUUUCGCAGCCAAAGCUCCAUUCCGCAGAGGAUUUCGUGGCUGCGAAACCAACUUUGGCACACGAGUGCCAUUUCGCAGCAUAGUGACUCUCAUUUCGCAGCUGCAAAACGGCUGCGAAGCUCCAAAGCGUAAAAAAUUCCCAAUUUCGCAGCCAAAGCUCCAUUCCGCAGAGGAUUUCACGGCUGUGAAACCAACUUUGGCACACGAGUACCAUUUCGCAGCACAAUGACUCCCAUUUCGCAGCUGCGAAACGGCUGCGAAGUCCCAAAAUGUGAAAAAUCCCAAUUUCAUAGCCGCACCCCCAUUUUGGCAAUUGUUGGACACAUCUCGAUCACUUCCCGAAGUUCAAAUUAUGCAUGCAAUAUCUCGUUUCAAAUAUUAGGAAGUCAGGAGUUCAUAGCUUCAAACGGUGUUCGAUUUGGAUUUGAAACGGAAAAGUUAUGGCCGUUUGAAGAUGACUGUGCAAACCAUGAGCGGAAAUGUCGCACCUCCAUUUUGCUACUGUUGGACACAUUUUUGAAGCACUUACUGGAGCUCAAAUUAUGCAUACCAUAUCUUGUUUCAAAUCUUGGGAAGUCAGGAGUCCAGAACUUCAAACGGUGCACAAUUUGCAGUUGAAACGAAGAAGUUAUGGUUAUUUGAAGACAAGCGCUCAAAGCUGAGCGGGAAUUUCGCAGCCGAGACACCAUUUGGAAGGGUGUUUCGCAGCUGCGAAACCACUUUUGGCACAUGAGUGCCAUUUUGCAGCACAGUUCCCCUCAUUUUGAAGCUGCGAUACACCUGCGAAAUCACUUUUGAGCUACGAAAUGAGUUGCGAAAUCAAUAUUGGGCUGCGAAAUCACUUUUGAGCUUUGAAAUGGCUAUGAAAUGAUUUUCAAACUUCAAAAUGGCUGCGAAAUCACCUCCAAGCAUCGAAAUGGCCUUCAAAUUUCGAAAUUGACUUGCGAGAUGGAGGAAGUUUUGCAAAAACACUUUGCAAAGCCAAUAGAAGUUGCUAAAAUGCCAUCAGAGCCUCACAAUCAUGCAUCUGAAGAGGAGAGCCCCGCACACCCUGGGAUCACACACACCAAGCCUCUCACUCCAUUUUUGACCUCCUUAAACCAUCAAAUCCCAUAGCUACCAGCUGAGAGCUCCAGCUAAGGAGACUAUGCCACCUAAGGAGAUUACCAGAACAGAGUCCAAAGUCCUGAUCCAACCCACUCAAGAGGCCACCAUAGUUGCAUCAGCUCCACAGGAUCCUACCACUACUUGAUCAUCUCUUUACUUUUUGUCUUUACAUAUUAUAUUAGUGUAGAUAAUUCCAUGUUUUGAUGUCUUAUAUUCUGGGAUUGGAUGUAUUACUGAUGAUGCAUCAUACAUAGACAUCAUUUUUGUUUAAACUUGACAUUUUUCUAUUUCCUCUACUCACUAACUCUUAUGUUUUCUUUGAAACAUGUGGUUUCUCCUAUACGACUCAGACUCCAUGUCACUAAGGAGGUACCACUUCCUCCCUAUUUUUUAAUCGCUUUUGUCACAUUGAGGACAAUGUUCAGCUUGGUUGGGGGGAGAGUUGAGGAAGUAAGUAUUGUUAAUAAUGCUAAGUUAUUUUGGUAAUUUAGUUGCUUUUUGCUUAAUUUUUAAAAUUUUUGCUUUAAACUCCAUGGAUAUUAAGGAUUAACUCUCAAAAUUAAAUGAGAGAAGUCGAGUUUCAACUUGAUUACAUGAGUCUUAGAGUUUUUAUUAUGCUCUUCUAAAAGUUGAUGAAUUGUUGAAACUCUCAUUGCAUGCAAACUUAUCUCUUCCACCUUAAGCUAUUCGCACACACAUACAUUAGAUUCCGGUUAUAAGAUGUGAAACUAUCUCACCCUCUAAGCUUGAGAAAUCAUAAUUUGACACCUUUAACCUCUCUUUAAUAGUGUUGGGACACCUCAUAAAGACCAAUGAGUCUUUGAAAAAAUAGAAAAAAGAAAAAGAAAAAGAAAAAAAUAAUAAUAAUAUAGAAUAAACUUCUUUGCUUGCCUUGAAACCUGAGCAUGGUCCGAAGGGGUGGCGAAAGCCUUUAAAGCCUGGUGUCCUAAGCCUUUAUUGGUUGGGAGUCACCGAUCCUCUGCUUGUUACAUGGGUGAAUUGGUUAAGUGUAGUAAGUGAAAAGAAUUGUGAAUAAGAGGUGCGUUCCUAACCUAUCAAGAGAUGGUUAAUUUUGCUAAACUUAAAGAAAGACUUAGGUUGGGGGGAGAUGAUAGUUAUCCAUACUAUACUCGGAAGCUAAUCACAUUAACACUUAGCUUUUAGUGGAAGAAUUUGAUUUGGAUAUUUUGAGAAUGGAAAUUCUUUUGAUACUUAAACUUGCAUAAUAUCCAUUCUUUGUACUCUAUGAUCAAGUGAAUGCUUUGACAACUCUUAUUAUAGGUUGAGUUUCACAUCUUUAUUGAUCCAUGGAUGUCCAUCAUGCCACUCAUAUCAUUUUUUGGAGUGAUAUGCAUGAUCUCUUUUAUGUAUAUUAUUAUAGUUUACUUAGUUUUUAUCUCCUCCAUUGCUAAGGGACUAGCAAUGAGUCGGUUGGGGGGUGUGAUUACUACCAAAAAGUGCUAUUUUGUAGAUCUAAUUAUAAUGGUUUUAAGCACCUUUGAGUAGUAAUCAUAUUCAUUUAACCCAAUCAAUUCAUUAAGGUCCUUAGUAAUUGGUUUUAACCAUUUUGUGGCAAGUUUACAUGUUUUUAUCAGCUUAUGAAUCGAUUCAAGCAUGCCAAAUGAUGGAGGAGCUACUUGGACAAGUUAAAGCAAGGAUUUUGGAAGUUUACAGGCUUGAAUUUUAAGUGGAAACACGAGCACAAGUAAUGGAGAAGAGGAAAACAGAGUGAAGAAAACAGAGGACAGCAUCUGCAGUUUUAUUUUGCACUUUUGGAGCACUUCCCGAAGUCCAUUUUCUACAUUCUUUAUACCAUUUCAAAUCUCAGGAAGUCAAGAAUCCAAUGCUUCAAACGGUGUGCGAUUCGGAGUUGAAACGAAGGAGUUACAGCCAUUGCAAGCAGAUCACUCCAAGCUGUUUUUGCACGGCUGCGAAAUCAGCCUUUUGUUGCGAGAAUUUCGCAGCCAUUUUGCAUAGUGCACGGGUGUUCUCCUGAAGCUUCCUGAUAGUUGCGACCGACACUUUUAGAUCUUUUCUUCAGAUAUUUUUGUAUAAAUUUCCAUUCUUCUCCUUGUAAGCCACCAACCAUAAGAUUUCUUAAUUAGGAAGGUUGGAAAAACGUCUCUAUAUAUAUUCCCUUGCAUCCACUGUAUAUAAAAAAUAUGUAAUAUCGAUCAAUAUAUAAUAUAUCUACAGAGCACUUGCUCUGUUUUUCAUUCAUAUUCUUGUUUUCAUUUUCAUUUUCAUUUUCUAGCCAACCAAACUCUAAGGAUUUUUCCUCAGAGGAUGAGAGGCUAAGCUCUUUAUCUCUUGGAGUGAAGAAAGCCGGGUAAGUUUCCACAUGCAUAAAUUGGAAGUUUUGUUGUUUUAGUUUUUAAUGAAGAGAAAGUGUGACCCGUUAAUGGUUUUUAUCUUUUUAGUUAACUUAAAACGCCUUUAAAUCACCUGGGCCAACACUUGGUAAGGCAAGUGAUUUCCGUCCAUGGAGAUUCACUAGUUUACCCCUUGCGAGCCUUUGGGAGGUGACUUGAAGGUAGGAUUUUCUAGAAUAGCCAACACUUGGUAAGCUUUUGAACUCCAAGGAGACAUCCAUUAGUUAUCUCUUGCGAGCUUUUGACGGGUAAUCCAAGGUUAAAGAUCACCUUGAAUGGCAAGUGCUAGGUGAGAGGUAUGAGCCAUUGCAUGGUGCAUCAGUGAGAGGGAUUUAGUGUUUGAACCCAUUAAUGGGAAGCAUCUGUACAACACCGGUUGGAGAAGGAACUAUAUGUUAAUUCUCUAAUGCGAGGAAAAGAAACAAGUGACCGGAACUCUCCAUUUUUGUAUGAGGAAUCUGAGCCUAGUGAUCUGAAACUCCAAGAAACAUCUUUUCUUUGUAAGUAAAAUCAGUUACUAUUUUUGGUUAGUUUAAAACCGAACUUUUUCCAUUUAAACAAGUUUAUGUUUUCUUUUAAAGCUAACCUUGAAAUGAAAAGGCACCAAUUCAACUUUGAAUUAAUAUCAUUUGUGAAGUGAAAACUCAUCCUAGUGAACGAUCCUAGAGCCACUAUGCUAUAGUAGCUUUGUCUUUGCUACCCUAGUAUAUGGUGUAAUAGGUUAAAAAUUUUGUUGAUUACUCCCUCAUUCAAGGAGCACCAGCUGGACACAAAUCAGCUGAGACACCAAUUGGGCACGAAUCAUAUGCUCAACCUAUUUAUUGACAAACUACCAAGGGCUAGUGCUAAGGUAAACACCCAGCACUUGCAUCAUACUCUCUCUUCUCUGCCCUCUUUAGUUGUUUUCCAAAGUUCAUAUAUAAUGUCUUUAUCAUUCAAGUUUUCAUUUUCAACCACUUUUUAAACUUUUGUCUUUUUAUGGUUUUUACACGACAAUCCAUUUCUAAGAAAUUAUUGUACUAUAUUUAUAAAUCUUAUCUUUUUGUUCUUAUAGACAAUAGAACAACGUGGUAAUUGCAUGACAUACAAUUUGUAAUAGAUGGUCAACUAUAUAUUAAGUAAUCUUUAAUUGCCUUGGAGUUGAAACGUUUGAUGUUGAUAAGGUUUGAUAAUUCUCGCUUUGGUGCUUUGUUGGAUUUCAAUUCAGGUGAUUAAUUGAUCUUGUUAUAAUUCUUUGAUUGUUAUUAUAACUAUCGUGAUAAUCAUUCUUAUUUUAUUGUGGUAAUUGACUUCACUAACUUUUUAACAAUUAUAUCAUGAGUGAAAUGCCCAACCUAUUAUUGUUAGUAUUCCAUUAACAUACCUCUAAUGCCACCACUAAUAAACAUCAUGUAUUUAUAUUUAUAACACGUUUCAUUACUGAAAUAAUUUAAUAUUUUCAAAUUUCUUUUUAGAGUGUGAGAAAUAACCAUUAAUCUUUACAACAACAUAAGUAUCAUUGAUUUGAUAUUGCUUUCUUGAGUAAUUUGGCAAUUUAAUUAUGAAGUUUAGUUGGACAUUACUUGAGAUUCAUGUCUUAUGUAUAUGGUAUAUUUUCCAAACUUCAAUUAUAUUUAGUAGACUUGUAAGUGGUGUUUGUCUAUGAGUUUCAACUCUUGAAAACUAUUAUUGGAGCCUAAGUUCACUUUCAGUAAGGAAAAAAAAAAAAAACAACCUUUUCCUCAAUUGUGUAAUUUUAUUCACUAUUGACAUGCCCUUAAAUGGCAUUGCUAUUAUUUGUAGGGAACAUUGUCAAGUUCCAUAUUUGUCUAGAAAGUUAGAAGAAGUAUUUAAUUUGACAUGGUUUGGACAUCUUGCUACUAUCUUUUUAAAUUAGUUAUCAAUAAUUUUUCAAAGUUGACCUUUUUGUUUAUCUCAUACUCCUUUUAUAUUAAAAGGUACCGCAUGGGUAUUAUGUAGAGGAAUCAUGCCUUCUUUAAUUGAGGUGAGCCUCUUGCAAAAUAUUUCAGGUUUGCUCUCAUUCCAUUUGUUACUUCAUGUCUAUUUUUUUGUAAUCAAUCAAGCAAGAGUUUCUUACUUGUACAAUGGUAAACUUGCUUGCAUGAAUAAUAAUCUUUUUGCUAUUUUUUUCUUUCUUUAUUAUAUUCAUUGAUACGCUUAGAAGUGAAUAGUGAACCAAGUUUUUUGUUAAAAGAAAUCAAAUAUUGGUAAUUAUUUAGUAUCAUGUUUGUAAUAAUCAAUUAUUGAUUGUAAAGAUACUUGGCUUAAUCAAUUAUUAUAUUGAAAUCAAUUUAGUACUAUGACUAAUACCAAAAGGAUAAUAUUUAGUCUUGUUUGACCAUUAGUCACUAUUCUAGAGACAAAUGCUCACAAGUUUUGCAUCUUUGAAGCAUAUGAGAAAAGUUGGUUCAACUAUAUCACCAACUUACAAGCUCCUUAUAGUGUCCAUAUAUAUAACCUUCGUUGUUCAGGUUUAUGAUUCAUAUCUAAUUUUUUUUUUCAUCUUUUUAUUGUUUAUAAUUUUUUAAUUGAUUUGUUUAUAAAUUUUUAAACUUUAUUGGCAAUACUAAUUUUUUUUUAUUCUCAUGUGCAAUAGAAUAAUAAGUUGAAUAAGAAGCAUAAACUACUUAAUUGGUAUAACCGUUUACUCAAUUCUCUUCUCAGAUAUUUUUGUUCAAGGUAAUCAAAGUAUCAUUCUUUUUAUUUUUAAAGGUACUUGAACUCAGUGAGGACCAUUCCCAAAACACGCAAUCACUACAGUUGGAUUACUGAUAUCAUAUCCUUGAUUGACAUCUAUGCCAUUACAUUUGCAUCUAAAGGAUUUAUGAGGAAAAAAAUAUCUUCUUUAUUUCCAUUUUCCUUCCUUCUUUUGACCAUAAUUUGUGUGCUUAUUGGUAGCAUUCAUACCCUAAUAUAUUUGCUAGCAUAUAUAUGCAUAUCAUAAUCUAUUGAAUUUUUUAGCAUAAGGUCUUAGAGUAUUCACAUAUCUCUAGGUUCUAUAUAUUUAUAAUUUUUACAACAUCAAAUGAAGUAUAUGAACCUUAACCUGAAGGUGAAGUCUCUUUAAAGGGAGUUUCAACAUGUUAGCAAUUACCUAACUUAAUAAUCUAACAAUUUGGAACUCUAUAUAAUUUUGCAACUCUUUCAUAAAGUAAUUGUGUUACCUUUAUUCACAUUUUCUAUCUUUAUUUUUAAAAAAAUGAAUUGGUAAUUGUGUGUCAAAUCUUGCUUACAAUCAUUAAUAGGUACUUAUAUGCUAAAUGGAUAAAGUUAUUUUACAAUUGUUUCAAAAUAUUUGGAAUAUAUAUAUAUAUAUAUAUAUAUAUAUAUAUAUAUAUAUAUAUAUUUAUAGAUGUAAUCACUACCAAGCCAAUGCGAAAAGCUAUAACAAUGAGGAUUACAAAGCUUCAAUUAUGUCUUGGAGACUCAUAUUGACAAGUUGUAAAUGGUGGGUGAAGUCUCUUUAAAAGGAGCUUCAACAUGUUAGCAGUUACCAAACUUAAGAAUCUAACAACUUGGCACUAUAUAUCAUUUUGCAACUCUUUCAUAAAGUAAUUGUGUAACCUCUAUUCACAUUUUCUAUCUUUAUUUAAAAAAAAAAAAAUGAAUUGGUAAUUGUGUGUCGAAUCUUGCUUACAAUCAUUAAUAGGUACUUAUAUGCUAAAUGGAUAAAGUUAUUUUACAAUUGUUUCAACAUAUUUGACACACAAGUACCUAUUAAUAAGUAUAUAUUUAUAGAUGUAAUCAUACCUAGCCAAUGCGAAAAGCUAUAACAAUGAGGAUUACAACGCUUCAAUUAUGUCUUAGAGAUUCAUAUUGACAAGUUGUAAAUGGUGGGUGAAGUCUCUUUAAAAGGAGCUUCAACAUGUUAGCAGUUACCAAACUUAAGAAUCUAAUAGCUUGGCACUAUAUAUCAUUUUCCAACUCUUUCAUAAAGUAAUUGUGUAACCUCUAUUCACAUGCUCUAUCUUUAAUUUUUUUUUUAUAAAAAAAAUUUAAUUGGUAAUUGUGUGUUGAAUCAUUCUUACAAUAUUUAAUAGGUACUUAUACACUAAAUUGAUAAAGUUAUUUUACAAUUGUUUCAACAUGUUCUGAAAACAAAAAAGAUUAAUAAGUAUAUUUUUUCUAGAUGUAAUCACUACCAAGCCAAUGUGAAAAGCUAUAACAAUGAGGCUUACAAAACUUCAAUUAUGUUUUGGAGAUUCAUAUUGAAAGUUGUAGAUUAUGGAUGUAUAGUAUAGGAGUUAGAUUGAGUUUAUCAUUCUAUCUUUGACAUCUUAGUUUUCUAUUUAUUGUCCCUCAUAUAUAUUUGUCAUCUAUUCUUUACAACCAAUUUUUUAAGGACUUCUAUAUUUGUUUAAAUUUAUAUAUAUAUUUUUAUUUGUACUAGAACUUCACCAAGCUACAAAAGCAUCACAAGUUUUGCAAUUGGAGUUCAUGGAUCGGGUAUUUUAGUAGUUUUUGAACUUGAAAUUUUUUAAUGAUACUAAUGAGGAUGUUUACCUUGAUUAAUUUAACACUUAUAUUGCAAAUAUCUAUAUAGGAGUUCUAUACAUUUAUUUAAACAUUUAUAGACAUAUUUAUCCUCUUUCUAGCACAUUCUAAUGAUAUUUUUAACAUUGAUAUAAAUUGUUUGCUUGAAGGUUUCAACUAUUGAAAAUUAUUAUUCAAGCCUAAUGUUAAUCUUUUUCUAUAGUGGAUUUCAAAUAAUAAAUUAUUAUUUGAUUAUUUGUAGGGAAAAUAAACAACUUCUAUGUUUGAUAAGAAAGAAGAUAGAGUAGAUCAAUUUCACAAUAUACGAAUGCUACGCUUUCUAUACUUUUAAAGAUGGUUACAAUUGGCUUUCUAUACUUAACAAGUACAUCUUAGCUAAAAGUGAAAAAAUGUUUCUCUUUGCACAUGCCUUCACUACUAUUUUAAUUGCUAUCUUAAUAUGUUAUGGAAAAACCACGCAAAUAACAAUAAUAAGGAGAAGAAAUAAAAGAACAAAAAUAGAAAACUUAUAAAGUAGGACGAUUUAUGUGGUGUGGCCUAAAACCUACAUUUAUCUGUGAAAAUGAAGAUGAGCUUCCACUAUUAUUAAAGAAGAUUACAAUCCUAAAGCUCUCAAAUCUCAUGAUUACACUAAAAAUGGACUUUUUUUUUUAAAUCAAAAUCUCUUCCUUUAUUUUCUUGAUUAUAUAAGAAUAUUCCAUAGAGAAUUAAUUGUGUAAUUAUCAAAGAUAACUAUUCCUAAAAGAAAAAUCUUAUAAUAUGAUAUUUCCUUUAGAAUAAAAGAAAAAUAUCUUAUAUAAAUAUAUCAUAAUAGGAAAAUAUUAAAGACUUAUAAAUUGACUCAAAACAAUUUGAAAUAUUUUUCAACAAUCUCCACAUUGGCUCAAAUUCUCAAUAUUCAAAUAAACUCAAAAGUCUUCUAUGUUACUUUGCUCUUAUACACCCUUAAGGGAACUUCAAGUAAUAUCAAUACCAAUUAAGUCUAAGCAAUGCAUAAACUUAAUCAUAGAAAUAAGUUUAGCCAUCAUAUCUAUAAAAUUAUCAACUAUAGGGAUCUUUUUCAUUACAUUAGUACCUUGUUCAAUCACAUCUCUAAUAAAAUGCAUUCUAACAUCAAUAUGUUUGGUUCUCUCAUGUAACAUAUGAUUUUUAGUCAAAAGUAUGACACUUGGCUACCAUGAUAACAAUAAUCAAUGAUUGGAACCAAAUAAUUACAUUUUGUGUGCCUAAAAUUAGGCAUUCAUAUUUAAUAUCCAAUUCUAGUUUCAUCCCUUUACUCAAUUUUAUUCCUAAGUCCUUAAUUUUGGGUUUAAUGUAUUUUUUAAAUAUUUUNNNNNNNNNNNNNNNNNNNNNNNNNNNNNNNNNNNNNNNNNNNNNNNNNNNNNNNNNNNNNNNNNNNNNNNNNNNNNNNNNNNNNNNNNNNNNNNNNNNNNNNNNNNNNNNNNNNNNNNNNNNNNNNNNNNNNNNNNNNNNNNNNNNNNNNNNNNNNNNNNNNNNNNNNNNNNNNNNNNNNNNNNNNNNNNNNNNNNNNNNNNNNNNNNNNNNNNNNNNNNNNNNNNNNNNNNNNNNNNNNNNNNNNNNNNNNNNNNNNNNNNNNNNNNNNNNNNNNNNNNNNNNNNNNNNNNNNNNNNNNNNNNNNNNNNNNNNNNNNNNNNNNNNNNNNNNNNNNNNNNNNNNNNNNNNNNNNNNNNNNNNNNNNNNNNNNNNNNNNNNNNNNNNNNNNNNNNNNNNNNNNNNNNNNNNNNNNNNNNNNNNNNNNNNNNNNNNNNNNNNNNNNNNNNNNNNNNNNNNNNNNNNNNNNNNNNNNNNNNNNNNNNNNNNNNNNNNNNNNNNNNNNNNNNNNNNNNNNNNNNNNNNNNNNNNNNNNNNNNNNNNNNNNNNNNNNNNNNNNNNNNNNNNNNNNNNNNNNNNNNNNNNNNNNNNNNNNNNNNNNNNNNNNNNNNNNNNNNNNNNNNNNNNNNNNNNNNNNNNNNNNNNNNNNNNNNNNNNNNNNNNNNNNNNNNNNNNNNNNNNNNNNNNNNNNNNNNNNNNNNNNNNNNNNNNNNNNNNNNNNNNNNNNNNNNNNNNNNNNNNNNNNNNNNNNNNNNNNNNNNNNNNNNNNNNNNNNNNNNNNNNNNNNNNNNNNNNNNNNNNNNNNNNNNNNNNNNNNNNNNNNNNNNNNNNNNNNNNNNNNNNNNNNNNNNNNNNNNNNNNNNNNNNNNNNNNNNNNNNNNNNNNNNNNNNNNNNNNNNNNNNNNNNNNNNNNNNNNNNNNNNNNNNNNNNNNNNNNNNNNNNNNNNNNNNNNNNNNNNNNNNNNNNNNNNNNNNNNNNNNNNNNNNNNNNNNNNNNNNNNNNNNNNNNNNNNNNNNNNNNNNNNNNNNNNNNNNNNNNNNNNNNNNNNNNNNNNNNNNNNNNNNNNNNNNNNNNNNNNNNNNNNNNNNNNNNNNNNNNNNNNNNNNNNNNNNNNNNNNNNNNNNNNNNNNNNNNNNNNNNNNNNNNNNNNNNNNNNNNNNNNNNNNNNNNNNNNNNNNNNNNNNNNNNNNNNNNNNNNNNNNNNNNNNNNNNNNNNNNNNNNNNNNNNNNNNNNNNNNNNNNNNNNNNNNNNNNNNNNNNNNNNNNNNNNNNNNNNNNNNNNNNNNNNNNNNNNNNNNNNNNNNNNNNNNNNNNNNNNNNNNNNNNNNNNNNNNNNNNNNNNNNNNNNNNNNNNNNNNNNNNNNNNNNNNNNNNNNNNNNNNNNNNNNNNNNNNNNNNNNNNNNNNNNNNNNNNNNNNNNNNNNNNNNNNNNNNNNNNNNNNNNNNNNNNNNNNNNNNNNNNNNNNNNNNNNNNNNNNNNNNNNNNNNNNNNNNNNNNNNNNNNNNNNNNNNNNNNNNNNNNNNNNNNNNNNNNNNNNNNNNNNNNNNNNNNNNNNNNNNNNNNNNNNNNNNNNNNNNNNNNNNNNNNNNNNNNNNNNNNNNNNNNNNNNNNNNNNNNNNNNNNNNNNNNNNNNNNNNNNNNNNNNNNNNNNNNNNNNNNNNNNNNNNNNNNNNNNNNNNNNNNNNNNNNNNNNNNNNNNNNNNNNNNNNNNNNNNNNNNNNNNNNNNNNNNNNNNNNNNNNNNNNNNNNNNNNNNNNNNNNNNNNNNNNNNNNNNNNNNNNNNNNNNNNNNNNNNNNNNNNNNNNNNNNNNNNNNNNNNNNNNNNNNNNNNNNNNNNNNNNNNNNNNNNNNNNNNNNNNNNNNNNNNNNNNNNNNNNNNNNNNNNNNNNNNNNNNNNNNNNNNNNNNNNNNNNNNNNNNNNNNNNNNNNNNNNNNNNNNNNNNNNNNNNNNNNNNNNNNNNNNNNNNNNNNNNNNNNNNNNNNNNNNNNNNNNNNNNNNNNNNNNNNNNNNNNNNNNNNNNNNNNNNNNNNNNNNNNNNNNNNNNNNNNNNNNNNNNNNNNNNNNNNNNNNNNNNNNNNNNNNNNNNNNNNNNNNNNNNNNNNNNNNNNNNNNNNNNNNNNNNNNNNNNNNNNNNNNNNNNNNNNNNNNNNNNNNNNNNNNNNNNNNNNNNNNNNNNNNNNNNNNNNNNNNNNNNNNNNNNNNNNNNNNNNNNNNNNNNNNNNNNNNNNNNNNNNNNNNNNNNNNNNNNNNNNNNNNNNNNNNNNNNNNNNNNNNNNNNNNNNNNNNNNNNNNNNNNNNNNNNNNNNNNNNNNNNNNNNNNNNNNNNNNNNNNNNNNNNNNNNNNNNNNNNNNNNNNNNNNNNNNNNNNNNNNNNNNNNNNNNNNNNNNNNNNNNNNNNNNNNNNNNNNNNNNNNNNNNNNNNNNNNNNNNNNNNNNNNNNNNNNNNNNNNNNNNNNNNNNNNNNNNNNNNNNNNNNNNNNNNNNNNNNNNNNNNNNNNNNNNNNNNNNNNNNNNNNNNNNNNNNNNNNNNNNNNNNNNNNNNNNNNNNNNNNNNNNNNNNNNNNNNNNNNNNNNNNNNNNNNNNNNNNNNNNNNNNNNUCAAGCAAGUACCCACAUAUGCAAAGUUUUUGAAGGACUUGUGCACUGUGAAAAGAUGACUCAAUGUUACAAAGCAAGCCUUCCUAUCCGAGCAAGUGAGUGCUAUAAUCCAAUGCAAGUCUCCAAUCAAAUACAAAGAUCCGGGGUGUCCUACAAUCUCAGUCAAUAUUGGAGGAACCCAAGUGGAGAAGGCAUUGCUUGAUUUGGGGGCAAGUGUUAACUUACUUCCAUACUCUGUAUACAAGGAGCUGGGGUUGGGAGAACUCAAGCCAACAUCGAUCACCCUAUCCUUAGUUGACCGAUCAGUGAAAAUCCCCAAGGGGGUAAUAGAGGAUGUAUUGGUUUAAGUUGACAAAUUCUACUAUCCAGUAGAUUUUAUGGUGCUUGAUACGGAUCCCAUUGUCAAAGGGAUCAACUAUGUUCCAAUCAUCCUUGGAAGACCAUUCCUUGCAACAUCCAAUGCAAUAAUCAAUUGUAGGAAUGGGGUCAUGCAACUCACUUUUGGGAAUAUGACAUUGGAACUCAACAUCUUCCAUCUAUGUCAAAAGCACAUCCAUCCUGAAGAAGAUGAGGGCCCAGAAGAAGUGUGUAUGAUAGAUACCCUGGUGGAGGAGCAUUGUAAUCAGAGUAUGCUUGAUCAGUUUGAAGAGAAUCCAAAUGAAAGACAUGAAGAUCUUGAUGAUGGGUUAGCUGAACCCAUGGGAAUGAAUGCCGUUAUGUCAAACUGGAGACAAAAGCCAGUGAUCCUCCCUUUGUUCAAGGAUGAGGAAGAGAUGAAAGAAGCUAAGGAUGCAAUCCUUAAGCUUGAAUUGAAGACCCUUCCUGCCGAGUUGAAGUAUGCUUACUUGGAGGAAGGCAAUAAAGCCCCGGUGGUAAUUUCUUCUUCUUUAACCAUUUCACAAGAGGACAAUCUUCUAAGAAUCCUUAGAAAGCACAAGAAGGCCAUCGGAUGGCAAAUUUCUGAUUUGAAGGGGAUAAGCCCAUUGAUUUGCACGCACCAUAUUUAUAUGGAAGAGGGAGCUAAGCCAACUCGUCAGCCACAGAGGAGAUUGAAUCCUCAUAUGCAAGAGGUAGUAAGGGCUGAAGUGUUGAAGCUUCUUCAAGCGGGCAUCAUUUACCCCAUUUCAGAUAGCACUUGGGUGAGUCCAACCCAAGUUGUUCCAAAGAAGUCUGUGAUAACCAUAGUCAAGGGGAAAAAUGGAGAUGAAGUGUCCACACGCCUCACAACUGGUUGGAGGGUGUGCAUUGACUACAGGAAGCUGAACAUAGUAACGAGAAAGGAUCACUUCCCUUUACCUUUCAUGGAUCAAGUCCUUGAGAGAGUAUCUGGGCAUCCUUUUUAUUGCUUCUUGGAUGGGUAUUCCGGGUAUUUUCAAAUAGAGAUUGAUGUGGAGGACCAGGAGAAGACUACCUUCACUUGUCCAUUCGGCACCUAUGCUUAUAGGCGGAUGCCUUUUGGAUUAUGCAACGCUCCUGCUACCUUCCAAAGAUGCAUGCUUAGCAUCUUCAGUGACAUGGUUGAACGAAUCAUGGAAGUCUUCAUGGAUGACAUCACUGUGUAUGGGACUUCUUUUGAGGAUUGUUUGUCACAUCUUGAAGAUGUUUUGAAAAGAUGCAUAGAGAAAGACCUCGUACUCAAUUAGGAGAAGUGCCAUUUUAUGGUAAAUCAAGGUAUUGUUCUUGGGCACGUAAUCUCAAAGAAGGGUAUAGAGGUAGAUAGAGCUAAGGUGGAACUAAUUGUGAAGUUGCCACCUCCCACCAAUGUAAAAGGAAUAAGGCAAUUCCUUGGGCAUGCCGGGUUCUAUAGGAGGUUUAUAAAGGAUUUUUCCAAGAUUGCCAAACCUCUUUGUGAAUUAUUGGUGAAGGAUGCCAAGUUUGAGUGGGAUGAUAAAUGUCAAAGGAGUUUUGAGCUUCUUAAGCAAUUCUUGACAUCAGCGCCCAUUGUGAGAGCACCAAAUUGGGAGUUGCCAUUUGAAGUGAUGUGUGACUCAAGUGAUUAUGCCAUUGGGGCUGUUUUGGGACAAAGAGAAGAUGGUAAACCUUAUGUGAUCUACUAUGCAAGCAAGUCUUUGAACGAUGCUCAAAGGAAUUACACCACCACUGAGAAGGAAUUACUUGCUGUGGUGUAUGCUUUGGAUAAGUUCAGAGCUUAUUUGAUAGGGUCUUCCAUUGUGGUAUUCACGGAUCAUUCAGCUUUAAAGUAUUUGCUAACCAAGCAAGAUGCCAAGGCUAGGUUGAUUAGGUGGAUACUUUUGCUUCAAGAGUUCAACCUUCAGAUCAGAGAUAAGAAAGGUGUUGAGAAUGUGGUAGCUGACCACUUGUCAAGGCUCAACAUCGCUCAUGACACCCAUGGACUUCCCAUAAAUGAUGAUUUCCCUGAGGAAUCCUUGAUGCUUGUGGAGGAAGUGCCAUGGUUUGCACACAUUGGCAAUUACUUGGUCACGGGAGAAAUACCAAGUGAAUGGAGCUCUCAGGACAAGAAGAAUUUCUUUGCCAAGGUCCAUGCAUAUUAUUGGGAGGAGCCUUUUCUCUUCAAGUAUUGUGCGGACCAAAUUAUAAGGAAGUGUAUGCCUGAACAAGAGAAGCAUGGGAUCCUAUCUCAUUGCCAUGGGAAUGCAUGUGGAGGCCACUUUGCCUCUCAAAAGACGGCAAUGAGAGUUCUUCAAUCGGGCUUUUGGUGGCCCUCACUUUUUAAGGAUGCCCAUGAGGUAAGUAAGGGAUGUGAUAAGUGCCAAAGACUAGGCAAGCUUUCAAGGAGAAACAUGAUGCCUUUGAACCCCAUCUUGAUAGUGGAUCUUUUUUAUGUUUGGGGCAUAGACUUCAUGAGACCUUUCCCUAUGUUUUUUGGCCACUCCUACAUCUUGGUAGGAGUUGAUUAUGUUUCAAAGUGGGUUGAAGCUAUACCCUGUAGAACCAAUGAUCACAAAGUGGUUCUCAAGUUCCUAAAAGAAAACAUCUUCUCGAGGUUUGGAGUGCCUAAAGCAAUCAUCAGUGAUGGAGGCACUCACUUUUUCAACAAGCCCUUUGAAGCUCUUUUGGCCAAGUACGGAAUUAAGCAUAAGGUAGCUAGCUACACCUUAUCAUCCUCAGACGAGUGGCCAAGUAGAGUUAGCCAACCGGGAAAUUAAGAACAUCUUGAUGAAGGUGGUGAACACCAAUAGGAAAGAUUGGUCUGUUAAGCUCCUUGAUUCCCUAUGGGGGUAUAGGACGGCUUAUAAGACAAUCCUUGGGAUGUCACCGUACCAUCUUGUUUAUGGCAAAGCUUGCCAUCUUCCCGUUGAGAUUGAGUUCAAGGCAUGGUGGGCCAUUAAAAAGCUCAACAUGGAUUUAACUAAGGUUGGGCUAAAGAGGAGUUUGGAUUUGAAUGAGCUUGAGGAAUUGAGAAAUGAUGCCUAUUUCAACUCAAAAAUAGCUAAGGAAAAGCUAAAGAGAUGGCAUGAUCAGUUGGUGACCAAGAAAGAAUUUUUCAAGGGACAAAGAGUCUUGCUAUAUGACUUUAAGCUUCACCUAUUUCCGGGAAAGCUCAAAUCAAGGUGGGUAGGGCCUUUUUUCAUCCACCAAGUACACUCACAUGGAGUAAUUGAGUUACUCAACUCAAAAAGUGCAAAGAUCUUCAAGGUAAAUGGGCAAAGACUCAAGCCCUACAUCGAGCCAUUUUCCCGUGACAAGGAGGUACUCAUCCUCCAUGACCCAUCACAUCCUUGAGAAAGUGUGGUAAGUUGAUGAGCUUAGCAUGAAAAGCUAAGUGCUCAUCUCUUUUUGUUUUAAUUUUAGUAUUACAUUCUUGUUUACUUUGCAUUUUUAAUACUUUUGCACAUAUUUUGUUUAGGUUUCUUAGUUUUGAUUUUGAUUUUUUAUGUUUUUAAUGGAGCUUUGAUGUCCAAUAGCAGGUACGAAAGCUCACAAGCUCACAAAUGUGGAGAGAAAGGUGAAAUAGGGGAGAAAUAUAUCUAAGUCCAAGCUUAAAAGCCCAUUUCGCAACUCAAAAAGUGAGUUGCGAAAAUUUGGCAAGGUGAAUUUCACCUUACGAAAUGCACAUUUUGGCAAGAUGCAAUUUACAACCUCUCGGGAUUGCACUUUUGCAAGGAGUAACCAGUGCGAAAAUUUUCGCAAGUCAUUUUUCACCUUGCAAAAUUGUUUUCAAAGCAAAUAUCAAAAUGCAACCUCUCGGGAUUGGUUUUUAAGGGGAGUAGCUAGUGCGAAAAUUUGGCAAGGUGAAUUUUCACCUUGCGAAAUUUUUUCUUCAUGCUUACCAAAGAUUUGAUUCUUUUUAAAUUCAUUUUCAAACUUCAAUUUUAUAGUUUUAACACUCCUCAGUUCAUCCCCGUACUUAGACAAAUUUUCAAAAAAAAAUUUCAUGGCCAAAAACCCUUUUUAAAGCCUUCUCAACUUCAUUUUUCAUGCAUAAAACGCUAUUCCCCUUGCAUUUCCUCUCUAGGCCGCGUGCUUCAUUGUUCCAAGGUGAGUAAUUUUUCAUUUUUCUCCAUUUUUGGCUCUUUAAAUUGCUUGUUUAUAUCAUUUCUAUGUUUUAGGAACCAUAAACAUGCAUUUUCAUCCAUUAAAACCAUUUCAAAAAUCCAUUUUUUCAAAUCAAAGACCCACAUGGCCGGCCACCAUUUUUGCAAAAAUCUCUAUCUUGCAAUGUGUUUUAGGCUCCCAAACUUACUCCAUUGCAUUUAGAAUCAUGUUUCCAUUAAAACCAUACCCUUUUUCUGAAUUUUAAACCGUUAAAAAUGAAAACUCAAAUUCAAAGUAAGCAUUGGAGAAGAAGAUGAAUAGUGCCUGUGAAUAGUGCUGCGUGAAUAGUGCCCGUUGCCAAAUUUAGCAACCACUAUUCAUGCCUUGCAAAUUUUGCACUGGUUACCAUUUCAACUGUAUUUUUGACACUUUACCCCUAGGAUGCUCUAUUUUUCGUGCUUUUCAGUCUUAUUUCAGUAUUUAUACCAUGGCACGGACAUGGGGGGCAUCCUCUUCAGCUAGUCAACGUGGGGCCCACUCACAGAGAGGUGGUCAUUCUACACCAUCUCAGCCUGCCCAAACCCUAGUUCCCUCUACUCAGCAUGGGUACGGGACCAGACGAUCAUCUGGGUCUUCCAGGGCACUAGUGCCACCCCCUAUGAGCAGUCCUCCACCUAAGAGGACUAGGAUUUCAAGACCAGGCGAGUCCUCCAGAGCCCCUCCAUCACCUCCAACAUCUACUAUCCCAGGCUCUUCACACCUAGCAAAGGUCCUCAAGCGGCCUAUGAUAGUAGGGCCACCCCUCCCAGGCAACACGGAGAUUAGAGAUAGGUCAUUUCACGAUGAGAUCUGUAUGGAGCAUAAGACUCUCCGCCUAUUACCAGAGCUAGAGGAGUCAUACCGCCUUCUGCAGAGGUACCACAUCGAGCCAUUUAUGACUCCUAGGUCCUUCUAUUACCCUAGGGUAGUCUUAGAUUUCUACCAGACUAUGACUACUAGAGGCGUCCAGGACCCCAUAGCCAUUCAUUUUUUGAUUGAUGGCCAGCAUGGUAUUUUAGAGGCCCGAGAUAUAGCCGCCACUAUGCAUUUUCCGCCUAUCCCUGAGGACCUUGGUUCCUUCCGGCAUUGGUCUCAGUAUUCAGAGCCCGACAUGGUGUCUACCUUAUUAGGAGGUAGAGUCACUGGUAGGACCAUUUUGAGGAGGGAGCUUCCUCCACGGAUGUUACUUAUCGAUUUGGUGCUCCGCACCAAUCUUUUUCCACUCCAGCAUGUCGUCCAGAGGAGAGGUGCUAUCCUAGAUGCGCUUUACCGCAUCUUUGAGGGAUUCUACUUUGGACCCCACCAUCUAGUUAUGGCUGCUCUUACCUAUUUUGAGGAGAAGGUGCAUAGGAAGCGCCUACGCAGAGCUGGUACUAUUCCACUCUUAUUUCCGAGGCUGAUCUCUCAGGUCUUAGAGGAUAUGGGAUACCCUUCUCAGCCCCACCUAGAGCGUCGUCAUCAUUGUCGAGAGCUCUUUACCAGUGAGAGUUGGACCCAUUUCUUAGACCGCUCACCCAUGGACCAGGGUAUCCCUAGACCAUUAGCUCCCGCGCCUCCAGCUUCUCCAGCGCCUCCCGAUUCUCCAGCAACCUCAGCACCUACAGUACAAACAUCACCAGAGCAAGACCCACAUACCACAGAGCCUUCUUCUUCAGUACCUGCUCCAGUGACUUGUACUACUGAUACUCCCACACCACCAGUCACUCCUGCUCCAGCCUAUGCUGAGUCUUCAGCCGGGCAAUCCAUCACUGUCCCCCACUACAGAGUUCAGAGCUCUCAUGUCGUCCUUUCACUCAUUGAGCGCCUCUCAGGCCACCUUAGUCUGUGAGAUGCAGGCCAUCAGACGACAGAUGGAUACCAUACAGACACAUCAAGCUCAGCAUACAACUAUUCAGGCUCAGCAUACAGCUAUCCUGGACCAGCACUUUGCCAUGCUCUCUCAGAUCCACCAUCACCUGGGCAUAUCACCUCCUCCACCUCAGGAGCCACAUCCAUGAUUGGAUAUUUCUAUCUCCAUUUUGUAUAUGUUUUUUGUAUAUGAUACAUGUUUUAUAUUCUGAGGUUGUAUGUACCUCAUGCUUAUAUCUUGUACUCAACUCUCUCAGUUUAUAUAAGCAUCAUUUUUUGUAUCUUAUUUCCUCUCUCACGUUUCUUAUGGUUUUUGAAUCAUGUGGAUGCACUCACACGCCUUGAAUACCACAUCACCAUAAGGUAUAUCAUUCCUUCCUCGUCUUUUUCGAUAGAAACAUUGGGGACAAUGUUCAUCUCGGUUGGGGGGAGAGUUGAGGAAGUAAGUAUUUCCUAUUUUAGUUAGUUAUUUUGUUGAUUUAGUAGUUUUUGACCUUUUUCAAAUUUUUUUGUUUCAUUCUCUAUGGUUGUUAAAGAUAAUUUCUCAAAAUAAAAUAGGAUAAGUCGAGUUUUAACUUAAUUACUUAAGUCUUAGAGUUUGUUUUAUGCUUUCAAAGUUGAUAAUCUAUUGAAGCCCUCUUUGAUUUCGAACUUAUUUCUUUCAUUUCAAGCUUUACACACACCGUGCACAUUAGAUCCCGGAUAUAUGAUGUAAAACUUUCUCACCCUCUAAGCUUAGGAAAAUUUUGACUUGGUUCAUUACUUAACCUCUUUUUAAUAGUGUUGGGACACCUCAAAAAUACCAAUGAGUUUUAAAAAAAAAAAAAAAAAAAAAAAAAAAAAAAAAAAAAAAAAAAAAAAAAGAAUAAGCUUCUAUUCUUUCCUUGAAACCUAAGCAUGAUCCGAAGGGGUGGCGAAAGCCUUUAAAACCCGAUGCCCUAAACCUUGAUUGGUUGGGAGUCAUUGAUCCUCUGCUUGCUACAUAGGUGAAUUGGUUAAGUUUAGUGAGUAAAAAGAAUUGUGAAUAAGAAGGUGCAUUCCUAACCUAUUAAGAGUUGGUUAAUUUUGCCAAAGUUCGAAAAAAGCUUAGGUUGGGGGGAGAGGAUAGUUGUACAUACUAUAUCCGAAAGCUAAUCUCAUUAAUACUUAGCUCAUUAUGGAAGAGUUUGAUCCGGAACCUUGAGAGUAGAGAUUCUUUUGAUACUUAAUUGCAUAAUCUCCACUCUUUGUACUUUUUGUUUAAGUUUUAGCUUUGACAACUCCUAUUGCAUUUUGAAUCUUCAUAUCUUUANNNNNNNNNNNNNNNNNNNNNNNNNNNNNNNNNNNNNNNNNNNNNNNNNNNNNNNNNNNNNNNNNNNNNNNNNNNNNNNNNNNNNNNNNNNNNNNNNNNNACUAUUUCAAUUGGUUGGUAAAGUUGAGAAAAGCUUCCACCAACCUCGCCAUUAAGUUGUGCUCCUUGCUCCAAUUUCUAAUUUUGCUUCCUACCCUCUUCUGGAGUUAGUGUGGAAAUGACUUUAUACAAGGGAGACGAAGGUUGGUUUUAAGUAAGGUAGCUUAUUUGUAAACUUGUAUUUUCUUUAUUCAGGCGGUAGUUCUCAUUUCUUAGCCUUGAUUUUCAAUUUUGAUCCUCUUGUCUUGUGAUUACUACCGAAAAGUGCUAUUUUGUAGACCUAAUUAUAAGGGUUUUAAGCACCUUUGAGUAGUAAUCAUAUUCAUUUAACCUAAUUAAUUCAUUAAGCUCCUUAGUAAUUAGUUCUAACCAUUUUUAGUGGCAAGUUUACAUGUUUUUCAUCAGCUUAUGAACCAAUUCAAGCAUGCCAAUUGAUGGAGGAGCUACUUGGGCGAGUUAAGCAAGGAUUUUGGACGUUUACAGGCUUGAAUUUCAAGUGGAAACACGAGCACAAGCAAUGGGAACACCAUUUCGCAAGGGGAGGCAAUUCACUUGCCAAAUGACCAAUUUCGCAAGGGGAUUUUCCUCAUGGUGCGAAAUUUGGCCAUUUCGCACCAUGAAGAAACCACCUUGCGAAAUUUGGACCUUUCAUCUUCCCCUUGCAAAAUGCCUUUGAAAUCCUCUGUUUUGAGACGCUGUUGAUGAUAUUCCACUGCCGGUUCUCCAAGAUAUUUUGCUUGACUUUUAGCUUUGUAAAUACCUAUUUUACCCUUGUAAUCAACCAAUGAAAAGGUUGCUUUUGUAAUAGCUCUUGUAAUUUAGCUUUUUAUUGUCUUUAAAUAGAGGUGAAGAGCCUCAGACACGAUCAUCUUGUAACCUGUAACUUUAUAAGUUAUAAGAGCACUUUUGUUCAUACGCUUCUUUUCUCUUUUCUUUCUCAUUUUCUUAGUAGCCAAACAUCCUUGGAGGAUGAAAUCCCCAAGGAUGAGAGGCUAAAACCUUUUAUUUUCUUGAAGUAAUGGAUGCCAUGUGAAGCUCCCGUGUUAGGAUGGAGAUUUCCAAGCCAUAAAUGUAAGUAGCUAAGCGUCAUAAAUGUUUUUAUUCAAAGUAAAGCUUUUAAUCCCUCUGACUUGCUUUGAAUGGCCAAUACUUGAUAACCUUUUGGUCUCAGUGGAUUUUAUUGUUAGAUCCAUUGACGUUCAUUAAUUAUCUCCUACGAGCCAUUGUAUUGCAAGUCAAGGAGAUGACCUAUACCAAUAAAAGAGCAUUUAUGAGGUUCAGCUACCCUUUUUGCAAGUUUUCAAGGACUAAAACUCAGUUGUUAAACUCGUACCGGUUCGGGAAGUAAGCAUCACCUUAGUUACUUCCCCAACUCGAGGUGAAAAGUCCCAAAAUCUCCAUUUUUACACAGUGAGUUAAGCAUGGCAAUCCAAAGCUUUGAGAAACUUCUUUUUCCAUCUUUUAACCUAUUUUCAUGUUAGUUUAGUUUACAACACCUUCAUCUUUUUAUGUUUUCAUCUUAACCUAAUUUUUAUUAAGAAAAGUUCACUCCAUCCUCCGAACUUCACCAGUUAAAGUAAAAACCCUUCCGAAUGUUCGAUCCUAGAGCCACUAUGCUAUAGUAGCUUUGCUACUUUAGUGUAAGGACCUUAGGUAUAAAUUUUGUUGAUACCCUUACAUGCCAAGCUACCAAGAAUCGGGUUAUCAAAUGGUGUCGUUGUCGGGGAAGGUGCUACUUCACUGUGAAUACAUCAGCCGGAGGUAACUUGUGAGACUUCUCAUGAGUGAGGUGAAUUCUAUCUCAUUUUUCAUUUACUAACUUUUUAUUUUAGUUUUAGAACAUUUUUAACUUAGUUUAGAUAAGUUUCUUUUAGCUUUUAACUUUCAUUUUUAGUUUAUUUUUCAUACUCUGUUUUUCUUUCCGCAUGCUCUGUUUUUUUUCUUUUUCUUUGUUUUGUUUAUUUGUUUUGUUCCAGCUGAAUCCGUGCAUGCCCUAUUGGAUUAGAGACCAAGAGGAAAGGUUAAUGUGGAUAGAGACUCCACGAGCUACUGAAUUAGAGAUUAUUUUGGAAGUCAUGGAGAAUCAUCCAGAGGAUCAGCAUUCACAACACGGGCAGGAGAAUGAUCCGAACUUGUAUAGGUCCAUGAGGGACAGGAUGCACCCUCCGAGGAUGAGUACACCAUCUUGCAUCAUUCCUCCUACAGAGCAAUUGAUUAUCAGGCCACACAUCGUGCCUCUACUUCCUCCUUUCCAUGGGAUGGAAAGUGAAAAUCCAUAUGCGCACAUAAAGGAAUUCGAAGAUGUGUGCAAUACUUUUCAAUAAGGGGGAACAACUAUUGAGCUUAUGAGGUUGAAGCUCUUUCCAUUCACAUUAAAGGACCAAGAUAUGGCUCAAUUCCUUGAGGCCGAGAAGCAUAAGAACAUGGACAAAACUUCAAGCUGAUUUUUUGAAGAAGUUUUUCCCUACUCACAGAACAAAUGGAUUGAAGAGACAAAUCUCCAACUUCUCAGCAAGUGAGAAUGAAAAAUUUUAUGAAUGUUGGGAGAGGUAUAUGGAGGUCAUCAAUGCAUGUCCUCACCAUGGCUUUGAUACAUGGCUUUUGGUGAGCUAUUUUUAUGAUGGCAUGUCAACUACAAUGAAGCAGAUAUUGGAGACAAUGUGUGGGGGUGAUUUCAUGAGCAAGAACCCUGAGGAGGCUAUGGAUUUCCUAAGUUAUGUCUCAGAGGUUUCCCGUGGAUGGGAUGAGCCCAAUAACAGAGAAAUGGGGAAGAGACCAGUUCAGCAAAUGUCAAGAGGGGGGAUGUACAAUCUGAGUGAAGACAUGGAGAUGAAAGCCAAGGUAGCUGCCAUGGCUAGAAAAAUAGAGGAAAUGGAGUUGAGAAAAGUUCACGAAGUCCAAGCUAUUUCAGAACCUCAACAACAAGCCAAUCCUUGCUCCAUCUGUCAGUCAUUUGAACAUAUGGUGGAAGAAUGUCCACCAUUCCAGCAGCAAGAGAAAUGUUCGGGGAACAAGCUAACCUGAUUGGCCAAUGGAAGCCAAAUUCAAAUGCUCCCUAUGGCAACACGUACAACUCUAGCUGGAGGAACCACCCAAACAUUUCAUGGAAGCCAAGGCCAAACCCAUAUCAGUCACCAGCCUAAUCAAGCCAACAGAGUCAAGGUCAAUCCUCAGUUGAGCAAGCACUCAUAAACCUUAGCAAGGUUAUGGGUGACUUUGUGAGUGAGCAAAAAUCCAUCAACUCUCAACUAAAUCAGAAGAUUGACAACGUAGAGAGUACAUUGAACAAGAAGAUAGAUGGGAUGCAUGAUGAGUUGUCUCAAAAAAUUGACAACAUCCAAUAUUCCAUCUCAAGGCUCACAAAUUUGAACACUGUCAAUGAGAAAGGGAAGUUUCCCUUUCAGCCUCACCAAAAUCCUAAGGGAAUACAUGAAGUGGAAUCCAAAGAUGAGGAUUCUUCAAAGGUGAGGGACGUGCAAGCUAUUAUCACUUUGAGAAGUGGAAAGGAAGUGCAUCAGCCGGAGCAUGAUCAGAGGAAAGCCAAAGAAGACAAGGCUGAUAGAAAAGAAGAAAAGAAGAAAGAACAAAAGGGAAAGGAAGUUCAGAUGAAAUAAAGCAUGGAUGAGGAACCUCAAAUUCUUUUAAAGGAAGGCAUGAUGAAGAAGCACAUGCCUCCUCCAUUUCCUCAAGCCUUGCAUGGGAAGAAACCGAUCAAGAAUGCUUCUGAGAUUCUUGAUGUGCUAAGACAAGUGAAGGUGAAUAUUCCUUUACUUGAUAUGAUCAAGCAAGUACCCACAUAUGCAAAGUUUUUGAAGGACUUGUGCACUGUGAAAAGAUGACUCAAUGUUACAAAGCAAGCCUUCCUAUCCGAGCAAGUGAGUGCUAUAAUCCAAUGCAAGUCUCCAAUCAAAUACAAAGAUCCGGGGUGUCCUACAAUCUCAGUCAAUAUUGGAGGAACCCAAGUGGAGAAGGCAUUGCUUGAUUUGGGGGCAAGUGUUAACUUACUUCCAUACUCUGUAUACAAGGAGCUGGGGUUGGGAGAACUCAAGCCAACAUCGAUCACCCUAUCCUUNNNNNNNNNNNNNNNNNNNNNNNNNNNNNNNNNNNNNNNNNNNNNNNNNNNNNNNNNNNNNNNNNNNNNNNNNNNNNNNNNNNNNNNNNNNNNNNNNNNNNNNNNNNNNNNNNNNNNNNNNNNNNNNNNNNNNNNNNNNNNNNNNNNNNNNNNNNNNNNNNNNNNNNNNNNNNNNNNNNNNNNNNNNNNNNNNNNNNNNNNNNNNNNNNNNNNNNNNNNNNNNNNNNNNNNNNNNNNNNNNNNNNNNNNNNNNNNNNNNNNNNNNNNNNNNNNNNNNNNNNNNNNNNNNNNNNNNNNNNNNNNNNNNNNNNNNNNNNNNNNNNNNNNNNNNNNNNNNNNNNNNNNNNNNNNNNNNNNNNNNNNNNNNNNNNNNNNNNNNNNNNNNNNNNNNNNNNNNNNNNNNNNNNNNNNNNNNNNNNNNNNNNNNNNNNNNNNNNNNNNNNNNNNNNNNNNNNNNNNNNNNNNNNNNNNNNNNNNNNNNNNNNNNNNNNNNNNNNNNNNNNNNNNNNNNNNNNNNNNNNNNNNNNNNNNNNNNNNNNNNNNNNNNNNNNNNNNNNNNNNNNNNNNNNNNNNNNNNNNNNNNNNNNNNNNNNNNNNNNNNNNNNNNNNNNNNNNNNNNNNNNNNNNNNNNNNNNNNNNNNNNNNNNNNNNNNNNNNNNNNNNNNNNNNNNNNNNNNNNNNNNNNNNNNNNNNNNNNNNNNNNNNNNNNNNNNNNNNNNNNNNNNNNNNNNNNNNNNNNNNNNNNNNNNNNNNNNNNNNNNNNNNNNNNNNNNNNNNNNNNNNNNNNNNNNNNNNNNNNNNNNNNNNNNNNNNNNNNNNNNNNNNNNNNNNNNNNNNNNNNNNNNNNNNNNNNNNNNNNNNNNNNNNNNNNNNNNNNNNNNNNNNNNNNNNNNNNNNNNNNNNNNNNNNNNNNNNNNNNNNNNNNNNNNNNNNNNNNNNNNNNNNNNNNNNNNNNNNNNNNNNNNNNNNNNNNNNNNNNNNNNNNNNNNNNNNNNNNNNNNNNNNNNNNNNNNNNNNNNNNNNNNNNNNNNNNNNNNNNNNNNNNNNNNNNNNNNNNNNNNNNNNNNNNNNNNNNNNNNNNNNNNNNNNNNNNNNNNNNNNNNNNNNNNNNNNNNNNNNNNNNNNNNNNNNNNNNNNNNNNNNNNNNNNNNNNNNNNNNNNNNNNNNNNNNNNNNNNNNNNNNNNNNNNNNNNNNNNNNNNNNNNNNNNNNNNNNNNNNNNNNNNNNNNNNNNNNNNNNNNNNNNNNNNNNNNNNNNNNNNNNNNNNNNNNNNNNNNNNNNNNNNNNNNNNNNNNNNNNNNNNNNNNNNNNNNNNNNNNNNNNNNNNNNNNNNNNNNNNNNNNNNNNNNNNNNNNNNNNNNNNNNNNNNNNNNNNNNNNNNNNNNNNNNNNNNNNNNNNNNNNNNNNNNNNNNNNNNNNNNNNNNNNNNNNNNNNNNNNNNNNNNNNNNNNNNNNNNNNNNNNNNNNNNNNNNNNNNNNNNNNNNNNNNNNNNNNNNNNNNNNNNNNNNNNNNNNNNNNNNNNNNNNNNNNNNNNNNNNNNNNNNNNNNNNNNNNNNNNNNNNNNNNNNNNNNNNNNNNNNNNNNNNNNNNNNNNNNNNNNNNNNNNNNNNNNNNNNNNNNNNNNNNNNNNNNNNNNNNNNNNNNNNNNNNNNNNNNNNNNNNNNNNNNNNNNNNNNNNNNNNNNNNNNNNNNNNNNNNNNNNNNNNNNNNNNNNNNNNNNNNNNNNNNNNNNNNNNNNNNNNNNNNNNNNNNNNNNNNNNNNNNNNNNNNNNNNNNNNNNNNNNNNNNNNNNNNNNNNNNNNNNNNNNNNNNNNNNNNNNNNNNNNNNNNNNNNNNNNNNNNNNNNNNNNNNNNNNNNNNNNNNNNNNNNNNNNNNNNNNNNNNNNNNNNNNNNNNNNNNNNNNNNNNNNNNNNNNNNNNNNNNNNNNNNNNNNNNNNNNNNNNNNNNNNNNNNNNNNNNNNNNNNNNNNNNNNNNNNNNNNNNNNNNNNNNNNNNNNNNNNNNNNNNNNNNNNNNNNNNNNNNNNNNNNNNNNNNNNNNNNNNNNNNNNNNNNNNNNNNNNNNNNNNNNNNNNNNNNNNNNNNNNNNNNNNNNNNNNNNNNNNNNNNNNNNNNNNNNNNNNNNNNNNNNNNNNNNNNNNNNNNNNNNNNNNNNNNNNNNNNNNNNNNNNNNNNNNNNNNNNNNNNNNNNNNNNNNNNNNNNNNNNNNNNNNNNNNNNNNNNNNNNNNNNNNNNNNNNNNNNNNNNNNNNNNNNNNNNNNNNNNNNNNNNNNNNNNNNNNNNNNNNNNNNNNNNNNNNNNNNNNNNNNNNNNNNNNNNNNNNNNNNNNNNNNNNNNNNNNNNNNNNNNNNNNNNNNNNNNNNNNNNNNNNNNNNNNNNNNNNNNNNNNNNNNNNNNNNNNNNNNNNNNNNNNNNNNNNNNNNNNNNNNNNNNNNNNNNNNNNNNNNNNNNNNNNNNNNNNNNNNNNNNNNNNNNNNNNNNNNNNNNNNNNNNNNNNNNNNNNNNNNNNNNNNNNNNNNNNNNNNNNNNNNNNNNNNNNNNNNNNNNNNNNNNNNNNNNNNNNNNNNNNNNNNNNNNNNNNNNNNNNNNNNNNNNNNNNNNNNNNNNNNNNNNNNNNNNNNNNNNNNNNNNNNNNNNNNNNNNNNNNNNNNNNNNNNNNNNNNNNNNNNNNNNNNNNNNNNNNNNNNNNNNNNNNNNNNNNNNNNNNNNNNNNNNNNNNNNNNNNNNNNNNNNNNNNNNNNNNNNNNNNNNNNNNNNNNNNNNNNNNNNNNNNNNNNNNNNNNNNNNNNNNNNNNNNNNNNNNNNNNNNNNNNNNNNNNNNNNNNNNNNNNNNNNNNNNNNNNNNNNNNNNNNNNNNNNNNNNNNNNNNNNNNNNNNNNNNNNNNNNNNNNNNNNNNNNNNNNNNNNNNNNNNNNNNNNNNNNNNNNNNNNNNNNNNNNNNNNNNNNNNNNNNNNNNNNNNNNNNNNNNNNNNNNNNNNNNNNNNNNNNNNNNNNNNNNNNNNNNNNNNNNNNNNNNNNNNNNNNNNNNNNNNNNNNNNNNNNNNNNNNNNNNNNNNNNNNNNNNNNNNNNNNNNNNNNNNNNNNNNNNNNNNNNNNNNNNNNNNNNNNNNNNNNNNNNNNNNNNNNNNNNNNNNNNNNNNNNNNNNNNNNNNNNNNNNNNNNNNNNNNNNNNNNNNNNNNNNNNNNNNNNNNNNNNNNNNNNNNNNNNNNNNNNNNNNNNNNNNNNNNNNNNNNNNNNNNNNNNNNNNNNNNNNNNNNNNNNNNNNNNNNNNNNNNNNNNNNNNNNNNNNNNNNNNNNNNNNNNNNNNNNNNNNNNNNNNNNNNNNNNNNNNNNNNNNNNNNNNNNNNNNNNNNNNNNNNNNNNNNNNNNNNNNNNNNNNNNNNNNNNNNNNNNNNNNNNNNNNNNNNNNNNNNNNNNNNNNNNNNNNNNNNNNNNNNNNNNNNNNNNNNNNNNNNNNNNNNNNNNNNNNNNNNNNNNNNNNNNNNNNNNNNNNNNNNNNNNNNNNNNNNNNNNNNNNNNNNNNNNNNNNNNNNNNNNNNNNNNNNNNNNNNNNNNNNNNNNNNNNNNNNNNNNNNNNNNNNNNNNNNNNNNNNNNNNNNNNNNNNNNNNNNNNNNNNNNNNNNNNNNNNNNNNNNNNNNNNNNNNNNNNNNNNNNNNNNNNNNNNNNNNNNNNNNNNNNNNNNNNNNNNNNNNNNNNNNNNNNNNNNNNNNNNNNNNNNNNNNNNNNNNNNNNNNNNNNNNNNNNNNNNNNNNNNNNNNNNNNNNNNNNNNNNNNNNNNNNNNNNNNNNNNNNNNNNNNNNNNNNNNNNNNNNNNNNNNNNNNNNNNNNNNNNNNNNNNNNNNNNNNNNNNNNNNNNNNNNNNNNNNNNNNNNNNNNNNNNNNNNNNNNNNNNNNNNNNNNNNNNNNNNNNNNNNNNNNNNNNNNNNNNNNNNNNNNNNNNNNNNNNNNNNNNNNNNNNNNNNNNNNNNNNNNNNNNNNNNNNNNNNNNNNNNNNNNNNNNNNNNNNNNNNNNNNNNNNNNNNNNNNNNNNNNNNNNNNNNNNNNNNNNNNNNNNNNNNNNNNNNNNNNNNNNNNNNNNNNNNNNNNNNNNNNNNNNNNNNNNNNNNNNNNNNNNNNNNNNNNNNNNNNNNNNNNNNNNNNNNNNNNNNNNNNNNNNNNNNNNNNNNNNNNNNNNNNNNNNNNNNNNNNNNNNNNNNNNNNNNNNNNNNNNNNNNNNNNNNNNNNNNNNNNNNNNNNNNNNNNNNNNNNNNNNNNNNNNNNNNNNNNNNNNNNNNNNNNNNNNNNNNNNNNNNNNNNNNNNNNNNNNNNNNNNNNNNNNNNNNNNNNNNNNNNNNNNNNNNNNNNNNNNNNNNNNNNNNNNNNNNNNNNNNNNNNNNNNNNNNNNNNNNNNNNNNNNNNNNNNNNNNNNNNNNNNNNNNNNNNNNNNNNNNNNNNNNNNNNNNNNNNNNNNNNNNNNNNNNNNNNNNNNNNNNNNNNNNNNNNNNNNNNNNNNNNNNNNNNNNNNNNNNNNNNNNNNNNNNNNNNNNNNNNNNNNNNNNNNNNNNNNNNNNNNNNNNNNNNNNNNNNNNNNNNNNNNNNNNNNNNNNNNNNNNNNNNNNNNNNNNNNNNNNNNNNNNNNNNNNNNNNNNNNNNNNNNNNNNNNNNNNNNNNNNNNNNNNNNNNNNNNNNNNNNNNNNNNNNNNNNNNNNNNNNNNNNNNNNNNNNNNNNNNNNNNNNNNNNNNNNNNNNNNNNNNNNNNNNNNNNNNNNNNNNNNNNNNNNNNNNNNNNNNNNNNNNNNNNNNNNNNNNNNNNNNNNNNNNNNNNNNNNNNNNNNNNNNNNNNNNNNNNNNNNNNNNNNNNNNNNNNNNNNNNNNNNNNNNNNNNNNNNNNNNNNNNNNNNNNNNNNNNNNNNNNNNNNNNNNNNNNNNNNNNNNNNNNNNNNNNNNNNNNNNNNNNNNNNNNNNNNNNNNNNNNNNNNNNNNNNNNNNNNNNNNNNNNNNNNNNNNNNNNNNNNNNNNNNNNNNNNNNNNNNNNNNNNNNNNNNNNNNNNNNNNNNNNNNNNNNNNNNNNNNNNNNNNNNNNNNNNNNNNNNNNNNNNNNNNNNNNNNNNNNNNNNNNNNNNNNNNNNNNNNNNNNNNNNNNNNNNNNNNNNNNNNNNNNNNNNNNNNNNNNNNNNNNNNNNNNNNNNNNNNNNNNNNNNNNNNNNNNNNNNNNNNNNNNNNNNNNNNNNNNNNNNNNNNNNNNNNNNNNNNNNNNNNNNNNNNNNNNNNNNNNNNNNNNNNNNNNNNNNNNNNNNNNNNNNNNNNNNNNNNNNNNNNNNNNNNNNNNNNNNNNNNNNNNNNNNNNNNNNNNNNNNNNNNNNNNNNNNNNNNNNNNNNNNNNNNNNNNNNNNNNNNNNNNNNNNNNNNNNNNNNNNNNNNNNNNNNNNNNNNNNNNNNNNNNNNNNNNNNNNNNNNNNNNNNNNNNNNNNNNNNNNNNNNNNNNNNNNNNNNNNNNNNNNNNNNNNNNNNNNNNNNNNNNNNNNNNNNNNNNNNNNNNNNNNNNNNNNNNNNNNNNNNNNNNNNNNNNNNNNNNNNNNNNNNNNNNNNNNNNNNNNNNNNNNNNNNNNNNNNNNNNNNNNNNNNNNNNNNNNNNNNNNNNNNNNNNNNNNNNNNNNNNNNNNNNNNNNNNNNNNNNNNNNNNNNNNNNNNNNNNNNNNNNNNNNNNNNNNNNNNNNNNNNNNNNNNNNNNNNNNNNNNNNNNNNNNNNNNNNNNNNNNNNNNNNNNNNNNNNNNNNNNNNNNNNNNNNNNNNNNNNNNNNNNNNNNNNNNNNNNNNNNNNNNNNNNNNNNNNNNNNNNNNNNNNNNNNNNNNNNNNNNNNNNNNNNNNNNNNNNNNNNNNNNNNNNNNNNNNNNNNNNNNNNNNNNNNNNNNNNNNNNNNNNNNNNNNNNNNNNNNNNNNNNNNNNNNNNNNNNNNNNNNNNNNNNNNNNNNNNNNNNNNNNNNNNNNNNNNNNNNNNNNNNNNNNNNNNNNNNNNNNNNNNNNNNNNNNNNNNNNNNNNNNNNNNNNNNNNNNNNNNNNNNNNNNNNNNNNNNNNNNNNNNNNNNNNNNNNNNNNNNNNNNNNNNNNNNNNNNNNNNNNNNNNNNNNNNNNNNNNNNNNNNNNNNNNNNNNNNNNNNNNNNNNNNNNNNNNNNNNNNNNNNNNNNNNNNNNNNNNNNNNNNNNNNNNNNNNNNNNNNNNNNNNNNNNNNNNNNNNNNNNNNNNNNNNNNNNNNNNNNNNNNNNNNNNNNNNNNNNNNNNNNNNNNNNNNNNNNNNNNNNNNNNNNNNNNNNNNNNNNNNNNNNNNNNNNNNNNNNNNNNNNNNNNNNNNNNNNNNNNNNNNNNNNNNNNNNNNNNNNNNNNNNNNNNNNNNNNNNNNNNNNNNNNNNNNNNNNNNNNNNNNNNNNNNNNNNNNNNNNNNNNNNNNNNNNNNNNNNNNNNNNNNNNNNNNNNNNNNNNNNNNNNNNNNNNNNNNNNNNNNNNNNNNNNNNNNNNNNNNNNNNNNNNNNNNNNNNNNNNNNNNNNNNNNNNNNNNNNNNNNNNNNNNNNNNNNNNNNNNNNNNNNNNNNNNNNNNNNNNNNNNNNNNNNNNNNNNNNNNNNNNNNNNNNNNNNNNNNNNNNNNNNNNNNNNNNNNNNNNNNNNNNNNNNNNNNNNNNNNNNNNNNNNNNNNNNNNNNNNNNNNNNNNNNNNNNNNNNNNNNNNNNNNNNNNNNNNNNNNNNNNNNNNNNNNNNNNNNNNNNNNNNNNNNNNNNNNNNNNNNNNNNNNNNNNNNNNNNNNNNNNNNNNNNNNNNNNNNNNNNNNNNNNNNNNNNNNNNNNNNNNNNNNNNNNNNNNNNNNNNNNNNNNNNNNNNNNNNNNNNNNNNNNNNNNNNNNNNNNNNNNNNNNNNNNNNNNNNNNNNNNNNNNNNNNNNNNNNNNNNNNNNNNNNNNNNNNNNNNNNNNNNNNNNNNNNNNNNNNNNNNNNNNNNNNNNNNNNNNNNNNNNNNNNNNNNNNNNNNNNNNNNNNNNNNNNNNNNNNNNNNNNNNNNNNNNNNNNNNNNNNNNNNNNNNNNNNNNNNNNNNNAAAAAAAAAAAAAAAAAAAAAAAAAAAAAAAAAAAAAAAAAGGAAUAAGCUUCUAUUCUUUCCUUGAAACCUAAGCAUGAUCCGAAGGGGUGGCGAAAGCCUUUAAAACCCGAUGCCCUAAACCUUGAUUGGUUGGGAGUCAUUGAUCCUCUGCUUGCUACAUAGGUGAAUUGGUUAAGUUUAGUGAGUAAAAAGAAUUGUGAAUAAGAAGGUGCAUUCCUAACCUAUUAAGAGUUGGUUAAUUUUGCCAAAGUUCGAAAAAAGCUUAGGUUGGGGGGAGAGGAUAGUUGUACAUACUAUAUCCGAAAGCUAAUCUCAUUAAUACUUAGCUCAUUAUGGAAGAGUUUGAUCCGGAACCUUGAGAGUAGAGAUUCUUUUGAUACUUAAUUGCAUAAUCUCCACUCUUUGUACUUUUUGUUUAAGUUUUAGCUUUGACAACUCCUAUUGCAUUUUGAAUCUUCAUAUCUUUAGUUUGCCAUGUGAGAUGUGUUUUGAUAUCAGUCAUGCCACUCAAUUAUUUUUUGGAGUGAUUUGCAUGACCUCUUUUAUGUAUAUUAUUAUGUUUGCUUAGUUUUUAUCUCCUCCAUUGCUAAGGGACUAGCAAUGAGUCGGUUAGGGGGUGUGAUUACUACCGAAAAGUGAUAUUUUGUAGACCUAAUUAUAAGGGUUUUAAGCACCUUUGAGUAGUAAUCAUAUUCAUUUAACCUAAUUAAUUCAUUAAGCUCCUUAGUAAUUAGUUCUAACCAUUUUUAGUGGCAAGUUUACAUGUUUUUCAUCAGCUUAUGAACCAAUUCAAGCAUGCCAAUUGAUGGAGGAGCUACUUGGGCGAGUUAAGCAAGGAUUUUGGACAUUUACAUGCUUGAAUUUCAAGUGGAAACACGAGCACAAGCAAUGGGAACACCAUUUCGCAAGGGGAGGCAAUUCACUUGCCAAAUGACCAAUUUCGCAAGGUGAAUUUCAUCUUGCCAAAAUUUCGCAAGGGGAUUUUCCUCAUGGUGCGAAAUUUGGCCAUUUUGCACCAUGAAGAAACCACCUUGCGAAAUUUGGACCUUUCAUCUUCCCCUUGCGAAAUGCCUUUGAAAUCCCCUGUUUUGAGACGCUGUUGAUGAUAUUCCACUACCGGUUCUCCAAGAUAUUUUGCUUGACUUUUAGCUUUGUAAAUACCUAUUUUACCCUUGUAAUCAACCAAUGAAAAGGUUGCUUUUGUAAUAGCUCUUGUAAUUUAGCUUUUUAUUGUCUUUAAAUAGAGGUGAAGAGCCUCAGACACGAUCAUCUUGUAACCUGUAACUUUAUAAGUUAUAAGAGCACUUUUGUUCAUACGCUUUUUUUCUCUUUUCUUUCUCAUUUUCUUAGUAACCAAACAUCCUUGGAGGAUGAAAUCCCCAAGGAUGAGAGGCUAAAACCUUUUAGUUUCUUGAAGUAAUGGAUGCCAUGUGAAGCUCCCGGGUCAGGAUGGAGAUUUCCAAGCCAUAAAUGUAAGUAAUUGAGCGUCAUAAAUGUUUUCAUUCAAAGUAAAGCUUUUAAUCCCUUUGACUUGCUUUGAAUGGCCAAUACUUGAUAACCUUUUGGUCUCAGUGGAUUCUUAUUGUUAGAUCCACUGACGUUCAUUAGUUAUCUCCUACGAGCCAUUGUAUUGCAAGUCGAGGAGAUGACCUAUACCAAUAAAAGAGCAUUUAUGAGGUUCAGCUACCCUUUUUGCAAGUUUUCAAGGACUAAAACUCAGUUGUUAAACUCAUACCGGUUCGGGAAGUAAGCAUCACCUUAGUUACUUCCCCAACUCGAGGUGAAAAGUCCCAAAAUCUCCAUUUUUACACAGUGAGUUAAGCAUGGCUAUCCAAAGCUUUGAGAAACUUCUUUUUCCAUCUUUUAACCUAUUUUCAUGUUAGUUUAGUUUACAACACCUUCAUCUUUUUAUGUUUUCAUCUUAACCUAAUUUUUAUUAAGAAAAGUUCACUCCAUCCUCCGAACUUCACGAGUUAAAGUAAAAACCCUUUCCAGUAUUCGAUCCUAGAGCCACUAUGCUAUAGUAGCUUUGCUACUUUAGUGUAAGGACCUUAGGUAUAAAUUUUGUUGAUACCCUUACAUGCCAAGCUACCAAGAGUCGGGUUAUCAUCUUGCCACUAUGAGUGUCCAACAUCCAAACCAAGGAAUAAUUUUUAAUAAAAUAUUAAUAUUAAUGUUAAAAUAAAAUCAUAUAUUUAUAUUCCUUAUCACAUUUAUAGGAAGAGAAAUAUUUGGGACUAGGCCCAGUUCACUUUUUAUAAUUAUAAAUAUCAUAAAAAUAUGAAUAUUAAUAUCCUUAUCCUCAUAAAAGCAUAAUUAAUUUAUUUUAUAAAAAAUUAAUAAUAAUAAUAAUAAUUACUAGUACGAUUUUAUUUUAAAUGGAUUUAAAAAUAAAUAAAGUUUAAUUUUUAAGGUAUACAUGCAUAAGUUUUUCAUUACAUAUACACAUUUAAUACUUAAUUAGUAAUAGUGUAUUCUAAAAUUUUUUUAUCUAGUCUAUAACUAAUUAAUCCAUUUUUUGGAAUUCUAAAUUGUUCUUAAAAAUUAAAAUAUUCAUUAAAGAAUUGAAGUGUUUAUUAUGUUUAACUUAAUUUAAAUUUAUUUAUUUAGUGAGAAAAUUCAUAAAAUAUAGUUUUAUGUAUAAAGGAAAUAGUAACGACUUUACAUUUAACGAAUCUUUUAUUUUAUAUUGAUUCAUUUAAUAGUCUAUUAUAUAUAUUUAAAAUUUAUUAAACUCAUUAAUAAAUUCAAUACAAAGUUUUACUUAAUUUGAAAUUCAUCUCUCUAGUGAAAAAAUUGAAAAAAUAUUAUUUUGUGAAAAAAAAAUACAAUAAAAUCAUUCUAAACUAAUUUUUAUCCAUAGAUUUUUUGUAUUUAUUAGUUUAUUAUUUGAUUUUUAAAUUAAUUUAAAAAAUUAUUGGACUUAUUAAUGAAUCCAAUACAUUAUUUUUUUGUUUAAUUUAUUUAUCACACUAUCAAACAAACUUUUAUUAUUUAGUAAAAGACCUCUCAAAAGAUGUUUUUUUUUCUAAAUAAAAAAAAAUAAUAUUCUAAACGAUGUUUGAUUCGAGAGUUUUUUAAAAAUAAAAAUUAUUUUAAAUUAUGUGUACAUAAUUGUUUCAAAUUUAUUUCUUUUUUCCAUUACCAUUUUCAUUCCUACCUAACAUUGAAAUGGAAACAAAUAAUCAAUCAAACCUUACAUUUAUUCCUAAUCCAAUGACAAGAAUUGGUAUCACCAAAUUCAUUCCAUUCUCUAGUCUCAUGUAUCAAAAAUAGUCAUAUAGUACCAAAAACUUCUUCUAAGUAAUGUGGGAUAUCACAUUCACUUUCAUACAGAUACAAUUUUUAUUGUAUCACAUGGAAUUGUGAGGCCUUUUAGUACCAUUUGUAAUGACUCACCUCCAAUUAUAUAAAUAUUAUUUGGUCUAAGUCCAAUGGACUCUAAUCGGUUUUAAAACUUGGCUAUACUGUUAAGAGAAGUCUACUAUGUAUACAAUCUUCUCCUAAUAAACAUGUGACAUAACAAAUGGUGGGACUCAAACUAAAGCAAGGCCGUUUCAAACUGUCUACCAUCUUAGUUUCAGCAUGAAUUCAGUUUGUUCCAAACAACAUAACUCUGGAGUAUUUUAAACAAACGAUUUCCAUUGAAAACACAUUAUUAAAGUAUAAGGAAAACAAACCCGAUCUUCAAGCGGUUCUGGGGAUUGCUUGUGGAAGAGUAGUGAAAUAAAAAUAUCCACUAAGUGUAUAAGGACCCAAGAUCAACACAUGCAACAGGAUAUCUAAUUCCUCCUAAUAUCAUCAGCAUGAAGAAAAUUGGCAUCAUUUCCAUUGAGUUCUGAUGCCCUCUCUGAAAAAAAAAUAAAUGCAAAACAUUUGUUUUUUCUAAUCAUCGGUCAUUGACUCAUGCCCAAUUGGUGUCUCAGCUGAUUUGUGUUCAGCUGGUGCUCCUUGAUUGAGGAAGUGAUCAACAAAAUUUAUACCUAUAACACCAUACACUAGGGUAGCAAAUAAAAAGCUACUAUAGUAUAGUGGCUCUAGGAUCGUUCACUGGGAAUGAUUAAAUUAACAAGCAGUCAAGGAUACCAAUUCCAAGUGAAUUGGUCUCGUUUCAUUUCACGGUUAGCUUAAGAAAUAAAACACAAACUUUGAUUGGUAAAGGUUGAGACUUAAACUAACUAACUUAACAGAAGUCUGGAAUAAUUUAGGAAGAAAAACAUUCCUUGGAGAUUUAGGUUCACUGGGGUGGUUCCUCAUGCAAAAGACAUAGCUCCGGUCAGAUGGUUCAUUUCCUCGCAUUAGAGAUUCAACUUAGAGUCAAUUCUCUAAUCGGUGAUGUACAGAGACUCCUUCAAUUAGAUUUCACUUUAAUUCUCUCACUGAUACAACUUGCAAUGGUUCAUGCCUCUCACGAGCACUUACCAUUCAAGGUGAUCUUUAACCUUGGACUUCCCUUCACAAACUCGCAAGAGAUAACUAAUGGAUGUCUCCUAAGAGUCCAAAAGCUUACCAAGUGUUGGUAAUUCCAGAAAAUCCUACCUUGAAGUCACCUACCAGAGGCUCGCAAGGGGUAAACUAGUGCAUUUCCAUGGUUGGAAAUCACUUGCCUUACCAAGUGUUGGCCUAGGUGACUCUAAGGUGUUUUAAGUUAACUAAAAAUAUUGAAAUCACUAAAGGAUUUCACUUCCUCUUCAUUACUAGCUAAAACCACAGAGCUUAGCAUUCUUGCACUUGGAACCUUCCCCGGCAACCUUAGCUCCAAGGAAUUGGAGGUUUAGUUACUCAUUCUCUGGGGAAAACUCCUCAGAGAAUUCAUAACUUAGAAAUAAAAUGAAAAUACAAAGUGAGAAGGUAAGGUAGUAGAAAGAAAAUAGACUUUACUUGCUUACCAAACGGUUAUAGAAGGAAUUCCUCCCUGAGAACAGGCUCCCGAGAGGUAUAUAUAUCAAAACAAUAUAAAACUAAUUGUUACAGAGAUAUUUGGUCUUUUUUACUAACUUAAAAACUAAGGAAUCAUGUAAUUGGUGGUUUACAAGGAGUAUUUUGGGAUUUAGACAACAAAAAUCUAAUGGAAAAUAUCUCCCAAUGUCGGUAGCAAGCUUCGGGAGGCUUCAGGAACCAUUUCGCAGGAGUAAAAUGGUGUCUGCGAAAUUUCGCAGACACCCAAGAGGGCUGCGAAAUUAUUUCGCAACACCGAGCUAUCUUCAUAGGGCUGCGAAGUUGGCUUCCACCUUGAGGUUCCCAGCUCCCUUCUCGCGGCAUGGUUCGUGAAUCGUCAGAAGGAGAAACACCUUACUGUACAAAAGUGCUGCGAAAUUCUCGCAACAAAAGGUUGAUUCCGCAACACUUUAGAGUGAUUGACUUGUAAUGGCUGCAACUUCUUCGUUUCAAAUCCGAAUUGCGCACCGUUUCAAGCAUUGGAUUGUUGACUUCCUGAGCUUUGAAAUGGUAUAAAGCAUGCAUCAUUUGGACUUCAGAAAGUGCUCUAAAAGUGGCUGCUACGACUGUCAUCAAGAAUAGGCUUCAUGGCAGAUUCUCUUUGCUUUUUCUCCUUGCAAUCCGGAUUCACUCUUGGCAAAUGAAUUCUAAGCUUUGCCCAAGAUUCCUCAUAGCUCUCCUCAGACUUGACUUGCUUUGGUGAUCAAAAUACUAGCAAAAACACCAAAACUUACACAAAGUGAUCAAAAUUGCUUUAAAGGAUCCUUAACAUGCCAAUUGAGUUAAAAUGCCUAAACUACUACUCAAAAGUGUUUAAAAGGAUUAAUUAUAGGCUAUCAAAUAGUACUUUUUGAGUAGUAAUCACUCCCCCCAACCGACAUAUUGCUAGUCCCUUAGCAAUAUAGGAGAGAAAAAUGAAAAUAAAUAGCUAAUUAUACUAAAAUUUACAACAUCAUGCUAAAGGAAAAUAAUUCUCAAGUGGCAUGAUGAUCUAUUUCUCACAUGAAGCAUUGAAGAAAUACAAACCCAAAUCUCAACAAGAGUCAUAACAACUAUGCUAAACACUGUCAAUCAAGGGAGUGCAUUAUGCAAACUGAAGUUUUAAAAUCAUUUCCCCUUUCAAAGAACUAAACUUCAAUCUUCCACAAAAAUCUAUGUGUAUUGGCUCCUUAGGUUCCGAGAAUAAUAUGCUAAACUAGCCUUUCCCCCCAACCUAUCUCUUUUCAACACUUUAGCAAACUGACCAAAAUCAAUAAGAAAAUAACACACUUUCAUCAUUCUUUUUUUUUUUUUUUUUUUUUUUUUUUUUCAGGGCAGCUUUAUGGGGUACUCUUUCUGACUUGUCCAUGUAAUGGGGGUCCAUCGAUGACUCCCAACCAAUUAAGGUUUAGGGCACCAAGUUUUAAGGAUCUUUCAACCACUAACUACUCGGAUUUUUCCCCGGACUUUUAAGAAUGAGUUUCUAAUACCCAAGCAUCUACCAUAUGCUAACUCUACCUAUUCACCCAUAUAACGAGCAUUGAGGUCGGUGACUCCCAACCAAUUAAGGCUUAGGGCACCAGGCUUUAAAGGCUUUCACCAUAUGCCCCUCAGACCUUGCUCGGGUUUCAAGGCAAGCAAACAACUUUCUUUAUUUCAAAGGCUCAUUGGCCUUUUGCAGGGUGUUUCAAUUUUUAUCAAAUGAGGUCAAAUAUACCAAGUCCCAAAAUUAUCCUAAGUCAAGAGGGAAAUAGCUUUUCAUCUUAUAAUCGGAAUCUAAUGUGCACAGUGUGUGGAUAGCUUAAAGUGGAAGAACUCAAUUCAAUUUCAGUAGAAGUUUCAACAAUUGGACCACUUUAGGAAGCAUAAUCCAUACUCUAAGUCAAGUGAAAAACAACAGUUCAAUUUCUCUUGGUUUAAUUUGAAAAUUUUUCUCAAAAUUCAUGGAGAAUAGAGUAACACUAGUAAAAAGUAAAAACUACAACUAAUUAACCAAUAUAAUUGCAAUACCAAAAAGGUUUAGACUACUUCCUUCCUCAUACCCCCCAACCGAACUGAGCAUUGUCCUCAAUGUGAUUUGAGUGACUGUAAUAAAAGGGAGGAAGUGGUACCUCCAUGCUGAUAUCAAAUUCGAAUAUUGAUUGGGGAAAACCACAUGUUUCAAAAGGAAUAGAAUAUGUGAGAAAAGGAAAUAAGGAAACUUUAAUGCUAACUUUUAACAAGAAAAAUUCAACUUGUAUUACUUUGAGUUCAUUUGAUUACAAUGCUAAAGACAAGUAACACAAGGAAUCCCAUAUAUAGUACCAAAAUACUGGGAUUUCAUUUCAACUAAAACAAAACAAACAUAAAAACAUAAAUAGCAAAUAUAUAUAAUGUCUGAUGAGUAGGGUGAUGGUGCUAAGCAGAAGGAUCUGCCUCUUCAGUAGGUGGAUCAGCUGGUGCUUCAGGCUCUGGAGGAUGAGACUCUGAAGGCUGAGAGUGUGGCUCUGGUGGAGUAGGAAUGGAGGGCUCUACAGCUUGUGGCAGAUCGAAAUGGACUUGGAGCUGCCUUAGGAUGGCAGCUUGUUGAGCCUGAGAGGCUAACAUCUGCUCCUGGCAUGCUUUAAUGGCUGCCAACUCCUGAGCAAGAUUGCUCUGAGAAGCUGUAAGAGUCUCCAAUGCACGGCACAGCUCUCGAUAUUCGGAUAUAGGGAUGGCCAUCCUCGGCUCAGCUGAUGUGGAUGGCUGUGAUGGAGUAGGUGCAGCUGGUGAAGCUCGAGGGAUGGCAGGAGUAGCAAGUGUUAUACCUUCAGGUAUAUGUCUUGGGGAGGCUCUCCUUGCUGCUGGUUGAGGCUGCCCAGGCUGAUCAACUUUGUAGGCCGUCAUAUUAUUCCAUUUAUCAAGGGUAAAUGGCUCACGGCAUAUUCUCUUUCUUUCCUGCUGAGGCUCAGAGGGGUAUCCGAGAUGCUCCAAAACUUGGCAUAGCAACCUUGGGAAGAGGAGUGGAAUGCAAUCUGCUCUUUGAAGCUUCUUCUUGUGAACCUUCUCCUCAAAGUAUAGAAGGGCUGCCAUGAUAAGAUGAUGAGGCCCAAAAAAGAAUCCUUCUGACAUCUUGUACAAGGCUUCCAGGAGAAUUCCCCUUCUUUGGGUCCAAUGCUGCAGGGGAUAGAUAUUAUGCCUCAAAAAGGCAUCAAUAAAAAACAUCACUGGAGGUAGCUCCCCCCUCAACAGGUGUGACCGAUUUGCAGCUCCUCUAGUUAGGGUGCGAACCAUCUCUAACUCAAUAGGAUUUGCCCAAGCUUUAAAAUUGUCGAAUUGGGUUGGCUCAAAAGGAAUUUGCAGGGCUUCAGCAAUAUGUCUUGCUCCCAAAAUUCCAUGUCUUCCAUCAAUUGUGAAAUGGAUCAGAGUUGGAUUUCUUACCUCUUUGGUUGUCAUGGACUGGUAGAAAUCAGUGACUACCCGGGGAUAGAAAAAAUCCCUUGGAGCUAGCAGAUGCUCCAUAUGAUAUCUCCUCAGCAGCUGGAAGGAUUGGGCAAGCUCUGGCCUCACUCUAAAUGCUGUUAAAUCGAAACAAAGCUCAAAAUGGAAUGCCCGAGUUCGACAAUCCAAGUUUCCUUCGAUUGGGGGCUGAGGCAGCAUUGGCCUCCUAAUCACUUCUUCCAGAGGUGCUUCAGCUGCAAUUUGGGGCUCUGGAAUUGGCGCUUGAGGCUCCUGAGCUUUUUCUUGGGGUUCCGGAGAUGGUACCGGCGAUGGAAUUGGCAGGGGACUCAGCGAGGGAAUUGGCGAGGGAACCGGUGACGGCACUGGAAUUUGUACCGGUGAAGGAUUUGGUGAAGAUACCGGAGAUUGAACCGGUGUUAGCUUUGGGGAUUUCUCAGGGGAUUGCUCAGUCAAAUCAAUUGGUUCAGAGCUCUCAACCCUGGGCUUCUUCUUCAAUGGCCGACCGCCUGACCUUGUUAAAUAUCGCCUUGCCGGCGGCUUUGGUGGCGCCGGCUUCACUAGAGAAGGUUUUGGUCUCGAGGGCGAAGGCUUUGGAGCAGGUUCUGGAACAGAACCUGGGCUUGGCUCCUUUCGCAGACUCCUUUUGCGGUUCGAAGGGGAUGAAGACUUUGCCCCUCGCGUUCGUGCCAUUUUGGGCUAUCGAUCUUUGGCCGGCGCUGCUGAACGGAGAAGACGACCGGAGGCUUGGACGGCGAAGCUUGGUGAAGAAGACGAAGGGGCUGCGAGAAUGGUGCUCUGAUUUUUGAAACCCUUUUCGCAGCACUUUUGAUCGGUAUAAAUAGGAAAAACGGAAGCCCAAGGAUCAGUUUAAGUUUCGCAACAAAACGCCAAUUUCGCAGCAACUUGCCAUUUUCGCAGCAACUUCGCAGAGAGUUUCGCAGCUGCGAAAUUGAUGUUACUGUGCUGCGGAGUGGCACUUGUGUGCCAAAUCCACUUUCGCAAUUGCGAAAUACCCUGCGGAAUGGGACUUUUGGUGCGAAAUCACGCAUUUCCACUUCGCAAUGGGUUUCGCAGCUGCCAAAUGGAUGCUACUGUACUGCGAAGUGGCACUCGUGUGCCAAAUUCACUUUCGCAGCUGCGAAAUACACUCACAGAGGCUUCUACAGUGCUGCGGAGUGGUUUGGCAACAAAAAUCACAUUUCGCAGAAGUUUCCUUCUCUCUGCGAAAUUUCGCAGAGCUCUGUUUUUCCCCUGUUUUUGCUCUGUUUCGGCUCCAAUUUCGGCCCGAUUUUUUUUCUUUUCAAUCCCCUUGAAAUUUCUUCCACCUGGGAUCAUUUAAAACAAUUAAAACACAUCUAAAAACAUGAUUUAAGAUCAAAAACUAAGAUCAAAAGUAUGGAAACAACUUGAAAAUUUACAAAAUUUACAAAAAUUUUGGACUGUGGUUAAACCACGUCCAGCAAACCCUUUUUCACUUGGUUUUUUGAGGCUCAAGGAGGUUGAUUGCCUCCUUUUUUGAUUUGAAUGACUCCAUGAACGGCUUAAGACGAUAUCCAUUGACUCUAAAGCUGUCCUUGCCAUUGGAAUUCAAUAAGUCCACCACUCCAUUGGAAUAUACUCGGUGAAUAACAAAUGGACCAAUCCACCUUGAUUUGAGCUUCCCAGGAAAGAUAUGGAGUCUUGUGUCAUACAUCAAAACUUUUUGCCCUUCCUGAAAUUCCUUAUUGGAAAUGAGUUGAUCAUGCCACUUCUUCAUCCUCUGUUUUGCAACUUUGGAGUUGAUAUAAGCAUUAUUUCUUAAUUCCUCCAUCUCAUUAAGGUCUAGAAAUCUCUUUUCUCCGGCCUUGAUCAAGUCCAUAUUCAGCUUCUUUAUUGCCCACCAAGCCUUGUAUUCAACUUCCACAGGGAGGUGGCAUGCUUUACCAUAGACAAGACGAUAGGGAGACAUCCCAAGAAUAGUCUUAUAAGUUGUUCUAUAUGCCCACAAUGAAUCAUGAAGCCUAAUAGACCAAUCUUUUCUGUUGGAAUUCACCACUUUCAUCAAGAUGUUCUUUAUUUCCCUGUUAGCUAGCUCAACUUGCCCGGAAGUCUGAGGAUGAUAAGGUGUGGCCACCUUAUGCUUCACUCCAUACUUGGAUAACAGAGCUUCAAAAGGUUUGUUGCAAAAAUGAGCACCUCCAUCACUGAUUAUGGCCUUGGGCACCCCAAAUCUUGAGAAAAUGUUCUCUUUAAGAAACUUGAGAACCACCCUGUGAUCAUUUUGUUUACAGGGGAUUGCCUCAACCCAUUUAGAAACAUAAUCUACCCCCACCAAAAUGUAAGAAUUACCAAAAGACAUUGGGAAAGGUCCCAUGAAUUCAAUGCCCCAUACAUCAAAUAUCUCAACUAUCAGAAUGGGGUUCAUAGGCAUUUGAUUUCUUUUUGUUAGCUUUCCAAGCCUUUGGCAUCUAUCACAAUUUUUACACAUGAUGUGGGCAUCUUUGAAAAGAGAGGGCCAAGUAAACCCUGACUGCAAUACCUUCAUGGCUGUUUUCUGAGAGGCAAAGUGGCCUCCACAUGCAUUCUCAUGACAAUGAGAUAGAAUCCCUUGCUGCUCAUCUUCAGGGACACAUUUUCUAAUAAUCUGAUCUGCACAAUACUUAAAAAGAAAGGGCUCUUCCCAAUAAUAAGAAUGAAUUUUGGCGAAGAAGUGCUUCCUGUCCUGUGCAUUCCACUCACUUGGAAUUUCACCAGUUACUAAAUAAUUAGCAAUAUGAGCAUACCAAGGAGUUUUCACUAGGAACAUGAGUGAUUCUUCAGGAAAAUCAUCAUUGAUAGGCAAGGGAUGGGAAUUAUGUGCUAUAACUAACCUUGACAAGUGGUCAGCUACUACAUUUUCCACACCUUUCUUAUCUUUGAUUUGAAGAUCGAAUUCUUGUAACAAAAGAAUCCAUCUAAUCAACCUUGCUUUUGCAUCUUGCUUUGUCAAUAAAUACUUCAAGGCUGAAUGGUCAGUAAACACAAUGAUGAAAGACCCCACUAAAUAAGCUCGAAAUUUGUCCAAAGCAAAUACCACAGCUAACAAUUCUUUCUCUGUAGUUGUGUAGUUCCUCUGAGCUUCAUUUAGUGUUUUACUUGCAUAGUAAAUCACAUAGGGCUUCCCAUCUUCUCUUUGGCCAAGCACAGCUCCUAUAGCAAAGUCACUGGCAUCACACAUUAGUUCAAAAGGUAAUUGCCAGUUAGGGGCUCUUACUAUUGGAGUUGUUGUUAGAAACUUCUUCAGUUGAUCAAAGCUAUGCUGACACCUUUCAUCCCAUAUAAACUUAGUAUCCUUAGCUAACAAAUCACAAAGAGGUUUUGAAAGACUUGAAAAACCUUUUAUAAACCUCCUAUAGAAUCCUGCAUGGCCAAGGAACUGCCUUACUCCUUUCACAGUUGUUGGAGAUGGUAAUUUGGCAAUAAGCUCCACCUUUGCUUUAUCAACUUCAAUGCCUCUUUCAGAGAUGAUAUGGCCAAGGACAAUUCCUUGACGUACCAUAAAAUGGCAUUUCUCCCAAUUCAGCACCAAAUCUUUUUCAAUGCAUCUAUGAAGAACUGCUUCCAAAUUAACCAAGCAUUCCUCAAAUGUACCUCCAUAUACGGUGAUGUCAUCCAUGAAAACUUCCAUAAUUCUCUCCACCAUAUCACUGAAAAUACUCAACAUGCAUCUUUGAAAAGUAGCAGGUGCAUUGCAUAACCCAAAAGGCAUUCUUCUAUAAGCAAAUGUUCCAAAUGGACAUGUAAAAGUGGUCUUUUCUUGAUCUGCCAAAUCAAUUUCAAUCUGAAAAUACCCUGAAUACCCAUCCAAGAAACAAUAGAAUGGAUGUCCAGAGACUCUCUCCAGCACUUGGUCAAUAAAUGGCAAUGGAAAAUGAUCCUUCCUGGUGACAGCAUUCAGCUUUCUAUAAUCAAUACACACCCUCCAACCUGAAGUGAGGCGUGUAGUAAUUUCUUCCCCUUUUUCAUUCUGAAUCACUAUGAUCCCUGACUUCUUUGGUACCACUUGAGUAGGACUCACCCAAGGGCUAUCAGAAAUAGGGUAAAUGAUUCCUGCUUGAAGUAGCUUCAGCACCUCAGCUCGCACCACCUCUUGUAGAUGAGGAUUCAACCUUCUUUGAAAUUGACGAAUUGGCUUUGCUUCCUCCUCCAUAUAUAUAUGAUGAGUACAAACUAAAGGACUAAUGCCUUUCAAAUCAGAUAUUUGCCAUCCUAUUGCCUUCUUACACCUCUUAAGAACUUCCAUUAAACCAUCCUCUUGAUGACUGGUCAGAGAUGAGGAUAUCACAACAGGACAUUGAUUAUUUGCUUCAAGAUAUGUAUAUUUCAGCUCCAUAGGUAAAGGCUUCAGAUUGAGUUUUGGAAUUUCUUUUUCAACAGCUGCCUCCUCUUCUUCAUUGAACAGAGGUAGAAUUCCUUCUAUCUUUCUCCAACUUUGUAGAGUAGCAAGCCCAAUAGGAGAUUCAGAAAAACCUUCCUCAAUAUCCUCAAGACUUUCAUUCAACUUGUCUUGCAUAUUUUGAUUGCAGUGCUCCUCUACCAAAGUAUCAAUUAUACAUAACUCUUCUGGACCUUCUUCUUCUUCCGGAGUGAUUUGCUUUUUAGACAUAUAGAAAAUAUUGAGAUCCAAUGUCAUAUUACCAAAAGUGAGUUGCAUAAGCCCAUUUCUACAGUUGAUGAUUGCAUUUGAAGUUGCAAGAAAUGGCCUUCCAAGGAUGAUAGGAACUAAAUUAGCUUCCUUUACAGUAGGAUCUGUAUCAAGAACAAUAAAAUCUACUGGAUAGUAGAAAUUAUCCACUUGAACCAAUACAUCCUCAAUUACCCCUCUUGGAAUUUUCACUGAUCUAUCUGCCAGAGAUAAAGUGAUUGCUGUUGGCUUCAACUCUCCAAGGCCCAAUUGCUUGUAGACAGAAUAUGGACGCAAAUUCACACUUGCUCCCAAGUCUAACAAGGCUUUCUCCACUACCUUUCCUCCAAUCAUGACUGAAAUGGUAGGACUUCCAGGGUCUUUGUACUUCAAAGGAGACUUGCAUUGUAAGAUUGCACUUACUUGCUCAGUCAAGAAGGCUUUCUUGUUUACAAUCAACCCUCUUUUGAUAGUACACAAGUCCUUAAGGAAUUUUGCAUAUGUUGGAACUUGUUUGAUCAUAUCCAGCAGUGGAAUAUUAACUUUCACUUGCCUCAAGACUUCAAGGAUUUCAGCUGCAUUUCUAACCCCCUUUUUCCCCUAUAAUGCUUGAGGAAAAGGUGGAGAAGUUGAUUUCUUCAGCAUUUCUUCCUUCAGAAGCUCCUUCUCUGGAAUUACUUUCAUUGUUGCAUCAGAGUCCUUCUUUUCGUCACUGAUCUCACUGCCUUUAUCUUCCAUUUCCUUCCCUUUCUUCAUCUCUUCUUCUUUCUCAACAUGUGGCUUGGGUGUUGGCUGCUCAAUUUUCUUACCACUCCUUAGAGUGAUCAAGGCCUUCACAUCUUUCACCUGUGAUGAUUCUCCCUCAUGGCUUUCCACUUCAUGGACACCUUUGGGAUUUUGGUGAGGUUGAGAAGGAAAUCUUCCCUUUUCUUGCAGUGUAUUCAAAUUUGUAAGCCUUGAAAUUGAAUAUUGGAUGUUAUCAAAUUUUUGGUUCAUAUCAUUUUGCAUUCCAUCCAUCCUUUUAUUCAUCAUACUCUCCACUCUAUCAAUCCUUUGAUCGAGUCGAGCAUUAGUGGCUUCUUGCUUUUCAAUAAAAUCUCCCAUUACCUUGCUGAGAUUGGCUAUUGCUUGUUCAAUACUUGAAGAUUGCUGAGAUGGUGGAUCCGGCUGUUGGUAUUGAGUUGCUCUAGCCUUCCAUGAGAAAUUUGGAUGAUUCCUCCAACUUGAAUUGUAGGUAUUUCCAUAUGGCGCAUUGUUAUUGGGCCUGAAUUGUCCAACAACAUUUGCUUGAUCUCUAUACAUUUCUCUUUCAGCUGAAAUUGCAGGGCAUUCCUCCACCAAAUGUUCAAAUGAUUGACAAUUGGGACACAGCUUCACUUGCACUGGUGCUUCAGCAACAGCUUGCACUUCAUGUAUUUUUUUCAGCUCCAGCUCCUCCAAUCUUCUUGUCAUAGCUGCCAACUUUGCCUUCAUAUCAUCAUCUUCUUUCAAAGUGUACAUCCCAGCCUUUGCAUUGUAAGCAUUCAACUGAGACUUCAUCUUUCCCACUUCUCCUUUAGUUGGUUCAUCCCAUCCCCUUGAAACAUCAGCUACAUAGCUCAAGAAAUCCAUAGCUUCCUCUGGAUUUUUGCUCAUGAAAUCUCCUCCACACAUUGUCUCGAGGAGUUGCUUCAUUGAGGAGGACAUACCAUCAUAAAAAUAGCUCACCAAUAGCCAAGUAUCAAAACCAUGGUGAGGACAAGCAUUUAUAGCUUCCAUGUAUCUCUCCCAACACUCAUAGAAUUUCUCAUUCUCUUUAGCUGAGAAAUUUGAAAUUUGCCUUUUCAAGCCAUUUGUUCUAUGAGUAGGAAAAAAUUUCUUGAGGAAUUCAGCUUGUAAAUCAGUCCAAGAGCGGAUACUCCUUGGCCUUAAAGAAUUAAGCCAAAUUUUGGCCUUAUCCUUUAAAGUAAAAGGAAAUAACUUAAGCCUCAUCAAAUCAAUUGAAGCUCCUCCCUCUUGGAAUGUAUUACAAACAUCUUCAAAUUCCUUGAUGUGUGCAUACGGAUUCUCACUUUCCAUCCCAUGGAAAGUUGGUAGAAGUGGAACAAGAUAUGGUCUGAUCACUAGCUGCUCUGUAGGGGGCACUAUACAUGAUGGUGCACUCAUACGAGGUGGAUGCAUACGGUCCCUCAUUGAUCUGAAUUCAUUGAGAUUGUCUUGACGACCUUGGUGACUAUGCUGAUCUUCAGGUGCAGCCUCCAUGAUAUUCAAGAUUACUUCCAAUUCUCUUCUCUGAGGUGUAUCACACUUAACAAGCCUACCUCCAAUGUCUCGUAUCCACUUUGGCAUACACAACUAGUAUUCAGCUGCAACUUAAAUAAAAACAGAGGACACAAAGAAAAACAGGGCUACAACAACAAAAUUAAACUAGACUAAAUUUUAAAAGAUAAACUUAGAUUAUGAAUUAACUAAGAAAGAAUGAAAAUUAGUAAAGUGAAAGAAACUUUACCAACUUGUGAUGAAAAUCACAAGUGCUCAAAAAUGGUAUCACAAUGAACUUGACACUCAUUCCCCGGCAACGGCGCCAUUUGACUCAUGCCCAAUUGGUGUCUCAGCUGAUUUGUGUUCAGCUGGUGCUCCUUGAUUGAGGAAGUGAUCAACAAAAUUUAUACCUAUAACACCAUACACUAGGGUAGCAAAUAAAAAGCUACUAUAGUAUAGUGGCUCUAGGAUCGUUCACUGGGAAUGAUUAAAUUAACAAGCAGUCAAGGAUACCAAUUCCAAGUGAAUUGGUCUCGUUUCAUUUCACGGUUAGCUUAAGAAAUAAAACACAAACUUUGAUUGGUAAAGGUUGAGACUUAAACUAACUAACUUAACAGAAGUUUGGAAUAAUUUAGGAAGAAAAGCAUUCCUUGGAGAUUUAGGUUCACUGGGGUGGUUCCUCAUGCAAAAGACAUAGCUCCGGUCAGAUGGUUCAUUUCCUCGCAUUAGAGAUUCAACUUAGAGUCAAUUCUCUAAUCGGUGAUGUACAGAGACUCCUUCAAUUAGAUUUCACUUUAAUUCUCUCACUGAUACAACUUGCAAUGGUUCAUGCCUCUCACGAGCACUUACCAUUCAAGGUGAUCUUUAACCUUGGACUUCCCUUCACAAACUCGCAAGAGAUAACUAAUGGAUGUCUCCUAAGAGUCCAAAAGCUUACCAAGUGUUGGUAAUUCCAGAAAAUCCUACCUUGAAGUCACCUACCAGAGGCUCGCAAGGGGUAAACUAGUGCAUUUCCAUGGUUGGAAAUUACUUGCCUUACCAAGUGUUGGCCUAGGUGACUCUAAGGUGUUUUAAGUUAACUAAAAAUAUUGAAAUCACUAAAGGAUUUCACUUCCUCUUCAUUACUAGCUAAAACCACAGAGCUUAGCAUUCUUGCACUUGGAACCUUCCCCGGCAACCUUAGCUCCAAGGAAUUGGAGGUUUAGUUACUCAUUCUCUGGGGAAAACUCCUCAGAGAAUUCAUAACUUAGAAAUAAAAUGAAAAUACAAAGUGAGAAGGUAAGGUAGUAGAAAGAAAAUAGACUUUACUUGCUUACCAAACGGUUACAGAAGGAAUUCCUCCCUGAGAACAGGCUCCCGAGAGGUAUAUAUAUCAAAACAAUAUAAAACUAAUUGUUACAGAGAUAUUUGGUCUUUUUUACUAACUUAAAAACUAAGGAAUCAUGUAAUUGGUGGUUUACAAGGAGUAUUUUGGGAUUUAGACAACAAAAAUCUAAUGGAAAAUAUCUCCCAAUGUCGGUAGCAAGCUUCGGGAGGCUUCAGGAACCAUUUCGCAGGAGUAAAAUGGUGUCUGCGAAAUUUCGCAAACACCCAAGAGGGCUGCGAAAUUAUUUCGCAACACCGAGCUAUCUUCAUAGGGCUGCGAAGUUGGCUUCCACCUUGAGGUUCCCAGCUCCCUUCUCGCGGCAUGGUUCGUGAAUCGUCAGAAGGAGAAACACCUUACUGUACAAAAGUGCUGCGAAAUUCUCGCAACAAAAGGCUGAUUCCGCAACACUUUAGAGUGAUUGACUUGUAAUGGCUGCAACUUCUUCGUUUCAACUCCGAAUUGCGCACCGUUUGAAGCAUUGGAUUGUUGACUUCCUGAGCUUUGAAAUGGUAUAAAGCAUGCAUCAUUUGGACUUCAGAAAGUGCUCUAAAAGUGGCUGCUACGACUGUCAUCAAGAAUAGGCUUCAUGGCAGAUUCUCUUUGCUUUUUCUCCUUGCAAUCCGGAUUCACUCUUGGCAAAUGAAUUCUAAGCUUUGCCCAAGAUUCCUCAUAGCUCUCCUCAGACUUGACUUGCUUUGGUGAUCAAAAUACUAACAAAAACACCAAAACUUACACAAAGUGAUCAAAAUUGCUUUAAAGGAUCCUUAACAUGCCAAUUGAGUUAAAAGGCCUAAACUACUACUCAAAAGUGUUUAAAAGGAUUAAUUAUAGGCUAUCAAAUAGCACUUUUUGAGUAGUAAUCAGUCAUCCAUACAUAGAAAAAUCUGUGUGAUCUUAAGCCAGAAAAGAUGUUGCAUCUAAUCAAAUUCACUAGAUAUGAUGAUAUCUAUACUUUUUUUUAAAAUUAUAUUCAUAUUUAUGUCAGAAAAUAAAUUUUUUAUUUUUUAUUUUUAGAACAUUAAACUUUUUAAAAGUCCUUUCUGGGAUAUUUUCUAGCUUUUUCCUUUUGCUAAUUUUUGCUAUUCAAACAAAUCUUAAGAAAUGAAUCAAACUUGGACACAAUUGAAGAGCUUGGCAUCCUUGUUUUUAGAUUCCAAAGCAUAUAUAGAGAUUGGGGUAAAACACCUUGUACCUAAGAAAAAAAAAGGAAAAAAAAAACACCACAACAAAAAAUUAACCAAAAAUAAAAAAAUUAACUGGAAUAAAAAAUCAAGAAAAUAUUUUUCUGGGUUAAUAAUUAAUUAUAAUGAAAUCAAAAGAAAAAGAAAAAAUACAUACUUCUUCCUGGCUUUGCCUACACUGAAAGCCAUGAAAGAAUUGGGAAAGCAGUAAAGAACAAGAACAAGAACCACAUCCAUAUUCUGGGGAAAGCAAAUCCUCUGCUGCCUUCUUCAGAUUGAAGGCAACUAAUAAACGUGUUAAGGGGUUAUGAGUUUGACUUGGUUGAGUUUGAAGCUACAAAAGUAAGAAAAAUGGUAGUAAUUUUGGAAGCAUUUCUAACUCUUCUAUAACUUGAGAGAUAAAAAAUUUUAAAAGUUAAAAAUGUUAAAAGAGCUUUUUAGAAUCACCCCAAAUGUACUCUAAAUUAUUUAUGACUUGAUGUCACCUUCACACUCAUUUUUCAGUGUCAUUUAUUUUUGGUGUUCCCAUAUUGAAGAUUUAGGGUAAUGUAAUAUUCAAGCCUUCACAUUUUGCCUUCACUAACCUUUGAAUUUUAAUUAAAUUCUUUGAAGGAUAUUUGACCACUUCAUUGUCCAAAAAUGCUUAUAUUGCCAUUUUUUUUUUGGUCUUUUUCUACAAUUCCAAUUUUACUAUUUUUCUUUUAUUUAUUCCUAUUAUUAUUUAGGCUAUUAUUUAUAAUAUUCUUAAUAUUAUAUUUAUAAUUGUUAAUAGUAUAAUUACUUUUCAUUUAUUUGUCAUUUAUAUUGCUUAUCUUAUCUUUAAUCAUGUAUAAGACUCAAAAAUUGCAGAAAACAUUAAUAAGUAACUACUAAACUUCAAAGAGAUAAUAAAAUUCAACUACAUUGAUAUUACAACAAUACAAAUAAAAUAUAUAGCAACCAGCCCUUAAAGGGGCUUUUAAGAGAUAAUGAGUCUACUUCAGAUUGACAUUUAAAGUAGAAUCACCAUCUCUAUAGAUAAAUAUGAAGCCUAAAAAGAAUAGAACAUCACUAAAUAAUAUUAAUAAAGCAACAACUAGAUCAAUUGAUAGUGAAAAUAAAGGUUUACAAGAUGAAUCACAUAAAUAAGAACAACUAAAUUGAGAAACAAAUUACAUGUCUGACAAAUCUAAUGAGGGAAAACAUUAGAGCUAGGUGCCCAAUGAUUGGCUCCGUGAAGUUGACCUACCUCCUCAAUAGGUACAUAGGAGUCCUUACCUAAAAAAACAUUAAAAUCAAUAGGGUGAACAUAAGAUCUAAUAAAUAGGCACGAUAUGCAGAUGUUAGGAUGGUUAGUCCAAGGUAAAAAAAAAUAGUUCUAAAAUGUAUCACGUAAUAAUUUUGGUGUAUUAUGAGAGGAAAAUGGACUUGUGAGGACUAUACUUUGUGGAUAGAAAUGCGAGGAAGAGUGAAAGACACUCAGUGGAGUAAGAGAGCGGUGGAGUAAGAGAGCUAACAGUUUAGGGUAGUCAUACAAAGUGUGGGUAAAUAGAUGUAUCUAUUUUUGUUCCUAACAAUAUUUUUUUUAUUGUAUAGUGAAAUAUUAUCUCUCAAAUAUGGAAGUAAGAAUGGUUAGGUGUACCAUGUUAAAAUCUUAAGUGAAUAUAUUUUUAUAUUAGAAUAAACCAUUUUCUUAAUUAUAAGUAUAUUUGAAUAUUUUACUAAACUAUUUUAAAAUAAAAUAUAGUAAAAAAAAUUAAUAUAUAUAUAAUAAUAACAUGAUAAAUAACAUAUCCCAAACCAAAUGCAACAUAAAUUUCUAAAUUGUCUCUCCUUUCUUAGUUCUCUAUAAUAAUAUUGCCAUACCCAUUGUUUAAGCUAUAAAUUAACAUUUUAUGUUCUUUGAAACAUAUGUAUUACCAACUCAAUAUAUACAUAGCUACGAAGACAUAUUUCUCAUUUUCCCAAUCAGAAAGCAUUGUGAGUUGAAACCUUUUUGUUUAGAAAGUUAACUUGCAAUGUUAAUAUUCUUUUUUUAUAUUAGCCCCCUAGGAAUAUCAUUGCCUUUCACCACACUUUAAGUUUUUUUUUUCAAUAUUCUUUUUUACUUCUACACUAGAAUUUAUGUAACUUCUUGUUCUUUAUUUAUUAUUAUUAUUAUUUUCAAUAUUUUCUCUUAAGUCUACCUUACACUUCUUAUUACCUCUCAUAUAUUUUUUUUUUUUGUCUUUUUCAAAUACUUGGUUGCUUCUCUAUUACAAUUCAUUAACUUCCUAUCCUUUUAUUUAUUUUUAUUUUUUGCAAAAUUCUUUCUUAAACUACAUAAAUCCAUAGUUUUUAUUUUAAAAGCAUCAAGUAAAGAACAUAGACCUACUCAAACACCAUUGUAUAAUACCCCUAAAAUUUCCAAAAAUCCCUAAAAUUUCAUAAAUUCUCUGCAAACUUAUCCCUAAUUAGAUGCUAUUAUAUUAAAUAUAUCUAAUUCACUCUAAACACAUGAUUGAUAAUAAUAUAAAAAACUAAAACAAUAUUAAUAUGCAAUUUAUUAUUUUUCAACACACUGUAAUAGUUCCCAAAUAUUUUCAAACAUCAGCUAACAAACCUAAAUUUAUUAACUCAAAAUACAUAACUGAUAACAAUGGAGAACUAAAAAAAAAAAAAUUAUAAAUAUAACAAUUUUAUACUUUGAAUACAAUUCAAUAAAUCCUAAAUUUUUAAAAACAUUUAACUAAUAAACUUAACCAUACUCAAAUAUUAUUGUAUAACAUCUCUAAAAAUUUCAAUAAUUUAUCAAAUGUGAAGACUACACUCACCGAUUUAGUAGAAUCAUUUGCCUCUUUUGUUGGUAAUUGGGAUUUUUGCUCAGUAGCUUCGCUUUCCUUUGCUUCACUUUCUUCUGCUUCAUUUUUUUAUUCUGUUCGCAAUUGGCAUUUUUGUUUUUUCGUCACUUUUUUUAAUCUUUUUAUCAAAUCACUCUUCAAUGAACUCAUUGUUUCCUUCGUGCUUGAAGAUACAAUAUGAGAUAACUUGAAAAAAAUAGAAUAACAAUUUUUCUAAGGAUUCAGAAUGAAACAAAGGAUGAAAUGAUAGACGAUAAAAUUUCUAGGGUUUUUGAAGGAAAAAUGAGAUUUUCGUUUUGUGCAUCAAAGGAAGAUAAUGAAAUAGAAGAAGAUGAUGAAAGAUGAAGACUCGUUCUGUAAAUGAAGCGAAAGAGGAUAUGAGUUUUCCUUUUUGUGCACCAAAUGAAGAUAAUGAAGUAGAAGAAAAUGAUGAGAAAGUUUUUUUGGAAAAUAUGAGGAGUUGUUCUGUAAAUGAAGCAGAAGAGGAGAAGUUGUAAGUGUUGGAGAGAAAAAAGAAGAAGGACAUUUUUGUCUCAAUCAACAAUUUUGUUUUGUUUUUUAACCGAUGGGUUAUAUUUGCAAAUAUGGGGGUUAUUUUGACCCCUUUAACCAAAUAACCCUAUUUUUUAUCGAGUUACAUCUUUAAAUUAGGUGUAAAAAGAAAUUUUGAUAUGGUAGAGACUGUAUAGUUAUAUAUUGAAAUUCCAUGGUUCAUUAGAUAAACCAUCCUUGAAUUUCUUUGGUUUCAAUCAAGAUGAUAGAUCAUCCUUCCACAGAGUGACCUGAUAUGACAUUGAUUUCUAGGGCUUCAAACACGAAGGGUGUCAAUGACUAAGAACUCCGUUUGAUUGUCAAAAAAAUGAGGAAAAAAACCCUAAAAUAAAAUAUAAAUACAAUUCAGAAUUUCAAUUUUACAUUGUUAGGGACCCCAAAAAUGGGAACAUUCACUUAAUUGAGCGUAAUCCAACCACCUGCCUUAGUUCAAUUCAGUCCCCACUUUCUAGAAACCAAAACAAUAUAAAAAUUCCUGUGUUUGACUGCUCAGAAAGCAUAGGACAAGCAAAGAAAACGACGGUGCCUCCUUGAUCAAACAGUUUUUUUUUUUUACCUUUUCUUUUCUUGCAUUUUCUUUUUUCGGCAACCAAACAUAACUUUUUAAUUGAGCAUUGUUGUAUACAAUUUAGAUUUCUUUCCCUCGGUUUCUCCGCAACCAAACAGAAUUUUUCUCAAUUGAGCGAGGGUAUAGUAUAUCCUUCGUUUUCCUAUAACCAAAUAGAACUUCCCUUGUUAUUUUUUUAAUCUUUUCUUUGAAUUUCUCGGAAACCCAACGGAGUUUACUUCUGGUGCAACCGUGCAAGAAAAUGGUUUUACCUGAUCGCAAUUCACCGGACUAGCUGAAGCAAUAGAGGCUUAAGAAAAAGAGACUGAGCUUUGUUUGUUAGACCCCCUAUGUGAGUACGCAAAGUAAGAAGAAUUGAAGCUGAAAUUAGGCAGCUUCCAAACACGUCUUAGGAGUUGGUUUUAAAACCCAUUUUUUCCCCUUUUUGGUUGCAAUUGGUCUGCAAAGAUGCCAUUAAAAGGUAACCGCGGUUGGUUGCAUGAACAAGAAAAUGAAAAAAAAAGAGUUAAAACUAAUUAAAAUUAUUUAAUAUUUACAUUGAAGAGUAAAAAUAAUUACAAUAUAUUUAAAUAAACACAUAAAAAUAAUAAUUUAUUAAUUUUAAAUCUAUUUUUAAAAUUUUCAAUUUUUCAUUUAUUUUAUUCCCUCUAAGCUUUCUAACUAAGGUCAUAAUUUGGACAAAUUGUUGGAUUCAUAGCUAAUCUAAAUAAUCUAAUAGAGAUAAAUAAAUAAUUAAUUUAAGUUCAACCCAACUUCUAAGCUUUCUAACUAGGGUCAUAACUUGAACAAAUUGGAUGGUUAACAUACAACUUGGACAAAUUGGUGGGUUCAUAGCUAAUCUGAAUAAUUUAAUAGGGAUUAAUAAAUAAUUAAUUUAAGUUUAGCCCCACCUCUAAACAGAGGUAUUUAAUUCAAGCUCAACCAACUUCAUUUCUUCGAGCUCUGGUUGAUGAGGUUAAACUUGGGUUAGCCCUUGAUUGUAUAAUUCAAAAUACAUGUAUAAUGUUUUUUAAUAAAAAAAAUUUAUAUACUUAUAUCAAAUUUUAAAUAGUAAGUAGGACAAAAUUUUAAAAUAACAAAAAAAAUAAAAACAAAGUUAUAUAUCUUUUUUAAAAAGUAAAAAAAUAUAUUAUAUAAUAUAAUUUGAUUUUUUUUUAUAAAAAUUUAGAAAGAAUAAAAUUAUUAUAUAAAAUAACAUAUAUUGGAAAUAUUAUAAAAGCAUUAAAAGUUUGUUCAGUAGUUAUUCAAAUAAGUGUUUCUAUCCCUAAUUUAAACUUUGGUUUCAAUCUAACUCGAAUUGAAUUUGAGUUGAAAAAGUUUAACUUGAAUAUUAAAAAUAAUUGUCUAAACCAAAUCAAAUAUCAGAUUGGAUUCGACUAAUCUGCCAAAGUUACACUCCUACCAAGAACCAUACACAAUAAAAAAAUUUUAAGAUAUUUUUUGUUCUAGGAAAGUACUCAAAAAGGAGAAAUAAAGAAAAAAAAUGAUUUUAUAUGUAUAAUUAAAAUUAGUUAAAUUUUAUAUAUUUUAAAAUUAUUUAAUUUUUUUUAUAUGGAAAAGAAAAAAAAAAAGAGUGAAAUAAGUUUGAAAAAACAAGUAAAAAUGAUUUGUUAACUUUAGUAUUUUUUUCUUUUCUUUUCUUCUAUUUUUUUCUUUUUAGUUUAUUUUUCUCAAAUUUUUCAAAAAAUAAACAUAGAAUUAAAAAAUAAGAAAUAAUUACAGAAUUGGAAAAUCAAUUUUAGAAAUUGCUUAUAUGAUUGCAUUAGUUUGUGUAAAUAAUAAUUUUAUUGAAUGUUAAAAGAGUGGUAUUAAAUGCACAUUAUUUAAUAUUUUUAUAUGGAUAUUUUUAUUUCUAAAGAAAGUAAUCUUUACAUGGAUUGGACCACUGUUUAUUUAUCCAUGUGGGCCAGCCUAUUAAAAACAUCAAACCAACAACUCAAGGGACGACCCUGGUCAUUCUCGGGGGCCCACAACCUUCAUCUCAAACAAAAGCCCAUGGGCAGGAUCACCUUCCACACACAUCUUCAUACCAACCACCACACUACCAACAAUCCUCCUCCAUGAAAGCCCACCUCCAUCACAGCAAGCAGAAAAUCCAACACGCCAACUAUAAGGAUUGCACAGACAAUUUGGCAAGAAAGAAAAGCAUCUGUAUUCUUAUUAUAACUGGACUAUAUACAAUACAAUGCUGUGACUAAUUAAGGAAUAUACAUAUAUAAACAGAAGAUAGAAAGAGUGAUUACAAAUCAAUUUACAAAGAUAAUUCUAGAAUGAACGUAAAUCAUGGAAUUGCCGUUGUUAUGCAGAUUCCCUUAUACGGCCCCUCAAAAUUAAGGUGCCAUCAGCAACAUUGAUUUUGCUACGCAGUUGUUGAAAGCGAGAUCGUGCAAGGGGCUUGGUAAGUAAAUCGGCAAGCUGAUCAUCUGUAUGUACAUGUGCUACACGCAACUGGCCUCUUUGAACAAAGUCUCGUACAAAAUGAAGAUCAAUGGCUAUGUGUUUCAUCCUGGAAUGCAUGACGGGAUUGAGACUGAGUUGUGUGGCACCAACAUUAUCACUUAGCAGUAGUGGAGUGUCACGAAGCUUGACACCAAGUUCAUUGAGAAGAGAUUGAAUCCAGGCCAUGUUAGAGGCAGCAAUUGCGAGGGCUCGAUACUCUGCUUCGGUGGAUGAACCAGCAACGACCUUUUGCUUACGGGUGUGCCAACUGAUGGGGUUGUUACCAAGAAAUAUAAUGUAAGCAGUUGUAGACUUGCGAUCAUCAAGAUUAACCCCCUAGUCAGCAUCGGAGAAGCCACGAAGAACUGGAUUGAGUUGCCGUCAUAAUAGAAUACCAAAAUGAAUGGUAUGUUUGAGAUAUCGUAGGAGUCUUUUAACUUGCUACCAAUGGAAGACUGUAGGUUGAUGCAUAAACUGAGCAAGUCGGUUGAUAGCAAAGCCAAUAUCUGGGCGUGUAAGGGAUAGAUAUUGAAGAGAACCAAUGGUGCUGCGAUAUUCAGUGGCAUUAUAGCUCGUAGUGCCAUCAUUAAGGAGAAGUUUGGUAGACACGGACAUAGGUGUUUGAACUUCUUUGGCACCUAUCACCUUCAGUCGACGGAGGAUAUCAUGAACAUAUCGAUUUUGGGAGAGAAACAUACCUUACUUUACUAGUAUGACUUCGACUAUUAGGAAGUAAUGCAGAUCACUUAGUUCCUUUAAAGAGAACUUAUCACCCAAGGUUGAGACUUUGGUUGGAGCUUGUUUGUUCGGUAAGGAACAAGCCAAGGGUAACAUUGGCAACCAAAGGUCCGCAAUUUGUGAUAGUUAGGGGUACGACCAGAGAGCACUUCAAAGGGACUUUUGUACGAGAGCAAAGGAGUGGGGAGAUGAUUGAUGAGAUAGACCGCAGUGGCUAGAGCAUAAGUCCAAUAAGUGGAAGGGACUGAGGCAUGAUGGAGCAAGGUCAUCCCUGUUUCAACAACAUGACGAUGGUGACGCUCAAUCGUGUCGUUUUGUUGAGGGGUGUGUGGAGCAGUAGUGUAAUGGCUAAUACCGCGAGUAGUAAGAAAGGAUCGUAGUUUGAUGAAUUCGCCACCGUUAUCUGAGUACAAGUUUUUAAGCUUGCAUGAAAAUUGAUUUUCGACCAUGGUAGUGAAUUGCACAAAUGUGGAGUGAACAUCAGAUUUAUGCCGUAAAGGAUAAAACCAAUAGUACUUAGUGAAAUGAUCAACAAGCAGUAGAUAAUAGUGAUAGCCAUCAAUAGAAGAAACCGGUGAAGGUCCCCACACAUCAACAUACAAAAAUUCAAGAGUGAUAAUACUCUUGAGAGAAGUUGAACUAAAGGGAAGUUUGUGUGACUUAUUCCAUUGACAGGAAAUACAAGACAACGUAGACUUAGAAGAGGCAACGGGUAAAUCAUGACUUCGAAGUAACGAUGACAAAAUCUUUGGAGUUGGAUGCCCCAACCGAUGAUGCCAGCAAUCAAAGGUGACCCGAGUUCCAGCUAAGCGAAUUUGAUUUGCUUGAGGUGAGGAAGAUUGCAAUGCCACAGGAUACACACCAUUUUCACACCUUCUGCGCAUGAGCACUGCCCCUAUCAUCCGAUCCUUCACAAGGUAAAAGAAAGGGUGAAACUCAAUGGUAACAUUGUUGUCAUGAGUGAAUUUAUGAACAGAUAUUAAGUUUUUGUUAAUAAGAGGCACAUGUAAUGUUUCUUUUAACAUAAGAGAGUGGGACGGAGAAGAAAGGGUUGUGGAACCAAUGUGGGCAAUUUGCAAACCUGUACCAUCUCCAAGAACUACCUCAUCUUGUCCCUCAUAUUCGGAAUGAAUAGAGAGAUUGGCCAAGUCGGAGGUGAUAUUGUGGGAGGCUGCGGAGUCAAGAAGCCAUUUUUUGUUUGUCGAAGUGGCACAGUUCGCAGUAGGGCGUGACUGCAAUUUGGCACAUGUUUUGGCAGUGUGUCCAGACUGAUCACAGAUUUGGCAAACAACAUGGGACUUUUGUGAUCCAGACUUGUUGUUAUUAGAGUUUUGCUUGGAUCGGGAUAUGUUGUUUUUGAACCAACCAUUGGAUGACUUUCUUUGAGAGGAAUUUGCUGUGACGACUAGAGCGGAAGCAUUGUUAUCCAUACAUUUGAUGUAAUGCUCAUGACCAAUGAGCAAAUCAUGUAACUCAGCAAAAGAGAGAGCAGUUUCUCUAGUGCGAAUGGGCGCAACCAUAUCUCUGAAUUCCGAACCAAGACCAUUAAGCACGUAGAGCAUCAAAUCAUCAUUCGAAACUGGUGCAUCAAUAAGGGAGAGCUCAUCGGCAAUCACCGUGACCGCAUGAAGAAACUUAGACACCGUGCGAGAACCUCGUUGGAUAAGGGUUAAAUCCUCCUUCAACUGCAUAAUCCUAGCUCGAGAUUUGUUUGCAAACAAACGGGCUAGAUGCUGCCAAGCAUCACGACUCGUAGUGGUCAUUGCGAUGAGAGGCAUCACGGUUUCAGAAACCAAGGAGAAGAUCGCGUUGAGCAGCAACUGGUCCUGUCGAUACCAGUGUGCAUAGUGAGCCAAAGCAGAGGGAGAAGACUUCUCAGUGAAUGUGGGAGGACACGGGAGGGUGCCAUCCAAGUAUCCCAUUAAAUCAUAACCAAACAAGAUGGUUAUGAACUUUGCACGCUAGGAAGGGUAAUUUGAUGCGGUAAGCUUGUAAGGAAUUUGGCUGGAGGUGUUGAUGGUGACUAGGGGUAAGUAAGAGGAAGGACUGGAGUCACCCGAAACAGAGUGGGGAGUGGAGUGGACGCUGGACGACAUAGUGCAAAGGAGGAUCGCUAUGGUCGUGAGAGAAGAAGACCUUCUAAUACCAUAUAAGGAUUGCACAGACAAUUUGGCAAGAAAGAAAAGCAUCUGUAUUCUUAUUAUAACUGGACUAUAUACAAUACAAUGCUGUGACUAAUUAAGGAAUAUACAUAUAUAAACAGAAGAUAGAAAGAGUGAUUACAAAUCAAUUUACAAAGAUAAUUCUGGAAUGAAUGUAAAUCAUGGAAUUGCCAUUGUUAUGUAGAUUCCCUUAUACCAACCAUCAACCUCCGCACAGACCUAACACUGCAUAGCCGUGUUUUAGGAGUGUUAGGACGUGAUUAGAGAGGAUCUACUUUGAGUGUUCAUGGAGUUUCGCUAUAAGAGGAAUCAGUUUACCAAAAAUUCUUCAUGAAACCAUCCAUUUAUCUCAGGGAACAUUUAUUAAGUAGAGUCAAAUAGAUUUACAAAUAAGAGAUGAUUUAUUCAUUUGAAAGAAAUAACCUUAUUUCAAAUUGCCCUAAUGUGGCCUAAUAAGCAAAAUUACUGGUUAUAUUUUGGACACAUCUCAGUAGAGGUUCGGGGGAGAAAAUAGAAGAAGCAGAGAUGCUUACUUACUUCAGAGGGGCCACUGCUCGCCACCACCACUUCAUGGCUGUGCCCAUUUCACUUGCCCAAGCCACUCUCUUCUCCAAACCCUCCAUUUUACUCCACAGAAAUGCCAUCAAUGGCUUCUCCUUUUUCAUUCCUUUCUCCUCUUCUUCUGCUCAGAAGAUUCAGACUCACAAGUGGAGGCAACCGGUGGUCUCGGUUCUGGAGCUUGGUGGAGUCAAGAUUGGUAGAGAUGGUAACAUACACACAUCCCAAAAUUGCGUUUAAAAAGGAUCUUUAGCUUGAAUUUUGUGUGCCCAAUUUGCGUUUUUGCAGGCAUUUGCACUCGAGUCGUGUCGUUUGUUUGCAAUUUCACAAUCUGAUUUCUUUUCUAUUGUGCGUUUUUUUUUCCUGCUAGGUUCGAAUUCAAGCAUCCAAUUUGCGUUUUUCUGGGUAUUCUUAUGCCCAACUUGUGUCAUUCAAUUUGCAAUUGUCGUUAUCAGACUUCCUUCUCUCUUUUGAGACUUACAUAGUUAGAGACGUCAUUUCAGUGAAAUUAAGAAUGCAUGUUCCAACUUUCACUUCUUUCUCUCUUUCCUUUUUUUUAGCAUUUAAGAAUCCAUGAAUGUUAAAUAAUCUGCAUUAGCAGCUUGGCUUUCAAGGGAAGCAAGGUCCCACAUGCCCAUACCAACUGAAUAUUAAUAUUUAAGUUUAUCUGGCUUGUUCCAAUUCAUUUUAAUGCCAUUGAGAUUAGUAGUUUCAAGGGAAGCAAGGUCCCACAUGCUACUACUUCUUCAUGAUUUUUUUUUUAAAAAAACAAGUAGAACUAUAAAUCAAUACCCUAAAUACAGUUCCAUUUAUAAAAAAUCUUGAGAGUGGGUUGCUCCGUGGCCUGUAACGAGUCUAGUAAUAAUGUCACACCUCUUUUAAAUCUUAUUUUCCUAUAUUUAAUCCACAUAUUUUUUUAAAAGAAGCCAACACAAUCCACAUACUUGUGAAAGAUGACAAUAACUUAGUUGCAACUGCAAUAUUUUACUUAGAUAUUCUCCCAAUAUUGCCAUUUUUAUCAUUUGCUCUCCCUUAACAAAGUUUCAUCACCAUCCACCAACACAGCAUUUUAAGAUUGCAAAACCAAGUAAUAAAUCAUCACCUAUCAAGAAAUUAAAUAAAAUAAUAAACCAUCACAGAGAGCCACAAAAUAUAUUUAGGAUAGAAGAGAAAAAUUCUAGCAAGGUGGACUUGAGACCAUAACUCAAUCAGUUGACUGUCUUGGCAUUUGAGUUUGGUUGUAAGGUGGGUGUCCUUCCUUUCUUUUACUUAGCUCUUCCUUUGAGUGCCCCAUUGAAAUCUAUGAUGGCUUGGUAUGGGGUGGAAAAGAGGCUCUGUAAAAGGUUGACCAUAUGGAAAAAACAAUAUAUCUCUAAAGGAGUGAGAAUUACUUUGAUUCGAAACACUUUUUUUAGUAUGCUUAUAUACUUUUAUGUCUUUGUUUUGCAUGCCAAAGUCAGUCAAAUUCAGGUUAGAGCAUAUUCAAAGGAAUUUUCUUUGGGGCGACGAGGCUCUCAUUUGGAAGCCACACUUGGUAAGGUGGGCAAUUGCUUAUUUAGAUAAAGGAGGGGCUUGGGAGUUAGGUGUCUAAUCAACACUAAACAAGGCUCCCCAAUGCAAAUGGAGUUGGCGUUUUACUUAUGAAAGGGGGGCCCUUUGGAAGCAAGUUACAAAAUCUAAGUAGGGAACCUAGUAUCCAAACUUCCAUCCAAACUUACAUAUAAAAAAAAAGUCCAGAACAGGCAUUCAGUUUACCAGGUUUAUCAGUUCUCUCCACUGUUUAUUCAACUCUUAAAUGCAGUAUUCUGGACGUACUCCAAAUUUGAAAUUCCUUUGGUAAAAUAAAGGCAUGGUACUUACAGUGGUCUAUUAAGGAAAAGGUUUGUUUGACCUAGCUUUUGUACAAAAAAUUCAAGGAUAGUCUUGCAAAUAUGUAUUGUAUGGGUGUAUAUUUCUCUAUCAUGAUACAAGUGAGAAAAAAUUCAGGAAAGUUGUUUUGUUUAAAAAAAAAUUGAAAGUUAAUUUAUGUUUUGAGAGGGAUAUUAGACAACCUAGGAUUCAAAGGGACAUGUUGUCUCUUAGGAAAAUAUAAUUCAUAGCAUUCUCAAUCACUUACAGGUUAUUUUAGUCCUUUUAAAUUGAUUUAUUUAAUUUUUUUCUUUGUUGUAGGCAACCAACGAAUAUAUUUACAACACCUACUAUUAUCAUUAUUUUGGUAAUUAGCAUUGAUGGAGAUUGUAAAAAUUCUCUAAUGGUAUGCAGGAGAAAAAUAAUAUUUAUGAAUUUUUGUUAAACACAAUUGUCAUAAUGAUAAUAAUUAAUUAGAAUAAUAUAAGUUUGCAAUUGGAAAAUUUUUAAAAAAUAAAAGCUUUUGGAAAUAGUUUGAAUAGGAGUAGAAAUUCUUGGAUUUCAUGGAGAGCUUAGGUGGGAUCUAAAGCAUGGGGCUGUUUGCUAUCUAUUUUAGUAUUUGCUGCUCUUCUCUCUUAUAGGUGUUCAGUUGCAACUUGUAUUCUCUGAGCGUACUUGGGUUGUGCCCCCUUUUGUGUUCUUCAAUAUAAUCUUCAGGCUCAUGAUUAGUGCAAUUUCUACUAAUUGAACACUUUUCACUUCAAAUAAUAUUCAGUAAUCUAAAUAGCAUUCAUCAAAUUAUUUUUAACUCGCCUUUAGAUUUAUAAAGAACCCAAAUAUGAAAUUUUCUUCUUAGGCAUGAGAAAUUGUCAUUGUUAUAAACCCCAUGUUUGUCUUGUACUUACAAGCAUAAUUAUAAAGCAUGAUCUGCAUGUCUUAUCAUGAAAUAUAAUAAUGUCAUAAAAUAGAUGAUUGAUAAAAUAUUAGAAGUCCAUUGCAAAUGCUUAAUGGAACUGAAAAUUAUUACAAAGAAAGUGUGUAUUUCACUCAAACUUUUAUGCAGUAGUGGUAGCUUAUAAACUCACAACUUUGUAAUCAUGUGCUUGAAUCAAGCAAACGUAAUGGAUCUCAGCUACAACUGCUCUACAUUUUAACCAUUGUUUUAUGUUAUGGGAAUAGUGACUGAAUUACAUUUGUGGGACUUAGUUUUCACAUGUGUUCACAUGUCAUAACUGUAAUUUCCCUAAUUUUAUGAGUAAGAAAAACUCUUUCAUUUUCCCUAUUUUGACUGAAACUUUUGGAACUUGGACUUUAUACGGUGCAAAUGUAUGUUAUCAGCUAUUGCUUUUGACUAGUCAUGAGUAGAUAUUAUUUAUAAAAGGACACCAAAGAGGAUAUAAUCCAAGUGCAUUUGUAGUCAACAAGUUACUCUUGGCAUCAAAAUUGAAAGAAACAACAAUGAAGAAAAGCAGCAAGAAAGUGCCCCUACCUCCCAAACUCUCAAUGAACUACUGGAAGGAUCUACUACUAUUCAAGAUAACUUCUUCUAAGCACAACUACAUGUAACAGUACUUAGCCCAAUUUGCGUUUUUCUGGGUAUUCUUAUGCCCAACUUUUGUCAUUCAAUUUGCAAUUGUCGUUAUCAGACUUCCUUCUCUCUUUUGAGACUUACAUGGUUAGAGACGUCAUUUCUGUGAAAUUAAGAAUGCAUGUUUUAACUUUCACUUCUUUCUCUCUUUCCUUUUUUUUUCCCUGUUAUACUCCUCGUUCUGUUUGGCGAUAGUAGAAUUCAGGAAUGGUUUCCCUUUUCUUUUUUCUUUUAUUUAUUUAUUUUUUAAUUUUUGGGUUUCUUUUGGUUAUAUGAAUUCUACAUUUUUCCUUUCUUUUUUUUUUUUUUUUUUUGUGAAAUUGGAAUUGAAGAACUUAUUUUGCGUUUUACAAGCUUAGCGGGUUACGUUUCUGUUCUAUUUGUUGUACUGUUGGAGGUGUUUGGUGCAUUUAUAUAACUAGGUUUGCAAUUUCGCCUUCUAAUAAAGGUUAAAUUUUCUCCCUUUUUAUUUUUUAUUUUUUUAAUGGUGUAUUUGUGUUGGGUAUUUGGUGAAAUGGGGAUUCUGUACUGGGUUUAUGGCAUUUUUUCAUUUGGUUUGAUAUUUGUGAAUGCGGGUUUUGUAGGGAAGAUGUGCAAACUUUUUGAAAGUAAGAAUGCAAUUACAACUUUGAUUUCCUUUAUAUUUAUAUUUAAAUUUUUUAUGCUUAUUUGCGUAUUGGUUGAUGUCAAAAUUCAUCUAAUGGGUUGUUUUUUAUUGCUUUGGAUUGGUUUAAUGUAGUUGAAUGGUGGAUUUUGUUUCUAAAACUUGGGGUCAAUUUCAAUUUUUUUAUUUAUUCAACUUGAAGACCUGGGAGUCUAUGUGAUUGGAAUUGAUCUAUCGGAGUGCGACUCUAGGCUGUUUUUGUAUGCUCCUUGUAUACUUUGAGGGCACUGUUUUUGGUGCUUCCUCAUUCUCGUUUAAUAUACUUACUUUUAUCUAUCAAAAAAAAAAAAAUUUGAUUUACUCGAGUUUUUGGAUUUUUCUGAUUGCUUUGAUAAACUUGGCUUGCAGAGCCUUAAAAAAUAAACUAUACUCACUAAGCUAUAUCUCAAAUAAUACUUCGUCAGGGCGUGUAAUGCAACUUGGAGUCUUUUUAUUUUUAAAAUUUUUUGGGUUAUUCUAUUCUGAAUAUUUGGUAAAAUUAGAAUUCAUGUACUCAACCUUUUUCAAGUUCUUUUGGUUGGCUUGAUAUAUUUGGUUGUGGGGUUUGUAGAUGUGGUGAGGGAUGAUCCUACAAACAAUGUCCCGGAUGCAAUUUUUUUGAAACUUGGAAUGCAGCUUCACAGGAGGGAUUAACACCCAAUUGGAAUUCUGAAGAAUGCAAUAUAUGAUUAUUUCAAUGCCAAUUACUCAAACAAAUUUGAUAAGUUUGACAACCUUUGCCCAAUAGUCUCCACAAAAGAGGUUUGACCAUUAAGAAAUAAAAUAGAAAUUGUAUGCAUGUUUUUUUUCACUGUUUUGAGCUAUACAUUGCACUAUUUGGAACUUGUAUUAUCUUGCUAGGACUGGUGCUUGACAUUUUGUUGUUGUUUAUAUUUAUUUUGCUACCCAUUUCCUGUUGGUUUCUGUCCUGCCCUUGGUGUUUUAACAUUUAAGAAUCCAUGAAAGUGGUAUUUGCAUUUGUUACCAAUUAUUCCAUCGACGAUGUUCUAAGUACAUAUUAAAAAAGUCCAGAACAGGCAUUCAGUUUACCAGGUUUAUUGGUUCUCUCCAGUGUUUAUUCAACUCUUAAAUGCAGUAUUUUGGACGUACUCCAAAUUUGAAAUUCCUUUGGUAAAAUAAAGGCAUGGUACUUAUAGUGGUCUAUUAAGGAAAAGGUUUGUUUGACCUAGCUUUUGUACAAAAAAUUCAAGGAUAGUCUUGCAGAUAUUUUUUGAUAGAUAAUCAUAAAUAUAUUAAAGGGCAAAGGCUACAAAGUAUACAGGGAGUAUACAAAUUAGCCUAAAACAAGAACACAAAAAACAAGCACCCUCACCCACCCUUAAGUGGCCGCUAGCCACUCCAAAAAGCCUAAGAGCGAAGAGGACUCCUCUUUAAUAUACACCCUAGCCCAACUCCACAAGGUACAUACAAAAGAAUUUUUGAGUUUCCGUAUAUCUAAAAAACCACCCCUAAAAGCUAAUCUAUUCCUCUCCUUCCAAACCGUCUAAAAAAUACACAAUGGGAUGGAAUUCCAAAUCUUUUUCCUUUUUUUCCCCACAAAAGAGCCUCUCUAACUAAAUAACGCCUCUUUAACUAAUUUCGGGAACACCCAUUGAACCCCAACAAGGGCAAGGACGAUCUCCCAUAGGCCCCUUACCACUAUACAAUGUACAAGAAUGUAAUUUACAUUUUCCUCUUCACAACUGCACAAAAAACAGCUAUUAGGGAGCUGUCAUCCCCGUUUUUGAAGCCUAUCCAAGGUGAGAAUCUUCCCCCACGACGCUUCCCAAGCAAAAAAGGCCGCUUUGGUUGGGACCUUGUCCACCCAAAUGCAUUUAGUCGGAAAGGCGCAUGCAUUAGGAACAGCCAGCAAAUUGUAGGCAUCCUUAACCCCAUAUUUUCCAUGACCCCCACCUUUCCAUAGCACUGAGUCCUCCUCUGAAGAUAUCCUGAAGUCCCUGAGCGUAUUAAGCAAUCCUCUAAUCAAGUCCAGCUCCCAAUCAUUAAAAUCUCUAUGAAAUCUAAGAUCCCAACCUCCUUGAUCAAUGCUUGGGUCCAACAUCUCAUUAACCGUUGCAUUCUUGUGAACCGCCAAAUAAAAAAGCUGGGGGAAAGUUUGGGACAGCGCUGCAUUGCCACACCACUGGUCAGUCCAGAAUUUAACUCUAGUCCCCUUCCCCACCUUAAACUUUAUGUUAUCCCAGCACCACUUUGCCUCCUUCAUAAUCUCCUUCCAAACCCCCACUCCAUAAGUCCUACGGGCUUCUUUAGCUCUCCACCCAAAAUCUUCCUGACCAUAUUUCACCCCAAUCACCAUCUUCUAGAGAUUAUCCUUUUCAACGGCAAAUCUCCAUAACCAAUUACCCAACAACGCUUUGUUCAAGGGAUCAAUCUUCCGAAUGCCAAAGUCACCCUUCUCCUUUUGAGUGCAUACCACCUCCCAAUUAAUUAAGUGGACUUUCCUCUCCAAGCUUCCCCCUCCCUAAAGAAAGUCCCUUUGUAAUUUUUAGAGUCUAUUUGCAACACUCUUUGGCAUUUGAAAGAGGGACAUAUUGUAAAUAGGCAAGCUGGUCAGAGUGCUCUUGAUUAAGGUGAUACGCCCACCCUUCGAUAUAUAUUGUCUUUUCCACUAGGCUAAUCUUCUCCUCAUUCUCUCUUCCACCCCAUCCCAUAUAGAGAUAGCUUUGUGAUGUGCUCCAAGGGGCAACCCCAAGUAAACAGUGGGCAGAAACCUCACUUUGCACCCAAUUUCCACAACCAUUUCCUCAAUUUCUUCCACCUCACCAACCGGAAUUAAGACGCUCUUAUCUAGAUUAAUUCUGAGACCGGAAGACACCUCAAACCAAGCCAAAAUCCAGCUUAGAGCAAAUAGUUGCUCUUUCCUAGCUUCACAAAAGAUGAUUGUAUCAUCAGCAAAAAGAAAAUGUGAAACUAUUAUCUCCGCUUCCCCUUUCCCCCGAAUUCUACAGCUUGACAAGAAGCCCCCAUCAACCGCCCUUCUUAUCAGAUUGCUUAGCACUUCCAUGCCCAACACAGAGAUAUAGAGAGAAAGGAUCUCAUUGCCUUAGCCCCUUGGAAUUCAAGAAGAAGCUAGCUGGCACCCCAUUGAUCAUGACUGAAAAUUUGGCGGUUGAGAUGCACCACCAAAUCCAUUCCAUUGACCCAAAGCCCAUUUUAAACAAAACUUUCAUGAGAAAAUUCCAGUUGAUGUUGUCAUAUGCUUUUUUAAUGUCCAAUUUACAGAUAAGCCCUUUCUCGUUCCUUUUGUGCCAGAAAUCAAUCACCGCAUUGGAAAUAAGUGAUGCAUCCAAAAUUUGUUUGCCUCUCACAAAGGCAUUUUGAUUCUCAUAAACCACCUUGUCUAACACCUUCUUCAGCUUAUUCACCAACACCUUAGCCAAAAGCUUGUACAAACUCCCUAACAAACUGAUUGGCCGAAAAUCUCCCAGGUCUUUAGCCUCUCAUUUCUUAGGGAUAAGGACUAAGAAAGUGGAAUUGAGGCUUUUGGCAAAAGAUCUCUGGUCAUAGAAUUCUUUAAACAGGUCCACAAUCUCCUCCUUCACAAGCUCCUAGCUUGAUUGCCAAAAAGCAACUGUGAAGCCAUCUGGGCCUCGAGCUUUAUCACCCUUCAUUUCCAUUAAGGCAGAGUAAAUUUCCUCUUUAGUAAAAGACAUCUCCAAGACUUCAGCUUCACAGGAAUUGAGGCGAUUAAGGUGCAGCCCCUCAAUAUUCGUUCUCUAGCCUGACUCUUUUGAGAGCAAAUGCUGAAAAGCAUUCACUAUCCCCUUCCUCACCUCCUGGUCCUCAGUCAUCCACUCCCCAUUAAUUUUAAUUCUAUCCAGGGAAUUAUUCCUUCAGUGGGCAUUUGCCAUCCUAUGGAAAAAGCCAGUGUUCCUAUCCCCUUCCUUAAGCCAUAGCUCCCUUGACAAUUGUCUCUAGUGGGUCUCUUCCAUUAGCACCCAUUUUUUAAAGGAGUCUUUGGCUUCUUUUUUCAGCUCAGUUUCUCCUUCAGACAGGCUUCUCUCACUUUCCACCCCAUCCUAGAACUCCACUUGUUGAAGAGCUGAGUUCUUAUUGGCUUCCAGCCUACCAAACACCUCCCUGUUCCACACUUUGAUUUUUUGCUUCAGCUCCUUCAUUUUAGUGGCUAACCUGACACUGGCCCUCCCUCUCACCUUAAACCCUUGCCACCAACCCCGAAGAAGGUCCGUAAAACCAUCAGCUUUAAGCCACAUAUUUUCAAACCUAAACGGGAAAGGACCCCUCCUUAACCCACCCUCCCAUCAACAAGAUAGGAAAAUGAUCUGAGGUAGGUUUGGGCAGCCUGCUUUGCAUGACCUCAUUGAAAUGAUCAAGCCAAUUUUGGGUCACCAGGAACCUAUCGAAUCUGGCCCAAGCCUGAUUAAUCCUCCCCCCACUCCAGGUAAGCACACCCCCUUGCAAUGGAAGGUCAAUGAGCUCUAACUCAUCAACAACCUGGGCAAACCUUCUCAUUGCACUCGUUAGCCUUCCCUGAUUACUUUUUUCCCUCUAGGACAGGAUGACAUUGAAGUCACCCCCUAGACACCAAGGAUCAUCCCAAAUGCCUCUAAUUGUUCCUAUCUCCUCCCACAUCCACUCUCUUUCCUCUCUAGAGAAAGGCCCAUACACACUAGUAAACAUCCAAACUAGCCUAUCUUCCACGUUCCUCAGCCUACAAGAGAUUGAGAAGUUUCCUACUUCCAUUUCAAUCACUUCUAGGGUCCUCUUAUCCUAGCAGAUCAAUAAACCUCCCGUAGAACCAUGGGCAUCCAGGGUACCCCAAUCGAGAAAUCUACCAAUGCCCAAGCUUCUCACCAACCCCUCUGUCAUUGCUUGAAUUUUGGUCUCCUGAAGACCAAACAAAUCCACCCUUUGAAUCCUGAUCAUGGCCUUAAUCACCUUUCUUUUAGAGCUGUCGUUAGUUCCACGAGCAUUCCAACUCAAGAGUCUUAGCUUCAUUUAACCACCAUGAUUUGACAUCAUCUUCCUUGCAUUUCACACUUCUGUUUCUUCUCCCCCUCGUAAUUAAUUGAGCACUCUAGUCUUUUCAAUUCCCUUUCGAACUUAGAUUUUUCUAGAAGGUUUUUAUUAUGGACUCUUUCCUUUCUAUUUCAGAUUUUAACCAAAAAAUCCAAAAUUUCUUUCUCCAGACCUUUUGUCGAAAACCCCAAAAACUCACUAAAUUUGGCCAAAUCACUCUCCUCCAAACUAUCCUCCUCCCAUCUCUUUCCUUCUCGUGGCAUAGAUUGAACUAAACACAACUCCUUUCCACAGUUAUCUUUGUAGCCAUUAAUAACCUCCGUCAAUUCCCAAUGCUAACAUUCUCCUCUUCUAGGGGUCCCGGAGUGAGAAGCAUGCGUAAAGGGGUUUCCCUCUAGGAAGUCUCCCUAUCAUCCCUAGAAAGGUUGCAAUACUCCCCCAAUGGAGUCCGACCGAAAAAGAAAGAAGGAGAAGAUGAGGACCCAGAUGCCAACAAACCACUAGGGUUAGGAGCACACCCAUACCUCGAUGCUUCCUCAAUUAGGGCGCUGUCAGUCCUUGAUCUCUCCAUGGAAUAGAACUCCUCCUCAAUUUGCUUCCGCCGGCCAUCAUUUUCCCAGAAGGAAAAGCUUUCAGCAUCUGGAUCCCUCAGAGGACUUGGGCCAGCCCACACUAGUGGCAAGGCCACCCUAGAGCAACCCACCAAAGAUUGGGGUGGGCCUCGACAUAUUUCCAUCCUAUCCGGCCCAGGCGCCCCAAUGGUCUCCAAGGUAUUUAACUUCCUAGAGCCCUUUAAGGACGAAAGCCCAAUAGGAGACGACCCAACCUUAGGAGAUGAAACUGGAUCAAGCCCAAUGGGCCCAGAGCCCAAAUCGGAGCGUCGAGAAGCCCCAGUAGGGCCAAGCUUAAUGGGCUCCCCUUGCAAGCCUUCCUGGUCCCCCACUGAUGGCCUAACGAGGCCCCAAGACCGAGCCCAAAGGAGCCCCGACCCACCUGUUUGCCCCCGUGUCCCAUCAGCAGACUGCAGAUGGGUCUCGAUCCUUGCAUCGUCCACCUCUUCCAGCACGCGCUUGCCCGCACGUGUAGAGACGUCACCCUCAACCUUUCCUUCUGCUCCGCUGUUCUUCCCCUUUCUCGCUGCCGACAACACUCUCAUUAUCGGUCUUACCUCCUACCACAAGGUUAGCAAAUAACACACCCCUUCGACCCCAAUUUCUACCAUGCUAGGGAUCUCCUCGCCGUUUAGCUUCACCAGGAUUCUUGCCCAUUGCAGCUCCUCCAGGUUCUUCUUCUGAGAUUCAAUGGCUAAAAAUCUCCCACACUUCUUCCCUACCUUUCUAAGGGUGGCCCGAUCUCAUAACGAGAUGGGUAGCCUCACGAUUCUCACCCAUGCCUCAUUCUUCUUCUCUCCUUCCAACAGACACCCCGUCCUAGGGCUCCAUUUCUCUAGUCGCAGAAGUGUCUUCCCUACCAAAAUUCCUCCUAGAUUUAGAGUUUUUUCGGCUUCCACUACCAUCUCAAACUCUAGUAGCACCUUUCCCCAUUCCAACUUAGCCAAACCUAAGUUGCCCUUCAACCCCCAACUUCGUGCCAUUUGGGUCCCCCAACUUCUCAAGUCAUCCCCCUUCACUGACUUUGGAUCCCACGAGGCAACAAGGCAGUGAUCCAACCUCUUUAGAUUUCGACUGAGGUCCUUGUGGCUUACUUCCACCCUAGCCACUAACCUACCAUUGCGAUUUUGCAGCUUAACCACUUUCGUAAAACUUUUCCCUAAACUGGGCACAGACGACAUCAUCUCGUCCUUCUGACUCUCCUUCCUCUCCGUAGCAACACCCAAAGCCCUAAGCGUCUCCACCAUAGAAACCCAACCCUCUUUUCCUCUUCUUCCUUUGGGGAUAAAGAUGUUGAACAUUUUCUUCUCUAGGUCCUCGACACCUAAACGGAUGAAGAAUCCCCCCUUAUUUUCAUCAUGCAACAGUGAGUAGAUCUUCCAUCUUUCCCUCCAAUUUCUUACCCAUUUGCCUGUUCGUGUGUCCUUAAUGCAAAGAGCCAAACUUUCCACAAAAAUCCCUAGACUAUCUGGACCCAUUUUAAUCCACGAAGACACCCCUCUUUUUCUUUCCACAAUAAUGACUUGCACUUUGCCCUUCUUCUUUUCUACAUCGAUCUCGAAGGUCUUCGACUCCACCUCAAAGCUGCUCUUCCCCCGGCUGUUCCGAGGCUCCAAGCAGACGAUGUUUUCUGCACCAUCGCUCGCACACAGAACCACUCGCUCUCUCUCUCUCUCUCUCUCUCUCUCUUUCUCUAGCCCUCUCUACAUUGUAUAGGAUUACCAUUUGGUCCUUGGACAAAACCCUAGUCUUGCAGAUAUGUAUGUAUGGGUGUAUAUUUCUCUAUCAUGAUACAAAUGAGAAAAAAUUCAAGAAAGUUGUUUUGUUUUAAAAAAAAUUGAAAGUUAAUUUGUGUUUUGAGAGGGACAUUAGACAACCUAGGAUUCAAAGGAAUAUGUUGUCUCUUAGGAAAAUAUAAUUCAUAGCAUUCUCAAUCACUUACAGGUUAUUUUAGUCCUUUUAAAUUGAUUUAUUUAAUUUUUUUCAUUUUUGUAAGCAAGCAAAAAAUAUAUUUACAACACUUACUAUUAUCAUUAUUUUGGUAAUUAGCAUUGAUGGAGAUUGUAAAAAUUCUCUAAUGGUUUUGCAGGAGAAAAAAAUAAUAUUUAUGAAUUUUUGUUAAACACAAUUGUCAUAAUGAUAAUAAUUAAUUAGAAUAAGUUUGUAGUUGGAAAAAUUUUAAAAAAUAAAAGCUUUUGGAAAUAGUUUGAAUAUGAGUAGAAAAUUCUUGGAUUUCAUGGAGAGCUUAGGUGGGAUCUAAAGCAUGGGGCUAUUUGCUAUCUAUUUUAGUAUUUGCUGCUCUUCUCUCUUAUAGGUGUUCAGUUGCAGCUUGUAUUCGCUGAGCGUACUUGGGUUGUUCCCCCUUUUGUGUUCUUCAAUAUAAUCUUCAAGCUCAUGACUAGUGCAAUUUCUACUAAUUGAACACUUUUCACUUCAAAUAAUAUUCAGUAAUCUAAAUAGCAUUUAUCUAAUUAUUUCUAACUAGCCAUUAGAUUUAUUAAGAACCCAAAAUAUGAAAUUUUCUUCUUAGGCAUGAGAAAUUAUCAUUGUUAUAAACCCCAUGUUUGUCUUGUACUUACAAGCAUAAUUAUAAAGCAUGAUCUGCAUGUCUUAUCAUGAAAUAUAACAAUGUCAUAAAAUAGAUGAUUGAUAAAAUAUUAGAAGUCCAUUGCAAAUGCUUAAUGGAACUGAAAAUUAUUACAGAGCAAUUGCAUAUUUCACUCAAAACUUUUAUGCAGUAAGGGUAAUCAUGUGCUUGAAUCAAGUAAACUUAAUGGAUCUCAGCUACAACUGCUCUACAUUUUAACCAUUGUUUUAUGUUAUGGGAAUAGUGAUUGAAUUUCACAAUCCCAUCAUUAUAAUUUAUGCAUUGUAAUUUCAUUUGUGGGACUUAGUUUUCAUAUGUGUUCACAUGUCAUAACUGUAAUUUCCCUAAUUUUAUGAGUAAGAAAAACUCUUUAAUUUUCCCUAUUUUGAUUGAAACUUUAGGAACUAGGACUUUAUAUGGUGCAAAUGUAUGUUAUCAGCUAUUCCUUUUGACCAGCCAUGAGUAGAUACUAUUUAUAAAAGGACAUAAAUGAGGAUAUAAUCCAAGUGCACUUGUAGUCGACAAGUUACUCUGGGCAUCAAAAUUGAAAGAAACAACAAUGAAGAAAAGCAGCAAGAAAGUGCCCCUACCUCCCAAACUCUCAAUAAACUACUGGAAGGAUCUACUGCUAUUCAAGAUAACUUCUUCUAAGCACAACUACAUGUAACAGUACUUAGCCUGCGCUAUGGUGUCAAGAGGUAGGCUCAUUGGAACAUGCCUAUUUUGAUGGAUUUUAGUUUGUGGGGAUAGUUAAAGUGUAAAGUGUUUGAUAAAAUAAAUUUGCUAGUUUUAAUAAAUUGGAAUUACUACUGAAUGAAAUGUGAAGCUAGAUAUUAGGAGAAAGAAAGAUAAUUAAUUUAUUUGUAUGACACUAUGACUUACACAUUGUGAAGCUUACUGGUUGGGAAUUGUUGAACGGGGGAACUUACUUAAUAGGGGAGAAAGAACCACACAUAUUUCUUAAUGAGAAAAUAUAAUUACAUUAGCAAAAGGCCAAAAAUACAUGAGUAGUUCACUAAUUGCAUAUUAUUGGAAAGAAAGCUGAGCAACAUAUGAUUCAUAAACUUUUUACAAUUUAAAGGCCUGGGUCCAAUGAGAUAUGUUGCAUCAUAUUACCUAAUGAACCAAUGAAGUUUAUGGAUUUCCAAAACUUCUUGGAGAGGUUCAUUAUUUUAUGGUUCUUUUUUUCUUUUUUAGGGUUCUUUAUUUUCUUUUUGCCGAGAUAUCUAGAAUAUGGCAUGGUAGGUAUUUUUGCUCCAUACCUCUUUGGAGCUCAAUUAUUUGGCAAAGUAGGAAGAAAACAAAUUAGCAUCAACUUUGGCUUGACUUGAGAUCACAAAUCUGACUAGAGAUUUUGCAGUAGUGUGUUGAGGUCUAAUUCGAAUCCAGGUUGUGAUGUGUGCAUCAAAGAGUCUUUCCAUAAGCCAUUAAGCUUUGAGGUGUUUUGUGAUGGCAUGACUGGAUAAUGAGCUGCAUUUUGGUCUGGAAUUUGGAGUUCGGUUAUGCAUUUCUGUAUCUAUAUCUCCAAAAUUAUUAACUAAUUUUAAUUAUUUUAUCUAUUUUUCAAAAUAAACAUUCAAAAUUGAAAGUUUGUGUCACGAGUCUUCAGGCUUAUCCGUAAUAGAAUGCCCUACAUUAACUCUUACUGUUAAUGCAUAUAAUACCAGGUCAGUCAUCACAACCAUUUGCUUGCUUAUGUUGACUUUCAAUGGCUUAAAAUUCAUGGCUUCAAUGGUUAUUACCAUGCUAACACUCAAACUAAUUCUUUUUUUUUUAGGUAAAUAAGAGCUUGUAUUAGAAGCGCCUAAAAGUGGCAAAAACAGUUCACAUGAAGUAUGCAAACAGAUUGCCCAAGAAACUAGGCAAAGAAAACAAAAAACCUUUCCCUUAAUUAGACAUAUGACCACUCUAUAAAAUCAAUCAUAGACGAAGUAUGAUCCUCUAUAAACACCCUAGCCCAAUUUACAAGAGUAUACAAAAAGGAAUGUUUUAAAGCUUGGUGGGACUAUUGAUAUCAUUAAAUGCUCUUUCAUUUAUUUCCUUCCAUAAAGUCUACAUUAAGCAUAAAGGGGCAACCCUCCAAGACUUCUCCCUUCUCUUACCCACAAAGGCACCAUACCAACCACCAAAUUCCUUUUAAUCAAAGAAUGCAAAACCCACUGCACACCAAAAAGGGAGAAAAUCAAACUCCAAAGCAUUGUAGCCUUUCUGCAAAACAAGAUUAAAUGGUCACUGGUUUCCUCUUUCUCUUUACACAAGCAUAUUCAAACUAAUAACUAAUAUUUGCUGGAUUUAAAGCUUGUUUGUUAGUGUUCUUCAUGGUUGUGCUUCUAUUUUUAAUUGAUUCUCUUGGCCAUCACCGUUUCCCCCUUAUUAAGAUUGGAUAUUUAAGUUUCAACGAAACAGCCUACUAAAUCCUCAAGAUAGAUCCUAUUUAUAAGGCAUGGGAGUUUUGGUCAAUGUCUGCUUCCAAGAUUCUUAUCCAUAUUUCUAUGAAUUCUUAUGCCAGAAAGUCUACUUCUUGCAGAAUUUUGAUGAUGUCUUGGUUCCUCCUGAUCACGUCGGUAGGAGUUACAAUGAUACAUACUACAUUGACUCUCAAACUGUCUUGAGGUGCCACACUAGUGCUCAUCAAGCAGAGCUGUUGAGGAGGGGACACACUCAUUUCCUUGUGACUGGAGAUGUUUAUCGUAGAGAUUCCAUUGAUUCAACUCACUACCCUGUUUUUCAUUAGGUUUCUUAUCUCUGAUUUUAUCAAUGAUUGUUUUCUAUUAACAAGUUUCUUAAUGUUUUCUUCAGUUCAAUAACUUAUCAUGCAGAUGGAAGGUGUUCGUGUCUUCUUUCCAGGUGAUUGGGAGCAUGGUUCAAAGUCGCGGUAUCGGUCAUUGACUCGGAGGGUCAUGAAGCAUAUCGGUCUCAAUUCGGUAUCGGACGAUACGUAAAAUAAGAUAAUUAGAAAUUUCAAAAAAUUAUAAAAAUAUUAUAUAAAUUAAAAAAUAGAUAUAAUUGAAUAAGUUGAAAAUUUUAAGAAAACAAUUUUUUUUUUUUCACAUGUAGCUCAAAAUUAUUUGUGAUAAUAUUCAAAAUUGAGGAUUUAAUUCUUACCUUGCCAUAUAAACACUUUAAUUUAUCAUUAAACCUCAUUCAUACCUUUCAUAUCAUUUUACUUUAGCAAAUCGGGACCCAAUUCUCCUAAUAUGUUACUAUUAAAUCAUAUCUCAUAAAUCCAUAUAAAAUGCAUUUUUUACUUUACUAAUUUUAGCUUCUCCCACCCUCGCACGCCACCAUUGCUAUCAAGAGUCAAGACCCACAACACCACAUGCAAUUGCAAAUUUGCAACCGUGCAAGACCCAACACAGGAGGGGGAGCAAUUUGAUUGUGAGGGGGUUGUCUUGUCGAUGUCGCUGGUGAAAGAUUCAAUCCACUUUAUGAGUCACCACCGUUGACACCAAAGCUCCACCCUCCGGUAAUGCUCGAUUUUGAGGAAAAUCAGGUAAGUAAAUCCUAAAUCAUGCCCUCAUCCUUCAAUGGUUUCUCUGCUUAUUUCCGAACGGGUCACGGGUUGGUUUUUUCUUCUUCGUCUUCUUUGAUCUUCUCAUUGAUGGUUUAAAAUUUCAUAAUAGGUGUUUGCUUUUGAAAGGGCAAUCUUUGAUUUUUUUAUUCUCUAUAACCUAACUGAGUCAACCGAGUUAACUCGGAAAAUCAGAUUAGUCAAUCGAGUCUUACCGAUUCCCAGUCGAGUUCAUGCAUAAUACCGUAUCUGGUAUCGGUCUCGUCGUGGCAGGUGUCGAGGCCGAUACGACUUGGCUGAGUUGUAUCAGACUCGGCCGAUACUUUGAACCCUGAUUGGGAGACAUCUGGAAUGGAUGACAUGUCUUAUGCGGCUGAGGAUUUAAAGAAAUGUCUUGAGGGUUUGGUGCAGCACUUGUUUGGUAAACUUAGAUCAGGAGAUUGUCUUAAUCAGAUGCGAACUUAAUACUAUCAGUUGAUGCUACAGUGAGAAAUAUGGGUUAAGGAAUUAUUUACCAGGUCUAAUAAUUCAAAAUCUGGGAAAUACUUCAAGUAAAAGGGGGAAAAAUAAUGAAAUAAUAAAAUAAUAAAUUUAAGUGGGGAAAGCAAUUCAUGUUAUGCAAAAGCAGUACAGGUUGGUCAUUUAGAAGUCAAAUCAAGAUAGUCCAGAAUAAUAUAGGGAAUUAUUUGCGAUUCUCAAGGUACUUGUUAAAAAUCAUUGACAAAUUACCUAAAGAAACAUUUAAGAGUGCUAUUAUUCUUGAAAUUUCUGAAAUCUAUCAGAAAGGUAGUUUUCAUCUUGGGGUUUACAAUAUACUGUAUAGAAUCUGCGUGGGCUAAAUCUGUUGAAAUUUGCAGGUAAUCUGGAAAUGCGCUGGAUUGAUACAUAUUUCCCUUUCACCAACCCAUAAUUUGAACUUGAGAUAUGUUUUCAGGUAUGCUUUUGAUCUGGCUGGUGGUUACAUUUUAGCACUAUAUAUUUUGAAUUUCUUUAAAACUUUGUUUUUGAACUAAUUUUAGUAGAAACAGGCUCCAUUUCAUUUUUCUGUUUUCAUCUUUUGCAAGAAAGGGUAAAAAUCAUUUCAAAAAUGUGAACUUCAGUUUAUUCCAUUGCUGGCAUGUGUGGCUUUCAUCUGUUAUUGAAGACACUAAGAUUCAUAGACUGAUAAUAUUCCAAUGCUUAUAAUAACAGUAAUGUUGAUGAUAAAAUAAUAUAAAAGUAGAAACAAAAUUAGUUGUCUCCCUUUUUUUUCUUUUAGUUUCUUUGUUCUUCUUACCCCUCUGAUGUGGGGAAGGGGUGUGGGGCUCUUUGUUGUCGCCAAAUGUGAAAAAAAGAUGCAUUAUGUCCUUUUAUUUUGGACUUACAGGACCUAUUAUGAAGGCAUUGCUUUCUUCAAUGUAUAUUUAUGACUUCAAGACAUUUUUGUAUUUUAUUUUAUGGCAGCAUUUUUAUAUUGAAGGAGAAAUUCAUAAACAUAUAUACACACAUGCUAGUGAGCAUACACAAACACUGAUGUUCCACACAGUAAUUAAAAAAUUCUUGCUUUGAGGAGUAUUUUUUUCCAAAACUCAUUUCCAUGUCAGAUGGCAACAUGCCAAUGACUAUUUGCCAGCAAAUGGAAUGCUGGCAACACUUUUAUGGAUUGAAUGUUUUCCUUUCCCUUUUCCUUGUAGUGAAUGAUGUGUACACUUUAGUUGCUCUUACAUAUUUGAUGCAUUGUGCUUCAUGCCCUAACUGAUGCAGAACAGAAAAGUACCAGAAAAAAUGAUGGGAGUCUAGGAAUUACUUCCAAAAACCUUAGGCUUCACAUAUAGGUUUGGUUUUCAUCACACAAAAAAGAAAACAUUGAAAGUUGGAAGGUUUUGUGUUUUCAUUCAUUAAUCCUUUUAGAAGAUAGAGUGAUCAGCUUUGUUAACUACAACCCUAAGACUCUUAAGACCCCUAACACUCUUUGGAACCAAUCACAGUAAUGAUUAGGCUGAGAAAUCAGAAACUUGAACUGAUAAAUAAAAAUUAAAAGGCACUUGCAAAUAUAAAGCAAUACCCCCCACGCCCUUCGGAAAACUCAACCUUGACAAGUUAAAGGCAUGAAAUUUCUCAUAAAGAUCACAAUUCAACUGCUGAAAUUCAUUGCUUGUGAUCCACAUACAAUCUCAAAGUGGCCUUUCUCUCCAUUCCACAUGAUACUUUUGAUAACCUCCUCUUUUGGUUGAAACAAUUUAGUGACCAACAACUUUUCAAUCUUCUCUUUCAAUCAAGGGGCUGGUAGAAGAUGACCAUUUGGACCAUUAAUUGAUGUAGCAGCUUUAGGAUUAGGAUAAAGGGUGUGGUCUUCAAUAUUAGAGAUCUUAUUAAUGCCCAUAUUUUCUGGCAAGUCAAGCACAUAAGCGUUGGGACUUGUUUUCCUGAGAAUUUUAUAGGGACCAACAUUCUUUGAGUGGAGUUUCUUAUUGGCACCUCUAGGAUAUUGUUCAGGCCUUAUUCACACAAUAACCAUGUCACCUUCAAUAAGUUCAGCAAAUUUUCUUUUCACAUAAUCGUAUGACUUGUUUAUUUAUUUGAUAGGCAAGCGGGAAAAACAUGUAAUCCAUAUGACUUAUAAUUUCAUUGAUGAAAACAAUUUUCAUUGAACAUGAUAAUGUAUGUCAUCUAUAUGCGCACUAAAAGCAUCAGCUUCAAUGCUAGGUCAUGCAUCCAUUGGUAAAGGAGCCAAAUCCAUAGGCUUUCUAGGAAGCGAUUCAGUCACAAUCUCAAAAGGACUGUGACCAAUAGACCUGUUCAGUAGGCAAUUGAGGCCUUGCCAUAAAAUCUAUAAGCUUGCUGAAUGUUGCACAGAGAGGAAAGUUUUUGAGCAACAUCUAUGGUAGGUCUUUUCGAGCAACAUCUAUGGUAGGUCUUUUCGAGCAACAUCUAUAGUCAUCAGGAUCAUAGGCUCUAUAAUCAAAUGAAUUUCGGUUUCUUCAUCUUUUUGUUGUUCUUGUUCUUCUUCAGGCUCCAUUCCGAUGUACAAAUUGUUCUUUGGACAAUUUAGGUUAUUUGGCCGGGUUGUUGACACUUAAAACACCUAUUAACCUUACCCUUAGGAUCAACAGCAUUAAAAGAAUACAACUUAGAUCCUAUAGGUUGGAUAAAUGGCUUGAAUUGGCCUAUUCUUGCACUGCAACCUACAUCAGUGAACCUUCUCUGCACUGGUUCUAUGGAUGAAACUCACAUCCCAAGUACUCCUCCAUAUCUAAUGCAAAUUGAAAAGCAUGUUCUAGGAUGUAUAAUGGCUGAUUCAUCAACUCUCUUCUCAUUUUAGGUCUCAAUCCAGCUUUGAAUCAUGCAAGAGUUUGCCCUUGGGUCUUCUACUAUUUGACUCCAAGUCUUUAGCUCAUGAAAUCUUUGCAUGUACUUUGGUCUCUGCAACAGACAUGUUGUUCUGAUUCAUAGUAAUGAGGUGAUUACAUAACCUAUUACAAUAAUUGGUCCUGCAUGUAUUUUUCACAUAGCUUAUCCUUCAUCUCCUGUCAUGUGCUGACAGGUGGUAGCCUCAUCUUCCCAUCUUCCUAGUAUCUCUUUCAAUUUCUGUCCACUAAUCUUUUGCUAAGCCUACUAGUUUCAUUUUAGUAAACCACCCUCUUUGUUCAUCAUUCAUGCAUACCAAUCAAAACGGUCCUCAAUUGUAGCUAGCCAAUCAACAAAUUGAGUAGCAUCACCCCUCCUUCAAAUUAGGAACUUCUCCUUUUACUUUCCUUGUGAUAUCUUCAGCAGUUUCACAAGGUUUACACCUUGUUUCAGGUAGUUCUCUAGCCCAUUCAGAUAUAGGAUAUUGUGGUGCAUGUCCGAUGUUCCUCCAAGUUUUUGUUAUUAAUUUGAGAUAAUUCUCCUUGCACAACACGUGCUAAAUCAUUAGUGGGCUGAGAUAUUUGUGUCUCAAUGUUGCUUAGUCGAAUAUGCAGGCUAUCAAGCUGUUCCAUCACCAAAAUAGUAUCUCGUCAUUUUGACUAUUAGAUAAAUCUAUUUUGAAACUCCUAGGUCUUGUAAUCAUGCUCUCAGCUUGCUCUGAUGCCAAAAUUGAUGCCGAACAGAAAGGUAAAAGAAAACAUGUUGGGACUUUAGGAAUCACUUCCAAAUUUUAGGCUUCACACUUAAGUUCAGUUUGCAUCACGCAAACAAGUUGAACUAUCACAGUACGAUUGGUUCAUAAUAAGGUGUCAUCUGAUUGGUUCUCGUGGAGACAACCUGUGAUCGUUCAAACUAGGGGCUGCGCCUGAUUGAUUGCAUUGAAAGUUGGAAGGUUUUGUAUGAGAUAAAUGAACCAACUUUAUACACUAUAACUCUAGACCUUAGACUCUUUUGGAGCUAGUGGCAAUACUAAUGAAGUUGGAAAAUCAACAAUGUGAACUGAUAAAAAAAAAUGAAAGACUCUUGAAAAUGUGAAGCAUUAAUGAUUUUGGAAAUAAGAACACUUGUGAUCCUUUGACUAGACUCAUAAACAAAACUUAGACUGAAAUCCACAUUGAAGUAUAUAAAAUCCCGAUUAGGCCUAUUAUCAUCCAAAGUAUGCCAAAUCAUAAUUUGGGCCUUAAGAGUCCAAUCUCUAUGCAUUUGUUAACCUUUCAUAGGUGAUUGCCACUUGUCUUCAUCGCUAACAAACACGAUUAUAGCAUCAAAGAAGGGCCAUGUCCCCAAAUCUGGCAAUAAAAGUUCUUUUUACAAGCUAACCUUAGGGGUCCAAUUACUACAUUAUUGUGUUAACCAUGAACAUUGGUGCUCCUGUUCUGCUUGCAUGGUUACACUGAACCUGCUAUCCAAAUAUGUUGGUUGACCAAAUAAGAAACUCUAGGAAAAUGAAUGAAUUCAUAGCGACAUAGCUACAUUGAAUGCAACUUGUGUGUUUGUGUGAACAGGAUUGGGUGAGUUAAAGAGAGUUUUUAGAAGGGAGAAUACCUUUUUAAUUGGUCUUAGUGUUCAGUAUGCAGCUGGUUCAGUGAUCAUGAGGCCAGUUUAUAAUACAAUUUUCUUGAGAUUUUUAUUGAAGUGAUCCCUUGAAAAGUCAGGCUACUUUUUCAAGAAGUAAAUGUUUUAUCUGUUGGGCUUUGUGGAGCCUAGUUUUGUUUGAUCCGGUCUGACGACUCAACCCCGAAUAAUAUUGCAUGGUUUUUUAAUGGGAGAUUUACUGAGGCCUGUUAGACCCGUUUAGCCCAUUGUGGAACCACCUUUUGUAAUUAGGGUUUUUUUUAGUGUGAGUGUGGUUGCCGUGUUAUAUAUAGAGAGAAAAUACUGUAACCGCCGAGGUUGUACUUUGUAUUCUUCCCUGAUAAUAGUGAUAUCCCUGCAACUCCGUGGACGUAGGCAAAUUGUCGAACCACGUAAAUACUAUCUUGUGCGUGUGAUUGUUUUUCUUUGACGUGUGUUUUUCUCUAUUUUUCGUUUCUCACAGGUUGGGAAUUUGGUUUAAUUCCCUACAACUGGUAUCAGAGCCUAGGGUUAGGUUUGAGUGGGAGCAAUGACAGAGGAAGCAGGAAAGGCGUCUGGAAUAGAAAAGUUUGAUGGCACAGACUUUGCGUGUUGGAGGAUGCAGAUUGAAGACUAUCUCUAUGGGAGGAAAUUUCAUUUGCCUCUUUUGGGGACAAAACCUGAGAGUAUGAAGGCUGAGGAAUGGGCGCUUCUUGACAGAUAGGUUCUAGGAGUUAUUAGGUUAACUCUAUCUAGGUCUGUUGCACAUAAUGUUACAAAGAAGAAGACCACAGCAGAUUUGAUGAAGGCUUUGUCCGGUAUGUAUGAAAAGCCGUCAGUAAACAAUAAGGUGCAUCUGAUGAAGAAAUUGUUCACUUUGAAGAUGGUAGAGAAUGCAUCAGUAGCACAACAUCUUAAUGAAUUUAAUACAAUCACAAAUCAAUUGUCGUCUGUAGAAAUUGAUUUUGAUGAUGAGAUUCAUGCUCUGAUCAUCUUGUCUUCUUUGCCAAACAGUUGGGAGGCAAUGAGGAUGGCAGUAAGCAAUUCUACGGGAAAGGAAAAGCUCAAGUACAAUGAUAUACGAGAUUUAAUUCUGGCUGAGGAGAUUCGCCGAAGAGAUGCAGGUGAAACCUCAGGAUCUGGUUCUGCCCUAAACCUUGAAACAAGAGGCAAAGGUAAUGACAAAAAUUCAAAUAAGGGUAGAUCAAAUUCCAAAAAUUCUAAUCGGAACAGAAGCAAAUCUAGAUCAGGCCAACAAGUACAAUACUGGAAUUGUGGGAAAACAGGUCACUUUAAAAGGCAAUGCAAAAGUCCUAAGAAGAAGAAUGAAGAUGAUUCUGCUAAUGCUGUAACAGAAGAGGUACAGGAUGCAUUACUUCUUACAAUAGAUAGUCCACUUGAUGAUUGGGUUUUGGAUUCAGGAGCUUCAUUUCAUACCACUCCACACCGAGAAAUCAUACAGAAUUAUGUUGCAGAUGAUUUUGGUAAUGUGUAUUUGGCUGAUGGUUUAGCCUUGGAUGUUGUGGGUUUGGGAGACGUCCGGAUAUCAUUGCCCAAUGGGUCUGUUUGGUUACUGGAGAAGGUUCGACAUAUUCCUGACCUGAGGAGGAAUCUGAUUUCUGUUGGACAACUUGAUGAAGAAGGACAUGCAAUACUAUUUGUUAGUGGUACUUGGAAGGUUACAAAGGGAGCUAGGGUAUUGGCUCGUGGAAAGAAGACUGGUACUUUGUAUAUGACCUCAUGUCCAAGAGACACAAUUGCAGUUGCUAAUGCAAGUACUGAUACAAGCCUAUGGCACCGCAAACUUGGUCACAUGAGUGAGAAAGGGAUGAAGAUGUUGUUGUCAAAAGGAAAACUACCAGAAUUGAAGUCCAUUGAUUUUGACAUGUGUGAAAGUUGCAUCUUAGGAAAGCAAAAAAAGGUGAGCUUCUUGAAAACUGACAGGACACCGAAGGCUGAAAAAUUGGAAUUAGUACACACUGAUUUGUGGGGGUCUUCUCCGGUUGCAUCCCUAGGAGGUUCAAGGUACUACAUCACUUUUAUUGAUGACUUAAGUAGAAAGGUAUGAGUUUAUUUUCUGAAAAAUAAAUCCAAUGUAUUUGAAACUUUUAAGAAGUGGAAGGCCAUGGUUGAGACAAAAACAGGUUUGAAAGUAAAAUGUUUGAGGUCAGAUAAUGGAGGAGAGUACACAAAUGGAGGGUUCAGUGAGUAUUGUGCUGCACAGGGAAUUAGGAUGGAGAAGACUAUUCCUGGGACACCACAGCAGAAUGGUGUGGCUAAGCGCAUGAACAGAACUCUCAAUGAGCGUGCUAGAAGUAUGAGGUUGCAUGUUGUUAGCACUGCAGCUUACUUGAUAAACCGAGGACCAUCAGUUCCCAUGGAGUUCAGACUUCCUGAGGAGGUUUGGAGCAGUAAAGAGGUGAAGUUUUCACAUUUAAAAGUUUUUUGUUGUGGUUCUUAUAUUCAUAUUGAUUCUGAUGCUCGUAGUAAACUUGAUGCAAAGUCAAAAAUAUGUUUUUUCAUUGGCUAUGGUGAUGAGAAAUUUGGCUAUAGGUUUUGGGAUGAACAAAACAGAAAAAUCAUCAGAAGUAGAAAUGUGAUAUUUAAUGAACAGAUUAUGUACAAGGACAGGUCAACUGUAGUGUCAGAUGUUACAGAGAUGGAUCAAAAGAAAUCUGAGUUUGUCAACUUAGAUAAAUUGACUGAAAGUACUGUCCAAAAGGGGGGGUGAAGAAGAUAAGGAGAAUGUAAAUUCACAGGUAGAUCUUACUACACCUGUAGCUGAAGUUCGCAGAUCUUCCAGGAACAUUAGACCUCCACAACGUCAUUCACCUGUUUUAAAUUAUCUCCUAUUGACUGAUGGUGGUGAGCCAGAGUGUUGUGAUGAAGCCUUGCAAGAUGAGAAUUCAAACAAGUGGGAGUUAGCCAUGAAUGGUGAGAUGGAUUCUUUGUUGGUGAAUGAGACAUGGGAACUGACUGAAUUGCCAAUAGGAAAGAAGGCUUUGCACAACAAGUGGGUAUACAGAAUAAAGAAUGAGCAUGAUGGUAGCAAACGUUACAAGGCCAGAUUAGUUGUUAAAGGGUUCCAGCAGAAGGAGGGCAUUGACUACACAGAGAUAUUUUCUCCAGUAGUGAAGAUGUCAACAAUCAGACUUGUACUGGGAAUGGUGGCUACAGAAAACUUACAUCUUGAGCAGUUAGAUGUGAAAACAACAUUCCUUCAUGGUGACUUGGAGGAAGACCUUUACAUGAUUCAGCCAGAAGGGUUCAUUGUUCAGGGACAAGAAAAUCUAGUCUACAAACUGAGAAAGAGCUUGUAUGGCCUUAAACAAGCUCCUAGACAGUGGUACAAAAAGUUUGACAGUUUUAUGCAUAGAAUUGGGUUCAAGAGAUGUGAAGCUGAUCACUAUUGCUAUGUUAAGUCUUUUGACAAUUCUUACAUCAUAUUACUGUUGUAUGUGGAUGAUAUGCUUAUUGCAGGGUCUGGCAUUGAGAAGAUUAAUAAUCUGAAGAAGCAAUUGUCCAAACAGUUUGCAAUGAAGGAUUUGGGAGUUGCAAAGCAAAUCCUUGGUAUGAGAAUCAUUAGAGACAAGGCUAAUGGUACAUUGAAGCUUUCACAGUCAGAGUAUGUGAAGAAAGUUCUCAGCAGGUUCAACAUGAAUGAAGCUAAACUAGUGAGCACACCCUUAGGGAGUCAUUUCAAACUAAGCAAAGAACAGUCACCAAAGAUAGAAGAAGAAAGGGACCAUAUGAGCAAGGUGCCCUAUGCCUCAGUUAUUGGCAACUUGAUGUAUGCUAUGGUGUGUACAAGGCCAGACAUUGCACAUGCAGUGGGAGUUGUGAGCAGAUUCAUGAGUAUGCCUGGAAAGCAGCAUUGGGAGGCAGUCAAGUGGAUUCUAAGAUAUCUGAAGGGUUCAUUAGAUACAUGUCUUUGCUUCACAGGUGCAAGUUUGAAAUUGCAUGGUUAUGUAGAUGUUGAUUUUGCUAAUGAUAUUGAUAGUAGAAAGAGUACUACUGGGUUUGUUUUUACUCUAAGUGGUACAACUAUAUCAUGGGCUUCAAAUCUACAGAAGAUUAUUACUUUGUAUACUACAGAAGCUGAGUAUGUUGCAGCAACUGAAGUUGGAAAGGAGAUGAUUUGGAUACAUGGUUUCUUAGAUGAAUUGGGUAAGAAGCAGGAGAUGGGCAUUCUACAUAGUGACAGUCAGAGUGCAAUUUUUCUUGCCAAAAAUUCGUCUUUUCAUUCAAAGUCGAAGCAUAUACAAACAAAAUACCACUUUAUCUGUUAUCUUGUUGAAGAUAAACUGGUAAUACUUGAGAAGAUUUGUGGAUCUAAGAACCCGGCAGACAUGUUGACUAAGGGUGUCACUAUUGAGAAGUUGAAGCUAUGCGCAGCUUCAAUUGGUCUUCUAGCUUGAGGACAGGAGGAUGAGUUGCAGGAAUGAGGGAUUGUUUCUUGGAUGAUAGCGGUUUGAUGUUGGUGAUUGAACUAGUCUCCAAGUGGGAGAUUUGUUGGGCUUUGUGGAGCCUAGUUUUGUUUGAUCCAGUUUGACGAUCCGACCCGAAUAAUAUUGCAUGGUUUUUUAAUGGGAGAUUUACUGAGGCCUGUUGGACCCGGUUAGCCCAUUGUGGAACCACAUUUUGUAAUUAAGGUUUUUUAGUGUGGGUGUGGUUGUCGUGUUAUAUAUGGAGAGAAAAUACUGUAACCGCCGAGGUUGUACUUUGUAUUCUUCCCUGAUAAUAGUGAUAUCCCUACAACUCCGUGGACGUAGGCAAAUUGCCGAACCACGUAAAUACUGUCUUGUACGUGUGAUUGUUUUUCUUUGGCGUGUGUUUUUCUCUAUUUUUCGUUUCUCACAGGUUAGGAAUUUGGUUUAAUUCCCUACAUUAUCUUGGAGGUUGUAAAAGAUGCAUUCUCAUAAUAGAUGCCUUGAUUAUGUUUCUUCAGUAGAAGAACCUACAAUUAGGGUCCUGUGUAUAUCCUUUCUUGGAAUUUUCAUAAAUUUACCAUUAUUAACUUUCUAUUUUAGGACUAACUGUUCAGCAAAUCUAUGGAAAAGACUAAAUAGUAAAUACUAAGUAGUUCCUCCAAGGGCUGCUAAAAAGCACUUCCCAGGGCCAUGAGCCAAAACUAGGCCACAUGGAAAGGGGUUGUAACAAGUCACUUGACUUGGGGUUGUUAGAGGCCAUCAUUAGUCAAGAUUGGUUUUAGAUUCAACUUUAGGAAUUUAUUUAUUUUCCUGAUUUCUAUUUUAUUUUUAGUUACAUAAUCAUAUUUGACUCUUGUUUUCCACUCUAAAUUCACAAUAUGUGAACCUUAUGAUAGAAAUUUUUAACUUCAGAACAUGAGUUGGGAUGUAUCAUAGAAGAAAGAUUCAAAUCCUUGGACUAGCAUUUCUGUAAUGCCUCAAUGAAAUUUUAUUGUAUGAUUAUCUACUUGAAGUAGCGAACCAUCAUCCUUUUAUUUAUUUAUUUAUUUUUGAUGGGAAACGACAAAGAGAUAUAUUGAUAGAAAAAAGAAGUACAAGAAAAGGAUGAGAAAUCCUCCCACCAAAGAAAAUCUAAACUACAAUAAUACAAAAACAAGAAUAUACAAUGUAAAAACAAACAAACUCUCUAGAUUAGACCAACCCAUUGGAAUUACACACUGCUAGUCAAUCAAGUUGUAACAUAUUAAGGGGAAUCCGCUUAAAAACCAUUAUCUUUUUAUUGGCAUUGAAUUGUGAAACCAUUAUGCCAUUACAUUGACAUCUCCAAAUGAAUGGUUUUAAUUUGAAUAGUUUUGUAUUAACUUAUUAUUUGACAAUUAUUGCCUAUAGUUUUUUGGCAGAACUGCUACGAUCUCACUAAGCAACAUCCAUUGAUAAUUUAUCAGGAGAACUGGUUGGAAGUUUUAGGUUGUGGGGUGACAGAGCAAGAAAUAUUAAAGAAAAGUGGUAAAACAGGUAAUGUUGCUUUGGCUUUUGGGCUUGGAUUGGAACGGCUAGCAAUGGUUCUGUUUGGGAUACCUGAUAUUUGGCUUUUCUGGUCAACUGAUGAGCGGUUCACCUCUCAAGUAAUUCCCCAAUUCAGUAAAUGAUAUUCUAUUUUAUUUUAUUCUCCUUUUCUUUGUCUUUGUGGUUAAGUAAUCAUUUCCAAAAUUGAUAUCCUUAGGAAAAUAAAGCAUGCUGAAAAUUGACCUUGUUGACAUUCUUAAUGUCUGAUUUGGGUUCCCUGAAUGUUUAAUUUAAACACUUUGUAUGCAGUUCUCAAAGGGCCAGCUUGGGGUCAAGUUCAAGCCAUUUUCAAAGGUAUUGCUUAUAAUUUUCUCAGUUUGAUAGUAGUAGUAUCUUCUUCUGAUGUUGUGUAAAUUGAAACUCUUGCAUAAUUUUCAUGCAAAAGGAUCCAAGACAUUUUGGGGGCCUGCAUUUUUAAGUAUAACCAGAAAAAGUCCUUUAUGCAAAUUUGUCUUUUACAUUCUGAAAUCGAAAAGAUUAAUUACACACAACAUAAUAACUAAAUAUUUAUACCUGUUAGAGCCCAAUGUAACCUUCUCUAUUGGCUGCUAGAAACUGACUAUCGUCUUUUUGCAGUAUCCUCCUUGUUACAAGGACAAGAGUUUUUGGAUUAAUGAGUUGUUCACAGAAAACAAUUUAUGUGAUGUUGUAAGAGGAGUUGCUGGAGAUCUUGUCGAGGGGGUAUUGCCUUUUUAUGUUUCUUAUUGUAAAUUGUUCAUUAGCUAUAGAUCUCUUCAUGGUUCACUUGGUAGAAUUUUCCUAAUCAUUUGUAUAGUUACACUGAAAGCACCGUACCAAUUUGUGUUUUAAUUAGGGGUGUUCAGGGUUUGGUUUGUUUAGUUUUGAACUUUAAAAUAAAACCAAACCAGUCUAAUUGGUUUUAUGUAUUAGGAACCCAAACCGGCCUAAUCGGUUUUAUGUAUUAGGAACCAGACUAAUUGAACUUAAAGAGGGAACUGAUCAGUUCAGUUCAGUUCAGUUAAUUUACUAUAUUUCGGUCAACAAAUAAAACUGAUUUUUUUUUUUUUUUUUUAUAAUCAAUUUGGGCCAAAACCAAAAAGCUCAUAAUAGGACAUUGUUGGUCAAAAAGCUUAAAAUAGUUUAUUACAACAAGUUGCUUUAGAGUGCUCAAAUUACAUCAUUGUAACUCAUUUCAAAUCAUAUUAUUGUAACACAGCCGCAUGAAUAACUAUUGUUGUAGUCUAUGCUUAUCAUACUAAGUAGUUCAAAAAUACGAAAAACUAUGUUUGGUUUGGGAUUCUAUCGAGUGUGAAAGAAGUGUGCCAAAUUAAAAAUGUAACUAAUGGUUAUUGUGUAUGUAUAUAAUUUUUGGUUUGGUUUGGUUUAUUAUUUGUUUUCUAAAUGGCAUAAUUCGGUUUUUUUUAGAAAACCCAAAUUGUUGAAAAAUCUUUAAAAAUUGAUUGGUUCAGGCCAGUGUGGCUCAGUUCUAUCAUUUUUGUCCAUUUAAUCGGUUUUUUACACAACCCUAGUUUUAUUUCACUUUUCAGUUCUUGGACUUUCCAUGAAAAUAAUAUUGUUGUCAUGAAGCUACUGAGGCAGUUAUUGGACCAAUUCCAUCCUCUGAAGCUGCUCAUAAAAGAGAUCCUCUCUCUUCUUUUCUAUCUACCAUCAGUUGCAAUAAUAGAUCCAGUUUGCACAAAGCCAAGCUUAGAAAAUCUGUUCAUUGACAACCUGAAUAGUCUCUGGAAGCAUCCAGUAUCUUUUCUCCUUUGUGAGGGUGGAUAACCGGUCUGGGUCCCCUGCAUCAUUUUUCAUAGGCUGCAGAGCUGCUGUGUCCGUAUAGGAAGUAACAUGUUCUUCCUUCAUAGCUUUAAGUGCCAUCAGGAAUUGGAUAUGCUAAUAUGAGUGGGAGGACUCCAGAUGGUGGACUUUCGAAGACCUCCACUCUGAUUCAUUGAUGCCAAACAUAUAAUUGUGAUAAAGCGAGGCUUUGGAAGUUAAUAUUCUUUUAAGGUGUUUCAUAUAUUGAAGGUUUAUAAAGAGGUCAAAAUUGAGAAAUUACUAUUCUCUAAAUAAUAGGAUAGUAGUCAAUUUUUCGUUCAAAAUUUGUCAUAUAUUCCAAGAGGAUUGUUAACAAUCUGAUCUAUAUUGAAACAGUGGCCAUAAUAAGUCCCUAUUUUCCUAGUGCCUGAAAGUGAAGCUCCAUUCUGAAGUUUUCUGAACUAUAAGAUACAUUUUUGACUUCCAGGUGCAAUUGAUCGACAAUUUCACCAACAAGAAAGGAAUGACCAGUCAAUGUUAUCGGAUAGCAUACCGGUCCAUGGAGCGUUCACUUACAGAUGAGGAGAUAAACGAGUUGCAGGUAUUUCAUGUUUAGGGGAUUUGUACAAGUGAUUAGUAUUUCGUCUUGAUUACGGGUAAUGACUAAUAACCUGAAAUUUGGCUUUGAUUCUGGGUGCAGUGGAAUGUUAGGGAGCAAGUGCAGAGCAAGUUGAAGGUUGUUCUUAGAUGAGAUUUCUGAUGCUGACAACCUAAUUUUACUAUCUCACUCUUGUAAGUCUCCUUAUGGACAUUUUCUAUUAUUAUUCUUUUUGUUCCUACCUUGUACAUUUUACAAUUAUCAACAAGAGUUUGAACUAGUUACAGUGGGGAAAUUAGGCAUUCAAAACCAGCUUUAAUGGGAGAAACACUUCAAGGAAAAUAAGGA